rnacentral:lncRNA from 1 species
UAAGUCUUGUCUACUUCUUUGAACAUGUUGAUAUCAGAUGUCAUAUAGUGUGUGCAGCUACUGUCAAUGAGCCAUGCACUUGAAGAGGUUCUGGUUGCAUAGCAAGUUACAACAAAAACUUGCUCUUCUAGCUGUUAUUUAUUGUCAGCAACUCUAACUUGUUGAUUUGGCUGCUGUUGUUUUUUAUUUUUGCAUACAUUUUUUAUGUGACCAAGCUACUUACAGUACCUAUAUUAUAUGUCAGGUCUGUAUUAAUAAUAUUUCUCUAAGUGAGUGAUCUUUUUGUAGUGAGAGUAAGGAAAAAAUUUUCUUUUCUUUCCAUUAUUUCUAGAACCUUUUCUUAUUUGAUAUCGAUGUUUUUUGCCUUUGCUUUUUGUUUGCAUUUUGCCUUUCUCUUUGGCUGUAAAAGCACUUUUUGUUAAAUCUUUUUGUCUGACAGCCCUUCUUUGCUCUCGAGCUUGCAAAGCAUUGAACAACUUUGCUAGAGUUAUCUUGGUCAGGUCCUUAGAGUCUUCAAAGGAUGAAAUUUUUGACUCAAACCUCUUUGGUAAGCUGACAAGAACCUUUUUCAUAAUUUUUUUAUUUGAUAGCUCCUCACCAAGUAAUCUAAUCUUAUUUACUAUUUUUUUGAGUUUGUCAUUAUACUCCUUUAAAUUUUUAGACUCUUUCAUCUUUAAGACUUCAAACUCUCUUCUAAGAUUCAACACUUGCAUUUGUCUUGUCUUGUCACUGCCUUAAAAUUCUUCCUUGAGCAUAUCCCAAGCUUGUUUUACAGUUUCACAAAUCAUGAUUCUAAUGAAUAUAUCAUCAGAAACUGAAGACUUAAUACAACUUUUAGCCUUGUACCUCUUUGUUUUUUUUUUUACAAUAAUUUUUCAUUUGAGUUACUGUUGGAUUUGCAGGAAGUUGUGGUGAUUCAUUUUCAUUUUUCACCACUUCUCACAAAUAAAAAACACUCAAAUAAGACUUCAUUUUGAUGGCCCAUAUCUAGUAGUUUUCACAAAAAAAAAAAAAUAGAAAGUUGAGGUAAUGAGUAAUUGCUUGAGGCCAUUUAAAGUUGACAAAAGUUGGUUAGUAAGUGUUUGAUGGCUUUUCACUCAAUUUCUGGAGCUCAAAGGUCCUCUAAGACCUUAAAAAAGCUCUGAUACCAAUUGAAGGAUCUAGAGCAAAGAAAGAACAAAGAAAAAAAAAUGAAAAAACUAAUCUGGUAGAUGCAGUGAAUUGGCUCUCAAAUUAUGAGCUUCAUUUCAUUAAUUUAUAGGCUUCAAAAAUAUAAAAGUUUAUUUAACUACUACAAAAGUUGUUUGCCUAAUAACAUGGAUUACUAUACACAAAUCAAUCAAGCUACCUAAACUAAUCAAAUGGUAGAACAUAUUGCAAAAGUUGCAGUGGAAAUGUCAUACAUAGUUGCUUCAACCACUAACAAUUCUCAAUGCUCUUACUUAUCCUUUCAUUACAAUGGUAAUUUGUUGACCCCAAAAAUCUUCAUUUUCCCUGAUUUUCCUCAAUCUUUUGAUCCUCACCUUUUUUAUAAUCAUUUUAUUUAGGCUCAUCAUUCCUCAAAAUUUCACUACUUCCUUGCUUAUUUUCGUGUCUGGUCGAUUCACCAUUCUUUGUCAUUUCUACCACAUUUUUUCUUGCCUUCAGUGUCAUUUCUCUCGGUGUUGUUCCUUCAACGUCCCCACUUCCAUGUUUGUUCGUGUGCAUGCUAGGCCUUUUUUUCUUUUCAUUGUACUGUUUACGUGUUGGGUACUGGUUUCUAGUUAUAUAAGCCAAGCAUCCUCUUUUUAUUGGUGAAGUUCGCAUCCAUUCCCCAUACUACUGGUCCUUUCCUCUUUCUAACUCUACUACCAUUUCACGAUCCAUUUCAAUAUGGCCCAGUUUCCCACAUACAUAGUAGAAAUUUGGGAGACGUUUAUAGCUCAAUUGCCUCUCAUAAACCAUAUUUUGUUCUUCCCUGCAAUAAAAACACACCUUCUUAAAGGUUUUGUGAUAUCUAUUUCCACUUGUAUUCUUAGGAAGAUUCCACCCAUAGAAAACAAAUGGUUACACUAUAUUUGGAUUGAUGAGAGGAGAAAGAAAGGAAAGGAAAAUAAAAAAAAGUAACGAAAAUAGAAAAACCUUCAUUUGUUUGGAUAAAUUUUUAAUUUAAAAGAAAUGAAAGAGGUGAAAACUUAAUAUUUUUUUAUUUUCUUUAUAAUCUUCACUUUUUUAAUAUCCUAAUUUGGGAGAAAAGCUAAGGAAAUGAAAGUUGAAAAUUUUUUAUUUUUAUAAAAAGAUUAUUAUAUCUAUAUUUUUAUUAUGACAUUAAAUUUAAUUAUAUAACUGACAUUUCCUAUAAAAAUAAUUUUUUUAUGAAUAUUUUAUAUAAGAGCAAAGUUUAUAAAUAUUUUAUAAUUUUUCAAGUUUUAACAAUAAAACAACUCAAAUUAUUGUUAGAAUAAAUUAAAAGGUUGAAUUAAACACAAAAUUAAGAAUAAAUAAAUAACUAGCUAAUAUAUUUUAUCAUAUUAAAUACUCAAUUUUGUUUAGAAAGAUUUGUUUAUACAAACUAAGUAAUAUAAAGAUAUAUUUGCAUAUUAUAUGUUAUUUUAUAAAAAAAAAUUAUAAUAAAUUAUUUCCUUUCCUUUUCGCUUAUCAAACAAUGAUUAUUAGAAUUUCUUUCCUUUCAUUUUCUUUGUUAAUUUUACUUAUCCAAACAAAAAGUACAUAUACAUUUUCUAUUUCUUUAAACAAAUUUUCUUUCUUUUCCUUUCCUUUAUUUAUAUAUAUCCAUAUAUAGCGUUUUGGUCCACACCUAUCAAUACUCCCAAUUUCAUUCCUAUCUCCUUUGCCAUAUCUUUGGUUAGCAUUUUCAACGCCAACCCAUGGACCAUAAUCCAGAACUCUGCUCUAUCAAAAGAAUAAUCUGUUGGCCUUAGAUCACCAUUAUACUUUCUAACAACUAAAAGGUUCUUUUCAAAUGACCAUGACGACUCUUCGAGAACUCUCUUCUUAUCACUCUUUGACCCAAACUUAAAGAUUAAUAAGUUUGGUUCCAACACCAUCAUUGUUAUCUCUCUGGCUAGCUUCCAUAUCAUCUGGAACAUAUUGAUCAUUGCUUCCCUAUUGAACAUCUUGAUAGUAGCUUCCCUAGUCACUAAAAGACCUCCGAUGGAUUCGAUUCCUCUUCCAGCCCCUCAAUUUCAAUGCCUUCCUUUUCUUCUUCAGUUAGCCUUAGCUUUGACCAUUUGCUUUCCAACUCGUCCACAAUUAUUAGAACUUCAUGAGAUCUUAACCGUGGAAUUAACAGCCUGUUUCUACUCUAAUAUACUGGAACUAAGAACGCUUGCAUACUGACAAGACUAUGAAAACUCCUCGUACAAAACCCAAUGUUCCAAAGAGACUCCAUAAUUAAACAACAGAAGUGCAUUUUAUUUUCUCUUAACAUUUAUAACAUCUUUUGUUUUUCUUUUUAAAUUAUAACUUGGGUGUAAAAUUUUACCGUACGGUUAAAGACAAAUAAUAAAAUAUGCUCCGUGGCUUAAAAAAUAAAAAGUUACACUAACCCUGUUUGAGGAUUUUUUUUUUCGGUUAAUUUUAAAGUCAAAACUGUUGAUCAAUUUCCCUUUCUUUUUUUUUUUUUUCGUUACAUUGUUGUAAAUUUCGUUUUAGUAAUGCUCAUAUCAGUCAAUAUACUUUAGUUAUAUUAAAAUAUGAUAUAGUUAAGGGUAUUUUUUUUUAUCAAAUUUGUACUGGAUAAACCAGUUAUUUUUGUUUGUUUUGAUUAAUUUUAGUGAACUUUGAUAGAAUAGUUUGCUUCGGCUAGUAUUUGAAUGUAAAAUAUGUUUUAUAAUUUUUAAAUUGUCUUUUGUUGUUUGAUUAUUUUUUAACCUAAUAAAAAUAAAACCAAUGAGUAAAAGAACCCUUAAAAAUUAGAUUUCUCUAUUUUUUACCACAUCUUAUUUUUUUUUUACAUUUUCUUUUUUCAAACAAAUAUUUAUAAGCAUAUUAAUUUUUUUCAAGAAAGCAAUUGUACUCUCCCUAAAAUUUAAGAAUCCUAAAGUUAAAAUUAAUAUUUUUUUCAUUUCUUUGUUUUAUCUUAAUUUUACAUGAAAAAUUAUUUAUUUAAAUAGUAUAUGAUCAGAUUAAAUAUUUUAAAAAAUCAUGAUAAACUAAUGAUAUUAUUUGUUAUACUUUUAAAUUUAUUUAUUUAUUUUUUUAAGAUAUUGUAUAUUUAUUUUACAUUUUAGUAGUAUUAUUAUAUAUAAAUUAAUGUUUAUUUAUAAACAUAUUUAUAUUAAAUAAAAAAACUAAAAUAAUAUGUCGAUACCAACAUAUACUUUAAAAAAAAUUAAAAAUUAUUAGAUAUAAUAUUAACAAACUCGCUUUAUUACCCUUUAUUCUUUGAAUUUCUAGUUACUCUUAUCUCCAUCAAUGUCAUAUAUAUCAAUAAUAAUGUCAUAUAUGUUUUUUUAAUAGUGUUGAUUUGGAAAUUAAUGAAAGAAAUCUCAGGUUAUAAUAACGUGGCACUUUUUAUAUUUUCAAAGGAUCAAAUUUAUUUGGCCUCUGACAGCAGUGUUCUUUUUUUUUUUUUUUAAUAAUUUACCUUAAAUCAAAUUAUCAUGAGUUGCUUAUUAGACUUGCUCUCUGAAUAUAAAAUCUCGACUUUAUGAAUACUUGACUUUAUGAAUACUUGAGUAUGAAUUUUUUUUGAAUAAGACAAGUCGUGGGGAAAGGGAGAAAUGAAACAAGAUUCUUGAAGAGUUGCUAUGUAUUUAUUAAAACGCGUUUUAAGGGCCAGCUUGUUAAUUGUAAUAAACGAAAAUUCUUUGAAUAGUUGCAAAGGAAAAAUCUUUGCAGAAACUUUGCUAAAUAUCCCCAGACUUUGAAUUAAGGCCUUACCGUUUUGAAUGGGAAAAUAAUGGGAAGACAUUUCAGACCCAUCUCUUGACCGUUGGAAACUUUUUCGAGUAUAAAUCUUAACAAUUUUAUAGUUCUAAGUUCAUAAAGCCAGAGAAAGGAAUUGAAUCUGUACUCUUUGGCCAUGGCUGCCAUUUUAUUACUUUUUCUUCUGUCUACUUCCAUCAUUUCAACCGCAGUAGCUCAACCAAAGCAUUCCAAUAUAAGUCUAGGCUCGUCUCUAACACCUACAGGCCAAUCCUCAUGGCUAUCCCCUUCUGGCCUAUAUGCCUUUGGAUUUUAUCAGCAAGAUAAGGGAUAUGCUGUUGGAAUUUUUCUUGCUGGAGUUCCCCAGAAGACUGUGGUUUGGACAGCCAACCGAGAUGAUCCUCCUGUUCCAAGCAGCGCUAAGUUGAUUCUUACAACUGAUGGAAGGCUCAUUCUGAGAUCAACACGAGAUAUAUCCAUUACUGAUUCCACUGAAAAGGUUGCCACAGCUUCGAUGCUUGAUUCUGGCAAUUUUGUUCUAUACAAUUCAGACCAAGAAAAAAUCUGGGAGAGCUUUAAAUACCCUACCACUACCAUUCUUCAAGGACAAAAACUCUUAGCUGGGACAGCGCUGUACUCUAGCGUCUCAGACACUGAUCAGUCGACAGGAUUGUUUCAACUUAGCAUGCAGACCGAUGGGAACCUUGUGCAAUACCCGGUGGCUCUUUAUACACCCACAGUAUGGUAUGCGUAUUGGGCAUCUGAUACAUUUGGUGCAGGAGAUAAUGUGAGCUUGAAUCUCGACAAUGAUGGCCGUCUGUACUUACUCAAUUCCACAGGAGUCAACAUAAAGGAUAUAGUUAAAGGAGGAUAUGAUACCAAUGAAACAAUCUAUCUGAUGAAAAUUGAUCCGGAUGGUAUCUUCCGAAUCUAUUCUUAUAAAUUAAAUCAGGAAGGCAACCGAUCAGUUAUAUAUGAAUCUUCUCCAGACAGGUGUGCGCCUAAGGGUCUAUGCGGCCUUAAUGCCUAUUGCGUUAUGACUGAUCAAGGAGCCGUUUGCAAAUGCAUACCGGGAUUCACUCCGGUAAAAAAGGGCAAUUCUAGUGCUGGCUGCGAAAGGGAUUUCGCUAUGCAAAGCUGCAAUAGCAAUGAUCAGAGAAACCAAUACAUCAUUCAGGCGGUUGAUAAUACGGAGUGGGAAGAUGAUGGAUAUUCUGAUUUGUCUUUAUUAACCGAAGAAGAUUGCGCAGCUGCAUGUCUGGAAGAUUGUACGUGUGAAGCUGCCAUGUUUAAAGAAAGAAACUGCAGGAAGCAAAGGCUGCCUCUGAGAUUUGGGAGAUGGAAAGAUUCUGAAGGAAACGUUGCUUUGAUUAAAGUAGGUGUAUCUGCGUCCACUGAAUCAACAAAACAUGAUCAAGGCAAACGAAAACCUGAUAUGGUAAUUUUAAUAAUUGGUCUUUCAUUGAUUGGCUUAGUGGUUUUGUUGGUAUUUUUUGGGGCUUUGAUUCUUAGAAAUCAUGUGUUCACAUACAAGAAGGUUUCCACAAUUAGCAACAUAAACUUUUGUGAGAAUGUUGCUUCGAUAUCAUUUAGUUUUGCACAAAUUGAGCAGAUGACUAAGAGUUUCAAGGAUGAAAUUGGAAAAGGAGCAUUCGGGACAGUUUACAAAGGAACAAUUUCGGAUAGCCUGAUGGUUGUUGCGGUGAAGAGAUUGGACAACGUAUCAUCUCAAGGGGAGCGAGAGUUUCAAACAGAGAUGAAAAUUAUUGGUAGAACUCAUCAUCGAAAUUUAGUUCGACUAAUCGGCUAUUGCCACGAAGGGGCUAAUAGGUUGUUGGUAUACGAGUACAUGGUCAAUGGAUCACUUGCAGAUGUACUCUUCACACCUGAAAAAAGACCUUGUUGGAGUGAAAGGGUGGAAAUUGCUCGCAACAUAGCGAGAGGUCUCCUCUAUCUUCACGAAGAGUGUGAGACUCAAAUAAUCCAUUGCGACAUCAAAUCUCAAAAUAUACUAAUGGAUGAACAGGGUCAAGCAAAAAUAUCUGAUUUUGGAUUGGCCAAGCUUCUAAAGCCAGACCAAACCAAAACCUUCACUGCGAUCAGAGGAACAAGGGGGUAUGUUGCACCAGAGUGGCACAGGAAACUACCGGUGACAGUCAAAGCAGAUGUUUACAGCUUUGGAAUUGUAGUGUUGGAGAUCAUAUGUUGUCGACGGUGUGUAAAUUGGAACCUUCCUGAGGAAGAAGCUGUCCUUGAAGAAUGGGUCUACCAUUGUUACCAAGCUGGUGAACUACGGAAACUAGUAGGAGAUGAUGAAGAGGUUGACAAGAAACAAUUGGAAAGGAUGGUGAGAGUGGGACUAUGGUGUAUCCUGGAUGAGCCAACACUCCGCCCUUCCAUGAAAAAGGUUCUGUUGAUGUUAGAAGGGACAGUUUAGAUCCCAGUACCUCCAAGCCCAACUUCAUUUUUCUGUGCUAUUUGAUUGGUCAAUGCUGUUUAAGAUUUGGAGAAGGGAACUUUGCAAUUGCUUCCCUUCCAAUGCGUAAUUUUGUUGUUGUUGUAGUUUUUUUUUUUUACAUAGUAAUUAUUAGGUAAAGUGACAAAAAGUGAAAAAAAGCGCGUGAAUCUAUUGAGAGUUUGUGAGAUGAUUAUGAAUUGGCCCAAACGAUGAAAAUAAAUUUAUUUAAAUCAGUUCUAAAAAAUAUAUAUAUUAGAUAAAAUUACAAAAUCUCUUGUCGCUAAAAAACAAAAUCCGUAGCCAUUUUUCUUUUUGGUAUAGUGUUUGUACGAAAUAACAAGCGCAUAUAUAUAUUUUUAUCUAAAGAGCUAGUUUAAGAUUGUCGUCCAUUGAAAAAAAUUCCGUAGCUAGUGUGUAUGCUAAUUAAUUGAUUGAAGAAAAAGAGGAUGGGUUGAACAAAUUGAUUACAGUGUGUAUCAAGAAAUUCUUGAAGAUAGGAAGCAAUGUGUAUGGUAAUUAUUUUAUUUUUUUAUUCUUACAUUUUUUAAGUAAUUUGAUAAAUUUAAUUAUUACACUUAAUUAGAGAUAUAAUAAAAAUAAUAAUUAAGGAAAUGGCUAAGAAAUAUUUUUAUUUGCAGGAAUUUAAUAAAUAUUGCUCUUUAAUAUAAUGUAAAAUUAUUGCUGAAAAUAUAAUUAGACAAGAAACUAAAUUAACAUAAAUAAAAAAAAAACUUUCACGAUCCUUUUUCCAUCAGUACAACAAGAAAUUGUGCUAGAUCAAAAUUUUAAAUAAAAGAUUUUUGGUUGAAAACAUUAACAGUGUUUUUUAGGUUUUUUUUUUUUUUUUCAAGUUUUUCUCAUAAGCUCUUCCUUUUAUUAUACUCAACUAAAAUUUUUAAAUUAUUAUUUUGAUUUAAUUGAAAAUUUCAAUGAAAAUGGGGAAAUUUUGUUUCUUUGCCACGUACAAGUUUGACGUAUCAUGCAUGUUAAAUGUAGUCCUUAUUUGGCGACACGAUUUUCUCCAUUGAUUUUAGAAAUUUGCAUGUCAAAAUUUAAUAUAAUAAGACUACUAUUCUACUAGUUUUUUCAAACUUAAGAUUUAAUCUAAGUAGUUUAUUAUUUUUAAAAGUUAAAUUUUUAUAAAAUUAAAAUUUGAUUUUUAACAUUUAUAAUUUAUAAUUUUUAUUUUUUAUCUUCCACUUCUCUUGCAUAAAAAAAAUCUAAUAAUGCUCUCUUUACUAAGGGAAAUAGUCUUAGAAGAAAACUUUGCUAAAUACCUAAAACUUUAAAUUGACGCUAGUAGAGGUGAUAAUUGGAUAACUUGAUAUGGUUUGAAUUGGAUUAUUUUGAAUUGGGUUAUAUCGAGUUAAAGAAAAUUCAAGUCCCUUUAAAAUUUAAUCAUUCCAAGUUCAAGUCAUUUAGGUUUUGAGUCUCACAAGUUUUGAAAUUUGAGAUUAUUUGAAUUUGAAUAAUUUUAUAUUUAAAUUUUGGGUUUUAAAAUGAAAUUAAUAUAAUUUUAAUUAAUUUGUAUUUGAUUUAUUUUAAACUUAAAUUAUUGACUUUUUUUAAUUAAAUCAAAUUGAAUCAAAUCAAAUUCGACAAGAUUGAGUAAACGAAUUGGAGAUGAUUUUGCUUAGACCUUGUUUAAUAAGCCAUUGAAAAUUUUCAACAUUUUAAUUUUUUCAAUGCAUUUGAUAAUACAUUCUAAAAUCCACUUAAAGGAAUUUUUUUAAUUAAAAAGUGUUGAAUAAGAUAAGUAGAAGUAGACUUAUCACUUAAUGCAAAAAAUAUUCAGUAAAUUUUUCUUUUAAAAUUUUUUGAAAUAUUAUCUCCUUAAAACACUACUUAAUAUCUGCAAGAAAAUAAAAAUAAAAUGAUAAAUUUUUAGAAUUUAAUAUUUUACAGCUAUCAAACAAUAUAUUUAUAUUCAGUAUUUAAUUUUCAAUAAAAUACUAAAUAAUUUUUAUAAUUCAAAUUCAGUAAUUAAAUUUAAUAUUAAAAGUUCAGUACUUAAAUUUCAGCAUUUAGUGUUUUUUAGUUUAUGAAACAAAACCUUACUUUAUAUGCUAUUUUAUUUGACCUGUUGAAAAAGUGCUACUGAAGUUAAGUUUCAAUUUAUUCAAUUUAAUUAAAAAUAAUACCUAUUACUUAAAUUUUGGUUAUGUUACACAAUGCUGAUUUUUUUAGAUGCCACGUGUUGCAUGGUGAUUGGCCAUUGUUUUUUUUUUCUUUAAAAAUACUAAUUUUUUAAAUUAUAAAAAAUAUAUAUAUUAUUUAAAAGAUUGUAUUUUUGUGUGUAAGAUUCGUUUACACCAUUUUUUUUUUGUUUUCACUCUAUUUUAUUUUUCCCUUUCUAAAUAAAAAAUUUAAUUAUGAUUUUUUUAGUUUUUAUUUUUUAGAACAUACUUGAGCAAUAUGUGGUCAACAGUCCCAUUUUCUUUGACUAUUGUGAGUCAUUUUUAGAGUUUUUUUUUCUUUUUUUUCAUUUUUUCAUUUUUUGGGUUUCUUUACUUAAAAAAAAAUUAUUUAAUAAAUAUUUUUAAAAAUUAUAAAAAUAUAUCUUUUUUAAAGAUUUUAUUUUUUAUGUUUUAAGACCCAUUUAUAUAUUUUUUUAUUUUUUACCCAUUAAACUUUUUUUUUAAAAUUUAAAUAAAUUUAAUAAAGAGUUUUUUAGAUUUUUGUAAGAUCCAUUUGACACUAGUUGUAUGUCAUGUGUUUUUUCUUUCUUUCUUUCUUUCCUUUUUCCUUUUUCCUUUUUUUUUCCACUUUUUUUUUAUCUUUUAAAUUAUAAAUGAUAUAUUUUUAAAAAAUUGUAUUUUUUAUUUGUAAAACGCACUUAUACCAAACUUCUUUUUUACUCUUCAUUUUUCAACCCUUUUACAUUUUUCAUUUUAAAAAAAAUUAAUAAAGAUUUUUUGAAGGAUUUUUUACAACCCAUUUGAGUAAUAUACGGUUAACAGUAUUGUUCUCUGGGGCUAUAACAUGUCAUUUUCAGUUUUUUUUUAAUUUUUUUAAAAUAUUUUUUUUUAUUUUUAAAAUUUUCUUUUAAAGUAUUUAAUAAAUAUUUUUCAAAUUAUAAAAAAAUAUAUUUUAAAAAUUUUAUUUUUUUGUUUUAAACUCACUUUUAUCAAACUUUCUUUUUUGGUUUUACCUUUUUACCUUUUUUCUUUUUUAAAUUAAAAAAAAACGUAAUCAAGUUUUUUAUGAUUUUAUUUUUAUGUCAAACCCUCUUGAUAUCAAUAGUAUAUCACUUUUUUUUUCUUUUUUUAAUAUAUCUAGUAAAUAAUUUUUAUAUAUUUUUUUAAAGACCCACUUAAUAUCAAUAGUAUGUCAGUAUAUUAAAUGUUAAGUUAGUUGAUUAUAAGAUCUAAUGUGCUUUCGAAAUUCAAUGGCUUUUUUAGUUUGAGAUGCAAAAAGACGAUAUAACUUUUCUGGAACAAAAGUGGUACCUAAUUUCACUUAAUCAGUUUGGCAACAAAAUGAUGGAAACUAAUAUUGAAACUUUUUAGCACCAAAAUAAUUACAACAUGGAAUAUUCUUCAAUUGACAUAAUGGAGAAAAUGAAGGAGUAUACAAUGUUUCCCUUUAUAAAAUAGUUUCAUAUUAAUUCUAAAGAAAAUUGAAAUAAAUACAAUUGUAUAUUUUUCAUUUAAAAAUCAUAUAAAACUAACAUUGUUUGUCAUAUGGAGAAGAUAGAGUUAUGUAUAACCAAUCAUUCUUUCCUUUUUUUUUUUUUUUGCUUAGGAUAAUCUUUUAUUGGUGCUUUCAUCGAUUGAAAGCAAUUGCAUGUUCUAUUAAUUGAAUAAUUAAUUCUUUUGUUAUCCAAACAAAUGGCUAUAUAUAAAUUUUUAUUUUAUAUAAAUAUUAAAAUACAUAAUUUUAAAAAAUAAAAUAAAAUUCUAGCAUUGAUAUCUUGUCAUGUUCAAAUGAAUUUCGUUUCACCCUAAAAGAAUUCAUCGCUACAUAACUUUUGUUUUUGAUUCUAGCCAAAUCUGAUUUAGGAAAUUCCAAGCAAUCAGCAAAUAGUUUUGCAUUGGAAAUGAGCCAAUCACUUGUUUGCAUAGAAGAGAAGAUUUUUUACACAAAAAGAUAGGAAGAUAAACAUACAUAAGUUUUGCAUAAAAAAUGAUAUAAAACUUUUCAUUUAAAAGAUAUUGUUUGAUGUCUAACCUGAUUUAAACUUUUUAAUGAUAAUGAUAUUAUGCAUAUUAAAUUUGAACGGUGUUGACUAUGUUGAUUAAGGAUGUAAAAAUGUAAAACUUUUUUAGUUUAGUACUUAUCAAAUGGAAUAUUCAAUAUAAAUCUCCUUCAAUGACUAUUAAUUUAACAACAUAUGCAUAUGGCAUGCAUGAAUGUGAACUUAUGCAUGCAUCUGUAAUAAAUGUAUGAUUUAUGCAAGUAGAUAUUCUGUGCAUCAACAGUGUCAUUUUUAAUCCUUGAAAGAAUCUGCUAUUUGUAUUUGCUCAAAAAAAUACUAUAAAAAGUUAGAGAGUUGGUUCAUUUUGGGGGGAUUUUCAAAUUGUGAAUAUUUACGAAGAACAUUAGCUAAGGAAGUUCAACAAAUUGAGUCUAGGUACUUUUGCUUUCUAUGUUCUCAUCAUGCAAUCAAUAAAUACUGUUAAUAGAGAUUUUAUCAUGGUUGAAGCACAAACCAUGUUCUGUUGACUUUUGAAUACGCAUAGGAAUUAUGUAAAUGUAGAUAUAUAUGAUUGAUUGUUGAAGUAGAACUUUAUAUGAAUGAUUAUUGCUUAAUAGAAAAUGGAUUUUCAUUAGAAUCACACUAAUAUAUGUAGUAAUUUAGCCUUCUGUAAGUCUUUUUAUGUCAGUAACAUACUAAAAGGUAGUCCCCUGCUUGCCUUUCUCUCUUUUUUUUAUCUCUAAUCAUGGUCACACAUUUCUUGGUUUUUAUAUUUAAAUGGAAGUUGUAAAUGCUACAUAUAUUGUAUUAUCAUUUCAACAUUGGUAGCAAUUUAGGUUUGUAUCUUGUUUAAUUCUUCUGUGUUAAGAUGUUUGCUUUUUUUUUUUGGCAUAAAAUGGCUCCAUAGUUAGAUCAUCUUAUUAGACUCAUGAACAUGGGUUUAUUAAUUAUAUUUCUUUCCAAAUACCCGUUAACUCUUUCUCAGAUAUUAUUAAUGGUAUAGGCAUAUCAAGGGGAUUCAUGUAUAGUUUUAGCAACAGUAUUGAGUAUACUUUUUUGGAAUCUAUUUUACUUUCUGUUUUUGAUUGUUAUCACUAUAUAGAUCUAUCUUUAUAUAAAAUUAAAACCAUCUCUUUCUCUUUUUUGAACUUAAUAAAGAAAAGUCAAAUUGUUUUUCGUUAUUUAAUGAUUUAGCCUUUGCUUUUUUAAGUUUGAGUUUUGUGAGAUGUUUUCUAACUCAAUUGACCAUUUUUUUUUUUAAAAAAAAAUCUAAAACAAAAAAGUCAAUUUAUUUUGUUAUUAACUGAAACAACUGCUUCUGAAAGCUCUAAAGAAUCUUUUAUAAUGAUCAUCCAAGUUAAUGAUCUCCCAUUUGUGUCUAUUUCAAGAUCAACUUCUCUAAACUUGUAGACACCCAAUUUGGUCCAGGCUAGGACCAAUUGGGCCUCAUCCAAAUGGGGCAAGAUGGGCCCAAUUUUUAUUUUUUAUUUAUUAUUUUUUUUAGGUUAUUUGUUUUGAAUGUUGUUUUAAUUAUUAUUUUUUUUAUAUAAUUUUGUUCUAGAAGAAACAUUUUUGCCAUGAAUCUGGGGGCUAGUAGGGUUUGAAUUGGAUUCAAAGAUUGAAUCCCAAUCACAGAAGGAAUUGUGAUUGAUUAAAAACUCUUCUGAUCAAUCCCUAUAAAUAAAUGCUGGAACACAGAUCAAAUAUACUAAACAGAAGAAAACAGAAGCAAAAAAAAGGGGUCAUAGAGGGUAGAAAUAGUUUUAUAUUUUUAGGAAUUUUUUAAAUUUUAGGUUUUUUUUCUGAAAAAUUUCUAGAAAAAUUCAAAAAUUCGAUCAAUUUUUCAGCUAAUUUUUCGGCCAACUUUGAAUUUUUGGGUGAGAUUUCCCAGUUUUUGACGUGUUUUUUCCAGAUUCUGAUAGAAAUUCAACUUAAAUCUGAGUUUUUUUCAAAGAGAAAGAAAAGAAAAGGAACGAGGAGAGAGAGAAAGAAAGAAGAAUUCUAAAGGAAAAGCUGGGAUUUGGGCUUAUAUACUCGCUAAAAAUGACAUCGUUUUAACUUUAUUAAUCUCAAAGAAUCCACACGUUUUGCCAUCGGGCGACCCGACCUGAGCACCAACCCGCGUCUAACCUGCGUGCCAACCAUCCCCUAGAGCUGAGUCGAGCCAAGCCGCAUUUUCCCAACCGAGCCCACGAGCCAUUUUUUAUUGUUGCAGCAGAGCUAUUCCAUACUCCCAACCGAGCCGUUUUUUAGAUUUUUUUUAUUUUUUUAUUUAUUUUAUUUAAGUAUUUUAUUUAAGUAUUUUUUCCCUUAGUUUUUUUAUUAAAUUAAAUAAAAAAUAAUAAAAAAUAAAUUUUAAAAAUAACUAUUAAUUAUCCAAUGAUGGAAUUUAUAAAAAUUUCAAAUGGUAAAUUUUUAUAAAAUUUUUAUAAAAUUCCUAUGUGAGAAAUUUUGUCUAAAUUUGGCUUAAAUGGUGGAAUAAUUUAGAUAAAAUUUCAAUAACAAUAAUUAAUAGUUAUUUUCAAACAAAUAAUAAUAAUAAUAAAUAAAUAACAUAAAAAUAUAAAAAAUUUUGAAAUUAAUUACAAAUUAUCCAAGGAUGAGAUUCUUAGAAAUUUCAAAUGAUAAGUUUCUAAGAAAUCUCUAGGUAAGAAAUUUUCUCUAAAUUUGGUCCAAAUUGUGGAAUAAUUUAGAUAAAAUUUCAAUAUAAAUAAUUGUAUUAUUUUUCAAAUAAAAUUUUGAUUGAAAAUAUGUGAUAAUUAUCCAAGGAUGAGAUUCUUAGAAAUUUCAAAUGGUGAAUUCCUAAGAAAUCUUUAGGUGAAAAACUUUUUUUAAAUUUGGCCCAAAUGGUGGAACAAUUUAGAUGAAAUUUCAAUAAAAAUAAUUGUCAUAUUAUUUUCUUUUCAAGAAAAAAAGGAAUUUCUAAAUAGGCCCAAAUGGUGGAAACUUUAAAAUUCAAAAAGAGAAAAUAUUUUUAAUUUGGUUCAAAUGGUGAAAUAAUUAGAUAUAUUUUCAAAAAAAAAAAAAAACAAACCAACAAAACAAAAAAAAGAAUAAUAAUUAAACAUUUUUCUGACAACGGACUCUUUAAGGAAUCAAAUGCGAUUCUUGAAUACUCUUGAAGUGAGAAAAUAUUUUUAAGAAUUCAACCAGAUUGAUGGAAAGUUUUAAGAAUUAUUUCCAAUAUUUAAUAUAAAAAUUUGAAACCAUUAGGCUCAAAAUCUUAGGAUAAAUUUAAAAUAAUAUGGUACCAUCCUUUGGAUGUGCAUGUGGAGGUGCUAUAACCUUCCCCACAUACUGAUUCUCAAACCCUGUUCUGAUUAGUAGACCCGAACCUAUUUUUUUAGAGACUCUUAGUCAAACUUAGGAGUUCCUUAAAAUGAUAGAUUCCUUAGGUGAUCAAUAACACUUAGAUAAAAAAAUUGGUGGCUACUCUAUUUAUUUUGUUAAAUCUAACUAUAGAUUUUCAGAUCUAUAUGUUAUGACAGUUUGACGACUCUAUUGGGGAUGGCCAUAAAGAGUCAAGCCAUAAACUUUUGAAUUUAUCCUCUCAUUUGGUCUAAUGGUUUUAAUGAUUUUUGUUAUCUGUUUAUUAACAUUUUUUUGUCUUGUCUUUUAUUUUUGGGGCAUGAAACCCAUAUGUUCCUUCACACACACUAUCACAUGCAUUUGCAUUAUAUGAGCUCUAUACCCGAGCUCCGUCCCUCUUAUGAGGGAGUAAAGUAUCUACGCUCUCGUGAGAUGAUAAUCUUCGUAAUGGCUAGCAAAAUACUCUUACUUAAAUUGAAUCAUUUUCAUUGGUAGCCUGUGAUGGGUGAGGAAUGGACUGCCUUACUAGUCUAUGAAGGAUGAUGAUGUAAGGAAUAAUUUAGGAACCUUUUAGUGGUCAAAAUUUCCUAACCCUACAUAUAGUUCACCCCUAAGAGACGAACUUAAGAUAGAGCCCUUCCUGCCCAUCAAUAGAUAUAACCCAAAAUUAGGAUACAAUAAGGAAUAGUUUGUUAUCUAACCAUUUUGUUUGCUUGAUUUUAUGCAUCUGCACCAUUUUCAUAUCAUUUCAUUCUAUGCAUCAUUUUCAUCCUCAUGUUUUAGCAUUAUCAUAUCAUUUCAUUAUAUGUAUCAUUUUCAUGAUCAUAUUUAACACUAUCAUUUGCAUCAUUCUCAUAUAGAAAAUAUUUACUACAUAUCAGUUAUUGAUAAAUCAUAUCUCACACUUACAUCUAUAGAAAGCCAAAUGUAACCAAAGUCUAGAUCAGUCCAUUAUGAGUCUGCUCAUCAAUUGAAAAUCAAGUCAGAGAAAGGUAAAAAAAAACACGGAGAUUACUUGCCUAAGAAUUUUAUCUCAUCAUUGCCCGAGAAAGUUCAUCUUGAGCUACAGCAAAAUGAUCUAGCCGACUUAAGCAGUGUCUGGGGAUGCAUUAAUAGAAUAAGCAGGAGGCGUUUGAGAAUAGAUAUGGAGACAUAGCUUUACUGCUUCAGGUGGAAGUGGAUAAUAAUUUAAUUAGAGCCAUCAUUCAGUUUUAGGAUCCUUAUUAUAGAUGUUUCAUUUUCAAUGAAAUAGACAUGGUGCCCAUAAUUGAAGAGUAUAUAAUCCUACUUCGCUUCGAUUUGCCAAAUCCAGACAAGAUUUACUGGUCCAACAAGGUGGGCUAUCGUAAAAAGCUAGUGCAAAUGCUUGGACUUAGAUUGCCUUAAGUUGAUGCAUGUGUCAAGAUAAAAGGUGAAAAUAAGGCUAUUCCAUGAAGUUUUCUAUGAGAUUUCAUCCAUGGACAUAUAGAUGAUGAUCAGGGGUUAGUGGCUAUAGCUAUAGCUUUAUAUGGACUGGUGAUCUUCCUAAAAGUCAUCGGGUAUGUUGAUGUCGCAGUGAUAGAUUUUAUGGAUCAGUUAGCAUACAAAGUCAAUGCAGCACUAACUAUUUUGGUAGAAACCAUUCUUUCUCUAAACUUUUACCAUAAAAAUGGCAAAGGUCGAUUCAAUGGAUGCCUACAGCUACUUUAUGUAUGGAUGAAGAGUUACAUUGAAUGCAAAGAAAGUCAGUUCUGUAAACUAUACCUUCAUUCUAGCAUCCCUAUCAAGGAAUUUUGUUACAGCACAUGGCCUCAAGCAAAGUCAAAAGAAAAAUGUGUUUCCUAUUUUCGAGCCCUUGAUAAUUAAGGGAUAGUUUGGAGAGUACCUUGGAUGCGUCAUGAUACAGUGUUAUACAAUUAUGGGGAUCAGCCAUGGCUGUUCUUAUUAGGCCUAUGGGAUAUUGUUACUUAUGCCUUAACUUUUGUGAGAAGACAAUCUGGAUGUGAGCAAUUCAUUUUAGAAACCUAUGGACUUAACUAGUGAGAGUUCUCAUUCACUGAUAAAGGGGCAUAUAGAGUGGUUGAAAAGAUAAAAAAAGCAUGAAAGUAAACCACCAUGGUUAACUAAGAGAAGUUUACCUACAACGUCACCUUAGAAUAUAGUUUGUGGCAUGUGAGGAGGGGAAAGGACAUUGUGCUUCCUAGUGAACAAUUAGGGCAUUCUUAAAAACCUAUUCUUUAAGAUCCUUUACUUAAAAUGGAAACAGCUAAGAGAAAACUUCAAUUCGAGAAAGACGAGUUGAAACAAGAAAAUAAGUGAUUGAAGUCAGAAAUGAAAAAAAGUUUGAAGCUUCAAGAAUUGAAAAUCUAGAGCCUGACAGAGUAAAAAGAUCAGUAGAGAGCCUUAUUUAAUGAUCUAAACAUGACACAUUAAGCAGUCACACCCGACCUUGCUCGACUUCUAAAAAAAAAUGAAUUACUAAAAGCAAGGGUGGAGGAAAAACAAAAGGCCACUGCUAGGGCACACAAACAUAGGCAAAUGCUACAAGAAAUAGUGGAUUGAUGCACAGCACAAGUGGAAGCUUUGUUUGAUGAAUGCAUGAUACAAGCUCAACAGAGUGAGCUAUAAAAAGAUAUGUGCAUAGAAAAACAAAGGCAUCUAAAGUAUUUGUUCGACCAAUUAUGCAUCACUGCAAAUAAAGCUUCGAAAAUGGAAGAAAAAGUGGAAGAUUUGAAGGCUAUGGUGCAACCAGUGGGAGUUCAUAGGCGACAAGUGCUUGACUUCCUAUACGAAGCAUAAAAUCAUUACCAGCAAGCUAGGAAAUUUAUAGGGAGACAUUAAAAAUAAAGGAUGAUGUUUAGGACUUUAGAAUAUUGCUUUGACUUUAUUAGGAUGUAAUUUUGAAAUUCUAAAUAAAGUUUCAGAUGGAGAUUUCUUUUAUCAAUAAUGAUAAUGUGGCAAACAUUAGUACACUUCAUGCAUGCAUUAGCACAUCUAAACAUAAAGCACAUAGUUUCUAAUAAAUAAUAUGAUUGUGCUACUCAAGGUUCAAGGAUAGCUUCGUCUAGUAAAAACCCCACUCAUCGAUACAACACAAGGGCCAGAGCUAGACAAAUGGAAUAAGAAAACUCUUAUCGCCUUGAGAAAAUAAAAAAAGCUCAGGAAAAGCUUGAAAAUGAGUUAAGUAAGAUUUUGGAUGCUCGCAACAAGCUAAACAAGGGAAAAAAGAUAGAAGAGAACACGAGCCAAUAGGGCCCUUCAUCAUAAAAAGUGACUGACCCCCUAUAUCCACUUGGUUUUGGUCCACCUCAAGCUCAGUCUACACAAGAAGUUCCAUCACAACAAUUCACAUAUCCUACAUAUCUUGGAAUGCCAUCAGCCUCUAAUCCAGGGCAUUACCACUGCUAUGUGAAUUCUAUCUUUACUAAAAAAAUAGUAUAACUAAUUCAAGUUCCUAAUCUGGAUGAACUAAAAGAAAAAGAGAAAGAAAAGGCAAAAGUGGAAUCUCAGGAAGACUAAAAGAUUAGUAUGCUAGAAUAAAGGUUACGAGCUUUGGAAAGAAUUGGUUUCUAUGGUUCUAUCAAUGAUACUGGACUUUGCUUAGUCCCAGAUGUGGUUAUUCCUCCAAAGUUUAAAGUACCAAAAUUUGAAAAAUAUGAUGGUACAAAGUACCCAAAAACUCAUAUUACCAUGUAUUAUCGGAAGAUGGCAAUCCAUGCUCACAAUGAAAAGCUACUAAUGCAUGUUUUUCAAGAUAACCUUACGGGCUCUACCGCUAGGUGGUAUGUCCAGCUGGAUAGAACCCGCAUCUAUUCUUAGAGUGAUAUGGCUCAUGACUUUAUUAGUCAAUACUGACAUAUCAUGGAUUUAGCCCCUAAUCAUUUCUCUUUGCAAAAUAUAGAGAAAAAAGCAAAUGAGUCUUUUAAAGAAUACACCUAAAGAUUGAGGGAUAUAGCCUUUCAAGUGUAACCUCCACUAAUUGAAAAGGAAACUACAGUGUUGUUUGUCAGCACUCUGAAAUCUUUCUAUUAUGAAAAGAUGAUAGGGAAUGCAAUAAAGAAUUUCAUCGAUAUGGUGAUCUCUGGCGAAAUUAUUGAAAGUGCCAUCAAGAAUGGUAAGUUAGAGGGAGGGGAAACAUAUACUAAAAGAGCCUCAAAGAAGAAAGAGACUGAAGCUCAAGCUGUGAGCUUUGAUAGAUAAUAGUUCAUGGGUUAUCAACCUUACACACUACAGAGCCUCUCAAAAUUAUUCCACUAUGAAUAAUGCUUACCAGUACCAGCCAAAUUCAUAGCCACUCUACUCCCUAACCUAUCAAUCCCCUUUUAGACCACAGACUGUCACAUAUGGCUCUAAUGCUUAACUUUCCCCUAGACCUUAAAUUCGUUCGGCUAGUCCUACAAGUGGUUUACGAAAGCAAUGAACUACUUGUGAAAAGCCCGUAUUCGAUCCAAUUUCCAUGACAUAUACGAAAUUGUAUCGAGAACUCUACAAUAAUCAUCUAAUUACUUCUAACCGAGUAAAGCCACUUAAGCCACCAUACCCUAAAUAGUAUGAUCUUACAGCUCAUUAUGAGUAUCAUUAUGGGAUUGUUGGUCAUUCCAUCGAGAAUUGCACUAUCUUAAAACACAAAGUGCAAUGAUUGAUCAAUAAUGAAAUGGUCAAUUUUGAUACAAGAGGGGAAGCUGCACCAAAUGUUGUGGUAAUUUUUUACCUAAUCAUCAUAUGAAUGUUCGAAGAGAAGAACAAGAGCAUUAUCUAAAGAAGAAUGUGGCAGAGAUCAAGACCCCUCUCAGUCAGCUAUAUGAUGUUUUAUAAAAAGUUGACAUGAUACAGCUAGUCAGUCCAUAUACUUAUCAUGAAGCAUAUAUAGUAGAUGAAAGCUGUAAAUACCAUAAUGGGGCAUCUGGUCAUUCUAUUAAAACCUAUAAGCAAUUUUUUUAGAGGUACAAAAGCUCAUAGAUUCAUACCAGAUUGAAUUCUAUGAUGAAAGAUACGAUUCAAAGAAUGUUGAAGUGUCAAUGAUCGACCAAUCAUCAAAACUAUUUUCAAGGCCAUAUACAAUUUAUUUUGGGGAUAAGCUAAGGCCGACUGUAGAUAAGUUCACCUCUAGGUCAGUAACCUUUAAAGUCCCUAUUCCAUUCCCUUACAAAAGUAAUAGGGCUGUGCUAUAGAAAUAUGACUGUAACACAAUAGUUCAGGAGUAAGAAAAAAAUGUCUCUAAGCCUGAUACUGCCAAUAUAACUGGAGUGGGAGGUAUCACUCGAAGUGAAAGAUGCUAUACUCUAUAAAUGUUGAAAAAGGCUAGAAAAAAAAAGGCUAAGGUAGGCGAAGAAAAAAAUAACCCUAAAAUGGUACCUGAAGAGGAUUACCCAAAAUUGAUGUCAGAAAAAGAGGCUUAUGACUUCUUGAAAUUGAUAAAACAUAGUGAAUACUUAGUGGUGGAAUAGUUAAAUAAGAUGUCAUCAUGAAUCUCAUUAUUAUCACUAUUAUUGAAUCAAAACCACAUCGAAAUACCUUGUUGAAAGUGCUGAACCAGGCAUAUGUGGCACAUAAUGUGUCUGUUGAAUAUGUAAACCACUUAGCUUGAAACCUGGUCAUGUCAAAUUACAUAUCAUUCAGUGAUGAUGAGAUUCUUCUAAAAAGAAGGGGAAACACCAAGGCUCUGUAUAUCACUGUCAAGUGCAAAUGUCAUAUUAUAGCCAAGAUCCUCAUCGAUAAUGGUUCUGCUAUCGAUGUCAUGUCUAUGUCAACCUUGGCAAGGUUACCUGUUGAUUAUUAGCAUAUGAAUGAUAGCCAAAUGGUUGUCCGAGUAUUCGAUAGGACCAGGUGAAAAGUUUUGAAAGAGAUAAAAAUGCCCCUACAAAUUGGGCCAUAUACUUUCAAUAUAAAAUUUUAAGUGAUGGAUAUCUCUUCAUCUUAUAGCUGCUUGCUAGGAAGGCCAUAGAUUUACAUGGCAUGUGUUAUUCCUUCUACCUUGACCAACGGAUCAAGUUCAAUGUGAAGGGGCAGUUGGUAUUAGUGUUUAGAGAAGAAGAUAUGUUAGUAACUCAGCUUUUAAAUGCUUCAUAUAUGAAAACUACUGAGGAAGCAAUGGAAUGCUCCUAUCUAUCCUUUGAGUUAGUCAACUCUGUAGGUGAGGGACUUAAAAGCCAACAAUGUUUAAAGAUAGUGAUGUGUCAGGUUAUCAAUAAAGGCCGGUAUCUUGGAGUAAGAUUAGGCAAAAAUUUAUAGGAGAUAAGAGAGCCUCAAAUAAUGAUGGAUAACAAGAAGAGGCUGGGUCUUGGUUAUAAAACAAAAAUUUGAGAAAUUAGGGGAAAACCAGCCAACAAGACAAUAAUGAUCAUCCCACACUUAUAUAAAACCUUUAAGCCUGGAAAAUUCAUGCAUUCAGAUGUGGAGAAAGAUUUAUAACAAAUUAUGGAUGAGACAUUUGCUGAGUUGUCCAUUUAUGCGAUUGAAGACGAAAGUGGGAAAAAAAAAAAACAUGGGUUCGUCUUUGUCUACCAGAUUACGAGCUGAACAAUUUGAGUAUUAUUGAGAUGCUUGCUAUCCUUGAUACCGAUUCAAUGUAAUUGAACAUCCCAAUAGUUUAUGCCCAAGGCUUUGGGAUGGUUUUUCUUGUUUGGGCCAUUUUAUCUAUUAUUAUUUUAAUAAUAAAAUUAGGAAGGAUGCAUUUUCAUUCAUUUCUUUUAGUACUUUUAUUUUUCCAUUCCUUUCAUAUAUUUCACCAACAUAUCCCAUUUCAUUCAAUUUUAGGUCCUUAAAUGAACAAAAAAUAAUCAUGAUAAUGAUCAAGGGGUUAAUUUUUAAAAAAUUAAUUAACACUGAUGCCCUUAAUAAUGAAGAUGAUUAUGAAGAAUAUGCUAUUCCUCCGGACCUAAUGACAUUGAUUGAGCAAGAAAGUAAAGCAAUUGAGCCUCAUCGAAAAACAACUGAAUUGGUAAAUUUAAGAGAUGGGGAGAAUAAAAAAGAAGUUAAAAUUGGCACAUCACUCUCGUCGACAGACAAACAACGAUUGGAAAAUCUACUUCGAGAAUUCAUAGAUGUGUUUGCUUGGUCUUAUUAGGAUAUGCUUGGGCUUAAUACAUAAAUAGUAGAGCAUAAACUGCCUUUGAAGCUAGAAUGUAAACCAUCCAAUAAAAAUUGAGGUGAAUGAAACCUGAAAUGUUAUUGAAGAUAAAAAAAGAGGUGAUGAAGCAAUUUGAUGCAUAUUUCUUACAAGUGGCCAAAUAUCUACAAUGGGUAGCCAAUAUUGUACUAGUUCUUAAAAAGGAUGAAAAAGUACAAAUGUAUGUAGAUUAUCGCGAUUUGAAUAAAGCUAGCCCAAAGGAUAGUUUUUCUUUGCCUUAUAUUGACACGUUGGUGGAUAAUAUGGCUAAACAUUCAAUGUUCUUCUUUAUGGAUGGGUUUUCAGGGUAUAACCAAAUAAAGAUGGCUACGGACGACAUGGAAAAAACUAUUUUCGUGACCAUGUAGGGGAUGUUUUGCUAUAAAGUCAUGCCCUUUGGUCUAAAGAAUGUUGGAGCAAUAUACCAAAGAGCCAUUGUUAUGCUCUUUCAUGAUAUGAUGCAUAAAAAAAUUGAGGUGUAUGUAGAUAAUAUGAUUGCAAAAUCUCGAGAAGGCGAAGAUCAUGUCACCAACCUCAUAAAGUUAUUUGAGAGGUUAAGAAAAUUCUAACUCAAGUUAAAUCCAGCCAAGUGCACCUUUAGGGCAAAGUCAGGGAAGUUGCUAAGCUUUAUGGUAAGUGAAAGAGGGAUUGAGGUCGAUCCAGACAAAAUACUAGCCAUUCAAAAUUUGUCACCUCCAAGCACUUCGAAAGAAGUUCAAGGUUUUUUGGGUAGAUUAAACUACAUUUCUCAAUUCAUAUCCCAGCUGACCUACAAAUGUGAUCCAUAUUUAAGCUUUUUCGCAAGAACAACCCUAGAGAAUGGAAUGAAGAAUGCCAAGUGGCUUUUGAUAAAAUUAAGCAAUACUUGUCUAAUCCACCAGUAUUAGUGCCACUUAUUCCAAUAAAACCUUUAAUCUUAUACCUCACGAUGUACAAGAAUUCAAUGGGAUGUGUGCUAAGGUACAAGAAGAAUCUAGUCAAAAGAAAAUAGCUAUUUACUAUCUGGUAAGAAAUUUAUAGAAUACGAGUCAAAGUACUCUUUUUUGGAGAAAAUAUGUUGUGCAUUAGCUUGGACUGUUAAAAGACUUAGUCAGUAUAUGCUCUAUCAUACCACAUGGCUCAUAGUAAAAUUGGAUCCAAUUAAAUACAUCUUCGAGAAGUCUUCUUUAUCUAGAAGAAUUGCUAGAUGACAAGUAAUGCUCUCAGAGUAUGAUAUCAUAUAUGUGAACCAGAAGGCAAUUAAAAGAAAUAUCGUAGUCAAGUUUUUGACAGAUCGUGUUACUGAAGAUUAUGAGUCGAUGAGAUUGGAAUUCUCUGAUGAAGAUUUGAUGACCGUUUCUCAGCUAGAAAGGGAAGAACACAAAAAGAACCAUUAGAAAAUGUAUUUUGAUGGAGCUACCAAUGCCUUGGGACAUGAAAUUAGGCAAUCUUGAUUUCUUUAGAAGAAUAAUACUAUCUUAUAACAGCGAGGUUGAAUUUUAAUUGCAUAAAUAACAUCGUUAAAUAUGAGGCAUGGGUCAUGGGUUUACAAAUUACUAUAGACAGAAAUGUUAAAAUAUUAAAAGUGUUUGAGAUUCAGCUCUAGUUAUAUAUCAACUGAAAAAAGAUUGAGAGAUGAGAGAUUCGAAACUCAUUUUAUAUCAUAAGUAUAUCCUAUAGCUGAUCAAGUAGUUUGAAGAUAUUCAAUUUGAUCAUCUACCUUGGGAGGAGAAUUUCGUUACUGAUGCCUUGACUAUUUUAGCAACAAUGGUUCAAAUUAAUAAUAGCGCUAACAUUCAGCCCUUCAAGCUAGAUGUUAAGGACAUGCUAACUCACUACUCUAAUAUAGAAAAAGAAAAAGAGGAUGAGAAGCCUUGGUAUUAUGAUAUUUUAUAGUACAUUAAAAAUUGAUAAUACCCAGUUCAGGUAACUGAGAAUGAUAAAAGGGUCAUUCAAAGACUAGCUAUGAGUUUCUUCUUGGAUGAAGAUGUUCUUUAUAAAAGAAGUCAUGACUAAGUAUUGUUGAGAUGUGUAAAUAAGGUCAAGGCUAAGAAAAUUAUUCAAAAGGCAUAUGAUGGAAUAUGUGGGGCACAUGCUAAUGGACAUAUGAUGGUAAAAUAGAUUAUGAGAGUAGGGUACUAUUAGUCGACAAUAAAGAGUGAUUGCAUUGACUAUACUAAAAAAUGUCACAAGUGCUAGAUCUAUGCUUAUAAGAUUCAUGUUCUGCCAUCCGCUUUACAUGUUUUGACACCACCCUGGCUAUUUUUUAUGUAGGGCAUAGACGUCAUUGGUCCUAUUACCCUAAAAGCUUCUAAUGGGUAUAGGUUCAUUUUCGUAAUGAUAGAUUAUUUCAUAGAAUUGGUGAAAGCAGCAUUAUUUGGAAGUGUGACACGAUCUAUAGUCUGCAAGUUUAUAAAAAAAAAUCAUUUACAGAUACGAACUUCCAAAGAGAAUCAUUUCAGACAAUGUCAAGAAUCUGAAUAACAAGAUGAUGCAAGAAAUAUGUGCCUAAUAUAAGAUCAAGCACCAUAAUUCAGCACCAUGCCAUCCAAAAAUGAAUGGGGCAAUUGAGGCAGCUAAUAAGAAUAAAAAAAGAAAUCUUGAAAAGAUGAUUGAGACUUAUAAGGACUAACAUGAGAAGUUACCAUUUGCACUGCAUGCGUAUUGAAUGUCAGUGCGUACCUCUACUAGGGGAACCUCAUUUUCAUUAGUUUAUGAGAUGAAAGUUGUAUUACCAGUGAAAGUAGAGAUCUCAUCCUUAAGAAUUUUAAAAGAAGUUAAACUGAAAGAGGUUGAAUGGAUUCAAGAGCACUAUGAACAGUUAAAUUUCAUCGAAAAAAAUAGAUUAACAGCAUUAUGCCAUGGUCAGCUAUAUCAAAGAAAAAUGAUGAGGGCUCAUGAUAAAAAGGUUCGACCUUGUUAUUUUCGGGAAGGAGAGUUGGUCUUGAAAAGAAUUCUCCCAAGUUAGCAUGAUAAUAGAGGAAAAUGAACUCCAAAUUGGGAAUGGCCAUAUGUUGUGAAACGAGCUUUCUCUAGUGGAGUGUUGAUAUUAGCUGAGAUGGAUGGAAAUGAUCUACCUCAUCCUAUAAAUUUUGAUACUACGAAGAAAUACUAUGCUUGAAAAAAAAAGAAAAAAAAUGGAAAAAAAGAAAGAAAAAAUAAAAAAAAUAAAAAAAAAGAUUCAAAGCAAAAACCCCAAAAUGACAGUUUGAGUCAAAAGAGAGUUUAUCUAAGUUGAAAACCUAAAAAGAUAACCUAGAUAAAGAGAAUACAGCAUCAAAAUUUGGAAGUUUAUUGGCAAAGAGGUUAGCAUGUUCCUGAGAGCUCCAAGUUGUUGAGGUGCAUUGGGUGAUUAAAUUUUUUAAAAGUGACUUUAAGAUAUGUUUACCAUGAUUGUUUGUUUUUUAAUAAUUGAGCUUCCCCAUACCCAUUUUUUGAUUACUUUACAAUUGGCCAAGGUUAUCAUCUUGCUAAUAAAGAUAUUUUAUUUCAUUUUAGCUCUUUAUUGAUUAAUUCCUAGUCAUUCUUAUUCUUUUCUCUUCAAUAUAUGGAGAAAUGUGUGAAUGCAUUCUUUUCUUUGAGAUUGACUAAUGAUGAUAAUUGAAUAAUAGCAAAGAUUUAGCUUACAUUGAAAGGCUGAGAUGAUAAAGGCAAAUUUGAAAUGCUCAGUUCUUGAUAAGGACCUUGAAUUCAGAAAGAGAUUUCUUAAAAACGAAAAGAUGAGAAUUAAAUAAGAGAAAUGAUUUAGAGUUACAUUGAUUUAGCCAUAGUACUUGAAGAUUGAAAGAGGUUUGGGGCCCAAGAAAAAAAAGCUUGAAAAACCUGAGUAAAACAAGAUUUCAUGACAUUAUUAAUGUUUGCAUUCCAUGCAUCACGUUGGCAUUGUUGUUUGAAUAAUACUUGCAUAUAAUUUGAUGAGUUAAAACUUUGUUUGGACAUGUAUGGCACUAUGAGAAUCUAGGUUGUUGCAUUUGCAUCAUUAAGAAAGUAUUUGCAUCUUUGAUCAUGACAUUCAUUCAUGCAAAAUUUUGGGUCAUCUAAAAAGAAAUUGUGAACUUUUUGAUGAAAAUUUUUGAAUUUUGAAUAAGAGCCUUUCAAUUUCAAAGAAAAAUCUUUGAGUUUUAAGUUUCAAAUGAGAAUCUUUAAAAUAUGAAACUUUAAGAUUUAUUGAAUGAGAACCUUUGAGUUUGAAUGAGAAGCUUUAAAUUUUUUAAUUCCAAAUCUCCAAAAUUCAAAUAAAAGUUUUUAAAUGUUGAAUACGAGUCUGGCAACUCACAAAUGCAAAUUUUGAGAUCUUGCAAAUUUAAAUUUCUAUGAAACUGAAAUUUUGAGAAUUAAAUUUUAGUGAAUUCUUGCAGAGCUGAAAUGUUUUUGUGAAUUUGAGCCUUUGAAUGUCGAACUCAAAUUGUGAAUCUUUGAGUUUCCAUUACAAAUUCCAUCAGACAUGAUCUAUGACUCAUCCGAUCAUGAUUGUGAAGGAGUGAUUUAUUUUUUCAAAGUUUUAUUGCCUUUAUUCAGAGGAGCUAUUUAUUUUUCUAAAGUUCUGUUGCCUCUGUUCAGAGGAGCUAUUUAUUUUUCCAAAGUUCUGUUGUAUUUAUUCAGAGGAGCCAUUUAUUUUUCCAAAGUUAUGUUACUUCUAUUCAAAGGAGUCGUUUAUUUUUCUAAAGUUUUAUUGCCUCUAUUUAAAAGAGCCAUUUAUUUUUCUAAAGUUCUGUUGCCUCUAUUCAGAGGAGUCAUUUAUUUUUUUCAAAAUUUUGUUGCCUUUAUUCAGAGGGGCCAUUUAUUUUUUCAAAGUCGUUGAGCCUCUGUUUAGAGGAGCAUUUAUAUUUCUCAAAGUCGUUGAGCCUUUACUUAGAUGAGCUUUGAUCAAAAUUUUAACAAGAAAAAAACAAAAAAAAUAAAAAAAUAAGAAAAGUGUCGAGUUAAGUCUUGAAUGGGUGUUUACGUCUUUGCACAAUUCUUAUUUCACAAAAAAUGUGCAAAAAGGGAUAGCUGUAGACACUCAAUUUGAUACAGGCUUGGAUCAAUUGGGCCUGAUCUAAAUGGGGCAAGAUGGACCUAUUUUUUAUCUUUAUUUUUAUUUUAUUAUUAUUAUAAAUAAACGCUGGAACAUAGAUCAAAAUACACAAAACAGAAAAAAAUAGAAGCAAAAAAAAAGGGUCAUAGAAGUAGAAAUAGUUUAAAUUAUAAUUUCUUGAAUUUAUUUUUUUUUAUUGAAAAUUCAUUCUAUCAAUUUUAGUAAAUUUUCUUAUCAACUUUGAAUUUUUUAGAAAUUUUCUAGAUUUUCGCUGUGUUUUUUUAGAUUCGAUUAAAAAUUCAACAGAAUCUCAUCUUUUAAAGAAAAAGAGGAGAAAAAAAUGGAGAGAGGAGAAUUAAAAGGUUCUAAAGGAUAUUAAAUUUGGCUAUAUACUUUGAAAAUGACCAUUGACCUUACUAAUCCGAGAUCCUAUAUUUUGGAUCGGGCUACCCAAUCGAGGGCAACACGCAUCUGAUGCGGCGUCGUUUGACUACCAUAAGUCAUUUUAUUUCUACAGUCGAGCCAUUUUCAGAUUUUUUUGUAUUUUCUUAUUUAUUUUAUCUAAGUAUUUUUUUCCCUUAGUUUUUUUUAUUAAAUUAAAUAAAAAAUAAUAAAAAAUAAAUUUUGAGAAUAAAUAUUAAUUAUCCAAUGAUGGAAUUUAUAAAAAUUUCAAAUGGUAAAUUUUUAUAAAAUUCCUAAGUGAGAAAUUUUGUCUAAAUUUGGCCCAAAUGGUGGAAUUUAGAUAAAGUUUUAAUAACAAUAAUUAAUAGUUAUUUUCAAACAAAAAAUAAUAAUAAUAAAUAAAAAACAUAAAAAUAUAAAAAAAUUUUGGAAUUAAAUACAAAUUAUCCAAUAAUGAGAUUCUUAGAAAUUUCAAAUGGUAAGUUUCUAAGAAAUCUCUAGGUGAGAAAUUUUCUCUAAAUUUGACCCAAAUUGUGGAAUAAUUUAGAUGAAAUUUCAAUAUAAAUAAUUGUAUUAUUUUCCAAAUAAAAUUUUGAUUGAAAAUAUGUGAUAAUUAUCCAAUGAUGAGAUUCUUAGAAAUUUCAAAUGGUGAAUUCCUAAGAAAUCUUUAGGCGAGAAAUAUCAGUUGGAUGUUAUGGAGUUACCUAGAGGAAAAUUAUCAGUUGGAUGUAAGUGGAUGUUUACUAUUAAGUAUAGUUUAGAUGGUGGAAUAGAGAGACACAAGGCCUACUUAGUUGUGAAGGGAUUUACUCAAACUUUUAAAGUAGACUAUACUGAAACCUUUGCUCCAGUUGCUAAAUUGAAUACUAUAAGGGUACUACUUUUACUAGCCACUAAUCUUGACACGUAUUACACCAAAUGGAUGUCAAUAAUGCCUUUUUUAAUAGGGAGCUAGAUGAAAAAGAUUAUAUGGAUUUGCCUCCUAACUUUGAAGGGAAAACAAUGAUAGGAAGGUAUGCAAACUGAAGAAGUCUUUCCAUGGCUUAAAACAAUCACCAAAGGCUUAGUUUGAUGGCUUUGGAAAGUCAGUAAGUAGACAUGGAUUUAGCUAAGGACAAAUUAAUCAUUAUGGAAUGAUUAUGAAAUUUACUUUGUAUGGUUUAUGUUUUGAGAAAAUUUAUAAAUAUUCAAUUUUUAUAUGUUAGGUAAUCUGAAUAUAUAUUUUAGUUUUUUGUCUCCUAAUAUGACUAUGUUUUGAGCUUGCCAAUGAGGGUUAAUUGUUGGCUAUGUCAACAUAUACUUUGUGAUAUCAAUACCAAAUUUCGAGCCAUGCACGAUGAGAAUAGUGAUCUUUGUUCAAGGGGUUAAGGUGGUUAAUUUUGUUAUGGAGACUAACACACUUUAUAAUUUUCGGUGAUAUUUGAUUUUGUUUUUAUGAUUUGAAAAUCUAGUUUUCCAGAAUCGUUUUGUAAAAAUGAUGGUUUGCAAAGUCAAUUACCCAAAAUAUUUUGAAUCUUUAGUUAUAUUUUGGGCCUAAAUGUUUUGUGACAUUCUUAAUUCAAUCUGGAGGGAUGUUGGUUACUUAACUAAUCAUCAUACUCAUUUUUUAUUUUUUCUUACUUUUUCAGCUUUUGAUAUUGCAGUCUCAAGGCUUAGUUUUAACAAAAUUUAAUGUUGCAAAACUUCAUCUAUCUUUAUGUCCAUCAUAUAGCUUGUAAUAUGAGUACAUGAUAUAAUAUAAUUAAAAUAUUAUUGUAUUUUUCAAUCAAAUGUAACACAUGAAUUUCAGAUACUUGGUUUUGUAAACUAUAAAUUUCGAAUACCCUUUGGAGUUUGAUUUUGAUUUAGUAUGGUAUUUUGGAGUUUGAUUAGAAUGAUAUCUAUUGUCUUGCAUACUUGUGGGAUUUAUCUCAUGAGUAUGCGACAUUGUUACGUCCAAAAUCUUAGGAUUUGGGGCGUGACAGUUGUUCCUCCCACAUCCCCACUUUCAUGUUGUUCGUGUGCAUGCUAGGCCUUUCUUUCUCUUCAUUGUACUAUUUAUGUGUUGGGUAUUGGUUUCUGGUCAUACAAGCCUAGCAACCUCUUUUUAUUGAUGAAGCUCGCAUCCAUUCCCCAUGCUGCUUGUCCUCUCCUUCUCUUCUUAACUCUGCUUCCAUUCCAUAAUCCAUUUCAAUAUAGCCCAGUUUCCCACAUACAUGGUAGAAAUUUGGGAGACGCUCAUACCUUAAACCAUUUUCUUUGUUCUUCCUACAAUAAAAACACACAUUCUCAAAAGCUUUGUGAUAUCUAUUUCCAAUCGUAUUCUUAGGAAGAUUCCACCCAUAGAAAACAAACGUUUAUGGUCCACACUUUUCAAUACUCCCAAUUUCAUUCCUAUCCUUUUUGCCAUAACUUUGGUCAGCAUUUCCAGUGCCAACCCAUACACUAUAAUCCAGAACUCUGCUCUGUCAAAAGAGUAAUCUGUUGGCUUUAGAUCACCAUUAGACUUUCUAAAAACUAAAAGGUUCUUUUCAAAUGACCAUGACAACUCUUUGAGGACUCUCUUCUUAUCACUCUUUGACCCAAACUUAAAGAUGAAUAAGUUUGGUUCCAAGACCAUUAUUGUCAUCUCUCUGGCCAACUUCCAUGUCAUCUGGAACUUAUGGAUCAUUGUUUCCCUAUUGAACAUCUUUUAGUAGCUUCCCCACUAACUAAAAGACCUCCGAAGGAUUCGAUUCCUCUUCCAGCCCCUCAAUUUCAAAGCCUUCUUUCUCUUCUUAAAUUAGCUUUAGCUUUGACCAUUUGCUUUCUAACUCGUCCGCAAUUAUCAGAACUUCAUGAGAUCUUAACCACGGAGUUCUUAAAAUAGCCCGUUAUUACUCUAAUAUACUGGAACUAAGAACGCCUACAUACUGACAAGACCAUGAAAACUCCUCAUACAAAACACAAAAUUCCAAAGAGACUCCAUGAUUAAACAAUAGAAGUGCAUUUUAUUUUCUCUUGACAUUUGUAACAUCUUUUGUUCUUCUUUUUAAAUUAUAACUUAGGUGUAAAAUAUCACCAUACUGUUAAAGACAAAUAAUAAAAUAUGCUCCGCGGCUUAGAAAAUAAAAAGUUACACUAACCCUUUUUGAGGAUUUUUUUUUUGGUUAAUUUUUAAAGUCAAAAUCAUUUAUCAAUUUUCCUUUCUUUUAUUUUUUUUAAAUACAUUGUUGUAAAUUUCAUUUUAAUAUUGGUCACAUCGGUCAAUAUGCUUCAGUAUAUUAAAAUAUGAUAUAAUUAAAAGUAGUUUUUUUUAUCAAAUUUGCAUAAGAUAAACCGGUUAUUUUUGUUUGUUUCGGUUGAUUAAGGUGAACUUUGAUAGAAUGUUUCGGUUAGUAUUUGAAUGUAAAAUAUGUUUUGUAAUUUUUAACUUAUUUUUUGUUGUUCGAUUAUUUUUUAAUGCAAUAAAAAAAAACUAAUGAGUAAAAGAACCCCUAAAAAUUGGAUAUCUUUUUUUUUUUUUACCGUAAUUUGUUUUUUUAUUACACUUUAUUUUUUCAAACAAAUAAUUAUAAGUAAAUCAAUUUUUUUCAAGAAAGUAAUUGUGUUCUCUUCCUAAAGUUUAAGAAUCCUAAAGUUAAAAUUAAUUUCUUUUUCAGCUCUUUAUUUUUAUUUUAAUUUUACAUGAAAAAUUAUUUAAAUAAAUAUCAUAUGAGCAAGUUAAAUGCUUAAAAAUAUCAUGAUAAAUUAAUGAUAUUAUUUGUUAUACUUUUAAACUUAUUUAUUUAGUUUUUUAAAGUAUUGUAUAUUUAUUUUGCCUAUUAUUAAUAGUAUUAUUAUGUACCAAUUAAUGUUUAUUUAUAAAUAUAUUUGCAUUAAAUGAAAAAAUCUAAAAUAAUAUAUCGAAACAAUUGAUAUUAACAUUUAUAAAUAUAUUUGUAUUAAAUGAAAAAAUCUAAAAUAAUAUAUUGAAACAAUUGAUAUUAACAUAAACUUUUUUAAAAAAAAAUUAAUAAAUUAUACGAUAAAAUAUUAAUAAACUUGCUUUAUUAUCCUUUAUUAUUUGAAUUUCUAGUUACUCUUAUCUCCAUCAAUGUCAUACAUAUCAAUAAUAAUGUCAUAUAAGUUUUUUAAAUAGUGUUGGUUUGGAAAUUAAUGAAAGAAAUCACUGGUUAUAAUAACGUGGCACUUUUUAUAUUUUCAAGGAUUAAAUUUAUUCGGCCUCUGAGGACAGGGUUUCUUUUUUUUUUUUUUUUUUUUGAAUAAUUUACCUUAAAUCAAAUUAUCAUGAGUUGCUUAUUAGAGUUGCUCUAUGAAUAUAAAAUCUCGACUUUACGAAUACUUAAGUUUAAAUUUUUUUUUAAUAAGAUAACGUCGUAGGGAAAGGGAGAAAUGAAACAAGAUUCUUGAAGAGUUGCUAUGUACGUAUUAAAACGCAUUUUCAGAGCCACCUUGUUAAUUGUAAUAAACGAAAACCCUUUGAAUAGUUGCAAUGGAAAAAUCUUUGCAGAAACUUCGCUAAAUAUCCCCAGACUUUGAAAUGGUGCUCGGGUGGACGAGAAAUCGUGCAUGCAUAAGUCUCUUGACGAAGACAAUAAUAUUAAGGCCUUACCAUUUUGAAUGGGAAAAUAAUGGGAAGACAUUUCAGACCCAUCUCUUGACCAUCGGAAACUUUUCAAGUAUAAAUCUAACAAUUUUAUAACUCUUAAGUUCAUAAAACCAGAGAAAGGAAUUGAAUCUGUACUCUUUGGCCAUGGCUGCCAUUUUAUCACUUUUUCUUCUGUCUACGUCCUUCAUUUCAACUGCAGUAGCUCAACCAAAGCAUUCCAAUAUAAGUCUAGGCUCGUCUCUGACACCCACAGGCCAAUCCGUAUGGCUUUCCCCUUCUGGCCUUUAUGCCUUUGGAUUUUAUCAGCAAGGUAAGGGGUAUGCUGUUGGAAUUUUUCUUGCUGGAGUUCGCCAGAAGACUGUGGUUUGAAUGGCCAACCGAGAUGAUCCUCCUGUUCCAAGCAGCGCUAAUUUGAUUCUUACAACUGAUGGAAGGCUCAUUCUGCGAUCAACACGAGAUACAUCCAUUACUGAUUCUAGUGAAAAGUUGCCACAGCUUCGAUGCUUGAUUCCGGCAAUUUUGUUCUAUACAAUUCAGACCAAGAAAAAAUAUGGGAGAGCUUUAAACAUCCUACCAGGGAUUCAAAUAGCGGUGCUAUAGUGGAAUAACAGCCGCGAAAUCGCCCGUCAGUGCUAUCAAGGAAAAAACUAUUGAAAAAUUUAAUCACGAUCAAAAGGUGUGUAAUGGUCGCUAAAAACCGACGUUUCCAUUAUUAUCGUUAUCGCAUUUUUUCUGUUCACACUCAGUUGUUCAGUACAAAUUAUAAUAAUAAUAAAAAAAAACUUUCAGAUUUCAACAGUAAACAGUUAAAAUUCUCCACAAUUAGAAAAAAAUAAGAAAACUGCAAAACAAAAUAAAGACAGAAGUCAAAAGAAAAAAAUUCAUGCCCAGUGCUCAUAACUCAGUCUCGUUUUCUCCUUUUUCAAAUUCAAAAUUCAUCUAAAAAAUUUUAGAUACUAUUAACCAUUCAAUCGGUAGUUACCCAAAUUUAAAUCAAAUUCAAAUCUUUCAUCAGUAAUCAAAAUCAAAAAAGGUAAGAAAAAAAUUAAAUUACAUGUUUUUUUGUAAAAUUUUUAUAGAAUAAUGUUAAUAUUUAUAUUUGUGAUAAUCUAAUAUGUUAUAUGUUGAGAGAGAUGAAGGUAUGUGAGAAAAAGAAAUAAAAAAAAAAUUAAGAAGUUUGGUUGAGUUUAUUUGAGAGAUGAUGCCAUAAAAAAAGGAAGAGUAGAUUUGGGGCUGAAAGAGAAUCGGGGGGGGGGGGGGGGGUGCGGUUUCUGAGAUGGGGUAAAGGGUGAGGGGGGGGGGAUUCGGUGGGGUGGGGUGUUGGGGGUGGAGGGUGAGGGGGUGGUGUGGGAUUCGGUGCGGUGGGUGCAUUGGAGGGUAAGGUGGAGGGGUGGGGUGAGAUUGGGUGAGGUAGGAUGCAUUGGAGGGGGGUGAGAUUGGGUGAAGUUGAGUGCAUUGGAAGGUAGGAUGGGGUGUGUGUUUUUUAUUUAAUUUUAUAAUUAAUUUUAUUAAAAUCUAAAUUUAAAAUUUUGUAAUUUAAAAAAUUUUUUUUGAUAAAAUUUAGUUAGAGGAUUGAGAUUUUAUAAUUGAAAUAAUUAAGAAAUUAAUAAUUUAAUAUGAAAUACAUAAGGAUUUGAGAUGAAAACUUUUAAUAAAUUUUUUUAUAUAAGUUAGAUGAAAAAUAAUUAAAAUUAAAUAUUAUAUUUUGAUUUUGUUAUUUAUUAAUUUAUAAUUUUAUAUUUGAAAUUUAAUAAUUUUUUUGUUGUUUUGGUAUUUAUAUUGUUGUCAAUUCUUUUGCUAUUAAAUUAAUUCUUAUUAAUUUAUUUUUAUUUUUGUGUAAUUAUUGAAUAUUCUAUUUAUUAUAUAAUAUAUUGAAAGUAAAUUGUGAUAAAAUUUUUUUUACAUCAAUUAGUAUAUCAAAAAGAUUAAAUUACUUAAUAAAUUUAACAUUUUACGAUCUAUUACUUUUAAGAUUAAAACUAAAAAUUUAAAAAUUUAAUGUAGAUUUAAUUUUUAAUGAUGAAAUAAGUAACAUUAAUAUUUCUAAAUAUAAGUUUAUUUUGUUUUUAUACAAAAUAGUAAAUAUGCCACCACGUGAAGAGUUUCCAAACAAAGGAGUAGAGGGCACACCAAGUGAUGAUAUAGGUUGACAUUUUGGAACACCCGUGCCAAAUAUCAAAGGAAAUAUUUUAUGCAAACUUUGUGUAAAGUUAUAAAAAGAGGAAUAACACGUUUCAAGAAACACAUUGCUCAUAAAAUUGACAAUGUUGCUCCAUGCCCUAACGUUACUAGUAUGUUAUGUUUUUAUAAUUCCUUUGAAAAUAUUAUCGUUAAUUUCUCAACAAAAAUUACAAAAUUACAUAAACAUAUACAACUAAUUUUUUUUCUUAACUAUAUUAUUAAUAGGUUUAGUAAGAGAAAGUAUGAUAAAACUUUUUCAAGAAAGCAAAUCAAAGAAAGAUGAGAACAAAAGGAGAAGUGAUGAAUUCUUAUCACAAUUAAGAGGGGAAGACUAUGACUAUGAAGGUUUUAUUGAUGAAGACAUCGCUACUAGACAAGCCAUGUGAGAUAGUAUCCAAUUACAAUAUGAGUGGCACCAAAGACAAGAAUUCAGACAAAGAAUUGGUGGUUGGAGUAAUAUACAUGAAGAGGGACGAAGCUCUCAUGGCUCAGUUGCUGAAUAUUUUGAGGAAAAAAUAAGGAAAUCAACUCCAAGUAAGUCUGAAUUUUCAUUAAGAAGGGCUAUACCUAAAUUAGUUAGAAGUAAGAGUUCAAAGCAACCAAAAAUAAACGAUUCAUUUUUAAAGACAUUAAGAAGGAAGAUGGGUGAAUCGGUAUCAAAAUUUUUUAUAUAUGUUCGACUUUCUUUUCAUUUAGCAAACUCUCCAUGGUUGCAUAAUUUGAUUUUUGUGACAGCAGAAAUUGGCCAACAUGUGAAACUUUCAACACCUUAUGAGGUCUCAGAUAUGUAUUUAGAGUCUGAGUAUCAACAAAUUCAUGAAUGAGUUAAUGGAUUAAAAGCUCAUUAGAAUGAAUUGGGUGCCACUUUGAUGUGUGAUGGUUGGACCAACAAUUUGAAUCAAAUGCAUAUCAUUAAUUUUCUUGUUUAUUGUAGUAAAGAGACCAUUUUUUGAAAAUCUAUAUAUGUCUCAAAUAUUCGUAGUAGAGAUGCAAACUUCAACUACAUAUUAUUGGAUGAAGUUGUGAAAGAAAUUGAGAAAAAAUACAUUGUUCAAAUAGUCACUGAUAAUGAGGUAGCACUUAAGGCUGCAGGAAAAAGACUAAUGAAGAAGAGACAUCAUUUGUAUUGGACAACAUGUUUAGCUCAUUGUUUGGACUUCUGCCUUGAGGAUAUUGGCAAGAAAAAAUAUGUAGUAAAAGUUUUGAAGGAUACAAAAAAAAUGACUUGUUUUAUAUACAAUCACAUUUUGAUUGUUAAUUUGAUGAAGAAAUAUACACAAGGGAAGUAAAUACUUCGUCCUGCUCUUACCCGAUUUGCCAUUUAUUUCAUACAGUUAGAAAAAAUAACAAGGCAAAAACAAGGUUUGAGAGAGAUGUUCAAUUCAAAGGUUAGUACUUAGUAAUUAGUAUAACUAUUUAAAUCUAGCAUCUUUUUUAUGAUAUCAUUGUUUAAAACAUUAAUUUAAAAUAUAUUGCUCUAAAAAUUUAUUAUUGAAUAUAUAGGAAUUUAAAGAAUCAAAGUGGGGACAACAAAAAUCAGAGUCUGCUUAUGAAGCUAGAAAAAUCAUUUUGGGAAAAGAUUUUUGGAAAAAAGCAAGUAAUAUAUUAAAAGUUUAUGAGCCUUUGGUAAAAGUAUUACGCCUUGUUGAUGGUGAUGAAAAACCAACAAUGGGAUUUAUUUACGAGGUAAUGGAUAGAGCUAAAUAAGUAAUUUAGCAAAAUUAUCAUUAUUCUGCUGAAUAUAAAAAAAUUAUUGAUAAUAGAUGGAGUUUUAUGCAUUCUGACUUAUAUUCAGCUGGUAAGUAAACAAAGAAUAUAGAUUGUAUUUUAAAAAAUAUGUUUAUUUUUUAUGCUUAAAUUGCUCAUAUAUUUAUUUUUUAUUACUUUAAUAUAAUAUUGUUAUGAAUUAUUGGCAGAUUACUAUCUAAAUCCAUAAUUUCAAUUUGGAGUGGAGCAUUCUGAAAAUGUACUUAAAGAAACAUUAGAUGGUACAAGAGCAGUUAUUGAAAGAUUAGAACCUUAUAUAGAUACUCAAAUCAGAAUGAUUAAUCAGGUUAGUAUUUAAUACUAUUUUAUAAAUUUGACAUUUAUUUUAUGUAUUAAAAAUAAUUUUUUUUUAUUUAUUCAUUUAUUAUUGUAUUUUCAAUUGAUGUAGCUGUUAUUAUUCGAGACAAGCAUGAAAUAUUUGGUACUCCACAAGCAUAAAGAGCUUGGAAGCAAAUGAAUCCAGGUAAUUAGUAAAUUAAAUAAUUAUAAUUUAUUUAUAUUAUUUAAUUGAAGAGUAUAUUCAAAUUUAAUUUAAAUAAUUUUAUACAGCUGAGUGGUGGAUGAUAUAUAACACUUGUGUUCCUGAAUUACAAAAAUUAGCAAUCAAAGUGCUUAGUUAGAUAACAUCUGCAACAAAUUGUGAACGUAACUGGAGCACAUUUAGCUAUAUUCACACCAAAGUAAGAAACAUAUUGAAGUUUGAAAAACUUCAUAAACUUGUAUAUACCCAUUACAACAUGAGGCUGAGGAUGAGACAUCAAAAAAGAAUGAGCAUUGACUAGAUAAAUAAUAGUUUUAAUCCUAUUAGCCUUGACCAUAUUUUUGAAGAGAAUGGCUGCAAGAGAAAGAAAAUCCUCUGUUAGAUGGUCAAAAUUCUAAUUGGUUGCCUACAGAUAAUUCUGAUAAUGAAAUGAAUAUUGAACAGUCACACCAAUCUCAAGAAAGGAAUGUGUCUCAUUCAAGUUCAAGUCCAACACCAAGUCAGAGUGAUGAUGGUGGGAGUUUAAGUCCAGAUGAUGCUGAUGGUGAUGGUGACGGUGCAAAUUUUAAUGGUAAUAUUGAUGCAAAUUGACCUUAUAGCCCACUUGAAAGAGAAUUUGGCCUUGUUGCUACUGGUGAAUUUUUAUUAAUAUGACAGAAUAUGGAGUAAAUCCAUCUGCUGAAUCUAAUGGGGGUCAAAGUGCACAUACAGCUCGAUCAAAAGGAAAAGCCAAGAAGCACCAUUAUGAUAUUUCUAGAGGUUCUUCAUCUUCAGGUAAGAGACCAAAUUAUGGUAACUUUGAGUAUAGUGAAUCAUCUGCUAGUACUCGAGGACAUUACUAUCUACCGAAACAACUUAAUUUUCAACCUCUUCAGGGUUAUCCACCUUUAUAUAGUUAUUAUCCACCUCAAAUGUAUCCUCUACCUCAAAUGUAUCAUCUACCUCAAAUGUAUCUCCCACCACAAAUAUAUCAUCUUUAAAUAUAUCCUCCACCUCAAAUGCAUCAAGAACAAAGGUCACAGGGAUGGGGAUGGAGUCAACUUAACUCUCAAAAUGAAAAUAGAUAAUUUGAUCAUCCUUGUAAUUCUAUCAUGCGGUAAAUUUUGAAAUAUAUAUAUCAAUAGUUAUAGUUGAUAGAAUUUGAAAUUAUUAUAUUUUUAAGUUUGUAAUUUUAUUAAAUAUAGAUGCUUGGUAUUUAAUAUAUUAUGUUUUGUUAAUAUCUUGAUUUGUCUAGAAUUAACAUUGAAUAUGAACUUGGCUCAAGCAAAAAUUUUGUUGCUUAAUCAAAUAUGAAUGUUUUAUUAUAAUCUAACUAAAAUUGAGAACAAUUUUUUUUUAGAAAAUAAAAAAUAUAGUAUGAUAUAUUUUAAAAAUCAUUAAAUAAGAGUUUUUAUGAUUAUAAUUAUAAUUAUUAUAUUUUAUAAAAAAUUAUGCAAAAUUAAAAAAAAUUCACGACCGCGAUGACUUUGAUGACCGCAUUGAUCUUCGUUAUAUCCGAAAAUACAAUAAACACGAUGCGAUCGAAAACGUGAUCGCGACCACUAUUUAAAUCCCUGCAUCCUACCACUACCAUUCUUCAAGGACAAAAACUCUUAGCUGGGACACAGCUAUUCUCUAGCGUCUCAGACACUGAUCAGUCGACAGGAUUGUUUCGUCUUAGCAUGCAGACAGAUGGGCACCUAGUGCAAUACCCGGCGGCUCCUAAUACUGACGGAGCAUGGUAUGCAUAUUGGGCAUCCGGUACAAAUGGUGCAGGAGAUAACGUGACCUUGAAUCUCGACAAUGAUGGCCGUUUGUACUUGCUCAAUUCCACAGGAUUCAACAUAAAGGAUAUAUUUAGAGGAGGAUAUGAUACCAAGGAAACAAUCUAUCUGAUGAAAAUUGAUCCGGAUGGUAUCUCCCGAAUCUAUUCUUAUAAGUUAAAUCAGGAUGGCGACCGAUCAGUUAUAUAUGAAUCUUCUCCAGACAGGUGUGACCCCAAGGGUCUAUGCGGCCUUAAUGCCUAUUGCGUUAUCACUGAUCAAGGAGCUGAUUGCAAAUGCAUACCGGGAUUCACUCCGGUAAAAGAGGGCAAUUCUAGUGCUGGCUGCAAAAGGGAUUUCUCCAUGCAAAACUGCAAUAGCGAUGAUCAGAGAAACCAAUACACCAUUCGGGCGGUUGUUAAUACGGAAUGGGAAGAUCUUGGAUAUUCUGAUUUGUCUUUAUUAACCAAAGAAGAUUGUGCAACUGCAUGUCUGGAAGAUUGUAUGUGUGAAGCUGCCAUGUUUAAAGAAAGAAAUUGCAGGAAGCAAAGGCUGCCUCUGAGAUUUGGGAGAUGGAAAGUUUCUGAUCCAAACGUUGCUUUGAUUAAGAUAGGUCUAUCUGCGCCCACUAAAUCAACAAAGCAUGAUCAAGGCAAGCGAAAACCAGAUAUGGUAAUUUUAAUUAUUGGUCUUUCAUCGAUUGGCUUAGUGGUUUUGUUGGUAUUUUUUGGGGCUUUGAUUCUUAGAAAUCAUGUCUUUACAUACAAAAUGGUUUCUACAAUUAGCAACAUAAACUUGUGUGAGAAUGUUGCCCCGGUAUCAUUUAAUUUUGCACAAAUUGAGCAGAUGACUAAAAGUUUCAAGGCUGAAAUUGGAAAAGGAGCAUUCGGGACAGUUUACAAAGGAACAAUUGCCGAUAGCCUGAUGGUCGUUGCGGUGAAGAGAUUGGAAAACGUAUCAUCUCAAGGGGAGCAAGAGUUUCAAACAGAGAUGAAAAUUAUUGGUAGAACUCAUCAUCGAAAUUUAGUUCGACUAAUCGGCUAUUGCCACGAAGGGGCUAAUAGGCUGUUGGUAUACGAGUACAUGGUCAAUGGAUCACUUGCAGAUGUACUCUUCACACCUGGAAAAAGACCUUGUUGGAAUGAAAGGGUGCAAAUUGCUCGCAACAUAGCAAGAGGUCUCCUCUAUCUUCACGAAGAGUGUGAGACUCAAAUAAUCCAUUGCGACGUCAAAUCUCAAAAUAUACUAACGGAUGAACAGGGUCAAGCAAAAAUAUGUGAUUUUGGAUUGGCCAAGCUUCUAAAGCCAGACCAAACCAAAACCUUCACUGGGAUCAGAGGAACAAGGGGGUAUGUCGCACCAGAGUGGCACAGGAACUACCGGUGACAGUCAAAGCAGAUGUUUACAGCUUUGGAAUUGUACUGUUGGAGAUCAUAUGCUGUCGACGGAGUGUAAAUUGGAGCCUUCUUGAGGAAGAAGCUGUCCUUGAAGAAUGGGUCUACCAUUGUUUCCAAGCUGGUGAACUAUGGAAACUAGUAGGGGAUGAUGAAGAGGUUGACGACAAACAAUUGGACAGGAUGGUGAGAGUGGGACUAUGGUGUAUCCUGGAUGAGCCAACACUCCGCCCUUCCAUGAAAAAGGUUCUGUUGAUGUUGGAAGGGACAGUUGAGAUCCCAGUACCUCCAAGCCCAACUUCAUUUUUCAGUGCUAUUUGAUUGGUCAAUGCUGUUCAAGAUUUGGAGAAGGGAACUCUGCAAUUACUUCCCUUCCGACCUGUAAUUCUGUUGUUGUUGUUGGUUUUUUUUUUUUUUUUUGCAAGUAAUUAUUAGGUCAAGUGAUAAAGAGUGUGUGAAUCUUUGAGAGUUUGUGAGAUGAUGAUUUUCUAUGAAUUGGCUCAAACGAUGAAAAUAAAUUUAUUUAAAUCAGUUAUAAGAAAAAAAAUAUUAGAUAAAAUUAAAAAAUUUAUUGUCGCUUAAAAACAAAAUCUGUAGCCAUUUUUCGUUUUGGUAUAUGUUUGUACGAAAUAAUAAGCGCAUAUAGAUUUUUUUUUAUCAAAAGAGUUAGUUUAAGAUUAUCGUCCAUUGAAAAAAAUUCCGUAGCUAGUGUGUAUCCUAAUUAAUUGAUUGAAGACUGAAAAAAGUGUGGAACAAAUUGAUUACAAUGUGUAUCAAGAAAUUCUUGAAGGUAGGAAGCAAUGUGCAUGGUAAUUAUUUUAUGUUUUUAUUCUUACAUUUUUUAAGUAAUUUGAUAAAUUUAAUUAUUACACUUAAUUAGGGAUAGAAUUAAAAUAAUAAUAAAGGAAUUGGCUAAGAAAUAUUUUUAUUUGCGGGAAUUUAAUAAUUGCUCUUUUGUAUAAUGUAAAAUUAUGGCUGAAAAUAUAAUUAGACUAGAACCAAAUUAACAUAAGUAAAUAAAUAAAUAAAACCUUCACAAACCUUUUUCCAUCAGUAGGACAAGAAAUUGUGCUAGAUCAAAAUUUUAAAUAAAAGAGUUUUUGUUGAAAACAAUAACAAUGUUUUUGUAGUUUUUUUUCAAGUGUUUCUCUUAAGCUUUUACUUUUAUUAUACUCAAUUAAAAUUUUAAAUUAUUAUUUUGAUUUAAUUGAACAUUUCAAUGAAAAUGGGGAAAUUUGGUAUUUUGCCACGUUCAAGCUAGGUAUCAUGCAUGUUAAGUAUAGUUCUUAUUUGAAGACACGAUAUUCUCCAUUGAUUUUAGAAAUUUGUGUGUCAAAAUCACAUAUAUAUAUAUAUUAUAUUACAAUAUACAUGAAUAUUUGAUAAGAUUUGUCACAUAUAUGUUUAUAUGGACAAUUUUUAUGAGUGACACAUAAAUAAUAUUUAUUAAAUAUUAUUUAAAAUAAUUAAGUAUCCAAAACUUUUAAAUUAAAUCAUAAUAAAUAUUCAAAAUAUUCAAAUAUCGAUUUGAAUUUAAAUACAUUUUAUUUGGAUAUAUUUAAAUUCAAUUAUAUAUUACUUAAAACAAUUAAAAAUUAAAAACCUUUUUAUAUAUGCCUCUCUUUAAAUGUAUUCUAAGACAAAUAUUGAUUUAAAUAUAAAUUUUAUUUUAAUUCAGAUGUAUCUAAAUUUAUUUUUUAAAUUUAAAAUUUUUUAUAUAUAUGCAUUUCUUACUCUUACUUAAAAUCUAUAUAUCCCUAUAUUAUAGUUAACUAUUUUCAUAGGCCCUUUUUUAAUAAAAAAAUUAGUUCCAUUUUAAUCUUCAUUUUCGAAGUGAGAAAUCAGUAAUCAGGAAUUCAGGUAAUCAAUCUAUUGAUUUUCACUUGAAUAAUAUUUUUCUUUUUAUUUUUUAUAUGUUAAUACAUCUAGGUUUUGAUCAAUCUAUUUGUCUUAAUGUUGUGAUUAAGUGUCUUUAAUUUGUAAUAGAAAAUGAUAACUUAUCAUGCUAAAGAAGAUGUUUAUUGAAGAGUUUGGAGGUUCAACAAAAUAUUUUUUAAAAGUCUAGAAAUAAAUUUAGAUGUGUUAACAUUGAAUUGUUUUAUUAGAAUUGCUUUGAAAUUUUUUUACACAUAUUUAUAUUUUUAUAAUUUGAAAAUGUUAUUGAAUAAAGAUUGGAAUGAUUAAUCAAGUCCACUAGCUAUGAAAUUUUUUUUCUCAUGUACAUAUGCUUGAUUUGUCUUUUUGUCAUUUUGCAUAAUAGUGAGGUUGGUCAUGUUUUAACAAAAAUAUUAAAGUAUAUAUAACUAAAGAAGAGUUAGUUUGCUCAUGCUUUUUUCUCUAUGAUCAAGAAUAGGCAAAAAUGAAAAUGAUUACAGAAAUAGUAGUGGCCGAGAUGGGCAUCCAAAUGGUCUGCCAAGUCAUAUGCUGCAUCGUGGGCGUAACGAGGUAGUGGCUCAUAUAAUGGCAGCAGAGGAAUCGAAACUUGCCGAGAGAAAGAAAUAAGAGAAGUUUUUAUCACUAUUUGAUCUUGAAAAUGUGGAUAGUGUUGAACUAAAUUGUGAUUACAAAAGGCAAUGAUAGUUUUUUUAAAAAAAUUAAUAAAUAACCAAAUCUUUUUAUGUCAACAGACAUUGAAUUCCAAAUUUUUUCAAUCGAAUAAUGGUUUUGUUUUUUGGGUCAUCAAUCCAAUGUUAAUUGAAGGAUAAUCUUACUAUGACUAAGAUCAUACCGCAUUUAAGGAGAUAGAUAUUUUUUGACAGAACAGGUAUUUUUAUUUUUUAUUUUUAUUGCAAAAGGGAAUCAAAAUGGUAAAUUUAACUACCAUUUCUAUUCAAAUUUGUCUUAAUUUGUACACAACUAUACAUCAUGCUUUUGUUUUCUAAGUUAGUUUCUCUUUCUUACCUAAAUAUAGGACACUGUUGUAACACAAUUCAUUACCUUAAAUAUCCACCUAGAAUGGAAACCCUAUCUAAGCUUAAUCUCCUCAAGAAACCUCCACUCUACUCGGUCGUAUGCCUUACUCAUAUCAAGCUUUUAAGGCAAAGAAUCCCUUUCUCCCUUGUUUCUUGGUUUUCAAAUGGUGCACAAGUUGGUAGGCGACUAUAAUAUUAUCUGAAAUUAACCUGCCCAAAAUGAAAGCACUUUGUGUUUCACUAAUACAAGAAGGAAGAAUUGUCUUAAGCCUAUUAACUAAAACUUUUGAUAUGAUCUUGUAAUCACAUUGCAUAAACUUAUAGGCCUAAAUUGGGUAAUAUUUUUAGGCUCUUUAAUUUUUGAGAUUAGGACAAUAUUAUUACGGUUUAUCUUGACUAAGUCCCUCUCCCCCUAAGACAUGACAAACAAAAGCUUGUAACUUUAUUACCAAUAAUAUGCCAAAAUUUCUGGAAAAAUAGAACAGGCAUACCAUUUGGGCAGGUGAUUUGUUAGCACUCUUUUGUUUGGCCACCUUGUGGACUUCCUUUUUGCUGAAUUCUGAAAGGACUUUGAUAAUCUCAUCAGUAAUACAAGGUUCAACAGUCUCCGGUACAUAUUUAUGAUUUGAUGGAUUAUCCGAAUGGAACAACCAUUCGAAAUAUCCAGUGGCUAUUUGCUCUAUUUUAUCCUCUUCUUCACACCAUACCCUAUUUUCAUCCUCCAGCCCUUUAAUAAUAUUUGUCCUCUUCUUGGUCGAAGCUUGGGCGUGGAAAAAAACUUGUAUUUCUGGCUCCUUGAAGCCAUUGAAUUCUUGAUCUCUGUUUCCAAUAAACUUCUUCCUUCUCCAAGUAAUAAUUCAGCUCCCCCCUAAUUUGGUUAACCCAAUCCAAAGUUUCUGUAGGGGGGUUUUCAUGCUCAGUUGGUUCAUUUCUUUCUUGAGCAUAGCUAUCCUCUCCCAGUAUCACCAAAAUUGGAUUCAUGCCACUUUCUCAAUCUUUCACUGACCUUAUUCAUCUGGUCAAGUAUGGAUUCUAUGCUAUUGUUACCCCAAGCUGCUUUCACUACUCCUUCACAAUUUGCCUGUUUCAGCCACAUCCUUUUAUUACCUCUGUUCCUUCCAUACCUUUUAUGCUUUUCAGAUCUCACAAUGAUAGACCAAUGAUCUGAGACAGGUGCUGCCAAGCGUUGGACUUCAAAAUCUGGAAACUGGUCACACCAUUUCUUGUUCCCCAAACCAUGGUCUAAUCUUUCUCUUAACGUUUGUAGCCUGUAAUCUCCCUCUUUCCCAUGUAUACCAUUGACCCUCAUAUCCCGAGUCAUCCAAAUUGCCUACUUGCAGUGCUUCCCUAAAAGCUGUCAUUUGGCUUUCUCUUCUCAUGUUUCCUGUCUUUUCAUGGCUUCAUAAGAAUUCGUUGAAAUCACCUAAACCAAGCCAUGGCCUAUCAUCUUGCUCUACUAAGUUCCUCAUCAGUGUUCACGACUCGUGUCUCCUUACAUCAGGUUCCUCAUAGAAGCCCGUCAACUCCAUGGACCGAUUUUUGGGCCUUUUCUCACCUCCAUGUUGAUGCGGUUUCUCGAGAAACUCAGCAAGUUUAGUUUAAUAUCAUCCCUCCAAAGCAUUGCCAAUCUCCCACUACUUCCCUCCGAGUCCACCCCGAAACAUCCAUGCAUGCUAGAACUCUUUUUUACUCUAUCUAAUUUCUUCACAUGUAGUUUAGUUUCCAUAAAAAACACUAUAUGGGGAUUUUUGCUCUUCACCAGUUCGCAAAGAGCUCGAAUAGCACAUGGGUUUCCAAGACCUGACAGUUCUAAGCUAUGCACCUAAUUUCUCUCGGCGGGACUGUAUGCCAGUCUCCACUGUUGGGUAUCCCCUCUUCUCUACAUUUUCUUUGUUUGUUGGUCAAUCGCCAUUAGAUCACUACAUAUUUCGUGCAUUUUCCUCUUUCCCAUGGUAACGGGGUCUAGUUACUUAUUAUUGCCAUGCACUACGCUUGCUCUUUUCUUCCAGGUCUUCUUUCCAAUUGUCAUGUUUUUCUGCUUUCCAUUGGUUACAUUUUCAUGGACCUCUCCCACGUCAAACAGGAUUGCCACCUCAUAUGUUUUUUUUUUUAAUUUCCCAGGCAUUCUUUCCAUAUAAAUUUUCUGUCCCUUUAUCCACGUCCAUUCCCACGCAAGUCAUUAAUGCAUUCUCAAUGCUCUUACUUGUCCCCUCAUUACAAUGGUAAUUUGUUGACCCUGAAAAUCCUCAUUUUCCCUGAUUUUCCUCAAUCCCUUGAUCCUCUCCUUUGUUAUGAUCACUCUAUUUAGGCUCCUCAUUCUCCGGAAUUUCGCUACUUCCUUUCCUAUUUUCGUGUCUGGUCGAUUCACCCUCCUCUGUCGGUUCUACCACCUUUCCCCUCGCCAUCAGCGUCACUUUUCUCGGUGUUGUUCCUCCCACGUCCCCACUACCAUGUUUGUUCGUGUGCAUGCUAGGCCUUUCUUUCUCUUCAUUGUACUGUUUACGUGUUGGGUACUGGUUUCUGGCCAUAUAAGCCAAGCAUCCUCGUUUAAUUGGUGAAGUUCGCAUCCACUCCCCAUACUGCUGGUCCUCUCCUCUUCCUAACUCUGCUACCAUUUCACAAUCCAUUUUAGUAUGGCUCAGUUUCCCACAUACAUAGUAGAAAUUUGGGAGACGUUUAUACCUCAAUUGCCCCCAUAAACCAUCUUUUGUUCUUCCCUGCAAUAAAAACACACCUUCUCAAAGGCUCUGUGAUAUCUAUUUCCACUCGUAUUUUCAGGAAGAUUCCACCCAUAGAAAACAAAUGGUUACACUAUGUUUGGAUUGAGGAGAAGAAAAAAAAGUAAAGGAAAAUAAAGGCAAGUAUCGAAAAUAGAAAAUUUUUUUUUUGUUUGGAUAAAUUUUUAUUUAAAAAGAAAGAGGUAGAAAUUUAAUAAUUUUUUAUUUUCCUUGUAAUUUUCACUUUUUUUAAUACCCCAAUUAGGGGGAAAAGCCAAGGAAAUGAAAGAUGAAAAUAUUUUAUUUUUAUAAAAAGAUUAUUAUGUCUAUAUUUUUAUUAUGACAUUAGAUUUGAUUAUAUAAAUGACAUUUUCUAUAAAAAUAAUUUUUUAUGAGUAUUUUAUAUAACAUUAUAGUUUAUAAAUAUUUUACAAAUUUUCAAGUCUUAAUAACAAAACAAGUUAAAUUAUUGUCAAAAUAAAUUAAAAGGUUGAAUUAAACACAAAAUUAAAAGUAAAUCAAUAACUAAUUAAUAUAUAUUAUCGUAUUAAAUAUGCUCAAUUUUAUUUAAAAAGAUUUGUUUAUACAAGUUAGGUACUAUAAAAAUAUAUUUGUAUAUUUUAUGUUAUUUUAUAAAAAAAAUUAUAAUUAAAAAAAAUAUUAUAAUGAAUUUUUUUUUCUUUUCGUUAUUUGUCCAAACAAUGGUUAUUAGAUUUUUUUUUUGUUAAUUUUAAUUAUCCAAACAAAUAAUAUAUGUAUCUUUUUUUUAAUUUUUUUUAUUUAUAUGUAUCCAAAUAUAGCGAUUUGGUCCACACCUUUCAAUACUCCCAAUUUCAUUCCUAUCUUUUUUGCCAUAUCUUUGGUCAGCAUUUUCAACGCCAACCCAUGCACCAUAAUCCAGAACACUGCCCAUCAAAAGAGUAAUCUGUUGGCCUUAGAUCACCAUCAUACUUUCUAACAACCGAAAGGUUCUUUUCAAAUGACCAUGACGACUCUUCGAGAACUCUCUUCUUAUUACUCUUUGACCCAAACCUAAGGAUUAAUAAGUUUGGUUCCAACACCAUCAUUGUCAUCUCUCUGGCUAUCAUCUGGAACGUAUUGAUGAUUGCUUUCCUAUUGAAACAUAUUCUUAGUAGUUUCCCCACUCACUAAAAGACUCCGAUGCAUUCGAUUCUUCUUCCAGCCCCUCAAUUUCAAUGCCCUUCUUUUCUUCUUCAGUUAGCCUUAGUUUUGAUCAUUUGCUUUCCAACUCGUCCACAAUUAUUCGAACUUCAUGAUAUCUUAACCACAUUACUAACAGCCUGUUUCUACUCUAAUAAACUGGAACUAAGAACGCUUGCAUACCGACGAGACUAUGAAAACUCCUCGUACAAAACCCUAAGUUCCAAAGAGACGCUAUAUUGAACAUAGACAGUGCAUUUUAUUUCUCUUAACAUUUGUAACAUCUUUUGUUUUUCUUUUUAAAUUAUAACUUGGGUGUAAAAUUUCACCGUACAGUUGAAGACAAAUAAUAAAAUAUGCUCCGUGGCUUAAAAAAAAAAAAGUUGCACUAACCCUUUUUAAGGAUUUUUUUCCGGUUAAUUUUAAAGUCAAAAUCGUUGAUCAAUUUCCCUUUCUUUUAUUUUUUUUUUGUUACAUUGUUGUAAAUUUCGUUUUAGUAUUGUCCAUAUUGGCCAAUAUACUUCAUUUAUAUUAAAAUAUGAUAUAGUUAAGGGUAGGUUUUUUUUAUUGAAUUUGUACCAGAUAAACCAAAUAUUUUUAUUUGUUUCGGUUAAUUUCGAUGAACUUUGAUAGAAUAAUUUGUCACAAUUAGUAUUUGAAUGUAAAAUAUGUUUUAUAAUUUUUAAUUUUGUUUUGUUAUUUGAUUAUUUUUUUAAUCUAAUAAAAAUAAAACUAAUGAGUAAAAGAACCCUUAAGAACUGGAUUUCUCUACUUUUUACCACAUCUUUUUUUUUUUACAUUUAUUUUUUCUAACAAAUAUUUAUAAGUAUUUCAAUUUUUUUUUUUAAAAAAGCAAUCUUACUCUCCCUAAAAUUUAAGAAUCCUAAAGUUAAAAUUAAUUUCUUUUUCAUCUCUUUAUUUUUAUCUUAAUUUUACAUGAAAAAUUAUUUAUUUAAAUGUCAUAUGAUCAGAUUAAAUAUUUAAAAAUAUAAUGAUAAAUUAAUGAUAUUAUUUGUUAUAUUUUAAAGCUUAUUUAUUUUGUUUUUUAAGAUAUUGUAUAUUUAUUUUAUAUAUUAUUAAUAUUAUUAUAUACAAAUUAAUGUUUAUUUAUAAACAUAUUUGUAUUAAAUAAAAAAAUCUAAAAUAAUAUGUCGAUACCAACAUAUACUUACAAAAAAUUAAAAUAUUAUAUGAUAUGAUAUUAACAAACUCGCUUUAUUACCCUUUAUUCUUUGAAUUUCUAGUUACUCUUAUCUCCAUCAGUGUCAUAUAUAUCAAUAAUAAGGUCAUAUUGUUUUUUUAAUAGUGUUGAUUUGAAAAUUAAUGAAAGAAAUCUCAGGUUAUAAUAACGUGGCACUUUUUAUAUUUUCAAGGAUCAAAUUUAUUUGGCCUCUGACCGCAGGGUUUUUUUUAUUUUUUAAAAAUAAUUUACCUUAAAUCAAAUUAUCAUGAGUUGCUUAUUAGACUUCCUCUAUGAAUAUAAAAUCUCGACUUUAUGAAUACUUGACUUUAUGAAUACUUUGAGUAUGAAUUUUUUUUGAAUAAGAUACGGGCGUGGGGAAAGGGAGAAAUGAAACAAUAUUCUUGAAAGUUGCUAUGUAUUGAUUAAAACGCGUUUUCAGGGCCAACUUGUUAAUUGUAAUAAACGAAAACCCUUUGAAUAGUUGCAAAGUAAAAAUCUUUGCAGAAACUUUGCUAAAUAUCCCCAGACUUUGAAUUAAGGCCUUACCGUUUUGAAUGGGAAAAUAAUGGGAAGACAUUUCAGACCCAUCUCUUGACCGUUGGAAACUUUUUCGAGUAUAAAUCUUAACAAUUUUAUAGUUCUAAGUUCAUAAAGCCAGAGAAAGGAAUUGAAUCUGUACUCUUUGGCCAUGGCUGCCAUUUUAUUACUUUUUCUUCUGUCUACUUCCAUCAUUUCAACCGCAGUAGCUCAACCAAAGCAUUCCAAUAUAAGUCUAGGCUCGUCUCUAACACCUACAGGCCAAUCCUCAUGGCUAUCCCCUUCUGGCCUAUAUGCCUUUGGAUUUUAUCAGCAAGAUAAGGGAUAUGCUGUUGGAAUUUUUCUUGCUGGAGUUCCCCAGAAGACUGUGGUUUGGACGGCCAACCGAGAUGAUCCUCCUGUUCCAAGCAGCGCUAAGUUGAUUCUUACAACUGAUGGAAGGCUCAUUCUGAGAUCAACAGGAGAUAUAUCCAUUACUGAUUCUACUGAAAAAGUUACCACAGCUUCGAUGCUUGAUUCUGGCAAUUUUGUUCUAUACAAUUCAGGCCAAGAAAUAAUCUGGGAGAGCUUUAAAUACCCUACCACUACCAUUCUUCAAGGACAAAAGCUCUUAGCUGGGACAGAGCUAUACUCUAGCGUCUCAGACACUGAUCAGUCGAAAGGAUUCUUUUGUCUUAACAUGCAGACCAAUGGGAACCUUGUGCAAUACCCGGUGGCAAAUUAUACAUGGACAGAAUGGUAUGCGUAUUGGGCAUCUGAUACAUUUGGUGCAGGAGAUAAUGUGAGCUUGAAUCUCGACAAUGAUGGCCGUCUGUACUUACUCAAUUCCACAGGAUUCAACACAAAGGAUAUAGUUAAAGGAGGAUAUGAUACCAAGGAAACAAUCUAUCUGAUGAAAAUUGAUCCGGAUGGUAUCUUCCGAAUCUAUUCUUAUAAAUUAAAUCAGGAUGGCAACCGAUCAGUUAUAUAUAAUUCUUCUAUAGACAGGUGUGGGCCUAAGGGUCUAUGCGGCCUUAAUGCCUAUUGCGUUUUCACUGAUCAGCGUGCUGAUUGCAAUUGCGUACCGGGAUUCACUCAGGUAAAAGAGGGCAAUUCUAUUGCUGGCUGCGAAAGGGAUUUCGCCAUGCAAAGCUGCAAUGGCAAUGAUCAGAGAAACCAAUAUACCAUUCAGGAGGUUCUUAAUACGGAAUGGGAAAAUGCUGAAUAUUCUCAUUUGUCUUUAUUAACCAAAGAAGAUUGUAAAGCUGCAUGUCUGGAAGAUUGUAUGUGUGAAGCUGCCAUGUUUAAAGAUAGAAACUGCAGGAAGCAAAGACUGCCUCUGAGAUUUGGGAGAUGGAAAGAUUCUGAAGGAAACGUUGCUCUGAUUAAAGUAGGUCUAUCUGCGUCCACUGAAACAACAAAACAUGAUCAAGGCAAACGAAAACCUGAUAUGGUAAUUUUAAUUAUUGGUCUUUCAUUGAUUGGCUUAGUGGUUUUGUUGGUAUUAUUUGGGGCUUUGAUUCUUAGAAAGCAUGUCUUCACAUACAAGAAGGUUUCCACAAUUAGCAACAUAAACUUUUGUGAAAAUGUUGCUCCGAUAUCAUUUAGUUUUGCAGAAAUUGAGCAGAUGACUAAUGGUUUCAAGGAUGAAAUUGGAAAAGGAGCAUUCGGGACAGUUUACAAAGGAACAAUCUCGGAUAGCCUGAUGGUUGUUGCGGUGAAGAGAUUGGACAACGUAUCAUCUCAAGGGGAGCGAGAGUUUCAAACAGAGAUGAAAAUUAUUGGUAGAACUCAUCAUCGAAAUUUAGUUCGACUAAUCGGCUAUUGCCACGAAGGGGCUAAUAGGUUGUUGGUAUACGAGUACAUGGUCAAUGGAUCACUUGCAGAUGUACUCUUCACACCUGAAAAAAGACCUUGUUGGAGUGAAAGGGUGGAAAUUGCUUGCAACAUAGCGAGAGGUCUCCUCUAUCUUCACGAAGAGUGUGAGACUCAAAUAAUCCAUUGCGACAUCAAAUCUCAAAAUAUACUAAUGGAUGAACAGGGUCAAGCAAAAAUAUCUGAUUUUGGAUUGGCCAAGCUUCUAAGGCCAGACCAAACCAAAACCUUCACUGCGAUCAGAGGAACAAGGGGGUAUGUUGCACCAGAGUGGCACAGGAAACUACCAGUGACAGUCAAAGCAGAUGUUUACAGCUUUGGAAUUGUAGUGUUGGAGAUCAUAUGUUGUCGAAGGAGUGUAAAUUGGAACCUUCCUGAGGAAGAAGCUGUCCUUGAAGAAUGGGUCUACCAUUGUUUCCAAGCUGGUGAACUACGGAAACUAGUAGGAGAUGAUGAAGAGGUUGACGAGAAACAAUUGGAAAGGAUGGUGAGAGUGGGACUAUGGUGUAUCCUGGAUGAGCCAACACUCCGCCCUUCCAUGAAAAAGGUUCUGUUGAUGUUAGAAGGGACAGUUGAGAUCCCAGUACCUCCAAGCCCAACUUCAUUUUUCUGUGCUAUUUGAUUGGUCAAUGCUGUUUAAGAUUUGGAGAAGGGAACUUUGCAAUUGCUUCCCUUCCAAUGCAUAAUUCUGUUGUUGUUGUAGUUUUUUUUUUUUACAUAGUAAUUAUUAGGUGAAGUGAUAAAAAGUGAAAAAAAGCGUGUGAAUCUAUUGAGAGUUUGUGAGAUGAUUAUGAAUUGGCUCAAACGAUGAAAAUAAAUUUAUUUAAAUCAGUUCUAAAAAAUAUAUAUAUUAUGUCGUAACGGUUUUGUGUUCGUCCGACGAAUUUAAAAACGAAAUAAAAAAAUAACGGUGUCGCCACCAAUCAUUUUUGGCUAGGUGCGAUUGGUCACCUACUAAAACAUACCCUUUUAAUAAAGUUUCAAAAUUAAUUAAAAUUUAUUAAAAAGAUAAUUUUACGGUCUGCGAAACAGUUUGGGUUCGGGAGUCGGUUACGCAUGGGGAAGGAUUAGCACCCCCACAUCGCCCGUUAAAAAACGGUACCAAUUAACAACAUGUUAUCCUUUGAUUUUGAUAAAAAUAGUCCAAUUUUCGGUAUUCAAAAAAAAUUUUCUUGAUUUUUUUAAUUUAUUUUUAAAAAAAUUAUUCUCGAGAAAAAUAAAUUAAAACCUCUUUGUUGAAAUAAUUCUUAAAAUAUUCCAGUACGUUGGUAACAUUAGAAGAACUUUUUCUCACCUAAAGAUUUCUUAGGCAUCGCUUCUCGGAAUACCUUAAAAUCUCAUCCUCGGAGGCUCGAAUUUAUUUUUCGUAAAAAAUGUUAUGCAUGCAAUGCAAAAUGUUAUCAUGUUUAUGUACACAUUUUAUUCUCUUUUGUUAGAAAUUUUAUUAAUAUUUUAUUAGUAUUCUUAUUUAAAAAUUUGAAGAAAAUAAAAUUUUCGUUAUAUUGAAGAUUUUCUAUAAAUAUUCUAAUACACUGGUAAUAUUUUACAAAAAAAUCUUCUCACCUAGAGAUUUCUUAAAGCAUCUCUAUUCGGAAUACUUUUAGAAUUCCAUCAUCAGAUAAAAGUUUUUUUCUUCUCAUUUUUAUUACUUAUAUUUUUUAUAUAUUAAUCAAUUUUUAUUUAUUACUUUAAAAAAAGAAAUUUUUAUUUAAAAAUUUGAAGAAAAAUGAAAUUUUUAUUAUAUUGAAGAUUUUCUAUAAAUAUUUCAAUACACUGGUAAUAUUUUACAAAAAAUCUUCUUACCUAGAGAUUUUAUAGGCAUCACUACUCGGAAUACCUUUGAAUCUCAUCGUCGGAUAAAAAUUUCCUUUUCCUACAUUUUUUAUUAGUUUAGUAUUAUUAUUAAAUUUAUUUUUAUAUUAUUGUUUUUAAAGUUUAUUUUAAAAAUUAACAUAAUUACAUAAAAAAAAUUUUAACCACAAUUUCAUCAUUUAAUCUAACAAAUAUAAAUAUUUUAAUAUGCAUAAAUAUUAAUAAAAUAAUAUAUAAAAAAUAAGAAAAAUUAAAAAAAAAAAUUUUUUACCUGAACCGGACAGAUCAACGGUCCGACGGUUCGGUCCAACGGUUCGGCUCGAUCUGAGGGUCUGGUCCGGUUCAGAUGAACCGAUCAGGGGCUAAUGGAGAAGCGGGUCGUCGGGUCAAGUGCGCGGACCCCGGGUCGGGUCGCAGGUUGACGCGCGGAUCCUCCUUGGUCUAAACGACGUCGUUUUGGCUAUUAACAGCUUAUAUAAAAGUCAAAAAAAAAAUUUUCACUCAUUUCCUCCGUUUCUCAGACAAAAAAAAAAUCCUUUCUUUUCUCUCUUUUUUUUUUCUUGACCAAAUACAGAUGGCCGGCCGGUUGUUCCUCCACUGUCGUCGUCGCCUUUCGUCGAUCACCAGCCGUCAUUGUCGGUGGUCAAAAAAUCUCUAAAACUCCAAAAUGUUAUUUUCGACCUCCUGAGUUUGGAUCUGAGGUCUUUUUCACCAAAAAGAGUCCCAAAAUCUCCAGAUCUGCUGGUGAAGUUUCGAUGAGACUAUUUUUUUAUAUCCUGACCCCUUUUUUUUUUUAAACUAACCCCUUUUUUUCUUUUCUUCGUGCAGGAAGCUCGGUGCUGGGUUCAUCCCUACGGGGAGGAUUGUGUAUAUUUUUCUUUGUGUUUUUUUUUGUUUUUUUUACAGCGUCUCCCCUCUUUUUUUCUUUUCUUCUUCUACUUCGCUAGGAGCUCUAUUUAUAGAGCUCAGCCAUGUGUGUUUGGGGGGAAGGGCAUAGGGCUCGGCAUGGGUGUAAGCACGAGCCCUAUGCCUCUUUUAUUAGUUUUGGCCAUAUCCGACAGUUUUGUCAACGGAAGAAGUAAUUAGAGGGGUAGAGGGUAGGGUAUAAUGAUCAGAAGAGUAGGGUGUAGGGUCUGGUGGGCCUGGUGGCAUGGGUGGUGACAGUGGUGCCGGGAAUUGCACCACUGCCAUCCUUGAUUUUUUUGUUAUGUUCUAUUUUUUUUAUUUUUUUUUCAUAUUUUUUAUAUUAUUUCAUAUUUUUUUAUUGUAUUUCAUAUUUUAUACUUACUUUGUAUUUUAUAUUUAUUCUAGACAAAUUGAUGUUUACAGCUGCCCCCUCUUUGCACAUUACUGAUAAUCAGUAAUAGGGUAAAGACAAAGACAACAAUUUUGUCUAGAAUCCAAACAAAAUUUUUUUUAAAUCGAAAAUGCUCAUCUCACUUGAGGGUCGACAACUUUCAAAAAUUUAAAAUCUGAUUUGAAAAAGGGCUCAUCUCAGCAGAGGCUCAACAACUUUAAAAUCUCAUUUGAAAAAGGGCUCCUCUCAGCAGAGGCUCAACAACUUUAAAAUCUCAUCUUAGAAAUGGGCUCCUCUCAGCAGAGGCUCAACGACUUUAAAAUCUCAUUUGAAAAAGGGCUCCUCUCAACAGAGCUCAUCUCAGCAAAGGCUCAACAACUUUAAAAUUUCAUUUGAAAAAGCUCCUUUCAGUAGAGGCUCAACAAUUUUAAAAUCUCAUCUUGAAAAAGGACUCCUUUCAGCAGAGGCUCAACAACUUUAAAAUUUCAUUGAAAAAAGCUCCUCUCAGUAGAGGCUCAACAACUUUAAAAUUUCAUUUGAAAAAGCUCUUCUCAGUAGAGGCUCAACAACUUUAAAAUCUCAUCUUGAAAAAGGGCUCAUCUCAGCAAAGGUUCAACAACUUUAAAAUUUCAUUGGAAAAAGCUCCUCUCAGCAGAGGCUCAACAACUUUAAAAUCUCAUUUGAAAAAGCUCCUCUUAAUAGAGGCUCAACAACUUUAAAAUUUCAUUUGAAAAAGCUCAUCUCAGCAGAGGCUCAACAAUUUUAAAAUCUCAUAUUCUCUCAAAACUGAGUUCUUUUUUUUUUAACAAGUAAAUUCUUCUCUUUUGAAAAUUUUUUUUUUUUUUAUCAGGAAAUGGAAAGUCUUCGUCCUUAUUAAAACUGUACAUGUACUGAGUGCUCUAAAUGCAAUGCAUGUAAUGUAAUCAAAAUUAUUCAUUGUAGUAAAAAGGUUCUCAAAAUCUCUCACUUUUGGCUUCUUUUACCAGAAUUCUUAUAUGACCAAUCUGUUCUUAACAUCUGACCACAAUAUUUUUUUCUUCAGAAGUCUGUAACAUCAAUGUCUUGUCAUGCUUUUCAUCAUUUUUCAUUUGCCUUUGUCAACUUUAAAAGUAAUGCUGAGAUCUUUCAUGUUUGUUUUUUUUUUCAUCAUUUUAAGUUCAAGACAAAUAAAAUGCAAUCACACAUUUCUCUUAUUCACUUAUACGAUGAACAAAAAUAUCAGAUAAGGAUAAAAGAAUGGAUAGGCAUUAUUUUCAAAGGAAAGAUAACGUAUUUCAUUAUGGCUGAUAACAAGUGCAUGUCAAAUUGUUUGAGUCGAAACAAAUGUGUCAAAAGAAUGAUCAUAAAAUAAUCAUGAACAAAAUAUUCUCAGAUUCUUUCUCUAAAACUAAAUCAAAUGACUUUUUUGAUCAUUCAGAGUUCUUCAAACUACACUUAUCCCUGUAUGAUGGGAUCUUUUCUUGAUGAUGCUUCUUCUUCACAUCUAAGCCAUCUUUUUUCAGGUUUUCAACUUCAGAUGAGUCAUUAUUUUUUAUUUUUUACUUUUUUUUUCUUUUUUUCUUCAAGCAAAAUAUUUUUUCACAGUAUCUGACUUUAUCAAAGCAGGUAAAUUACUUUCAUCCAUCUCUACCAAAAUUAAUGCCCCAUCAAAAAAAGCCUUUUUCACCACAUACAGGCCUUCCCAAAUUGGUGUCCAUUUUCUUCGAUUAUCAUGUUGAUUUGGAAGGAUCUUUUUCAGCACUAAAUCUCCUUCCCUAAAGCAACGAGGAUGGAUUUUCUUGUUAUGUGCUCUUAUCAUUCUCUUUUGAUAUAAUUGACCAUGACAAAGUGCUGUAAGUCUUUUCUCUUCAAUGAAGUUCAACUGCUCGUAGCGAUUUCGAACCCAUUCUACUUCUUCUAAUUCUAUCUCCAUCAAGAUUCUCAGAAAGGAAAUUUUCACUUCGAUCGGUAGCACAACUUUCAUUCCAUAUACCAAAGAAAACGGAGUAACCCCGGUAGAUGUUCGGAUUGAUGUUCUAUAAGCAUGCAAAGUAAAUGAUAACUUUUCAUGCCAAUCUUUAUAAGUAUCAGUAAUAUUUUCUAGGAUUCUUUUGAUAUUUUUAUUUGCAGCUUCUACUACCCCAUUCAUCUUUGGACGAUAUGGUACCGAAUUACGGUGACGAAUCUUGAACUGAGUGCAAACUUCAUUCAUCAUCUUACUGUUUAAAUUUUUAGCAUUAUCAGAAAUAAUUAUCUCUAAAAGCCCAUAUUUACAUAUUAUCUAUUUUUUUAUGAAUUUGCAUACGAUAGAUCGGAUCACACUAGCGUAUGAUGCAGCUUCUACCCAUUUUGUAAAGUAAUCAAUCAUCACAAAGAUGAACCUAUGUCCAUUUGAAGCUUUUGGAGUGAUGGGACUAAUGACAUCCAUACCCUACAUAAAGAAUGGCCAUGAAAGAGCCAAAACAUGCAAUGCUGUUGGAGGAGUGUGGAUCUUGUCAGCAUAGAUUUGACAUUUAUGGUAUUUUUUGGCAUAAUCAAUACAAUCACUCUCCAUUGUCAACUAACAGUAUCCAACCCUCAUAAUUUGUUUAACCAUCAUAUGACCAUUUGCAUGUGCCCCACAAACCCCAUAAUGCAUUUCUUUAAUAAUUUUUUUUGCUUCAGCUGUAUUCACAUACCUUAAAAGUACUUGAUCUUGACCCCUUUUAUAAAGGAUGUCUCCAUCAAGAAAAAAACUCAUAGCCAACCUUCUGAUAGUUUUCUUAUCAUUUUCUGUUACAUGUUCUGGGUAUUACUGGCUUUUAAUGUAUUGCAUGAUAUCAUGAUAUCAUGGUUUCCCAUCAACUUCUUCUUCAACACCUGAACAAUGUACUAGUUCAUCUUUCACAUCCAGCUUGAUGGGUUAGAUUUUAGUAUUUGCAUCUAUGUUAAUCAUUGCAGCUAGAGUAAUUAGUGCAUCAGCAAUUUGGUUUUCCUCUCUAGGCAAAUGCUCGAAUUGAACUUCUUCGAAUUGUUUAACCAACUAAGAAAUGUACUUAUGGAACUGUAUCAACUUGGAAUCUCUGGUUUUCCAUUCUUCUCGUAAUUGAUAGAUGACUAUAGUUGAAUCUCUAAACACAUCUAAUAUUUUAAUUUUUUUUUCAAUUGCUGCUUGUAGACCCAUAACACAGGCCUAUAUUCAACCACAUUAUUUGUGUAAUUAAAAUUUAACCUGACUGUAAUGGGAUAAUAGUGUCUAUCAGGAGAUAUUAAAAUUGCCCCAAUACCAUGACCCAAAGCAUUAGUAGCUCCAUCAAAAUACAUCCUCCAAGACUCUUCAAUAGGUUCAUUUUCUUCAAUGGCCAUCAUAUCUUCAUCAGGGAACUCUAGGUUCAUUGGUUCAUAAUUUUCGACAGCAUGAUCAGCAAGGAACUCGAUACGGCACUUCCUUUUAUAGCUUUUUGAGUCACAUAAAUGAUAUCAUAUUCUGAAAGCAUAACUUGCCACCGUGCUAUUCUUCCUGUCAAUGAGGGUUUUUUGAAGAUAUACUUAAUAGGAUCCAGCUUUGUUAUGAGCCAAGUAGUGUGAUAAAGCAUAUAUUGUCUAAGCUUUCGAGUUGUCUAGGCUAAUGCACAACAUAUCUUCUCUAAUGGUGAAUGCUUGGACUCAUAAUCAAUGAAUUUUUUACUCAAGUAGUAUAUUGCUCGUUCUUUCCUGUCAAUUUCAUCUAUUUGCCCUAGCACACAUCUCAUGGAAUUUUCAUGCACUGUUAAGUACAAGAUCAAAGGUUUUUUUUAGGAUUGGAAGUGCCAACAUAAGUAGAUUUGACAAGUAUUCUUUGAUUUUAUUAAAAGCUUCUUGGCAUUCAUCAUUCCAUUCUCCUGGAUUAUAUUUUCUGAAGAGCUUGCAAAUAGGAUCGCACUUAUAGGUGAGUUGAGAGAUGAAAUGAGCAAUAUAGUUCAGUCUCCCUAUGAAACCUUACACUUCUUUUAGGGUAUGAAGAAGAGAUAAGUUUUGGAUGGCUUGUAUCUUAUUCGGGUCUACUUCAAUUCCUCUUUCACUGAUCACAAAGCCCAAUAGUUUUUCUAACUUGACACCAAAUGUACAUUUAGCAGGAUUCAACUUCAGCUGAAAUCUUCUCAAACCUGUCAAACAGCUUUUUGAGAUUGACUAUAUGAUCUUCUCUUUCAUGAGAUUUUAUAAUCAUAUAAUCCACAUAUACCUCUAAUUCUUUAUGCAUCAUGUUAUGGAAGAGAGUCACCAUUGCUCUUUGAUAAGUGGUACUAACAUUUUUCAACCCAAAAAGCAUGACUUUGUAAUAGAAUAUUUUCUACAUGGUAACAAUGUAGUUUUCUCCAUAUCAUCUCGAGCCAUAUUGAUCUGAUUAUAGCCUGAGAAAUCAUCCAUAAAGGAAAAUAUGGAAUACCUAGCAGUAUUAUCCACUAGAGUAUCGAUGUGAGGUAAAGAAAAGUUAUCCUUAGGGCUUGCCCUAUUCAAAUCUCGAUAAUCGACACAUAUUCUCACUUUUCCAUCCUUCUUAGGAACUGGCACUAUAUUGGCUACCCAUUCAGGAUAUUUUUUCACUUCCAAGAAUCCAGCAUCGAAUUAUUUCUUCACUUCCUCUUUAAUUUUCAGCAGCAUCUCUGGUUUCAUGCGUCUUAGCUUUUGUUGCAUUGCAUCUUAGCUUUUGUUGCAUCGACUUACAUCCUGAUUUUAAAGGUAACUUGUGCUCUAUAAUAUCAUUGUUGAGUCCUGGCAUAUCUUAGUAAGUUUACGUGAACACAUCUAUAUAUUCUCGAAGCAGCUCUUCUAGCUUCUAUCUUUCAGUUGGUAAAAAAGAUGUACCAACUUUGACCUCUCUUUUGUUCUCACCAUCUCUCAAAUUUACUGAUUCAAUAAUUUUUUGAUGGGGUUCAAUUGGCUUAUCUUCAUGUUCCAUUAAUUUUAACAAAUCAUGAGGCAGUGUAGAGUUAUCUGAAUCUUUCUCAUUAUCAAGUUCAUCAACAUGAAUUAAGUUUUCAAAAUCAAAUCCGAGAUUAAUUGCCAUGAUUUUCUUCAUUGUUCAUUGUCUGAGACCCUGCAAAGGGUAAGAAUGAGANNNNNNNNNNNNNNNNNNNNNNNNNNNNNNNNNNNNNNNNNNNNNNNNNNNNNNNNNNNNNNNNNNNNNNNNNNNNNNNNNNNNNNNNNNNNNNNNNNNNNNNNNNNNNNNNNNNNNNNNNNNNNNNNNNNNNNNNNNNNNNNNNNNNNNNNNNNNNNNNNNNNNNNNNNNNNNNNNNNNNNNNNNNNNNNNNNNNNNNNNNNNNNNNNNNNNNNNNNNNNNNNNNNNNNNNNNNNNNNNNNNNNNNNNNNNNNNNNNNNNNNNNNNNNNNNNNNNNNNNNNNNNNNNNNNNNNNNNNNNNNNNNNNNNNNNNNNNNNNNNNNNNNNNNNNNNNNNNNNNNNNNNNNNNNNNNNNNNNNNNNNNNNNNNNNNNNNNNNNNNNNNNNNNNNNNNNNNNNNNNNNNNNNNNNNNNNNNNNNNNNNNNNNNNNNNNNNNNNNNNNNNNNNNNNNNNNNNNNNNNNNNNNNNNNNNNNNNNNNNNNNNNNNNNNNNNNNNNNNNNNNNNNNNNNNNNNNNNNNNNNNNNNNNNNNNNNNNNNNNNNNNNNNNNNNNNNNNNNNNNNNNNNNNNNNNNNNNNNNNNNNNNNNNNNNNNNNNNNNNNNNNNNNNNNNNNNNNNNNNNNNNNNNNNNNNNNNNNNNNNNNNNNNNNNNNNNNNNNNNNNNNNNNNNNNNNNNNNNNNNNNNNNNNNNNNNNNNNNNNNNNNNNNNNNNNNNNNNNNNNNNNNNNNNNNNNNNNNNNNNNNNNNNNNNNNNNNNNNNNNNNNNNNNNNNNNNNNNNNNNNNNNNNNNNNNNNNNNNNNNNNNNNNNNNNNNNNNNNNNNNNNNNNNNNNNNNNNNNNNNNNNNNNNNNNNNNNNNNNNNNNNNNNNNNNNNNNNNNNNNNNNNNNNNNNNNNNNNNNNNNNNNNNNNNNNNNNNNNNNNNNNNNNNNNNNNNNNNNNNNNNNNNNNNNNNNNNNNNNNNNNNNNNNNNNNNNNNNNNNNNNNNNNNNNNNNNNNNNNNAAAUUUUUUGAAAUAUUAUCUCCUUAGAACACUACUUAAUAUCUGCAAGAAAAUAAAAAUAAAAUGAUAAAUUUUUAGAAUUUAAUAUUUUACAGCUAUCAAACAAUAUAUUUAUAUUCAGUAUUUAAUUUUCAAUAAAAUACUAAAUAAUUUUUAUAAUUCAAAUUCAGUAAUUAAAUUUAAUAUUGAAAGUUCAGUACUUAAAUUUCAGCAUUUAGUGUUUUUUAGUUUAUGAAACAAAACCUUACUUUAUAUGCUAUUUUAUUUGACCUGUUGAAAAAGUGCUACUGAAGUUAAGUUUCAAUUUAUUCAAUUUAAUUAAAAAUAAUACCGAUUACUUAAAUUUUGGUUAUGUUACACAAUGCUGAUUUUUUAGGAUGCCACGUGUUGCAUGUUGAUUGGCCAUUGUUUAUUUUUUCUUUUAUUUUUCUUUAAAAAUGCUAAUUUUUUAAAUUAUAAAAAAUAUAUAUAUUAUUUAAAAGAUUGUAUUUUUGUGUGUAAGAUUCGUUUACACCAUUUUUUUUUGUUUUCACACUAUUUUAUUUUUCCCUUUCUAAAUAAGAAAUUUAAUUAUGAUUUUUUUAGUUUUUAUUUUUUUAGAACAUACUUGAGCAAUAUGUGGUCAACAGUCCCAUUUUCUUUGACUAUUGUGAGUCAUUUUUAGAGUUUUUUUUUCUUUUUUUCAUUUUUUGGGUUUCUUUACUUUAAAAAAAUUAUUUAAUAAAUAUUUUUAAAAAUUAUAAAAAUAUAUCUUUUUUAAAGAUUUUAUUUUUUAUGUUUUAAGACCCAUUGAUAUAUUUUUUUUAUUUUUUACCCAUUAAACUUUUUUUUUAAAUUUAAAUAAAUUUAAUAAAGAGUUUUUUAGAUUUUGUAAGAUCCAUUUGACACUAGUUGUAUGUCAUGUGUUUUUUCUUUCUUUCUUUCUUUCCUUUUUCCUUUUUCCUUUUUUUUCCACUUUUUUUUUUAUCUUUUAAAUUAUAAAUGAUAUAUUUUUUAAAAAAUUGUAUUUUUUAUUUGUAAAACGCACUUAUACUAAACUUCUUUUUUACUCUUCAUUUUUCAACCCUUUUGCAGUUUUCAUUUUAAAAAAAAUUAAUAAAGAUUUUUUGAAGGAUUUUUUACAACCCAUUUGAGUAAUAUACGAUUAACAGUAUUGUUCUCUUGGGCUAUCACAUGUCAUUUUCAGUUUUUUUUUUUUAUUUUUUUAAAAGAUUUUUUCUUUUUAGUUUUAAAAUUUUCUUUUAAAGUAUUUAAUAAAUAUUUUUCAAAUUAUAAAAAAAUAUAUUUUAAAAAUUUUAUGUUUUUGUUUUAAACUCACUUUUAUCAAACUUUCCUUUUUGGUUUUACCUUUUUACCUUUUUUCUUUUUUAAAUUAAAAAAUGUAAUCAAGUUUUUUAUGAUUUUAUUUUUAUGUCAAACCCUCUUGAUAUCAAUAGUAUAUCACUUUUUUUUCAUUUUUUAAUAUAUUUAGUAAAUAAUUUUUAUAUAUUUUUUAAAAGAUCCACUUAAUAUCAAUAGUAUGUCAGUAUAUUAAAUGUUAAGUUAGUUGACUAGAAGAUCUAAUGUGCUUUCGAAAUUCAAUGGCUUUUUUAGUUUGAAUGCAAAAAGACGAUAUAACUGUUCUGGAACAAAAGUGGUACCUAAUUUCACUUAAUCAGGUUUGGCAACAAAAUGAUGGAAACUAAUAUUGAAACUUUUUAGCACCAAAAUAAUUACAACAUGGAAUAUUCUUCAAUUGACAUAAUGGAGAAAAUUGAAGGAGUAUAUAAUGUUUCCCUUUAAUAAAAUAGUUUCAUAUUAAUUCUAAAGAAAAUUGAUAUAAAUACAAUUGUAUAUUUUUCAUUUAAAAAUCGUAUAAAACUAACAUUGUUUGUCAUAUGGAGAAGAUAGAGUUAUGUUUAACCAGUCAUUCUUUCUUUUUUUUUUUGCUUAGGACAAUCUUUUAUUGUGCUUUCAUCGAUUGAAAGCAAUUGCAUGUUCUAUUAAUUGAACAAUUAAUUCUUUUGUUAUCCAAAAAAAUGGCUAUAUAUAAAUUUUUAUUAUAUAUAAAUAUUAAAAUACAUAAUUUUAAAAAAUAAAAUAAAAUUCUAGCAUUGAUAUCUUGUCAUGUUCAAAUGAAUUUUGUUUCACCCUAAAAGAAUUCAUCGCUACAUAACUUUUGUUUUUUAUUCUAACCAAAUCUGAUUUAGGAAAUUCCAAGCAAUCAGCAAAUAGUUUUGCAUUAGAAAUGAGCCAAUCACUUGUUUGCAUAGAAGAGAAGAUUUUUUACACAAAAAGAUAGGAAGAUAAACAUACAUAAGUUUUGCACAAAAAAUGAUAUAAAAAGUUUUCAUUUAAAAGAUAUUGUUUGAUGUCUAACUUGAUUUAAACUUUUUAAUGAUAAUGAUAUUAUGCAUAUUAAAUUUGAACGGUGUUGAAUAUGUUGAUUAAGGAUGUAAAAAUGUAAAACUUUUUUAGUUUAGUACUUAUCAAAUGGCAUAUUCAAUAUAAAUCUCCUUCAAUGACUGUUAAUUUAACAACAUAUGCAUAUGGCAUGCAUGAAUGUGAACUUAUGCAUGCAUCUGUAAUAAAUGUAUGAUUUAUGCAAGUAGAUAUUCUGUGCAUCAACAGUGUCAUUUUUAAUCCUUGAAAGAAUCUGCUAUUUGUAUUUGCUCAAAAAAAUACUACAAAAAGUUAGAGAGUUGAUUCAUUUUGGGGGGAUUUUCAAAUUGUGAAUAUUUACGAAGAACAUUAGCUAAGGAAGUUCAACAAAUUGAGUCUAGGUACUUUUGCUUUCUAUGUUUUCAUCAUGCAAUCAAUAAAUACUGUUAAUAGAGAUUUUAUCAUGGUUUGAAGCACAAACCAUGUUCUGUUGACUUUUGAAUACGCAUAGGAAUUAUGUAAAUGUAGAUAUAUAUGAUUGAUUGUUAAAGUAGAACUUUAUAUGAAUGAUUAUUGCUUAAUAGAAAAUGGAUUUUCAUUAGAAUCACACUAAUAUAUGUAGUAAUUUAGCCUUCUGUAAGUCUUUCUAUGUCAGUAACAUACUACAAGGUAGUCCUCUGCUUGCUCUUCUCUAUUUUUUUUAUCUCUAAUCAUGGUCACACAUUUCUUGGUUUUUAUAUUUAAAUGGAAGUUGUAAAUGCUACAUAUCUUGUAUUAUCAUUUCAACAUUGGUAGCAAUUUAGGUUUGUAUCUUGUUUAAUUCUUCUGUGUUAAGAUGUUUGUUUUUUUUUUUUUUGGCAUAAAAUGGCUCCAUAGUUAGAUCGUCUUAUUAGACUCAUGAACAUGGGUUUAUUAAUUAUAUUUCUUUCCAAAUACCUGUUAACUCUUUCUCAGAUAUUAUUAAUGAUAUAGGCAUAUCAAAGGGAUUCAUGUAUAAUUUUAGCAACAGUAUUGAGUAUACUUUUUUGGAAUCUAUUUUACUUUCUGUUUUUGAUUAUUAUCACUAUAUAGAUCUAUCUUUAUAUAAAAUUAAAACCAUCUCUUUCUCUUUUUUGAACUUAACAAAGAAAAGUCAAAUUAUUUUUUGUUAUUUAAUGAUUUAGCCUUUGCUUUUUUAAGUUUGAGUUUUGUGAGAUGUUUUCUAACUCAAUUGACCAUUUUUAAAAAAAAAAAAAUCUAAAACAAAAAAGUCAAUUUAUUUUGUUAUUAAGUGAAACAAUUGCUUCUAAAAGCUCUAAACAAUCUUUUAUGAUGAUCAUCCAAGUUAAUGAUUUCCCAUUUGUGUCUAUUUCAAGAUCAACUUCUCUAAACCUGUAGACACCCAAUUUGGUCCAGGCUAGGACCAAUUGGGCAUCGUCCAAAUGGGGCAAGAUGGGCCCAUUUUUUAUUUUUUAUUAUUAAUUUUUUAGGUUAUUUGUUCUGAAUGUUGUUUUAAUUAUUAUUAUUUUUUUAUAUAAUUUUGUUCUAGAAGAAACAUUUUGCCAUGAAUCUGAGGGCUAGUAGGGUUUGAAUUGGAUUCAAAGAUUGAAUCCCAAUCACAGAAGAAAUUGUGAUUGAUUAAAAAUUCUUCUGAUCAAUUCCUAUAAAUAAAUGCUGGAACACAGAUCAAAUAUACUAAACAGAAGAAAACAGAAGCAAAAAAAAGGGGUCAUAGAGGGUAGAAAUAGUUUUAUAUUUUUAGGAUUUUUUUGAAUUUUAGGUUUGUUUUUUGAAAAAUUUCUAGAAAAAUUCCAAAAUUUCGAUCAAUUUUUCAGCUAAUUUUUUGGCAAACUUUGAAUUUUUGGGUGAGAUUUCCCAGUUUUCGACGUGUUUUUUCCAGAUUCUGAUAGAAAUUCAACUUAAAUUUGAGUUUUUUUUAAAGAGAAAGAAAAGAAAAUGAACGAGGAGAGAGAGAAAGAAAGAAGAAUUCUAAAGGAAAAGCUGGGAUUUAGGCUUAUAUACUCGCUGAAAAUGACAUCUUUUUGACCUUAUUAAUCCCAAAUGAUCCACACGUUUUGCCAUCGGGCGACCCGACCUGAGCACCAACCCGUGUCUAACUUGAGUGCCAACCAUCCCCUAGGGCUAAGUCGAGCCAAACCGUAUUUUCCUAACCGAGCCCACAAGCCAUUUUUUAUUUUUGUAGCCGAGCUGUUCCAUACUCCCAACCGAGCCGUUUUUCAGAUUUUUUUUGUAUUUUCUUAUUUAUUUUAUUAAGUAUUUUAUUUAAGUAUUUUUUUCCCUUAGUUUUUUUAUUAAAUUAAAUAAAAAAUAAUAAAAAAUAAAUUUUAAAAAUAACUAUUAAUUAUCCAAUGAUGGAAUUUAUAAAAAUUUCAAAUGGUAAAUUUUUAUAAAAUUCCUAGGUGAGAAAUUUUAUCUAAAUUUGGCUUAAAUGGUGGAAUAAUUUAGAUAAAAUUUUAAUAACAAUAAUUAAUAGUUAUUUUCAAACAAAUAAUAAUAAUAAUAAAUAAAUAACAUAAAAAUAUAAAAAAAUUUUGGAAUUAAAUACAAAUUAUCCAAGGAUGAGAUUCUUAGAAAUUUCAAAUGGUAAGUUUCUAAGAAAUCUCUAGGUGAGAAAUUUUCUCUAAAUUUGAUCCAAAUUGUGGAAUAAUUUAGAUAAAAUUUCAAUAUAAAUAAUUGUAUUAUUUUUCAAAUAAAAUUUUGAUUGAAAAUAUAUGAUAAUUAUCCAAGGAUGAGAUUCUUAGAAAUUUCAAAUGGUGAAUUCCUAAGAAAUCUUUAGGUGAGAAAUUUUUUUCUAAAUUUGGCUCAAAUGGUGGAACAAUUUUGAUGAAAUUUUAAUAAAAAUAAUUGUCAUAUUAUUUUCUUUCCAAGAAAAAAAGGAAUUUCUAAAUAGGCCCAAAUGGUGGAAACUUUAAAAAUUCAAAAGGAGAAAAUAUUUUUAAUUUGGUUCAAAUGGUGGAAUAAUUAGAUAUAUUUUCAAAAAAAAAAAAAACAAGCCAACAAAACAAAAAAAAGAAUAAUAAUUAAACAUUUUUUCGACAACGGACCUCUUUAAGGAAUCAAAUGUGAUUCUUGAAUACUCUUGAAGUGAGAAAAUAUUUUUAAGAAUUCUACUAGAUUGAUGGAGAGUUUUAAGAAUUAUUUUCAAUAUUUAACAUAAAAAUUUGAAACCAUUAGGCUCAAAAUCUUAGGAUAAAUUUAAAAUAAUAUGGUACCAUUAUUUGGAUGUGCAUGUGGAGGUGCUAUAACCUUCCCCACAUACCGAUUCUCAAACUCUGUUCUGGUUAGUAGACCCAAACCUAUUCUUUUAGAGACUCUUAGUCAAGCUUAAAAGUUCAUUAAAAGUAUAGAUUCUUUAAGUGGCCAAUCACACCUAAAUAAAAAAAUUGGUGGCUACUCUAUUUAUUUUGUUAAAUCUAGCUAUAGAUUUUUGGAUCUAUAUGUUAUGAUAGUUUGACGACUCUACUGAGGAUGACCAUAAAGAGUCAAGCCAUAAACUUUUGAAUUUAUCCUCUCCUUUGGUCUAAUGGUUUUAAUGAUUUUUGUUAUCUGUUUAUUAACAUUUUUUUGUCUUGUCUUUUAUUUUUGGGGUAUGAAACCCAUAUGUUCCUUCACACACACUAUCACAUGCAUUUGCAUUACAUGAGCUCUAUACCCGAGCUCCAUCCCUCUUAAGAGAGAGUAAAGUAUCUACGCUCUCGUGAGAUGAUAAUCUUCGUAAUGGCUAGCACAAUACUCCUACUCAAAUUAAAUCAUUUUCAUUGGUAGCCUGUUAUGGGUGAGGAAUGGACUGCCUUACUAGUCUAUGAAGGAGAUGAUAUAAGGAAUAAUUUAGGAACCUUUUAGUGGUCAAAAUUUCCUAACCCUACAUAUAGUUCACCCCUAAGAGACGAACUUAAGAUAGAGCCCUUCCUGCCCAUCAAUAGAUAUAACCCAAAAUUACGAUACAAGAAGGAAUAGUUUGUUAUCUAACCAUUUUGUUUGCUUGAUUUUAUGCAUCUACACCAUUUUCAUAUCAUUUCAUUCUAUACAUCAUUUUCAUCCUCAUCCUCAUGUUUUAGUAUUGUCAUACCAUUUCAUUAUAUGUAUCAUUUUCAUGAUCAUGUUUAACACUAUCAUUUGCAUCAUUCUCAUAUAGAAAAUAUUUACUACAUAUUAGUUAUUGAUAAAUCAUAUCUCACACUUACAUUCAUAGAAAGCCAAAUGUAACCAAAGUCUACAUUAGUCCAUUAUGAGUCUGCUCAUCAAUUGAAAAUCAAGUCAGAGAAAGGUAAAAAAAAAACACGGAGAUUACUUGCCUAAAAAUUUUAUCUCAUCAUUGCCUGAGAAAGUUCAUCUUGAGCUACAGCAAAAUGAUCUAGCCGACUUAAGCAGUGUCUAGGGAUGCAUUAGUAGAAUAAGGCUGGAGGCAUUUGAGAAUAGAUAUGGAGACAUAGCUUUACUGCUUCAGGUGAAAGUGGAUAAUAAUUUAAUUAGAGCCAUUAUUCAGUUUUAGGAUCCUUCUUAUAGAUGUUUCAUUUUCAAUGAAACAGACAUGGUGCCCAUAAUUGAAGAGUAUAUAGUCCUAUUUCACUUUGAUUUGCCAAAUCCAGACAAGAUUUACUGGUCCAACAAGGUGGGCUAUCGUAAAAAGCUAGUGCAAAUGCUUGGACUUAGAUUGCCUUAAGUCGAUGCAUGUGUCAAGAUAAAAGGUGAAAAUAAGGCUAUUCCAUGAAGUUUUCUAUGAGAUUUCAUCCAUGGACAUAUAGAUGAUGAUUAGGGGUUAGUGGCUAUAGCUAUAGCUUUAUAUGGACUGAUGAUCUUCCUAAAAGUCAUCAAGUAUGUUGAUGUCACAGUGAUAGAUUUUAUAGAUCAGUUAGCAUACAAAGUCAAUGCGGCACCAACUAUUUUGGUAGAAACCAUUCUUUCUCUAAACUUUUACCAUAAAAAUGGUAAAGGUCGAUUCAAUGGAUGCCUACAGCUAUUUUAUGUAUGGAUGAAAAGUCACAUUGAAUGUAAAAAAAGUCUGUUUCGUAAACCAUACCUUCAUUUUAGCAUCCUUAUCAAGAAAUUUUAUUACAGCACAUGGCCUCAAGCAAAGUCAAAAGAAGAAUGUGUUUCUUACUUUCGAGCCCUUGAUAAUUAAGGGAUAGUUUGGAGAGUACCUUGGAUGCAUCAUGAUACAGUGUUAUACAAUUAUGGGGAUCAGCCAUAGGUGUUCUUAUUAGACCUAUGGGGUAUUGUUACUUAUGCCCUAACUUUUGUAAGAAGACAAUCUGGAUGUGAGCAAUUCAUUUUAGAAACCUAUGGACUUAACUAGUGAGAGUUCUCAUUCAUUGAUAAAGGGGCAUAUAGAGUGGUUGAAAAGAUAAAAAAAAGCAUGGAAGCAAACCACCAUGGUUAACUAAGAGAGGUUUACCUACAACGUCACCCCAUAAUAUAGUGUAUGGCAUGUGAGAAGGGAAAAGGACAUUGUGCUUCCUAGUGAACAAUUAGGGCAUUCUUAAAAACCUAUUCUUCAAGAUCCUUUUCUUAAAGUGGAAACAGCUAAGAGAAAACUCUAAUUCGAGAAAGACGAGUUGAAACAAGAAAAUAAGUGAUUGAAGUCAGAAAUGAAAAAGAGUUUGAAGCUUCAAGAAUUGAAAAUCUAGAGCCCGACAGAGUAAAAAGAUCAGUAGAGAGCCUUAUUUAAUGAUCUAGACAUGACACAUUAAUCAGUCACACCCAACCUUGCUCGACUUCUAAAAAAAAAUGAAUUGCUAAAAGCAAGGGUGGAGAAAAAACAAAAGGCCACUGCUAGGGCUCACAAACAUAGGCAGAUGCUCAAGAAAUAGUGGAUUGAUGCACAGUACAAGUAAAAGCUUUGUCUGAUGAAUACAUGAUACAAGCUCAACAGAAUGAGCUAUAAAAAGACAUGUGCAUAGAAAAACAAAGGCAUCUAAAGUAUUUGUUCGACCAAUUAUGUAUCCCUGCAAAUAAAGCUUCAAAAAUGGAAGAAAAAGUGAAAGAUUUGAAGGCUAUGGUGCAACCAAUGGGAGUUCAUAGGCGACAAGUGCUUGACUUCCUAUACGAAGCAUAAAAUCAUUACCAGCAAGCUAGGAAAUUUAUAGGGAGACAUUAAAAAUAAAGGAUGAUGUUUAGGACUUUAGAAUAUUGCUUUGACUUUAUUAGGAUGUAAUUUUGAAAUUCUAAAAAAAGUUUCAGAUGGAGAUUUCUUUUAUCAAUAAUGAUAAUGUGGCAAACAUUAGUACACUUCAUGCAUGCAUUAGCACAUCUAAACAUAAAGCACAUAGUUUCUAAUAAAUAAUAUGAUUAUGCUACUCAAGGUUCAAGGAUAGCUUCGUCUAGUAAAACCCUACUCAUCGAUACAACACAAGGGCCAGAGCUAGACAAAUGGAAUAAGAAAACUCUUAUCGCCUUGAGAAAAUAAAAAAAGCUCAGGAAAAGCUUGAAAAUGAGUUAAGUAAGAUUUUGGAUGCUCUCAACAAGCUAAACAACGAAAAAAAGAUAGAAGAGAACAGAGCCAAUAGGGCCCUUCAUCAUAAAAAAUGACUGACCCCCUAUAUCCAUUUGGUUUUGAUCCACCUCAAGCUCAGUCUACACAAGAGGUUCCAUCACAACAAUUCACAUAUCCUACAUAUCUUGGAAUGCCAUCAGCCUCUAAUCCAGGGCAUUACCAUAGCUAUGUGAAUUCUAUCUUUACUAAAAAGACAGUAGAACCAAUUUAAGUUCCUAAUCUAGAUGAACUAAAAGAAAAAGAGAAAGAAAAGGCAAAAGUGGAAUCUCAGGAAGACUAAAAGAUUAGUAUGCUAGAACAAAGGUUACGAUCUUUGGAAAGAAUUGGUUUCUAUGGUUCUAUCAAUGAUGUUGGACUUUGCUUAGUCCCAGAUGUGGUUAUUCCUCCAAAGUUCAAAGUACCAAAAUUUAAAAAAUAUGAUGGUACAAAGUACCUAAAAACUCAUAUUACCAUGUAUUAUCGGAAGAUGGCAAUCCAUGCUCACAAUGAAAAGCUACUAAUGCAUGUUUUUCAAGAUAGCCUUACGGGCUCCACCACUAAGUGGUAUGUCCAGCUAGAUAGAACCUGCAUCCAUUCUUGAAGUGAUAUGGCUCAUAACUUUAUUAAUUAAUACUGACAUAUCAUGGAUUUGACCCCUGAUCAUUUGUCUUUGCAAAAUAUAGAGAAAAAAGUAAAUGAGUCUUUUAAAGAAUACACCUAGAGAUUGAGAGAUAUAGCCUUUCAAGUGCAACCUCCACUAAUUGAAAAUGAAACUAUAAUGUUGUUUGUCAGCACUCUGAAAUCUUCUUAUUAUGAAAAGAUGAUAGGGAAUGUAAUAAAAAAUUUCACCGAUAUGAUGAUCUCUGACGAAAUUAUUGAAAGUGCCAUCAAGAAUGGUAAGUUAGAGGGAGGGGAAACAUAUACUAAAAGAGCCUCAAAGAAGAAAGAGACUGAAGCUCAAGCUGUGAGCUUUGAUAGAUAAUAGUUCAGGGGUUAUCAGUCUUACACACUACAGAGCCUCUCAAAAUUAUUCCACUAUGAAUAAUGCUUACCAGUACCAACCAAAUUCGUAGCCACUCUACUCCCUAACCUAUCAAUCCCCUUUUAGACCAUAAACUGUCACAUAUGGCUCUAAUGCUCAACCUUCCCCUAGACCUUAAAUCCGUGCGGCUAGUCCUACAAGUGGUUCACGAGAGCAAUGAACUACUUGUGAAAAGCUCGUAUUUGAUCCAAUUUCCAUGACAUAUACGAAAUUAUAUCGAGAACUCUAUAAUAAUCAUCUAAUUGCUUCUAACCGAGUAAAGCCACUUAAGCCACCAUACCCUAAAUAGUAUGAUCUUACAGCUUAUUAUGAGUAUCACUAUGGGAUUGUUGGUCAUUCCAUCGAGAAUUGCACUAUCUUAAAACACAAAGUGCAAUGAUUGAUCAAUAAUGAAAUGGUCAAUUUUGAUACAAGAGGGGAAGCUGCACCAAAUGUUAGUGGUAAUUUUUUGCCUAAUCAUCAUAUGAAUGUUCUAAGAGAAAAACGAGAGCAUUAUCUGAAAAAGAAUGUGGCAGAGAUCAAGACCCCUUUCAGUCAGCUAUAUGAUGUUUUAUAAAAAGCUGACAUGAUACAGUUAGUCAGUCCAUAUACUUAUCAUGAAGCAUAUAUAGUAGAUGAAAGCUGUAAAUACCAUAAUGGGGCAUCUGGUCAUUUUAUUAAAACCUAUAAGUAAUUUUUUUAGAGGUACAAAAGCUCAUAGAUUCAUACCAGGUUGAAUUCUAUGAUGAAAGAUAUGAUUCAAAGAAUGCUAAAGUGUCAAUGAUCGACCAAUCAUCAAAACUAUUUCCAAGGCCGUUAACAAUUUAUUGUGGGGAUAAGCCAAGGUCAACUGUAGACAAGUUCACCUCUAGGUCAGUAACCUUUAAAGUCCCUACUCCAUUCCCUUACAAAAGCAAUAGGGCUAUGCCAUAGAAAUAUGGCUGUAACACAAUAGUUCAAGGGUAAGAAAAAAUGUCUCUAAGCUUAAUAUUGCUAAUAUAACUGGAGUGGGAGGUAUCACCCGAAGUGAAAGAUGCUAUACUCUAGAAAUGUUGAAAAAGGCUAGAAAAGAAAAGGCUAAGGUAGGCGAAGAAAGGAAAACCCUAAAAUGGUACCUAAAGAGGAUUACCCAAAAUCGAUGUCAGAAAAAGAGGCUUGUGACUUCUUGAAAUUGAUAAAACAUAGUAAAUACUCAGUGGUGGAAUAGUUAAAUAAGAUGUCAUCAUGAAUCUCAUUAUUAUCACUAUUAUUGAAUUCAAAACCACAUCGAAAUACCUUAUUGAAAGUGCUAAACCAGGCAUAUACGGCACAUAAUGUGUCUGUUGAAUAUGUAAACCACUUAGCUAGAAACCUGAUCAUGCCAAAUUACAUAUCAUUCAAUGAUGAUGAGAUUCUUCCAAAAAGAAGGGGAAACACCAAGGCUCUGUAUAUCACUGUCAAGUGCAAAAGCCAUAUUAUAGCCAAGGUCCUCAUCGAUAAUGGUUCUGCUAUCGAUGUCAUGUCUAUGUCAACCUUGGCAACGUUACCUGUUGAUUAUUAACAUAUGAAUGAUAGCCAAAUGGUUGUCCGAGCAUUCGAUAGGACCAUGUGAAAAGUUUUGAAAGAGAUAAAAAUGCCCCUAUAAAUUAGGCCAUAUACUUCAAUAUAAAAUUUUAAGUGAUAGAUAUCUCUUCAUCUUAUAACUGUUUGCUAAAAAGGCCAUGGAUUUACAUGGCAUGUGUUAUUCCUUCUACCUUGACCAACGGAUUAAGUUCAAUGUGAAGGGGCAGUUGGUAUUAGUGUUUAGAGAAGAAGACAUGUUAGUAACUUAGCUUGUGAAUGCUUCGUAUAUGAAAGCUACUGAAGAAGCAAUGGAAUGCUCCUAUUUAUCCUUUGAGUUAGUCAACUCUGUAAGUGAGGGACUUAAAAGCCAACAAUGUUUAAAGAUAAUGAUGUGUCAGGUUAUCAAUAAAGGUUGGUAUCUUAGAGUAGGAUUGGGCACAAAUUUAUAGGAGAUAAGGAAGCCUCCAACAACGAUGGAUAACAAAAAGAGCCUGGGUCUUGGUUAUGAAACAAAAAAUUGAAAAAUUAGGGAAAGACAAGCCAACAAGACAACAAUGAUCAUCCCACACUUAUAUAAAACCUUUAAGCCUGGAAAAUUCAUGCACUCAGAUGCGGAGAAAGAUUUAGAACAAAUUAUGGAUGAGACAUUUGCUAAGUUAUCCAUCCAUGCGAUUGAAGAUGAAAGUGGGAAAAAAAAAAGAAACAUGGGUUUGUCUUUGUCUACCAGAUUACGAGCUGAACAAUUUGAGUAUUAUUGAGAUGCCUGCUAUCCUUGGUACUGAUUCAAUGUAAUUGAACAUCCUAAUAGCUUAUGCCUAAGGCUUUGGGAUGGUCUUUCUUGUUUGGGCCAUUUAUCUAUUAUUAUUUUAAUAAUAAAAUUAGGAAGGAUGUAUUUUCAUUCAUUUCUUCUAGUACUUUCAUUUUUCAUUUUUCCAUUCCUUUUAUAUAUUUCACCAACAUAUCCCAUUUCAUUCAAUUUUAGGUCCUUAAAUGAACAAAAAAAUAAUCAUGAUAAUGAUCAAAGGGUUAAUUUUUAAAAAAAUUAAUUAACACUGAUGCCCUUAAUAAUGAAGAUGAUUAUGAAGAAUAUGUUAUUCCUCCGGACCUAAUGACAUUAAUUGAGCAAGAAAGUAAAGCAAUUGAGCCUUACCGAAAAACAACUGAAUUGGUAAAUUUAAAAGAUGAGGAGAAUAAAAAAAAAGUUAAAAUUGGCACAUCACUUUCGUCGACAGACAAACAACAAUUGGAAAAUCUACUUCAAGAAUUCAUAGAUGUGUUUGCUUGGUCUUAUUAGGAUAUGCUUGGGCUUAAUACAUAAAUAGUAGAGCAUAAACUGCCUUUGAAGCUAGAAUGUAAACCAUCAAACAAAAAUUGAGGCGAAUGAAACCUAAAAUGUUAUUGAAGAUAAAAAAAAGAGGUGAUGAAGUAGUUUGAUGCAUGUUUCUUACAAGUGGCCAAAUAUCUACAAUGGGUAGCCGAUAUUUUACUAGUUCUUAAAAAGGAUGAAAAAGUACAAAUAUAUGUAGAUUAUCAUGAUUUGAAUAAAGCUAGCCUAAAGGAUAGCUUUUCUUUGCCUUAUAUUGACACGCUAGUGAUAAUAUGGCUAAACAUUCAAUGUUCUUCUUUAUAGAUGGGUUCUCAAGGUAUAACCAAAUAAAGAAGGCUACGGAUGACAUAGAAAAAACCAUUUUCAUGACCAUGUAGGGGAUGUUUUGCUACAAAGUCAUGCUCUCUUUGGUCUAAAGAAUAUUGGAGCAACAUACCAAAGAGCCAUUGUUAUGCUCUUUCAUGAUAUGAUGCACAAAAAAAUUGAGGUGUAUGUAGAUGAUAUGAUUGUAAAAUCUUGAGAAGGUGAAGAUCAAGUCACCAACCUCAUAAAGUUAUUUGAGAGGUUAAAAAAAUUCUAACUCAAGUUAAAUCCAGUCAAGUGCACCUUUAGGGCAAAGUCAGAGAAGUUGCUACGCUUUAUGGUAAGUGAAAGAGGGAUUGAGGUCGAUCCAGAUAAAAUAUGAGCCAUUCAAAAUUUGUCACCUCCAAGCACUUCGAAAGAAGUUCGAGGUUUUUUGGGUAGAUUAAACUACAUUUCUCAAUUUAUAUCCCAGCUGACCUACAAAUGUGAUCCCAUAUUUAAACUUUUUUGCAAGAACAACCCUAGAGAAUGGAAUGACGAAUGCCAAGUGACUUUUGAUAAAAUUAAGCAAUACUUGUCUAAUCCACCAGUAUUAGUGCCACUUAUUGCAAUAAGACCUUUAAUCUUAUACCUCACGAUGUACGAGAAUUCAAUGGGAUGUGUGCUAGGGUACAAGAGGGAUCUAGUAAAAAAAAUAGCUAUUUACUAUCUGAUAAGAAAUUUACAAAAUAUGAGUCAAAGUACUUUUUUUUAGAAAAAAUGUGUUGUGCAGUAGCUUGGACUAUUAAAAGACUUAAACAGUAUAUGCUCUAUCAUACCACAUGGCUCAUAGCAAAAUUGGAUCCAAUUAAAUACAUCUCCAAAAAGCCCUCUUUAUCUAGAAGAAUUGCUAGAUGACAAGUAAUGCUCUCAGAGUAUGAUAUCGUAUAUGUGAGCCAGAAGGUAAUUAAAAGAAAUACCAUAGUCGAGUUUCUCACAGAUCGUGUUACUGAAGAUUAUGAGUCGAUGAGAUUGGAAUUCUCUGAUGAAGAUUUGAUGAUCGUUUCUCAGCUAGAAAAGGAAGAGCACAAAAAGAACCAUUGAAAAAUGUAUUUUGGUGGAGCUACCAAUGCCUUGGGACAUGAAAUUAGGGCAAUCUUGAUUUCUUCAGAAGAAUAAUACUAUCCUAUAACAGCGAGGUUGAAUUUUAAUUGCACAAAUAACAUCGUUAAAUAUGAGGCAUGGGUCAUGGGUUUGCAAAUUACUAUAGAUAGAAAUGUUAAAGUAUUAAAACUGUUUAAGAUUCAGCUCUAGUUAUAUACCAACUGAAAAAAGAUUGGGAGAUGAAAGAUUCGAAACUCAUUUUAUAUCAUAAGUAUAUCCUAUAGCUAAUCAAGUAGUUUGAAGAUAUUCAAUUUGAUCAUCUAUCUUGGGAGGAGAAUUUAGUUACUGAUGCCUUGACUAAUCUAGCAGCAAUGGUUCAAAUUAAUGAUAGCACUAACAUUCAGCCCUUCAAGCUAGAUGUUAAGGACAUGCUAACUUACUACUCUAAUAUAGAAGAAGAUGAUGAGGAUGGGAAUCCUUGGUAUUAUGAUAUUUUAUAGUACAUUAAAAAUUGAUAAUACCCAGUUCAUGUAACUGAGAAUGAUAAAAUGGUCAUUCGAAGACUAGCUAUGAGUUUCUUCUUAAAUAGAGAUGUUCUUUAUAAAAGAAGUCAUGACCAAAGUAUUGUCGAGGUGUGUAAAUAAGGUUUAAGGCUAAAAAAAAAUAUAUUCAAAGGCAUAUAUAAAUAUGUGAGGCACCAUACCAUAGACAUGAUAUGAUGGUAAAAAGAUCAUGGAUAGGUACUAUUAGUCGACAAUAGAGGUGAUUUGCAUUGACUACACAAAAAAAUGUCACAAGUGCAGAUCUAUGCUUAUAGGAUUCAUGGCUCUAACCAUCCGCUUACAGUGUUUUUGACACCACCCUGGCUAUUUUCUAUGUAGGGCAUAGACGUUAUUGGUCUUAUUACCCCAAAAGCUUCUAAUGGGUAUAGGUUCAUUUUCGUAAUGAUAGAUUAUUUCAUAGAAUUGGUGAAAGCAGCAUUAUUUGGAAGUGUGACACGAUCUAUAGUCUGCAAGUUUAUAAAAAAAAAAUCAUUUGCAGAUAUGAACUUCCAAAGAGAAUCAUUUCAAACAAUUUUAAGAAUUUGAAUAGCAAGAUGAUGUAAGAAAUAUAUGCCUAGUAUAAGAUCAAGCUCCAUACCAUCAAAAAAUGAAUGGGGCAGUUGAGGCAGCUAAUAAGAAUAAAAAAAGAAUUUUUGAAAAGAUGACUGAGACUUAUAAGGACUGACAUGAGAAGUUACCAUUUGCACUACAUGCGUAUUAAAUGUCAGUGUGUACCUCUACUAGGGCAACCCUAUUUUCAUUAGUCUAUGAGAUAGAAGUUGUAUUACCAGUAAAAGUAGAGAUCCCAUCCUUAAAGGUUUUAAAAGAAGUUGAACUGAAAGAGGUUGAAUGGAUUCAAGAGCACUAUGAACAGUUGAAUUUCAUCGAAAAAAAUAGAUUAACAGCAUUAUGCCAUGGUCAGCUACAUCAAAGAAGAAUGAUGAGGGCUCAUGAUAAAAAGGUUCAACCUCGUUGUUUUCAGGAAGGAGAGUUGGUCUUGAAAAGAAUCUCUCAAGUUAGCAUGAUAAUAGAGGAAAAUGGACUCCAAAUUGGAAAGGGCCAUAUGUUGUGAAACGAGCUUUCUUUAGUGGAGCGUUGAUAUUAGCUGAGAUGGAUGGAAAUGAUCUACCUCAUCCUAUAAAUUUUGAUACUACGAAGAAAUACUAUGCUUGAAAAAAAAAAGAAAAAAAUAGAAAAAAAAGAAAAAAGAGAAAAAAUUAAAAAAAAAGAUUCAAAACAAAAUCCUCAAAAUGAUAGUUUGAGUCAAAAGAGAGUUUAUCUAAGUUGAAAACCUAAAAAGAUAACUUAGAUAAAGAGAAUACAGCAUCAAAUUUGGAAGUUUAUUGGCAAAGAGGUUAGCAUGUUCUGAGGAGCUCCAAGUUGUUAAGUGCAUUGGGUGAUUAAAUUUUUUAAAAAGGACUUUAAGAUAUGUUAUCAUGAUUAUCUGAUUUUUUUAUUUUUUUUAUUUUUGAGCUUUAUCCCCAUACCCAUUUUUGUGAUUCUUUCUUUACCAAUUGGCCAAAGUUUGUUAUCAUUUUUGCUAAUAAAAGAUAUUUUAUUUCAUUCUUUGUCUCUUCUAUUAAUUAUUUCCUAGUCAUUCUUAUUCUUUUCUCUUCAAUACUUUACAAUGGAGGAAAUGUGUGAAUGCAUUCUUGCUUUUUGAGAUUGAAAUAAUGAUUGAUAAAUGAAUAAUAGCAUGAAAGAUUUUUUUUUUUUUUACAUUGAAAAGGUUGAGAGUGAUAAAGACAAAUUUGAAAUGCUCAGUUCUUGAUAAGGACCUUAAAUUCAAAAAGAGAUUUCUUGAAAAUGAAAAGAUGAGAAUUAAAUAAGAGAAAUGAUUUAGAGUUACAUUGAUUUAGCCAUAGUACUUGAAGAUUGAUAGGGGUUUAGGGCCCAAGAAAAAAAAGCUUGAGAAACCUGAGUAAAACAAGAUUUCAUGACAUUAUUAAUGUUUGCAUUCCAUGCAUCACGUUGGCAUUGUUGUUUGAAUAAUACUUGUAUAUAAUUUGAUGAGUUAAAACUUUGUUUGGACAUGUAUGGCACUAUGAGAAUCUAGGUUGUUGCAUUUGCAUCAUUAAGAAAGCAUUUGCAUCUUUGAUCAUGACAUUAAUUCAUGCAAAAUUUUGGGUCAUCUAAAAAGAAAUUGUGAACUUUUUGAUGAAAAUUUUUGAAUUUUGAAUAAGAGUCUUUAAAUUUCAAAAAAAAAUCUUUGAGUUUUAAGUUUCAAAUGAGAAUCUUUGAAAUAUGAAACUUUGAGAUUUAUUGAAUGAGAACCUUUGAGUUUGAAUGAGAAGCUUUGAAUUUUUUAAUGUAAAUCUUCAAAAUUCAAAUGAAAGUUUUUAAAUGUUGAAUACGAGUCUGGCAACUCACAAAUGCAAAUUUUGAGAUCUUGCAAAUUUGAAUUUCUAUGAAACUGAAAUUUUGAGAAUUAAAUUUUAAUGAAUUCUUGUGGAGCUGAAAUGUUUUUGUGAAUUUGAGCCUUUGAAUGUCGAACUCAAAUUGUGAAUCUUUGAGUUUCCAUUACAAAUUCCAUCAGACAUGAUCUAUGACUCAUCCGAUCAUGAUUGUGAAAGAGUGAUUUAUUUUUUUAAAGUUCUAUUGCCUUUAUUCAGAGGAGCUAUUUAUUUUUUCAAAGUUCUGUUGCCUCUGUUCAGAGGAGCUAUUUAUUUUUUCAAAGUUGUAUUGCAUCUAUUCAGAGGAGCCGUUUAUUUUUCCAAAGUUAUGUUACUUCUAUUUAGAGGAGUCGUUUAUUUUUCCAAAGUUUUAUUGUCUCUAUUUAAAGGAGCCAUUUAUUUUUCUAAACUUCUGUUGCCUCUAUUCAGAGGAGUCAUUUAUUUUUUUCAAAAUUUUGUUGCCUUUAUUCAGAGGGGCCAUUUAUUUUUUCAAAGUCGUUGAGCCUCUGUUUAGAGGAGCAUUUAUUUUUCUCAAAGUUGUUGAGCCUCUACUUAGAUGAGCUUUGAUCAAAAUUUUAACAAGAAAAAAAAUAAAAAAAAAUAAAAAAAUAAGAAAAGUGUCGAGUUAAGUCUUGAAUUGGUGUUUACGUCUUUGCACAAUUCUUAUUUCACAGAAAAUGUGUAAAAAGGGAUAGCUGUAGACACCCAAUUUGAUACAGGCCUGGAUCAAUUGAGCAUGAUCUAAAUGGGGCAAGAUGGAUCUAUUUUUUAUUUUUAUUUUUUUUUAUUAUUCUUAUAAAUAAACGUUGGAACAUAGAUCAAAAUACACAAAACAGAAAAAAAUAGAAGCAAAAAAAAGGGUCAUAGAAGGUAGAAACAAUUUUAUAUUUUUAGCAAUUUUUUGAAUUUUAAUUUUUUUUUAGAAAAAUUCUAAAAUCUGAUCAAUUUUUCAGUGAAUUUUUUGAUCAACUUUGAAUUUUUGACAAGAUUUAUCAGUUUUCGAUGUGUUUUUUUAGAUUUCGAUAAAAAUUCAACCAGAAUCUCAAUUUUUUUUAAAGAAAAAGAAGAGAAAAAAGAAUGAAGAGAGAGAGAAGAAGAAGGAUUCUGAAGGAAAGCUUAAAGUUUGGGCUUAUAUGCCCGUUGAAAAUGAUGCCAUUUUGACCUUACUAAUCUCAGAGAAUCCGCGCAUUUUGCCAUCGGGCUACCCAACCCGAGCGCCAACCCCCAUCUGACCUGCGUGCCAGCCGUCCCCUAGAGCCGAGCCCAUAAGCCACUUUUUAUUUCUACAGUUGAGCCAUUUUCAGAUUUGUUUUUGUAUUUUCUUAUUUAUUUUAUUUAAGUAUUUUUUUCCCUUAGUUUUUUUUAGUAAAUUAAAUAAAAAAUAAUAAAAAAUAAAUUUUGAGAAUAAAUAUUAAUUAUCCAAUGAUGAAAUUUAUAAAAAUUUCAAAUGGUAAAUUUUUAUAAAAUUCCUAAGUGAGAAAUUUGUCUAAAUUUGGCCCAAAUUGUGAAAUUUAGAUAAAGUUUCAAUAACAAUAAUUAAUAGUUAUUUUCAAACAAAAAAUAAUAAUAAAAAAUAAAAAACAUAAAAAUAUAAAAAAAUUUUAGAAUUAAAUACAAAUUAUCCAAUGAUGAGAUUCUUAGAAAUUUCAAAUGGUAAGUUUAUAAGAAAUCUUUAGGUGAGAAAUUUUCUCUAAAUUUGACCCAAAUUGUGAAAUAAUUUAGAUGAAAUUUCAAUAUAAAUAAUUGUAUUAUUUUCCAAAUAAAAUUUUGAUUGAAAAUAUGUGAUAAUUAUCCAAUGAUGAGAUUUUUAGAAAUUUCAAAUGGUGAAUUCCUAAGAAAUCUUUAGGCGAGAAAUUUUUUUUUAAAUUUGGCCCAAAUGGUGAAAUAAUUUAGAUGAAAUUUCAAUAAAAAUAAUUGUCAUAUUAUUUUCUUUCAAGAAAAAAAAUUUUCUAAAUAGGCUCAAAUGGUGGAGUAAUUGGAUAUAUUUUCAACAAAAAAAAACCAACAAAACAAAAAGAAGAAUAAUAACUAAACAUUUUUUCAACGACGGAGCCUUUUCAAGGAAUCAAAUGCGAUUCUUGAAUACUUUUGAGGUGAGAAAAUAUUUUUAAGAAUUCUAUCAGAUUGAUGGAGAGUCUUAAGAAUUAUUUUCAAUAUUUAAAAUAAAAAUUUGAAACCAUUAGACUCAAAACCUUAAGAUAAAUUUAAAAUAAUAUGGUACCAUUCUUUGGAUAGGCAUGUGGGGGUGCUAUAACCUUCCUCACUUGUAACUGAUUCUCGAACUCUGUUAUGGUUAGUAGACCCGAAUCUAUUCUUUUAGGAACCCUUACUCAAGCUUAUGAGUUUCUUAAAGGAUAGGUUCCUAAUGUGGCCAAUUACACUUAGAUAAAAAAGAUUGGUGGUGACUCUAUCUAUUUUGUUAAAUCUAGCUAUAGAUUUUUGGAUCUAUAUGUUAUGACAAAACCUAUGGAACUUAAAUCAACUAAAGCUAAAUAUUUCUUCUGGUAGAUCCUAACCACACUUUUUGGACUAAAUAAUUGAUAGGACCUUUAACUUUAUUAUUUUUGUCGUUCAAUAUUUUUAGAUGUCAAAUUAAGACUGAUAAAAAACCCAACUUAAAGAACCUAUUCAAGUUGCAUGGGAGAAAGCAAAUAUACCUUGGAUAAGCUAUUGUGAUAAUUCAUGCACUUGAUCUUUUUCUCUAUAAUGUCGAAACCUUUGCUCUCUGAAUUCCCAAGUCUCUAAUCACAUAAUUCUACAGAAAAAUUACAAAUGUUCCUUGUAAUUUUAUAUUUGUAUUUAGUUUAACAAAUAAUGCCUAAGCAUUAAACACUCUAAAAUUCAAAGAAAAAAUAUUUACAUUAACUAAUUUUAAUUGAAAGUUAGUAUAAUUUGCAAAGUUACCUGAAUAGGGUUAGCGAAAAAUCUAAUAUUAAUGUGAAAAAGAAAAUUCCUUAUUAAUAUUGCAAAUUGUUUCUCUAAAGGAACUUGAAUAUUUAAUUCUUUUUGUAUUUGUAUUUAAUGUGAAAUUCAUUUUUGUGACUCAAUAGAAGUCUAAUAAUAAAAAGAGAGUUUAAAUCACAAUUUUUAAGAAGUAUAAUAAUAAAAGAGUUCAAAUUAUAAUUUAUCUUAAUAAAAUUUUAAUAAUAAAAAAGUUAUUUUAAUUAAAAUUUAUUAAAAAUUUUGCUAAGGGUAUUUUGUUUAUUCAUUAUUAUCACUUUUGGAGUUCAUACUUUUAUAUAUAAAUGAUAUAUAAGAUUUUAGUUAUAAAAUAAAAGGAUAGACUGGUUAUCUAAAAAAGGAUAAGGAAAAACAUGAGGCUGCAUCUGUCACUUCUAAUGAUCUUAAUGGGUUUUUAGAUGCAUUUUAUUUAUGCACAAAAUAAUGAGUGUAAUCUAUUAGCUAAAUUUAUAAUGCAAAUUGAGCAACCAUUUGUUUUUAUAAAUGAACGUUUUAAUAAUUUUAUUAGAAAUGGUAUAUUACCCAAUUAUAAAACAAUUUCAAAAUAUACUGGUAGAUCAGAUGUUUUUAAAAUAUUUUUUCUUAUAAAGAAAAUUUAAUAUCUUGUUUAUCACAAAUUUCUUUUAGAACUUCACUUAUUUAUAAUAUUGGACCAGUCGAUAAAACCUUGGUUAUAAGUGUAUUAUUGGCCAUUGGACAAAUGAUGUGUUUGUGCUUUUUUUAUAUAUUAAUAUUGUAAUUUCAAUGUCUUUAUUAAGUGGAUUCUAUUGACUAUUUUAGUAAAUAUAGACAUUUUGCCAAACCAUAUAAAUUAUAUGUCUUUUUUAUUUCUUGAUAUGUUUAUUAUCUCCUACAUGUUAUUUUUAAUAAUAAUAAAUAAUUUUUUUAAAAAAAAAUUAAAAAUUAAAAAAAAAUAUUGGGUUGUGCUUGGCCCAACUCGACAUAAAAAAUAAUGUUGUACUUGGCAUGGCAUGACCCAAAAAAAUUACGGACUAUGUGCCAUUGCUAGGCUAUACCCUUAACUUUCAUUGGCUAUGCCAGCAUGGCACAUUAAAAAACAGUACUGAGCCAACAUGAUUUGUUAACAUAUGGGCUAAUAUUUAAAUAGGUAGUACCGACCUAACAUAGCUCAUUUGAUAUCUCUACUUAAAAUUCUUUAAUUUAUUUUUUCAUUUUGAUUUUUUAUUAUAUAAUAAAUUAAUAAAUAAAUUUUAUUAUGACAUAAUAAAUUAAUAAAUAAAUAAAAUUUAAUUUAAUUUUUAUUAUUUAUUAAUAAAAUUAUUAUUUGAAAUAAUUUAAUAUUUUUUAAUUAUUCAUUCGUUUUAUAUAUGUUAAAUCAUUUAAAAUUUUAAUUUUAAUGGCUCUAAUAGUCUUUUUUUGUCUUCAGUACAAUUCACCUUACUGUUGUUGUUAUUUUUGUAUUUAAACCCAUAUUUUAACAUUGAUUUUAAUUUUAUUGUUACAGUACUUAAUUUUUUAUUUAUUAUUGUUUUUAAUUUCACCAAAAUUAAUCUUACCAUUAUCCAAAUAGACCCUAAAUCUAAUUUUCUAGAAAACCAAUCUGCCUUUAGAAUCUGCAUCAUUCACUUGAUUUUCAGCAUUUUAACUUCUAAGUCCUUUAAAAAUUGAAGAUAAGAAUCCAAAAAUAAGUCAUUGAGCAACAAGCUUCCGGCUAUAUACGCUUUCAACAGCUAAAAGAGAGUGAUACUGCACGUUAAAGUUUUAUAAGAUGAUGCAAAUUGAAGGUUAAAAACUGUAUUUUCUACCUACAUAACUCUGUUACUCUAAUUUUGGUUCUCCUUGUUUAACUUGUUUGGUCAAAUAAACAUAAUUUUGUAUAUCUAUAUUUUGCAAAAUAUUGACUAUAAAAAAAAAUCACAAGUUUAAAAUUCAAGCAACUGUUGAAACUUGAAGUUUAAUUGAGGUCUUGUUGUUGAAUUUUAUGAUAAAUAAGAUUAAACUUAGAUAUUGGAGAAAACUUUCUCAUAUUAAUACAAAUCAAAAUCCUUUUGUACUCAAGAAAAGAAUUUAAAACGUUUUUAAAUUUUGAAUUAAUCAAUCUAAUAAUUUAAUAAUUGAAGAUAAAAAGUUCAAUCAAUUUUGAUCAAAAGAACCGAAUUGAGGUAUAAAUAAAUUAAGACAAAAGGGAGUACUAUUUCUUUUUUUUUCCUCUAAAAAAAUAUUAAUCAGUACCCUAAACCUCAAAAAGUAAAUGCCAAAACGGGGGCAAAGCAAGGUUACUUGGAGCCUUCAGCCAGAAAAUGAUAGCUAUUACAUUAUAUCCGCACACAAGAUAUUAUUUAUUUUGAUUAAAAAUUUUUUAAAUCUUUAAAUUUAGAUUUAUGUAUAUAUAUCAUAAUAAAAUUUUAAAAUAUUUUGAUAUAAGAUUGGGUGUUAUAAAUUUUCUGAUUAAAGUUUAAUAUUUUUAUCAAGUUUAAUGUAGAAUAUACAGACUUAGGAUCAUAUUAAACACAAAAUUAAAAUCAUACUAAAAAUGAGAAUUCUAAAGAUGAUACUUAUAUCGUAUAAUACUUGGGUCUCUUUUGCUAAAAUUCUAAAAAUAAUUUCUACAGUUUAAUAUUUUUUCCUUCAGUUUAUAAUUGCUUUGAUAUAGUAUUUUUUUUCCUUUAGUUUAUAAUUGCUUUGAUAUCAAUUAUGCAAAUUUAUCGCAUUUGAAUUAAUAAAUAUUUUUGACUCAAAAAACUUUACAAUUUUAUUUCAAAAAAUCACUUUACGAAUAUAAAUUUAAAUUUUUACUUAUAUACUACAACCGAUUUAUAAAAAAUCUCACAUUGAAACGCUGCGAAUUAAAUCUAGAAUUACUUAAGUUGCUUCAAAGUCAAAGUCUUUAUGUUAAUUUAAGUGCAUACAGAAAGCCAAAACCCAUCCGGUUAGUCUUUCAAAUAAUAUAAGAGAGUACCAUCACAUGAUGCCAAAAUUGAAGGUGCGCCAUCAAAUGGGGCCUCAAACGCAACUAUCAAAACCGAAGCAUACGUUCAGCUAAUACCCAUUAAGUCCGAAGACCCACAACUACAUUUUUCUUAGAAAUAGCUGUGACGUGCUCCACCUGCCUUCCCAUCAGCGAACUUCAAAGUUCAAAGGAUCAAAUUCAAUGUCCCUUUGCCUACACGUUGCGGGGCUGGUUUUGGUACAUAGCUUAGCUCAAGCAGACUUGACUUGCCUGAAGUUUUCUGUCAAGUCCACAAAAUAAAAAGCAACAGAUAGAUACCCCACAAUCCUUCUUUGCCUUACAACUUUAAGGGACUAACCAUGCAAGACAAGUAAAGUUUCUUUCAAUUAAUGUAUGUCCAGAAUAUGUGCUAACCAAUGAGUUUUAAAGCAAAGCUCGUUCAAAGUCAAGACCUAUACAGUGAAGCAAGACAAAGCUUCAACGUUUAAACGUAUCCACUCAAAAAACCCAUGUUAAGGGCCGAGAGCGUGGGCUCCACUUUAAUGUUGUGGGAUUGGUUUGCGUGCACUAGAAAAAUCCAAAACUCAAACCUUCAGACUUCAGACUGUCGAUUGGGCAAAACAAUGGCUUCAGCCCUCAACAGCAAGUAAAGUUGCUUUCAAUUAGUACAAUAUGACAAUACGUGUUGAAGAGUAACUGUUCCAGCAAUGAUCAUUCAAAUCAAAGAGCACGUUGUAUAGAAAUUAAGACUUGGAAGGAUGACUUGUUUGCACAAGAGCCGACCAAAACGAUGUUAGUUACAAAUUAUUACCAUUAAUUUUUGUUUAUAGCCUUAUGUACCAUACUAGUUUUUACUUUUUAUACAUAACAAAACCAUGAAAAGAGAGAAAACAAAAGCAAAAAAAUCAGCUACUGAACGCAGAGUAAACAUAGUAAAAAUAUUUUAUAUUUUCUUUAAGUAGAAAAAAAAUUGAAAUGCAACAGUACACAAUUUAAGGCAAGAGGAAAAUUAAAAAUCUUAAACUAUUUGUUCCUUUAUAACACCACAAGCGUCAAUGGCUAGUUUAUCAAUAUAUAUAAACUUAAAUUUAAAUAAAAAAUUUUAACAAAAAGAAAAUGUAAAUUUUGACGUCUGCCAUCAGUUCUGUUUCUUUUUUCUUUCUUUCUGGAUGAGUCUCUUGUCGAAACUACAUGGUUGCACAAUAUGGCAAAUGCACUUAAUGACGGACCGUUGUGGAAACCUGUGGGGGCCGCCAAAAAUUUUGAAAGCCUUUGAGGCCCAUGGCGGACACAAUCAAAUGAGGAGUUAAAAGCACCGUAGAAGAAUAGAAGAGGAUAAACUAAAAAGCACAAGGGGCUCAAUCCGAAGGUUAAGGUCUAGGCGUCAAUGAACUAUGUUAUUGUUGGAUUCUUCAUUUUUUUUAGAAGUAUUUAUGUUUGACAUAUAUACCAUAAAUGUAGAUAUGGAGGUUAGACAGUCCAAAUAUAUAUAUAAAAAAAAACUGAAAAAAACACAUUAUUGUAUUAAACAUAUAACAUAUCUAACAUUCACUUAAGAGUCUGAGUAUCAUAACAAAUAAAAAAAUUUAUAAUUUUAAUUGACCCCUCCAAAAUAAAAUGUCAAAAUCCGUUACUAAAUGCAUUGCCGAUUGUGUUUUCGUAGUCCAUGAUAUAUUUAUAUUUAAAUAUGACAAUAGUUGUAUCAUUUGUUGCAUCUUUCCUUCUAAAGAUUGAACAAAUUUUUUGCAAAAGUUAAUGAUGGUACAAUUUUGGUGUUGGGUUUUUAUCAACAACCUUAAAUGUAAAGAAAAUUUCCAGAAUUUUUUGUUUUUACUUCUUAAAACAUUUGUUUAUGCUGGUUUUUCAAAAAUUUUAUGUUUUUUUAAGCUCCUUGGUAACUUGGACGGGGAAUGUAUUAAGACACAUUUAAUAAACAUUUUCCAUAUUAAGAGCUGCCAAAAGACAUUUUCCAUAUCCUUUUUAUGUAUGUAUGAUGAAUUUCUUUAAUUCUUGUGUGCUUUAUGCCUUUACCAGAGACGUAUGUGAACUUAUUGUUAGUUCCAAAUAAUUGUUUAAAAAGAGAAACCAGGUUGGCAAUGGCAGUAAACCAAUCUUUCCAAAUUAACCCCAAGCGAGAUCAUCAAACGGCGUUAAAUCACAAAGGUAACAAAGGAAAAACAAAUUGUAAAAAGAUUUUUUUGUUUGUUGAAGAUUAUCCGAAUAUUUAUGCUCACUUGCAGAUUCAAACUUUAUUGGAUGUUUACCUUUUAACGAAAAUAUAUAAAAAUAUCCCACUGAGAUUUCUUUUCAAUUCUGCUGGUCAGGCAAUGACAUCGGUUUCUUUUCAAUUCUGAUCAUCAGGCAAUUGCAUCUCCAGUCUAGACUCACCACUGAAAAUCUACAUGGAGGAGAAAAACCAAAGGAAAAGAGGAAAAUAAUAGAGACGACAGCAACAGAGAGCUGGUGAGCGAAAGAUAGAGAUAUGUUGCACUACCAUGUACAUAUGUCGCCUGUAAAACUGCAUGUACCUCCCUAAGCCAACAUCUAGAAAUUAUAUACAUUUAUGUGGGACAAGAGAAAAAGAAAAGAAAAAAAGGGUGCUUUUAACACCAACAGAAAACCCCUCUAUCGUCGCUUAAAUCUUAUAAAAAAAACAUGUAUCAUAUGUACGUAUAUGGAUACGUAAGAGCAAAAAUGGCUUUAGUUGUAUAGCAUGUAGUAAUCUCUCAAACCAUAUCGCUGUACAUAAUGUGCAAAUAUACCAAUAUUGCAGAAGUUCAAAAUUCUCAUGUACCUUAGCUGGAAUGUUCAGCUCCUGAGGCAUUAUUGGCAGAUGUGUAAGACUUACCACCUUCACUAAGCAACGAGUUUUUCAUCUCUUUAUAACCCCGAAGCUCCUCUAAUGCGUCAGCAGUUGUCUUUGAUGCAACAAACCUAGAAGAUGCAAUGCUUAAAGAAGCAGCAUGUUCAACAUUCACAACCCCAGAGAUUUGGCUUUGCUCAUGAAUGCUGUUGUCCCACAUUUCUGGACUGGAGGCUUCUGAAAAAUUAAUUAAGCUGGAGAUAUCUUGGUGAAGAGAAGGGGCCUUCUUCAGCAUACGUACAAGAGCACCAACUGCAGCAUCUUGGGAUUUUCGAUUCAUAAAACAAUCCUGCCUCAUUUGGAUCAGACAGAUGUCCUCUACUCUCAUAAGACCUGGGUCUACAUAGCAUGCAAAACAGGUCAAUUCAGUUUAUCCAAAUAAUUCAGAAAAUUUUAAGCAGCAAAUUUAUUUCAGAGGUAAAACAAAAAGAUCUAGCCGUUUGCAGCAAAAUCCAUCCGUGCCAACUAAGAUAACAUAUUGAAAAAUGACCAUGAUACAGGAUCUAUGGUGUUCUCUCCAAUUUCAGAUAAUAUUAAAAUGACCGAUAGUGGCUCUGGAGAUGACAUUCAUGACUCAUUUUCGAUUAAGGACCCUGCUUCAGUUAAAUGAUUUAAAGGAUUUUCUUAAAGAACAUUCAGAACAGAAAAUGUCCCACACUCAAACUAAGGAUAAAGCACAUUUGUAGCCUCCAACUUCUCAUUUGGGUUUCAUUUUGAUUUUUAAUUUUCAAAUUACUUCAUGAUAGUCCUAAAUCUUUUUAAAAAGAUAUCGAUACGGUCCCUUUGCAUAAAAAUAAGAGGAAAUUACAAAUCAAGAUAAUGAAUUCAGAAUUAUUACUCUUUAUAAUCAUACCAAAAUAAAUUUAUUAAAAAGGCAAUAAAAUUUAUAAAAUUUUUUAAAAGGAAACGAGAACAUAAUGUUUUCCUUAAUUUUAAAAUUUUAACUUAAGAUUAAAGGUAAAUUGAUACUUUAGUUUCUUUCAUAAUAAUUAUAAAAAAUUUAUUUUUUUAGUAAAUACAUUUUAGUAUGUAAUAAAAAGAAUAAUUUUGAGUCAAUUAUCUAAUUUUAUUUUCUUUUUGUAUUUUAUUAAAAUUUAUUUUUCCAAUAUUUAUAAAUUUUAGUAUAUAAAAUUAAAUCCAAUUAAAAAUAAAGCUAAAAAUUAUUUUUAACAAAAAAGAAAGAAACAAAACAUUAGAAUAAUUUAAAUAUAUUAAUUGGUAAAAAAUAAAAUUUAUAAAAGUUAUUAGAAGAAAAUAAAAGUAUCAUUUUUUCCUUGAUUUUAAAAAUUAAACUUAAAUUAGAGAUAAAAAUGAUACAUUAUUUUCCUUCGUAAUAAAUAUAAAUUUUAAUUAUUAAAAACUGAUUCUAUUUCUUUUUUAUUUUAUUUUAUUAAAUUUUACUUCCCUAAUAUUUACUAAUUUUGAUAAAAAAAAAACUUUAAAUCCUAUUAAAAAUAAAGUUAUAAAUUAUUUUUGAAAUUAUUUUUAAUAAAAAAGAGAGGAAUGAAACAUACUUAAAUAAUUUUGAAUCUCAAGGGCUUUGACAUUUAUUUUUUUCAAAAAAUAUAAAAAAUCUUGAUAUUCUCAAGGACUUAAUUAAUAAUGUUUAGAUUCUAGUUAUAAUUUUAAACUUAAACAGUAAAUGAAUUAUGCUUAUUUUGUCAAGUGAUCUUAAAUGAAUUACUUCUAAUAAAAUAUUUGUUGACACAUUAUGCAUCAACUCAAGAUUAAUUUUUUGAUUUUUUGGGAUUUAUAUUUUUGGUCUUUUAUUUGUUUCUAUGUAUAGAUGAUUGUGCCUUGAUUCUGUGGGUUUUUUUGUACAUAUCAAUUUCUCUAUAUAUUUAGAGAUUCCUUUUAAUAAAAUAACACCCAAAAAACAUUGUUUUUUUCUUUGUUUUCAUGGUAUCAAGUAAGCUUUGCUCUUAUUUAUUCUUUUCUAAUGGUCAAAACAACCGUAACUGGUGCCUCUGGAGAGAGUGGAUCAAAAGUGACUUCUGAACCAAUUACUGCAUUCACUCCAAAGUGCACAAUUGCAUAAAAAGAUAAUUAUCUCUUUGUUUUAAGUGCAAAAUCAUAUUCUAAGAAAUCUUGGACUAUAGAUUCUGGGGUGUCCAAGCAUAUCACUAGAUGCCAUGAAUUGUUUUUAACAUCUAAUCCAUGUUUUGGAAAUCUUAAGAUUCAUAUUGCUAAUGGAUCACUAUCCUCUGUCACUUGAGAAGAAAACAUUAAAGUUUUUAAUAUGACACUAUUUUCAGUUUUGCAUGUUUCUAUUUUAGUAUGUAAUUUAUUAUCCAUUAGUAAAUUGACAAAGGACUUGAAUUGUGUGGCUAAAUUUUAUCCAUCAUAUUAUGAGUUUAAGAAUUUACUUUAAAGGAGGAUAAUUGGCAAUAUUAAGGCGCAUGAAGGCUUGUAUUAUAUUGAGAAUCAUCAACAAGUGAAUAAACAAGUGUUGGCUCUAAAUGGUGAAUCUAUUUCUGUUUCUAGUGAAAUUAUGUUAUGGCAUAAUAGAUCACAUCCUUGUUUUCCAUAUCUAAAAACUCUUUUGCCUUCUCUUUCAAGAAUAAAGAUGUCCAUUCUUUUUGUUGUGAAACUUGUCUACUUGCCAAACACACUCAUGUUCCUUAUCGUAGUCAUCUAUAUAGAUUUUCUAAACAUUUUUUUUUAGUUCAUAAUAAUAUUUGGGGACCUUCACGGGAAAAUAACACAAUUAGAAUUAGGUGGUUCAUGACUUUUAUAGAUGAUUAUACAUGAGCUUGCUGAGUUUACUUAUUAAAAGACAAGUCAGAUGCUAAGGUAAUUUUUCGAUAAUUUCACAAAAUGAUUCAAACACAAUUUCAAGCUCAAAUCCAAAAUUUUCACACUGACAACAAAAAGGAAUACUUUAAUUUAAUUCUUGGUGAUUAUUUAAAAGAAAAUGAGAUUUUUCACCAAAGUUCUUGUGUUAACACUUCCCAAUAAAAUGAGUUGCCAAAAGUAAAAAUAGUCAUCUACUAAAAGUUGGUCAUCUAUCAUGUUUACCAAUAACGUUCUUAAGUUUUUUUAGGGAGAUGCUAUUUGAACAGCCACAUACUUGAUCAAUAGACUUUCUAGUAGAGAUUUUAAUUUCAACACACCAUUGAACAUGUACUUGAAUCAUAUCCAUGAAUUAUGUUUUUUUCCUUUUUACACCCAAAAGUAUUUUGUUGCAAAUCUUUUGUUAACAAUAAAAGUCUAUGUUGUGGGAAACUAGAACCUAGAUUUAUAAAAUAUAUUUUUAUUGGGUACUUUCCUACUAAAAAAAAGUAUAAGUGCUAUUGUUCAUUCAUGAAACAAAUAUUUGUCUCAUUAGAUGUCACAUUCUUUAAAAAUCAACCAUUUUACCUAAAACCAAUUCUUCACGGGAGAUACUAGGUGAAGAUAGGCUUUGGGAAUUUUCCAUUACAAUUCUUAUAACAUCUACUAUUCCUAUUCUAUCACCAACAGAUGCUAAGUUGGAAAUAGGGUAGAUUCAUCUAUGGCUAAUCCUCAACAAGAAACAAAGCUUUAUGUUUAUUCAUGAUGUAAACCGCAGCCUUAAGAAGUAUAAAUUUUUAUGCCCCAAUCGUAUUGUUAAGAAUCUUAUCCAUAAGUAAUUUUGAAUUAGAAAAUGCUAAGCCUACAGCACUAUUACCAGUAAAUAUUAAUUCGUAAGCAAAUUUUGAAUCAGAAAAGGUUAUGCCUACUACACCAUUACCAGUGAAUACUUCACGUAAUGGUCUAGACAAACCUAUAGCAUUUAGGAAAGGUGUAAGAUCAUAUAUUCAACACCUUUUGUCCAAUUAUCUAUCCUAUAAUCAUUUACCUACUGCAUGUCAUGCUAUGAUAAAAAAGAUUGAGGUAACUAAAAUCUACAAAAUAUUCAUAAAGCUCGAAAAAUCCCAGAAUGGGAAGUUACUGCACUUAAAGAGAUGAAAGCAUUGAAAAGGAACAAGACCUAGGAUGUUAUGGAGUUACCUAGAGGAAAAUUAUCAGUUGGAUGUAAGAGGAUGUUUACUAUUAAGUAUAGUUUAGAUGGUGGAAUAGAGAGACACAAGGCCUGCUUAGUUGUGAAGGGAUUUACUCAAACUUUUAAAGUAGACUAUACUGAAACCUUUGCUCCAGUUGCUAAAUUGAAUACUAUAAGAGUACUACUUUUACUACCCACUAAUCUUGACUAUCCAUUACACCAAAUGGAUGUCAAUAAUACCUUUCUUAAUAAGGAGCUAGAUGAAAAAGAUUAUAUGGAUUUGCCUCCUAACUUUGAAGGGAAAACAAUGAUAGGAAGGUAUGCAAACUGAAGAAGUCUUUCCAUGGCUUAAAACAAUCACCAAAGGCUUAGUUUGAUGGCUUUGGAAAGUCAGUAAAUAGACAUGGAUUUAGCUAAGGACAAAUUAAUCAUUAUGGAAUGAUUAUGAAAUUUACUUUGUAUGGUUUAUGUUUUGAGAGAAUUUAUAAAUAUUCAAUUUUUAUAUGUUGGGUAAUCUGAACAUAUAUUUUGGUUUUUUGUCUCCUAAUAUGACUAUGUUCUGAGCUUGCCAAUGAGGGUUAAUUGUUGGCUAUGUCAACAUAUACUUUGUGAUAUCAAUACCAAUUUCGAGCCAUGCCAUCGAUUGAGAAUAGUGAUUUUUGUUCAAGGGUUAAGUGUGAUUAUAGUAUGUUAUAGGAGACUAAUACACUUUAUAAUUUUGUGAUAUUUGAUUUUGUUUUAUGAUUUGAAAAUCUAGUUUUAAGAAUAGUUUUGUAAAAAUAUGUUUGCGAAGUCAAGAUUACCCAAAAUAUUUUUUAAUCUUUUAGUUAUAUUUUGGCCAAAAUGUUUUGUGACAUUCUUAAUUCAAUUGGGGGGAUGUCGGUUACUUAUUAAGUCAUCAUACUCAUUUUUUUAUUUUUUCUUACUUUUCAGAUUUUGAUAUUGCAUCUUCAAGGCUUAGUUUUAACAAAAUAUUAUGUUGCAAAAAUUCAUCUAUCUUUUGUCAUCAUAUAGCUUGUAAUAUGAGUACAUUGAUAUAAUAUAAUUAAAAUAUUAUUGUAUUUUUCAAUCAAAUGUAAUACAUGAAUUUCAGAUACUUGGUUUUGUAAACUAUAAAUUUUGAAUACCUUUUGGAGUUUGAUUUUGAUUUAGUAUGGUAUUUUGGAGUUUGAUUAGCAUGAUAUCUAUUGUCUUGCAUACUUGUGGGAUUUAUCUCAUGAGUAUGCGACAUUGUUACGUCCAAAAUCUUAGGAUUUGGGGCGUGACAGUUGUUCCUGCCACAUCCCCACUUUCAUGUUGUUCGUGUGCAUGCUAGGCCUUUCUUUCUCUUCAUUGUACUAUUUACGUGUUGGGUAUUGGUUUCUGGUCAUACAAGCCUAGCAACCUCUUUUUAUUGAUGAAGCUCGCAUUCAUUCCCCAUGCUGCUUGUCCUCUCCUUCUCUUCUUAACUCUGCUUCCAUUCCAUAAUCCAUUUCAAUAUAGCCCAGUUUCCCACAUAGUAGAAAUUUGGGAGACGCUCAUACCUUAAACCAUCUUCUUUGUUCUUCCUACAAUAAAGCACACCUUCUCAAAAGCUUUGUGAUAUCUAUUUCCAAUCGUAUUCUUAGGAAGAUUCCACCCAUAGAUAACAAACGUUUAUGGUCUACACUUUUCAAUACUCCCAAUUUCAUUCCUAUCCUUUUUGCCAUAACUUUGGUCAGCAUUUCCAGUGCCAACCCAUACACUAUAAUCCAGAACUCUGCUCUGUCCAAAGAGUAAUCUGUUGGCUUUAGAUCACCAUUAGACUUUCUAAAAACUAAAAGGUUCUUUUCAAAUGACCAUGACAACUCGUUGAAGACUCUCUUCUUAUCACUCUUUGACCCAAACUUAAAGAUGAAUAAGUUUGGUUCCAAGACCAUCAUUGUCAUCUCUCUGGCCAACUUCCAUGUCAUCUGGAACUUAUGGAUCAUUGUUUCCCUAUUGAACAUCUUGUUAGUAGCUUCCCCACUAACUAAAAGACCUCCGAAGGAUUCGAUUCCUCUUCCAGCCCCUCAAUUUCAAAGCCUUCUUUCUCUUCUUAAAUUAGCUUUAGCUUUGACCAUUUGCUUUCUAACUCGUCCGCAAUUAUCAGAACUUCAUGAGAUCUUAACCACGGAGUUCUUAAAAUAGCCCGUUACUACUCUAAUAUACUGGAACUAAGAACGCCUACAUAGUGACAAGACCAUGAAAACUCCUCGUACAAAACACAAAAUUCCAAAGAGACUCCAUGAUUAGACAAUAGAAGUGCAUUUUAUUUUCUCUUGACAUUUGUAACAUCUUUUGUUUUUCUUUUUAAAUUAUAACUUAGGUGUAAAAUAUCACCAUACGGUUAAAGACAAAUAAUAAAAUAUGCUCCGCGGCUUAGAAAAUAAAAAGUUACACUAACCCUUUUUGAGGAUUUUUUUUGGGUUAAUUUUUAAAGUCAAAAUCAUUUAUCAAUUUUCCUUUCUUUUAUUUUUUUUAAAUACAUUGUUGUAAAUUUCAUUUUAGUAUUGGUCACAUCGGUCAAUAUGCUUCAGUAUAUUAAAAUAUGAUAUAAUUAAAAGUAAUUUUUUUUUAUCAAAUUUGCACCAGAUAAACCGAUUUUUUUUGUUUGUUUCGGUUGAUUAAGGUGAACUUUGAUAGAAUAGUUUGUUUUGGUUAGUAUUUGAAUGUAAAAUAUGUUUUGUAAUUUUUAACUUGUUUUUUGUUGUUAGACUAUUUUUUAAUGCAAUAAAAAUAAAACUAAUGAGUAAAAGAACCCCUAAAAAUUGGAUAUCUUUUUUUUUUACCGUAAUUUGUUUUUUUUUUUACACUUUAUUUUUUCAAACAAAUAAUUAUAAGUAAAUCAAUUUUUUUCAAGAAAGUAAUUGUGUUUUCUUCCUAAAGUUUAAGAAUCCUAAAGUUAAAAUUAAUUUCUUUUUCAGCUCUUUAUUUUUAUUUUAAUUUUACAUGAAAAAUUAUUUAAAUAAAUAUCAUAUGAGCAGGUUAAAUGCUCAAAAAUAUCAUGAUAAAUUAAUGAUAUUAUUUGUUAUACUUUUAGACUUAUUUAUUUAGUUUUUUAAAGUAUUGUAUAUUUAUUUUUCCUAUUAUUAAUAGUAUUAUUAUGUACCAAUUAAUGUUUAUUUAUAAAUAUAUUUGCAUUAAAUGAAAAAAUCUAAAAUAAUAUAUCGAAACAAUUGAUAUUAACAUUUAUAAAUAUAUUUGUAUUAAAUGAAAAAAUCUAAAAUAAUAUAUUGAAACAAUUGAUAUUAACAUAAACUUUUUUUAAAAAAAAAUUAAUAAAUUAUACGAUAAAAUAUUAAUAAACUUGCUUUAUUAUCCUUUAUUAUUUGAAUUUCUAGUUACUCUUAUCUCCAUCAAUGUCAUACAUAUCAAUAAUAAUGUCAUAUAUGUUUUUUAAAUAGUGUUGGUUUGGAAAUUAAUGAAAGAAAUCCCAGGUUAUAAUAACGUGGCACUUUUUAUAUUUUCAAGGAUUAAAUUUAUUCGGCCUCUGAGGACAGGGUUUCUUUUUUUUUUUUUUUUGAAUAAUUUACCUUAAAUCAAAUUAUCAUGAGUUGCUUGUUAGAGUUGCUCUAUGAAUAUAAAAUCUCGACUUUACGAAUACUUAAGUUUAAAUUUUUUUUUAAUAAGAUAACGUCGUAGGGAAAGGGAGAAAUGAAACAAGAUUCUUGAAGAGUUGCUAUGUACGUAUUAAAACGCAUUUUCAGAGCCACCUUGUUAAUUGUAAUAAACGAAAAGCCUUUGAAUAGUUGCAAUGGAAAAAUCUUUGCAGAAACUUCGCUAAAUAUCCCCAGACUUUGAAAUGGUGCUCGGGUGGACGAGAAAUCGUGCAUGCAUAAGUCUCUUGACGAAGACAAUAAUAUUAAGGCCUUACCAUUUUGAAUGGGAAAAUAAUGGGAAGACAUUUCAGACCCAUCUCUUGACCAUAGGAAACUUUUCAAGUAUAAAUCUAACAAUUUUAUAACUCUUAAGUUCAUAAAACCAGAGAGAGGAAUUGAAUCUGUACUCUUUGGCCAUGGCUGCCAUUUUAUCACUUUUUCUUCUGUCUACGUCCUUCAUUUCAACUGCAGUAGCUCAACCAAAGCAUUCCAAUAUAAGUCUAGGCUCGUCUCUGACACCCACAGGCCAAUCCGUAUGGCUUUCCCCUUCUGGCCUUUAUGCCUUUGGAUUUUAUCAGCAAGGUAAGGGGUAUGCUGUUGGAAUUUUUCUUGCUGGAGUUCGCCAGAAGACUGUGGUUUGGAUGGCCAAUCGAGAUGAUCCUCCUGUUCCAAGCAGCGCUAAUUUGAUUCUUACAACUGAUGGAAGGCUCAUUCUGCGAUCAACACGAGAUACAUCCAUUACUGAUUCUAGUGAAAAGUUGCCACAGCUUCGAUGCUUGAUUCCGGUAAUUUUGUUCUAUACAAUUCAGACCAAGAAAAAAUAUGGGAGAGCUUUAAACAUCCUACAUACAAGGGAUUCAAAUAGCGGUGCUAUAAUGGAAUAACAGCCGUGAAAUCACCCGUCAAUGCUAUCAAGGAAAAAACUAUUGAAAAAUUUAAUCACGAUCAAAAAGUGUGUAACGGUCGCUAAAAAAUGACGUAACGGGAAUAACGGUAAUAACAGUCCAUUAUUACCGUUAUUGUAUUUUUCCGUCCACACUCAGUUGCUCAGCACAAAUUAUAAUAAUAAUAAAAAAAGAUUUUUAGAUUUCACCAGUAAAGAGUUAAAAUUCUCCACAAUUAGAAAAAAAUAAGAAAACUGCAAAACAAAAUAAAGAUAGAAGCCAAAAGAAAAAAAUUCAUGCCUAGUGCUCAUAACUCAGUCUCAUUCUCUCUUUUCUUAAAUUCAAAAUUCAUCUAAAAAAUCUUAGAUACUAUCAGCCAUUCAAUCGAUAGCUACCCAAAUUUAAAUCAAUUUCAAAUUUUUCAUCAGUAAUCAAAAUAAAAAAAAGUAAGAAAAAAAUUAAAUUACCUGUUUUUUUGUAAAAUUUUUAUAGAAUAAUGUUAAUAUUUAUAUUUGUGAUAAUCUAAUAUGUUGAGAGAGAUGAAGGUAUGUGAGAAAAAGAGAUCAAAAAAAAUUAAGAAGUUUGGUUGAGUUUAUUUAAGAGAUGAUGCCAUAAAAAAAGGAAGAGUAGAUUUGGGGCUGAAAGAGAAUCCGGGGGGGGGGGGAUUCGGCGGGGUGGAGUGCCUGGGGUGGAGGGUGAGGGGGUGGUGUGGGAUUCGGUGCGGUGGGUUCAUUGGAGGGUAAGGUGGAGGGGUGGGGUGAGAUUGGGUGAGGUAGGGUGCAUUGGAAGGUGGGGUGAGAUUGGGUGAGGUUGAGUGCAUUGGAAGGUAGGAUGGGGUGUGUGUUUUUUAUUUAAUUUUAUAAUUAAUUUUAUUAAAAUCUAAAUUUAAAAUUUUGUAAUUUUAAAAAUUUCUUUUGAUAAAAUUUAGUUAGAGGAUUGAGAUUUUAUAAUUGAAAAAAUUAAGAAAUUAAUAAUUUAAUAUGAAAUACAUAAGGAUUUGAGAUGAAAAAUUUUAAUAAAUUUUUUUGUAUAAGUUAGAUGAAAAAUAAUUAAAAUUAAAUAUUAUAUUUUGAUUUUGUUAUUUAUUAAUUUAUAAUUUUAUUUUUGAAAUUUAAUAAUUUUUUUGUUGUUUUAGUAUUUAUAUUGUUGUCAAUUCUUUUGUUAUUAAAUUAAUUCUUAUUAAUUUAUUUUUAUUUUUGUGUAAUUAUUGAAUAUUCUAUUUAUUAUAUAAUAUAUUGAAAGUAAAUUAUGAUAAAAAAUUUUUUACAUCAAUUAGUAUAUCAAAAAGAUUAAAUUACUUAAUAAAUUUAACAUUUUACGAUCUAUUACUUUUAAGAUUAAAACUAAAAAUUUAAAAAUUUAAUGUAGAUUCAAUUUUUAAUGAUGGAAUAAGUAACAUUAAUAUUUCUAAAUAUAAGUUUAUUUUGUUUUUAUACAAAAUAGUAAAUAUGCCACCACGUGAAGAGUUUCCAAGCAAAGAGUAGAGGGCACACCAAGUGAUGAUAUAGGUUGGCAUUUUGGAACACCCGUGCCAAAUAUCAAAGGAAAUGUUUUAUGCAAACUUUGUGAUAAAGUUGUAAAAUGAGGAAUAACACGUUUCAAGAAAUACAUUGCUCAUAAAACUAGCAAUAUUGUACCAUGCCCUAACGUUACUGGUAUGUUAUAUUUUUAUAAUUUCUUUGAAAAUAUUAUUGUUAAUUUCUCAACAAAAAUUGCAAAAUUACAUAAACAUAUACAACUAAUUUUUUUUCUUAACUAUAUUAUUAAUAGGUUUAGUAAAGAGAAAGUAUGAUAAAACUUCUUCAAGAAAGCAAAUCAAAGAAAGAUGAGAACAAAAGGAGAAAUGAUGAAUUCUUAUCACAAUUAAGAGGGAAAGACUAUGACUAUGAAGGUUUUAUUGAUGAAGACAUCGCUACUAGACAAGCCAUGUGAGAUAGUAUCCAAUCACAAUAUGAGUGGCACCAAAGACAAGAAUUCAGACAAAGAACUGGUGGUUGGAGUAAUAUACAUGAAGAGGGACGAAGCUCUCAUGGCUCAGUUGCUGAAUAUUUUGAGGAAAAAACAAGAAAAUCAACUCCAAGUCUGAAUUUUCAUUAAGAAGGGCUAUACCUAAAUUAGUUAAAAGUAAGAGUUCAAAGCAACAAAAAAUAAGCGAUUCAUUUUUAAAGACAUUAAGAAGGAAGAUGGGUGAAUCGAUAUCAAAAUUUUUUAUAUAUGAUCGACUUUCUUUUCAUUUAGCAAACUCUCCAUGGUUGCAUAAUUUGAUUUCUGUGACAACAAAAAUUGGCCAACAUGUGAAACUUUCAACACCUUAUGAGGUCUCAGAUAUGCAUUUAGAGUCUGAGUAUCAACAAAUUCAUGAAUGAGUUAAUGGAUUAAAAGCUCAUUAGAAUGAAUUGGGUGCCACUUUGAUGUGUGAUGGUUGGACCAACAGUUUGAAUCAAAUGCAUAUCAUUAAUUUCCUUGUUUAUUGUAGUAAAGAGACCAUUUUUUGAAAAUCUAUAGAUGUCUCAAAUAUUUAUAGUAGAGAUGCAAACUUCAACUACAGAUUAUUGGAUGAAGCUGUGAAAGAAAUUGGGAAAAAAUACAUUAUUCAAAUAGUCACUGAUAAUGAGACAGCACUUAAGGCUGCAGGGAAAAGACUAAUGAAGAAGAGACAACAUUUGUAUUGGACAGCAUGUUUAGCUCAUUGUUUGGACUUCUGCCUUGAGGAUAUUGGCAAGAAAAAAUAUGUAGUAAAAGUUUUGAAGGAUACAAAAAAAGUGACUUGUUUUAUAUACAAUCACAUUUUGACUGUUAAUUUGAUGAAAAAAUAUAUACAAGGAAAGUAAAUACUUCGUCCUGCUCUUACCCGAUUUGCCACUUAUUUCAUACAGUUAGAAGAAAUAACAAGGCAAAAACAAGGUUUGAGAGAGAUGUUUAAUUCAAAGGUUGGUACUUAGUAAUUAGUAUAACUAUUUAAAUCUAGCAUCUUUUUUAUGAUAUCAUUGUUUAAAACAUUAAUUUAAUAUAUAUUGCUCUAAAAAUUUAUUAUUGAAUAUAUAGGAAUUUAAAGAAUCAAAAUGGGGACAACAAAAAUCAGAGUCUGCUUAUGAAGCCAGAAAAAUCAUUUUGGGAAAAGAUUUUUGAAAAAAAGCAAGUAAUAUAUUAAAAGUUUAUGAGCCUUUGGUAAAAGUAUUACGCCUUGUUGAUGGUGAUGAAAAACCAAUAAUGGGAUUUAUUUACGAGGUAAUGGAUAGAGCUAAAUAAGCAAUUUAGCAAAAUUAUCAUUAUUCUGCUGAAUAUAAAAAAAAUUAUUGAUAAUAGAUGGAGUUUUAUGCAUUCUGACUUAUAUUCAGCUGGUAGGUAAACGAAGAAUAUAGAUUGUAUUUUAAAAAAUAUGUUUAUUUUUUUAUGCUUAAAUUGCUCAUAUAUUUAUUUUUUAUUACUUUAAUAUAAUAUUGUUAUGAAUUAUUGGCAGAUUACUAUCUAAAUCCACAAUUUCAAUUUGGAGUGGAGCAUUUUGAAAAUGUACUUAAAGAAACAUUAAAUGGUACAAGAGUAGUUAUUGAAAGAUUAGAACCUUAUAUAGAUAUUCAAAUCAGAAUGAUUAAUCAGGUUAGUAUUUAAUACUAUUUUAUAAAUUUGACAUUUAUUUUAUGUAUUAAAAAUAAAAUUAUUUUUUAUUUAUUCAUUUAUUAUUGUAUUUUCAAUUGAUGUAGCUGCUAUUAUUCGAGACAAGCAUGAAACAUUUGGUACUCCACAGGCAUAAAGAGUUUGGAAGCAAAUGAAUCCAGGUAAUUAGUAAUUAAAUAAUUAUAAUUUAUUUAUAUUAUUUAAUUGAAGAGUAUAUUUAAAUUUAAUUUAAAUAAUUUUAUACAGCUGAGUGGUGGAUGAUAUAUAACACUUGUGUUCCUGAAUUACAAAAAUUAGCAAUCAAAGUGCUUAGUCAGAUAACAUCUGCAACAAAUUGUGAACGUAACUGGAGCACAUUUAGCUAUAUUCACACCAAAGUAAGAAACAUAUUGAAGUUUGAAAAACUUCAUAAACUUGUAUAUACCCAUUACAACAUGAGGCUGAGGAUGAGACAUCAAAAAAGAAUGAGCAUUGACUAGAUAAAUAAUAGUUUUAAUCCUAUUAGCCUUGACUAUAUUUUUGAAGAGGAUGAUCUACUACCAGAAUGGCUGCAGGAGAAAGAAAAUCCUCUAUUAGAUGGUCAAAAUUCUAAUUGGUUGCCUGCAGAUAAUUCUGAUAAUGAAAUGAAUGUUGAACAGUCACACCAAUCUCAAGAAAAGAAUGUGUCUCAUUCAAGUUCAAGUCCAACACCAAGUCAAAGUGAUGAUGGUGAGGGUUUAAGUCCAGAUGAUGCUGAUGGUGAUGGUGACGGUGCAAAUUUUGAUGGUAAUAUUGAUGCAAAUUGACCUUAUAGCCCAUUUAGAAGAGAAUUUGGCCUUGUUGCUACUGGUGGAUUUUUAUUAAUAUGGCAGAAUAUGAAGUAAAUCCAUCUGCUAAAUCUAGUGGGGGUCAAAGUACACAUACAGCUCGAUCAAAAGGAAAAGCCAAGAAGCACCAUUAUGAUAUUUCUAGAGGUUCUUCAUCUUCAGGUAAGAGACCAAAUUAUGGUAACUUUGAGUAUAGUGAAUCAUCUGCUAGUACUCAAGGACAUUACUAUCUACCGAAACAACUUAAUUUUCAACAUCUUCAGGGUUAUCCACCUUUAUAUAGUUAUUAUCCACCUCAAAUGUAUCAUCUACCUCAAAUGUAUCUCCCACCACAAAUAUAUCAUCUUCAAAUAUAUCCUCCACCUCAAAUACAUCAAGAACAAAUGUCACAAGGAUGGGGAUGGAGUCAACUUAACUCUCAAAAUGAAAAUAGAGAAUUUGAUCAUCCUCGUCAUUCUACCAUGUGGUAAAUUUUGAAAUAUAUAUAUAUCAAUAGUUAUAGUUGAUAGAAUUUGAAAUUAUUAUAUUUUUAAGUUUGUAAUUUUAUUAAAUAUAAAUGCUUGGUAUUUAAUAUAUUAUGUUUUGUUAAUAUCUUGAUUUGUCUAGAAUUAACAUUGAAUAUGAACUUGGCUCAAACAAAAAUUUUGUUGCUUAAUCAAAUAUGAAUGUUUUAUUAUAAUCUCACUAAAAUUGAGAAUAAUUUUUUUUUAGAAAAUAAAAAAUAUAGUAUGAUAUAUUUUAAAAAUCAUUAAAUAAGAGUUUUUAUGAUUAUAAUUAUAAUUAUUAUAUUUUAUAAAAAAUUGUGCAAAAUUAAAAAAAAUUCACGACCAGGAUGACCUUGAUAACCGCAAUGAUCUCCGUUAUAUCCGAAAAUACGAUAAACUCAAUGCAAUCGAAAACGUAAUUGCGACCGCUAUUUAAAUCAUUGCAUCCUACCACUACCAUUCUUCAAGGACAAAAACUCUUAGCUGGGACACAGCUAUUCUCUAGCGUCUCAGACACUGAUCAGUCGACAGGAUUGUUUCGUCUUAGCAUGCAGACAGAUGGGCACCUAGUGCAAUACCCGGCGGCUCCUAAUACUGACGGAGCAUGGUAUGCAUAUUGGGCAUCCGGUACAAAUGGUGCAGGAGAUAACGUGAGCUUGAAUCUCGACAAUGAUGGCCGUUUGUACUUGCUCAAUUCCACAGGAUUCAACAUAAAGGAUAUAUUUAGAGGAGGAUAUGAUACCAUGGAAACAAUCUAUCUGAUGAAAAUUGAUCCGGAUGGUAUCUUCCGAAUCUAUUCUUAUAAGUUAAAUCAGGAUGGCGACCGAUCAGCUAUAUAUGAAUCUUCUCCAGACAGGUGUGACCCCAAGGGUCUAUGCGGCCUUAAUGCCUAUUGCGUUAUCACUGAUCAAGGAGCUGAUUGCAAAUGCAUACCGGGAUUCACUCCGGUAAAAGAGGGCAAUUCUAGUGCUGGCUGCGAAAGGGAUUUCUCCAUGCAAAACUGCAAUAGCGAUGAUCAGAGAAACCAAUACACCAUUCGGGCGGUUGUUAAUACGGAAUGGGAAGAUCUUGGAUAUUCUGAUUUGUCUUUAUUAACCAAAGAAGAUUGUGCAACUGCAUGUCUGGAAGAUUGUAUGUGUGAAGCUGCCAUGUUUAAAGAAAGAAAUUGCAGGAAGCAAAGGCUGCCUCUGAGAUUUGGGAGAUGGAAAGUUUCCGAUCCAAACGUUGCUUUGAUUAAGAUAGGUCUAUCUGCGCCCACUAAAUCAACAAAGCAUGAUCAAGGCAAGCGAAAACCAGAUAUGGUAAUUUUAAUUAUUGGUCUUUCAUCGAUUGGCUUAGUGGUUUUGUUGGUAUUUUUGUUAGGAAAAUGGGGUCCAGUCCCAUGUAAGUGGUUUUGGACCAAGUAAAGGCCAUGGGCCUUGAUCUUUUAUUUUACACAGAGCCCUAGCUACUUAAUAAAAAAGAGGUGGGGUUGUUUAAGGUGUGUGUCGAAAACCAAGCAGAAAAAGAAGAAAAGCCAGGAAAAGCAGAGAGAGAAAAAGGAGAAGGGAGAGUUGGUUGAACGGAAGUCGAUCCGUGGUCCGAUUGAGUUGGAACCUUGUCAGGAGGUUUAUGAUUCAGAGUUUGACAUUCUGAACGGUGAAGAUCGGGUUUGAAGCUCUCUAGGAACAAAUCCAGGGUGUAUUUGUUGAGUCACUUAUUUGGUGAGAUUUCUCCAAUUGUUUCUCUAGUUGUUGAUUAGCUCUAGUUUUAGCUAGAGAAGAACUUUGUAUAACUAUUAUUUGAUAGUGAAGAUUUUUCUGGCGGCCCGUGGUUUUUUCCCUCUACACUGGAGGGUUUUCCACGUAAAUCUUGGUGUGCUUUAUUUUUCUGCGCAUUUGAUUAUUGAUUGUUGUCUAUUGCUUCUGUAUUGUUGUGAUUAUUGCUUCAGGCGCAACAAGUGGUAUCAGAGCGAGGGUUAUUUUGAGACAUCGAUACAGAAGCAACCCAGGAUAGAAGUAAAUUCUGUUUGAGAUCAUGGAGGGUGAUACAGGUUCCAUGAUAAAAUUGACAGCAUCGAAUUAUUCAAUUUGGAAGCCUAUGAUGGAGGAUCAUCUAUACUGUAAAGAUUUGUAUGAGCCAGUAUUGGGUGAUUCGGCUAAACCAGCAGAUAUGAAAGAUGAAAGCUGGAAGAAGCUAGGUAGAAAGACGCUGGCUACAAUCAGAAAAUGGGUUGAUAUCAGCGUGUUCCAUCAUGUAGCGCAGGAGUCAGAUGCUCACAUUGUUUGGGAAAAAUUGGCAGCAUUGUAUGAGAGAAAACAGGUAUGAAUAAAGUUAUGCUUGUUAAAAAAAUUGCAACUUUACAGUACAGGGAUGGACGAUCUGUUACAGAGCACUUGAGUGAUUUUCAAGAUAUAUUUAAUCGGAUGACUACUAUGGAACUUAAGAUGGAUGAUGAAAUGAAGGCAUUAUUUCUUUUGGGUUCAUUGCCAGACAGCUGGAAUACUCUAGUUGUGACUGUUCUUAAUUCAGCUCCUGAUUAUAAGGUGACAUUAGAGAUGGUAAAGGACAGUAUGCUUAAUGAAGAAGCGAGGCGAAAAGAUGUAGACCCUGGGAAUCAAGCUCUGGUCACAGAGAACAGGGGUAGAAACAUCGACAGAAGUCAGGACUCAAAAGGCCGUGGUAAGUCUAAACAUAGAUCCAAGUCUAGAGGUAAAGUGAAGUGUUUCCAUUGUGGUAAGGCGGGUCAUAUAAAACGAAACUGUAGAAUCUUAAAGCAAGAGCGAAAAGAUGAGAAAGGCAAGAGUUCAGAUGAUGGCAAUGUUGCAGCAGUGAAUUCAGAUAGUGAUUCAGUUACUUUGAUUUGUACACAUGGUGAUUGUAAUCAUGUUAGUGAUCCCGACAUUGAGUGGAUAGUUGACACAGGAGCGGCAUAUCAUUGUGUUCCUAAGAGAGAGUUGUUUACAACUUACAAAGCAGGAGACUUUGGUUGUACCAAGAUGGGAAACAAGAGUGUGUCGCAGAUUGUUGGGAUUGGUGAUAUUGUUGUACAAACUAGUACAGGCUGCAUGUUGACUUUGAGGGAUGUCAGACACAUUCCAGAUAUGAGAAUGAACUUGCUUGCUAUUAAUGUCCUUGAUAAGGAGGGAUAUGAAAGCCGACAAAAGAAUGGACAGUGGAAGCUUCUCAAAGGAUCUAUGGUAGUUGCAAGGGAAAACUAUGCUGCACAAUGUAUAAGACAUGGAUGCAAUUGAACGGUAACCAGGUAAAUACCGUUGAAAAUGAUGCUUCAGCAAACUUGUGGCACAGGAGGCUGGCACACAUGAGUGAAAAAGGGUUACAGGUUUUGGCAAGGCACUCUCUCAUUCCCUUGACCAAAGGUAUGUCUCUCGAUUCAUGUGAUUAUUGUUUGUUUGGUAAGCAUCAUAGAGUUUCUUUUCGUAAAAGUUCUCAGAGAAAAGAAAAUAGAUUGGAAUUAAUUUAUUCUGACGUAUGUGGUCCCAUUGAGGUUGAGUCAUUAGGUGGUAGCAGAUAUUUUGUUACUUUUAUUGAUGAUGCUUCACGUAAGACUUGGGUGUAUAUGUUGAAAUAUAAAAGUCAGGUACUGCAGAAUUUUCAAAAAUUUCAUGUCAUGGUUGAAAGGAUGACAGGGUUACCCUUGAAGUGUAUUCGAACUGAUAAUGGUGGGGAAUACACAUCUAAAAGCUUUGAAGAGUAUUGCUCAAAGCAUGGGAUCAGGCAUGAGAGGACAGAACCUGGAACACCGCAGCAUAAUGGUAUAGCUGAAAGAAUGAAUCGCACCAUUGUGGAAAAAGUCAGAUGUAUGUUGAGGAUGGCAAAAUUACCAAAGCCAUUUUGGGGUGAAGCAGUCAACACAGCUUGUUAUUUACUUAACAGGUCACCAUCAGUUCCUUUGGGCUUUGACAUUCCAGAAAGAGUGUGGACAGGGAAAGAUGCUUCAUACUCUCACUUGAAAGUUUUUGGGUGUAAAGCAUUCAUGCAUGUGCCGAAAGAGCAGAGAUCAAAGCUUGACAGUAAAGCUACACAGUGUGUGUUUGUAGGAUAUGGUGAUGAGGAAUUUGGCUACAGGGUAUGGGAUCCAGUAAAGAGAAAGACAGUCAGAAGCAGAGAUGUGGUCUUUCAUGAAAAAGAAACCAUAGCAGAUCUUGAGAAAAAUGAGAAGACUACACGAGUUACUGUUGAGUGUGAUGUUUCAACACCGACAGGGAUUUCACAGGAAAGAGCCACAGAUGGUGAAAAUGAGCCAGAAACAGAACUUGGGGAUAUGGAUGAGCCAGCUACAGUUGGUGAUGAGCCAGAUGCUAUUAGUUUUGAGCAGGGGGAGCAAUCCUCUCUACCUGAGAGUGUUGAGCAGGGGGAGCUACCUUCGGCAUCAAGUGAUGUAGAGUCUCAGCCCAGGAGAUCUACUAGAGAGCGCAGGCCAUCUACCAGGUAUUCAAGUUCAGAUUUUAUUUUAGUUACCAGUGAAGGGGAGCCAGAAAGCUUUCAAGAUGUGCAGGCUACUCCGGAUAGAGAGCACUGGUUAAAAGCAAUGAAAGAAGAGAUGGAGUCAUUGCGAAAGAAUGGUACUUAUGAUCUUGUUAAACUUCCAACAGGGAAAGAGGCCAUUAAAGAAUAAAUGGGUGUUCAAGUUGAAAAAGGAUGGUGACAAACUAGUGAGGUACAAAGCUCGAUUGGUAGUAAAAGGUUUUUCUCAGAAACCAGGCAUCGAUUUUGAUGAGAUUUUUGCUCCAGUUGUAAAAAUGAGUUCUAUUCGAGUGGUACUGGGAUUGACAGCUAGUUUGAAUCUUGAACUUGAGCAACUUGAUGUUAAAACUGCAUUUUUGCAUGGUGAUUUGCAGGAGGACAUUUAUAUGAAUCAGCCUGAGGGUUUUGAAGUGAAAGGGAAAGAGCACUUAGUUUGUAAAUUGAAGAAAAGCUUGUAUGGCUUGAAACAAGCUCCACGACAGUGGUACAAGAAGUUUGAUUCUUUUAUGGUGAGUCAUAGCUAUAAAAGAACAGCAGCGGAUUCUUGUGUGUAUGUUAAACAAUUCCCUAAUGGUAACUUCAUUAUCCUAUUAUUAUAUGUUGAUGAUAUGUUGAUUGUAGGACAAGAUGCUAGUAUGGUUUGCAGGUUGAAAGAACAAUUGUCUAAGUCUUUUGAUAUGAAAGAUUUAGGUCCAGCAAAGCAGAUUCUUGGUAUGGACAUUAUCCGGGAUAGGAGAGCUGGAAAGCUGUGGUUGUCACAGGAAAAGUAUGUUGAACGAGUGCUUGGUAGAUUCAACAUGCAACAUGCUAAAUCAGUUAGCAGUUCACUUGCCAACCAUUUUCAUCUAAGUAAGAAAUCUUGUCCAGUGUCUAAGGAAGAGCAACUAGCUAUGUCUAGUAUUCCUUAUUCUUCUGCAGUCGGUUCUUUAAUGUAUCUUAUGGUUUGUACAAGGCCUGACAUUGCUCAUGCAGUUGGUGUAGUGAGCAGAUUUCUUUCUAAUCCAGGGAAGGUUCACUGGGAAGCAGUAAAAUGGAUUUUUAGAUAUUUGAGGGGUACCUCAAAAAUGUGCUUGACUUAUGGAGUUUCACAACCAGUUCUAGAAGGGUUUACUGAUGCUGACAUGGCAGGCGAUCUUGAUGGUAGGAAAUCUACUUCAGGGUAUUUGUUCACUUUUGCAGGAGGAGCUGUAUCUUGGCAGUCUAAGUUGCAGAAGUGUGUUGCUUUGUCAACUACAGAAGCUGAGUAUAUUGCAGCAACUGAAGCAUGUAAAGAAAUGCUUUGGAUGAAACGUUUUCUUUUUGAAUUGGGGUUGAAUCAGAAAGAGUAUGUGGUAUUUUGUGAUAGCCAGAGUGCUUUAGAUUUGAGUAAGAAUACCAUGUACCAUGCUAGAACAAAGCACAUUGAUGUUAGAUAUCAUUGGUUACGUUCAGUGAUUGAAGAACAGCAGAUGCUAUUGAAGAAAGUCCAUACUGAUAAAAAUGUGGCAGAUAUGUUGACUAAGAUACUUCCCAGGGAAAAGCUUGAGCUUUGCAGUAACUUGGCCGGAAUGAGUUCCCUGGCCAAGGUAAGUUCCAAAUGAAACUGCUAUGGUGAUGAAUCUCCUCCUAAUGGGGCUGGAGGGGGAGAUUGUUAGGAAAAUGGGGUCCAGUCCCAUGUAAGUGGUUUUGGACCAAGUAAAGGCCAUGGGCCUUGAUCUUUUAUUUUACACAGAGCCCUAGCUACUUAAUAAAAAAGAGGUGGGGUUGUUUUAGGUGUGUGUCGAAAACCAAGCAGAGAAAGAAGAAAAGCCAGGAAAAGUAGAGAGAGAAAAAGGAGAAGGGAGAGUUGGUUGAACGGAAGUCGAUCCGUGGUCCGAUUGAGUUGGAACCUUGUCAGGAGGUUUAUGAUUCAGAGUUUUACAUUUUGAACGGUGAAGAUCGGGUUUGAAGCUCUCUAGGAACAAAUCCAGGGUGUAUUUGUUGAGUCACUUAUUUGGUGAGAUUUCUCCAAUUGUUUCUCUAGUUGUUGAUUAGCUCUAGUUUUAGCUAGAGAAGAACUUUGUAUAACUAUUAUUUGAUAGUGAAGAUUUUUCUCGCGGCCCGUGGUUUUUUCCCUCUACACUGGAGGGUUUUCCACGUAAAUCUUGGUGUGCUUUAUUUUUCUGCGCAUUUGAUUAUUGAUUGUUGUCUAUUGCUUCUGUAUUGUUGUGAUUAUUGCUUCAGGCGCAACAAUUUUUUGGGGCUUUGAUUCUUAGAAAUCAUGUCUUUACAUACAAAAUGGUUUCUACAAUUAGCAACAUAAACUUGUGUGAGAAUGUUGCUCCGGUAUCAUUUAGUUUUGCACAAAUUGAGCAGAUGACUAAAAGUUUCAAGGAUGAAAUUGGAAAAGGAGCAUUCAGGACAGUUUACAAAGGAACAAAUUGCUGAUAGCCUGAUGGUCGUUGCGGUGAAGAGAUUGGACAACGUAUCAUCUCAAGGGGAGCGAGAGUUUCAAACAGAGAUGAAAAUUAUUGGUAGAACUCAUCAUCGAAAUUUAGUUCGACUAAUCGGCUAUUGCCACGAAGGGGCUAAUAGGCUGUUGGUAUACGAGUACAUGGUCAAUGGAUCACUUGCAGAUGUACUCUUCACACCUGGAAAAAGACCUUGCUGGAAUGAAAGGGUGCAAAUUGCUCGCAACAUAGCAAGAGAUCUCCUCUAUCUUCACGAAGAGUGUGAGACUCAAAUAAUCCAUUGCGACGUCAAAUCUCAAAAUAUACUAACGGAUGAACAGGGUCAAGCAAAAAUAUGUGAUUUUGGAUUGGCCAAGCUUCUAAAGCCAGACCAAACCAAAACCUUCACUGGGAUCAGAGGAACAAGGGGGUAUGUCGCACCAGAGUGGCACAGGAAACUGCCGGUGACAGUCAAAGCAGAUGUUUACAGCUUUGGAAUUGUACUGUUGGAGAUCAUAUGCUGUCGACGGAGUGUAAAUUGGAGCCUUCUUGAGGAAGAAGCUGUCCUUGAAGAAUGGGUCUACCAUUGUUUCCAAGCUGGUGAACUAUGGAAACUAGUAGGGGAUGAUGAAGAGGUUGACGACAAACAAUUGGACAGGAUGGUGAGAGUGGGACUAUGGUGUAUCCUGGAUGAGCCAACACUCCGCCCUUCCAUGAAAAAGGUUCUGUUGAUGUUGGAAGGGACAGUUGAGAUCCCAGUACCUCCAAGCCCAACUUCAUUUUUCAGUGCUAUUUGAUUGGUCAAUGCUGUUCAAGAUUUGGAGAAGGGAACUCUGCAAUUACUUCCCUUCCGACCUGUAAUUCUGUUGUUGUUGUUGUUUUUUUUUUUUUUUUUUGCAAGUAAUUAUUAGGUCAAGUGAUAAAGAGUGUGUGAAUCUUUGAGAGUUUGUGAGAUGAUGAUUUUCUAUGAAUUGGCUCAAACGAUGAAAAUAAAUUUAUUUAAAUCAGUUAUAAGAAAAAAAUAUUAGAUAAAAUUAAAAAAUUUAUUGUCGCUUAAAAACAAAAUCUGUAGCCAUUUUUCGUUUUGGUAUAUGUUUGUACGAAAUAAUAAGCGCAUAUAGAUUUUUUUUUAUCAAAAGAGUUAGUUUAAGAUUAUCGUCCAUUGAAAAAAUUCCGUAGCUAGUGUGUAUCCUAAUUAAUUGAUUGAAGACUGAAAAAAGUGUGGAACAAAUUGAUUACAAUGUGUAUCAAGAAAUUCUUGAAGGUAGGAAGCAAUGUGCAUGGUAAUUAUUUUAUGUUUUUAUUCUUACAUUUUUUAAGUAAUUUGAUAAAUUUAAUUAUUACACUUAAUUAGGGAUAGAAUUAAAAUAAUAAUAAAGGAAUUGGCUAAGAAAUAUUUUUAUUUGCGGGAAUUUAAUAAUUGCUCUUUUGUAUAAUGUAAAAUUAUGGCUGAAAAUAUAAUUAGACUAGAAACCAAAUUAACAUAAGUAAAUAAAUAAAUAAAACCUUCACAAACCUUUUUCCAUCAGUAGGACAAGAAAUUGUGCUAGAUCAAAAUUUUAAAUAAAAGAGUUUUUGUUGAAAACAAUAACAAUGUUUUUGUAGUUUUUUUUCAAGUGUUUCUCUUAAGCUUUUACUUUUAUUAUACUCAAUUAAAAUUUUAAAUUAUUAUUUUGAUUUAAUUGAACAUUUCAAUGAAAAUGGGGAAAUUUGGUAUUUUGCCACGUUCAAGCUAGGUAUCAUGCAUGUUAAGUAUAGUUCUUAUUUGAAGACACGAUAUUCUCCAUUGAUUUUAGAAAUUUGUGUGUCAAAAUCACAUAUAUAUAUAUAUAUAUUAUAUUACAAUAUACAUGAAUAUUUGAUAAGAUUUGUCACAUAUAUGUUUAUAUGGACAAUUUUUAUGAGUGACACAUAAAUAAUAUUUAUUAAAUAUUAUUUAAAAUAAUUAAGUAUCCAAAACUUUUAAAUUAAAUCAUAAUAAAUAUUCAAAAUAUUCUAAUAUUGAUUUGAAUUUAAAUACAUUUUAUUUGGAUAUGUUUAAAUUCAAUUAUAUAUUACUUAAAACAAUUAAAAAUUAAAAACCUUUUUAUAUAUGCCUCUCCUUAAAUGUAUUCUAAGACAAAUAUUGAUUUCAAUAUAAAUUUUAUUUUAAUUCAGAUGUAUCUAAAUUUAUUUUUUAAAUUUAAAAUUUUUUAUAUAUAUGACAUUUCUUACUCUUACUUAAAAUCUAUAUAUCCCUAUAUUAUAGUUAACUAUUUUCAUAGGCCUUUUUUUAAUAAAAAAAUUAGUUCCAUUUUAAUCUUCAUUUUCGAAGUGAAAAAUCAGUAAUCAGGAAUUCAGGUAACCAAUCUAUUGAUUUUCACCUGAAUAAUAUUUUUCUUUUUAUUUUUUAUAUGUUAAUACAUCUAGGUUUUGAUCAAUCUAUUUGUCUUAAUGUUGUGAUUAAGUGUCUUUAAUUUGUAAUAGAAAAUGAUAACUUAUCAUGCUAAAGAAGAUGUUUAUUGAAGAGUUUGGAGGUUCAACAAAAUAUUUUUUAAAAGUCUAGAAAUAAAUUUAGAUGUGUUAACAUUGAAUUGUUUUAUUAGAAUUGCUUUGAAAUUUUUUUACACAUAUUUAUAUUUUUAUAAUUUGAAAAUGUUAUUGAAUAAAGAUUGGAAUGAUUAAUCAAGUCCACUAGCUAUGAAAUUUUUUUUCUCAUGUACAUAUGCUUGAUUUGUCUUUUUGUCAUUUUGCAUAAUAGUGAGGUUGGUCAUGUUUUAACAAAAAUAUUAAAGUAUAUAUAACUAAAGAAGAGUUAGUUUGCUCAUGCUUUUUUCUCUAUGAUCAAGAACAGGCAAAAAUGAAAAUGAUUACAGAAAUAGUAGUGGCCGAGAUGGGCAUCCAAAUGGUCUGCCAAGUCAUAUGCUGCAUCGUGGGCGUAACGAGGUAGUGGCUCAUAUAAUGGCAGCAGAGGAAUCGAAACUUGCCGAGAGAAAGAAAUAAGAGAAGUUUUUAUCACUAUUUGGUCUUGAAAAUGUGGAUAGUGUUGAACUAAAUUGUGAUUACAAAAGGCAAUGAUAGUUUUUUAAAAAAAAUAAAUAAAUAACCAAAUCUUUUUAUGUCAACAGACAUUGAAUUCCAAAUUUUUUCAAUCGAAUAAUGGUUUUGUUUUUUGGGUCAUCAAUCCAAUGUUAAUUGAAGGAUAAUCUUACUAUGACUAAGAUCAUACCGCAUUUAAGGAGAUAGAUAUUUUUUGACAGAACAAGUAUUUUUAUUUUUUAUUUUUAUUCCAAAAGGGAAUCAAAAUGGUAAAUUUAACUACCAUUUCUAUUCAAAUUUGUCUUAAUUUGUACACAACUAUACAUCAUGCUUUUGUUUUCUAUGUUAGUUUCUCUUUCUUACCUAAAUAUAGGACACUGUUGUAACACAAUUCAUUACCUUAAAUAUCCACCUAGAAUGGAAACCCUAUCUAAGCUUAAUCUCCUCAAGAAACCUCCACUCUACUCGGUCGUAUGCCUUACUCAUAUCAAGCUUUUAAGGCAAAGAAUCCCUUUCUCCCUUGUUUCUUGGUUUUCAAAUGGUGCACAAGUUGGUAGGCAACUAUAAUAUUAUCUGAAAUUAACCUGCCCAAAAUGAAAGCACUUUGUGUUUCACUAAUAAAAGAAGGAAGAAUUGUCUUAAGCCUAUUAACUAAAACUUUUGAUAUGAUCUUGCAAUCACAUUGCAUAAACUUAUAGGCCUAAAUUGGGUAAUAUUUUUAGGCUCUUUAAUUUUUGGGAUUAGGACAAUAUUAGUACGGUUUAUCUUGACUAAGUCCCUCUCCCCCUAAGACAUGACAAACAAAAGCUUGUAACUUUAUUACCAAUAAUAUGCCAAAAUUUCUGGAAAAAUAGAACAGGCAUACCAUUUGGGCAGGUGAUUUGUUAGCACUCUUUUGUUUGGCCACUUUGUGGACUUCCUUUUUGCUGAAUUCUGAAAGGACUUUGAUAAUCUCAUCAGUAAUACAAGGUUCAAAAGUCUCCGGUACAUAUUUAUGAUUUGAUGGAUUAUCCGAAUGGAACAACCACUCGAAAUAUCCAGUGGCUAUUUGCUCUAUUUUAUCCUCUUCUUCACACCAUACCCUAUUUUCAUCCUCCAGCCCUUUAAUAAUAUUUGUCCUCUUCUUGGUCGAAGCUUGGGCGUGGAAAAAAACUUGUAUUUCUGGCUCCUUCUUGAAGCCAUUGAAUUCUUGAUCUCUGUUUCCAAUAAACUUCUUCCUUCUCCAAGUAAUAAUUCAGCUCCCCUCUAAUUUGGUUAACGCAAUCCAAAGUUUCUGUAGGGGGGUUUUCAUGCUCAGUUGGUUCAUUUCUUUCUUGAGUAUAGCUAUCCUCUCCCAGUAUCACCAAAAUUGGAUUCAUGUCACUUUCUCAAUCUUUCACUGACCUUAUUCAUCUGGUCAAGUAUGGAUUCUAUGCUAUUGUUACCCCAAGCUGCUUUCACUACUUCUUCACAAUUUGCCUGUUUCAGCCACAUCCUUUAUUACCUCUGUUCCUUCCAUACCUUUUAUGCUUUUCAGAUCUCACAAUGAUAGAACAAUGAUCGGAGACAGGUGCUGCCAAGCGUUGCACUUCAAAAUCUGGAAACUGGUCACACCAUUUCUUGUUCCCAAACCAUGGUCUAAUCUUUCUCUUAACGUUUGUAGCCUGUAAUCUCCCUCUUUCCCAUGUAUACCAUUGACCCUCAUAUCCCAAGUCAUCCAAAUUGCCUACUUGCAGUGCAUCCCUAAAAGCUGUCAUUUGGCUUUCUCUUCUCAUGUUUCCUCUGUCUUUUCAUGGCUUCAUAACAAUUCGUUGAAAUCACCUAAACCAAGCCAUGGCCUAUCAUCUUGCUCUACUAAGUUCCUCAUCAGUGUUCACGACUCGUGUCUCCUUACAUCAGGUUCCUCGUAGAAGCCCGUCAACUCCAUGGACCGAUUUUUGGGCUUUUCUCACCUCCAUGUUGAUGCGGUUUCUCGAGAAACUCAGCAAGUUUAGUUUAAUAUCAUCCCUCCAAAGCAUUGCCAAUCUCCCACUACUUCCCUCCGAGUCCACCCCGAAACAUCCAUGCAUGCUAGAACUCUUUUUUACUCUUAUCUAAUUUCUUUACAUGUAGUUUAGUUUCCAUAAAAAACACUAUAUGGGGAUUUUUGCUCUUCACCAGUUCGCACAGAGCUCGAAUAGCACAUGCGUUUCCAAGACCUGACAGUUCUAAGCUAUGCACCUAAUUUCUCUCGGCGGGACUGUAUGCCAGUCUCCACUGUUGGAUAUGGUUUUCUUGCUUCCACCAUCCCCUCUUCUCUACAUUUUCUUUGUUUGUUGGUCAAUCGCCAUUAGAUCACUACAUAUUUCGUGCAUUUUCCUCUUUCCCAUGGUAACGGGGUCUAGCUACUUAUUAUUGCCAUGCACUACGCUUGCUUUUUUCUUCCAGGUGUUCUUUCCAAUUGUCAUGUUUUUCUGCUUUCCAUUGGUUACAUUUUCAUGGACCUCUUCCACGUCACACAGGAUUGCCACCUCAUAUGUUUUUUUUUUAAUUUCCCAGGCACUCUUUCCAUAUAAAUUUUCUGUCCGUUUAUCCACGUCCAUUCCCAUGCAAGUCACUAAUGCAUUCUCAAUGCUCUUACUUGUCCCCUUAUUACAAUGGUAAUUUGUUGACCCUGAAAAUCCUCAUUUUCCCUGAUUUUCCUCAAUCCCUUGAUCCUCUCCUUUGUUAUGAUCACUCUAUUUAGGCUCCUCAUUCCCCGGAAUUUCGCUACUUCCUUUCCUAUUUUCGUGUCUGGUCGAUUCACCCUCCUCUGUCGCUUCUACCACCUUUCCUCUCGCCUUCAGCGUCACUUUUUCGGUGUUGUUCCUCCUACGUCCCCACUACCAUGUUUGCUCGUGUGCAUGCUAGGCUUUCUUUCUCUUCAUUGUACUGUUUACGUGUUGGGUACUGGUUUCUGGUCAUAUAAGCCAAGCAUCCUCGUUUAAUUGGUGAAGUUCGCAUCCACUCCCCAUACUGCUGGUCCUCUCCUCUUCCUAACUCUGCUACCAUUUCACAAUCCAUUUUAGUAUGGCUCAGUUUCCCACAUACAUAGUAGAAAUUUGGGAGACGUUCAUACCUCAAUUGCCCCCAUAAACCAUCUUUUGUUCUUCCCUGCAAUAAAAACACACCUUCUCAAAGGCUUUGUGAUAUCUAUUUCCACUCGUAUUCUCAGGAAGAUUCCAACCAUAGAAAACAAAUGGUUACACUAUGUUUGGAUUGAGGAGAAGAAAAAAAAGUAAAGGAAAAUAAAGGGGAGUAACGAAAAUAGAAAAAUUCUUUUUUGUUUGGAUAAAUUUUUAUUUAAAAAGAAAGAGGUAGAAAUUUAAUAAUUUUUUAUUUUCCUUGUAAUUUUCACUUUUUUAAUACCCUAAUUAGGGAAAAAGCCAAGGAAAUGAAAGUUGAAAAAAUUUUAUUUUUAUAAAAAGAUUAUUAUAUCUAUAUUUUUAUUAUGACAUUAGAUUUGAUUAUAUAAAUGACAUUUUUUAUAAAAAUAAUUUUUUUAUGAAUAUUUUAUAUAACGUUAUAGUUUAUAAAUAUUUGACAAAUUUUCAAGUUUUAAUAACAAAACAAGUUAAAUUAUUGUCAAAAUAAAUUAAAAGGUUGAAUUAAACAUAAAAUUAAAAGUAAAUCAAUAACUAGCUAAUAUAUAUUAUUGUAUUAAAUAUGUUCAAUUUUAUUUAAAAAAUUUGUUUAUACAAGUUAGGUAGUAUAAAAAUAUAUUUAUAUAUUCUAUGUUAUUUUAUAAAAAUAGUUAUAAUUAAAAAAAAUAUAUAAUGAAUCUUUUUUUUUCUUUUCGUUAUUUGUCCAAACAAUGGUUAUUAGAUUUUUUUUUGUUAAUUUUAAUUAUCCAAACAAAUAAUAUAUGUAUCUUCUUUUUAAUUUUUUUUAUUUAUAUGUAUCCAAAUAUAGCGAUUUGGUCCACACCUUUCAAUACUCCCAAUUUCAUUCCUAUCUUUUUUGCCAUAUCUUUGGUCAGCAUUUUCAACGCCAACCCAUGCACCAUAAUCCAGAACGCUGCCCAUCAAAAGAGUAAUCUGUUGGCCUUAGAUCACCAUCAUACUUUCUAACAACUGAAAGGUGCUUUUCAAAUGACCAUGACGACUCUUCGAGAACUCUCUUCUUAUUACUCUUUGACCCAAACUUAAAGAUUAAUAAGUUUGGUUCCAACACCAUCAUUGUCAUCUCUCUGGCUAUCAUCUGGAACGUAUUGAUGAUUGCUUUCCUAUUGAACAUAUUCUUAGUAGUUUCCCCACUCACUAAAAGACCUCCGAUGCAUUCGAUUCUUCUUCCAGCCCCUCAAUUUCAAUGCCCUUCUUUUCUUCUUCAGUUAGCCUUAGUUUUGACCAUUUGCUUUCCAACUCGUCCACAAUUAUUCGAACUUCAGGAUAUCUUAACCACGUUAUUAACAGCCUGUUUCUACUCUAAUAUACUGGAACUAAGAACGCUUGCAUACCGACGAGACUAUGAAAACUCCUCGUACAAAACCCUAAGUUCCAAAGAGACGCUAUAAUUGAACAAUAGAAGUGCAUUUUAUUUUCUCUUAACAUUUGUAACAUCUUUUGUUUUUCUUUUUAAAUUAUAACUUGGGUGCAAAAUUUCACCGUACAGUUAAAGACAAAUAAUAAAAUAUGCCCCGUGGCUUAAAAAAAAAAAAGUUGCACUAAUCCUUUUUAAGGAUUUUUUUCCGGUUAAUUUUAAAGUCAAAAUCGUUGAUCAAUUUCCCUUUCUUUUAUUUUUUUUUUGUUACAUUGUUGUAAAUUUCGUUUUAGUAUUGUCCAUAGUAGUCAAUAUACUUCAUUUAUAUUAAAAUAUGGUAUAGUUAAGGGUAGGUUUUUUUUAUUGAAUUUGUACCGGAUAAACCAAAUAUUUUUAUUUGUUUCCAUUGAUUUUGGUGAACUUUGAUAGAAUAGUUUGUCGCAGUUAGUAUUUGAAUGUAAAAUAUGUUAUGUAAUUUUUAAUUUUGUUUUGUUAUUUGAUUAUUUUUUUAACCUAAUAAAAAUAAAACUAAUGAGUAAAAGAAUCCUUAAAAAUUGGAUUUCUCUACUUUUUACCGCAUGUUUUUUUUUUUUUACAUUUUAUUUUUUCAAACAAAUAUUUAUAAGUAUUUCAAUUUUUAAAAAAAAAAACAAUUGUACUCACCCUAAAAUUUAAGAAUCCUAAAGUUAAAAUUAAAUUUUUUUCAUCUCUUUAUUUUUAUCUUAAUUUUACAUGAAAAAUUAUUUAUUUAAAUGUCAUAUAAUCAGAUUAAAUAUUUAAAAACAUCAUGAUAAAUUAAUGAUAUUAUUUUUUAUAUUUUUAAAUUUAUUUAUUUAGUUUUUUAAGAUAUUAUUAUUAUUAUUAUUAUUAUUAUUAUUAUAUACAAAUUAAUAUUUAUUUAUAAACAUAUUUGUAUUAAAUAAAAAAAUCUAAAAUAAUAUGUCGAUACCAACAUAUACUUCAAAAAAUUAAAAUAUUAUGUGAUAUGAUAUUAAUAAACUCGCUUUAUUACACUUUAUUCUUUGAAUUUCUAGUUACUCUGAUCUCCAUCAAUGUCAUAUAUAUCAAUAAUAAUGUUAUAUAUGUUCUUUUAAAGUGUUGAUUUGGAAAUUAAUGAAAGAAAUCUCAGGUUAUAAUAACGUGGCACUAUUUAUAUUUUUAAGGAUCAAAUUUAUUUGGCCUCUGACCACAGGAGUUUUUUUUUUUUUCUUUAAAUAAUUUACCUUAGAACAAAUUACCAUGAGUUGCUUAUUAGACUUGCUCUGUGAAUAUAAAAUCUUGACUUUAUGAAUACUUUACUUUAUGAAUACUUGAGUUUGAAUUUUUUUAAAUAAGAUAAGGUGGUGGGGAAGGGAGAAAUGAAACAAGAUUCUUGAAGAGUUGCUAUGUAUUUAUUAAAACGCGUUUUCAGGGCCAACUUAUUAAUUAUAAUAAACACGUUUCAAGAUUUAUAUUUGAUUCAUUUUUAAUGUAUAAAUUUUAAACAUUAUUAAUGAAAAAUAUGAUAUUACCUUAUUAAUAAAUAAGUUUUUCUAAAAUAUUAAUUUUUAUAUAUUUAUUUUAAAAAUUAAUAUUUAUUUAUUAAUGAAGUAACAUUAUUUAAUUCAUUGAUAGUAUACAAAAUUUAUACAUCAAAUAUAAACUCUAAACGAAAACCCAAUAGUUGCAAAGGAAAUAUCUUUACAGAAACUUUGCUAAAUAUCCCCAUACUUUGAAUUGGUCCGCGGGUGGACGAGAAAUCGUGCAUGCGUAAGGCUUUUGACGAAGACAAUAAUAUUCAGGCCUUACCGUUUUGAAUGGGAAAAUAAUGGAAAGACAUUUCAGACCCAUCUCUUCACGGGCCAUCGGAAACUUUUCGAGUAUAAAUCUAGCAAUUUUACAACUCUAAGUUCAUAAAACCAGAGAAAGGAAUUGAAUCUGUACUCUUUGGCCAUGGCUGCCAUUUUAUUACUUUUUCUUCUGUCUACCUCCUUCAUUUCAACCGCAAUAGCUCAACCAAGGCAUUCCAAUAUAAGUCUAGGCUCGUCUCUAACACCCAGAGGCCAAUCUGCAUGGCUAUCCCCUUCUGGCCUAUAUGCCUUUGGAUUUUAUCAGCAAGGUAAGGGGUAUGCUGUUGGAAUUUUUAUUGCUGGAGUUCGCCAGAAGACUGUUGUUUGGACGGCCAACCGAGAUGAUCCUCCUGUUCCAAGCAGCGCUAAUUUGAUUCUUACAACUGAUGGAAGGCUCAUUCUGCGAUCAACACGAGAUAUAUCCAUUACUGAUUCUACUGAAAAAGUCGCCACAGCUUCGAUGCUUGAUUCUGGCAAUUUUGUUCUAUACAAUUCAGACCAAGAAAAAAUCUGGGAGAGCUUUAUACACCCUACCACUACCAUUCUUCCAGGACAAAAACUCUUAGCCGGGACAGCGCUAUACUCUAGCGUCUCAGACACUGAUCAGUCGACAGGAUUGUUUCAACUUAUCAUGCAGACCGAUGGGAACCUUCUGCAAUACCCGGUGGCUACUUAUACAGCCGCACCAUGGUAUGCGUAUUGGGCAUCUGGUACAUUUGGUGCAGGAGAUAAUGUGAGCUUGAAUCUCGACAAUGAUGGCCAUACGUACUUACUCAAUUCCUCAGGAGUCAACAUAAAGGAUGUAUUUAUAGGAGGAUAUGAUACCAAUGAAACAAUCUAUCUGAUGAAAAUUGAUCCGGAUGGCAUCUUCCGAAUCUAUUCUUAUAAAUUAAAUCAGGAUGGCAACGGAUCAGUGAUAUAUGUAUCUUCUUCAGACAGGUGUGCGCCUAAGGGUCUAUGCGGCCUUAAUGCCUAUUGCGUUAUCACUGAUCAAGGAGCUGAGUGCAAAUGCAUACCGGGAUUCACUCCGGUAAAAAAGGGCAAUUCUAGUGCUGGCUGCGAAAGGGAUUUCGCCAUGCAAAGCUGCAAUAGGAAUGAUCAGAGAAACCAGUACACCAUUCAGGCGGUUGAUAAUACGGAAUGGGAAGACAAUGGAUAUUCUGAUUUGUCUUUAUUAACCGAAGAAGAUUGUAAAUCUGCAUGUCUGGAAGAUUGUGUGUGUGAAGCUGCCAUGUUUAAAGAAAGAAACUGCAGGAAGCAAAGGCUGCCUCUGAGAUUUGGGAGAUGGAAAGUUUCUGAAGAAAACGUUGCUUUGAUUAAAAUAGGUCUAUCUGCGUCCACUGAAUCAACAAAACAUGAUCAAGGCAAACAAAAACCUGGUAUGGUAAUUUUAAUAAUUGGUCUUUCAUUGAUUGGCUUAGCGGUUUUGUUGGUAUUUUUUGGGGCUUUGAUUUUUAGAAAUCAUGUCUUCACAUACAAAAUGGUUUCUACGAUUACCAACAUAAACUUGUGUGAGAAUGUUGCUCCGAUAUCAUUUAGUUUUGCACAAAUUGAGCAGAUGACUAAUAGUUUCAAGGAUGAAAUUGGAAAAGGAGCAUUCGGGACAGUUUACAAAGGAACAAUUUCGGAUAGCCUGAUGGCUGUUGCGGUGAAGAAAUUGGACAACGUAUCAUCUCAAGGGGAGCGAGAGUUUCAAACAGAGAUGAAAAUUAUUGGUAGAACUCAUCAUCGAAAUUUAGUUCGACUAAUCGGCUAUUGCCACGAAGGGGCUAAUAGGUUGUUGGUAUACGAGUACAUGGUCAAUGGAUCACUUGCAGAUGUACUCUUCACACCUGAAAAAAGACCUAGUUGGAAUGAAAGGGUGCAAAUUGCUCGCAACAUAGCAAGAGGUCUCCUCUAUCUUCACGAAGAGUGUGAGACUCAAAUAAUCCAUUGCGACAUCAAAUCUCAAAAUAUACUAAUGGAUGAACAGGGUCAAGCAAAAAUAUGUGAUUUUGGAUUGGCCAAGCUUCUAAAGCCAGACCAAACCAAAACCUUCACUGGGAUCAGAGGAACAAGGGGGUAUGUUGCACCGGAGUGGCACAGGAAACUGCCGGUGACAGUCAAAGCAGAUGUUUACAGCUUUGGAAUUGUACUGUUGGAGAUCAUAUGUUGUCGACGGAGUGUAAAUUGGAGUCUUCUUGAGGAUGAAGCUGUCCUCGAAGAAUGGGUCUACCAUUGUUUCCAAGCUGGUGAACUACGGAAACUAGUAGAGGAUGAUGAAGAGGUUGACAAGAAACAAUUGGAAAGGAUGGUGAGAGUGGGACUAUGGUGUAUCCUGGAUGAGCCUACACUCCGCCCUUCCAUGAAAAAGGUUCUGUUGAUGUUGGAAGGGACAGUUGAGAUCCCAGUACCUCCAAGCCCAACUUCAUUUUUCUGUGCUGUUUGAUUGGUCGAUGCUGUUUAAGAUUUGGAGAAGGGAACUUUGCAAUUGCUUCCCUUCCGAUGCGUAAUUUUGCUGCUGUUGUUGUUGUUUUUUUUUUUUUUUUUUAAACGAAGUAAUUAUUAGGUCAAGCAAUAAAAAGUGAAAAAAAAGUGUGUGAAUCUAUUGAGAGUUUGUGAGAUGAUUAUGAAUUGGCUCAAACGAUGAAAACAAAUUAAUUUAAAUCAGUUCUAAAUAUAUAUAUAUAUAUAUAUAUUAGAUAAAAUUAAAAAAUCUCUUGUCGCCAAAAACCAAAAUAAAAGGGUUAGUUUAAGAUUGUUGUCCAUUGAAAAAAAUUCCGUAGCUAGUGUGUAUGCUAAUUAGUUGAUUGAAGACUGAAAAGAGGAUGGGUUGAACAAAUUGGUUAUAUAUGUAUCAAGAAAUUCUUGAAGAUAGGAAGCAUUGUGUAUGGUAAUUAUUUUAUUUUUUUUAUUGUUACAUUUUUUAAAGUAAUUUGAUAUAUUUAAUUAUUACACUUAAUUAGGGAUAUAAUAAAAAUAAUAAUAAAGGAAUUGGCUAAGAAAUAUUUUUAUUUGCAGGAAUUUAAUAUAUAUUGCUCUUUAAUAUUAUGUAAAAUUAUGUCUGAAAAUAUAAUUAGACUAGAAACUAAAUUAACGUAAAUAAAUAAAUAAAAAACCUUCACGAGCCUUUUUCUAUCAGUACGACAAGAAAUUGUGCUAGAUCAAAAUUUUAAAUAAAAGAUUUUUGGUUGAAACAAUUAACAAUGUUUUUGUAGUUUUUUUCCUUUCCAAGUUUUUCUCAUAAGCUCUUCCUUUUAUUGUACUCAACUAAAAUUUUAAAUUAUUAUUUUGAUUUGAUUGAACAUUUCAAAGAAAUGAGGAAUUUUGUUUCUUUGCCACGUUCAAGUUUGACGUAUCAUGCAUGUUAAAUAUAGCCCUUAUUUGGCGACCGAUAUUCUCCAUUGAUUUUAGAAAUUUACGUGUCAAAAUUUAAUAUAAUAAGAUUACUAUUCUACUAGUUUUUUCAAACUUAAGAUUUAAUUAAAAUAAUUUAUUAUUUCUUAAAAGUUAAAUUUUUAUAAAAUUAAAAUUUGAUUUUUAACAUUUAUAAUUUUUACUUUUUUUUUUAUCUUCCAUUUCUUUUGCAUAAAAAAAAUCUAAUAAUCCUCUAUUUACUAAGUGAUGCCAAAAUUGAUGUUUUAGAUAUGGAGAUUAACUAUAAACAGAAAACUCACAAAAAAGAUAACUCACAAGAAUUUAAACAAUGACAGAAUAUGAUUAUUGGAUUAAAAGAGAUAAAAGUUCACCACCAAGACUAGAAACUAAGGGAUACAGAAACACUACUAUAAGAAUUCUAAUUAAGGAUAUAGAAUAAUAAAAGUUCACCACUCUAGAAAAUUCAUCUAAGAAAUACAGAACUUAAAAAACAAUCAAGAAGAUUACCUAAGGAUAAAUAAAACUCUGUUCUGCCUUUUACCAAAGAAUAAUAAAAACUAUAUAGGUUAGGAACAUCCCUCCAAGCAUGGAAACUUUCAAAUUGCAUUGCUAGAAUCAUUCCUAAAAUCAUGAGAUUUGUAUGUGAACAUAAUCUACUCAUUUACUCAUGAACCUGAUCACAAUCUCAUUCAUAUUCAUAAUUUUCUUUUUCAGUUAGUGUGAAUGCAAUCUCUCUAUUUCAGUCCACCUUAUUUAUGUGUGGAUUUGGAUCAAGGAUAGACUCAUCUUAUUUUUGGAUAAGUCUGCCUUGUCUAAGCCCAAAUUGUAUGAUGUGCAAACACUUCGAUGUCAAUCUCCUCUAGUUGAAAAAAAACUUGUCCUCAAGUCUGAACUAUUAUUUUUGUCAUGAUAAGUUGAUAAAUCAGCAACAUUGAAGGUGAAAGAUACUCCAUAAGUAUCGAAAAGCUUUAUCUUGUAGGCAUUCUCUCCAAUACAUUGGAGGACUUUAAAUGGACCAUCUGCCUUAGAUUGUAAUUUGCCAAACUUUCCUGGAAGAAAUUUUUUUUUGUAAGUUAAUCCAUACCAAAUCACCUUCUUUGAACUCCAUAUAUUUUUUAUGCUUAUUUGCUACCUUUUUAUAUUUCUCAUUUUGCUGUAAAAUCUUAGCUCUCACUUGUUCGUGCAAUCAUUUGAUACUCUUAGCCAUCUCUUAUGCAUCUCCAUUAAAUUGUUGACUAGUAGGGAAAGGAACUAAAUCUAAAGGCCUAUUUGGAUUCUUAUUAUACACCACCUCAAAAGGGUUGUAACCAGUGGUUUGGCUUAGUGAGCGGUUGUAGGCAAACUCUACUUGAGGUAAAAUAAGAUUCCAUUACUUGAUAUUCUUUCCCAUAUAACUUCUUAGAAGGUUGCCCAAGUUAUGGUUAAUUACUUCUAUUUGACCAUCUGUUUGAGGAUGAUGAGAAAAACUAUACUUGAGAUCGGUGUCGUGUUUCCUCUAGGGGGUGCAUCAAAAAUAACUAAGAAACUUGAGAUCUCGAUCAAACACCAUGGAUCUAGGAACUCCAUAUAGCCUUACAAUUUUUUUGAAAUACAUAUCAAAAACAAGAAAAACAUUUAUAGUUUUGGUACAAGGAACAAAAUGGGCCAUCUUGGAAAAACUAUCCACAACCACCAUGAUGGAGUCUUUAUUCCUUUGAGUUUUGGGCAGUCUAACCAUAAAGUCUAAACUAACAUCCUCUCAAAGAGCAUUAGGCAUGGGCAGUGGAGUAUACAAUCCAAUGUUUUGGCCAUGACUCUUGGCAAUGUGGCACACUUUACAUCGUUUAAGGUGUUUCAUCACAUCCCCCUCCAUUCUUGGCCAAUAAAAUCUAUAUUGCAAAAGAGCAAGUGUCUUAUCCCUUUCAAAGUGUCCACCCAGUGCACCAUCAUGAGCUUUAUUGAUUAAAGCCUAUCUUAAGAAAAAUAAAGGAAUGCAAAGGUUAUUAGCCUUGAAGAGAUAUCCAUCAUACAAUAAAUCACAUCAAAUUCAAGAACUUUAACAGUCAUAGUCCCAAAUAAGGAGUGCUUUCGACUCAAAGCAUCUGCCACCACAUUUUGAGUUUUUGAUUUGUGUUUGAUAGUGAAGUUGAAGGCUUGAAAGAACUCCACCCAAGCCGUAUGUCUUCGGUUGAGCUUAUGCUAGCUAUUGAUAAACUUCAAGGCCUUAUGGUUUGAAUAUAGGACAAAUGACUUGGGAAGAAGAUACUGACUCCAAUGGAAUAAUGCUCUAUAUAUGGCAUAAAACUCUUUAUUAUAGGUUGAAUACUUUCUCUUGACAUCAUUGAACUUCUUAGUGAAAAAUACUAUAGGCUUUCUUUCUUGACUUAAAAUAGCAUCUAAUCCAAAAUUGGAUGCAUCACAUUCUACCUUGAACAAUUGAUCAAAAUCUGGUAGAGAUAAGAUAAAAGCUUCAGUGAUCUUAGUCUUGAUAAGCUCAAAGCUGUGUCGGGCUUCUUUACUCCACUUAAAACUUUAUUCUUCAAAAAUUCAGUGUUGGGAGCCACAAUGGAGCUAAAACUCCUAAUGAAGUGCUUAUAAAAAGAUGCAAGGCCAUGAAAGCUUUGGAUAUUAUGCAGAGAUACUGGUGUUGGCUAAUUUAAAAUUACCUCAACCUUGCUAAGAUCCAUCUUUAUUCUUUCAUUUGACACCACAAACCCUAGAAACACAAGGUUGAAAGUAAAGAAACUAUACUUUUUUAGGUUAGCAUAAAUUUUUGUUCCUUCAAUAUGCAAAAUAGUUGGUGUAAAUGAUUCAAGUGUUGGUCUUCAUCCUAGCUGUACACCAGAAUAUCAUCAAAAUAAACUAUUACAAAUCUGCCAAUACAAGGUUUAAAAAUAUGAUUCAUAAAUCUAAUGAAAAUACUAGGAGCAUUGGAUAAACCAAAAGGCUUUACCAUUCAUUCAUAGAGCCCAUCUUUUGUCUUGAAGGCUACUUUUCACUCAUCUCCAAGCCUCAUUUUAAUUUGAUGAUAACCACUGUGUAGGUCUAUCUAGGAAAAAAUAGUUACUCCAUGUAGUUGGUCCAAUAAGUCAUCUAAGGGCAGAAUAGAAAAAUGAUAGUCAAUUGUGAUUUUGUUAAUUGCUUUACUAUCCAUACAUAUGCGCCACGAUCCAUCCUUCUUAGGCACCAAAAGGGCUUGGACUACAUAAGGGUUCAUGCUUUCAUGCACCAUUUUUUUUCUCACCAAUUCAUAAACUUGGCAUUACAACUCCACAUGCUCUUUAGAACUCAUCCUAUAGGCUACCUUAUUAGAUAGAACAGCUCUUGGAAUAAGGUCUAUGCAGUAUUAAAUGUCCCUCAUUGGUGGUAGACUAACUAGUAGCUUCUCUUGAACAACAUCUUAAAAUUUUAUCAAUAAUGGUUGUAUCACUGUAGGGGGCUUUUCACUAUCUUUGUUCUUUUCAAUCAACACCAAUGCAUACAUAGUACUAUCCAUCUUAAUUUUUUUUCUAUAAUUGGCCUUGAUAAACAAAAUACUUCUUUCCUCUUUGGUUGGUUUUGACAUCACUAUAGCUUGGUAAGGCUUAGGAUGAUUUUACAUCCUUCAUAAAUGUGUAAGUGUUAUGGUAACCAUCAUAAAUAACCCUUCUAUUAUAAUGCCAAGGUCUUUCAAGUAGUAAAUGGUAAGUAGCCAUUGGAGCUACAUCACAUCACACUUCAUCAUUAUAUUAAUUUUCUAUGAAAAAAAGAACCAAACACUUCUUACUAACCUUGAUUUCAUUUUUUUUCUACAGCUAUGACAGCUUAUAUGGUUGGGGGUGAUCCAUUACUUUGAGGCUUAAUUUUUGCACCAUAAAGGUUGAAACAAUGUUUUCAAAACUUUCACUAUCAAUUAUAAUAUCACAUACCUUCCUAUGGGCAGUACACUGAGUAUGGAACAUAUUUUUAUGCAAACAAUCUUUUUUCUUAAUAAGUGCAGUACUUAAGUUGUAUUAUAUGACUAAGGAUGCUUCAUAAUCACCAUAGGUUACCUCUUCCUCCUCUUUAAGGUUUUGAUCCUUUUCAACCAGUUUCUCUUCAUUUUUCUCUAAGUUUUCCUCUACUAGAGUCAUAAUCUUCCUAUUUGGGUAUUUUGAAGUAAUGUGUCUAAGCCUUUGACAUUUAAAACACCUUUUGGUUUGUGUAUUAGAUUGAGGCUUGCUUGUUGAGGUUCUAUCUUUCUUUUGAGGUUACUUUAGAUUAGGCUUAGAAGGAACAAUAGUUUUAGAUAAGCCACAUUUAUUGAUAUAGCUUUCUCUGGACCUAAAUCUCAAGCUACUACUACGAGCCUCUUUUUGUUGUCUCUCCAUCUUAAAGGCAAGCUUGCAUACAUCAUUGAAAGUCCAAUAGGGUUAUAGCUACACCAUAUUAGCUAUCUCAAUCUUUAAUCUUUCAAGAUACCGAGCAAUAGUCUGUUCCUCCUGUUUCACCAAUUCACACUUUAACAUGAAGUAGUCAAACUCAGCCGUAUACUCCUUCACUGAGAGAUCUCUUUGCUUUAAGUUAUGGAGCCUAACAAAGAUAUCUUACUGAAAGUUAUCUGGGAGAUACUAUCUCUUCAACUCUUUUAUUAAUUUCUCCCAAGUUACAAUUUUAUCCUGCCUUCUCUUUUCUUUUGCUUUUUCAAAAUUUUCCACCAAAAUGAUGCAUGGUUUUUGAGUUUGAUGGCCAUUAGCUUCACAUUACGAUGUUCAGGGGUAUCAUGGUAUUCAAAUAUACGUUUCACCAUGUGUAGCCAAUCUAAGAAUUUUUUAGGUUACAUCUUUCCUUUGAAUUCAAGAAUUUUUAUCUUUGAAUUGAAUAUGCUAUGUUGAAGUUGGUUUCUGAGUAGAUAGUCUCUAACUUACCGUGGGUGGAAUAAGGUGUUAUCAUCAGAAUCACUAUUGUUUCCAUGAAAUGGAUUAGUUUCUCCUUCAUCUUCUUUGUUUCUCCUUCGUUGCCUCUUUAUCUUAUCUUUCUUUUCUUGUAUAUGUAGUUGAUUUUAUAGUUGAAGGAUCUGUUACCACAUCUUUUUUAUAAAGGCAUCCAUUGGGUCAACAUUCGUAGUUGUUAUAACGUUAGUGUUGGCUUCAACCUCUUCUAUUAAUGCUUGAUGAUGACGACCUGCCGUAGCUCUGAUACAAAUUUGAUGCCUAGAAUUGAUAUUUAAGAUAUGGAGAUUAACUGCAAAUAAAAAACUCACAAAAAGAUAACUCACAAGAAUUUGAAUAAUAGCAGAAUAUGAUUAUUGGAUUAAAAGGGAUAAAAGUUCACCACCAAGACUAGAAACUAAGAGAUACAAAAACACCAUAUUAAGAAUUAUAAUCAAGGAUAUAGAACAAUAAAAGUUCACCACUCUAGAAAAUCUACUUAAAAGAUACAGAACUUGAAAAAUAAUAAAAAAGAUUGCCUAAGGAUAAAUAAAACUCUAUUCUACCUUUUACCAAAGAAUAAUAGAAAAUAUAUAGGCUAGAAACAUCCCUCCAAGCAUGAAAACUUUCAGAUUAUAUUGCUAGAAUUAUGCCUAAAAUCAUGAGAUUUGUAUGUGAACAUAAUCUGCACAUUUACUCAUGAACCUGAUCACAAUCCCAUUCAUAUUCAUGAUCUAAUUUUUUUAGUUAGUAUGAACGCAAUCUCUCUAUUUUAGCCCACUUUAUUUAUGUGUGAAUUUGGACCAAAGAUAGGCCCAUCUUAUUUUUGGAUAAGUCUACCUUAGUCUCAAUUCAAGUUGUAUGAUGUGCAGAUACUUUAGUGUCACUAAAGUAAAUAGUCUUAGAAGAAAACUUUGCUAAAUCACUAAAACUUUAAAUUGGCGCUAGUAAAGGUGAUAAUUGGACAAAUUGAUAUGGUUUGAAUUGGAUCAUUUUGAAUUGGGUUAUAUUGAGUUAAAGAAAAUUCAAGUCCCUUCAUAAUCUAAUCAUUUUAAGCUCAAGUCACUUAGGUUUUGAGUCUUUCUAGUUUUGAUAUUUGGGAUUAUUUGAAUUUGAAUAAUUUUAUAUUUAAAUUUUGAGUUUUAAAAUUAAAUCAAUAUAAUUUUAAUUAAUUUGUAUUUGACUUAUUUUAAACUUAAAUUAUUGAUUUUUUUAAUUAAAUCAAAUUGAAUAAAAUCAAAUUUGAAAAAAUUAGGUAAAUGGAUUGGAGAUGAUUUUGCUUAGACCUUGUUUAAUAAACCAUUGCAAUUUUUGAUUGACCUAAAAGUGAACAUUUUCAACAUUUUUAAUUUUUUCAAUGCAUUUGAUAAUACAUUCUAAAAUCCACUUAAAAGAAUUUUUUUUUUAAUUACAUCAGGAGGGCAAAGCCUUAGUACAAGUAAAGGGGAUGAGGGAGGUCUGAUUCAAAACCAAGCUCUUGAUGUCUCCUCAAGCACCUUUAGCCACUAUACCAAAGGUUUGGGGACCACUUAAAAGAAUUUUUUUAAUUAAAAAGUGUUGAAUAAGAUGAGUAGGAGUAGACUUAUCACUUAAUGCAAAAAAUAUUCAUUAAAAUUUUUUGAACUAUUAUCUCCUUAAAACCCUACUUAAUAUAUGCAAAAAAAUAAAAAUAAAAUGAUAAAAUAAUAAAUUUUUAGAAUUUAAUAUUUUACAGCUAUCAAACAAUAUAUUUAUAUUCAAUAUUUACUUUUCAAUAAAAUACUAAAUAAUUUUUAUAAUUCAAAUUCAGUAAUUAAAUUUAAUAUUAAAAGUUCAGUACUUAAAUUUCAGCGUUUAGGUUUUUUCUUUUUUAGUUUAUGAAACAAAACCUUACUUUAGAUGCUAUUUUAUUUUACCUGUUGAAAGUCUUACUGAAGUUAAGUUUCAAUUUAUUUAAUUUAAUUAAAAAUAAUACUUAUUACUUAAAUUUUGAUUACGUUACACAAAGCUAAUUUUUUAUAGUGCCACGUGUUGCAUGGUGGUUGGUUACUGUUUACUUUUUCUUUUAAUUUUUUCUUUAAAAAUAUAAUUUUUUAAUUUAUAAAAAAUAUAUAUUAUUUAAAAGAUUAUAUUUUUAUGUGUAAAAUUCGUAUAUACCAAUUUUUUUUUGUUUUUUGUUUUUACUCUAUUUUAUUUUUCCCUUUCUAAAUAAAAAAUUUAAUUAUAAUUUUUUUAGUUUUUAUUUUUUAAAAACAUACUUGAUCAAUGCGUGGCUAACAAUCCCAUUUUCUCUGACCAUUGUGUGUCAUUUUUAGAGAUUUUUUUAUCGCAUUUUUUGGGUUUCUUUACUUCUUCAAAAAAAAUUAUUUAAUAAAUAUUUUUUAAAAUUAUAAAAAUAUAUCUUUUCUAAAGAUUUUAUUUUUUAUGUUUUAAGACCCAUUUAUAUUUUUUUUUGUUUUUUACCCAUUAAACUUUUUUUAAAAUUUAAAAAACUUAAUAAAGAUUUUUUUAUAUUUUUGUAAGAUCCACUUGAAACCAGUUGUAUGUCAUGUGUUUUUUUUUCUUUCCUUUUUUUUAUUUUUUAAAUUAUAAAUGAUAUAUUCUUUAAAUUUUGUAUUUUUUAUUUGUUAAACACACUUAUACCAAACUCUUUUUUUUUACUUUUCAUUUUUCAACCUUUUUACAUUUUUCAUUUUAAAAAAAUUUAAUAAAGAUUUUUUGAAGGAUUUUUCAUAGCCCAUUUAAGUAAUAUAUGGUUAACAAUAUUGUUCUCUUGGGCUAUCGCAUGCCAUUUGAAGUUUUUUUUUUAUUUUUUUUUAGUUUUAAACUUUUCUUUUAAAGUAUUUAAUAAAUAUUUUUUCAAAUUAUAAAAAUAUAUAUUUUAAAAAUUUUAUUUUUAUGUUUUAAACUCUCUUUUAUCAAACUUUCAUUUUUGUUUUUACUUUUUUACCUUUUUUCUUUUUUAAAUUAAAAUAAAAAUGUAAUCAAGUUUUUUAUGAUUUUAUUUUUAUGUCGGACCCUCUUGAUAUCAAUAGUAUAUCAUUUUUUUUCUCUUUUAAUAUAUUUAGUAAAUAAUUUUUAUAUAUUUUUUAAAAACCCACUUAAUGUCAAUAGUAUGUCAAUAUGACACAUGAUAAGUUAGUUGAUUUAAUGUGCUUUCGAAAUUCAAUGACUUCUUCAGAUUGAGAUGCAAAAAGAUGGUAUAACUAUAGUGGAACAAAAGUGGUAGCUAAUUUCACUUGAUCAGUUUGGCAACAAAAUGAUGAAGGCUCAUAUUAGAACUUUUUAACACCAUAAUAAUUACAACAUGGAAUAUUUUCAAUUGAUGUAAUGGAGAAAACGAAGAAGUAUACAAUGUUUCCCUAAUAAAAUAGUUUCAUAUUAAUUCUAAAGAAAAUUGAAAUAAAUACAAUUGUAUAUCUUUCAUUUAAAAAUGAAAUAAAACUAACAUUAUUUGUCAUAUGGAGAAGAUAGAGCUAUGUAUAACCAGUCAUUCUUUCAUUGCUUUUUUUUGCUUAGGAUAAUCUUUCAUUGAUGCUUUCAUUGAUUGAAAGUAAUUGCAUGUUCUAUUAAUUGAACACUUAAUUCUUCUGUUAUCUAAAAAAAAUUGUUGUAUAUAAAUUUUUAUUAUAUAUAAAUAUUAAAAUACAUAAUUUUAAAAAAUAAAAUAAAAUAAAUUUCUAACCUGGAUAUCUUGUCAUGUUCCAAUUAAUUUUGUUUCACCUUGAAAGAAUUCAUCGUUGCGUAACUUUUCUUUUUGAUUCUGGCCAAAUCUAAUGCACAAAAUUCCAAGCAAUCAACAGAUAAUUUUGCAAUGGAGAUGAGCCAAUCACUUGUUUGCAAAGAAAAGAAGAUUUUUUACACAAAAUUACAUGAGGAUAAAAAUGCAUAAGUUUUGCACAAAAAAUGACAUAAAAGUUUUCAUUUAAAAGAUACUGUUUGAUGUCUAACCUGAUCUAAACUUUUUAAUGAUAAUGAUAUUAGGCAUAUUAAAUUUGAAUGACGUUGAAUAUGUUGAUUAAAGAUGUAAAAAUAUAAAAUUUUUUUAGUUUAGUACUUAUUAGAUGGUAUACUCAAUAUUAAAUCUCCUUUAAUGACUGUUAAUUUGACAAUAUAUGCAUAUGGCGUGCAUGAAUGUGAACUUAUACAUACAUCUCUAAUAGAUGUAUGAUGUAUGUAGGUAGAUAUUUUGUGCAUCAAUAGUGUCAUUUUUAAUCUUUAAAAGAAUCUACUGUUUGUAUUUGUUCAGGGAAACACUAUAAAAAGUUAAAGAGUUGGUUCAUUUUGGAAAGAUUUUCAAAUUGUGAAUAUCUACGAAUAACAUUAGCUAAGGAAGUUCAAUAGAUUGAGUCUAGGUACUUUUACUUUCUAUUGUUCUUAUCAUGCAAUCAGUAAAUACUGUUAAUAGAUAUUUUAUCAUGGUUGAAGCACAAACCAUGUUUUGCUGACUUUUGAAUAUGCAUAGGAAUUAUGUAAAUGUAAAUAUAUGAUUGAUUAUUGAAGCAAAACUUUAUGUGAAUGAUUAUUGCUUCCAAGAAAAUGGGUUUUCAUUAGAAUCACACUAAUAUAUGUAGUAAUUUAGCCUUCCAUCUUCAUUUCAUUUGCAUUGUUUUUUGCCAUAUUUCACCAACAUUUAUGUCUUUAAAUCUUCCAAUGUCAAUAACAUACUACAAGGUAGUCCCUGCUUGCCCUUUUCUCUUUUUCAAUCUCUAAUCAUGGUCACACAUUUCUUGGUUUUUAUAUUUAAAUGAAAGUUGUAAAUGUUAUAUAUCUUGUAUUAUCAUUUCAACAUUGGUAGCAAUUUAGGUUUAUAUCUUAUUUAAUUCUUUUGUGUUAAGAUGUUUGCUUUUUUUUUUUGUAAGAUGGCUCCAUAGUUAGAUCAUUUUAUUCGACUCAUGAACAUAGGUUUAUUAAUUAUAUUUCUUUCCAAGUACCUGGUGACUCUUCCUUAGAUAUUAUUAAUGGUAUAGGGAUAUCAAGAAGAUUCAUGAAUAGUUUCAACAACAGUAUUGAGUUUGCUUUUGUUAUUUAAUGAUUCAGUCUUUGCCUUUUAAGUUUGAGCUUUUUAGGAGGUUUUCUAACUCAAUUGAUCCUUUUAAAAAAAAAAUCUAAAACAAAAAAGUCAAAUUGUUUUGUUAUUAAAUGAAACAAUUGCCUUUAAAAGCUCUAAAAGAUCUUUUAUGAUGAUCAUCCAAGUUAAUGAUCUCCCAUUUGUGUCUAUUUCAAGAUCCACUUCUCUAAACCUCUAGAAUUUAAAUCAAUUAAAGGUAAAUGUUUCUUCUGACAGAUCCUAACCAUACUUUUUUGACUAAAUAAUUGAUAGGACCUUUAACUUUAUUUUUGUUGCUCAAUAUUUUUAGAUGUCAAAUUAAGACUAAUACAAAACCCAACUAAAAAAAUGUAUUCAAGUUGCAUGGGAAAAAAGUAAAUAUACUUUGGAUAAGCUGUUGUGAUGAUUCAUGCACAUGAUUUUUUUCCCUACAAUGCCGAAACUUUUGUUCUCCGAAUUCUCGAGUCUCCAAUGUAGUCCCUCACUUGCCUUUCUCUCUUUUUCAAUCUCUAAUCAUAGUCACACAUUUCUUGGUUUUUAUAUUUAAAUGAAAGUUAUAAAUGCUACAUAUCUUAUAUUAUCAUUUCAACAUUGGUAGCAAUUUAGGUUUGUAUCUUAUUUAAUUAUUCUGUGUUAAGAUGCUUGCUUUUUUUUUUGUGUAAAAUGGCUCCAUAGUUAGAUCAUCUUAUUCGACUCAUGAACAUGGGUUUAUUAAUUAUAUUUCUUUCCAAAUACGUAGUGACUAUUCCUUAGAUAUUGUUAAUGGUAUAGGCAUAUCAAGGGGAUUCAUGCAUAGUUUCAGCAAUAGUACUGAGUCUACUUCUUUGGAAUCUACUUUACUUUCUGUUUCUGAUGGUUAGCACUAUGUGGAUCUAUCUUUAUAUAAAGUGAAAACCAUCCCUUUCUCUUUUUCUGAAUCUAACAAAAAAAGUCAAAGUAUUUUUCGUUAUUUAAUAAUUCAUCCUUCGCUUUUUAAGUUUAAGUUUUUUUGAAUGUAUUCUAACUUAAUUGAUAUUUUUUUAAAAAAAAAUCUAAAACAAAAUGGUCAAAUUGUUUUGUUAUUAAAUGAAACAACUGUCUUUAAAAGCACUAAAGAAUCUUUCAUGAUGAUCAUCCAAGUUAAUGAUCUCCCAUUUGUGUCUUUUUUCAAAAUCCACUUCUCUAAACCUCUGGAACUUAAAUCAACUAAAGGUAAAUGUUUCUUCUGGCACAUCCUAACCACAUUUCUCGAACUAAAUAAUUGACAGAACCUUUAACUUUAUUAUUUUUGUUGCUCAAUAUUUUUAGAUGUCAAAUUAAGACUGAUACAAAAUCCAGCUAAAAAAACCUAUUCAAGUUGCAUGGGAAAAAGCAAAUAUACCUUGGAUAAACUAUUGUGAUAAUUCAUACACUUUAUUUUUUUCCUUACAAUGCCGAAACCUUUGCUUUCCAAAUUCUUAAGUCUCCAAUCACAUAAUUCUACAAAAAAUUGCAAAUGCUCCUUAUAAUUAUAUAUUUGUAUUUAGUUUAACAAAAGAUGCCUAAGCAUUAAACACUUUGAAAUUCAAAGAAAAAACAAUUAAAUUAACUAACUUUAAUUGAAAGUUAGUAUAAUUUGCAAAGUUACCUAAAUAAGGGUGGCAAAAAAUCUAAUAUUAAUGUGAAAAAGACAAUUUCUUAUUAAUAUUGCAAAUUGUUUCUUUGAAGGAGCUUGAAUAUUUAAUUUUUUUUUGUUUUUGUAUUUAAUGUGAAAUUCUUUUUUGUGACUCAAUAUAGUCUAAUAAUAAAAAAAAAGUUUAAAUUAUAAUUUUUAAGAAGUAUAAUAAUAGAAAAGUUCAAUUUGUAAUUUUUCUCGAUAGAAAUUUAAUAAUAAAAAAUUUAUUUUAAUUAAAAUUUAUUAAAAAUUUUGCUAAAGGUAUUUUGGUCAUUCAUUAUUAUCACUUUUGGAGUUUAUAAUUUUAUAUAUAGAUGAUAUAAUAUUUUAGUUGUAAAAUAAAAGGACGGACUGGUUUUUAGACUAAGGAAUAAGGAAAAACAUGAGACUACACCUGCCGCUUCUAAUGAUCCUAAUGGGUUUUUAGAUGCAUUUUAUUUUUGGACAAAAUAAUUGGUGUAAUCUAUUAGCUAAAUUUAUAAUGUAGAUUGAGCAACCAUUUGUUUUUAUAAAUGACCAUUUUAAUAAUUUAAGUAGAAAUAGUACAUUACCCAAUUAUAAAACAAUUUCAAAAGAUACUAGUAGAUCAGAUGUUUUUAAAAUAUUUUUUCUUAUAAAGAAAAUUUAAUAUCUUGUUUAUCAAAAAUUUCUUUUAGAAUUUUGCUUAUUUCUAAUAUUGGACCAAUCGAUAAAACCUUGGUUAUAUGUGUAUUAUUGGCCAUUGGAUGAAUGAUGUGUUUGUGCUUUUUUUAAUAUUAAGAUUUUAAUUUCAAUGUCUUUAUUAAGUGGAUUCUAUUAUCCAUUUUCAUAAAUAUAGACAUUUUGCCAAACCAUAUAAAUUAUGUCUUUUUUUUAUUUUAUUAUAUUUUUAUUAUCUCCUACAUAUUAUUUUUAAUAAUAAUAGAUAAGAUUUUUUAAAAAAAUAAUUAAAAUUUUGGAAAAAAACAUUAUUGGGUUGUGCUUGGCCCAACUCGAUAUGAAAAAUAGUGUUGUGCUUGGCAUGGCGUGACCCAAGAAAAUUAGAGACCGUGCGUCAUUGCAAGGCUAUACCAUUAACCUUCAGUGGCUGUGCCAACAUGUUACAUUAAAAAAUAGUACUAAGCCAACAUGAUUCAUUAACAUAUUAAUUAAUAUUUAAAUAGACAGUGUUGACCUAGUAUGGCUCAUUUGAUAUCUCUAUUUAAAAUUUUCUAAUUUAUUUUUUUAUAUUAAUUUUUUAUUAUAUAAUAAAUUAAUAAAUAAAUUUUAUUGUAUAAUAAAUUAAUAAAUAAAUAAAUUUUAUUUUAAUUUUUAUUAAUUUAAUUAUUUAUUAAUAAAAUUAUUAUUUGAAAUAAUUUAAUAGUUUUUUAAUUAUUCAUUUAUUUUAUAAAUGUUAAAUCAUUUAAAAUUUUAAUUUUAAUAGCUUUAAUAGUCUUUUUUUUGUUUUCAAUACAAGUCACCUCAUUGUCGUUGUUAUAUUUAUAUUCAAACAUAUAUCUCAAUAUUGAUUUUUAUUUUAUUAUUAUAGUAAUUAAUUUUUUAUUUAUUAUUAUUUUUAAUCUCACUGAAAUUAAUGUUACCAUUAUUCAAAUAGACCCUAAAUCUAAUUUUCUGGAAAACCAAUCUGCCUUUAGAAUCUGCAUCAUUCACUUGAUUUUCAACAUUUUAACUUCCACGUCCUUUAAAAAUUGAACAUAAGAAUCCAAAAAAAUGUAAAUGAGCAACAAGGUUCCGGCUACAUACACUUUCAACUGCUAAAAGAGAGUGAUAAUACGUGUCAAGGUCUUAUAAGAUGAUGCAAUUUGAAGGUUAAAAACUGUUUCUUCUACCUAAGUAUCCUAAUCUCAUUUUGGUUCUCCUUGUUUGACUUGUUUGGUCAAAUAACAUAAUUUUGUAUAUCUAUAUUUUGCAAAAUAUUGACCAUAAGAAAAAUCACAGUUUAAAAUUCAAGCUGUUGAAACUUGAAGUUUAAUUGAGGUCUUGUUGUUGAAUUUUAUGAUAAAUGAGAUAAAAUAUAGGAUAUUGGAGAAAACUUUCUCAUAUUAAUGCAAUUCAAAAUCCUUAUGCACUCAAGAAAAGAAUUUAAAACGUUUCUAAAUUUUGAAUUAAUCAAUCUAAUAAUUUAAUAAUUGAAGGUACAAAGUUUAAUCAAUUUUAAUCAAAAGAACCAAAUUGAGGUAUAAAUAAAUUAAGAAAAAGGGAGUACUAUUUCUUCUAUUUUUCUCUUAAAAAUAUUAAUCAGUACCCUAAACCUCAAAAUGUUAAAGCCAAAAAGGGGGAAAAGCAAGAUUACUUGGAGCCUUCAGCCAGAAAAUGAUAUCUCGCUCCUUACAACUCUUACAUUGUAUCCGUACGUGAGAUAUUAUUUAUUUUAAUUAAAAAAUUUUAAAAUUUUAAAAUUUAGAUUUAUGCAUAAAUAUAUGUAAAUCAUAAUAAAAUUUUAAAAUAUUUUGAUAUAAAAUUAGGUGUAAUAAAUUUCCUGAUUAAAGUUUAAUGUUUUUAUCAAAUUUAAUAUAAAAUAUACAAAAUUAAGAUCAUACUAAACACAAAAUUAAAAUCACACUAAAAAUGAGAAUUCUAAAGAUGGCAUUCACGUCAUAUAGUGCUUGGGUCUCUUUUACUAAGAUUCUAAAUUAAUAGAUAUUAUUGACUCAAAAAUUUUAUAAUUUUAUUUUACAAAAAAUAUUUUAUAAAUAUAAAUUCAAAAUUUAACUUAUAUACCACAACCGAUUUAUAAAAUAUCUCACGUUGAAACGCUACCAAUUAAAUCUAGAAUUACAUGAGUUGCUUCAAAGUCAAAGUCUUUAUGUUAACUCAGGUGCAUGCACAAAGCCAAAACCCAUCCGGCUAGUCUUUCAAUUAAUAUAAGAGAGUACCAUGAAAUGGGGCCAAAAUUGAAGGUGCGCCAUCAAAUGGGACCUUAAAGGUAACUAUCAAAACCGAAGCAUACGUUCAACUAAUACCCAUUAAGUCCAAAGGCCAAUGACCACAUUUUUCUUAGAAAUAGCUGUGACGUGCUCCACCUGCCUACCCAUCAGCGAACUUCAAAGUUCAAAGCAUCAAAUUUAAUGUCCCGUCACGUGGUUUUCGUACGUAGCUUAGCACAAGAAGACUUGACUUUGCCUAAAGCUUUCUGCCAAGUCUACAAAUUAAAAGCAAUAUAUGGAUGCCCCGCAAUCCUUUGCCUUACAGCUUUAACGGGCCAACCAUGGAAGGCAAGUAAAGUUGCUUUCAAUCAAUAUAUGUCCAGAAUAUGUGCUAAUCAGUGAGUUUUAAAGCAAAAGUUCGUUCAAAGUUAAGACCAAUACAGUGAAGCAAGAAAAAGCUUCCACGUUUAAACGUAUCCACUAAAAAAACCCAUGUUAAGGGCUGAGAGCGUGGGCUUCACUUCAAUGUUGUGGGAUUGGUUUGAGUGCAGUAGAAAAAUCCAAUACUCAAACCUUCAGACUUCAGAGUGUCGAUUGGGAAAAACAAUGCCUUCAGCCCUUAACAGCAAGUAAAGUUGCUUUCAAUACGUGUCGAAGAGUAACUGUUCCAGCGAUGAUCAUUCAAAUCAAAGUAAAGAGCACGUUGCAUAGAAAUUAAGACUUGGAAGGAUGACUUGUUUGCACAAGAACCAACCAAAAAUAUGUUAGUUACAAAUUAUUAUCAUUAAUAUUUGUUUAUAGCCUUAUGUACCAUACUAGUUUUUACUUUUUAUGCAUAACAAAACCGUGAAAAGAGAGAAAACAGAAGAAAAAAAAAAGGUCAGCUACUGCACGCAGAGUAAACAUAGAAAAAUUUUUAUAUUUUCUUUAAGUAGAAAAAAAUUGAAAUACAACAGUACACAAUUUAAGGCAAGAGUAAACUUAAAAAUCCUGAACUAUUUGUUCUUUUAUAACACCACAAGCGUCAAUGGCUAGUUCUCAAUAUGUAUAAACUUAAAUUUAAAUAAAAAAUUGUAAUAAAAAGAAAAUGUAAAUUUUGACGUCUGCCAUUAGUUCUGUUUCUUUCUUCUUUCUGGAUAAGUUUCUUGUUGAAACGACGUGGUUGCACAAUAUGGCAAAUGCAUAAUGCAUUGCUGAUUGUGUAUUUGUGGUCCAUGAUAUAUUUAUAUUUAAAUAUGGCAAUAGUUGCAUCAUUUGCUGCAUCUUUCCUUCUAGAGAUUGAAAAAAAUCUUAGCAAAGUUAAUGAUGGAACAAUUUUGGUGUUAGGUUUUUAUCAACAACCUUAAAUGUAGAAGAUUUCCAGACUUUUUUGUUUUUACUUAGAAAAACAUUUGUUUAUGCUGGUUUUUCAAAAUUUUAUGUUUUUUUUAGCUACUUGGUAACUUGGAAGGGGAAUGUAUUAAGACUCAUUUAAUUAACAUUUCCCGUAUCCUUUUUAUGUAUGUAUGAUGAAUUUCUUUAAUGCUUGUGUGCUUUAUGCCUUUACCAAAGACGUAUGUGAACUUAUUGCUAGUUCCAAAUAAUUGUUUAAAUAGAGAAACCAAGUUGGCAAUGGCAAUAAACCAAUCUUUCCAAAUUAACCCCAAGCGAGAUCAUCAAACGGCGUUAAAUCACAAAGGUAACAAAGGAAAAACAAAAUGUAAAAAGAAUUUUUGGUUUGUUGAAGAUUAUCCGAAUAUUUACGCUUACUUACAGAUUCAAACUUUAUUGAAAAGGUGGAUGUUUACCUUUUAACGAAAAUAAAUAAAAACAUCCCACUGACAUUUCUUUUCAAUUCUGCUGGUCAGGCAAUGGCAUUGGUUUCUUUUCAAUUCUGAUCAUCAGGCAAUUGCAUUUCCAGUCUAGACCCAGCACUGAAAAUCUAUAUGGAGGAGAAAAACAAAAGGAAAAGAUGAAAAUAAUAGAGACGACAUCAACAGAGAGCUGGUGAGCGAAAGAUAGAGAUAUGAUGUACUACCAUGUACAUAUGUAGCCUGUAAAUUUGCAUGUGCCUCCCUAAGCCAACAUCCAGAAUUAUAUACAUUUGUGUGGGAUAAGAGGAAAAAAAAAAAGGUACCUUUUUACACCUCUAUUGUCGCAUAAAUCUUAUCUAAAAGACAUGUAUCAUAUAUACUUAUAUGGACACAUAAAGGGUAAAAAUGGCUUCGGUUGUAUAGCAUGUAGUAAUCUGUCAAACUAUAACGCUGUACAUAAUGGGCAAAUAUACCAAUAUUGCAGAAGUUCAAAAAUUCUCAUGUACCUUAGCUGGAAUAUUGUUCAGUUCCUGAGGCAUUAUUGGCGGAUGUGUGAGACUUACCACCUUUACUCAGCAACAAGUUUUUCAUUUCUCUAUAACCCCGAAGCUCCUCUAAUGCAUCAGCAGUUGUCUUUGAUGCAACAAACCUAGAAGAUGCAAUACUUGAAGAAGCACAACCCAAGAGAUUUGGUUUGCUCGUGAGUGCUGUUGUUCCACAUUUCUGGACUGGAGGCUUCCGAAAAAUUAAUUAAACUGGAGAUAUCUUGGUGAAGAGGAGGGGCUUUCUUCAGCAUACGUAAAAGCGCACCAACUGCAGCAUGGGAUUUUCGAUUCAUAAACAAUCCUGCCUCAUUUGGCUCAGACAGAUGUCCUCUACUAUCAUAAGACCCGGGUCUACAUAGCAUGCAAAGCAGGUCAAUUCAGUUUACCCAAAUAAUUCAGAAAAUUUUAAGCAGCAAAUUUAUUUCAGAGGUAAAACAAAAAGAUCUAGCCAUUUGCAGAAAAAUCCAUCCGUGCCAAAUAAGAUAACCUAUUGAAAAAUGACCAUGAUACAGGACAUAUGGCGUUCUCUCCAAUUUCAGAUAAUAUUAAAAUGACUCAUAGUGGCUCUGGAGAUGAAAUUCAUGACUCAUUCAUGACUCAUUUUCGAUCAAGGACCCUACUUCAGUCAAAUGAUUUAAAGGAUUUUCUUAGAGAACAUUCAGAAGAGAAAAUGUCCCACACUCAAACUAAGGAUAAAGCACAUUUGUAGUCUCAAACUUUUCAUUUGAGUUUUUAUUUUAUUUUUAAUUUUCAUAUCGUUUCAUGAUAGUCCUAAAUCUCUUUAAAGAGAUGUCGAUACGGUCUCUUUGCAUAAAAAUAAGAGGAAAUUACAAAUCAAGAUAAUAAAUUCAAAAUUAUUACUCUUUAUAAUCAUACCAAAAUAUAUUUAUUAAAAAGGAAAUAAAAUUUAUAAAAUUUUUUAAAAGGAAACGAAAACAUAAUUUUUUUCCUUAAUUUUAAAAAUUCAACUUAAAAUUAAAGGUAAAAUGGUACUUUAGUUUCCUUCGUAAUAAUUAUAAAAAUUUUAUUUUUUAAGUAAAUACAUUUUAGUAUGAUAAUAAUAAGAAUAAUUUUCGGUCAAUAUAUGAUUUUAUUUUCUUUUUGUAUUUUAUUAAAAUUUAUUUUUUUAAUAUUUAUAAAUAUUAGUAAAUAUAAAAUUAAAUCCUAUAAAAAAUAAAGCUAAAAAUUAUUUUAAUAAAAAAGAAAGAAAUAAAGCAUACUAGAAUAAUUUAAAUAUAUUAAUUGGUUAAAAAUAAAAUUUAUAAAAGUUUUUAGAAGAAUACAAAAGUAUCAUUUUUUUUCUUUAAUUUUAAAAAUUAAACUUAAAGUAGAGACAAAAUGAUACCUUAUUUUCCUUUGUAAUAAAUAUAAAAUUUUAUUUCUUUUAAUAAAUACAUUUUGUUAUGAUAGCAAGGAGUAAUAAUUCUAAAUACAUUAUUCUGAUUCUAUUUCUUUUUUAUUUUAUUUAUUAGAUUUUAUUUCCCUAAUAUUUGCAAAUUUUGAUAAAAAAUAAAACUUUAAAUCCUAUUAAAAAUAAAGAUAGAAUUUAUUUUUAAUAAAAAAGAGAGGAAUGAAAAAUACCCAAAUAAUUUUGAAUCUCGAGUGCUUUGACAUUUUUUUUUUCAAAAUUAUAAAAAUUCUUGAUAUACUAAAGGACUUAAUUAAUAAGUUUAGAUUCUAGUUAUAAUUUUAAACUUAAAUAGUAAAGGAAAUAUGCUUAUUUUUUCAAGUGAUAUUAAAUGAAUUAAUUCUAACAAAAAAUUUGCUAAGAGAUUAUGUAAAAAUCAAUUUUAUGAUUUGUUGGGAUUUAUAUUUCUGAUCUUCCAAUGCGUAAUUCUAUUGUUGUUGUUGUUUUUCUGUAUUUUUUUUUUUUUUGGGUAAUUAUUAGGUCAAGUGAUAAAAAGUGAAAAAAGGUGUAUCAAGAAGGCUAUUGUGUAUGCUAAUUAAUUGAUUGAAGACUGAAAAGAGUAUGGGUUGAACAAACUGAUUACGAUGUGUAUCAAGAAAUUCUUGCAGGUAGGAAGCAAUGUGUAUGGUAAUUAUUUUAAGUUUUUAUUCUUACAUUUUUUAAGUAAUUUGAUAAAUUGAAUUAUUACACUUAAUUAGGGAUAUAAUAAAAAUAAUAAUAAAGGAAUUGGCUAAGAAAUAUUUUUAUUUGCGGGAAUUUAAUAUAUUGCUCUUUUAUAUAAUGUAAAAUUAUGGCUGAAAAUAUAAUUAGACUAGAAACCAAAUUAACAUAAAUAAAUAAAUAAAAACUUCACAAACCUUUUUCCAUCAAUAGGACAAGAAAUUGUGCUAGAUCAAAAUUUUAAAUAAAAGAUUUUUGGUUGAAAACAUUAAUAAUGCUUUUGUAGUUUUUUUUUCAAGUUUUUCUCAUAAGCUUUUACUUUUAUUAUACUCAAUUAAAAUUUUAAAUUAUUAUUUUGAUUUAAUUGAACAUUCCAAUGAAAAUGGGGAAAUUUUGUUUCUUUUGCCACGUUCAAGUUACGUAUCAUGCAUGUUAAAUAUAGCUUUUAUUUGGCAACACGAUAUCUUCCAUUGACUUUAGAAAUUUGCGUGUCAAAAUCAUAUAUAUAUAUAUAUAUAUAUAUACAUAUAUAUAUAUAUAUUACAAUAUACAUGAAUAUUUAAUAAAAUUUGUCACGUAUAUGUUUAUAUGGACAAUUUUUAUAAAUGAUACAUAAAUAAUAUUAAUUAAAUAUUAUUUAAAAUAAUAAACUAUCCAAAACUUUUAAAUUAAAUCAUAAUAAAUAUUCAAAAUAUUCAAAUAUCUAUUUGAAUUUAAAUACAUUUUAUCUGGAUAUAUCUAAAUUGAAUUAUAUAUUAUUUAAAAUAAAAAAAAUUAAAAACCUUUUUAUAUCUGCCUCUCUUUAAAUGUAUUCUAUAACAAAUAUUGAUUUAAAUUUAAAUUUUAUUUUAAUUAAGAUAAAUCUAAAUUAUUUUUUAAAUUUCAAGUUUUUUAUAUAUAUGACAUUUUUUUCUCUUACUAAAAAUCUGUAUAUCCCUAUAUUAUAAUUAACUAUCUUCAUAAUCUUUUUUUUUAAUAAAAAAUUAGUUCCAUUUUAAUCUAAGGUAAAAAGUUAUAGAGGCAUAUAUUCUUUUCUUUUAUAAGUGCUGAUGUUGGAUUUUAUUUUUAUCUUAGACCUUUAAUAUCAAUUUAGUAAUCAUUUUAUUCUCUCAAAUCAUUUUAUUAUUAAGAUUUUGUUUUUUUUUUUUAAAUAUUUAGCAUAUAUACAAUUGCUCAUGCAAUAACUACUAAAAAAAUAGGCUUUAUCAACAAAAUUUUUUGUCAGUAAAAGCAAAAAAUCCAUUGAUAAUAUUUUUACCGACGAAAAAAUUUUGGUGGUGUUAGCAAUGUCAAUUAUGCUAUUCCAUCAGUAAUGCUUAAAAUUCAUCAAUAAUUACCAAUGAAAAAUUCGUUGAUAAAAUCUGUAGGUAAUUACCGAUGGAUUUAUUAGCAAUGAUUUUACCUACGAAAUUUUUCGUCGAUAAUUAGCUAUGAAUUUUUUUGUUCAUAAAAUCGAAAUCCAUUGGUAAUAGGUUUUUUUCUUUAGUAAAUUCAUUGGUAAUAAUUAAAAUUCCACCGGUAAUAAUAAAAUUCUAUCAGUAUAAAUGUUGGUAAUAACCAUGAAAAUUAUCACAAAAGAAUUUUUUCCAUUAGUAAUAAUUAAAUUUCGUCAAUAAUAAAAAAAAUCCAUCAAUAAAUCUUCCGGUAAUAAUAAAAAUUUCAUCUCUAAUAGUUAAAUUUUGUCAGUAAAUUUCUUCAAUAAAUUUCAUCAAUAAAAGUAUAAAUUCAUAAAUAAUUUAAAUAAAAAGAUUUAUAAUUAUUCAAAAAAACUUGUAAUUAUUUUCAAACCCUGUACAUUACAAUUUAAAUAUGUGUAAUUAUAUAAAUAUGCUAUUAUUAUUAAUUAAAAUAUCAAAUCUAGGUAAUAUUAGUCAAAUACAUCAUCCAACAUUCAUCAAACAUCCAUCAAAUACCCAUAACAUCAUAAAAUAUCAAUUCAUAAAACAUCUAUAGCACCAAUCCAUCUAAUACCUCAUACAAAUCCAACAAAAAAUGUUACUAUGUUGCUGCUACACAUCCCGAUUAAAAAUCUUUAAUGCAGUCAUUAGGACUUUAAUAUUGAGAUAGUGAAGUUUGUUUAGACCCCAUUAACUGCAUCAUCUGCUUUAUGAAUGACCUAAACUAAACUUUCAACUCAAUCUUCAACUCAUCAAUUUGUUCUUUUAUUUGAGGCAGAUAAGCCUACGGAGGCACAAAAGAUAAACCAUAAAUGGAGUUAGAUGAUCCUAUUGUAACAAUGGACUGAAUUGAGUGAAGAUAAUCCUACUGCAGUAGUGGAAUGAAUUUAGUGAAGGAGGCUUCAAAUCUAUUUACUGAUCCAAAGCCAUACACAUGAGUGCAUGUAAAUUCAACCACUCCAAUAGCUUCAGUCAUGCUUGUGGAUCGAAUUUUGGAUGAUUGGAAUAGUCUUAACCAUAUUUCUGAGAUAAUGCAGCAGCAUAGUUUUCCUAAAAAAUGUUUAAAACAAUAAUCAUUACUAUAAGAUGUGUAUAAUUCAUUAAAAUAUCACAACUUCAAACAAUUCACAACUUUAACCAUAAUUUUCACAUUUUACUAAUUCAUUGCAUUUCAAUAUACACCAAACUAUAUACUUUAAUGCAGAAUUUCCUACAAUGUCUUUACUUUUAAUUACUUUAUUAUAUAUUUCAUUAACAAUAAAAAUACACAAAUAGAAUCACAAAACAAAAAUACGUAAUAAUUUUCAUCUUUCACAAAUAUGAUAUCAUCUAGAUAAUAUGCAGAAACCUUUCAUAAAUAAAUAGCUAUCAUAAUAUACUAUUAACAUAUAUAGUUCAUCAAUAAUCAUAAUACACAACAAUCAUUCCAAUACCAAAAAUGCAAUAUUUGAUCAACAAUCACAAUAUACAACUAUCAUCACAACAUACAAUUAGAAGCAUAAAGCAAAUUAUGCAAUAGUUUUCAUGGUUUUCACAAAGUCUUUACAUCACGAAACACACAAGAUAUCAUUUAUUUCAAUAAAGCAAGGCAGCAAUUUCAUAAUUAUUCAGUCAUUUGAAAGUCACUUACAUUAACAACUUUAGACUUGUUGUUAACGAAGUCACCACAUUCUUCUAAACGUCUAUGAGUGUGAUUGGAAAGCUCUAUAAAAAUGGGUUCUUAUUGCAACUCAAGUGACUGUAUUUGUUUAGACAUAUUCAAUGAAACAUGUAACAAUACAAUAUAUAUAAUUUAUUGACAUUUGGUGAUAAAAAUAACUUGUGAAAUAAGUAGUACCAUUCUUUUUUUUAUGAACAAAAAAAAGAAUCGAGCCACCAGUGUGCUUUGUAAUACUUUUUUCUUUUUGUGUCCAACAUUUUGUUUGGCUUUGGUAGAGAUAUUUUGCCAUUAAGGAGUGCUCCAUAUAUUGUCAAUAAGAGCAUCCCAAAUCAGAGCUAUGAUCUACCUAUGCUCCAUACCUAUGCACUCUACGAUGUUUUCAACUCUACUCUCUUUCAUUGCCAAGUCUCUCUUGUUGGACAAUAAGUCUUUUAAUUGAUUCUUCGAUAUAUUGUUAGAGACUUGUUGAACAAAAUCAUCAUUCAACUUAGCCCAUUGAUAUUUUUUCUAACAUAAUAAAUAAGAAUGCAAUAAGUCAUUGAUAAUAAUUUAAACUUUUAAUUCAAAUGAAAUAAAAAUAUAUACAAAAAAAUAAAUAUCCAUUUACUACCUUAAAUUUAUCAAACAUCAUAAACUUAAUUGACGCAUGUACUUUAUCCUAUUUCGACUAAGGACCAGUACAAUUCACUUGAAUUAUUUCUAAAAUUGUUGAGCUAACCAAUGAUUGCUCAAAACAACUACCAACAUUCAUGUGUUAAUAAGAUUAUUUUAACUAAACAAAUUCGUUAACAAAAAAAUAACAAUAAGAAAAUAUUAAUAUAUGUCUCUAAGUAAAGUAAUCCACACUCACUUAUCUAGAUUUGAAAGAGUUGGUAACCUUUUGUUUGCCUCUUCUUCCUCCUAAUUGUCCUUCAUUCUUUUCCUCCAUCUAGUGGAUCAUUGGCUAAUUCUAGAUUGACGUACUACUCCAUUGAUAGAUCACCCAUCAUCAGUGCUGAAGGUGACCAGUAUGGUCUAUCAAACUGUAUCUGGGGUGAACUUAACCCACAUGGUUUAGUUGACCCGUAUGGUAGAUCAUGCUAUAUCGAUUCUGAUGAUAACCCGAUAUGUACAUCACCUCUAAUGGAUCUUGCCCUAGAACUACCUCGAUGGACAAUAUUCUUUGCAUGACGUCCCAUCAUUUAAUCUAUAUAGAACAAAAACAUUCCAUCUAUAUUCCAAUAACACCAAUGAAAAACAAAUAUAUAUAUAUAUAAUAUUACUUUAGUAAUACAAGAUUAAAUGAAAUUAGUAAAAUAUACUUAAUUUCAGAUAAAACAAGCAAUAAAGUAUUAUAUUUACCAUAUAAGCAAUCUUUGUCCAUUGUUGAACCCUAAUUGAUUUGAAAUAUGAGCAAUUAAAGUCAUAUAAAGUUUUAAACCUUUGUAUUGUUAAAUCUUUUUAUUGAUUGACCAAAUGAGCUAUUAUUGCUAUAUUAAGCAAAAGAAGAAUAAAUGAUAAUAUAAGGUAAUUAUUAGUCUACUUUGUCAAAUAAUCUAUCAAUGACACAAAUGAUCUUACAAAAAUUCACUAUACAUACUACAAGGCAAAAUUCAUUAUACAUACUACAAGACAACACGUUCACAAAAAAAAAAGUAUUAGUUUUAAUGACAGGAUUUUUACCUAUGAUAUUGGCCUUCUUAGUGCAAUUUCGUUGAUUUUGCGUAGAAUUUUUCUGAUCGAGACACUUUUACGUACAAAACUUGUUCUACUUUCAAAUUAGUUGAAAUGAAAAAAAUUAAGUAAGUUAGUAUAGUGAAAAUGAAUAAAAAAUCAUAUUCAUUACAGACUAUAUAUCUACCUAAAUCCACUUUCAUAUACACAUUCACAUAAUAGUAUGGAAAAGAAGAAUAAAAUAGAACAAUUUAAUUUAUUUAUAUUAAGUUUGAUCAAUACAAUCAAAUGACAAUAUUUUAAUAAUUAGUAAUAUAUAAAUUUCACUAAAUUAUCAAAUAUAUAAACUAUUUCAAAACAAAUAUAAACCUUAAUAAUAUUUAACUUCAAAAUGAUCAUUGGCUAUUAGUAAUAUAUAAAUUAUAACCUCAAAUCAAUAUAAAUGAUUUUUAUUUCUAUAAUUAUUAUUAAAAUCUAGAAAAUAUUAAAUAUAAAACAUCCAUACAAAUAUAUAUAUAAAUAUUAAUACACAUCAAACCCAAAUUAACCAACCCUAAAUCUUACACAUCUAAAAGUUAAUAAAUAUAUAAUUUAUUUAUAUUAACUUUGAUCAAUACAAUCAAACCACAAUAUUUCAAUAAUUAGUGAUAUAUAGAUUUCAUUAAACUAUCAAAUAUAUAAACUAUUUCAAAACAAAUAUAAAUCUUAAUAAUAUAUAAAUUACUUCAAAAUGAGAUAGCUAUUAGUAAUAUAUAAAUUAUAACCUCAAAUCAAUAUAAAUAAUUUUAAUUUUUAUAAUUAUUAUUAAAAUAUAGACAAUAGUAAAUAUAAAACAUCCAUAUAAAUAUAUAUAUAAAUAUUAAUGCACAUUAAACCCAAAUUAACCAACCCUAAUUCUUAUAUAUCUAAAAAUUAAUAAAUAUAUAAAAAAACCCAACAAAUAUCAAUGAAAAUUUCGCAAAUAAAAAGUACAUGACUUAACAAAUAAAAAAAACCCUAAAACCAAUACUAAAAAAAAUCCAAACAAAAAUUAACAAUAUUCCACAAAUUAAAAGUCCAAUAAAAAUAUAUCACCAACAAAUUUUAACAAAUAUAUAACUAAAACCUAAACAAAUUUCAACAAACAUAAAACCAACUAAAAUUUCAACAAACAUAAAACCAAAAGCCAAAUAAAUUUCAUCAAAUAAUUAACUAAAAAAACUCAACAUAUUGGUAACCAAAACCUAAAUAAGUUUCAACAAAUUUAUAAUAAAAAAUUAAACCAUAAACUCAAAAAUAUACUAAAAAAUAAAAUAAACUCAUUAAAAAAAUACAUACACACACCAAAGCUAGCCAAGGGAUAAGGUGGCAACGCAAGCAACAAGGUGGUGAUAGGGAGAGAAAGAGGGGGGAUGGCAGCGACGAGGAGAGAGGGAAGGGUAAAUAGGGAGAGUGGGAGAGGGAAGGGGAAAGGGAAUGGCAUAAUUAGGGAUUUGGAAAUUUAUAGACAAAGGGACUGAUGGUGGGGGAAUUUUGAAAAUUUUAAUUUUAGCGCAAUUUUAUUGAUGAAAAAUUUCGUCAGUAAUAAAAAAAAAUUUGACUUUUAAGACAAUUUUACUAAUAAAAUUUCCUUUAGUAAUGUCCAAUUUUUUUUUUAAUAUUUUAGUGACAAAUUUUUCUGUAGGUAAAUCCAUCGGUAAAAUUGGUGACAAUUCAUGCUAGACUUUUAACAACUGAUUACCUAUGAAUUUUAUUCUGUCGGUGUUCCAUCAAUAAAAGUGUUUUAAAAAUUAAGUCGGUAUUCUGUUGAUAAUCCAUCAGUAAUUAGUGAUGAAAAAAUUUCGUUAGUAAAAAUCCAUCAAUAAUAACAAUUUUUUGGUUGUGAAUUUUGCAAUUGUUUUUUUUUUCAAUAAUUCUUAUUUCCAUUAUAAUAUGCCAUUUUUUUAUCCAUCUAAUUAUACUUAUCAUGUACCAAAAUCAAGAUAUUAAUUAAAAGAAACUUCUAAAAGAUUAAUGACUUUCCUUUCUUAUUUGAUUAUUAUAAACAAUUUCAUUUUUUAAUUUACUUUUGUAAAAAUAACUUAUUACUAUUUUGAAGUAAUUUUUUUUCAUAUCACUUUUAAAUUUUCAUUCAUUACAUAUAAUAUAGGUUAAUUACCUAACCAUAAACAUGACCCAUAAGAAUAUCAAACUAACCAUGAAUUGCACAGAAUAAAGUUCACAAGCAAGAAUACAGUUUGUACCCGCUUGAAUAGUCAAAUUUGCAUUGAGUUUAGCAGCAAUAAAUUCACACCUUUGAGUAUGAAGAAAAAUGGACAAUUAUAACCUAUAAAGUAGUAUUUAUGUGUUCACUUAAAAAUGCAUGUGCAGAGUAAAAUGAUUAUCUAAAAUUGUGCCUUUGUCAUAUUUAUCAUAUUUAAGAGUUCUAAAGUUUCAUACUUGACAAUAUUAUCCUUUCAUUUAUUUUUAUUCUUUAUUUCUAAGGAUAUCAUGGUUUGAUGAGGUGUUUGGAAAUUUCAAAAAGUCAAUGUAUUGUACUUGAAGAACCAAAUUCUAAGGGAAAUAAUUCAACUAAAAUCAUUUUAUAUUUUAAUAAGCUUUUUGUGAAAUGAAAGUGAAUCAUAUAGAGGUAAUAUGUGAUUCAUAGACCUAAUAAUUUCAGACACAAUACAGUAAUACAACAUGAAAAUAACACAAAAAAAAUUUUAUAUGUGUUUUAGAAAAACAUAUUUUGUGUUUAUUUAUAUCGAUACGAAUUUUGACGUGACACAUUUCAUAUGAUAUAUGUAUUGACUUAUCUAAACAUGUGACAUGACAAAAAUAACACGUUUACUUUAAUCUUGUCAUAUGAAUACACGUUUAAUAUAUUUAACACGUUUAACUUUUUAUAUUUGUUUUAAUUUAAUAUAAACAUAUAAAGAUUAUUUUAAUUUUUAAUCUUUUAAUUAUAAGACUUAAUUAGGUAUUCAAUAUCAUAUAAAAAUUAUUUUAAACAUUUAAUUAUGACACUUAUUUAAUAAUUAUUAUAAAAUUUUUUAUAUUAAUACUAUAAAUAAAAUAUUAAUAUUAGUCCAAUACAUUAUUAUUUUAUUCUUUAAUCUUUAAUAGUUUAUUAUUUUGAAUUUGAUAGUAAAAAUUAAUAUAGUUAUGUAAUAUUAAUUAAAAUUUAAAUAUAUAUAUUAAAUACAUGUUAAAUGAGUAUUAAAUUUAUUUAUUUAUUUAAUAUGUAAGUAUUUUUUUAUAUUAUUAACAUGCCAAAUUUAUUUAGUUGUAAAUGAUAGAUAGUUUAUAAUCGUUUAUUAUUUUAGUCAUGUUCUUGUAUAUAUUCAUAUUAGUUGUAUUUAUUCGUGUAUAUUCAUAUUAGUCAUAUCUAUUCAUGGAUAUUCGUAUUAUUCGUAUUUAUUCAUAUCGUGUUUAAAUGAAUUAAUUAUACAUUUAUUAAUCGUAUCAUAUCAUAAGUAACACAUAUAUUAAAUGUGUCAUAUUCGUAUUUAGGAUUUAAACACAUUUUAUAAUUCAUGUCGUGUUUAUGUUUUAAUAAUUCAUGUUAUUAUACAUGUCGAACAUGAUACGAAAACACGAAUUAUCAAGUCUAAUGAUUCAUAUAUCAUUGAAGUAGAACUUAAGAUUACAACAUUUUUAUAUAAGUUCAAGCAAGGUUGAUAGUUUCACGUAUUCAAGAGAUACUUUAUGUAUAGGAGAGUUGAUAUUUACUUAAAAAAAUAUAAAAAGUAAAUAGUUUAACACAUUUAAUAAAAACCUUUUGAUGAUAGUUCUUUUAAUUAUUUAAAAUUUAAUAUUAUUAUUUACUCUAAAUUUAAAAUUAUUUAAAUUCAGUUUUUACAAGACACAAUAAAAAUUUAGCAAACCUUAUUUAAUAGUUUUGUCACAAAUGAAAGGUUAAACGAAUGGGAGGUUACAUGUAUGUGUUGUCUGAUGAAAACGUUUGUGUUUAACAUUUACAAAUAUAAUACGUAUAAAUGUAUAAAUAUACAAAAAAAUGUUUAACAUUUUAAAGUUAGAAACUAUGUACAAAUAUCCAUGCCGUACAUACAUAAACUUAUAACUACCGCUCCUAAUCCUUCAUCCUCUUUUUUCUCUAAUAAGCACGUUGAGUUGGAGACUAAGCUAGUGAUGUUGGUGCUGCUGUGGGUUGGAAGCAAAUUGAUGCGAGUGGAGCUAUUGGGAGAGAUGCUAUAGGCAGUGGUCUUGUCGAUGCUCGAGGCAGUGGUCUUGUCGAUGCUACGAGUUAAGAGUAAGCAGGAUCAGGUGGUCUGUAUUGACUGCUAUUGAUAGCUAGUCUAAACUGACGAGUACUAGCCACCUUUGAGGACCCAAACAAUCACAUACACUAAAAAAUGUUCUUCUCCAUAUAAUUGGGUCCUGAUAUAACUCACCGGCGAUAAUACUAUCAAUAAAUGAUAUCGCCGUUGAAUAUGACUCUUCAAAUUCAACAAGAUAAUAAAUAGUAAUAGCGCAUAAAUACUGUUAAACUCAACAAUAACAAAUAAAUUGACUGAUUUCAAUUUCACUGGUAGGCUCCCUAUCGACUGAUUAUGACUAAAAUCUGGAUCUUCCUUCCGAACUCUAAAUGUAUGGAUGUGAAAUUGAUGCAUACCAUGCAUCCUAGUUUAAUGAACACUUGCCUAGUGUUUGACAUUAUCUCCUUCGAUGCUUUCCAAAAAAGAUACACAUAUCACAUCUCUCCCAUAAUUGGUCUAAAAAGUUGUAUACAACCAAAUCCGUGCUAGAAGAUAAACCUCAAUCUACUUAAGACAGGGCUAAAAGGGUUGGAGAAAUGGUUUAUACAAAACUGAAUUGUUGUAAAACCCUUUUUGGAUGAUAUGGCUCAAAGAUACUCCCACACUUCAAACAGAAAAAAAAAGAAAAAAAAACACAAAUCUCAUGUAAUGGGUGUUGUCAUUGUUCUGCAUAAGGUUUUAGCAUAUCUUGGUUGGUCGUAAGUCAUCCAGUUACUCCUAUAAUCGCUAUAAUUUAUUGGCAUAUGUAUGAGGCCUUUAGUGUAGAACACAAGGUUGAGUAUCAAAAUAUUCUAGUACAGUUACUGGAACCAAUGAGGGAAAGUACUCAUAAAUUCAUACCUACAUCAAAUGCAUGAAGCAUCAUUAUUCCCAUAAGACCUAAAAAAUAUUCAAACAUCAUAAAUAAGUUAUAACUAUGUUGGAAUGGAUGAGUUGAAAUUAUUAAUUUUGUUUGAAAAGUUUUCAAUUUCAAUCUAAAAAUUGAUCGAAAUAGAGGGUAAAGAAAAUUAUUUUAGGUUUUUGGACUAGAUGAAGAGUGAGGAUAUUGCAGGAAUUGAAAUGUUAUGGGUGUGGGUAAAGAGUAUGUAUAAGCUUUAAGGGUUUAAACUUUUGGUGUUAUUAGUAGUGCGUGUGCUGGGUAAAAGUUUUGGUGCAAAUAGAAACACUCCAAAGAAAAUUACAACAUUAAUUUUAUUUGGUAAAAUUGUCAAAAUAUCCUCAAAUCACAAAUUACUUUAUUUGUUCAUAUUGAAGGGUAUUUCAUAAUUUUACAAAAAAAAAUUUAAUGGUGUAACCCUUUGAGAAUGAAACUUUAUUACAAGAGGCUAUCUGUAAAAAUUAAAAGUACAAGAAUGCUAUAUGUGAGAAUGAACCAAAACCACAAGAUAUAUGUAGACACCAGUUUUGUCUGGGUCUACCAUCUUCAGUUCUAACUUAAUAGUAAUAGUAAUAAUUUUAAUAAUAAUAAUAAUAACAUCGAUUUAAUUAAAAUUAAAAUUAAAAAAUCAAUUAAUUAAUUAAAAAAUUUUCUCAUUAAAAAAAAAGAGACAAAAAAUAGAAGGUUGGUGUAUGGUGCCGUUGCCGCCUUUGUCCAGCCCCUUGUCCAAUCCCUUGUCCAAUCCCAUUAGGUCAGCCACUCUACAGCCCACUUUACUCCUGCAUCCAGCCACCCUGCAGCCACCCCUUACUACCGCCAUUUACUCUACCCUUCAUCACCAUCCAACCUCUUAUAAAAAACCCAACUCUCUCCUCAGAAAGACUCUCUAGACCACAAAAACACACUACCCUCAUAUACAUAAGCCAAAACCUCGAACACCCAAAAUCACAAAAGCUUUCCCAUACUCCCACCAGACUCAUUCACCAAAAAGACCACAAACAAUCCCCCCAAAUACUCAAACAUCCAAACAAAAAAAUAAAAAAAAAACAAUCAUUCCCAUAAGGAGGAAUCUCAGCACCGAGCCACUUGCACUAAAGAAAAAAAAAUCAUCAGUUAGUUUCCAAAAAGAGAAAAAAAAAAAAAAAAAAAACAAAAAACUUUAAACCUCGAUCUACGUCGAUCGGGGCUUUUUCUCGUAAAGAAAACGACGAAUCUGAGCUCAGAAGGUCGAGAAGAGUAUUUCGAUGAAUUUUGGGAAUUUUUCGAUCAUCAGUGACCAUCAAUGACCACCGGCGAUGACCAACGACAGUGACUCUAGGCGACGGUCGGUGCAACGGCACAGCGUCAGUUUCUGACAAAGCCAAAGAGAGAGGGGAAAGCUGAAGAAAUUUUUUUUUAGGAGAGGGAUGAAAUGAACUAAAAGAAAAACCUGACUUUUAUAGAAAAACCAUAGAAGCAAAACGACACUGUUUUAAGCAUAAAGCAAAACGACGCUGUUUUGAGUAUAGGAAGAUUUGCGCAUGCCCAUUGACCUGACUCGAGAUUCACGUAAAUCGACCCGCUGAUCCAUCUCAUCCAACCUUCAAUCGAUCCAAACGAACCGUCAACGAACCAGUUUGAACCAUCUUAACCGAACCUCGUGCCAAACCGAACCCUUUUCGGUCCAACCGAACCACCGUUGACCUGUCCAGUUCAGGUAAAAUUUUUUUUUGAAUUUUCUAAUUUUUUAUAUGUAUUAUUAUUUUUGUUAUUUUGAGUAAUUUUUUAUAUUUAUGCAUGAUAAAUUUUUAAAUUUGUUAGAAUAAAUAUUUGAUUGUUUUUAAUAAUAAUAAAAUGAAAAUAAAAUAGGAUAAUAACUAAAAAAAUGUUAAAAAUGCUAAUAAUAAUAAUAAUAAUAAUCUAAAAGAAAUAAAAAUUGAAUAAUAUUUUAUUUAUUUAUUUUAUUUUCACUGCCUAGAUGUUAGAGGGAAUAAAAAUAUACUUUUAAAAAUAAUUUCACCUAGAUGUUAGGGAAUUAUUAUAAAAAAAUUAUAAAAAAAGUAUAAAAAAGAUAAUAAUAAUAAAAUAAUAGUAAAAUAAAUCCUAAAGUCAAAACCUUAAAAUCAAACCCUAAACCCUCCGAACCCUAAAAUCAAACCUCAAACCCUAAAAUCUUCAAAUCUAAAAUCAAAUCCUAAAUCUCCAAACCCUAAAAUCAACCCUAAACCCUCCAAACCCAGAGGAUUAUUAAAGGCAUUUUUUGAAAAAAAAAAUGCAUUGAAUAAUCCUUUUUCAUUUUUUUGAAGGGACUAUUGAAGACAUUUUUUUUUAUAUCAAAAACGCUUUCAAGAAUCCCCUCUAAUUUUUAAAGAGCAUUAUUAAAGGUAUUUUCUACAAAAAAACACUUUCAAUAAUCCUUUUCAUUUUAUAUGAGAAGAUUAUUGAAGGUGUUUUUUUACCAAAAAAUAUUUUCAAUAUUGAUGACAUUUUUUUAACCAAAAACGCUUUCAAUAAUCCCCUGUAAUUCUUUUAGAGAUGAUUAUUAAAGGCAUUUUUUGUAAAAAAAAAUGCUUUAAUAAUCCCUUUCAAUUUUUUAGAAGAGAUUAUUAAAGGCGUUUCAGGCAAAAAAGCCUUAAAUAAUCUACUCAUAAAAGAUAGAGAUCAUUAUUGAAAGCGUUUUUUGCUAGAAACGACUUCAAUAAUUUUGUUAAAAAAUUGUAGAGGAUUAUUAAAGGCGUUUUUGGUUAAAAACGCUUUUAAUAAAUUUUCUUAUCAAUAAAUUUGUUAAAAUAAGAGUAGCAUUGUCGGUUAGAGCAUACAAUUGUUAAUCAUAAGGUUGUAAGUUUGAUCCUUCUUUUCAGCAUCUUUUAGAUUUUUUGAGGGAUUAUUGAAGGCGUUUUCUGUAAAAAAAAAUGCCUUCAGUAAUCCCUUUCAAUUUUUUAUAAGGGAUUAUUGAAGGUAUUUUAGGUAAAAAUACCUUAAAUAAUCUGCUCAUAAAAAAUAUAGGCGAUUAUUAAAGGCGUUUUCUACUAAAAAUGCCUUCAAUAAUUUCAUUAAAAAAAGUAUUAUUAAAUGCGUUUUUAAAAAAAGCAUUAUUAAAUGCGUUUUUGGUCAAAAACGCCUUCAAUAAAUUUUUCUAUUAAUAAAUUUAUCAAAAAUAGAGUAGUAUUGUCGGUUAUAGCAUAUGAUUGUUAAUCAUAAGGUUGUAGGUUUAAUCUCUUUUUUUAGCAUUUUUUAGGUUUUUUGAGGGAUUAUUGAAGGUAUUUAUGGCCAGAAACGCCUUCAAUAAUUCCCCUAAUCCCUUGAAAAAUUCAAAAAAUGCUGAAGAAAAAGAUCGAACCUAUGACUUUAUAAUUAACAACCUUAUAAUUAACAACCUUAUACUCUAACCAUCAAUACUACUCCAUUUUUCACAAAUUUAUUGACAAGGAGAUUUAUUAAAGGCAUUUUUGACAAAAAAACGCCUUCAAUAAUCCUCUACAAUUUUUUUAGGGGAAUUAUUGAAGGCGUUUCUGACAGAAAAUGCCUUCAAUAAUCACUUUUAUUUUUUAUAAACAGAUUAUUCAAGGCGUUUUUUGUCUAAAAUGCCUUCAAUAAUCACUCCAAUUUUAGCAGAUAGGAUUAUUCAAUACGUUUUAGUUAAUAAACGUCAUUAAUUUUUGUCUUUAAUGGCAUUUAUAUGUAUAAAUGCCACUAUUUGAAUAUUUAGUGGCGUUUGAAUAAUAAACGCCUGAAGUUUUAUAAAAACACGGAAGCUAACGGUGUUUGUAAGUGAAAGACCGCUACAAAACUGCCGCUAAUACGCCAUCUUGCUAUAGUGUUGAUAUUGUAUAAACUCUGAUAAAUCAGCCUUAUAUUUCAGCUGCAACACGCAGGACAAGAUGAAAGCCGAAACCAAGAUUACGUUGGGCAUCCAGAAUGAACACACACUUGUGCAUCGUGUGCUUAAAGGUAAAUACUUUCCAAAAGUUUCAUUUCUUCAUUCGAGUUUGGACAACAAGCCAUCACUAACAUGGAGGAGUCUAUGGGAGUCUAUUUCUAUACUCAAACGGGGAGUGAGGUGGUAGGAAACAGAAAAUCCAUCAAAGUGUAGACCCAUCAGUGGGUGCCUUUCAACAGCGACUUUAUGAUCCAGUCACCUAGGGAUGCAUGGAGCAUAGAUGAGAAUGUGAAUGAGCUAAUCGAUCCUAACUCUGGGUAAUGGAACGAGACCGCAUUGAGGAAUAGAUAAGUGGAAGCAAAAGCAGAAGCCAUCAGCAUGAUACCAACGAGUAUGAUGGAAGGGUCAGAUGUUCUUAUAUAGCACUAUGAUAACAGGGGAGAAUAUUCAGUGAAGAGCGGGUAUAGAAUGCUAAGCAAUGAAGAGCAUCACGACUGGGCACGCAUGGGGGAGAAGGAAUAGGAGCUAUGGAGGAAAUUAUGGUUAGCAAGCGUUCCAAACAAAAUCAAAGUUUUCUUAUGGAGGGCCUGUCAUGGUAUAUUAUCAGCCAUGGCUGCACUGGCAGAACAAGGAAUUCAAGUCAAUGAGGUCUGCGGAAGAUGCAAAAAUGGAAGAGAAACAUUAUUCCAUGCCCUAAAAAAUUGCGAAGCGAUGAAAGAGGUAUGGCAGUGUCUGAAUUUUUCUUGGGAUGCUCAAUGGGAAGAACCAGAUGAAGGACAGGUAUGGCUCAAAGGAAAAAUACUAAAGCUAACAACCAAACACUUACAACAGCUGGCCGUGGCAAGCUGGUCAACCUGGACUAAUAGAAGCAAUACAUGAAGAGGAGAUAGGCACAGCAAGUCACAAUGCAAAUUUCAUCAGACAAUACAUCCGUGAAUACAACUAAGCUUAGGAGUAAGCAAGGAGGGGACAGGAGCAGGAAACUUCUCGAUGGCAACCACCCAACGAUGGAAGUUAUAAGGUGAAUUUUGAUGCUGCACAGAAUAGAUCUGAGAAGACAGCAAGAGCGGGAGUCGUGAUCCGUAACUCACAAGGCCAACUGAUGGUUGCUCUGUAAAUGGGAUUUAGCUCUCUAACAAUAGAGGGAGAUUUAUUGGCUCUAUUGAAACAGUUGCAAUCGUGCGAACCGGACCUGUCACCCAUAGGCGUGAUAACUGGAGAAGCAAAGGAUAUAAGUGGAGGUUUUACCAGCAGUAAUUUCAUGCACAUCGGAAGGACGUGAAACAAUGUAGCUCAUAGUUUAGCCAAAUAUGCUUUGAGUUUUGAGCAAGACAUGUACUGGAUCGAAGAGCCACCUCUCUUUUUAUGUAGGGCCUUACAGGCUGAUGCUACAAUUGCGAAUGAAUGAAUGGAAUUUCUUUGUUUCAAAAAAAAAAAAGCGCUUAUGCUUACACGAUCAGGGUCCAUGUUCUUGACAUCAAUUUGCACUAAAUAUGUUUUGAUUUUAUUAUUUCUUUAAUUUAAUUGAGGAACUCUUGCCCAUAUUAUUAACAAAUUAUUCUUUUUCUAUGUUUAUGAUGUUAGAUCGAAUUAGAUUUUUUUUUAAUUAAAAUUUUUAUUAUUAAAAUUAAAAAUUUAAUACUAUAUCUACAUAUUACACGAUUUGUGGCAUUUGUUAUGCUGGAUGAUUAUAUAAUUUUGAGCAUAAAUCUUUACCGUCAACUUUUUCACUUCAUCUUGAUUAUUGUUUUUUUAGAAUGAUUUAAUUUAAAUUCGUCGUAAUUUUAUACGUACUUAAAAAAAAAUUAAAAUAACUUCCACCCCGAUGUAUUCAUCACCAACAAAAGAAGUUAAAAACAGACAUGAUAUGCAUUUUGCUUUUAUGUUGACAAGGGAAAGAAAAUAUAUAGAGCAAUAUUUAUGCAUUUAGUACAGCUGCAAUUUGAAUGAGAUAAUUAUCGCCUUACUCUAGUUACAUGGAGGAAAGAGAAGCAGUUGGACAUGGAGGAAUAGAUAUAUCAGUUAUCCCCUCCAACAUCAUCACUACACUCUUUAUGCAAGGACGGAGAGCUGGUUCAUCUUGAAUACACCAAAGUGCCACCAUCACCAUUCUUUCCAAGUUUUUCUUAUCUACUUCUUCACCAAGAACAACUUUAUCCAACCUCUUUUCAACAAAACAUCUAUAGACCCAAGUGGACAGAAUAAUCUCCUCCGUUUUUGAUACGGUUGUGUCCAAGUUCCUUCUGCAACAGAUAAUUUCCAAUAGCACUAUUCCAAAACUGUAAAUAUCAGCCUUCACCGAUAUUGGAGUGUUUUUCUGCCAUUCUGGUGCCAUGUAUCCUCUAGUUCCCCUUGCUCCUGUGAAGGUCCUUGUUUGAUCUCCCAUCAACAAUUUUGCCAGCCCGAAAUCGGAAAUUUUAGCUGUCCAAGUAUCAUCCAUUAAUAUGUUCUGAGGCUUUAUGUCGCAAUGAAUGAUGGAGGUCUCACAUUCUUCAUGUAAAUAGAGGAUUGCUCUUGCGACAUCCAGGGCUAUUCUUAUUCUUUCAUUCCAAUCUGGGCGCCUUGUUGCCUUGAAAAGUAGGUUAGCAAGGGAGCCAUUAGCCAUGUAUUCAUAGACCAACAGCCUCUUGGAAUCCUCAGCGCAAUAUCCCAAAAGCCGAACUAAAUUCCUGUGGUGAGUUCUACCAAUUGCUCGCAUCUCUGCCUGGAACUCUCUUUCGCCUUCUUCGAUUAACUUCUCAAGUCUCUUAACAGCAACAGUUUCCCUGCCUUUGUAUAAGGUCCCCUUGUAGACAGCUCCAAACGAGCCUUUACCCAACUCUUCUUUAAAGCCGUUUGUUGCUUUCCGAAGCUGAUCGUACGAAAAUAAUUGCAGAGUAAGCUCCUUGGUUAGGCCCCAAUUUCUAUCUUCUAACAGUCUUUUGUAUCUUAGAACUCGAAACUUGUAAACAAAUAGUCCAAAAAUUGUAAGGAAAACACAAGAAAAGGUAACCAGACUAAAUGUCAAAAGAAGAACUUCCACCACUACUUUUUGGCUUUUGAUGUGAUAUACCGGUAGCUUUGGUGGUGGGAUAGGUCGGAUAUCAUGUUCUUCUGGGCGUCUUUUCCCCACCUUCAGUAAAGCCCUGGACUCCUCUUCUGAUUGGAAAUCUCUUUUUGCAUACCUCAGGGGAAGCUUUUGUUUCAUGCAGAUCCCUCCCUUAAACAACGCUGCCUCACAGUUACAGUCCUCCAGACAAGAUCUGCUACACUCUUCCACUGACAUUGGCUCUUUGCUGUAAGAAGUAUCUUCCCAAACCAUAUUCUCCAUGGUCUCUAUGCUGAAAUGGUGUGCAUUAGCCUUAUCACUUUUACACUGAGCUUCAGUAUAAUUCCUCUUGCAGCCAUAAAUGCUAUGAAAUUGAUCCACAAAAUCAGUACCGGGAAGGCAAAGGCAGGUAGGCUGGUAAUCAUUGUAUGUGCAAUAGCUGUUGAAGCCGCAGUAACCAUUAACAUCGCAUGUAUCUUUCAAUGCAUACCACACAACCGAUUCGUUGACUUCACCACUUCCAUUGUAUAUAUGAGAAUAUAAGCGGAAAAUUCCAUCAACAUCAAGGGUUGCACGAUAAAUGAUGCUGUCUGUGGUGUUCUUGUUUUGGUUGUUGUAGUAGCUGUAGGGGUGAUAGCCGAGCGGACUUCUAUAGGCAGCCGAACUAUAAGACGCUCCACCAAGUGUAUUGUAGAUGCUCGAAUCAGUUUCAUUGAUGAGCUGUAGAAGACCUGUAGAAUUGAGAUAAAGGUGAAACUUGGUAUUGGUCCCAAAAGUCUUAGAACUCCAGUAUGCAUUUGCUCCAGUAUUGUCCGUAUACAUCGGGUAGAGAACAAGGUUUCCAUCUUCCUGCAUCUCGAGGUGAAACCUUCCUGCUGAGUAGUUUGUUUCUGAUACACUAGAGAACAACCGACUGCCAGGAUACAAAUUCUGACCUCCUAAAAUGGUAUCAGUCGGAUACUGGAAACUCUCCCAAAUGAUCUUCUUGUGCUUGUCGUAGAGCACAAAAUUGCCUGAAUCUAGCAUGGACGCAGAGGAGGCAGUUACGUUAGCAAUAAGUCUCAUCUCCCCCAGCUCAUUUGUCAAAACAAGCUUUCCAUCCUCAGUAAAUUUUAGAGUUGCUUUCGAAGUGAAUGGUAGUGCUGGAUCAUCACGAUUUGCUGUCCAUACUAUUUUAUUUCUUUUAGCAAGUAACCAAAUCCCGACCCUGAAGCCAUUAUCUUGCUCGUAAAAACCAAAUGCAAACCGACCAGAAGGGGAAGGCCAUGCACGUGCAUUGGGGUAAAUGAUAGAGCCUGGUGUUAUGUGGCUACGUUGAUCUUCUUGAACUCCACUUUUGGCUAAACAUAGAAAACUUAGGAGUAAGAGAACAGUAGGCAUGGAAGUCAUCGUGAACCUGUGAGAGAGAAGGAUUAGUGCAAUAGGUAUUUUUGUUUGAACUUAUUUUUUAUGCUGAAGUUUGAAAUAUAUAAUCAAAUAAAUGCCAUCCUAUUCUAAAGUCAAGUCGCUUCAUUUCUACUAACUGUGGAGUGCUAAAUGGUGUAGACUCUUCUUCAUAAGUACGGUGAAAAGCAAACCGCGUUAAUUGGUCAUUGAGGCAAUUCCAAUUUUUCAUUGCCCACAAAUCAAAGUCGCUAUCAAAAGCGCUGUCACCAGGAGCUUUCCCCCCACUUUUUUUUCUCUAUGGCUACUAGUUAAAAAAGAAAUUAAAUAAGAAUUUUAAGGAUAUAAAAGCCAAAUGUUAAUUUGUGAGUUCCUUCUUUAUAAAUAACAUGUAUUUCCUUUUCUUUCUUAUUAAUUAGUAUUUCUUAUCAUGGUAACGACUAGCAACAAAAAUAUAUAUAUGGGCCAUAACCAUUUUUUAAAUAAAAACCAUAAUUUAAAAAUAAAGAAAAAAUUUAUGUAAAUAGUAAGAUUUAGUUGACUGUUUGAUAUUACCUUUUAAAAAUAUUACAUAAAUCAAUUAAACUAAAUUUUACAAUUUUUUAAAUGCUUUUGUACUUAAGUCGUUGACUUCCCACUUCUUUCAGUAUAAAAAACAAGAAUUCUGUGAAUUAAUUCUUAACGGGACAAACAAGUUAAGGGCUCCAACAUUUUUUGUUUGUUAUUAUUAAAAGGAAAGGGAUUGACUGAAUGGCUUCGAAGCAUUUCCCAAACUUCACAUUACAUACGAAACACAUAAUAAUAGGUAACAUGUAGGAUGAAUUUAAGAUCGUGAAUUCGGAUUUGAUUUAAUUAUGAGCACGAAAUAAAAAUUCUAUGCACAAAUUAAUUAAGAUUCAAUGUAUUUAUAUAUUUGAGAGAUAUAAAAAAAUUUUCAAAUUUAUAAAUAUUUAAAAAAGAAUCAAAUAAGUUCAAGAAUUUAAAACUAAUCCUGAAGAUAUAUUUAAAUGUGUUUUAUAAUAUAAUUUAUAAUUAAUACUAAAUUUAAAAUCUAAUUAAUAUUUUUUAAAUCUAAAUUACCAAAUUAACCAAACUUAAGAAUUUUUAAUACUACAAAAACAUAAAUACAUGCAAAGCAAAAAUACAAGCACGAGAGUACAAUCCUGAUACAUGUAAUGUAGCGAUGAUGUAAUUAAAAAUUGUUAAAUAUCAAGAGAAUGAUGAAGUGGAGAUGGAGGGAGGGGUACUUCCAUCAUCCCUUCCAACAUCAAGAUUACAUCCUUCAUUAAAGGACGUAGAGUUGGGUCGUCUUGAAUACACCACAGUCCGACCUUUACCAUUCUUUCCAGCAUUUUCAAGUCCACUUCUUCAUCUUUCACAAGCUUAUUCAGCUCGCCAGAGAGAAAGCAAUUAUAUGCCCAACUUGAAAGAAGUAUCUCGUCUGCUGUACAAACCUCUACUUCUAUGCUACUCCUACAACAGAUGAUCUCCAGCAGAACGAUCCCAAAACUGUAAACAUCAACUUUUACAGAUAUUGGGGCAUUCCUUUGCCAUUCUAGUGCCAAAUGCCCUCCUCUGCUUCUAAUCCCUGUAAUGCUUGUUUGAUUUGCCAUCAAUAGCUUGGCUAACCCGAAAUCUGAGAUUUUGGCAGUCAGAGAAUCAUCUAAGAGUAUGUUUUGGGGCCUUAUGUUACAGUGGAUGAUACGGACAACACACUCUUCAUGUAAAUAAAGAAUCCCUUUUGCCACAUCCAAUGCGAUUCUGACUCUUUCCUUCCAAAUUGGACGCACCUUGUUAUGAAAUAGAAAAUCCGCAAGUGAACCGUUGCUCAAGUAUUCAUAAACGAGAAGCUUCUUUGAACCUUCCACACAAUAACCAAGCAACCGAACCAAGUUCCUGUGGUUGGUUCUCCCAAUGGCUGUCACUUCCGUCUGAAACUCUCUUUCUCCUUCAUCAAAAUUCUCUAGUUUCAUAAUUGCAACAAUUUCAGUACCCCCUGCAAUUGGUAGAGUUCCUUUAUAAACUGCUCCAAAGGACCCUCUACCCAACUCUUCCCUGAAACAGUCCGUUGCUUCCUGGAGUUCAAUAAAAGAAAAUGAUCUCAGCGUAAACUGCUCGGUUAAUCCUGGAGUAAUUUUAUUUUCUGAAUGCUUUCUGUAACUGUGAAUUCUAUGCUUGUAUAUGAGGAAACCAGAGACUGCAAGGGCAAAACAAAGGCACGUAAUGGAACCUAAACUUAUGGCAAGAGAUAAAAGCAAAUGUGAGUUUUCUUCGUUGAUGACUUUUGGAACCAAGGGAAUGUCGUUUGCGGAGCUUCCAUGGAUCAACUUGAUGAAGGCUAAAGUUGAUAUAUUUUCGUUUCUUCUACCGUAUCUGAGUGGUAACUUGUACAUGUUACAGUCGCCACUAGUGGAAUACAGUACUGCUCCACAAUAACAAUCCUCCUGGCAAGACUUUUUACAGUCUUCCUUCUUCAUUUGUCUCACAGAAUAAGGGUUGUCAGCCCAUGACAUAUUCUCCACAGUAGUAAUAUUGUAGUGCAUCUCUGGAUAUUUCCUGUGUAUGCAAUCAUCUUCAGUGGAGUCCUGAGAGCAGCCAAGGGACAUCUUAUUCUCAUUGAUUACCGUAAAACCAGGAUAACAAAUGCAGUCAGCAUCAUUACCCCUCUCUGAACAGUAACUAUUCAAGCCACAAUAGCCCUUAACUUCGCAUCGAUGUUCUAAACUUUGCCACACCAUCUUUUCACUUGAGUUGGUGCCGCUGUCAAAAUGAUGCAAGUACAUUCUAAAAACUCCAUCUGGAUCAAUUGUUGCUCGAUAGAUGGUAAUUCUGUUAUUCCCAGAAUAAGAGCUGUUUGCUAAAAUAUGUACAUUGAAAUGAUAACCAAACAGGGCUAGGAGCCCUCUGUUAUCGAGAUUCAACACAUAAAAAUCUGAGCUAUAAGUCCGAGAGUCCCAGUAUGCAGCAUUUAUAUCAGGUAAACCGGAAUAGGCCACAAGGUUUCCAUCAGUCUGCAUGUAGAGACGAAAAAUUCCACUCGAGUGGUUCGAACUUGAGACACUGGAAAUCAAGACACCACUUGUGGAUAAAUUCUGGCCUCCUAAUAACGUGUCAGUUGGGUUGUCAAAGCUUUCCCAUAUAACAGCACUGUUAUUGUAGAGAACAAAGUUACCGGUAUCCAGCAUAGAAGCAGAGUCGGCGGUGUGUGGCAGACCAGCAAUGGGCUUUUCUGUACCAUCCUCAGUCCGAAGUAGCAACACGCCGUCUCUUGUGAAGUUUAAAGUAGCGUUUGAGGAGACGGGGGGAUCAUCUCGGUUUGCUGUCCAGACAGUAGUGUUCUUCGGGAGACCGACAAGCCAUAUUCCAACAGCAAAUCCAUCGCCUUGCGGAUAGAAACCAAAUGCGAAAUGACCUGAAGGUGAAGCCCAUGAGGAAGGUUCGGUUCUGGGAGAGAGUGAAGAACAUAAUUUUAUCAAAUUGGAUUGCUGGUUUUGGUCAGCUUUUACAUGUAAGCUAAGUAAAAGAAGUAGAAAGAAAACAGCUGGUACCAUAGCCAUGGGCGUGGCCCGUGUAGGAGAGAGACACAGAGAGUCGUUUUGCUCAAGGCAGACUAAUAAAACAUCUUCAUAGUUGGUAAUGAAACUUGUUAAUUUCUUUUCUCUUUUUCCUCUUUGUUUUUUCUUUUGGUUCCUCGAUGGAUUAUAGCUUGCUUAAAACUGAACAUAAUUACCAAGGUAAUUCCCUUGGAUAAAUAAAUAAAUAAAUAUAUAUAUAUAUAGAUAUAUAGAUAUAUAGAUAAAAACAGCCAAGGACUACGUGGGGACUGGGGUUAUUUACUUUGGGAAGGUUCUCAGAAAUCUAGAGCUGUCAACAAGGGACCGAGUCUGGUAUCCUAGGCGCCCACGGAUAGUUAAUAGUUGUCGUAGAAGUCAAGUCAUUGCUUAAGGCCCUGUUUGGACGCAACCGGACUCUCAGUGAGGGGCUGUUUGCCUUCCAAAUCCAUGCCCACGUGGAGACCGAAAUGGAUUUCCGGCACGAUGAGAUCGUUGGCGGUUGGUAAUCGGAUCCAAAUGGUCCAGUAGUCGAUUGCAUCAUGGUUUUUUUUUCCGUUUUUACCCUCAUAAUUUUAAUAUUAACUCAAAAUUCCCUAAUUUAUUUUUUUAUUUUUUCUUAUAUAAUAAAUUAAUAAAUAAUUUUAUUAUUAUAUAAUAAACUAACAAAUAUAUAAAUUUUAUUAAUAAAAUUAUUAUUUCAAAUAAUUUUUUAGUACUCAUUAAUUUUAUAAAUAUUAAAUUAUUUAAAAUUUUUAUUACAUAUAAUUUUUAUUUUAAUACAUUUAAUAGUAAUUUUUUUACAUUAUAAUUUAUUUUACCAUUAUUGUUACUUUUAUAUUUAACCGCAUAUCAUCAUCACACUAAUUUUAAUCUUAUUAAUGCAAUAAUUAAUUUUAUAUUUAUUUUUUUUAAUUUUACAAAAAUCAAUAUCACCACUAUCCAAAUAAACAGUUUUCCAAAAAAACCCAUCUGCCUUUAGAAUCUGCACCAUUCACUUGAUUUUCAACACUUUAACUUCCGAGUCAUUUAAAAAUUAAAGAUAAGAAUCCGAGGAAAAGUAAUUGAGCAACAAGGCCCUGGCUAAAUACACUUUCAAUUGCUAAAAGAGAGUGAUCCUGCGCCUCAAAGUUUUAUAAGAUGAUGCAAAUUAAAGUUUAAAAAGUGUAUUUUCUACCUGCAUAACUCUCCUUUUCUCAUUUGGUUCUCCUUGUUUAACUUGUUUGGUCAAAUAAAGAUAAUUUUGUAUAUCUAUAUUUUGCAAAAUACUAACUAUGUAAAAAAAAAAAAAAAAUCAUGAGUUUAAAAUUCAAGCCACUGUUGAAACUUGAAGUUUAAUUGAGGUCUUCACUUUGAAUUUUAUGAUAAACAAAAUAAAAUAUAGGAUAUUGGAGAAAACUUUUUCAUAUUAAUGCAAUUCAAAAAAUACAAUUCAAAAUCCUCAUGUACUUGAGAAAAGAAUUUAAAACUUUUUUAAAUUUUGAAUUAAUCAAUCUAAUAAUUUAAUAGUUAAAGGUAAAAAAUUCAAUCAAUUUUGAUGAAGAGAACCAAAUUGAGGUAUAAAUAAAUUAAGACGAAAGCAGUACUAUUUCUUUUUUUCUCUAAAAAGCAUUAAUCAGUACCCUAAACCUCAAAAAGUUAAUGUCAAAACGAGGGAAAAGCAAGAUUACAUUAAGUCAGAUAGUGAUACCUCGCUACUGACGGCUAUUACGUGAUAUCCACGUGAGAUAUUUUUUAUUUUAGUUUGAAAUUGUUAAAAUUUUUUGUAUUUAUAUAUAUAUAUAUUAUAAUAGAUUUUUAAAAUAUUUUAUUAUAAGAUUGAAUGCUAUAAAUUUUUCUAUUAAAAUUUCAUGUUUUUAUCAAAUUAAACAUAAUACACAAAAAAUCAAAAUCAUAUCAAACAAUUAAAACUAAAAUCACACUAAACAUUAAAAUUUUAGAACUGACAAUCAUAUUGAAUAGCCUACAUCUUUUUAUAUAUAUGGACAUGUAUUCUUAUUAACAUGUCUAGAAAUAACACAUUUAAUGAUUCUUAUCAACACAUAUAGAAAUAAUGUUAUUUACUUUUGAAUAAUUAAUUGACUAAAACAAAUUAAAAAUCAAAUCAAGAAUAAUAAUAUUUUAAAUUGAGACUAACUCAUACUUCACAAUUAGAAUAAUUAAGUAUAAUAUGUAUUCAAUGUACUUGAGAGAAAUGAAAAAGAGAUUUUGAAAUUAGUGUAAUAAUGAUAAUAAAAUUAAUUUGAUUUAACAUACUAAAAUUAAUUUUAAUUGAUUCGAUUAUUUAUCGGUACGAGCAUAAUUUACUCCUAAUAAAAAAUUUUAUAAAUAUAAAACAUAAACUUUUCAAAAUAAAAGCUAAAAAUAUGUUGAUAAUUAAAUAAUCCAUUAUAAUUGAUUUACUUAAAUUACUUCAAAUUUUACAAGAGUUUUCUUAUUAUAAAUAGAGAAUCAUCUCAUGUGAAAAUUGUUUAGAGGUUUACCAAAAUCCUUUAAAUACAUUUGUUUAGUUGUGAAUAGGUAAAUUUUUACUUAAAAAAUUUUAUUGAAUCUUUUAUAUGGCAACCAAUAAUUUUUAUUUUUAGUUAUUUUUAAUUUGAUUUAGUUUUUCAAUCAUUGUUAAUAAUAAAAGUGUAUUGUUUUUACUUUAGGUAUUAUUUCUCUUUUACUUACUUUUUCCAACCAAUUAUUGUUUUUCCUUUAUCGUAUUUAGUAUUACUUCUCUUUUGUUUAUUUUUUAUAUGUAUUCAAUUAAAAUCCAUUCAUAACUUAUUCAUUCGUAAUGAUCUUAAGUCAUUUAUUCUUUUAUUGGCUUGAAUUUCAUACUAGUUUGAAUCUUUUUUUGAUCUCAAAAUAUUGUAUCUAAAACUUUUAUAACACAACAAAAUAAAAAUCUCACAUUCCAUUAAACUGGGAAGAAAACAUAAGUUUUUUUUUUUUUUUUUUUUUUACUUUCGCUCUAUGAUUUUACCUUUCAUUUAUAGUUUUUUCGAACAUCAUAUUUAUUUACAUUUAAUAUAUGCAGUUUUAUUAUAUUAUAUAUUUUUUUGUUUAAUUUGUUUCUCCUAAAUCAACAAUAAAUUGUUUUUGGUACAACAACAUAAUUUUUAAAUUAAAAUAUUAAUUGCUUUCACUUAUGUCAUGAAUAUAUGCCUUUUGUCAAUAAUUUUAUCAUGAUCAACUAUUUAGUCAUGAUUAAUUCAAAUGCUUUUGAAUAUAAGAAUUAAAUAAGAAAUAUGUCAAUUGUUUAAUGUGUAUUUUCUAAUACAAGCAUCAUUAUUUGAUGAUUUAAAAAUUUUUAAAAUAAUAAUUUAGAAAUUUUUUGUUAUUUAAUAUCCAACAUGAUAUUUAAUAAAUAAUUAAAUAAAUUUUGUUAUUAAUGAAAAUUAUUAGAAGAUAGAAGUAGCUUUUUAUUUUCAAUUUGAUGAUAUAUAAUAAGAUAAGUUAUACAAGUUUUAAAGCAAGUAAUAUACUUAUUUUCACUAAAUAAUUCAAAAGCAUCGAUUUAAUAUAAUUUUAUAUUCAGCAUUUUAUCAUACACUUUUUUCGACAAUUUUUGUAUUCUAAUUUUUAUAUUUCAAUUCAUACAAUUGCACAUGCUAAAAAUAUAUUACCAAAUAAGUGUCAAAACAAUUCUUUUUUCUUAGCCAGUUAAAUUUUAUUUAUAAAUUUGUUAAAUUUUUGUGUUAUAAUUUUUUCAAAAAAUAUCAAUAAAAAAUUGUAUUCAAAAAAUAUUUUGAAAAACUUUUUGAAUUUUGAAGAGAACAAUUAAACCUUAAAAUAAAAAACUAAUUUUCAUUUCCAAUGAAUUUUUUUCUUAUAAUCAUAUGUUAACUUAAACCAUUUCAAUGAUUUUCUUAAUUAGAUUAAUCAAAUACUAAUUUUCAUUGAAAAUUCACUAAUCAAAUAAUAUGGUAGUUGUUUUAAUACAUAACAAUUAUUUCCCUUUAAUUUCUUUUGAAAAUUUAUGUAUUGUAUUUUUAGAGAUAAAAAGUAAGAUAAUUCAAUUGUGUCUAUUAAAUUAUAAAUUUAUGAUAAAAAUGAGAUAAGUAUGAAUGUUAAAUUAUUAAUUUAUAGAUACAAAUAGGUUAAGUUUUCCUAAGUAUACCAAUAUACAUAUACAUAUACAUAGGAGGGAUCAAAUUACAUAAAAAAAAAUGUUUUACUUCUUUUUCUAAUCAUUAAUUUCAAUAGAUCUAAGAGAUAAAAGAGUUAAAUAAAAAAUAAUUUAAUCUCGUCUUUUAAAUUUAUUGAAACCAAUAGUUAAAACAACAUAAAACUAAGCUAAAAAGUUUUAUAUUGAUGUAACUUAAUCUCUCUCCAUAUACAUAUAUAUAUAUAUAUACUCAUAUUACAAAAUGAAAAUUUUAACAUUAUAUCUUAUUAUGAAAAUACAAUUUCUUAUCAAAAUUUCUAAGUAUUAUAUGUAUAUUAAAUAAAAAUUUGUUUUUUAAAUGAAUAAUUAUUUAUUUUUUAAAUAGUUAUGUAUGUAAAAAAAUAUAAUUGAUUUGUUUGCCCAUGCAUAACACACAAAACUAAAAUCAAAAUCACACUCAAUAUUGAGAUUUUAGAAGUGACAAUCAUAUCACAUAACACUUGUAGUAUGUUUGGAUUGAGGUAAAGGGACAGAAAGGAAAAGAGUGGAAAGGAAACAAAAGGAAAUGAGGAAUCAUUUCUCUUGUUUGUAUAUGACAUAAAUAAAUAAACAAAAGGAAAAAAAUGUAUGCUUAGCUCCUUUUGGUUUUCCUCGACUUUCUUCAUUUUUUAAUUACCCCAAAUUGGGGGAAAAUGAAGGAAAAGGAAAAGAAUAAAAUUUUUAAAAAAUAAAAUAACUAUUAUAUCUUUAUCAAUUUCUCUAAAUUAAAAGUGUAUGAUUUUAAAUUCUAAAAUUAAAUUGAGAAUACAAAACAUUAUUUACUAAUAAAUUUAUUGUCUCCAAAUUUUUUCUCUUAUUUUUAUGAAUUUCAUAAAUUUCAUUGAUGACUAUUUUUAUGAAGAAAUAAAGGAAAAUUGAAAACAUGAAAUAUGUUAACAUAAAUAUAUAAAUGUUAUAGUAAAAACAAAUAUUAUCAAAGGUUAUAAUAGAAAAAAAUAAUAUAAUAAAUCAUUUCCUUCUUUUUCUAUUAUUUAACCAAAUAAUGAUUAUUAGUAUUCCUUUACCUUCUUUUCCAUUAUUAAUUUUAACUAUUCAAACAAAUGGUACAUAUAUCAUUUCCUUUUCUUUAAAAAACCUUUUCUUCAUUUACUUUACUUUUUUUUUUCUUUUACUAAUGUUUAUCCAAACAUAACAUUAGCUUAUACUCAUUAAAAUUCUAAAAAUAAUUCCCAUGAUAUAACACUAUUUUUUUAUGAUGAUUACUCUGAUCUUAAUUAAAAAAACGGUUACAGCCAAAUUAAUAGAUAUUAACGAUUCAAAUUUUUCAUAAUUUUAUCCCAAAAAAUACUUCUCAAAUAUAAAUUUAAAUCUCUAUUUAUAAAUCACAAUAAAUUUAUAAAAUAUCUCAUAUUGAGACGCUAAUUAAACCUAGAAUUAGUUAAGUUGCAUCAAAGUCAAAGUCUUUCUAUUAAUUUAAGUGCAUGCUCAAAGCCAAAACCUUUCAAUCAAAAUGAAAGAGUACCAUAAAAUGGGGCAAAAUUGAAGGUGCGCCAUUAAAAGAAAAUCCUUAUGACUAUUUACCCCCCUUCCCGUCAUUUACGAAGGACUAUGUUUCUGCAAAUUUAAAUGCAACUAUCAAAACCAAAGCAUACGUUCAAUUAUACCCAACAAAUCCAAAAACCAAAGACAACAAUUUUCUCGAAAAUAGCUAUGACAUGCUCCACCUACCUUCUCAUCAAUGAACUUCAAAAUUCAAAGGAUCAAAUUUAAUAACCCUCUAUCAUGGGCUCCGACCUUUGACUCAGAAAACCAUGCAACCUUAGAUUAGGAUUACACUCCUUAUGUCUAAGUCAACCUAUAAACCAACCGUGUGGGCACUAACAUAACUAUAAAGGCAGAAUAUGCAAGCUAAGAAAGAACACUAAAAAUGUUGGAAUAUACGUUAUAUUACUAAAAAAUAGUAUAUUUGAUGAUGUAUAACUGAGGGUGGGGCGACCCUCUAUUUAUAGUUGAGGCAAUCAGCUCUAUUUAUGGCUACUUCCUAAAAUUAAGGGACUAUAUGAUUCCUAGAAUUAAGGGAUUUAUACAGAUUACACAGAUUACACCCUAAUUCUAAGGAUCCCUUUUUAUUCAUAGGGUUGACCAGAUUUUCCUACUAAAUGCUGUCAAUCUUAGAUGCUUCUUGAUGGUUCUGGAUUGACCAGGCUCUCUUAAAUGCACCUAGGUGCGAUACGAGCAUGUUGCGGGCCUGGUCCUAGCUAUGCGAGCAAGCCUACAUGUUGUGCAGGCGGUCUGAACAUUUCUACCAUGCUUAUUGCGCUAACCUUCAUAAUUGUCCCUGGUGCUCAAACCUUGGUCGUGGCUGCUCGAGCCUCAACUUUUGGUGCGCUUGCGUGACAUUCUCCCCCAUCUGAUUACUUGAUGUCUUCAUCGCAUUCUCUACAUGAAAUUUUUUAAUUUGGUCUUGAAACUGCCAUAAGUCCUCCGUUGGCUCCCAACUCACCUCACUAUUUGUAAAUCCUUUUUAGCAUACCAAGUAUUCUUGUCUUGGCUGAUAGUUCUUCUACCUCACUUCUCGAUUAGUAAUAAUGCUUUGGACCUCCCUCUCAUAUAAGGCCCUAGUUCAUAAUGGUGCACGCCUUAACUCUGUCCAUCCUAGAUCCCCUUCAUCAUCAUAGAACAACUUGAACAUGUUAACAUAAAAAAUUAAAUGUACCUUCAGGUUAUGUGGCAUAUCCAGCUUGUAGGUAACUUUACCUACCCUCUUCAAAACUUUGAAAGGCCUAUCAUACCUCUUGACUAAGCCCUUAUGUAGCCUCUUGUGGCACAUGAUAGGGUGUAGCUUUACUAAGACUAAGUCUCCUAUUUGGAACUAUACGUCCCUCCUCUUCUGGUCUACCCAUUUUUUGACCUUUUUUGUGGCUUUUAUAGACAGACUCUAGCCAAGUCAACUUACUCUUGCCAAGCCUUGGCAAACUUGUACGUUGUUGGAUUGGGUUCUGUAUAACAUGCAGCAAUCAAACCAAGUGUUAGCAGUUGCUGACCUAUUAUAAUCUCAAAAAAACUCUAGUUUGUUGCUUCACUCAUUUGUAGGUUGUAUGAGAACUUGGCAACAUCUAGCACCUUAGGCUAGUCUCAUUACAUAACACUCAUAUAGUGCCUAAAGUAGACCUCCAAUAGUCCAUUCACUUAUUCAGUCUAUCCAUUAGUUUACAGAUGCAUGCUAGUGAAAAAGUUCAAGUUUGACCCUAACAGCUUGAAUAAUUUAAUCCAGAACUACCUUGUAAAUUGUCUGUCCUAAUCGCUAACAAUAGUUCUCAAUACUACCAUGUACUUCACCAUGUUCUUUAGGAAUAAAUGGGCUGCCUCCUCGACUAGGCACUCUUUGGUUGCUAGAAUGAAAAUUUCAUACUUGAAAAACCUAUCCACCACUACCAUGAUGCUCUCAAACCCCUCUACCUUAGGUAAACUGACUAUGAAAUCCAGAGUGACACUCUUCUAUGAUUGUUCUGGUAUCGACAAAGGUUUCAAGAGACCACCUAGUGGCUUAAGCUCUAUCUUGUCUUAUUGACACAUAAGAUAAGUCUUCACAUAGGCCUCAACAUUAUCCUCAUGUGCGAUCAGUAGUACUGAUCCUCUAAAAAGGCUAAGGUGUGGCUUACCUUUGGGUGACCAGCCCACUUAAAAUCAUGGCACUUUUGUAAAACUUUUCUGCAAAGCUUCUUAUGUUGUGGCACAAACAAUCUAUUACCUUUGGUGUACAACAAGUCAUCCUACACCCAAAAUCAUCUAGUUUUAUCUUACCUGGCAUGCUUGAUGAAAGCUUUGGUUAUAAGAUCAUGUAGCAGCUUUUUUUUUAUGCAUGACACUAAAAAUACCUUUGGUUAGCUAAUGGCAGCAAGGCUUGCCUUUCUACUCAAGGUGUCAACCACUGUAUUUACUUGUUCAGGCUUGUACUCUAACUUGUAAUCAAAUUUUGUAAGAAAAUCCUACCAACGAGACUAUUUAGAUGAUAGCUUCUUUUACAUCUAAAAGUAGCUAGUUGCCAUAUUAUCCGUUCUAACCAUGAACCUUAACCUCAACAGGUAAUAUUGUCAAGUACGUAAGCAGUGCACCACUAUUAUCAUCUCAUUUUCUUGGACUGUGUACUUACAUUUGAUCUCAUUGAGCUUUCGAUUCUCAAAUGUAAUCAGAUGGUUUUUUUGCAUCAGUAUUCCUUAUAUCACAAGGUCUGAUGCGUGCAUAUGCAUCUCAUACAGCUUGACAUAACUAGCAUCAAUCAAUUCCUUAAGCUACUUCUCCAACUCUUUUAACUCUAGAGGUGACAUUUGAUAAGAGGCUUUGGCUAGCAACUUAGCCUUAGGCACCAGCUUGAUUUUAUGGUCUGCUUCUCUCUUGGGUGGUAGCAUGUUAGGCAAUUGUGCGGGCAUUACAUCGCUAAAAGUCUCUAACACCUCUAGCACUUUCAAUAAGGUGUCGGACUUUGUCUCUUUUGAUUUCUCAUACUUCAAGGCAGCCAAUAAGGUGUCUUCAUUUCUACUUGCUACCUUAUCAAAUUGAAUGGUCGACAGCACCUUGGUCUCAAUCUUGAACAAUGGUACAAAGCAUUGGCACCAUACAUCUAGAACGCAUAUACAGUUUACAAAAGGCACAAAGAGGGCAUUAAUCCAAACAAAAAAUAAUCACAAACUCAUAAUCAUCCAAGGGUUUUACCUCAAUGGUCUUUUUUCCCUUCUAGUUUUCAAGUUGUAUCUCCACUCUAUGUGCCACUUCAAUGGUUGGAAUCACCUUAGAGUUUACUGUUUUGAUAGUACUAGUCCAUUUGUGCACCUUUAGGCCAAGUUUUUGGGCUCCAUCACUUGAAAUAAACAAAUUCGAGGCACUUAUGUCUGUUAGUCCACUCACUUUCUUACCUGCAACCAUCAAUCUGCAUACAUCAAGCCCUUUGGCUUACGAUUUCCCUUACAUUAAAUAACAUUGAGCAUGUUUAAGCUAAGCUUUGUAUACUCCCUUUCUAGUUUGUCAUCCGACCCUUGUCUACGGCAGCUAUCUUGUCUUUUUUAAGAUAAUCUUGUGCUCUAUGCUACCCGUCACAUAAGUAAUAAGAGAUUGGCUCUCAAUCCCUCUUAGCCUUCCAUUUUCAUGCUAGUGGCUUACCCUAGCCGCCUUUGUUCAAAUUGUCUUGGUCUAGUUUUUUAGACUGUUGGUCACAAUCUGCUCCUCUAGACUAUCAUUCCUGGUCCCUCUUAUCCCUGCCCUUCCCCAUGGGCUUAAUAGACUUUGACUUGUUUUGUAGCUUCAACAAAACCAAUGACUCUACAGUGGUCAUGGCUUUAGCUAGGUCACAAACUUUCUUCCUUUGUAGCUCAUGCUUCACCCACAGCUUGAGCUCAUCCAUGAAAGCAAAUAGACCUUCGGUCUCACCCAGAUUUAAAAUUUGAAGCAUCAAUUUAGAGAAUUUUUGGACAUAUUCCCUUAUAUCCCCUUGCUAAAUAAGCCAACGUAACUUUGCCCGCACCUCAUCAUUGGCAUACACUAGGUAAAAAUGCUCUCUAAACUCCUUUUGAAACUUCUCCUAGGUUUCAAUCAAGGCACCUCCAUGCUUGACAUCAUCAUACUUGUGCCUUUACCAUAAUAAGACAAUAUUAGUAAGAUACAUUGAAACGAUGCUUACCUUAGUAGCAUCAUCCUGCAUGCCUAUGACUCAAAAGUACUACUCAAUCCCCCAUAGAUAGUUAUCUACUUUCUUGGCUACCCUAGUUCCCUUGAAUUUCUUGGGCUUAAAAAUUUUCACAUGGGUCUUAGACACUCCAACAAUUACAUCAUUCCCAAUGGCUGUCUUGCAAGUAGCGAGCUCCCUCUUAAGCUCUUCCAUCUCCUUACGCAUGGUCUUCACUUGGGCCUCCAAUGCUUUAUUCCGCUGGUGAUCAUGUUAAUGGUCUCAUUCAGAUUAGCUUAUAGCUCACCCUUAAGCUCCUCCUCCAUUGAGUCUAAAGCCUCAAUGUGAGUCUCCACCUCAUCAAACUUCUCUUUCACAUCGCCCACUGUCACCUUAACCUUGGACAGCCUCCCAUCCAUGGUAGAUCAGAUGUCUCUCGAACUAACUUUUUUUCCCUUUCCACGAACUUGCUCUUGGGCCUCUGGUUGUUGACUAGUCACUCCGAGAUGCCAUUUUUGCAAAUGCCUUGGUGUGAUCUGAACACCACCGAAUAAAACCUGCAUCGAACCUACUCUGAUACUAACUGUCACGGGCUUCAAACUCUAACUCAAAAACCGUGCCACCUUAAACUAAAACUAUGCUCCUUAUAUCUAAGUUAGCCUAUAAACCAACCGUACAGGCACUAGCACAACUAAAAAGACAGAAUACGCAAGUUAAGAAAAAACACAGAGAAUACUGAAAUAUGUAGUAUAUUACUGAAGAACAAAGUAUUUAAUGAUGUACAACUGAAGGUCAGACAACCUGCUAUUUAUAGUUGAAACUCUCAGCUCUAUUUAUGACUAUUUCCUAAUAUCAAAGAAUUCUUAGAAUUAAGAGAUUUACACAGAUUAUACCAUGAUUUUAAAGAUCCCUCCUAAUUCACAGGAUUAACCAAAUUCUCUUGUUGAAUGCUGUCGAUCAUAGAGACUUUUGGAUGGUUAUGGAUUGAUUAGGCUCCUGGAUCCAUCUUAGUGCGGUACGGAUAUGCGAGCCUAAUCCUUGCUAUGCGGAUAGACCUACACGCUGUAUGGGUGACCUCGACACUUUUCUCAUACUUAUUACGCCAACCCACCGUAAUUGUCCCCAAUGCUCGAGCCUUAAUCGUAGAUGCUCGAACCUUAAGGGGCCCACUUAGGGCAUGACACCUCUACGUACUCGUUGUAAGGCUAGUUUUGAUACGUAGCUUAGCUUAAGAAGACUUGACUUUGCCUGAAGUUUUAGGAAGACUUGACUUUGCCUAAAGUUUUCUGUCAACUGCACCGAUUAGUAAGCAAUACAUAGAUGCCCCACAAUCCUUCUUUGCCUUAAGCUAAAGUUGCUUUCAAUUAAUGUACGUCCAGAAAUGUGCCAACCUGUGAGUUUUAAAGCACAGUUCGUUCAAAGUCAAGACCAAUACAGUGAAGCAAGAAAAAGCUUCAAUGUUUAAAACGUAUAGACUAAAAAAACACAAAUUUCGGGCUAAGAGCAUGGGUUCCACUUCAUUGCUGUGGGAUUGGUUUGGGUACACUAAAAAAAUCCAAAAUUUAUUUAUUUAUUUAUUAUAAAUUAUUCAUAUUUUAUAAAAUAUUAAUAUUUUUUUAUUUAUAUUAUAUUUUAUAUCAAAAUUAUAUAUAAUAAUUUAUAUCAAUAUAAAAAAUAAAGUAUAUAUUUUUUAAAAUUUUAAAAUAUAUUUUUUUAUAUAUUUUUUUAUAUUUUAAUUUAUUAAACUUUGCAUAUUUCAGAGUGUCGAUUUGUCAAACCAAUGCCUUCAGCACAUGUCAGCUGGUGAAGUUGCUUUCAGUUAGUAAAAUAUGACUAAACGCGUUGAAGAGUCACCGUUUCAGGGAAGAUCGUUCGAAUCAAAGCAAAGAACACGUUGCAUAGAAAUUAAGACUAGGAAAGGUGACUUGUUUGCUCAGGACUGGGGUUAUUUACUUUGGGUAGUUUCUCAGAAUCUUGACCUGUCAACAAGGGACCGAGUCUUGUGUCCUAGGUGCCCAUGGGCAAUAGUUGUAGGAGGAGCUAAGUCAUUGCUUAAGGGCCCGUCUCGAUGCAACCGGACUCUCAGUGAGGGGCUGCUUGCCUUCCAAAUCCAUGCCCACGUGGAGACCUGGAUUUCCGGUUCGAUGAGAUUGUUGGCGGUUGGUUAUCGGAUUGGUCCAAUUAAAGAUAUAACAAUUUGAAAUCAAUUUAAUUUUUUUUAAUAUUAUAUAAUAUUAUAAUUUUUUAAAAUUCAAUUCAAAUUCAAAUAAAAUUUUUAUAUGAUUUGAAUUAAAUUUAUUGUUUCGAUACAAUUCAAUAUAUCAGUUUUUAAAACUUAAUUUUUUAUAUAUUAUUUUAAUAUAUUUAAGUAAAUUUUAAUAUAAAAUUAUUAUUUUUAUUUUAUAAAAAUUUAAAAUAUAUAUAAAUUAAAAAAAUAUAUAAUUUGCUUUUUUAUUUCUUGAUUUAAAAUCUAAUAUAAACUUAAUAUAUACAUUUAAUUUUAAAUUUGAUCUAAAUUGAAUAAAAAAAUUGAUUCAAACCGAACACUACAACGAAUUAAUUUUAAAUUUUUUUAAUUUUUUUCUCACCCCUAAGUCCAAUUGACAAUCUUAUUUUUCUCCUUUUUACUUCAAAAUUUUAAUAUUAACUCAAAAUUCCCUUAUUUUUUAUUUUGAUUUUUUAUUAUAUAAUAAAUAAUAAAUAAUUUUUAUUAUUAUAUAAUAAACUAACAAAUAAAUAAAUUUAUUUAAAAUAAUUUUUUAAUUUUUUAAUUACUCAUUAAUUUUAUAAAUAUUAAAUCAUUUAAAAUUUUUAUUACAUAUAAUUUUUUUCUAAUGUCUUUAAUAAUAAUUCUUUUUUCAUUAAAAUUCACUUUACUACUAACGUUAUUUGUGUCUAAAUAUAUAUUUUUUAAUAUUGAUUUUAAUCUUAUUACUAUAAUAAUUAAUCUUAUAUUUAUUAUUAUUUUUAAUCUCACUUUUAUCCAAAUAAACUCUAAAUAUAAUUUUCCAGAAAACCCAUCUGCCUUUAGAAUCUACAUCAUUCACUUGAGUUUCAACAUUUUAAAUUUCAAGUCCUUUCAAAAAUUGAAGAUAAGAAUCCAAGAAAGAGUAAUUUGAGAAACAAGGUUCCGGCUACAUACACUUGCAACUGCUAUAAUAGAGUGAUCCUGCGCCUCAAAGUUUUAUAAGAAGAUGCAAAUUAAAGGUUAAAAGGUGUAUUUUCUACUUACUAACUCUCCUUAUCUCAUUUUGGUUCUCCUUGUUUAACUUUUUCGGUCAAAAUAAAGAUAAUUUUGUUGAAACUUUCAAUAGAAUUCAAAGCGGCUGUUGAAACUUGACGUUUUAUUGAGGUUUUGGCUUUGAAUUUUAUGAUAAAUAAGAUUAAAUAUAGGAUAUUGGAAAAAAAUUUCUCAUAUUAAUGCAAUUUAAAAUCCUUGUGUACUCGAGAAAAAAAUUUAUAACUUUUUUAAAUUUUGAAUUAAUCAAUCUAAUAGUUUAAUAAUCGAAAGUAAAAAAUUCAAUCAAAUUUGAUCGAAAGAACCGAAUUGAGGUAUAAAUAAAUUAGGACAAAAGGAGUAAUAUUUUUUUUCUCUAAAAAAUAUUAAUCAGUACCCUAAACCUCAAAAAGUUAAUGCCAAAACGGGGGAAAAGCAAGAUUACAUGGAGCCAAAAAAUGAUACCAAAAAUUUAUACUUAGUUCCCAUUCAUUAAAAUUUUAGAAGUAAUUUUUUACUGUAUAACUUUUUCUUCUUUUAUUAAUGAUUGAUCUGAUAUUAAUUAAGGGAACCGUUGCAACCAAAUUAAUAGGUAAUAUGGAUUUAAAAGUUUCAUAAUUUUAUCUAAAAAAAUUAUUUUGUAAAUAUAAAUUUAAAUCUCUAGUUUUAAAUCACAAUGAAUCUAUAAAAUAUCUCAUAUUGAGACGCUACAAAGUAAACCCAAAAUUACUUAAAUUGCUUCAAAGUCAAAGUCUUUCUGUUAAUUUAAGAACAUGCACAAAGCCAAAACCUUUCAACUAAUAUAAGAGAGUACCGUCAAAUGGGGCCAAAAUCGAAGGUGCGCAAAGGUAAAUCCUUAAGACUACCUACCCCCUUCCCGUCGUUUACGAAGGGCUAUGUUUAUGCAUAGUUAAAUGCAACUAUCAAAACCGAAGCAUACGUUCAAUUAUACCCUAGAAAUGCAAAGACCCAAGACGACAAUUUUCUCGGAAACAGCUGCGACGUGCUCCACCUGCCUUCUCUUCAACGAACUUCAAAAUUCAAAGGAUCAAAUUUAUUGUCCCUCCAUGUACACGUUGUAGGGCUGGUUUUGAUACGUAGCUUAGCUUAAGAAGACUUGACUUUGCCUAAAGUUCUUUGUCAAGUGCACAAAUUAAAAAGCAAUAUAUAGAUGCCCCAUAAUCCUUCUUUGCCUUACAGCUUCAAGUAACUAAUCGUGGAAGUCAAGUAAAGUUGCUUUCAAAUUAAUGUUUGUUCAAAAAAUGUGCUGACCAGUGACUUUUAAAGCAAAACUUCGCUCAAAGUCGGGACCAAUACAGCGAAGCAAGAAAAAGCUUUAACGUUUAAACGUAUCCACUCAAAAAACCCAAGUUUAGAACUAAGAGCAUGGGUUCCACCUUCAAUGUUGCGGGAUUGGUUUAGUUACAUUAAAAAUCUAGAAUUAAACCAGAAUAAUUUAUAUAUUUAUAUUAUAUUUUUAUAAAAAUUUUAUAUAAUAAUUUGUAUUGAUAUAAAAAUAUAAAAUAUAUUUUUUAUUUUAUAAAAAUUUUAAAUCAUAUUAAUUUUUUAUUUUUUAUUUAUAUCAUUUUUAUAUCAGUCAUUGUAUAAUAAUUUAAAUUAUAAAUCUACUUUAUAUAACAGAGUGUCGAUUGGGCAAGUCAAUGCCUUCAACCCAUGACAGCAAGUAAAGUUGCUUUCAAUUAGAACAAUGUAACAAAACGUGUUGAAGAAUAACUGUUCCAGCGAUGAUCAUUCAAAUCAAAGUAAGGAACACGUAUAGAAAUUAAGACUUGGAAAGAUGACUUGUCUGCUCAAUAACCAACCAAAACGAUGUCAGUCACAAAUCAUUAUCGUUGAUUUUUGUUUAUAGCCUUACGCACCAUACUAGUUUUAUACAUAAAAAAACCAUGAAAAGAGAGAAAACAAAAGAAAAAAAAAAUGCACGCCGAGUAAACAUAGUAAAAAUAUUUUAUAUUUUCUUUAAGUAUAAAAAAUUGAAAUACAACAGUACACAGUUUAAGGCAAUAGGAAAAUUAAAAAUCUUGAACUAUUUGUUCUUUUCUAACACCACAAGCUUCAAUGGCUAGUUUCUCAAUAUAUAUAAACUUAAAUUUAAAUAAACAAUUGUAACAAAAAGACAAUGUAAAUUUUGACGUCUGCUAUCAGUUAUGUUUCUUUCUUUUUUUCUGGACAAGUCUCUUGUUGAAACUACAUGGGUGCACAAUAUGGCAAAUGCAUUGCUGAUUGUGUAUUUGUAGUCCAUGAUAUAUUUAUAUUUAAUUAUGACAAUAGUUGUAUCAUUUGUUGCUUCUUUCGUUCUAAAGAAUUAACAAAAUCUUUGCAAAAGUUAAUGAUGAUAUAAUUUUGGUGUUGGGUUUUUUUCAACAACCUCAAAUGUAAAGAAUUUCCAGAAUUUUUUGUUUUUACUUCUAAAAACAUUUGUUUAUGCUCGUUUUUCAAAAAUUUUAUGUUUUUUUAGCUACUUCGUAGGACGGGGAAUGUAUUAAGACUCAUUUAAUAAACAUUUUCCUUAAUAAGAGCUGCCUAAAGACAUUUGACAUAUCCUUUUUAUGUAUGUAUGAUAAAUUUCUUUAAUGCCUGUGUACUUUAUGCCUUUACCAAAGCCGUAUGUGAACUUAUUGUUAGUUCCAAAUAAUUGUUUAAAAAGAGAAACCAAGUUGGCAAUGGCAAUAAACCAAUCUUUCCAAAUUAACCCCGAAAGAGAUCAUCAAACGGCGUUAAAUCACAAAGGUAACAAAGGAAAAGCAAAAUGUAAAAAGAUUUUUUGGUUUGUUGAAGAUUAUCCGAAUAUUUAUGAUCACUUACAGAUUCAAACUUGAUUGAAAAGGUUGAUAUUUAUCUUUUAACGAAAAUAAAUAAAAACAUUUCACUGAGAUUUCUUUUCAAUUCUGCCGGUCAGGCAAUGGCAUUGGUUUCUUUUCAAUUCUGAUCAUCAGGCAAUUGCAUUUCCAGUCUAGACCCAGCAAUGAAAAUCUAUAUGGAGGAGAAAAAUCAAAGGAAAAGAGGAAAAUAAUAGAGACGACAGCAACAAAGAGCUGGUGAGCGAAAGAUAGAGAUAUGUUUUACUACCUUGUUCAUAUGUAGCCUGUAAAUUUGCAUGUGCCUCCCUAAGCCAUCAUCUAGAAUUAUAUACAUUUGUGUAGGAUAAGAGAAAAAAAAAGGUGCUUUUUACAAAGUUUUCCAGGCCAACAGAUAACCGCUCUAUUGUCGCAUAAAUCUGAUCAAAAAGACAUGUAUCAUAUAUAUACUUAUAUGGACACAAAGGGUAAAAAUGGCUUCGGUUGUAUAGCAUGUAGUAAUCUCUCAAACCAUAGCGCUGUACAUAAUGUGCAAAUAUACCAAUAUUGCAGAAGUUCAAAAAUUCUCAUGUACCUUAGCUGGAAUGUUCAGCUCCUGAGGCAUUAUUGGCAGAUGUGUAAGACUUACCACCUUCACUAAGCAAUAAGUUUUUCUUCUCUUUAUAACCCCGAAGCUCCUCUAAUGCAUCAGCAGUAGUCUUUGAUGCAACAAACCUGGAAGAUGCAAUACUUAAAGAAGCAGCAUAUUCAACAUUCACAACCCCAGAGAUUUGGUUUUGCUCAGAGGUAAAACAAAAAAUCUAGCCAUUUGCAGCAAAAUCCAUCCGUGCCAAUUAAGAUAACCUAUUGAAAAAUGACCAUGAUACAGGAUAUAUGGUGUUCUCUCGAAUUUCGGAUAAUAUUAAAAUGACAGAUGAUAGCUCCAGAGAUGAAAUUUAAGAGUGUAAGUAAACAAAACUUUCGAAAAACCAUUUGUGAAUAUGUUCAGUUUUUGUUUAUUUAUAUUCAUUUAUUAAGCUUAAUAAACAAUCUUAAACACCAUUUGUACAUUUGUUUAUUAAGUGAACCAAACACGAACAGCUGUGUGUUCAUUCAUUUAUGUUUACGACCAAGCUCGUUUACGGUUCGUUUAAAACUCAUUCAUUUAUUAUUCGUUUGCUGUUCGUUUAUAAUAAAACUAAUAAAAUUAUAUUUUUAUCUUUUAUCCUAAUCAUAUUUUAAGAUUUGUUUAUAUUUGUUUGGGUUUGUUUAUGUUCAUUUAAGGUUUGUUUGUUUAAAUUUGUUUAAUUAUGGUUUGUUUGUUAUUUAUGAAUGUGUUCAUUUAUAUAUGUUCGUGAACAUGUUCGUUAAUAUUCACGAAUAAGUUUGUUUAACUUAACUGAACGAACACGAACUGAACAGGAACAACCUAUUAUUUAAACGAACAAACAUGAACAAAUAAAACAAUUUUCUUAAAGAACACGAACACCUUCAAAAUAAAUGAGCAAAUACGAACAUACAUUUGUUUAUUCGUUCAUGUUCAGUUCAUUUACAGCCCUAAUGAAAUUCAUGACUCAUUUUCGAUUAAGGACCCUACUUUAGUUAAAUGAUUUGAAGGAUUUUCUUAAAGAACAUUCAAAAGAGAAAAUGUCCUGCACUUAAACUAAAGAUGAAGCACAUUUGUAGUCUCAAACUUUUCAUUUGGGCUUCUUUUUUAUCUUUAAAUUUCAAAUUGUUUCAUGAUAGUCCUAAAUCUUUUUUAAAAAAUGUCAAUAUGAUCGCUUUUCAUAAAAAUAAGAGGAAAUUACUAAUCAAGAUAAUGAAUUCAAAAUUCUUACUCUUUAUAAUCAUAACAAAAUAUAUUUAUUAAAAAGGAAAUAAAAUGUAUAAAAUGUCUUAAAAGGAAACGACAACAUAAUUUUUUCGUAAUUUUAAAUAUUCAACUUAAAAUUAAAGGUAAAACGAUACUUUAGUUUCUUUUGUAAUAAUUAUAAAAAUUUUAUGUUUUAGUAAAUAUAUUUUAGUAUGACAAUAAAAAGAAUAAUUUUGAGUCAAGUAUCUAAUUUUAUUUGCGUUUUGUAUUUUAUUAAAAUUUAUUUUUUCAAUAUUUAUAAAUUUUAGUAAAUAUAAAAUUAAAUCCUAUUAAAAAUAAAGCUAAAAUUUAUUUUGAAUAAAAAAUAAAGAAAUAAAACAUACUAGAAUAAUUUAAGUAUAUUAACUGGUAAAAAAUAAAAUUUAUAAAAGUUUUUGGAAGAACACAAAAGUAUCGUUUUUUCCUUGAUUUUAAAAAUCAAACUUAAAAUAAAGACAAAAAUGAUACAUUAUUUUCCUUUGUAAUAAAUAUAAAAUUUUAUUUCUUUUAAUAAAUACAUUUUGUUAUAAUAGCAAGGAGUAAUAAUGCUAGAUAUAUUAUUCUAAUUCUAUUUAUUUUAUUUUAUUUUAUUAAAUUUUAUUUUCCUAAUAUUUAUAAAUUUUCAUAAAAAAUACAAAUUUAAAUCCUAUUAAAAAUAAAGUUAGAAAUUAUUUUUAAUAAAAAAGAGAGGAAUGAAACAUAUUCAAAUAAUUUUGAAUCUCGAGUGCUUUGAUAUUUUUUAAAAAAAUAUAUAAAAAUUCUUGAUAUACUAAAGGACUUAAUUAAUAAGUUUAGAUUCUAGUUAUAAUUUUAAACUUAAACAGUAAAAGAAUUAUGCUUGUUUUGUCAAGUGAUCUUUAAUGAAUUACUUCUAACAAAAUAUUUGUUGACAAAUUAUGUAUCAAAUCAAGAUCAAUUUCUUUAUUUGUUGAGAUUUAUAUUCCUGGUCUUUUAUUUGUUUCUAUAUUUGGAUGAUUGUGUCUUGAUUCUAUGAGAUUUUUUGUACAUACAAAUUCCUUUAUAUAUUUAGAGAUUCCUUUUAAUAAAAUAACACUUAGAAAACAUUAUUUUAUUUUUGUUUUCAUGGUAUCAAAGCAAGGUUUGCUCUUAUUUUUCAUUUUCUAAUGGCCAAAACAAUCAUAAUUGGUGCCUCUCAAGAAAGUGGAUCAAAAGUAACUUUUGAACCAAUUGCUACACUUACUCAAAGUGCACAAUUACACAAAAAGGUAACUAUCUCUUCGCUUUGUGUGCAAAAUCAUAUUCUAAAAAAUCUUAGAUUAUAGAUUUUGGGGUGUUCGACCAUAUGACUGGAUGCCAUGAAUUGUUUUCAACAUAUAAUUCAUUUUCUAGAAACCUUAUGACUCAUAUUGUUGAUGGAUCACUAUCCUUUAUUGCUGGAAAAGGAAACAUUAAAGUUUUUAAUAUGACACUAUUUUCAGUUUUACAUGUUCCUAAUUUAAUAUGUAAUUUAGUGUCUACUAGUAAAUUGACAAAGGACUUGAAUUGUGUGGCUAAAUUCAAUCCUUCAUCUUGUAAGUUUAAGGAUUUACUUUCAAGGAGGAUAAUUUGCAAUUUUAAGGAGCAAGAAGGCUUUUACUACCUUAAGGAUCCUCAACAAGUGAAUAAACAUGCUUCGACUCUAAAUGGUGAAUCUAUGUUUGUUUUUAGUGAAAUUAUGUUAUGACACGAUAGAUUAGGACAUCCUAGUUUUUUGUAUCUAAAAACUCUUUUUCUUUUCUUUUUAAGAAUAGAAAUGUCCAUUCCUUUUGUUUUUUAUAUCUAAAAACUCUUUUUCUUCUCUUUUUAAAAAUAGAAAUGUCCAUUCAUUUUGUUAUGAAACUUGUCAACUUGCCAACCACACUCAUGUUCUUUAUCCUAGUCAUCCAUAUAGAUUUUCUAAACUUUUUUAUUUAGUUCAUAGUGAUAUUUGGGGACCUUCACAGGAAAAUAGCAUAAUUAGAACUAGGGGGUUAAUGACUUUUAUAGAUAAUCAUACACGAGCUUGUUAAGCUUACUUAUUAAAGGACAAGUUUGAUGCUAAAGCGAUUUUUUAGCAAUUUCACAAAAUGAUUUAAAUGCAAUUUCAUACUUAAAUCCAAAUUCUCCACACAAACAAUGGAAGGGAAUACUUUAAUUCAAUUCACGGUGAUUCUCUAAAAGAAAACAAGAUGUUUCACCAAAGUUCUGAUGUUAACACCUCACAACAAAAUAGGAUUACAUAACGUAAAAGUUGUCAUCUAUUAAAAGUUGCUUGGCUAUCAUGUUUACCAAUAAUUUUCCUAAGUUUUUUUGGGGAGAUGCUAUUUUAAUAGCCUUAUACUUGAUCAAUAAACUUCCUAAUAGUUAAACAUGUUAGUUAAAUCAUAUUCACGAAAUAUGUUGUUUACCUUUUUACCCCCAAAAGUCUUUGGUUGAACAUCUUUUGUUAACAACAAAAGUUCAUCUUGUGGGAAACUAGAACCUACAACCAUAAAAUGUAUCUUUAUUGGGUACUCUCCUACUCAAAAUGAGUAUAAGUGCUAUUGUCCAUCCAUGAAACAAACAUUUGUCUCAUUAGAUGUCACAUUUUUUGAAAAUCAACUCUUUUACCCAAAACUAACUUUUUAUGGGGAAAUACUACGUGAGAAUUUUCCAUUCCACUUUUUGUAACAUCGGCUAUUCCUAUUGUGUCACCAACAAAGCUAAGUUCCUCUAUGCUUAAUCCUCAUCCUCAACAAGAAACAAAGCUCUAUGUUUAUUCAUGAUGUAAACCAUAGCCUCAAGAAGUACUAAUUUUUGGGCCCCAGCCAUAUUGUCAAGAAUCUUAUAUGUAAGUAAAUUAUGAAUUAGAAAAUGCUAAGCCUAUAACACUAUCACCAAUGACUACCGAUUCGUAAGCAAAUUUUGAAUCAAAAAAGUUUGUGCCUACUGCACCAUCACCAGUGAAUAAUUUACCUAAUGAUCUAGACAAACCUAUAGCACUUAGGAAAGGUGUAAGAUUGCACACUCAACACCCGCUGUCCAAUUGUCUAUCCUAUAGCCGUUUCUCUACUUUUCAUUUCGUCCUAUGAUAAAAAAGAUUAAGGUAACUAAAAUCUCACAAAAUAUUCAUAAAACUCAAAAAUCCUAGAAUAGGAAGCUGUUGCACUUAAAAAGAUAAGAGCAUUGAAAAAGAACGAGACUUGGGAUGUUGCGGAGUUACCUAAAGGAAAAACACCAGUUGGAUGUAAGUGGAUGUUUACGAUUAAAUAUAAUUCAAAUGGUGGUUUGUGACUCAAACUUUUGGAGUAGACUACAUUGAAACUUUUGCUCCAAUUGCUAAAUUGAAUACUAUAAGGGUACCACUUUCAUUAGCUACUAAUCUUGACUAGCCAUUACACCCAAUGGCUAUCAAGAAUGCCUUUCUUAAUGGGGAGCUAGAUGAAGAAGUUUAUAUAGAUUUGCCUCCUAGCUUUGAAGGGGGAAACAAUGACAGGAAGGUAUGCAAACUGAAAAGGUCUCUCCAUGGUUUAAAACAAUCACCAAAAGCUUAGUUUGAUCACUUUGCAAAGUCAAUAAGGAGACAUGGAUUCAGCCAAAGACAAAUUGAUCAUACUCUUUUUUUCAAACACUCACAACAUGAAAAAAAGACUAUUUUGAUUGUUUAUGUUGAUGAUAUUAUACUGACAGGGGAUGACACUAAAAAAAUAGAAAAGCUAAAAAAGACUCUAGGAAAAGAAUUUGAACUUAAAGAUCUUGGAUAACUAAAAUACUUUUUAGGGAUGAAAGUUGCAAGAAGCAAGAAUGGCAUUAUUGUUUCCCAAAAGAAAUAUAUGAUUAAUCUCUUGAAAGAAACCGAUAUGCUUGGCUAUAAACCAACUGAUACACCUAUAGAUCCUAAUGUGAAGCUUAGAAAGAAAGGAGGAAUUUCAGUAAAUAAGGGGAGAUAUCAACAAUUGGUUGGAAAAUAGAUCUACUUGUCUCAAACAAGACCUGAUAUUGUCUUUUUAGCUAGUGUCGUAAGUUAGUACAUGCACUAUCCAUUUGAGGAGCAUCUCGAAGUAGUGUAUUGAAUCUUAAGGUAUUUGAAGGCCACAACUGGUAAGGAUUUGUUGUUUAUGAAAAAUGAACAAAGAAAUAUGAAAGCAUUUACAAAUGCAGAUUAGGUAAGAUCAAUUGAAGACAAAAAAUCCACCUCUAGGUAUUAUACAAAGGUUUGUGGUAAUCUCGUCACAUGAAGAAGUAAGAAACAGUCUAUUAUUGCUCGAAGUAGUGCAAAAGCAUAGUUUAAAACUUUUACACAAGGAACUUGUAAACUUAUCUAGUUGAAAAGACUUUUAAAAUAGUUGAAAAGACUUUUAAAAGAAUUGAAAAUGACAACUAAAUAACCUAUGAAACUGCAUUGUGAUAACAAGGUUGCUAUAAAUAUUGCUUAUUAUCCAGUGCAUCAUGAUUGAACAAAGCAUAUGGAAGUUAAUAAACAUUUUAUCAAAGAGAAUAUUGAUAUAGGAAUGAUCUGUAUUACCUAUGUUACUACAAAGCAACAAGUAACAGAUACCUACCAAAGGGACUAUAUAAACCAAGCUUUAGGACUAUUAUUAACAAGCUGAGAAUGAUAAAUAUAUUCUCUAGCUUAAAGAGGAGUGUUAACAGAUUAAUUAUCAAAUUAGGAUCAAUUUCUUGAUUUGUUGGGAUUUAUAUUUCUGGUCUUUUAUUUGUUUUUAUGUUUGGAUAAUUGUGUCUUGAUUUUGUGGGUUUCUUUGUACAUAUCAAUUCCUCUAUAUAUUGGGGGAUUCCUUGUAAUAAAAUAACACUCGAAGAACAUUGCUUUUAUCUCAAUUUUCAAUAUUUCCUCAAGAGAUUAUAGUAAUAAAUAAGUUUUUUAGUUAGGUUGAUAUAAUUUUAGAGAGUUUAAAAUUAUACUAGUAAUAAUUUAUAAGCAAUACUUUUUGAAAUUAUUAAUUAUUAUUUACUUAUGUUUAAUUAAGUGUUAAAACAUUAUUUGGGUAUAUUUCAUUUCUUUCUUUUUCUUUUCCAAAAAAAAAAAAUCUACCUUUGUUCGUAAUUGGAUUUAAUUUUAUAUUCUUUAAUAAAAAUUUAACUAUAAGGAAAAUACAAUUUGAUAAAAAUAAAAAUAAAUAAAGGAAAUAAAACCAUGGUGAACUCAAAAUUAUUACUUUUCGCUAUCAUAUUAAAAAUAUAUUUAUUAGAAAGAAAAUAAAAUUUUUAAAAUUAUUAAGAAGGAAACUAAAAUAACUUUUUUUCUCUAAUUUUUAGUUGAAAUUUGAAAACUAAGUGCAAAAAUGAUAAUUCUACUUCAUUAUUAAAAAUGUUAGAAGUUAUAUUUAUUUUCUAAUAAAUAUAUUUUAGUAUGAGAGCAAAAAGUAAUAAUUUUGAAUCUAUUAUCUUAAAAUGUAAUUCUCUCUUUUUUUAUGCUAAAAUUGAUUAGAGAACCAUAUUGACACCAUUUCAAAAAGUUUGGGACUAUCAUGCAACAAUUUAAAGAUUAGGGAUCAAAAUCAAAUCUAAAUAGAAGGUUUAGGACUAAAAAUGUACUUUACCCCUCAAACAAAACUUUUGGACUCUUCCACCAGUGGAAUUUAGAGAUUAAAAAAAACCAUAACCAUCUAUAAACCUAAUUUCUAACAAAUAAUUAUUAAUACCAUGAAGAUCAAUUCAUUGUUUUGCCUCCGAAACUUCACAGUUCACCAAUAAUCUAGUAUUCUAAGCCUAACCUUCCUGUCGAUAAAGACUUCCUAACUUUCAAACAUCCCUUCAACAAUCAACAAACAUCCUUAAGCAAUCUAGCAUCAAUCAAUAGUUUUUGACAGACUUCUUAGAUUAACUAAGGCUCUGACAGAAGGAUUAACUAAAUCUAAUUUUGCAUUGCUGGGCACCCACGCUAAGACAUUAGAGUCCACAAAAUUACACUUUACCAUCAAAAUAAACUAUCACAAGUAUGCUGCCCUCAAAAAGUUAAACCUAAACAAAUCUUUUCCUUUAACAAGCUAGCCUUCCUGCAACUCGUAGCAAACUGAAAGGAAAAAAUUACUGACAGCAAGAAGGAAUGUAUAGAAGGUUUCUGCAACCAACACAUCCUUCAGCCAAUAACACGUCAUUCUUAAUCACCCAUCUUUUGAUUAAUUAAUUUAUUCACCAACUAACAAUGAGAAUGAGUAUGUCAGCUUUUGUUUGGGCUUCCUCAACAGAGAGGUCAAGUCAUCUAAAAGUGGCCCCCAAUCCUCCCUUGUGACGUAAAGGCAUGCUCAUAUUUCCAUAAUUAAAUAUUGUUAAAUUAAAGAUAUCCAAACAAAUAUGACACAUAGACCAAUACUAAUUGCACAUCAUGCAAACCAGCUUAAGUACAAUUUAGCAUUGUUUUCUGCUAAAUAUAUCUGACACUGGAAACUUCGAUAUGGUAAUAUGAUUGAACUUCACAUCUAUUAAACAUCAUAAAAUUAACCAGCCAAGUUGUCUUUCUCAAAUCUAGAAAGCAAACUUUAUUUGGUAAUUCUCCAUGGAGGAUAAACAGAUACCUAUCCCGAUUCCUGAACCAGAUAUUCCACUAUGGCUACUACCAGGACUAGAUAUUGAAAUUUAUAAGCCAACCAGGUUGUCUUCCUCAAAACUAGAAAGCAAAUUUUAUUUGGUAACACUCCAUGGACGAUAAACAGAUACUUAUUCUGAUUCCUGAACCACAUAUUCCACUACAGAGGCUACUACCUGCUAGAUAUUAAAAUUUAUGAUGCAAAGUCUCUUCAACUGAAAGAUUGAUUAUUCAGUUUCCUAGAAAUGUCAUCAAUUUUGAUGCUCACAUCACAUCUUGAGAGAUCAGAACUAAUUCAAGAAAUUUUUCACAGAGAAUGGAGAAUUAAUACUAUUAGCAUUCACAUGAUCGCUUGCUUAUAAGCUCUUUUAGUAAGUAUAUACCAUUUAGAGGAAUUAAGACAGCAGCACCAAGAAAUUAAUCCAGGGUAAGGUAAAACAACCAAAUUAAGUCCUGAACUAAAAGUGGGUAAGACCAAGAAAAAUUGAUGCCACAUUUUUCAAAUUCAUGAGAAAAAUUAAAAAGAUGUCAAAUCUUCAAGAAACCAGCAUAAAAAAUAACACUAGGUAGUUAAAAGUAAAAUUAGUAAAUUAAUUGCAUGUAUUGAAAUCUUCCACAAAUGAUGCAAAAGGGUUAAUUUAAAAGUACAAUUUGUGAUGAGUUAUCUGUAUUACCAGCUUCCUGGGUCCGUCACAUCAUCAUUCUCCACAUCAAAUGGACAAGGAAAUUCAGAGUCAUCAAAAUCAUCUUGUAAAGACCUACUGGAACUUCGGGAAAAUGAAACUCAUGGUGAGCUGCUGGAAUAUACCUUCACUCUAGAAUAUUUCCAAUAGUCUUCUUUCUUGAUAGCAAACAGCUAGAAGAGACAAAUAAAUAAAUAAAUUCCAAAGGGCAAAACAAGAUACACUAGAAAACACAACAUACCAAUGAUGAGUAUAUGAAAUACCUUCUCAACAGUUACACCAGUUCGAACUGGACCAUAUUAUUAUCAGACUUAGAAGUACCAGCUUUUGUAAUUAAGGGGAGGUGAUGGUGGCAAAUUUUGCUUGCAGGACAACACAGGGGAAUUAGCAAGCUUAGGAACAGCUAUAUUUACAGGAGCACUUUCAGAAUGUAAAAGAGCUUUUGACAGAUGACUCCCAGUAAUGUGUAUGGGGGGUGAUGGUGAGGGAGAAGGGGAAGGGGAGGCAGAGAAAUUGGGAGGACAAUACUCAUCAAAGUUGGUAUUAUUCCUAUGAGUUAGCAAGGUCCCAGGAGGAUGAGGAGGUAAGCUCAUAGGUGGCAAACAGUUAGAGCUUGGGUUGGAAACUGAAGAAUGAGAUUCUGAAUAUGUUGAUGAUGGUGAAAAAGAAACCAAAGGCGGUGAAGCCUUGUAAUGGUAAUUACUCCAACCAUGUCUUCUUGAGAAUGGCAAAGAUGAACAAGAGUUGUGCGACACAGGCAAAGAUGGGAACCUCCUCAGUGGGUCUGCCAAUGGGCUUCCAACAUAAUCUGGUAUAAAUUGAGGGGACAUAUGGGUUGAUGACUCAGAGCUUAUAUCUGAGAUUGAUGACCAGAACAAAACUGAAAGGCAAAGCCUUCCACAUGAUGUGUCCACAGGCGUAAACCAAAAUCAUUGCAUUUCUGCCACUUCUUUACGAGUGAACGGUUCAACAAAAGAAGAUACCAUAGGAGCAAACUUAAAGGCAUGAAGUUGACCAGAUGAAUUGAGAUCACGAAAAAUCUUGUAUGCAGGUAACAGCCUAACACUCAUGUAUAAGGACCUCAACAGCAAUAUCAAUUUCUUAUAUAGCGUACUCAAAUUAUUACUACUUGACCUUACACUCCCUGAACUACAAUCCCUACCCUUUCUACUUUCGUGCUGCAUAAACCAUCUUUCUAUUAUCUUUUCACUUUUUUUCUCACUACCUGAAUCUUCUUGAUCAGAAUUCCAGAAAAACAAAUUCCUAUCAUUCGACAACAAAUGCCUAACAAGAUCCCCUUUGGGGGAAAAGGUCACAGGUUCCCAAUCAAGUGGCUUCUGCUCCAUUAUAACAUCAACCACUACUGGCUCAAAAUUACUCUGGCGACAAAGAUCAAGAUUGUCUAGUGCUGAAGGGCACUCCACUCCCUAGGAGCUAAAUUGAACCAUCUAUCUCUUGGUCUCACACUUGACGAAGAUGAUGAGGAUGAAGAUGGAGAUGACACAGUUUGUUCACCACUAUAAUUACACGAUGACACAUACGGAGACCUUGAUUCAAGUAUUAUAAGAAGACUCUUAUAGAAGAAUUCAGUGAUAACUUGUUCCAUUUUUGCUGCUUCAUUGUGAGUAUUGCCAUGAGAUGAUGUCAUACUUUUUAAAUUAGCUAAAAGUGUAACAAUCAAACCCUUUAAGGGAAAUUGAGAUUGUAAACCUGAAACACCUGGGGAGAUAAUCUCAGUGCAAGUAGGAAAGCCAUAAAGAAAAAUCAAAAGCUCAUUCAUCCAUAAAAAUAGAACCCGAGCAAGAAAUAACUCAAAAAAUAGCAAUUCAAUUAGUUAAAAAAAAAAAAAAAAAAAACAGACAGCUUAGACUCUUGUUUUCUAUGUUCUUUAUAAUUAACCGGUCUGGUUGUGUAAGAAACAUGUUUUGGGAACAUGGGUCUUUUUUCAUCUUAUUUCUCAUUUUUGCAUUUUGGUUUUUUUCUUGUCUUCAUCCAGCUUACUUUUCGUAGAAAUUUUCUUUGCAAAAAUAGAAUAAUUUUCUAUGCAAAGCUCAAGAUUGCAGAACCAGAAAAACCAAACUAAAUUAAAAACUUAGAACAAUUAAAAAAAAAAAAGAAAAGAAAAGGGCAAACGAAGCUGAGAGGGAAGCAACUCACCAGUUUGUUAAUAGAAUGAUUUUUGUUUCCUCUUUUGACAGGUUUAUUAUCUCCUUUGAGUCCUUGUUUUGUAUAAAUUCGGAAGUUCAGUAAAAAUCCAUCGGAUGAAAAAGGGGAAAUUUAUUCAAAAAAAAAGAAAAAAAGGAGAAUAUCUUCGUGAGCUGACACCCCAGCAUGAUCUUGCCACGUCAUCACUGGUUCCCUUGUUACUCCCUCCUGCUCUUAUUGCGUAUUGGACUUGCUAGGGGUAAUUGGUAGAGUUAGACCAUGGGCUUCUGGGCUCUUAUCAUUGUUUUUGGUUUUGGGAAAACCUUUUUCUUAAUCCCAAAUGGAGUGGACUUUUUGUGUUUGGUUAUCCCUUAUUUCAAUCUCCUGAAUUGUUUUGUUUUGUCUAAUUAAAUUUAUAAAAAUAUAAAAAUUAUUUAUAUUAAUAUUGUUUUAAUAACAAAAAAUGGUUAAACGUUUUAGUGUCACGUUUCAAGUCUCAUCACUUAUUAGAUUAGUGCAACUUAACAUUAACUUUUGUCCAAUUAUUAGUUAAUUUAUAGAUUGAUUUGUUUACUGGAAUUGUUUUAUUAAUUUCUUAUACUAACUGUAAUGAUAAUUUAUUGUGACUAUAAUUUUUAUUUGUACAUUGCAACUUCAUCAUUAAAAAUGAUAGUAAUAGCGGUUAUCCCAAAUGCUCUUGUUUAUUUCCACUGGUCGUGUAAAUAAUUCAAGGAUAUUUUCAAUAUCUGGAUGCACUCCAAUGAAAAAUCUCAAGUAAAUUACUCAGCAGAGAUGAAUCUGCCAGGGCUGGACAGCGAAUGCGUCAUAUGCCUAUCAGAGUUUGUGCCUGGUGAACGCCUGCGGUUUCUACCCAAAUGCAACCGUGGAUUCCAUGCUCGUUGUAUUGAUAAGUGGCUUAAAUCACACUCAUCAUGUCCGAAAUGUAGCCAUUGCUUGAUUGAAACAUGCCAAAAAAUCAUGGGGUGUAAUCAAACUAGCUCAUCAGAACCAUGCUUUCCAGCUCAGGACAUGGUACGUGAUUAUAGAGGAUGGAUAUGAUUCUAUUCGUUUGGCCACUUGUGAAAGCCCUCUGGCACUCUGGAGGUCUUAUCCAUAGGAGAGCUCAAUUUGGAGUUUGAAUGGCACCAAAUUGACAUCAUUGAUUUUCUUGAUUAACGCCUAGGCAAGUUCAAUUUAUCAAGCAAAUCAAACUUGCCAAGAAAAAAAAGGCCGGUGUCAACAGAGUUUAAGAUGAGAGUUUGCGGUCGUGACUUUGGAAGACAUAUCUGAAUCAAAUUCUUACACGAUCAACAUUUUCAUGGAUGCUGCUUCACCUGAAGUUCAACCUUUUAAACGCUCUUUCUUUGCAAUUACUAAUUCCAUGGAGCCAAUGGGAUGUGGACGUAUUCAACCUCAUAUUUCCUUCAGCUGUUGUGGCUUAAUGAUCACCUUAGUCAAAGAUAUUUUGUUGUCUACUAUAUCAAUGAUAAAAUUUGUUCAAGUGAGACUUGGUUUUACUUAGUUCAGAUAAUUUUUAUAUUUUGUAAUGUUUUUAUUUCGUGUUAAGUAUAUAUAAAAUAAGAAAAUUAUCUUAUCAUAAUUUGUGUUCAUACGUUAUAUAUAAAACUUUUUUUACUUUUACCUGGUUUUUAUCAAAUUUUAAACUACUUUCACAUUUUUUCUUAUAUCAUUUAUAUGUCAUGUCUAAAAUUGUUAGGCCUAAUUUUACUACAAUUAAUCUUUCCCCUGUGAAAAUUCUGUUAAGAAAGACAUUUGAUGAUUGAAAGUUGAUCAAUAUCUAUCCAAAGUUAAAAAGCAGCUCCCUCUCUCCUAAUCGUUAGUGCGAAAGAGUAGUCAGGGAUGCCUGAUAAGAAAGGCACCACCAACAGACAAGCAAAAGGGAAAGCAAAGACAACACUGAAAACACACAACUUUAGUUAACCAUAUUAUGGAGACCCCAUUAUACUCUAUCUUGAGCCUUUUGAGACAAAUUUAAAUUCAAGCAACAAAACCAAGGCAUCAAGAUCGAUAAGACGCUCAAACAUUUGCUAUUUAAACUUAUCUCAAAAUUUAAAUAUUGAUUUGCCAAUUGAAUUCAUAUGAAGUUAAGCUGUCUGGAACCAUCAUGUUGGGGCACCUCCACUGCAAAUUUUAUCUCCUCUUUGGACCAUAUUCUUGGCUGUGAAUGAGUACAAAUAAAGGAAUUAAAUUAGUUAAGGAGUUGAUAACAAAAGUGACCUGAAAUUUCACAGAUUGUACAUGGUUGAUAAUGGAUGGGAGGGAUUCUAAUUCUCAAAGCUGUUGGGUGAAGCAACUUUCUGGCUUUUAUUAUUUGUAUUUAUUAUGAAUAUAUGACAUAUCUCUUUUCAGAAUAUUUUCAACUGAUAUUAUCCCACUCAUUGCUUUUAGUUAAAAAAAGAGCAUGCUCUAUCUUGUUCAUUUUUUUUCAUUUCUUCAUCUUUCAAAGGAGACAUAUGGGACCCUUCUCCAGAAAUCCUUCGAAACUUGGCUCCUAUUGUGCAUGCUUAAAUAAAAAACUAAAACCAUCAGUGUUUUACAAGGUAAUAUACCUCCCAACCAGAGGUUACAAAUGAAUGGAUUGUGUUGGAUUUGGUUGAGCCAAUUCAAGUAAAGUCAUUUGGGAUAAAAAAAAAAUUCAAAUCAUUUUGAAUUUAAAUUAAUUUUGAAUUAAAUUAUUUUUUAUUUUGUUUAAUUCAAGUUCACAAUAUUAAUUUUUAAACUGAAAUUAAAUGAAUUUACAGUAUUAAUUUUUUUUAUUCAAUUCAAAUCGAUUGGAUAUAAAUUGAUCGUACAAAUAUUUCGAAUCGAGUAAGCUUUUGCCUGUUUUACUCCCAAGACAUUGAUCAAGCAACCUCAAAGGCCUGCAAACAAGUCCUCCUGAAACUUAUUUAAAAGCACUGUUUUCUGUUAAAACUAAUGUCCAGAUUGGUGCCAUAUAUACCAGAAUUUUUUACACUAGCAUAUUGAAAGGGAAAAUGAUUUUCAUUAGACUGAAAUGUUACCAAAAACAUGUGCUAAGAAGAUGUUUUGAAUCAAAUCCAAUGUUGCCGGAGUACAUGAAAGAAAACAACAACUUGCCCCAAGGUCUCACAUAAUAAUUUUGGAUUCUGUGGAACUGAUCACUAAAUACUUGGAAUGAGUGCUGCAGUUUAAGUGCUCAGCAUUCCAUGACAUUUAUGCCAAAAAAGAGAUGAGAAUAACCAACUAAAAAAGUUAAAAGCACCCAUUAGUACUGGAUAUCUAGCAGUACAAGAUUUGAUAGUAAAAGCAUCACUUUAGUUUUCAAGUAGUACUUCUCUCUCGUAAGAACAUUUGCUGAAAACAGCUCGUAUUUGUUUACUGAUUUCCAGACAACAUGAUUUUUUUUCCCAUUCUGUUUCUUUCUUUCUCUCUCCAACCUUUGUGCAAUACAACCGAGAGGAUAUGGAUACAUUUAGUGGUACAAAUACGUCCCUUUAGGAUUAGCCUAUCCUUGAUUUAUCUGUUUUAUAUGAAAAUAUAAACAUAGCAGAAAAGUAGAAAAGAAGUAUCCCUACUUUUCUUUAAACAACUUUGGUCCAAAAUCUAUAAUAUUUCCUUGUGUAUAAAGUACUUUACUUGUUAUAUAAAUGGUACUGCAGUUUCCGGGUAGAUUCAGUUCAACCUUUUUUAACUUUGGCUUAAAUAUAAAAAAAAAAAAAUCUGAAUUAAAAUUAAAUAAUUUGUUUUAUUACAAUCAAUUGACUUUUAAAAUAUUUAUUUUUUAUCUAAUUAAAUUCUUAAAUAUUUAUUUUUUUCAAAUUAAACUUUCAUUGGAUGAAAAUUGGUGAUAAUAAUAAAUGUUUAAAAAGUUUAUUGAUUACAAUAAAAUAAUAAAGAUUUAUUUGAUUAUUUAAUUUUAGUUCAUGAGUUUUUUUUCUUAUAUACUUAAACCUCUAACUUUUGAUUGCUUACAUCAGGUACCAAUUAGGAAGUUUAAAAACAGCACGAGUGUUUCUUAAGAUCUCAUAGAUAAUUCUGCUGCAAUUGUAGCCACAAGUGGAAGCUGAUUUAUUCUAAUUCUUAUCAAGUCGCAAAGGAAAUCAGACUACUUGCACGGCUGAAGGAUAAUGACCUGAUUUGAUACAAAACUAAAAAAAUUAAAGAAAAUGGAUUCUAGAAACAGAUAUUUUCUAGAUAUCUUAUCUAAAGCCAGCGAAUUGUUGUAGAUUUCUGAUUAUCCAAAAUAAUAAUAAUAAUAAUACUAAGUGCAAGUAAUUUGUGUUAGUUUUGACUGCUAAAGCGCAUUCACCAUCGCAAAAGGCAACUUGCAUUGUAAUAUGGCAACAUCAUUGGCCUAUCACUUACAAGCAGGAUAGCUGAGCUUUCCCUGUGAAACAUAUGUUAAUUUAUUGUGAUAAACCUGGCUUGCAUAUCAGCAUACAAGUUGAUAAAUGGCUAUUUAAUAUCUGCAAAAAGCGGAUUGUCCAUUAGGCUAAUUUGCUGGUUAGAAACCAACUCCACUACCGUCCCUAUCAUGAUACCUCAAGGAUUCAAAAUAGUUCUAUAACAUUGUGAUUGGUGCUUUGUUUUCAUCACGUUUAACAUCCAUUGUUCACACAGAUUCCACAGUUCCUGUGCCCACAGUAACUUGUUACAGCAGUGAAGGUUCAUAUUCAAGAUUGGAAAUCCACACUCGAAAAGCAGACAAUAUAGAGAGUUCAUAUCCUUGAUAGCUGAACAGGUUUUAUCAGAUAACUCCAUAAAACAAAAUCCAGUCUCACUGAGAAAACUUUUGCGCUGCAUGAAAGUUGAAUUGGCCUUUUAAGUUAUAAGAUUAUAUAUUGAGCUAAAGUAGAGGGGGAUUCAAAUGGAGCAGUAAGGUGUCCAUAAACACUCCAAAAUUUGAAAAACAAUAAAAUUUGAAAGAAAAUUUUCUUUUUGGUACAUCCUCAAAAUUUUUGCCUAACACCGUUGAUAAAAUUAAUAAAUUUGUAGGCAGAUUUUAUAUAUAUUAUAAUUAGACACUCAAAAAAAAAAAAUCAUGGAUCCAUCGUUAUACAAAAGGCUUAACGGGGAUCAAACUUGUUGAAGUACUAAAUAAAUCAUGGAGGGGGUUGAUUAUCCUCAACUCCCUAAGAAGAUAUUCUCCGAUUACAUGCCUCCUUUAAAAAUAUCUCAUAUUAUAAGGCCCUGACCCACCUUUCAAUUAACUUUUUAAUGUAUAUAUAAUCCUUCAAUGGAACUAACUCCUAGAACAAGCAGUGCAGCCAUCUGAACUAAAACACUACGAAAUUAAAUAUGUCAACUUCUUCAACACCCAUCCAAUUCACCCAGUCACUUGAAAACUUUCAUACAAGAAAAUUUCUUCUACAUUCCUCUCUUUACCAAACAGAAGCCCCAGCAAUUUCCCCUGCUCAAGAAAACAGUUAUGUCAUCAAUAACAACUUUGAUGGAAAUGUAAUCAUUGUGCUCUUAGCCCUCAUAUGCAGCUUGAUUUCCUCUUUGGGGUUGUUCUGUGUUGUCAAGUAUGCCCUUAGAUGCUCAAGUUUAGAUGCUGCUCAAUCUGGUGCUAACCCUUCAGCCAAGUUAGAAAUACAGGAGUUGAAACAGAAAGCCCUCUGAAGACCUUCAACUGUAAAAUACACACCCCGAGUUGAAACUUCGAGCUUAGAUAAGCUUGUGUUAAUGCUUAUCUAAAUUCGGUGCUGGGAGUGCCUGCGGAUUUUGCCAAAGUGCAACCAGGAUUUCAUACUCGUUGUAUCGAUAAAUGGCUUGUUCACUUCUUCAUGCCCUACAUGCAGGCACUGCCUGAAUGAAACAGACCAAAAGACCUUAAACUGCAGCAGGCAGAACUAUGAACAGUCUCUCCCAACGCAGGAAAGCAUAACAAAGAACUAGAAAGGGAACAAAACUCAUUGAUUUCAGGGUUGAAAAAUCAUGAAUAAACUAUUUACCAUAGAAAUUCUCAACUUUCUCAAAUUCAUAUAUGGUAAGGGUCAGACUCCACACUUUGCAAGCUUGUAGCAUAUAUUCAAUAAUGCAAUCUUGUGUCUGGGGUAUCAUCUGUCUGCUAAACGUGCACUAGAAUUUUCUAUUCAGAAAAUUUCACAGUUGAAGCAACAAAGUGUUACUUGAAUUGAAAAUUUUUGUGAAAUUAAUCUAGCAAAAUGAUCUGAUUGGUUCAAAAUAUUCAACUAAUUGUACGAUCAAUCAUGCACAAUGAAAAUGCAAUGUGGCCUAGAGAAACGGCUAAGCAUUCAACCUGAAAUUAGGUGAUAGGAUCCCAUUGUUCAAACUCUUUCUCAAGGAAAAGGGUCUUAGAUUGGAUGCAUAACGUAAUAUCAAAGUAAAUCUAACUCUUCACUUAUGUGAAACCUCAUAAGAGAUAUAGGGUCAAAGUAGGCUUGAAGUUAAGAUGUUGGCUUCACAAAGACCAUAUGAAAAAAAUGAGAAAAGUUAGCUAAUAUUGGGAUAAGGCCAUAAGUGAAGGCAAACAACAUGAUCAAGGCAUGUUCAAGGUCUAUCUGCGUCCACUGAAUCAACAAAACAUGAUCAAGGCAAACAAAAACCUGGUAUGGUAAUUUUAAUAAUNNNNNNNNNNNNNNNNNNNNNNNNNNNNNNNNNNNNNNNNNNNNNNNNNNNNNNNNNNNNNNNNNNNNNNNNNNNNNNNNNNNNNNNNNNNNNNNNNNNNNNNNNNNNNNNNNNNNNNNNNNNNNNNNNNNNNNNNNNNNNNNNNNNNNNNNNNNNNNNNNNNNNNNNNNNNNNNNNNNNNNNNNNNNNNNNNNNNNNNNNNNNNNNNNNNNNNNNNNNNNNNNNNNNNNNNNNNNNNNNNNNNNNNNNNNNNNNNNNNNNNNNNNNNNNNNNNNNNNNNNNNNNNNNNNNNNNNNNNNNNNNNNNNNNNNNNNNNNNNNNNNNNNNNNNNNNNNNNNNNNNNNNNNNNNNNNNNNNNNNNNNNNNNNNNNNNNNNNNNNNNNNNNNNNNNNNNNNNNNNNNNNNNNNNNNNNNNNNNNNNNNNNNNNNNNNNNNNNNNNNNNNNNNNNNNNNNNNNNNNNNNNNNNNNNNNNNNNNNNNNNNNNNNNNNNNNNNNNNNNNNNNNNNNNNNNNNNNNNNNNNNNNNNNNNNNNNNNNNNNNNNNNNNNNNNNNNNNNNNNNNNNNNNNNNNNNNNNNNNNNNNNNNNNNNNNNNNNNNNNNNNNNNNNNNNNNNNNNNNNNNNNNNNNNNNNNNNNNNNNNNNNNNNNNNNNNNNNNNNNNNNNNNNNNNNNNNNNNNNNNNNNNNNNNNNNNNNNNNNNNNNNNNNNNNNNNNNNNNNNNNNNNNNNNNNNNNNNNNNNNNNNNNNNNNNNNNNNNNNNNNNNNNNNNNNNNNNNNNNNNNNNNNNNNNNNNNNNNNNNNNNNNNNNNNNNNNNNNNNNNNNNNNNNNNNNNNNNNNNNNNNNNNNNNNNNNNNNNNNNNNNNNNNNNNNNNNNNNNNNNNNNNNNNNNNNNNNNNNNNNNNNNNNNNNNNNNNNNNNNNNNNNNNNNNNNNNNNNNNNNNNNNNNNNNNNNNNNNNNNNNNNNNNNNNNNNNNNNNNNNNNNNNNNNNNNNNNNNNNNAUAUAGAACUUAUAUGGACUCUGCACAGAAUAUGUCUAAUGUCGUGAAAUGUAGGGCUUUUCCCACCACUUUAUGUGAAAAAACUAGGACGUACCUUACCAUUAUAGACAGUUUUUAAUGCCCUUGACAGGCAAUUUUUGGCACAUUUCUUAAAUAGCAGGACUGAUGCAUGUUUCUUUUAUGAGCUUGUUGGCUACAAAGUAAAAAUAAAAAAAAACUUUACGAUAACACUUGAAAGGUUUAAUUAUGGUCACUUUAGAGAUCAAUGAUCUUAACAUUGAGUGGGCCAUCUAAGCUUUAUUUUUGGGAUGAGGCAUGACCAUCUGAGGUAUUCAUUAAUAAAAAUAAACCAAAUCAGCUAUAUUAGCAUAUGAAAGGGCCUAAAAGUUUGUUAAGGUAAAAGAGAUCAUAACCGCUAAUAAGGCUAAGAGAUGUGAACAACGUAAAAAAUGUCCACGAUAAGAGAAUAAAUGGAUUAAUAUAUUGAGCUAGCAGUUUCACAAUAAUCGUUAGGCACAUGAUAGCAAGGAAGAGACUUGCAUAACAAUAACAACAACAAUAAUAAAAACCUCAAACAUAGUUUAAUUAGUACCAAAACCAAAGCAUAACCCUAAAUGCCAUUACAUAGUGACUAGCCCAAUGUCCCAUUCAAAUAAACAAUCAAGCAAAACCCCCACUCAGCUGCCUAUAUAAUUAACCCCCACUAAAUAUACAUUUCACUUACCACAAAACUAGGGGGCAUUUUGAUUUCAUUAAAAUUUUAACAUUUUUUUUACUUUUUUAUAGUGUAAUUUCUCUUGAAUAUUUUUUUUUUCUUGAAAAAUUUGAUAAAAAUACUCCUAAAUGCGUAAAUAUUCAAUGUGUAGAUGAAAUAUGAAAAAUGAAGAAAUUUGGAGCUUUGGACUCAUUUUGGAGGAAUUUUAGUGCAAAAAGCUAUAUUUGGCUGAACUAGUGUAGAACUUGGUCAAUUACCUUUUUUGGGAGAAAUUUUUUAACUUGUCUUCAUUACUUCCUUAUGCUGAAUUGAGCUUAUAGAACUUCAUUUCAAGCUUAAAUUUUUAUAUUUUUCAUGAUUUUUAAUCUCUUUUAGCUUAUGGAAAUAAUGUUCACAUUUAUAAUAAGCUUACAUAAGCUAAAAGAGGAGAAAGGGCUAUUAGUGCUUGUAAUGGAUUUAUAGUUAAUUUCAAGAGCUGAAUUUUUUUAAUUUUUUUUUUGAAUUUUUCAUGAUUUAUUUGGCAUUUAGGUGGUUGUUUGUUGGCUGAAUUUUAAAGAGGAAAACUACUAUAAUUAGUGCCAAAAGUGAACAUAAUGAUUCAGGCAUAACCAAUAAAUGCAAGUGUGAUGAUCAUAUAGAAAUGACACCAUUUUUUGGAUUCAAAGGGAAGGCCAAUAGGCAGCUACUUAGGUGGCAUUUCAUAAGGUUCUAAUUGGUUAUAAUUUUGACUUUUUAGAGCUUACAAGAUCAAAGGAAAAAGACUUGAAGUGAAGUGAGGCAAACAAGAAAGCUAAGGAUGCAAGUUAGUUGAGUUGAAAAAAUUUAGAAAAUGUGUCAGCCAAGCUGAAUUUUUCUUGCAUUUUGAUUGGUUGAACCAAUUUUCCUUUGGUCUAUAAAUAUGUGGAUUGGCUAGCCAUUUAAGAACUUUUAGAGACUUUUACCAUUUUUUCUAGAUUUUUCUUUUCUAGCAUGUUACUUUCUUUUCUUUUCAAAUAGUUUCCUCCUUAUUCUUUUAGAAGGUUGUUCAGGAGAAAAUUACAUUUAUUUUUCAACAAAGUUUACUUUUCUUGUCAUUAUUUUACAUGAAUUUUAAGAAUUUUUUUAUAAAAGCUCAUGCUCGUUAAGUUUUCAAGUUCAUUUUGUUGUAAUUUCUCUUGUUUCUCAACUUUAUUUGGUAAAUCAUGUUUUUGCCCUAGUUGUAGUUUUUCCAUUGGAACUCCAUCAAUUCUUGUGAGUUUCAAUCUAAUUGUUUCUAUGAAUUCUUAAUUCAUUGUUCUACAAAUUUGAAAAAAAUCACAAUAAAAUUCAUUUCACAAAUUUUUAGAAAAUUCCUCAAAGUUUCAAUUAGAUCUAAAAGUGGAGUGAAAGCUUGAGUGAGUGACAACACAUAAGUCUCUUCACUCCUAGUUGGGCAUUUAACUGCUUUUUUUUUUUCCUCACUUUGCACUAUUUAAUUCAUGCAUUCACUUGUUUAAUUUCAUUUGAUUGCCUUUAAAUUAAAGCAUUUCAAAUCUAUUUGGCUAGAUUUUAUAGUAACUCUUUUGUUUUUACUGUUCUUGCAUUUGAUUUAUGAUAUACUUCAAUAAGCUAAGUUUUUUUAUUGUUUCUUGUGAUUUGUUUGUUGAUUUAGAUAGUAAACUUGUAGAUUUAUUUUAUUUUAGUUCAGUUUAAGUUCAUUCAAGUUGUAGAAGCAUAGAUCUAAUUUUCUUUUUACAAUUUUGAUAGUUUCCAAAUUUAAAUUUUGAUUUUGAUUUUGCUUGUUCUUGUUGAUUUUUAUGUUUUUUCUACUUUAAUUGUUCUUCAAUUUGGUUUUGAUCUUCAAUUACAUUCUGUUUUUGCAAUUUCCAGUUUGUUUGGAUCAAUUUCUAAGUAGUUUCUAAAUGUUUCUUUUGUUAGACGUUGAAAGGUAGUUAGGGUAAUUAUUUUCGGUUGUUAGUUAGUUAUUUUCUGUUAAAGCCUUUAAGCUACUAUUUUGAUUGUUAAAUGCUCUUGUUGUUUUUGAUUAUUUAUAUUGGAAUUAUAUUCAAAGUAUGUUGAGUUCAAUUCAAUUCAUUUUAGCUUUUGUUUUCAUUAAUUUUGAUAGUUGUAAUAUUUUGCAUGUUGCAACUUUACUUUUUGCUAAAGUCAUGUUUUGUUCUUGUUUUAUUCAAUUGUUCUUGUUAGUUUAGCUUUAUGUACACCUUUCAUUUGAAUCAACUUUAGAGGGAGUGUGGGGGUAGUAGGUAGUUACACUAAGGAUUCUUUAGUUAAUCUAUGUAAAACGAUAUCUUGAUCUUAAGUUACUAUUAUUACUUGAACGAUUUGGGCACUAGCAAAAAAUUUUGCAAUCAAGUUUUUGGUUUCGUUGUCCGGGAUUAGAUGUCAAGAGUUCUUAGGCUACUAUUUUACUUUACCACGCUCAUCUAUUGAUUGAUUCACCCUUAUUGUAUUUGCUAGGCUAGUUACUAAUUCACCUUGUUUUUGUUUCCUUAGGUUGCACAAAAGCUAACUUUCUUUGUUGUCUCAUUUCAUUAGUUGUCCCUACUUAGAAUAGUUACUUAGUUUACAUAGCCUUAGCAUAGCUUAGAUUAGAAUAUGUGCAUCAUCCUUUAGUUUUCAUAGCUUUAGUAUGGAUAGGUUAAUGUAGUUAGUUUUAGUAUACACAACUAUUAUAUUUUUUUUUAGGUUUUAGUUUAAUUUUCAUGUGAGAAUCAAAUUUAUAUGAGGUAACCGAGCACCCUAAGCUCUGAUGACUACUUAGUACAAUAGUCAAGUGAUGAAAACGAAGCCAAAAGAGAGUUAAUCUUUAAAACUUUAUUCAAAAAAAUUGAUUCUAUAGCAAUUAAUCUAGAAGUCAUUGUCCAUAAAUUCCCAAAACAAUAUAAAUAUGUUGAAGUGCACAGUGAAAACAACCAUAAUGAUAAGUGUACCUUUGACCAACAAUUCCAAUUUUUCUCAAGCAUUUACGCUAAUCAAACUUUGGAGGUCAAUCCUAAAAACAUGUGGGAAACUAGUUUGGGGCAUUCCUUAAUUUUAUCACCUAAGUACAUCCUGACUUAUUCUAUCAAGCCUUCAUUUCCACAAUACCUUCCACCACUCCUACAUUCUAUACCAUCACUACAAAUCUUUCAAGUGCCACGCUAUGUUCUAUCACAACAACAUUUUUCUUCAUCACAAAGUCAAUCAUCUUUACAUUAUUUUCCAUUUAUCCAGUAUUCACCACUGUACUUCCUAAAAGAAAAAAAGCCAUCCCUUGAGGAGACAUUCAUAGAAUUGCUUUAAACUCAUGCAAAACUCCAAUAGGCACUCAUUAGGAAUUUUGGCCCAUUUGGUCAAAAUACACAUACCUUAAAUAUUUGGCCUCAAGAUUUCAUGCCAAGUAAUAUAAAGUCAAAACCUUGUUGGGUGAUAAAAAAAGUGCACAUUAAGAGAUCAUUAUAAGAGAAAAACUUUGAUAUGGUUUAAUGAUGAUGAUGAGCCUCAUUGUUUGAAGAUGUCAUAUUUUGUAAAAAGUUAUGAAAAAAGAGAUAGUGAAGGUUUGAAGAUAAAAUCUAUGGCUAGGAAGUGAUUAGAAUGAUCAUUUAAGGAAAUUAAAAAAGAGGGUAGCAUUUAAGAAGAAGUUGAGCUUGAUAUUUUAUUAUGCCAUUUCUCAAAUUCCUUAAAAUCACUUACCCUAUUGUUUGAAGAUGGAUGAGGUGAGCAAAUGUGUUGAUAAGGUAACCUUACUAAAUAAAUUACUUAGCCUUUAGACACAUUUUUUUUGAAUCUAGUAUCAAUCUUAAAGAUGAUGAGAAAAUUGUUAGCAAAGAACUUACUUGUUUAGUAGCUUAUCCAUUCUGCGAUCUUAUACCUAAAAUUAUAGACACAUCAUUCUUAAAGCUUUCUCAAGAUAAACCAUUCAUAGAGGAUAAAGUCAAUGAUAUGAAUUUUAAAGAAGAUGGAUCUACUUCUUACAUUAUCUAUAAAAAGGUCUCAACAAUGGUCUUGAUCAAGAAAAUUUUGAGCUUCAUAGUAUACAUAUGCCAUUUUCAUUAUUUUUUAAAAAUUUAUUGUAUGAUGAGUUAAAAAUACAUGUCUUUGAAAACUCAUUUUUUAAAAAUAAUGAUGAGGUUUGUUUAACUCUACCAUUAGACAUAACCCUUGUUAAGCCUAAACUUCUACCAUUCAUGGAAGAAAAUUUCAUUUUAGAGCCAAAGUCUAUAUUCUCAAUGGUGGUACCCAUGUCAUUGGUAUUGAAGCCAAUGACCACAUCUAUUAGAUCGUAUUACAAUAUGCUUAAAUUAUUCAUAGAGGUGGGAUACAAAUCUACCAUAGUGCACCAUAUUUACUUAGAGUUUUUCAUUAUAUAUUUGGUGUUAAGGAAAAAAAUGAAAUGGGUAGAUGCAGGAACUAAAUGUGGUGUAAUUCUUUAACACCAAUGAAAGUCAAGCUUUUGACUUUAAAUAAGUGCUUCUUGAUAGGCAACCGAAGUUCUACAUUUCAUAUUUUGUUCAUUUGCUUUUUUUUUUUCUUAUACUUUCUCAUACAUAGUGAUGUUUAUUCUUUUUGUAGGUAUUUUCUUUUAUUUUGUGGGUGAAUAAAAAUUUAAAGCUAUGAGCACAACAAGUUUUGGCCAUUUACACUUAUUCUUACAUUUGGUCACCAUACUUUCAAGAUGAUAAGAGAGUUUCUUUGUUCCUCUCUCUUAUGUUUUAUUUUAUUUUAUUUUUUGCUUAUACAUUGAGGACAAUGUGUUCUUUAAGUUUGGAGGUAUGAAAAAAUUGCUUAAAAUGUUUGCAAAAUUUUUUAAAUUUUUUUUUAGUUUUGCCUUGAAAUUGAGCUUGACUUGUUGUAACUUGAAUCAUUAGUAUACUUUUUUUAAUUAGUUUUUCAUGAAGCCAAUGAUAGGUAAAGAUUAAGAAUAAAUAUAACUUUAGAAAAAUAUUUAAUAUUGUGUGAAAUAUGACAUGAUGCUUAGGUUUAGUGACUUUUUGAGUAUGAGUUUUCAUUCAUGAAUUAAUACUUCAAUUAUUUAUUUGUAUUUUUUUAUCUAGUGAUUAAUUAUGUGAGUAUGAGGUUUUUUUUCAUUGAUCUUUAAAGUUAUGUUUCAUGUUUUAGAAUUUAUUUUUAUCAUCUCUCGAGAUAAAAUAUUAAGAGACAGAUUAAAGAAAUGAUAUAGGUCAUCUCUGGAUAAUUUGAGCCUUUUCAAGCUAACCUUGAAAUAAUUAUUUCAUAGUCACCUAUUUGAGCCUAAUGUUACCUUUUUUUGUUAUGAAAUCGCAUUACAAACCUAAGCUUUUGUUCUUAUAUUUUCUAUUUUUUGGUUAUUUACCCUAUAUUCAUUAGGACAUUCGUGGAUCAUUUUGAAGCAAUGCAUUAUUAGAGAGAAAUGGUGGAGCUUAGAAAAAGAAUGAAAAAACAAAAAGAAAAACUGAAAAGAAAGAAAAAAAAAGAAAUAAGCUAGCUUGUAAAAGUAAAAAAGAAGAAAAAGACCAUGAAAAAAGAAAAAAAAAGCAAUAAAGUGAUGAAAUAGCAAAGAAAGAAAAAAAUGUAUGAAUUGAUUAAUUUUCUCAACUUAAUCUUCAUUUUUUUUUAUGUCAACAUUAAUUGGAUUCAAGUUAUAUUGAGAAGAUAUUGUUGGUGAUGCAGAUUGUGACAUUGAUGGAAAAAGUAAAAUUGAUCACAUGUUAUUUUAUAUGAAGAACAACAACUUUUUUUUCAACUAUAUGGCUUCUCUAUCAUCUACAAUUCAUGUGUUUUCCAAUGUCGAAUCUGCUAUGUAUCAUUUUUGGCUUUUCAUUAUUCAAAGACGAAGCCCUACAUUGAUCAAUUCUACAAGAAAGAUGGGGAGAAAACUUUUGCCAUGUUGUUUCCAAGCAUCAUAUCAUGCUAAUGCUACUCUUUGCCGAAAUUGUCAACCAUAUUUCUAAAAUGCAAACCCUGCUGCAUUUUUGACACUGGUGCAUGACUUCUCUUCAUGUCAUAAUUACAAGCCCUUUUUCUUAGCUAUCCGAUGAUUUAAAAGAUACUAUUUUUUGUUGUGUUUUAAAGGACUUGAAAAUGUUGGUGUAAGCUGAAGAGCCAUCAAAAAGUUUGUUUUGACCUUUUGGAAGCUACGUUUUAUGCUACGAAAAGGGUGCCAUUAUGUAAAAAAUGUAACAUCAGAUGAUGUAUUUAAUAUUAGCCAACAAUUCAUCAAGUUGCAGGAUUAAUGAUCAUCUCAAGUAUGAAGACUCUGUUACAAAGUUUCAAAAUAGUUUUUGAAAGCUAGAAACUUUCAUGAAGAUUAUCUAUUUGAUUCUAGUUAUGAAGCUGAAGUGGCAUUGGCAUUGCAAUCUUUGGAACUAACAAAUAUGGUAGUUUUUUUUCUUACAAGGAAUACUUAGUUCCCUCAAGUCAGUUUACAUGGUAAGUUAAUUAUUUUCUUUUAGCUUUAACUAAAAUCAAAUCAUAGGAACCAGUUCAAGACCAUUGCUUUUCCAUGCAAAACUUAAACUUGGAAAGAAAAUGAGUCACAAUUAAUGCUGAGAAUUGCCUACAAACAGGUAAAAAUGGUGACAAGUGAAACCUGAUUGUCAGUAAUCUAGCAAUAAAAUUAUCCAAGAUAAUGCCUUUUAGAGUUGAGAUUGGUGGUACAAAGCAUAUUACAAUGAGGCUGAUGAUCAAAUAGGUUAUUAUGAUUCCUUUAAGCUCAAGUGGGGAUCAAGAAGAGAGAAUAGAGUGAAUUUGAAUUGCCAUAAGCUUGCUGGGUACUAGAAUAAUAUAAUCCACAUGUUGGUACAUCACAAGCUACCUCAUUGUUUUCCAGUUCUAUAAGCUCCUUGUUAAACCAUUGGACACCGCGGACUACUACUGAACAGGGAUGCACCGCAUACAUGGCCAUUACAUCAAGCAUGGAAAACAAAUGAGGUAUUAAAUUUUUGAUAAAUGGUAGAAGGAUAGAAGCGUUCCAAAAGAAAAAAACAAGAAAAGCAAAUUUGCUAGUUUGACAUAAGAUUCGUGCUUUUAGGCAAAGGUAGAAAAAGUUAAGGAGUGGCUAGAUAAUGUCAAAAGUGAGAGUGAUGUAACCAAAUGACAUCUAUCAUAGUAAAAGAUUAAUUUGUUUGAAAAAUAUGCAUGAGAGUUGAUUGAGAAUAAAUAGUUCUCAAAGGAUGUUUUGACAAAAUAUUCAAGCUUUAGUCAAUAGAUAAAAGAAUGGAAAGAACUGAAAUACAUGUUCAACAAUUCCCUUCUAGGUUUAUAGGUAUUGUAGAUGAUGAGGUAGUUCCAGAGUUAGCUUUCUAAUAGAAAGAUUUUAUUGGUGUCGAGUUUCAAACUGAAGGUCAAAACCCUAAAAUCACAAGAGAGAAUAAGAAUGGCUAAAAGUAAAGGCAUAGGGUAUUUUUGUAUUUACACUUCAAUAACUAUAUCAAAGGUCGAAACAGGGAUGUUAGAAGGAAAGAAAAAUAUGAAAAUAAAGAAGAAGGUUAGAUUGGAAUGAUAGUAUCUAGAUGAUUUUAUUUAUAAGUGAAAGAUGAAGGGUUUAUGGGGUAGGAUAGUGAUGUAGUAAAGUUGAUGUGGCACUGUGCAUGUCAUGCUGACUUAACAUGUUAGAUCGGUCCAAAUGUAAAAAAUAUCCUUGGUUGUCUAUUGACAAUUUAUAAUGAAAAAAAGGAUAAAUUUGUUCUCUGAAUCCAAAAAUAUCUUUAAAUUUUAUCCCCUUACCGAGCAGUCUGAGAUCAGACUAAUAAGUGCUUGAUUGAAUCAUUUUGGGAUACAUGUUCGUUAGUUCGACCUUGAGUUUUUUUAGUAUGAGAUUUUAAAAAUUUAUGCCUAGAACCCAACCUUACGUAACCAAGGUUAACUAUUUCUGAGAUUGAGGUAAAGGUCAAGUGAAAGAGGUUUAUGAUCGAUUGUAGACUAUCAAGUGUAGUCUUGGCCAUUUUGGAGUGUGCUAACUUGAAGUUUGAUCAUAGGUGCCAAUUUUGAUCUUGAGCAUAGAUUUCAAUUUAUAUGCUUAACUAGUUCAUUCUGGGGUUGUUGAGUUAGUUAACCUUAUGUUAAAAAGGCUCGAGGUUGGGCUAAGCUAACUUAUGAGCAACUAUUAAUGUGACUUAUGUGUUUAAUAUGAGAUUUGUGUUUUUUUUUUUUUAUGUUGAAGUUUGAUUUUUAGGUCUAAUACAAGAUUAACCUGGUAAUUGCUCUAUUUGGCCGAUUUGGCUUGGGUUUUAUGAUCAAUUUAACAAGUUUGAAUAGGUGUAAUGAUCGAUUUGCCCCUUCGCUGUAUGAAAAUUGCAUUAAAUUAAAAAAAAAGUAUUUGGGCAGUAAAAAUUCAGAGCUAAGAAAGCGAAAGGUCAUCUUUAGUAACCAUCCGAACAUGUGGCACGAUCUAAAGCAUUCAUUUGAUCCCACCAUUGGCUAUAUAAAAAGGCCCUUAUGUUUUUUACAAUUUAUUCGAGAUCAUCUACCAGUUGAAUUCAUCAUAUGCAUACAAAUCUUUUUUUUAAUAAUAUUUUAUUGAGACUAGAUGUAUGUUAAUAUGUGAUUGUUUCUUUUUUGCAGAAAAUCAAAGAACUACAAAAGAAAAUACAAGCUUAAUAAAUAUAUCACCAUUGCACAUUGAAAAAGAGUUAUGUAAAUGUGAAGUAUGAUUUUGUAAGUAUUUAAACACUUUUAUUAUAGUCAUGAUUUAAGAUUAUGAACUUCAUUUAAUGAAAAUUAGAAACUUAUAUUUUCAUAUGGUUUCAUAAAACAUCCAGCUCAGUACUAAAAUAUCAAGAUGGGAUGUUUAGGAAUAAGGACAUAUGAAAAAAUGAAACGUAUGGAAUGAAGUAACUCAACAAAUGACUAAAAAGAUUAUAAGUUAACUUCAUUUUAUAUCACAUAUUUUGAAUGGGCUUUUAUGCAUGAAUAAAUAUAUUAUUUAGCUACUUACCAGCAUGUUGCAUUUUGGGAGGACUUCUCUUCGAGAUAUGAAUCUUGUGAGCUAUGAACCGGUUAUGACGAAGAUCUUUUAUCCUUAACUUUAGGAUCAAAAGACAGACCUAGUUAUGUUUGGGGGGUUAGGAGCUUUGUUUCUUCAACAUAGAAUUUCAAAAAUCAACCUAAACCCCGUACAACAAAGAAUGCUGAAUGUGAAGCCAUAAUAACGUAGCAACAACAAUGACUUGAUGAGCAAAAGUAGCGACUUAAUGAGCAAUAGCAACGACUUGCUACAUUGGAGGUAAUGUUGACAGUAAUGCAACUUAACAUGGCUUAAGGUUAGUUUGUUAUUGACAUUAUCAAAAAUAAAUUUACGAAUCAAGCCUUCAAGUAAACCACUUCUCUGAUAAUUAUCAUACAUACAGAUUAUUGUGAAUUGAUUUAUUUUUAAAUUUGAUUUUUGUGAUUUGAUUUUGUUACAAUAAUAUUUCAUUUUGUUUGUAAUAAGAUAUUCAACCUCAAAUCAUCCCACCUACGUAGUCUAGUACAAUAGCACUUUCCAUUCAUUAUUGUGAACGUUUAGUAGAAGGAUCAUGCAUUAUCAUGAAGGUCGAGUAUAGAUUAUUUGAUUACCACUCGAUUACAUUCAUAAGGCAGCCAGAGAUUGAUGCAUUUUUUAAGAUGAAAAAGAUAUCAACUACUAAAAUUAUUGCAUAUAUGAGGUUAGUUUAUACAUUGAUUUAAAUAUAUACUAUAAAAAUAUUUUAUUAUAUUGUGUGUAAUGGUAUGAUAUUGUUAUUGAUUUUUGUCAUGCAACUUCCUGCACAGAGGGUUGAAAGAGAGAUAAUAGACUGAUACAUACAGAUUUAUUAACCCAAAUCAUAUCAAUCAUGGUUUUGGCUCUUUCACGGAUUAUGCUCAUGCUGUGGGUUAAGCAUUGCAAAAACAUUUCGAAUAUUUUCUAAUGCCUCAUAAUUCUGAGUAAGUUCAAUUCAUAGUAAUUACUUACCUAUGUAUGAUAUCCAGCUGUUAUAAUUGUUACAAGUAUUACAUUGUAACAUUAGCAUACAUAUUAUUUUGUUGGGGUCACUAGUAGCUAAUUGUCGUUGAUAUGAAUACAAUUAUUCCUUACUUAUUGGACUCAAGACGAGAAGGGUUAAAUCCUAAACCCGAGCUUGCCACUAUAAUAAAGAGGCAUCACAUUCACGUUUAAGUGAACAAAUAUAUAAAAUGUUUUACUAUGUAAUUAAUAGUAUUUAUGUUUACAAGUUUGUUUGUGUUGAUUUAGGGGAUAUGGUAUUGUUCAUAAAAAUAUAAAGUUCAAAUGGAUGAUAUUUUCAGUAGGUGUAAAAUAUAUCUCUAUACUGAAUUUGUUUAAAAUCACUUUGACUACUGAACAAAUUUCAUUUUUAGGUUCCUCGUUAACUAGGACUUAUAGAAUAUAAAUAUUAUGUCUUCCGUUUUAUAAGAGAGAUUGUUAUGUAUGAUCUAAUGAGAACACCAGACAAGGUUAGUGUAGAUGCAAUCUACUAACUAAUAUGUUUCUAUUAAACAUAUAUAUAAAAUGCAAAUUGAUUGACAUUGAGUCCUGAUAUUUUGUUAAUAGUGGGUGAAAAGGGAACAUUUCACACAAGAAGAAAUUGAUGAAGUUUGUCAAGAAUGAUGUGACUACGUAUCCACAUUUGCACAUUAAGGAUUGAUAACAAUCAUCCAAUUGUAAAUUUAUAUAAGAGUUCUAAAUUCUUUGUACUUCAUAUAAAUGUAUAGUUUUUAAUUAAUAAAAAUCAUUAUUGUUUUAAUUAAUACCAAUCCCAAUUGUUUCAAUUAAACACUAUCAUGACCAUUUUUUUUAAUUAAUUUAUACAAAUAGAAAUUGAAUCAUUCACCCAAGUAUAAUUUUUGUUCUAUUAAUACAAAUAAGAAAAUUGUCAUAGAUACGAAAUUAAAUAUUAAAUUAAAUUUUAAAAAGAGAAUUUAGAAUAUGCCAAUCUAUUUGCAAUAAAAAAAAAAAACUUCUUUAUACUAAUUAAUGUAAAUGAACAAUACAUAAGAUAUGAAUGCUACCAAUAUAUAUUAUGUUCUACAUGUGUCCAAAAAGAGAAAGUCAAAGGAUGAUCGAUAGAUAAUACAUUCAUUUAACUAUUUUUGUAUGUAGUCUUUUCAAAUACAUGUGGCAGUGCAAAGAAAAACUUUACUUUGUGAUUUUCUUUCAAUAUAUACUCACCAGUAACGAGAAUUUCAUUAGUUGAAAAAUCGUCAAGUUGCAUAAUUUUAUUGAAAAGUGACAUUCUUCUAUCAGUACUAUCAAUUUUUUCUUCAAAAAAGCUUAAAUACCCUCCAUUUGGCUCACAGCCUUAUCAUAUGCAGCUCCUAGAUUGCCUAUGUGCUCAACCAAUUCAAUAAUUGAUCCAUCUGUGCUCCUACAAUGCUUUUUGCCUGACAAUGUCCUAGUGGAGGUUGGAGCAACUAAACCUAUUUCUUCUUUGUCCUCUACUCUUUCUGUAUUUUCUUCAUGAUAAGGAUCAAACUUUAAAUAAAAGAAAGCAUCCUCAACAGCAUUCAUUGCUUUAACAGCAUCAACAAUUGUUUUAGCUCUCUGACAUGUUACUCUAUUAGUUUCAAAAAUCACUUUAAAAUUAUCAAAGAAAAGAAAAUGUUUGCUCUUUAAUCUUUUAGAAUAUAGACAAGUCUAUGUAAAAGUUAAAGUAAAUUCAAAUAAAAUAUAAUGAAUAGAAAAAAAAUAAAAUAAGUUAAAUGAUAGUUUAAUCUUAAACAACCUACUUAAACCCACUAAUUAAAAAUUGCUUUCUCAACAAUGAUACAUUUGUCUCGAUCAUUCUACCUAAAUCCACUUAUAUUUUUCAUAUCAUAAAUAACGAAAUGUUAUCUUUUUAGUAGUUAACCCUUGACUCAAUAUAAAGGGUGGCUUUAAAUUAGGAAUUGAGAAUGAGUUACUCCAGCAUCAUUUCAAGAUAUCUAAAUAUCCAACAUGGAAUGUUUUAUUAUCUGCUCUCCAACUAAGAUCAUUUGUCAAUGCAUGUAGGCAUUGGACGAGAUAUGAAUCCUUAUCCCUUGUCCAUGAAUGUUUUACCUACCCUUGAGCUUUCUAUUUUUCUUCUAGAUGGGCCUUUUACAAAUUGAAAAGGAUUGGCUCGAGAUAAAGACAUGUUGAUUUUCUAAUCAUAUGGUUAGACAUCAUGCAAAAAUAUUAAUAUAGUAAAUCAAAAAUUAGAUAAGAGUAAAAUGUCUAUAUUAAGGCAUGAAGUAAACUAAUAAACAUGGAAAAAAACCAAAGAUAUUGAAAACAAUUGCCAUAUACAUUGUACACUCAACAAGAAAAAAAAUACAUCAAUAUAUAUUGAACAAACGUAGAAAUCAAAUUUUACACUUAACCAUAUCAUAAAAACAUCAAUUAAAUCUAGAAAACAUGAUAAGAAAUAAACAAAAAUCUAUAAUGUUCUUAUUCCCAAGAUUGAAACUAAUUUGUAAACAUCUCCUGUGCAUAUUAUCUUUAAAAUGAGUCCAAGCAUAAGAUGGCUUAACAUACAUAAUCAAACCUUGAUGUUCAGGUUUAUCUGGUUGGUUAUUACUUCCUUAAGCAACAUCACCCUUUAUAGGAUCAAUUACCAUCUCAGACAUAAUAAAAUUAUAGAGAAGGCAAAAAGUAGAAAUGAUUUUACACUAUCUUUAUUGAAUAAAAUGACUUCUCUUUAAAAAUUGCCAUCUAGCUUCAAUAUACUAAAACAUCUAUUGAUACAAUUUUUUACUUGAAAGUGUUUCAUAUUGAAGUAUUCCUGCAAGGCCGUCAAUUAGAGUUCUGACCUCCUAUCAUUUAGAUGGUAUCUUUGACACCUUCAUCAUUUGUGUAUUCGACAUCACACAAAUAGUAAUAACCUAUUACAGUAGAACAACAUUAAUACAUAUAAAAAAAAUGUUCUAAACCCUAAAACCAAAAUAUUAAAGCUAAUAUUUUAUGGGAUCCUCAACCCAUUCUUGCAUGUAAUGACAUCAUUUAACACUCUACCAUCUGUUGCAGAACCUUUUCAUCAUAGUAAAACAUAUAUGAAUUGCACAUAUGAGGUGUAAACACCAAAGAAAUUGGUAGCAAUUUCAUUUUUUCUAGUCCUGUAUCUAGGGCUAUCAAUUGUGUCUACAUUAACUUUGAUGUAUGUCCCAUCUAAGGCACCAAAACAACCUUUAAACCAUUUCCAGUUUUUAUCUAUUGAAUUAUCUAGUAUCAAUUUGAGUUUUUUAAACAAUAGGGUAUGCAGUUUCAAAACAAAAUUCAAUAUAGAAUAAAAUUGUCUACUAAUUGUCUCUUUAGAUCUAACUACCUUAUGUUUCAUAACCCUAUUUUUUGUAUGAUGGACAAUUAUGUUGAGAAGCUAAUAAUCAGUUCCUCUAUUGGCAUAUGUUUAGAUGCCAGUAAUCCCCUUUCUGUUUGAAGCAAAUGACAUAAUUUUACAAAAAUUCUCCUAUCCAUUAUAGUAUUAUCUAUAUACUAUCUAUUGCUUUUAAAAAUCAUUGUAUUUAAGUUUAACUCUCUAAUAUGUAGCCUAUCAUAAGAGGUUUCCCCAUAAUAUACUCUACAUUGUUUUUUAAGUUUUAUUACAAUUAAAGCCAUAACAACAAUAACUAACAUAUGCAACAAAUUCUCCAUUUGAUUCAAAUGCAAAAUAAGGAUUGUAACCAAUUGCAUCUUCUUUCUUAGUGAUGAACGAGUCUUAACUAUUUACAAGAAAGAUUCUCAUUAAUGUUGAAAAAAAUAGAAAGCAAAUUUUUACAUAUGGAAGAUAGAAUCUAUCACACAUUCAAAACCCAAAAUAUAAAUGAACAACAAAAUAUUUGUGGAUGAGAGAGCCAAAACCAAAAUGAAUAACAUAUUUAUAUAUCAACAUAUUUUCAAUCAAUAUUUAAACACGAUCUAAACAAAUAAAAUAAAAAAAAAAACAUUUGAAUGCAACAAAUGACGCAUAGCAAAUAAUUAGGUAAAAGAUAGUAAACACACCGUUUUAUUGAAAAAAAUGUAAAUAAACUAAACAACACAAAGAUUAAAACACAAAUGUUGAAAUUGAUGUUGGUUGAACAGGAAAAUAUUUGCAUAAAGCUCUGCUAUGUUGAAAUAAAAAUCAGAAUGUGAUUUUUGUUAUUGAAAUAUGAUUAAGACAUAAAUUAUGAUGUUUCUACACAAGAAACAUCAUAAUACUAUGUUCUUCUGAAUUUGAUUAGACAUUAUAAUGUUCAUAAUGUUAGAAACACAAUUUUUUAGAGAAAAAAAAUUUUAAAUUAGUCAAUUACUGUGUUUAUUUUUAAAUAAAUGUAGUAAUUAAUAAUAAAAAAGAACAACGAAAAAUAAUAUUGCAACAUUCUAAUUACAAAAAUGAAAUAAAAAAUUGAUCAAUUAUUGCAUUUUUACAAAUAAACACAAUAAAUAUAUUCAAUUACUGCAUUUCUUUAAAAAAACACAGUAAUAAGGUUUUAACAAAAGCCAUACUCUGCCACAAUUUCUUCAUACUUUUCAAAAACAAACUUAGUAAUAGAAAUAUGGAAUUAAAAAAAAACAAUGAACAAUUACUGCAUUUUGUUUAUUAUAAAUAUGGUAAUUGACUUAAAAAAAUUUUAAUUUCAUUGUCAAAUGUUGCUUUUCAAAAAGUUAACAUAGAAAUAAUUUUUUAUUUAGAACAAACGUGAAACUCAAACAACUUUUCAUCUGAAAUCAUAAAAUAUCACAAGAAGAUGUGAGUUUUUAAUUCCAUGACUUUUGAAUAUUGUUGAGAAUUUGACAUUUUUCCCAAAAAUCGAAUAACCUUGAAUCAAACAUGAGAAUCAAAUACUCACAAUUAUAUUUCAAGAGAAAAUUUUUGGAUUCCUCCUAACUAAAUGACCUCUAAUGAUUCCAGCACAAGAAUACCACAAAAGACAUCUAAAUUAUUGAAAGCAACCAACAUUUAACGUUUUUGAAUUGCAUUAAAUGAAGUUAAAUGAGAAAUAAAACUCUUAAUUUUAAUAAUUAAGAUUCAAUUCUUGAUAACUUCAAAUACCAAAAAUAAAAAAUAAAUGGAAAGUAAAAAUUCAUUGAAACAGAUCAAAGUUAGCACAAGCAGGAAAAGGUGUAUUUUGGCCCCCAAAGCAAGGAAGCCCGAGAAUGUAAAUCGAUCACAUGACAAAUAGUGAUUACAUAAGUUUGAAGACAUAAGUGAUGGAAACUUGCAGACUGCUACAAAUUUUAGAAUUUUUACCAGCAGGGCUGAAGUUUCUUCAGGUAUUUCACUUGUUUGAAAACAUAAAAUCACUGCAUAUUGCUUCAGUAGCUAUGAAUUUGGAUGCUACAAACCAGCCUGCAAUGAGAAAACAGACAUUUGAAAUCUCAUUCAAACCCUUGGGUGAAGGGUAAACUCAUGAACUUAGCAUAAUCUUAUGAUUUACCUACAGACAGCAAUUGAAACAACUCGGCUAAGGAGAUCUUGUUCAAGUAAAUUUUAAUAAAUGCCAACAACAAUAUAAUAUAAUGUUUUCAUCCAUACACCAUCUGCCCUCACAUUAAUCUUGGCAUGAAGAAUCUAAUUGAUUGCUAAAAAUGACUCAAACAAUUGGCCUCACCUUGAUAGGAAAAAUAAAGAAUGACUCUUCACAUUUCAGAUCCCAGCCAAGAUUAUUAUUGGUCAUAAUGCCAUAUUUGCCUCAACAUAAAAAUGGUUUGGAAAGACCGGAAGGUCAAAGAAUGUUCAUAUGUAAGUGUUGUAUGAAUUGCAUUUUAUUGACAUGAAAGUCAAUGCAAAGGAUUGAUUUUCAUAUACUUGUAUACAAAUACCUACGCACCACACAAAAACCCACACAAUCACCAUCAGCUUCUUAUGACAAAAUCCAAAAUGGAAUCUCACUCUUUAUUCCUCUUUCCUUUCUAUUUUUCAAAUCUGAAUAUGGUUAAUGGCUUAUUAUCAAUAAAAUUGCUGUGGAGUACACACGGUUCAUGCAUUCCUGAAGGCCCGGGUUCAUUUAUAAAUGACAACAACUCAAAUUAAUCAAUUCCCUGUAUAUCAGUUUUCAUUUUCAGCAGUCUACUGCUGGUAUCUUCCUAUUUAAUUUAAAUUGGACAUAAUAAAAUAAGUCAGCAGCAACUACUGGGAUUUGAAUACUGAAGCAGAAGCACGAAGUCAUUGUGUCAAGAAAAAAACUUUAUCUGAAUGUUAUGUAGAAGGCGCUGCAUCAAAAGAAUGAAGAAUUUCUUCCAGUACUGCUCUUGUAUUGUUAUCAAGAGGACUUUCAGGCUUGUCUGAAUGAGAAAUAUUAAGAAGGUAAAGCUUCUUUGAUGCCACAAAAGCCGCUGAAAAGAUCCUCUUCAUUCCUCCCCUAGUGCUAUCCACCUUGUACUCAAACUCAUAUACUUGUAAGCCUCCUUUACCUGGUCUCUCAGCAACUCCAAUUACAUUGGCAUCCUUUGUGCUUUCCUGUAAACGAAAGGGUAACGUAUAAAACAACAUUGUUUAAAUUACCAUAGACAUCAGAACUGAAAAAAAAAAAAAUAGAAAAACAGCAUCCAUAUUCAAUUCAACUUAUCCAUGUAAAGAUAUAAAUGUAGAAAGAAUAUUCAGCACAUUACAAUGCAGAAAGACACCUCAUUAUUUCUAUACCGCAGACCUCAUUUUAACACCCAGUUAGGAAAUACAUCAGAAAUUCUACAUUUGUAGUAGCCCCUGCACCUACCAAAUGUGUCUGAAUUAUAUGAAUGGCUCAGCUAUGUGCUCACAUAUUGUAUGUAUUGCAAGAACUAGCAUGAAGAAAACUUGAAAACACCAAACGAUCAAAACCUUCUAUAGUCUUUUACCACAUAUCUUGCACUUUCUUCAUCAGUUCAAAAGUUACAAUAAAAGUAGAUGUAAAAUACAUUGCUCAAAUCAUUUCAUUCAAAUGACACAUGGUCAAAUAUUAACUUAAACUUUCAAACAAUUGUUUUAUAUCUUCUUGAAAAGGAAUAAAUAUUAUUUCUAUACCGCAGACCUCAUUUUAACACCCAGUUAGGAAAUACAUCAGAAAUUCUACAUUUGUAGUAGCCCCUGCACCUACCAAAUGUGUCUGAAUUAUAUGAAUGGCUCAGCUAUGUGCUCACAUAUUGUAUGUAUUGCAAGAACUAGCAUGAAGAAAACUUGAAAACACCAAACGAUCAAAACCUUCUAUAGUCUUUUACCACAUAUCUUGCACUUUCUUCAUCAGUUCAAAAGUUACAAUAAAAGUAGAUGUAAAAUACAUUGCUCAAAUCAUUUCAUUCAAAUGACACAUGGUCAAAUAUUAACUUAAACUUUCAAACAAUUGUUUUAUAUCUUCUUGAAAAGGAAUAAAUAUUAUUUGCCUAAGGCAAGUAUUUCAAAUCACAAAAUAACCUCAGAUAUUAUUAAAAUGUCCUCAACACACAGGAAAUUUCAUGUAGUACAACCAUCAUUUAUGCAGUAAAUAAGAAGGUUUUCCUUUUCCUUUUCCUUUUUUUUUCCCUCUAAUUUUCAUAUAGCUCAGCCACACAAGGGCAAAAGACACAAGCUUGUACGCUUAUAUUGGUACACAUAUGAGAGAGAGAGAGAGAGGAAGGAUGUUGGUUUUGAGCAAAGCACACUCUCAAGAAGAUAUAUUUAACACAUAGAUUCAUAGUCACGGUUUCUUACAAUAAAAUAAAAAACUACAUUCAUACCACCGGUUAGUUUUAUUUGUAACUGUCUUCUCUUCUCAUAUUCCAGUGUUGAUUAAAAGUUGUAGAAAAAGGCCCUAUGAAUCCAGGUUAGUUCAAUAUAAUUGCCAGCAAAUGGUAGACUGUAUCAUGAUUUCGUUUCAUUAGAGAAAACAUAAACCGAGUGUCGGAAUUCAAGCUAGGUUUCAAAAGACUUAAUUCAGGUGGCUGUUGAGCAAAUGGAAUAUAGAUGAAGCACCUUUAAAUUGAGAGGCUAAGGACAUAUUAUGGAUGCAGAAACUGAAUUUGUGCCUACACUUUAUCUGCAUGCGUGCUUGUUAAGCUUUAGAGGGUUAAGUUUCUUUAAGUCAUUGAAGUAAAUAAGAGAGCAAUUGAGGACAUACACAACAGUUAGCAACCAAACAUGAAAAGACAUAAAAGUAGUUCAAUAGAUACAUUAAGGACAAUAAAAGGGGAGUCUCUGGAAAUGCAAGGAAGAAAACCUAAAACACAAUUAGGUCCAUAAUAUAAAAGGCAUGCACAAGGUACAUGAAGGUUUCUGGAAUUUUGCAAAAAGAGAAAAAUAGCAAUUGGUAGAGAAAACUGAAAAGGUAAAGAAAUUCAAAAGUUCCUAAAUUAAGUCCCCAAGAGGGCACCCAAAAGGUUAGAACUUGAACUUUCAAAUUGGAGCGCUUAGGUUCAAAUAUUAGGGACAAGACAGGGUUUAGGAUGGGCAAGAGCUAUAUCCCAUUGCAUAGCUCAACUCACAUGCUCCAAAAGGAAAAAAGAGAUCUUAAAUUAGUGCUAUGACGGGGCAUUUCUAAUGCCAAGGAAUAAUAUCUUGUGUUAGAAGAGGUCUGAAAUUUGGGAUGAAUCGAGGAUCCUAAUAGGUCAGCGAAAAAUAUCCUAGCACUCUAAAAAAUUGUCCAAGAAUGAAUAUUCUUAAAUCCAACUUUCUGAACUAAAAAUUCCAACUACACUGAAGCCAUAUGAAAUACCAAAAACUGAAUGAUAUUGGAUAAACUGUAAUGAUACAAUUCUCAAAGGGGACCUUAAUUCCUUCAAAAUGAAGAAUAUCAGUGAAUCUUUAUUAUCUAACAGGAUAUGAUGUAUCCUUUCAAAUAGAAAAAAAAGAAUGGAUAUGAUAUAUAAAUGUAAAUUUAUUUAUUUUUGCUAUAAAGGUUCUGAAUAUUUGAUGAUGAAUAGGGGAAGCCACAUAAAUAUCAUGGGAUAGAAAAAUUAAAUACCAAUAAAUUAACAAUUAUUGAAUCAUGCAUGUAAUUUUUGUUAGAAAAUAUGGUUUAUCAUUAACAAAAAUAAAAGAAAAUAAAGGCAACAACAAUUAUAAUGUUGGACUUAACGUUUAUCUACGAAUUUACACUACCAAUUUGACAAUUGAAUGAACAUUACAAGCGUAUUCUCCUAAAGCUAGGCAGAGAAGAAAAGAAAUUCUAAUAGGCAGUGGCAAGUCUACAUUUUUCAUCAAGUUGAUUUGGGUUUAUCUAUCUUUUCCCAUCUUAGUCAUCAGAUUGAGGCAAAUUAUUGUUACUGACAUGCAAUUAUUAGUCUUGGUUGAGUAAAUAAUGAGGACAUUGAUCAAAUAAAUUGCCAUAGAACCUUUUGAAGAUAGGUGUAAUGAAUCUUAGUGUCACAUGAAAAUACAAAUAAAUUCAUUAGGAAAAUGGGAAUCGAACCAAUGAAUGUGAUAAAAAAGAAAGAGUUUGUUAUCAGUACCUUGCGUUUUUCAGCCUGUAUAAGCUUAUCAGCCACAAACUGAGGAGUACCAAAUUCUCCAAGGCCGUUUAAACGAACUGGGUUCACAACAACCCCGACAUUGUUACUCCCCUUGUUUGCCUCCUCAAACAAAACAGUUGCCCCUGCUUUCUCAACCUUAGCCCACCCCACCCCAAUUCAUCACAUUAGAUGCAAAGACAAUGAAACUAACAGAAGUUUGAGUUACAGCAGAAGCAUUUUUCAUUCAAAAUUUCCUGUUUUAUCUAUAUAAAUUGUAAUAAUAAAAAAGAAAGUACCUUGAUCCAAGAAGAAGGCCUGAGAAGAGUGAAACCCUCCUCCACAUCUGUGUAUCUUUGGAGCUCUAAUUCAUUGUGAGACAAAGCUUUGGAAUAGUGUGGCAAAAACCCAUUUAAGAUAGAGCGAGAGCUGAGGAAUUCAGGCUUCUCCUGGUCAGGAAAAGUGGAGGUAGCAAUGUAUCUUUGUCCGGAGACUGGUGUUUGAGAGCUUUGGGUCUGGAAGAAGGGAACUUGGGAGAGGAACGGUUGGUAAUGGAUGCAGGAGUAGGGGCUUUGGUUUGAGAAAGGGAGGCAAAUUUGGCAAGCCAUUUUAGUGAACGUGCGUAGGGAGGCUAUAUCUACUGUGACAUUAUUAUGGACGCUAGUUUCAAUCCUACAGCUCACUCUCUCUACAAAUUUCCUUUCACUUUUGAACAGAUAUUCCGAUCAAAAUCAACGUUCAAACCAAAUUAUUUAUGGACCGGAAGGUGCAAGGUUUAACACAGGUUUAGGUAAGGUUGACUUUGAUUUGGUAACAAAGAAGAGAAUUUAAAAUUUAUAAUUUUAGAUUUAAAUUUUAUUGUAUGUAGAUUUAAUUAUUUAAUUUGUUUUAAUUUAUUUAUUGAUAUUAUAUACAAAUAUGAGAAUUGAUUUUAAUUAUAAAUUUUCUUUUACUUAUAAUUUAAAAAAAAAAAAAAGUAAGAGUGAAUAUGGUCUGUGGAGAGUUAACAUCGCGGAUCAUUCAUAUAUGAUUGGUUUUAAAAAUUUUGAACCAUAGAUUAGUCUAUCAAGAUCAAGAUCGCAAAUCACUCAUGUAAUAUCAAUUCAAUUGAUAUAAGAUUUGACCCUAAAUUUUUUUAUUUUCAAACAAAUAUAUAAUUAAAAUUAUAAUCUUUAAUAUCACAAUAAAAUUAUAAUUAUAUAAUCCAAAUUUAUGAAUUCACGUUUAUAAUUCAUAUUAAAAUUAAAUAUUAUAAAAUACAAACAACAAAAAUCUAAAAAAACUCUUCAAGCUCAAAAUCUUAAUGCAUAUUUUGAUUGAAUUACAAUAAAAAGUUAACAAAAAGAUUAGUAAGAAAAAAAAGGAUAAAAAAUUAAAGUAUAUAUUGAAACAAAAAUAAUUUUAAAUUCAAAUUAUUUUUUUAUAUAUUUUUUUCAAAAUUUAAGUACUUUUAAUCAAACUGUUUAAUCCUUCCUGCAGUCAUAGGACACCUUAUUCAAACAUAUAUCAAGCUUGAAGUAUCUUNNNNNNNNNNNNNNNNNNNNNNNNNNNNNNNNNNNNNNNNNNNNNNNNNNNNNNNNNNNNNNNNNNNNNNNNNNNNNNNNNNNNNNNNNNNNNNNNNNNNNNNNNNNNNNNNNNNNNNNNNNNNNNNNNNNNNNNNNNNNNNNNNNNNNNNNNNNNNNNNNNNNNNNNNNNNNNNNNNNNNNNNNNNNNNNNNNNNNNNNNNNNNNNNNNNNNNNNNNNNNNNNNNNNNNNNNNNNNNNNNNNNNNNNNNNNNNNNNNNNNNNNNNNNNNNNNNNNNNNNNNNNNNNNNNNNNNNNNNNNNNNNNNNNNNNNNNNNNNNNNNNNNNNNNNNNNNNNNNNNNNNNNNNNNNNNNNNNNNNNNNNNNNNNNNNNNNNNNNNNNNNNNNNNNNNNNNNNNNNNNNNNNNNNNNNNNNNNNNNNNNNNNNNNNNNNNNNNNNNNNNNNNNNNNNNNNNNNNNNNNNNNNNNNNNNNNNNNNNNNNNNNNNNNNNNNNNNNNNNNNNNNNNNNNNNNNNNNNNNNNNNNNNNNNNNNNNNNNNNNNNNNNNNNNNNNNNNNNNNNNNNNNNNNNNNNNNNNNNNNNNNNNNNNNNNNNNNNNNNNNNNNNNNNNNNNNNNNNNNNNNNNNNNNNNNNNNNNNNNNNNNNNNNNNNNNNNNNNNNNNNNNNNNNNNNNNNNNNNNNNNNNNNNNNNNNNNNNNNNNNNNNNNNNNNNNNNNNNNNNNNNNNNNNNNNNNNNNNNNNNNNNNNNNNNNNNNNNNNNNNNNNNNNNNNNNNNNNNNNNNNNNNNNNNNNNNNNNNNNNNNNNNNNNNNNNNNNNNNNNNNNNNNNNNNNNNNNNNNNNNNNNNNNNNNNNNNNNNNNNNNNNNNNNNNNNNNNNNNNNNNNNNNNNNNNNNNNNNNNNNNNNNNNNNNNNNNNNNNNNNNNNNNNNNNNNNNNNNNNNNNNNNNNNNNNNNNNNNNNNNNNNNNNNNNNNNNNNNNNNNNNNNNNNNNNNNNNNNNNNAAUUAAGAAAUGAUUAAGACUAUUUAAAUCAAAAUUUAAGGAUAACAAGUAGUUAAUUUUGGCCUGACUCUCAAAACAAAAGCUCCCCAGUGGAGUCCCAAGCUGUCGUAACGUUUUGUGUCGCGACGAAUAUGAAACAAAAUAAAAAAUAACGGAGUCGCCACCAAUCUUUUUUGGCUAGGUGCGAUUGGCCACCUAUUAAAACAUAUCUUUUAAUGAAAUCUUAAAAUUAAUUAAAAUUUAUUAAAAAGAUAAUUUUAGGUCUGCAACAGUCUGGGUUCGGGAGUCGGUUACGUGUGGGGAAGGAUUAGCACCCCACAGCGCCGUUAAAAAGGUACCAAUUAACAACGUGUUAUCCUUUGAUUUUGAUAAAAAUAAUCAAUUUUCGUAUGUUAAAAAUAAUUUCCUUGAUUUUUUAUUUUUAAAAAAAAUUAUUCUCGAGAAAAAUAAAUUAAAACCUUUUUAUUGAAAUAAUUCUUAAAAUGUUCCAGUACGUUGGUAACAUUAAAAGAACUCUUUCUCACCUAGAGAUUUCUUAAAGCAUCUCUACUCGAAAUACUUUUAGAAUCUCAUCUUUGGAGGCUUGAAUUUAUUUUUCAUAAGGAAAUGUCAUGUUAAAAAAAAUUUAUUCUCGAGAGAAAUAAAUUAAAAUUUUUUUAUUGAAAUAAUUCUUAAAAUGUUCCAGUACGUUGAUAACAUUAGAAGAACUUUUUCUCACCUAAAGAUUUCUUAGGCAUCGCUUCUCGGAAUACCUUAUAAUCUCAUCCUCGGAGGUCUCAAUUUACUUUUCGUAAGAAAUUAUGUCAUGCAUGCCAUGCAAAAUAUUUUCAUGUUUAUGCACACAUUUUAUUCUCAUUCAAAAAAUUUUAUUAAUUAUUUUAUUAAUUAUUUUAAUUUUAAUUAAAAAUUUUGAAGAAAAAAAAGAAUUUAAUUAUAUUGAAGAUUUUCUAUAAAUAUUCAAAUACGUUGGUAAUAUUUUACAAAAAAUCUUCUUACUUAGAGAUUUUUUAAAGCAUCUCUACUCGGAAUACUUUUAGAAUCUCAUCAUUGGAUUAAAUUUUUUUUCUUCAUAUUUUUAUUACUUAUAUUUUUAAUUUAUUAACCAAUUUUUAUUUAUUAUUAAAAAAGAAAUUUUUACUGUAUUGAAAAUUUUUUAUAAAUACUCCAAUACGCUGGUAGUAUUUUAAAAAAAUCUUCUCACCUAGAGAUUUCGCAGGCAUCACUACUCGAAAUACCUUUGAAUCUCAUCGUCGGAUAAAAAUUUUAUUUUCUUUCAUUUUUUAUUACUUUAGUAUUAUUAUUAAACUCAUUUUUAUAUAAUUGUUUUUAAAGUAUAUUAACAUAAUUACAUAAAAAAAAUUUAAUCAUAAUUUCAUCAUUUAAUUUAACAAAUAUAAAUAUUUUAACAUACAUAAAUAUUAAUAAAAUAAUAUAUAAAAAUAAUAAAAAAAUUUUUUUUUACCUGAACGGACCGGUCAACGGUCAGGUCAACGUGCGGUUCGCUCGAGCGGUUCGAUCCGGCAAUUCAGCUCGGUCUGGACGGUUUAGUACCGGUUCGGUUCAGUUCAAACCGGUUCAAUUGGAUCGGUUAGCAAAUGUUGGAGAAGCGGGUCAACGGGUUAGGUUACGCGGAUCCCGGGUCAGAUCUGGGUCAAUGCGCGGAUCCUCCUUAGCUGAAAUGGUGUCGUUUUGGGUCUUUCCCUAAACGACGUCGUUUUGAGUUUUUGCCUUGCUAUAUAUAGUUGAAGAUUUUUUUUUUAGUUCAUUUGGCUUUCUGUUUCAGAAAAAAAAAGGGAGAGAGGGAGAAAAAGAGCUGGGGGAGAGUCCACCGGCUGAUUGCCGUUCGGUCGUCGGAGCACCGCGUCGGCCACCACCGACGUCAGUCGUCGGUGAUCGAAAAAUUACCAAAAUCCUUCUGGUGGUUCUCUUCGACGCGAUCUUCUCGGAUCCGAUUUCUUUUUCACCAAAAACAGCCCCGAUUGACGUAGAUCGGGGCUCAAAAUUUCGGUCUCCUUUCUCUCUCUCUUUUUUUUUUUUGGUGGACAGAAUUGACUGAUCUCUCUUUUUUUUUUUAGGUGGCUUUCUGGCGCUGGGUUCCCCGUUCCAGGGGACUGUUGUUUUUUUUUUUGUGUUUUUGUAGAAUUUUUUUUUUUUUACAGAAGCUCUCUUUUUUUUUUUGUUGUUCUUUUUCAAUUUCUUCCCCCUCUUUUUUUUUGGUACCCCCCCCGAUUUGCAAAUAAAAAGCUCUAUUUAUAGAGCUUGUUGGGAUUCAAAUCUCAGAUUUUUUGGGAUUCGAAUCCCAUUUUUUAACAAAAAAAAUCGUACCUAUCGUCUGUGAUUGACGGUCGAUCGACCAUUGACAACUAGUGGUGGUGGGGGCAGGCAAUAGCGAUGCCGUUCCAACUUUUUGAUUUCUAUCUUAUUUUGUUUCUUUUGUUUGUUUACCUUUUUUUUUUUGUUUACUUUAUUAAUGAUUUUUUAUUAAAAAUGGUAGAUCCAGACAAAAUGAAUGUCUACAACAAAUAUUAUUUAAAAUUAUUUAUUAAAUUUAAUAAAUGAAUAUAAAUGAACAGAAAUUAAAUAUGUUUAUUAACGGUUUAAAAUUAUUUAUUAAACUUAAUAAAUGAACAUAAAUAAACAAAAAUUAAACAUGUUUACCGAAACCUCUGAUCACACGCUUUUCACAACGGUCCGCCAUUGAAUGCAUUUGUUAUAUUGUGCAACCAUGUUGUUUCAACAAGAGACUUAUCCAGAAAGAAAGAAAAAAAAGAAAAAGAAACAGAACUGAUGACAGACGUCAAAAUUUACAUUUUCUUUUUAUUUCAAUUUUUUAUUUAAAUUUAAGUUUAUAUGCAUAUAGAACUAGCCAUUGACGCUUUUGGUGUUAUCGAAGAACAAAUAGUUUAAGAUUUUUAAUUCUCCUCUUGCCUUAAAUUGUGUACUAUUGUAUUUCAGUUUUUUUUUACUUAAAGAAAAUAUAAAAUAUUUUCUCUAUGUUUGCUCUGCGUGCAAUAGCCGAUUUUUUUUUUCUUUUGUUUUCUCUCUUUUCAUGGUUUUGUUAUGUAUAAAAUGUAAAAAUUAGUAUCGUUGUAAACAAAAAUUAAUGAUAAUAAUUUGUGACUAACAUCGUUUUGGUUGGUUCUUGUGCAAACAAGUCAUCCUUCCAAGUCUUAAUUUCUAUUCAGCGUGCUCUUUGCUUUGAUUUGAAUGAUCAUCGCUGGAACAGUUACUCUCCAACACUUAUUGUCAUAUUGUACUAAUUGAAAGCAACUUUUCUUGCUGAUAAGGGCUGAAUUUAUUGUUUUACCCAAUCGACACUCUGAUGUCAUGUCUGAAGGUUUGAGUUUUGGGUUUUUCCAGUAAACCCAAACCAAUCCCACAACGUUGAAGUGGAGCCCACGCUGUCAGCCCUUAGCACGUGUUUUUUUUUUUUGAGUGGAUACGUUUAAACGUUGAAGCUUUUUCUUGCUUCACUGUACUGGUAUUGACUUUAAGCAAAACUCACUGGUUAGCACAUUUUCUGCACAUUCAUUUAUUGAAAGCGACUUUACUUACCUCCCAUGGCUCGUCCCUUCAAGCUGUAAGGCAAAGAAGGAUUGUAGGGCAUCUAGAUAUUGCUUUUAAUUUGUGGACUCGACAGAAAACUUCAGGCAAAAUCAAGUCGAGCUAAGCUACGUACCAAAACCAGCCCCACAACGUGUACGCGAAGGGACAUUAAAUUUGAUCCUUUGAACUUUAAUGUUCGCCGAUGGGAAGGCAGGUGGAGCACGUCACAGCUAUUUCUAAGAAAAAUGUGGUCAUGGGUCUUUGGACUUGUUGGGUAUUAGUUGAACGUAUCCUUCGGUUUUGAUAGUUGCGUUUAGCAUUGCAUAAACGUAGUCCUUGGUAAACGGCGGGAAGGGACUAGGUAGUCAUAAGGAUUUUCCUUUAACGAAGCACCUGCAAUUUGAUGGUACUCUCUUAUUUAAUUGAAAGACUAAUCGGAUGGGCUUUGGUUUUGUGCACGUGUCACGGAUUUAAAAAAAAUUUUGAAUUUCACAUCAAAUUUAAUAAAAAAAUUAUUGAAAUAUAAAAAUAUUCAUAUUAUUUUUAUUUUGUGAGAUAUUUUUUUAAGAUAAAAUCACGAGACUAAAGAAGCUAGAAUAAAUAAUAUUUCAUAAGGGUAUGAAUCAUGAUGAUAGAUUGAUCUGAAAUAUCAAAAUGAUGAAUAUCCGAAUCUUAAAAAUACGCGAAUUCAAAGCUUAAGUUUCGACCCGUGACACGUACACUUAAGUUGACAUAUAAAAACUGACUUUGAAGUAACUUAAGUAAUAUUAGAUUUAAUUUGUAACGUUUCAAUGUGAGAUAUUUUAUAAAUCGGUUGUGCUAUAUAAGUAAAAUUUUGAAUUUAUACUUAUAAAAUAUUUUUUUUGUGAAAUAAAAUUAUAAAAUUUUUGAUUCAAUAAUAUCUAUUAAUUUAAGUGAGAUGAAUCUGUACAAUUGAUAUUAGCUGACGGAAAAAAUGUAAUAUUGUAAAAAAAAAUGAUACUUUUGUUUUCUUCUAAUAACUUUUAAAAAUUUUAUUUUUUACCAAUUAAUAUAUUUAAAUUAUUCUAGUAUUUUUUUUCAUUUUGUUAAAAAUAAUUUUUAGCUUUUAUUUUUAAUAGGAUUUAAUUUUAUAUUUAGUAAAAUUUAUAAAUAUUGGAAAAAUAAAUUUUAAUAAAAUAGAAAAAGAAAAUAAAAUCAGAUAAUUGACUCAAAAUUAUUCUUUUUCUUAUCAUCCUUAAAUGUAUUUACUAAAAAAUUUUUUUUUUAUAAUUAUGACGAAGGAAACUAAAGUACCAUUUUACCUUUAAUUCUAAAUUGAAUUUUUAAAAUUAAGGAAAAAAUUAUGUUUUCGUUUCCAUUUAAAAAAAGUUAUAAAUUUUAUUUUCUUUUUAAUAAAUAUGUUUUGGUAUGAUUGUGAAGCUUAAUAAUUUUGAAUUCAUUAUCUUGAUUUGUAAUUUUUUCAUAUUUUUAUGCAAAGGGACCAUAUCGAACAUCUUUUUAAAAAAAUUUAGGACUAUCAUGAAACAAUUUGAAAAUUAAAAAUAAAAAAGAAACCCAAAUGAAAAGUUUGAGUCUGCAAAUGUGCUUUUAUCCUUAGUUUGAGUGUGGGACAUUUUCUCUUCUGAAUGUUCUCUAAGAAAAUCCUAUAAAUCAUUUAACUGAAGUAGGAUCCUUGAUCGAAAAUGAGUCAUGAAUUUCAUCUCCAGAGCCACUAUCAGUCAUUUUAAUAUUAUCUGAAAUUGGAGAGAACACCAUAUAUCCUGUAUCAUGGUCAAUUUUCAAUCGGUUAUCUUAAUUGGCACGGAUUGAUUUUGCUGCAAAUGGCUAGAUCUUUUUAUUUUACCUCUGAAAUAAAUUUGCUGCUUAAAAUUUUCUGAAUUAUUUGGAUAAACUGAAUUGACUUUGUUUUGCAUGCCAUUUAGAAUCCGGUCUGAUGAUAGUAGUGGACAUCUGUCUGAUCCGAAUGUGGAAGGAUUGUUUAUGAAUCGAAAAUCCCAAGAUGCUGCAGUUGGUGCUCUUUUACUUAUGCUGAAGAAAGCCCCUCCUCUUCGCCAAGAUAUCUGCAGUUUAAUUAAUUUUUUGGAAGCCUCCAGUCCAGAAAUGUGGAACAGCAGCAUUUAUGAGCAAAACCAAAUUUCUGGGGUUGUGAAUGUUGAGCAUGCUGCUUCUUCAAGUAUUGCAUCUUCCAGGUUUGUUGCAUCAAAGACAACUGCUGAUGCAUUAGAGGAGCUUCGGGGUUAUAAAGAGAUGAAAAGCUUAUUGCUUAGUGAAGGUGGUAAGUCUUACACAUCUGCCAAUAAUGCCUCAGGAGCUGAACAUUCCAGUAAAGGUACAUGAGAAUUUUUAACUUCUGCAGUAUUGUUAUAUUGCACAUUAUGUACAGCGCUAUGGUUUGAGAGAUUACUACAUGCUAAACUAUACAAGUGAAGCCAUUUUAGCUCUUACGUAUUCACAUACGAUUAAUAAACGAAUGUACAAAUGUUGUUUAAAAUUAUUUAUUAAACUUAAUAAAUGAACAUAAAUGAAUAGAAAUUAAACAUGUUUACUAACGGUUUAAAAUUAUUUAUUAAACUUAAUAAAUGAACAUAAAUGAACAAAAAUUAAACAUGUUUACCGAAAGCUCUGUUCACUUACACCACUAAUGGAGGCACAUGCGAAUUUACAGGCUACAUAUGUCCAUGGUAGUGCAACAUAUCUCUAUCUUUCGCUCACCAUCUCUCUGUUGCGGUCGUCUCUAUUAUUUUCCUCUUUUCCCUUGUUUUUCCUCCUCCAUGUGGGUCUAGUCUGGAAAUGCAAUUGCCUUAUGAUUAGAAUUGAAGAGUAACGGAUGCCAUUGCCUGACUAGCAGAAUUGAAAAGAAAUCUCAGUGGGAUGUUUUUAUUUGUUUUCGUUAAAAGGUAAACAUCAACCUUUUCAAUAAAGUUUGAAUCUGUAAGUAAGCAUAAAUAUUCGGAUAAUCUUCAAGAAACCAAAAAAAUCUUUUUACAUUUUGUUUUUUCUUUGUUAACUUUGUGAUUUAAAGCCGUUUGAUGAUCUCGGUUGGAGUUAAUCUGGAAAGAUUGGUUUAUUAUUGCCAUUGACAACUUGGUUUCUCUCUUUAAACAAUUAUUUGGAACUAACAAUAAGUUUACAUUCGUCUUUGGUAAAGGCAUAAAGCACAUAAGCAUUAAAGAAAUUCAUCAUACAUACAUAAAAAGGAUAUGGAAAAUGUCUUUCAUUUGUUAUGUUAUUCAAAUUCGAAUGUUAGAUAUGUUAUAUAUACAAUACAAUAAUAUAUUUUUUUCAAUUAAUUUUUUUUUAUAUUUGGAUUGUCUAACCUCCAUAUCUACAUUCAUUGUAUAUAUGUCAAACACAAGUACUUUAAAAGAAAUGAAGAAUCCAACAAUUAACAUAGUUCAUUGACGCCUAGAUCUUAACCUUCAUAUUGAGCCCCUAGUGCUUUUUAGUUUAUCCUCUUCUAUUCUUCUAUGGUGCUUUUUAACUCCUCUUUUGAUUGUCUCUGCCUUGAGCCCCAAAGGCUUUCAAAAUUUUUGGCGGGGCCUUGGCCCCCACACGCUUCCACAACGGACCGCCAUGUAGUUUCAAUAAGGGACUUAUCCGGAAGAAAGAAAAGCAAAAAACAGAACUAAUGACAGACGUCAAAUUUUACAUUUUUUUUAUUAUAAUUUUUUAUUUAAAUUUAAGUUUAUAUAUAUUAAGAAGCUAGCCAUUGACGCUGGUGGGGUUAUAAAAGAACAAAAAGUUCAAGAUUUUUAAUUUUCCUCUUGCCUUAAAUUCUGAACUUUUGUAUUUUAUUUUUUUUUCUACUUAAAAAAAAUAUAAAAUAUUUUUACUAUGUUUACUCUGCGUGCAGUGGCUGAUUUUUUUUUCUUUUGUUUUCUCUCUUUUCAUGGUUUUGUUACGUAUAAAAAGUAAAACUAGUAUGGUACAAAAGGCUAUAAACAAAAAUUAAUGAUAAUAAUUUGUAGCAACAUCGUUUUGGCUGGUUGUUGUGCAAACAAGUCAUCCAUCCAAGUCUUAAUUUCUGUGCAACGCGCUCUUUACUUUGAUGUGAAUGAUCAUCGCUGGAACAGUUACUCUUCAACAUAUUGCCAUUUUGGGCUAAUUGAAAGCAACUUUAAUUGCUGUUAAGGGCUGAAGGCAUUGUUUUGCCCAAUCGACCCUCUGAUGUCUGAAGUGUUGAGUUUUGGAUUUUUCUAGUGCACUCAAACGAAUCCCACAACUUUUAAGUGGAGCCCACGUUCGCAGCCCUUAGCAUGGAUUUUUUUGAGUGGAUACGUUUCAACGUUGAAGCUUUAUCUUGCUUCACCGUACUGGUCUUAACUUUGAACGAACUUUGCUUUAAAACUCACUGGUUAGCACAUUUUCUGAACAUUCGUUAAUUGAAAGCGACUUUGCUUACCUCCCAUGGUUCGUCCCUUAAGCUGUAAGGCAAAGAAGGAUCGACGGGCAUCUAUAUAUUGCUUUUUAAUUUGUGGACUUGAUAGAAACUUUAGGCAAAAUCAAGUCUUCUUGAGCUAAGCUACGUGCCAAAACCAGCCCCACAACGUGUACGUCAAGAGACAUUAAAUUUGAUCCUUUGAACUUUAAAGUUCGCUGAUGGGAAGGCAGGUGGAGCACAUCACAGCUAUUUCUAAGAAAAAUCUGGUCAUUUGUCUUUGGACUUAUUGGUUAUUAGUUGAACGUAUGCUUCGGUUUUGAUAGUUGCGUUUAGCUUUGCAUAAACGUAGUCCUUCGUAAACGACGGGGAAGGGACUAGGUAGUCAUAAGGAUUUUUCUUUAAUGAAGCACCUUCAAUUUGAUGGUACUCUCUUACAUUAAUUGAAAGAUUAGCUGGAUGGGUUUUGGCUUUGUGCAUGCAAUUAAAUUAACAUAUAAAGACUUUGUCUUUGAAGCAACUUAAGUAAUACUAGAUUUAAUUUGUAGGGUUUCAAUGUGAGGCAUUUUAUAAAUCAGUUGUGGUAUAUAAGUAAAAAUUUAAAUUUAUAUUUGUAAAGUAUUUUUUUGAAAUAAAAUUAUAAAAUUUUUGAGUCAAUAAUAUCUAUUAAUUUAAGUGUGAUGAAUAUGUACAAUUAAUAUCAGGCAAUUAUAAACUGAUAAAAAAAUGUUAUACAAUAAAAAUUACUUCUAAAUCGUAAUAAAUGAGACCUAAUAUUAUACGAUGUGAGUACCACUUUUAAAAUUUUCAUUUUUAGUAUGACUUUAAUUUUUAAAAUUUUUAUUUCUAGUAUGACUUUAAUUUUAUGUUUAGUAUGAUCCUCAUUUUUUAUAUAUUAUAUUAAAUUUGAUAAAAAUAUUAAACUUUAAUAAGCAAAUUUAUAACACGCAAUCUUAUUCUAAAAUAUUUUAAAAUUUUAUUAUGAUAUAUAUAUAAAUCUAAAUUUUAAAAUUUUAAAAUUUUUUAAUCAAAUAAAUAAUAUUUCGCAUACAUGUAUAACAUAAUAACUGUAAGAAACGAGAUAUCAUUUUUCAGUUGAAGGCUCUAAGUAAUCUUGCUUUUUCCCGUUUUGACGUUAACUUUUUGAGGUUUAGGGUACUGAUUAAUAUUUUUUGGAGAGAGAGAAAAAAAAGAAAUAGUACUCCCUUUGUCUUAAUUUAUUUAUACCUCAAUUUGGUUCUUUUAACAGAAAUUGAUUGAACGAACUUUUUACCUUCAAUUAUUAAAUUAUUAGAUUGAUUAAUUAAAAAUUUAAAAAGGUUUUAAAUUCUUUUCUCAAGUACAUAAGGAUUUUGAAUUGCAUUAAUAUGAGAAAGUUUUCUCCAAUAUCCUAUAUUUUAUCUUUUUAUCUUCAAAUUCAACAACAAGAGAUCAAUUAAACUUCAAGUUUCAACAGUUGCUUGAAUUUUAUACUCGUGAUUUUUUUAUAGUCAAUAUUUUGCAAAAUAUAGAUAUACAAAAUUAUGUUUAUUUGACCAAACAAGUUAAACAAGGAGAACCAAAAUUAGAGUAGGAGAAAAAUGUAGAUAGAAAAUACAGUUUUUAACGUUUAAUUUGCAUCAUCUUAUAAAACUUUGACGUGCAGUAUCACUCUCUUUUAGCAGUUGAAAGUGUAUUCAACCGGACUUUGCUGCUCAAUUACUUUUUAUUGGAUUCUUAUCUUAAAUUUUUAAAGGACUUGGAAGUUAAAAUAUUGAAAAUCAAGUGAAUGGUGCAGAUUCCAAAGGCAGAUUGGUUUUCUAGAAAAUUAGAUUUAGGGUCUAUUUGGAUAUUGACAAAAUUAAUUUUGGUAAGAUUGAAAAUAAUAAUAAAUAAGAUAUUAAUUACUGUAAUAAUAAGAUUAAAAUUAAUGUUGAGACAUAUGUUUGAAUACAAAAAUAAUAAUGACAGUGAGGUGAAUAAGAUUGAAAAGAAAAAGAAAAAACUAUUAAAGCCAUUAAAAUUAAAAUGUCACUAUAAGAGUUUAGGUUUUUAGUGACGUUUUUUUUUUUUUUUUUUUUUUUUUUUUUUACGUUUAGCGGCGUUUAUAAAUGUCACUAAAAAAUUUACGACAUUUGUUAAAAAACGCUAAUCAAAGUGUUGGCUAUACACAUGUUGCAAAAAAUAAUGGCGUUUUCGAAAAAACGUCUAAAUAUUAGCGGCAUUUAUAUCUAAAACGCUGUCAUUUUAGCAGUGUUUCUAUCUUUGAGACACCACUAAAUUAAUGACAUUUUAUGAGAAAAACAUCGUUGCUUUGAUGACGUUUGUAACUGAAAACACUACUACUUUAGAGGCAUUUGUAUAUGAAAAUACCACUAUAUUAGUGGUAUUUGUAUCUUUAAGAUGCCGUUAAUUUAGUAGCAUUUUUAUAAGAAAAAUGUUGUUGCUUUAGUGGCGUUUGUAUAAAAAAUAUCACUUAACUAGCGGCGUUUACAGAUAAGAGCGCCACUACUUUUAGUAGUGUUUUAUGAUACAAAUGUCACUAAAUUAUUCAUUUGGCGACAUUCUUGAAUGCAAACGCCGCUAUUAUGUAAAAAUGUAUUUUUUUAAUUUCUAUUAAUAAUUUUUAUUUUCAUUAAAGAGCUUAAAUUAAGAAACUGAAAUUAAUAUAAACUUAAUUCACAUUUAAAUAUGCAUCUAAUUAAUACAAGGUUUAUGCAUUUAGUCUAAUAAUAUUCAAAUAUUUUUAAUACAUUAACAAAAUAAAAAUUAAAAUAUAUGAAAUGGAUGACUGCAUACAUUUUGCUGGCUACCAAUUGAUGAAGAAAAAUUUUCACCUUGGUCACUAGCAUGCUCAAGAACCUAUUGAAUAAUAUCAUGCAAUUUUUAACACUUCAUUGUAAGCUUUUUUUAUAUUUAAAAAUUUAAAUAUUUACUAAAUAUAAUACCUUAGUUGGUAGAACACGAAGAUCAUUUCAUGGAAUUUGUUGUUGUAAAAAAUUCAUAAGAUGAUUGAAUCGAUCAUGUAACUGCUGAAAUUUUACACGCUCUUGCUCCAUUCUAGCACGUUCUUCCUUAAUUUUUGGCAUGCUCAUAUUCUCUUUCUACUUUCAUUUGCUGAAAACAUUGUUGCAUAGUUUGCAACUCCUCUCUCAAUAUUGAAAUGUCUCACGAAGACUGACUUACUGAGAAUGUAAAUUGCUGAGAGCUAUGUCCAUAAUAGGUAGAUGAUGUUGGACCCAAUCCAAGGCCUCGAACCCGUCCAUGCCUUUCUUUUCUAGCAACUUUUAUGAAUAUCUGAUUUUUCAUUUCUUGCAUAUUGAGAGAACCAUCAGAUGCUACUUCAAUCUCAACAGCCAUUUUCUUUUUCACUUUUUCUUGUGAAUUUGUCAUAUACAACUAUCAAGUUCAAUGAUUAAUUGAUAAUAUUUUAAAAAAAGUAAAUAUUUACUUUCUAUUAAAAUAGAUGUUAUAAAUUAUCACAAUUUCUUGUGUUUCGACAUUCAUGUAAGAUUUAUCUUUUUUUAUGUGUGUUAUACAAAAAAUUUUCACACAUCCAAUUUUACCACCCAUCUUAUUCUCCUAUACAAAAACAUAUGUUAUUUGAUAGGAUACAUAUCAACCGUAACUUAUUCAUGCAUAUCAAGCUUGUCAAUUAAGUAUUAAAAUUUUGAAUAAUUUUAAUAUCAUGCAUUUAUAUUUUGGCAUCGUAACAGCACAAUAGUCUUAAACAUAUGCAAACAAUAAAAAUAUUUUGGGCUUUCACACAUAUCGAUCAUGAAAACCAAAUUCAAUUAUUUUCUCUCGGUUUAAUAUCAUGGAUUGAAGCCAUUCAAUAUGUUGAAAGCCAUCCAAAACUUUAAUUUGUAUAUUUGCCUUUUAUAUGCAAAAAUAGUCCCAAAUAGACAUAAAUGACAACUUUUUCUCCCAUAUCAACUGUAGAAACCAAGUUCAAUCAAUCGGACAAGUUUAAUAUAAAGUAUUGAAGCUAUCCAAAUUGUUAAAAUACAACAAUAACAACAAAUUUGUAUUUUUACUUAAAUAUAUGUAAACAAUAACAUUUUUAUACAGAGCAUCCGUGUCAACUAAGUUCAAAACUUUCGAUAAGUUUAAUAUCAUGUAUUGAAACUAUCAAAACUAUUAAAAUAAAACAAUAACUGUUAAUUUGCAUAUUUACCUUCUAAUAACAGAAAAAGUUCAUUCAUUGGAAUAAGUUUAUUAUCAUAAACUUACUAUUUCUUUUUGCUUUCUUACAAAACUUUUUGAUCCACUUGUGUGGCUAUAUUUAUGUUGCUUACUGCUACCAAUCCCAUUUUGUUCUUUUUCUUGUCAUAAAAAAUAAUUAUGUAUAUGAUAGAAAUAUAAAUAUUAUCAACUUAAACUAUAAAACACUUUCAUCAUUUCAUUAUACUAAACAAAGUUAUAAAACUACUACCUCUCCUUUUCUUGAGAACCAAAAUCUAACAAAUUGUUCAUAUUACCACCUAAUCACAUUACGGGGUAGAUUUUCCAUCAUCGCCUCUAUAGUAGUAUUUCGAUCGAAAUAUUUAUUCUUCAAAUUAUGCUUAUAAUCUUUUUAGCCAACAAUUGAGCCUCUUCACCAAUUGGUUGCCUAUCAGAGUUUGCAAACACUACAAUACGCUCAUUAAGAGGUGGUGCAAACAAUUCAAAGUUAUCCGUCCUCCGUUGACUAUUGUUAUCAACUUCAACAAAUAAAAAAUAAAUUUGUAAACUCGCAAUACUUUUAUCAUUAUACUUGAAUUCUAAAAUUAGGGUAUAUCAUACUUGCAUUCGAGUUUAAAGCAUAAUCAGUUGAUGUGGUACUAUCUAAACCUGAACCUCCCGUAUUGCCAAAUCCAAUAUCAGUUGAAGGGUUAGAAGUGACAUAGUUAGAUCUGAUAAUAUAUUUAUUUCUCUCCAAAAGAUUCAGUCCAUAGCCAAUAUCAACAGGUGUCGCAGACGGUUCUAAACUAAUAUCUCUGAUAUGUAUUCCUUUCAACCUACUCAUCUGCAUUAUAGCUUACCUACAUCAUAAAAGCAAAUAUAGAAAAUAUAUUAGUUUAGAACAUAUAUAAAGACAUUGAAAAGUUAAGAAAUCAAAACCUACGAUAUAUAAAGAACAUAUUGAUUUAAUUAAAUCAAAAGAUAAUGUAUGAUUUAGAAUAUAAUAAUUAUACAAUAGCGAAUGUGACAUUAAUUACAUACAAUCAUUUACUACAUUAUGUCUUAAAUAGUCAAAUUACAAAUUAUAGAUGCACCAUUUCAUGGUUCAUAAACAUCUUCAGUAACAUCUUCACAAACCCACUGAGCGUAAGUACUAAAGAUAUUUUCAUUUAAGUUUUGUUUAACAAAAGGAUAACAUUUAAUUCUAUGUUCAACAUCAUAUCUGAUAUCUAACCCCAUAUCAAAUAAGUCUCUAGGUAUGUUUCAAAGAACGACAAAUCAACCUAAUUUUUUGGGAUCUUUAGAGUAAAACACUUGUUUGACUUGAGAUGAAAAAAUAUAAAGUUCAUCGAUGAGUUGUUGUCCAGUGUGAAUUAAUCGAGAAAAAUUCACAAGUGUAAAUCCAUACUAAUCUUUCUUAAUACCUCUCGCACUAUUCACAUCAGCCCAAUCACAUUAAAAUAAGAUAACUUUCUACUUGCCAUAAUAAUCCAACUUAAUAAUGUCAUUAAUCAUGCCAUAAUAGUCAAUAUUUUUCUCUAAAGGGUUUGUGUCCCUAGCACUAGCAUAGCUGUAGUUGAUGAUGUCACAACAACUCAUGAAUUUUGUGUACUUCUAAAUCUCACAUGGGAUUUAGUAUGAAAUCUAAAUCCAUUGAUGAUGAAACCUUUGUAUUGUUUCACAAUCCGGUUCAGACCGUGUGGAAGACACUUCACUCUUCACUAAUAAGCCUUUCAUUUCAAACCUAUAAAAGUGGUAUAAAUAUAUAUGUUAUUAAUAUUAGUUAUACCGUAAGCAUUCUAUGUAGAUUUCUCAUAAUAGAAAGUAUGACAUUACUUACAGUUGCUCCUAACCAUUCAUGAAAGUUUUUUGUGAAUAACUUAUCAAGCUCUCGAGGGUUUGAUCAUCAAUAAUGUAUAAGAUUUCUCAAAUUAUUUCUAUAAUCACUAUAAAGCAUCAUAAUAAAGUAUUAACAAUAAAAAAGAUAAUAAAUUAUGCUUAAUGUAAUGAAUAAUUUCCUUGCUAAAAAACUUAUGUGCGAAACGAUUCAAUUGAGUCAUGAUGAAAAAGAACAUAUCAAUAUGCUUGUACCUAAGAUUUAUUAUCUAACUCCACCAAUUCAGCUUUGCCUAUUGGUUGUCUAAAACUUUGAAAAAGAUAAUUGUAGGCAGAGUCUGUAUGCUGCAUACUAACAUUUCUCAAUGGUCUAUUAAAUCUUGUUUCAACAUUUCUAAAUAAUGAGAACAAAAUGUCAUAUAUUCUUCUACUAAAUAUCCUUCAGCAAUAAAACUUUUCGGAUAGCGUUUGUUAUGAUAAUAAGACUUUAACCUCCCAAAAAACCUAUAGCAUAAAACAUUAGUCAUAUGUUAUUUUAAGUAGAGUGGCUUGAUCAUCAAUAAAAAAGUAAACAAUCUAUUAACAAAUAAUACCUUUCAAAAUGAUACUUCUAUCGAUAAUAAACUAGUCCACCGACUUUUGCUUCAUAUGGAAUGUGGAUAACCAAAUGCAUCAUAAUAGUAAAAAAGUUUGGAAGGAAGAUCUUCUCUAAAUGGCAUAAAGUAAUUGCAACUUGAUCUUGAAGUUUGUCAAGCUCUUUCACAUUCAUACAUUUCUAACAUAGAGAUUUAAAUAUGUUACUUAAUUCAAUUAUCACAGAAGUGACUUGCUUUGACAUUGAUGAAUGUAAAGCAAUUGGAAGUAAGUUUUGCAUCAAAAUAUGGUAAUCAUGUGACUUUAAUGAAGAACAUUUUCACUUCUUUAGAUUCACACAUCUCGAUAUAUUUUAUGCAUAGCCAUCCAAAACUUUGACAUUUUUCAAAACCUUACAAAAUAGAUCUUUUUCAGCUUUAGACAUCCUAAAACAAGUAGCACGCAAUCGAUAUUUACCAUUAGGAAGCAACUUCAGAUGAAGGUCAAGGUGAAUCCCCAUAUCAACUAGUCAAGUUGACUCUUUAAGUCAUCUUUGAAUCUUUCAUUCACAUUGAGAAUUGUCCCAAUAAGAUUUUCAUAAACAUUCUUCUCUAUGUGCAUCAAAUCAAGAUUAUGACGUAAUAAAUUAUAUUCUCAAUAAGGUAACUCAAAAAAGAUACUUUUUUUUCAUAACUCAGACUCAUUGGGGUCAUUAGCUUCAUCAUCCUCUUUAUCACUUUAAACAUCAAGAUCACUAACUUCAGUAUGAGUAUCACUAACUUUUGUAAUACGAGGUCGACAUCUUCAAAGAUGUCCCUCACUCUUUUCCUUGAUGGAGUUAUUUUUUCAUAAGUGAAAUUGAUGUAUUUUAACUUUGAUAAGAUAUUAAACCCACUAAUGGGUAAAUGCAAUCUCUUCAACUAUUCAGUUCCAUCAAAGAGAUAUUUUUAGAAUCUAAAUCGAUAAUUAUCAUCUAACCAUCAAUGAUGUCUCAUAUAACAGAACUUUCUACCAUUAGGUAACCAUGUCGAACAUGUCUGUGCAGCACAACAUGAAUAAGCAUAACGAUCUUUUAUACUUUAACCAGAUAAAUUUGCAUGAGUAAAAAAAUUGUUGAUAGUCCAUAAUAAAAUAACACACAUAUUGAAGUUCUCUUUUUUUGAUGCAUUAUAGGUUUCAACUCAUUCCCAUAAUUGUUUUAACUCUUUAAUAAAAAGUUAUAAAUAGAUGUCUAUAUCAUUACUAGAACCUUUUUCCUCAAGAAUUAUCAUAGAUAAUAUAAAUGAUUAUUGCCUCAUAGCAAUCCACGGUGACAAAUUGUAAGGAAUCAAUACAACUGGCUAAGUACUAUAAGAAGUACUCAUCAUUUUAAAUGGGUUGAAUCCAACAGAUGUUAGUCCAAACAUAACAUUUUGAGGAUUAGAUGCAAAGUUUGAAAACUUAGAAUGAAAUGAUUUCCAUGCCAAAGAAUCUACAGGAUGCCUCAAUGAUCCAUCAUUCGUCUGCUUCUCAUGAUGCCACCUCAUUGAAUCUGAAGUUUUGAAAGACAUGAAGAGUUGUUGAAGUCUUGGUAUUAAUGAAAAACAGCGUAAAAUCUUAACAGGCUUAUUUUUGACACAUACCUCAUCACCAUCCUCAUUCAACCUUUUAUCAGGAUUUUUGUCAACCUAACGAGAAAUACCACACAAAUGACAAAAUUCUUGAUUUUUUUCUAUCCCUCAAAUAAAUAUGCAAUCACUGGGACAACUAAAAAUUUUCUCAUAUCUGAGACCUAAAUCUUUGAUCAUUUUCUUUGAUUCCUUACAAGAUUCAGGGAUUUUUGUAAAAGGAAACAUUUCUUUCACAAACUCUAAUAAUAAAGUUAGAGAGUUUCCCAUCCAUCCACAUAAGCAUUUCAAGUGAAAAAGAUGAACAUAGAAAGAUAACCUAGAAUGCUUUGAUCCCUUGAAAAGUUUUUCAUUCAUAUCCUCAAGCAACCUAUAAAACUUUGAUGCUUCUCCUUUAGAUUGUUGGUCACAUACACCUAUCCUAGGUUCACCAAAUUCAUUCAUUUCAACAUUAGGCUAAUUAAAUCCUUCAUUUUAAGGAGAAAGAUUAUGAAAAUGUUGGUUAUGAAUGUUAAAAGCAUCUCACAACAUGCCUUUAAUGUCAUCUGCUAUAAAAAGAUCAUGUUAGUAUUAAGGAGCCAUGAAAGUUGAAAGCACUCUAGUGGAAGAUUUUGAUGGUAUAGACUCUCCAUGAAAAUACCAAUUAACAUAUCCUGAAAGAAAUUCAAUAAAAUUAAAUGUUCAAAAACAACUUGAUGCAUUGCCACUCGAUUUUAGCACACCUCGCAUAUGGGCAUAAUAUCAUAUUAUCUUUACUUGUAUUCUUAAAUAAAAAAUUAAAAAAUUUUUUCACUCCAUCUCUAUACUCUUGACUUAAUUUUGACUUUUGCAUCCAACUCUUAUUCAUUUAGUACUUGCUACAUUAUCAGACCAAAUGUAUAUAAAUAAUUUAUAUGAAAAUGAACAUGUACACUACUUAAGUUUACUAUGUUUUAAACAAAAGAUAAUAAUAAGACCAGUACUUACACAAAAUGAAAACUUUUUGUUGUGAAGUAAUUUAUCAGCUACCAGAUAUUAUGAAUGUUAAAACUUGCUGCUAACGUAGUCAAUAUCUAAAAGUAUUUGUAGUUAGGGUUGCAAUAAGGUGAAAUAAGGUGGGUUUUGGAGAAAAUUGUUUACACCAAAAAGAAAAUCAUGAAUUGCAAAAGCUGAAGGAAUAGUCGAAUGAAGUAAAAGUUAAAGUAAAUAAGUAAUGAAUAGUUAAAAUAGGGUUCUAAAAGACAAUACUUGAAUACUAAAAGCUGGAGGAAAGAGACACUAAAUUGUACUUGGUCUGAAAAAAAUAGUAUAAUAAUGAAAAUGAAGCUUGAAGUUGGUGAUUGGAUGUGCUAAGUUUGGAAAGAUUUUUAUUAGACCAGAUUAUGGAAAGCGUUUACUAAGAAAAACGCCUACAAUAAUUCGUUCCUAAAUAUUUUUUUGAAUAUAUUAUAGGCACUUUCAACAGAGUCGUAGUAUAAUUGUUUAGGAUUAUUAAAGGCGUUUAUACUACUAUAACGCCUUAACUAAUUUCAUCUAAGUUUUUUGUGUAUUUAUUGAUGGUGUUUUUUACAUAAUACGCCUUCAAUAAUUCUUUUUAAAUUUUUAUCUUACAAUAUCAGUGAAGACGAUUUUCUAUAAAAAAAACAUCUUUAAUAAUUUCCUUUUAAAAAUAGUUUGGGAUUAUUAAAGGCAUCUUCUAUUGAAAAUGCCUUUAAUAUUACACAACUUAAAUUUUAAAGGGUUAUUAAAGGCUUUUAUUCCAGAAAAGCACCUUGACUAAUUCAUUUUAUUUUUUGAAGCAAUUUAUUGAAUGCGUCUUCUAGUGCAAAACCCCCUCAAUAUUCCAAUGCUCAAAUUUUAAAAUGGAUAGUGAAGGCGUUUAUUGUAAAAAAAAUUAAUUUACUAAAUGCUUUUAUUUUAUUUUAUAUACAAAUGUAUUGAAUAAUUUUUAAUUAAAAUUAUUGGUAUUAUUAAUGACGUCUUCCAGUGAAAAACACCUUUAAUAAAAGAGAACUUAAAAUUUUUUACGAUUAGUGAAGGCGUUUAUUCUAAAAAAAUUCAUUCACUGAGUACAUUUAAUUAUGUACAUAAUUAUUAAAAGCGUUAUCUAUAACAACCACUUUCAAUAAUUUUCUUCUAAAAAUUUUGGGAUUAUUAAAGGUGUUUUCUACUGAAAAAUACCUUCAAUAUACUAGUAUGAUUAUAAAAGGUGUUUAUUCCAGAAAAGAGCCUUUAAUAAUUCGUUUUAAGCUUAGCACAUAAUUAUUGAAGGCGUUUGUUAUUAACAAAUGCCUUCAAUAAUUUCCCUCUAAAAAAUUUUGAGAUUAUUAAAGGUGUCUUCUACUAUAAAACACCUUCAAUAUACCGCUAUAUAAAUUUUAACAUAGUUAUUGAAGGCGUGUAAUUAAAAAAAAUACCUUUAAUAAUUCAUUUUAAAUUUUAUAGAUAAUUAGUGAAUGUGUUUUCAUAUAACAACCGCCUUCAAUAAUUUUUUUUAAAAAAUUUUUGAGAUUAUUAAAGGUGUCUUUUAUUAUAAAAUGCCUUUAAUAAUUUGUUAUAAACUUUUGAAAUCCACAAUUAUUGAAGGCGUUUUUACAUAAUACGCCAUUAAUAAUUCACUGAUAUUUUUAUCACGAGGGUAUCAGUGAUGGUGAUUUUCUACUCAAAAUACCUUCAAUAAUUUUUUAGAAUUAUCAAAUGUGUUUUUUGAGAAAAAAUGCCUUCAAUAAUUUUGUUGAAAAAUUAUUUUUUGGAUUACUAAAGGUAACUUUUUAUAAAAAAACACCUUUAAUAAUCUCUAAUAAAAUUUUAAGGAGAUUAUUGAAGGUAUUUUUUUCAAAAAAAAAACCUUCAAUAAUAAUUUUUAUAUUCAUUUCCUUGCCUUGAACAUCGAAAUCACAAACUGCUAGUACACAAAAUGACUAAAAGCUUCGUUAUUCAACCAAACCAAACCCAUAAACACAUUUCUAUCAGACCAUUGGUUUCUUUAUCCCUAUCAUCAUCACUAACCUUCAACAAAUCAAUGGUGCGUACCUCUUUUUUUAUCGAUAAGUCUUUUUUUUUUAGUUUAUUGUAUUAUUUAUAAUAUUCGAUAGAGUUUUUUUUUUGGUUUUUUAAUAUUUAUAUAUGCGUUUAUAUAUUUUCAUUAACUUCACUGUAAGCAUAGUCAUCCAAGUACUUUUCAUUACAUGUAUGUUGUUUCUAUGUAGUAUAGUUUGCUGAAUCUUAUUGUCUGAUAUUGUUUUGUUGAAUAGUAUUAUAUGAUAUUGGGGGGUUGACUCAUAUGCUGAAUGGUUUACUAAACCCUAUUGUCUGAUAUUAUUUUGUCAAAUGGUAUUGUAUGAUAUUGAGGGGUUGAAUCAUAUGCUGAAUGGUUUGUUGAACCUUGUUGUCUGAUAUUGUUUUGUUGAAUGGUUUUGUAUGAUAUUGGGAGGUUGAAUCGUAUGCUAAAUGGUUUGUUGAAUGGUGUUUCUGAGUGAUUUGCUAAAGGGUGUGUCUGAGCACAUUACUGAAUGGUGUUUCUAUACGUAGUAUGGUAUUGGUUGAAUUUAGUUAUGUACAGUGUUAAAUUUAGAUGGUCAUUUUGUGUAAUUCGUAUAAUUAUGAUUAAGAUUGCAAGUAUUAUGGACUUCGAACAACAUCAUUCUUCUUCUAAUGAACAUGCAUAAGACACAUCUAUAGGCCAAAAAAGAAAGGAAAAUGGCCCAAAUAAACAAAUUAAAGUGAGUGAUACAAAAGUUCAUGCUAAUUUCAAUCAAAGUGGAUAGCCUAUGUUUGAAGGAGCUCUCAAGAUGGUUACUCAUAUUGGAGCCGUCGUCUGUCAUAGGAUUUCAAUUACGUACACCGAUUGGUGACGAGUUUUUAAUGAUCUAAAGAAUGAUAUAUGACAGUCGAUUGUGAAAUGUUUAUUCAACUAUUUUGUAAAAUUUGUUAAAUAAUCAUUUAAUUGAAAUUCAAUAUGUUCAUAUUAAUUGUGUUAACUUAUUUAGGAAUAGUUUGACAUCUCAAUUGACUCUAAAAAGAUUGUGUUGCAAUCUAGUAAGAAAGCAUUCAGAGACUUUAAAAGUAGAUUGAUAAUCAAUAUAAUUUACCAUUGGCUGGUGAAGGUGAUGUAUUGGCUGUUCCACCUGCGGCAUAUGUAGAUGUGAUAAGUGUUGAAGAUUGGACAAAUUUUGUUCAAUAUCAACUUUCAAAAGUACGUAAACCCAUUACCAAAAAAAUUGUUUAUAAGUCUUUAUGCAAUAUAACCUUUGAUCUUCAUAUGUGAUUGACGUAAUUUCUUUCUUUUGAAGAAAAUCAAAGAACACCAAUGGGACAUUCGGGCCAAACAACAAUAUCACCAUCGGACAACAAAAAAGGGAUAUACAAAUGUGAAGUAUGAGCUUUUAUGUAUUCGCACACUUGUUUUAUACUCAUUAAUGAAUAUUUAUGAACAUUCAUUUCAUACAUUCUAAUUCUUUUAUUAUGGUAAUUUAAUAGGAAUAACGAGCUCUGGCACAGAAGUUUUCAAAUGGGAUGUCUAAAAACAACGACAUCUAUGAAAGGAUGGAUCCUUUGCAUACGAAGCAACUGAAGAAGUGACAAAAAAGAUUGUAUGUAUAACUAUUUUUUUAAUAUAAUGUAUGAUUGGCAUUGUGGUUGUAUGCAUGAGUGCAUACUAGCUUGUAUAGAUUUGUUGUUAUAGCCCAUCUUAUUAUUAUAUUUUAGGAUAAUUAUGUUGUCAAAGUUAAAUUUGGUGAACUGGUAACCCAGUAUGGCAAAGAUCUUUUGUCUUUAGCAUUAGGCCCUAAAGAAAGGCUUGGUGGAGUUCGUGGGGUUGGUAAAUUUGUCUUACCAUCAAAAUUUUUUGGUAAUCAACAAAAAACCCCGUGAAUGAGAAAUGCACAAUAUGAAGCAAUCAUUGAGCAACAACAAUAAUGAAUUGAUGACCAAGAGCAAUGCCUCAAUAAGCAACAAUAAAGACUCGUUACUUUAGAGUUCAUGUUAGUAGCAAUGCAGCAUAACAUGCCAGUAGGCCAGUCUGAUAACAUCAUCCCUAUAAGAGAAGCUUUCGUUGCAAGUAAGAAAGCGAAUCCAUCCUCCGUUACCACCCAAGAAGUAUGAUUUUAUUUAUAAUUUUAAUAUUAAUUUGUUUAUUAUAUUGAUUGAUUUGGUUUUAAUACUUAUAUUUCAUUAAAUACUGUAGCAGGAUGUUCGAACUCAUAGUAUGACCCUUGCUCAGGCUUUCAUGGAUGAGUUAUCCAAAUAUUCGUUGGAGCAUUUAUCCGGAGGAAACUUCAUAACCAUUGAGUCUGAGGAAGGGUUAUUUAAUAAACCAUUAUUUUCUUUCAUUAGUGUGGAAGAGGUUAAAGAACUUUGUGAAGUGGAUGAAUUAUCAGCUGUUGAUAUCGUUGUUUAUAUGAGGUUAGCUUAUAAAUACAAAUAUGCACAUUUAAUAUGUAGUAAUCUAUAUUAGGGUGUAAUACUAAUUAGCAAUGUUGAUUGUUAUCAUGCAGCUUUCUAUAUAGAGAGCUCAAAAGGAGACAGUUGACCAACAGAUUUAGAUUCAUUGUCCUAACUUCAUUAGUGAGCAGAGUGGCACAGUCGCUUAUCGUACUAAUCAUGUGAUUCAAUGCAUGAAAAGAUCAGUUGAUUAUUAUUUGCUCUUGUAUAAUGCACAGUAAGUUAUAUUCCAACCUUGCCCAAAUCUGAUCUGAUGUGAAAUCUACGUAUAUUAUUGUUAUUAUUCUAUAAUUGUUAUUGGGUGCUUAUUGUGAUUGACACCAAAUGCUUAACGCCAUACUUAAUUUAGUUAAUCCAUCGACGAUGCCUAACCCUGAUAUUCAAACUUUUAUAAAGAGGUAUUAUACUUUAUUAUAUUAUAUAUCUACUAUUUCUUCAUAAGUAAGUUUAUUUAUAUAUUAAGUAAUUUUUUUCUUUUCAAUUUAGGGUAAUAUCUGCAUUCGAUAAGAAGAUAAAGAAAUUGAAAUGGGUGUUAUUACUGAUAAAUGUGAAAUAUAUUUCUUUAUAUUGAGUUUGUAUAGAUAAAUGUUUCCUAAACCCACUCAAUUUAAUUUUUAAGUACCUUGUCAACCUAGUAAUACUGAAUGUGGAUAUUAUGUCCUUCAUUUUAUGCAGGAGAUAGUGUUAGAUGAUUUUAUGACCAUACCAUUCAAGGUUAGUAUAAAUUUCAUAAACUCAUUAUAUCUUCAAAAAAAAUAAAAAGGUACAUUAUGUUCUCAUUUAUUAACAUUUACUUUCGAUUUUUUUUAGUGGGAGAGUAAAGAAAGCUUCAUAGACGAGGAACUGGAUGAAGUCCAUAAAGAAUGGUGUGAUUAUGUAUUAUCAUUUACCAAUGUUGAUAAACCUUGAGGUUAGACAUUGUUGGUUGAAUGUAAAUAUAUAAGGAACAAAUUGUUAUAAUUUUUUAACAUGCCGUGUUGAAUGAAAACUUUAAGUUUGUAUACUGGGGUAUUGGUUUAAUAUUAUUGGUAUACUUAAUAUGAAUACAUUAUAUGUACUUGAUAUAUUAUUGAGUACGAUUAUUUCAGAAAAGUAUAUUAAUAUGAUAAUGUUAUCAGUUUUUAUUUCGGAUGUGUGAUAAAUUUAUUAAAAUACAACAAUAUUCAUUAUGUAAAUUUCAAAAUGUAAUUCGUAAUAUCACAUCUAUAAACUAAAUGUUUUUUGGUCAUAAAUAUAUAACUGACAUCAAAUGUUUUCUAGGCAUAAAUCUACAACUAACUUGACAUAUACAAUAUCAAAUAUGUUUUUUUGAUAGGAUUAAUAAAGCCAUGUUUAGCAAGAAAAUGCUUUUAAUCAUCCCUAACAAAAAAUUUUGAAGGUGUUUUUUUACCAAAACUACCUUCAAUAAUCCCCCCUCCAAUUUUAUUGUGUCUAAUAUUAAAGGUGUUUUUGUGAAAAAAUGCCUUUAAGAAUCCAUUUCUACUUUUUUGUAUGGAUUAUUGAAGGUGUUUUAAAAAAACUACCUUCAAUUUUUGUAUGGAUUAUUGAAGGUGUUUUAAAAAAACUACCUUCAAUAAUAUCAACUAAAAAUUAAUCGAAUGGAUUAUUAAGAGCAUUUUCCUAUGGGUAACACCUUUAAUAAUCCCUAACAAAAUGUUAUUGAAGUCAUUUUUGGAAAUAACCACUUUCAAUAAUCUGAUCAUUUAAAUUUAUCGUCUGGAAUAUUAAAGGUGUUUUGAGCCAAAAAUGCCUUCAAACAUCCGUUUUAACUUUUGUCUAUGGAUUAUUGAAGGCAUUUUGGACAAAAACCACCUUUAAUAAUCACAACAAAAAUUUAUUGAUUAGAUUAUAGAAGUCCAAUUUAGCCAAAAAUGCCUUUUAAAAUCAGUUCCAUAUUUUUUUCUAUAGAUUAUUAAGGGUGUUUCUAUGCAAAAAAAUACCUUCAAUAUUCUCUGUAAAAUUUUUUAAAGAAUUGGUGAAGGCAUUUUUGCCAAGAAAAUGCCUAGAUUAAUCAAUUACAAAUAAUCUCUACAAAAUCCAAAAAAAGCUAAAGGGAAGAAUCGAACCUACCACAUUAUAGUUAAUAUCCGUACGAUCCAAAAAUUUUUAUAUGAUAUUUAUUGAAGGCGUUUUUGAAGAAAAAUGCCUUCAAUAAGCUUGUGAAACUUUUUGGUCCACUAAUUAAAGGUGUUUCUUCUAGAAAAUACCUUCAAUAAUCUUAUAUAUUUUUUUAUGAGAGGGUUAUUGAAGGCGUUAUCUGCCAAAACAUGCCUUCAGUAAUUCCCUAUCAAUUUUUUUAAACGAAUUAUUCAAGGCAUUUUAUGCCAAAAACACCUUUAGUAUUCAUUGAAAUUUUUAAGGCGAAAUUAUACAAGGCGUUUUAGUCGAGAAACGCCGUUAGUAUCAAGUUUUUGGUGGCGUUUAUAAGUGAAUGAUCGCUACAAAAUAGUCGUUAAUACGCCAUAUUCUUAUAGUGUGUUAAAUGAUUUAACAUUUAUAAAAUAAAUGAAUAAUUAAAAAUUAUUAAAUUAUUUCAAAUAAUAAUUUUGUUAAUAAAAAUUAAAAUUAAUAAAAAUUUAAAUAAAAUUUAUUUAUUUUUUAAUUUAUUAUAUAAUAAUAAACAUUAUUUGUUAAUUUAUUAUAUAAUAAAAAAUCAAAAUGAAAAAAAUAAAUUAGAUAAUUUUAAGUAGAGAUAUCAAAUGGGCUAUGUACGGUCGGUACUGCCCAUUUAAAUAUUAACCCAUAUGUUAAUAGAUCAUGUUGGCUUAGUACUAUUUUUUAACGUGUAGUGCUAGCACAGCCCAUGAAGGUUGAGGCUAUUACCUAGCAAUGGCACAUGGUUCGUAAAAUUCUUGGGUCAUGCCCUGCCAAGCAUAGCACUAUUUUUUGUGUCGAGUUGAGCCAAGCAUAGCCCCAUAAUUUUUUUUUCAAAAUUUUAAUUAUUUUUUUAAAAAAAUUUUAUCUAUUGUUAUUCAAAAUAACAUAUAAGAGAUAAUAAACAUAUAAUGAAAUCAAAAAGACAUAUAAUGUAUAUAGAUUGGCAAAAUGUUUAUAUUUACAAAAAUGGAUAAUAGAAUCCACUUUAAUAAAAUAUUUGAAUUAUUAUCAAUUAAUAUCUAAGAAGAAAGCACAUAGCACAUCAUAUAUCCAUUGGCCAAUAAUACGUAUUAUACCAAAGUUUUAAUUGACUUGGUGCCAACCAUCUAGAAAUAAGUGAAAUUCUUCUAAAAAGAAAUUUUUGAUUAAACAAGAUAUUAAAAUUUCUUUAUAAGAAAAAAUUAUUUAAAAACAUAGUCUAUAUGAGUUUUUGAAAACUAUUUUAUUAAUUGGGUAAGUAUACCAUUUCUAAUUAAAUUAUUAAAUGUUCAUUUAUAAAAUCAUGGUUGUAAAUCGCACUUCACUAAAUUUAGCAUAAUAAUAGCAAUUAUUUUGUGAAAAAAUUAAAUGCAUCUAAAAACCCAUUAGAAUGCUAACUAAGUGUAGUUUGUGUAGGAUCAUUAGAAGUGGCAAAUGCAGUCUCAUGUUUUUCCUUAUCCCUUUUUUGAUAAACAGUCAGUCCUUUUUUUUUACAACUAAAAUCUUACAUAUCAUCUAUAUAUAAAUAUGAACUCCAAAAGUGAUAAUAAUGAAUGACCAAAAUACCCAUAGCAAAAUUUUUAAUAAAUUUUAAUUAAAAUAACUUUUUUUAUUAUUAAAUUUCUGUUAAGAGAAAUUAUAAUUUGAACUCUUUUAUUAUUAUACUUUUUAAAUAUUUUAAUUUAAACUCUUUUAUUUUAUUAUUAGACUUUUAUUGAGUCAUAAAAAAAAUUUCACAUUAAAUACAAAUACAAAAAGAAUUAAUUAUUCAAGCUUCUUUAAAGAAAAAAUUUGCAAUAUUAACAAGAAAAUUUUUUUUUCACAUUAAUAUUACAUUUUUUCUACCCCUAGUAACUUUGCAAAUUAUUCUAACUUUCAAUUAAAGUUAGUUAAUUUAAUUAUUUUUUCUUUGAAUUUCAGAGUGUUUAAUGCUUAGGCAUCUUUUGUUAAACUAAACACAAAUAUAUAAUUACAAGGAACAUUUGCAAUUUUUCUAUAGAAUUAUGUGAUUGGAGACUUGGGAAUUUGGAGAGCAAAGGUUUUGGCAUUAUUGGGAAAAAGAUCAAGUGGAUGAAUCAUCACAAUAGCUUAUCCAAGGUAUAUUUGCUUUUUCCUAUGCAACUUGAAUAGGUUCUUUUAGCUCGGUUUUAUAUUAGCUUUAAUUUGACAUCUAAAAAUAUUGAGUAGAAGAAACAAUAAAUUUAAAGGUCCUAUCAAUUAUUUAAUCUAAGAAGUGUGGUUAGGAUCUAGUAGAAGAAACAUUUACCUUUAGUUUAUUUAAGUUCCAAAGGCUUAUAGAAGUGGAUCUUGAAAUAGACACAAAUGGGAGAUCAUUAACUUGGAUGAUCAUUAUAAAAGAUUCUCUAAAGCUUUCAAAAAUAGUCAUUUAAUAACAAAACAAUUUGACCAUUUGGUUUUAGAUUUUUAAAAAAAAAGAUCAAUUGAGUUAGAAAGCAACCAAAAAACUCAAACUAAAAAAGCGAAGGCUGAAUCAUUAAAUAACAAAAAACAUUUUGACUUUUCUUUGUUAGAUUCAAAAAAGAAAAAGAGAUAGUUUUCAAUUUAUAUAAAGAUAGAUCCACACAGUGAUAACCAUAAGAAAUAGAAAGUUAAAAUAGAUUUAAAAGAAGUAGACUUAGUACUAUUGUAGAAACUAUGCAUGAAUCACCUUGAUAUGCCUAUACCAUUAACAAUAUCUAAGGAAGAGUCAUCAGGUAUUUAGAAAGAAAUAUAAUUAAUAAACACAUGUUCACAAGUCUAAUAAAAUGAUCAGAGUCAUCCUACACCGAAAAAAGAAAAACCAUUUUAACACAUAAGAAUUAAACAAGAUACAAACCUAAAUUGCUACCAAUGUUGAAAUGAUAAUACAAGAUAUGCAGCAUUUACAACUUUCAUUUAAAUAUAAAAACCAAGAAAUAUGUGACCAUUAUUAGAGAUUAAAAAAGAGGGAAGGGCAAGCAAGGGACUACCUUGUAAUAUGUUACUAACAUAGGAAAACUUAAAGACAUAUAUGAUGGUGAAAUAUGGCAAAAGCAAUGCAAAUGAAAUGAAGAUGAAAGGCUAAAUUACUGUAUAUAUUAGUCUGAUUCUAAUGAAAACCCAUUUUCUUUAAAGCAAUAAUCAUUCACAUAAAGUUCUACUUCAAUAAUCAAUCAUUUAUAUUUACAUUUACAUAAUUCUUAUGCAUAUUCAAGAGUCAGCAGAACAUGGUUUGUGCUUCAACCAUGAUAAAAUCUCUAUUAACAGUAUUUACUGAUUACAUGAUGAGAGUAAUAGAAAGCAAAAGUACCUAGACUCCAUCUCUUAAACUUCUUCAAGUAAUGUUCAUUAUAAAUAUUCACAAUUUGAAAAUUCCCCAAAAUGAACCAACUUUUCAACUUUUUACAGUGUUUCCCUGAACAAAUACAAAUAGCAGAUUCUUUCAAGGAUUAAAAAUGACACUGUUGAUGCAUAAAACAUCUACCUAUAUACAUUAUACAUCUAUUAGAGAUGCAUGUAUGAGUUCAUAUUCAUGCAUGCCAUAUGCAUAUGUUAUAAAUUAACAGUCAUUGAAAGAGAUUUAAUAUUGUGUAUGUCAUCUGAUAAGUACUAAACUAAAAAAGUUUUACAUUUUUACAUCUUUAAUCAAUAGAUUCAACAUCUUUCAAAUUUAGUAUGUAUAAUUUCAUUAUCAUUAAAAAGUUUAGAUUAGAUUAGAUACCAAACAAUAUCUUUUAAAUGAAAACUUUUAUAUCAUUUUUUGUGCAAAACUUAUGCAUGUUUAUCUUUUUAUCUUUUUGUGUAAAAAUCUUCUCUUCUUUGCAAGCAAGUGAUUGGCUCAUAUUUAUUGCAAAAUUAUCUACUAAUUGCUUGGAAUUUCUUGCAUCAGAUUUGGCCAGAAUCAAGAAGAAAAGUUACAUAGCGAUGAAUUUUUUCAAGAUUAAACAAAAUUCAUUGGAACAUGACAAGAUAUCAAGGUUAAAAAUUUAUUUUAUUUUAUGUUUUAAAAUUAUGUAUUUUAAUAUGUAUAUAUAAUAAAAACUUAUAUACAACAAUUUUUUAAGAUAACAGAAGAAUUAAACAUUCAAUUAAUAGAACAUGCAACUACUUUCAAUCGAUGAAAGCAUUAAUGGAAUAUUCUCCUAAGCAAAAAAAAGCAACAAAAGAAUGACUGGUUGUACAUCGCUCUAUCUUUUCCAUACAAUAGAUAAGGUUAGUUUUAUAUGAUUUUUAAAUGAAAAAUAUACAAUUUAUUUAUGUCAAUUUUCUUUAGAAUUAAUAUGAAACUAUUUUAUUAGGGAAACAUUGUAUACUCCUUCAUUUUCUCCAUUACAUCAAUAGAAGAAUAUUUCAUGUUGCAAUUAUUGUGGUGCUAAAAAGUUCCAAUAUGAGCCUCUAUCAUUUUGUUAUCUAAUUGGUCAAGUGAAAUUAGCUACCACUUUUGUUCCAAAAUAGUUAUACCAUCUUUUUGCAUCUCAAAUUGAAGAAGCCAUUAAAUUUCAAAAACAUAUUAGAUCUUAUAAUAAUAUAUUCUCAUUCACAUAUUUUGGAGUUAGGUUAGAUAAGGAUCAGUAUAUUUAACUCUAUUUAUAUCUUCUGAGCACAAGGGCAAAUAUAUCAUGAUUUUUCAGCAUUAGUUCCAAAAAAAAAUACUCCAUGUUUUUUUUUUUUAGCUAUACUUUUAUGAUACUGGUAAUGAAUUUCAAAAUAGAAUGAAAACAUAACACAAUGAAAAUUUAAGUGCAAAAGUUGUGCAGAUGCUAAUAAAAAUUCUAGAAGAAAAUUCUUAUGCCCAAGUCUUAUGGAGAUUAAAAUAUAUAUCUUCUUUUGAGGAUUUUGAAAUACAUAUUACAACAAAUGCUAAUAUAGAUCAAUGAGUUUAUAAUCGUCUAUUUGCUGACCAAGUUGCUAUUAUAUGGUUUGAAGGAAACAACUCAAACAUUCCAUUUGAAAGAGAUAUCACAAUUCAUACUCAUUUACGAAGAUGAUAUAAAGUUAAACAUUAUUUCGGUUGUUAUGACUUCUUGUAGUAUGAUUUACUCCUUUCAAAUAGAGAAGUUAGUUGGCAUUAAAAUAUCAAGAAAGUCACUUUGAAUAAUGCUAAUGAGAAUGAAGCAACAAUUGGAAAUAAACCAUAUUUUUGUUCAGCAGACUAAAUUUUUGAAAAAGAAUACGAAGGUAAUUAUUGUGAACUUAAUAUUUUUAAAAUUAUUAUAUGUUUAAUUUUUUAAAUGUUAUUUAUUUCUCAUUACUUUUAUCAUAUCAUAUAUAGCAUAAUUUUUAUCUAGAAUUUGUUACUUUUAUUGUUAGUAGAUAAUUUUAAAAUUUUCACUUUUCUUUUAUAAAAUUGUACUUUGCUAAUUGGUAAAAAAAAAAAAAAACUAUUCAUUCAAUCAAAUCUUCAAUAAAUAUUAGCUUCCUAUGUAAAGGAAUCUAAUUUUUAUUUCAUAAUAUCAAAUCAUACUUUGUUAAUUUUUUAUUUUUAUAUACUUGAUUAAUGUUAGUUUUAUGUUAAAGAUUCACAGCAUUAGUCUUUUAGUUACUUUAGCAUUUGUGCAAGUUUUUAGCAUUUCUUUAACUUAUUGAUAUUUGAUUUCUUAUAAUAAUCUUAUGUUUUGUAGUUAAAUUGGUAGUUAAAAUAACAAACUCUAAAAUAUGCUUAUUACUUUAUGAAUUGUCGUAGAAAAGGGUAGAAUGUGUCAAUAAGGGAAUAUUAUUAUUUCAAAUUCUAACUCAAAGAGUUUGAAAUAACAAUAACUAUAUACCUUUUGGUUGGGUGAUUGUUUCAACAAUUUGUUGUAGAUGUUUAUAUUAAAAUCGAAACAUCAAAGCUUGAUUUUACAGGGUAAAGUAAUCAGAUAUUCGAUCUAAAUUGUAUCAAGGAAUUGUUGAUAUUGUAAUAACUGAAUAAGUAAGAUGAAGCAAAGUGAGAAAGAGGAUAGUUCUUCUUGUAACUUUUAUUGGUGGCCCUAGAGACAUGAGGUGUAGAUACUAUAAUGUAAUGACUUUUGUCCAAUGAUUUGUGAAACCAUAUUUUUUUAUAACUGUGACAUGUAAUCUAGAAUGAAAGAAAAUUAUAGAUGAGUUCAAAUAAGGUUAACUUGCUUAAGAUAGACUAGAUCUAACUUCUAGAAUAUUUCGUACUAAGUUACAAGAUCUCAAAGAUCAAUUUUUCAAGAAAGAAAUAUUCGAAAAAGUUACAGUACAUUUCUAUGUUAUUGAAUUUAAUAAAAGGGGACUUUCCAUGCCUAUAUAUUAAUCAUAUUAUAAGAAGAAAAUUUUAUCUGAAGAUUAAUUUGAUAGAUAUGUUUGUGUAGAAUUGCUAGAUAAAGAACUUUAUCCAGGGCUGUAUGAAUUAGUUAUGAAAAAUAUGAUACAUGACCUUUAUGGAAAAUACGAACAUAUCAAAUCAUGCAUAGUUGGUGAUAAAUGCAAGUUUCAUUAUCCUAGAGCUUUCUGUUCACAAACAUUGCAAGAAAAAAAAGGAUACCUAAUGUAUAGAAAAAGAGCAUAUGGUUUGUCAGUGAAGUUAAAGAACAAAAUUGUCAACAACAGAUGUAUUGCACCAUAUAAUCCAUAUUUUUUGACAAGAUAUAAUUGUCACAUAAAUGUUGAGAUAUGUUCAAGAGUGAAAGAAAUCAUGUACCUUUAUAAGUAUAUACAUAUAAAAGGCAUGAUAAAGUUGCUAUUUAUAUUGCAUAAGAUGAUAGGGAUAAUGUCAUUGAUGAAAUAAAGCAAUUUUCAGAUGCAAGAUGGGUAUCUCUUCAAGAGGCUAUAUGGAGAAUUUUUCAGUUUAAGUUGAAUGAAAUGUCUCUUCUAGUUAUAAACUUAUAGUUACAUCUCCCAAACUAACAAGCUGUAUAUUAUUGGGAAAAUCAAAAUUUGCAAAUUGUGUUAUCUUGGGAUCAUGUGUCAAGAACAAUGUUGACAUAAUAUUUUGAAACAUGGCUAAUGAAAGUAAUGUAACAAAGUACUUGUAUAAAGAAUUUCCUAAACAUUAUAUGUGGAAUAAGCAAAAUAAAAAAUGGACAAAAAGAACAAACAAAAUUGUGAUUGGCUAAAUAAACAUUGCAAAUCCAAAAGAAGGUGAAAGAUUUUAUCUGAGACUUUUAUUAAAUCAUGUUAUAGGGCUUACUUGUUUUGAAGAUUUAUUAACAGUUGCUGGAAUAAGCUAUUUGUCAUUCAAAGAAGUAGCAGAAAAAAGAAGCCUUUCAGAAUUAGAUGAAAGUAUCACAGAGUGUUUAACUAAAGUAACAACAUAUUAAAUGCCAAAAAAUCUUUGAAAAUUGUUUGCUAUAAUAUUAUACCAUUGUGAACCUAUAAAUGUAAGGAAACUUUGGGAUAGAUAUUUUGAAGCAAUGUCUAAAGAUUUCAAUAGGAUUUAUAAAGAAGCAGUCUUCACAAUAGUAUCAAAUGCAUUAAUAAACUCAUCAAGCAAGCAUAAGUAGACAUCUUGAAUUUUUCCCAUCUUUGUGUGGAAUAAGAUUCAUUCGUUGAGCCAUUUCUUCAUUAAGCAAAAAAGAAUUCAUUAUCUGAUAAGCACUUGUAGUUGCAUCUUGAGUUAUAGGAAGCCUAUUAAUUUCAUCAACAGUAUCAUGGAAAAGCACCUUGGCUAUAAACUGAAAAAGGUCACUAGCUUCUUUAGCAAACUUCAUUAAAGAUUCAUUAGAGGCAUACAAACUACUCUGGUUUUCUUUUAUACCAAUAAAGUGCAUCAUCAAAAUUUGCAAUAAUAUCGGAUACAUUAACAUGUAUAAAUUUUUAUUAAGGUAUGCAUAGAUAAUCUUUUCCUCUAUUAAAUUAUUUUACUUUCUUUUUUAAGUUUUGCUUAUGUAAUGCUGGUUAAUUUUCAUACUUUUUUUUCCUAGACUUUAGUGUACAAUAAUAGGGCAUUUGAUUUUACACUGUAACUGUGAGACCAAAGUUGCAAAGUUUGAAUAUAAAUGAAAUAUCACAAGACAUUAAGAAAUUUAAAAGAUAUUUGCAAAGGUUUUAGAUUCGUAAAAAGUUUCAGAUUCGCAAGAAUUUUCACAUUUCACAAAGGUUCUAGAUUUGCAAAUGUUUUAAGUUUUGCAAAAGUUUCAAAUUCACAAAAGGUUCUAGAUUUGCACAAAUUUCAAGUUUCUCAGAAGUUCCAGAUUCACAAAGGUUUCAAAUUUGCAAGAAUUUAGAAUUACAAGAAUAGAAUAUUCGCCAGGAUUUUAGAUUUGCAAGAAUGUAAGAUUUGCAAGAAAUACUAUUUCAUAAGAAUUUCCAAAUUUGCAAAAGUUUCAAAUAUUCAAGAAUUUUAGUUUUGCAAGAAUUUCAUGUUCACAAAAAAUCAAAGAUUUAAAUUUCAAAUUCACAAGAACUCAAAUUCACAAGAAUUUUAGUUUUGUAAGAAUUUUAAAUUCACAAUAAAUAAAAAUAUUUGAAUUUCAAAUUCGUAAGAACCCAAGUUUGCAAGAAUUUCAUUGUUGCAAGAAUUUCAGGUUCACAAGAAAUCAAAUAUUCAAAUUUUAGAUUCGCAAGAAUUUUAGGUUUGCAAGAACUUUAGAUUUAUAAAAGUUUCAAUUUUACAAAUAUGGAAGAUUCACAAAGAUCUAAGUUUCACAAGAACUUCAUAUUUGCAAGAACUUUAGGUUCAUAAAAGUUUUAGGUUGUCAAGAAUUUUAGGUUCGCAAGAACUUAAGGUACACAAAAACUUAAGGUUCACAAGAAUUUAAGGUUCGUAAAAAUUUCAAAGAUUCUUAAAAGCUUUAGGUUUAGAAGAAUUCGUAAGAGUUAUAGAUUCGUAAGAAUUGGUAGAUUCAUAAAACUUUCAGAUUUGGAAAGAUUUCAAAUUCACAAGAAAUAAAAAAUUUGCAAAACUUUUAGGUUUUUAGGAACUUCAGAUGGAAUAUUCAUAAAAGCUUCAGAUUCAUAAAAAUUUCAAAUUUGAAAAGAUUUAUUAACUGUACUUCAUAGACAAGAUUCAAAGAUUUGCAUUCAAAAGAUUUAAAAUUUCAUAAAAAAUUCAUAGAUUCACAUCAAAGAUUUCAAGGUUAAUAGCCAUAAUUCAAAAAUUCUCAUUUGAAAGUUUUAAGCUUUUACAUCCAAAAGUUAAAAAUUUCCUUUGAAAUAUUUAAAGAUUCACAUCCAAAAUUUCAAAAAUUCACAUUCGAAAAAUUUUAGAAAUUCACAUCUAAAAGUUAAAAAUUUUUAUUCAAAAAAUUUAAGGAUUGACAUCCAAAGAUUUCAAAGAUUCACAUUCAAAAAAUUAGAGAUUCACAUCCAAAGUUUUAAAAGUUUUUUCACACUUAAACAUUCUCAUUCAAAAAAGAAAAAAUUUAAGGUUUUCACAUCCAAAUUUCAAAUAUUCUUAUUCGAAAAUCUCUUUUAAAAAAAAGCUAUAUAUUUAAAAAGUUUGGAAAAAUUUCCUUGUAAAAAAAAAAAAUCUCAUCGUGAAAUAUCUUACUCAUUCAAGGAUUCAAAAGUCAAAAGUUUUCUCCAUUCAAAGUCAAAUUCUUGUAUGCGAUGAAUGUCAUGCAAAUAUCUUCUAAUGAUGCAAAUGCAACAAUUCAGAUUCUCAUUAAAUGAUACAAAUGCAUGUCUUAAACAAUAAUACAAAUGUCAUACUAUGAUUCAAAUUUAGACUACAUAAUGCGAAUGUAUGCCCUAACCAUGAUGCAAAUGAAAUGUUGAAACAAUGAUUUAGAUACUCGCCAAAUAACACAGAUGCAAGGUACAAACAAAUAAUGAUACAAAUGCAAUAUUCAAAACAAUGGUUUAAAUAUUCACCAAUUAAUGUAGAUGCAUGGUCCAACCAACUAUACAACUUAGAAAUUCCCUAAAUGAUGCAAAUGCAUAUCCAAAUAAUUUUGUAGAUGCAGUUAUCACAACAAGGACUUGUAUAUUUACCAAAUAGUUGAAAAACAAUUAUCAAAACAAAGCAUUUUUGCUGCCCUAGAAAAGUCACUCUUGUAAUAUUGAUUUGAAAAUCAUUUUUCUCAUAUCCAUCGAAAUUCAUAUAUACAACACUUCGAAUUUGAAAAUUUUCAAAAAAUCCUAAAAGAAUGGGAAUUAACUACCCCAAAAAUUAACCCAUAUAUUACUUUUCCAUGACCAAAAUGUAUCAACAUGUGAUAUUUAAAUCUCUUGAAAGAUGGUGAUUACUACCAAUAAUGAAUUAGGAGGAUUUUUCUCUUUCCAAAAGGAUGAAAUGGUUUGGCAUAUUUGGAUUUCAACUAUUAAGAAAGACUUUGUCAUUGAAUAAAAAAGAAAAUCAAUAUUUCUUUAUCUAGACUUACAAAUAAAAGUUCAAAUUUGAAAAAUAAAUCUUUUUUAAAGCACAAUUCAUUUUGGCACUCCCUUAGAUUAUUGAGAUAGGGUAUUUUAACAAAUGUCAAGAUUGAUUGUGAUAGGCUAAAAAUUUCUAUGAGAGAAAGAAAGGCUCAAAUUUUAAAAUAAAUCUUCAUAUUGGGGUUUAUCUUCUUGGAUUUCUCAAAGUUCUUCAUUGUUCAUUAGUUCCUUCAAAAUCACUUUCUCUAAUUAACUUGCUUGAGUUGCUUUCAAACUUACUCUAAACUGCCUUUUCGAAUUUUCACCCUAGAGCUUCAUUCAAUUUUCUUCUUUCUUUAUUCUUUUUUUUUUACUAUUCCAUCAUGCAUUUGAAAACUCAAAAUUCAUCCAAAAUCCAAAAGUGAUGGUGAUUUUCCUAAGAAAAUUUUUUCAAUUUAGAUACUUAUACUUAAUAAAAAUGGACUUUUCAAAGGAUGUAAUGUAGGCUAGGGUUUAGGGUUUUGAAAGAAAGGAUAAAUAGGUUCAAAAAUAUGUUUAAGGGUAAUCAAAUCAAGGAUCAUUUCCCUUCUCAAGGACAUUUGUCUUUUCCACUUCUAAAACAUGCAUUUUUCAUUUUUUUUUCUUUUUUUCUUUUAUUUCUUCAUGUUCCACAUCUUGACAAAAUUGCCUAAAAUUUUAAAGCUUGUCUUUUAACUAUAGGCAUUCUUUCCUUGUCGUUAACUUUAGAUCUAAUACCUUUUCAAAUAAAUUUGCUUAUAUUUUUGCUCCUAGUGUAAAGGGUGAUCCUUGAUUGGAGUUUCUUAAAAAAGAAUUCAAGAGGCUCAAAAGGGGUAACAAAUGAAUAUUUUCGUGUUGUGAAAUGAAUAUGAAAGAUAGCUAUUUGUCAUAUGAAAUAUGGAUACCUUUAUUAAAAAAUGAUUCCCAAGAGUAGAUUUUUCUUCGAUCUUGGCAUCCUUUGAUUAUCUCAUUUGCAUGAUUUUACAAUCAAAUAUUUUUUCAUUUUUCAUUUGCUUUUUUUUUUUACAGCUUUAACUCAAAGAAUCAUCUUACUAUAUCAAAUGAAGUUUCAAAGCAACAAUAUUUAUUUUCACAAUCCACAAUAAGAGAUGGAAUUGAUGCCAUUUAGAAAAAAAGGAUAUUGUGAAAAUUGGAUAAUUUAGGCUUUUUGGUAAAUUUACCCCAAGAUGUAGGUAAAAGAAAAAUUUAAGGCAAUGAAAGAAAGAGAAAAGGAAUGUUGUAUAAAUCAAAAUGUCAAACAAGGAUAUUGAGGGGAUAUGGUAUUUUCAAUAAUUCUACCUCAAGAAGAAAAUUGGAGAAGUUUAGGCUUUAUGAAGAAACAUGGGUAGUGAUACACUUGGAAUAGUCUUAAUAUUUAUCAAAUUACCAAAAUCUAGAAUCUUUAUGAGAAAGCCUCAUGUAUUGGCUCACAAAAAAUUUUUCAAACAAGAAUUUUCAAACUUCAUUGUUCAUAGCCUUAAUAAAGAUCAUUGACUUAUAAAUCCUUUUUUGUCAAGUGAAGAUUAUGAUCAUAGGACUUAAAAAGUCAAGCUUUGAGUGGUAUGGUGUUCAACUAAAUUGGAGUAUGAAAUUGUAUGUGAAGCAACUGUGUUUGUUCAUUCUUGGUAGUAAUCACCAAUUCUCCUAAGUUGUUUUCACAAAAAUUUCCUUUACAAAGAACAAUUUUCAAUCAUGGAAAGAAAUCAUAUGGGUUUUAAUUGUCAAACAAUUUAAAUGGAUGAAAAAAAUAUAUACAUAUUGUAAGGGAUUAAACUUCCUUGCCUAUCAUUGAUAGGAACCUACUGCUCCAACCUUGAAUUUAGGCAUAAAGCCUACCCUUAUUAUUCCAAAAUGCUUUCUUUUAAUCCUUCCCUACUAUGGAUAGCAAACCUAAAUAUUUAUCUAGGUUUGUGACCACAUUACUUCUAAUAGUUGUUUUAGAAUAUCUUUUUUGUUCCACCAUAGUAUUAGGAUUAAACAAUAACGCUAAUUUGUCAAAACUAAUUCUCUACCCAUAGCUUUCUUUUAUAUAACUUUAGCAUGCUCUUUAAUUUCUCAUCAUCAUCUUUAGAUGCUCUAGUAAAUAAGAGGCUAUCAUCAAUGAACAAAAAUUGAUUAACUUUAGGUCUAUAUCUACUAGCCUUUACACCUUAUAUUUGUUGGUUUUUUUGAAAUCUAGUACGAAUAGCUUAAAGUCUUUUUAAACAAAAUAAAAAAAAACAAGGUGAUAAGGAUCACCUUAUCAGAGUCCUCUACUAGGGAUGAAAGCAUUAGUAACUCUUCUAUUGAUAAUAAUAGAAUAAGACACAAAAAAAAUGCAAUUCAUAAUGUUUGAAAUUGAACUAUUAUCAAAGACUAUCUUGUCCAUCACAACCUUAAUAAAAACCACUCAACACAACUAUAAGCUUUGCUUAUAUCUAAUUUAAAAGCAAAGCUACUAUUUUUCCUUUGUCUUUUAGAUUUAGAGAGUGUAAUAGUUCAUAUCUAGAUAAAAUAUUAUUUGUAAUUAAUCUACUAGUUAUAAAAGCACUUUGGAUUUCACUAAUACAUUUAGAAAGAAAACAUUUCAUUAAAUUAUGUAGAACUUUUUAAAUUAGCUUGUAAAUGACAUUGCAAAGGCUAAUGAGUCAAAGUUGGGUUUUGUUUAGGAUUCUUGGCUUUUGGGAUUUGGACAAUGUAGGUUUCUUUAAUCUCAUGCCAUUAAGAACAUUUAGGCAAUAGGAAAUAAAAUUAUCACCUAUAAUAUGCCUAUAUUUUUGAAAAAAAAAAUUACUUUCAUACAUCUGGUCUUGGUAAUUUAGUGGGAUACAUUUGUUUAAGAGCUUCGAUUUAGUCAGGUUUGAAAUCCACUAACAAGAUCCUAUUCAUUUUAUCCGUUACUAUACAUUCCACCAUUUUAAGAAUGAUCUCUUUGUUGUGUGAGCCUCAGGAAUCAAAUAUGUCUUUGAAUUAGUUUGUCACAACUUUUUCAACUCCUUAUUUUUCAUUCUACCAAACUCUGUUAUCAUCUUCAAGACCUAAAUUGAAACCCUCUUUCAACCAAUCCACUUUAGCCCUUUGUUUCUAGUAUAGCUCUUCAUUAGCCAAUAGGUCAAUUCAAUUCUACUUUAACAAGUCUUUUUUUCUCUAAAAAGGCUUCAAAAAUUGCUAUCUCUUGUAAUCAACUUAACUACUUGCUUUAUAUUUCUAUCUUUUAUCCGAUACUACCACAUUUGUAGCACAUUACUUUUACAUUUUGCUAUUCACUAUCAACAUCUUGGACCAUAUAGAAAUGAUUAGAUUAGAACACCAUGCAUUGUUAACCAUAUCCUUACUUCCAAAUUCCUUAGUCCAUAUAGAUUCAAAAUUUUAUAUCCUUGCUUUUCUAUUUUCCCUCUUCUUAUUCCUACAUAUGUUGAGCAAUAUAAGGUAACAACCCAACCUAGAACAUGAUAGAUGUUCAACUAAAGAAUAAGUAAAAUUUUCACACUACUCAUUUGUUGUAGUAACCCUAGUAUUUCCCUUAACAAAUCUUUAGCUUUUUUUCUUUUUGUCCAAGUGUACCAGUUAUCUUUAAAACCCAGGUCCAUAAGAUUAUAGUCAAUUAAGGCAUCUAAAAAAGUAUCCAUUUGUUACACAGGCCACAAAUGGCCCUUAUUUUUCUUAUUGUCAUUAAAGAUCCUAUUAAAACCCCUAAGGUACACCUAAAAAAGUUAGGGCAAACUAACCAGAUCUCUAAGCAACGUUUAAGAUAUAUUUCGCAUUCUUAUGUCCAGUUUUCAAUAGAAUCUAGUAAGUCUUAUUGUAACCCUAGUUAUUAUCUACCUCUUUCAUGUUAAUAUAAUAUUUGACCAAAUGCUUUAAGCUGAAGAAAAGGUAUAAUUUUUUGACAUCAUGGCUAGCCUUCCACCUCUCCAAACACAAUCGAUUACCAAACAAUUAGGCAUGUUACAUUUCCUUCCAACUCCAUCAAAUUUAGCUUUUAUUAACCAUGUACCACUUAGAAAUACCAUUUUGAAAUCUUGUUUUUGAAUGAACUUAUGCAAAACACUAACCAUCCAUGGGUUCCCAAGCCCAUAGCAGUUCCAAGCUAAGGUUUUCAUGGUGAUUGAAGGGACUAGACAUAGUAUUCAGUAUUUAAAAUGCAACAUUAAUGUCAUCAUCUCCUUCACGUCUUUUAUUGAUUACAUCCACUUUCAUGUUAUAUGGAUUAUUGAUUACAUCCACUUUCAUGUUAUUUGGAUAGGCUACAAUAUCUAUGUUCUCCCUCUUUAUUGGUCAUUUGACACAUGUCCCUUGGUUCAAAGCCAUCUAUUAAGCAAUCUUCUUCCAAGUCCUAUGCACUUUUUUAUGUGUGCAUGAAUUAGUUAAAUAGUUAAUCUCAUUUUUAUACUCGAGAUAUAAUUAAAGUUACUUUUGCUUGUUGGCCUUGAUUUAAUGACAAGGAAGAAUCUUUAAAACUUUAGAUUUUAAGUUCAAGUCUCAUUAUGUGUGGGUUUGAUUGUUUAAUUGAGUUAUAGUUUAUUAGUUGAUUAUUCAGUAAUGUAAUAAUUGAUUACUUAAUUGAUUAUGCUAACAUAAUACUUGAUUACGACUAUAACUUUAAAAAUUUCCAGUUUAAUGGUUAAAAAAAAUUACAUUUUGAUACAUAAAAUUUAAAAAUGCAAUUGUGUGUUCAAGAUUUGUUUCCCUUUAUCAAUUCAUACAUGACUAAUUUCGUUAUUCAAAUUGUUGAUUUAAAAAAAUUACAGUAAACAAAUAUGCAUCACAUGUGUAAAAAAUGCUAUGUUAUUUUCUGUUAUAUUUAUAAUUUUUGAAAAUAUACAUUUAAAUUAAAAGAAUCUAAAAAACAAAAAUUACAAAUUACAAUAAGGAAAUCAAAAAAUUUUCAAAAAUUCAAAAUGGAAAAUGAUUUGGCAUUCUUCCUCCCUCUUUUUUUUUUUACCUAUUUCUAUUUUUUUCUUUUUAUUUUUUUUCAAUAUUCUUUUUAUAGACAACAACAACAACAACAACAACAAAAUUAAGUCUUAUAUCCCAUAAAUUUGGGAUUGACUAUAUAAUAGGCCAAAAAAAGAGAAUCAUAUUAGGUCACAGUUUUGAAUUUUCUUGCGUCAAUCAUUUCUAUAAAAAAUAACAUUUUCAUAAACUUCUUUAAGCCUCAUAUCAUUUUUAUUACUUGUAUCUAUGUUUUUCGUGGUCUACCUUUAGAAGUUUUUUUCUUUCCUAAAUUCACAAGGUUGUUUCUCCUAAUUGGUACACAAAUAGGCUUAUGUUUACGUGUCCAUACCAUCUCAAAUUACCCUUUUUCAUUUUUUUCUCAAUUUGAACUACCUAUAAUUUUCUUUGAAUCUCUUUAUUUCUAAUUUUGUCUCUUCUAGUUUUACCACACAUCCAUUUCAGCUUCUUCAUCUUAACUAUGCUCAUUUUCUUCUAAUGUUGUUUAUUAAGGGCCCAGCACUCAAUCUUUUAUAACAAUGCAUACCUUACAGUUUUAUUAUACAACUUCACCUUUAACUUUAAAAGUAUGUUGUGAUUACACAACACGCCCAAUGCACUUCAUCACCUCAUGCAUCCUGCUUGAAUCAUAGGAUUUACAUCCCUUUUUAUCUCAGCAUCGCUUUAAAUAAUUGAUCCCAAAUAUUAAAAAUGACUACUCUUUGAUACUACCUCACCAUCUAACUUAAUCACACUUGAAUUUGCUUUUCAAUGACUACUAAAGUUACAUUCCAUAUACUUAGUUUUAGAUCUACUCAAUUUAAAGCCUUCAGACUCUAUCAUAUGCUUCUAUAAUUUUAAUUUCACAUUAAAAUUAUCAUAGUUUCAACAACUUAGACUAUAUCAUGGGUAAGUAACAUACACCAUGGCAUCUUAUCUUGGAUAUGUCAGUGAGUUUGUCCAUAACUAAUGCAAAAAGAAAUGGACUUAUUACUAAACCUUGAUACGAUUUUGAGGUAAUGAGAGUGCUAUAAUCAAGCUAGCAAGCAUCCUUACAUUCGUUACAACUCUUUUAUACAUAUCUUUUACUAUGUUGAUGCACUUUAAAAAAACUUCUUUCUUCAUCAAGGUCCACCAAAGCACUUUUAAUAGAAUUCUAUGAUAUGAUUUUUCCUAGUUGAUAGACACCAUAUGCAUAUCUUUCCUUCUAGCCUGAAAGCCUUUUAACAAAAGCUUCAAUAGGUGAAUUACCUUUGUUAUGGAGUGCCCUAGUAUAAACGCAAAUUGGUUUUAAGAAAUAAUGACCUCAUGGCACAACCUACAUUCAAUUACUCUUUCUCAAAGUUUCAAAGUGUCACUCAUAAACUUUAUUCCUCGAUAACUUGAAUAAUUUUGUAUAUCACUUUUAUUCUUAUAUAAAAGCACUAUAGUACUAUUUCUCCAUUUUUCUGGUAUCUUUUGAGUAUGUUAAAUUUUAUUGAAAAGAUCUGUCAAACAUCCUAUCCCUAUUUCACCUUAGCAUUUCCAAACUUUAAUUGGGAUUUCGUAUAAUCCUACAACUUUCUUUGCUUUCAUUAUUCUCAAAGCCUUUUAAUCUCAUUUUUUAACAUUAUGUUUAAAUACAUGAUUUAUAUCCUUAUAAGGUAUGUUAAGCUCACCUAUCUCAUGCUCAAAAUUGUCAUUAAAGUGAUUAUCAAAAUAACUCUCCAUCUACUUCUUAAUCUCCUUAUCUUUUAGUAAAACUCUUUCGUCAUUGCCUUUAAUGCAUCUUACACUAUUAAGUUCUCUACUUUUCUUAUCCUUCAUUUUAGCAAUUUUGAACAAAUAUUUUUUUUCAUCUCUUAUCUCUAGUUUUCUAUAUAAUUCUUAAUGGAUUCUAGUUUUUGAAUAUCGAAUAACCUUUUUGGCUUCCUUUUUUGCUGUCUUAUACUUCAUAUAACUUACCUCAUUUUUAUUGCUUCUUAAAUUUCUAUAACACUUUCACUUAGCUUUAAUUAUCAUUUUCACAUCCUCAUUCUACCACCAAGAUUCCUUUCCUAAUGGUGCAUAAUCUUUAAAUUUGUCAAGUGGUUUUUUUCGCAACCUUUUGAAUUUUAAUAGAAAUAUUUUUCCCUCAUUUCUUCUUCAUCCUCAUAUUUUUACAUAUGAGAGGUUUCAUGGGUAUGUUUGUUUGUUUGUUUGAUAAAUUACAUUUCAUAUGAUUAGAGGGAAAUGAAGACUUAUAAGUUAAGAGUACUUCAUAAGAUAAAAAAAGACUUAUAAGUCAAGAAUAUUAAGAGCAAAAAGAUUUUUGGUGGGCACAAGUUAUAAGUAAUGAGAGAUUUAUAAAUACGGUCCAUAUAUGUAGGUAUGCUUGAAUGUUUGAUGUGUGCAUAUUCUAUAGGACUAAAGAAGAAUGAAAGGUUUUAUGGAUGUGUGUGUUUGUUUAUUUGAUAGAUUACACUUCAUAAGAUUAGAGGGUAAUGAAAAGGUCUAUAAGUAUUGUAUGUGAGUGUUGAUGAUUUGAUGUAGUUGUAAUUCCUUACAACUACUUGAUCUUUUUGCUCAUUAGUGGAUAUAGGCAAGUAGAGUGUUGAACUACAUUAAAUUUUUAACUAUUGUGUGAAUGAUUUAUGGUUGAGUAUGCUUCCACUUGCUCAAUUAUUUAAUUGAUUAGGUUUUUUUUACCUAACUGUUGGUAUCAAAAUAAAGAUGUGAAAAGAGGCAAACUUGAAGGAGCUCAAUAAUAGGGAAGAGUUCGAAUUCUUAUUUUGAAAGAUUGGUUUAUGUGAAGCUUAAAACCAUAAAAGGAAAAAUUAUUAUAAGAAUUCCAUUGCAUGUGAAGCCAAAUGUGUCUAGCAUAAAAAACAAUGAUUUGAUGUAAUUUAAGUCAAGAUAGAAAUUGUUAAGAAGAUUAACUCAAAGUCUAAACGUUUUAGUAAGAGAUUCAUUUGAUAUUUUUUCAAGAUUUGUAAAAUAUUACUUAAUGUACAAAAAGACUUAUAAGGCAAGACUUGUAAAUGGAAAAAAAUUCUUAGUAGGCAAGACUUAUAAGUUAUCAGAGUUUCAAUAAGGUUAGCUAUGAAAAAAGCUGUAAAGAGAGUUAUAAAAUUUUAUAGAGUAGAUACCUAUAGAAUUAGAAGACAAUGAGAAGGCCAUAAGAGUGUGUUUGUUUGAAUAUUUGAUAUGUGAAUACUCGAUAAAACUAGAGAAGAAUGAGAGAAUUUAUAAGAAUGUGUGCUUGUUUUUUUGAUUGAUUACGUUUCAUAAGAUCAGAAGAUAAUAAAAGGGCUUAUAGGUGUAUGAGAUUGUUGAUGAUUUGAUGUGUUUAUAAUUCUCUAACUGUGGAUAUUUUCUUUCAUCUGUGAAUGUAGGUAAGUGUUGAAUAAUGUUAAAGUAAUAUUUCUAAUGUGAAUAAUUAAUUAUGUUUUACAUAUGAUUUUGCUAGCUUGAAUUAAUUGAUUCUACUUGUCAUAACAGUUUUAGGAAUUACUAGAUGAAAAUUUAAAAAAUCUAAUCAAAAUUGGAGGAGUCAUCACCAAUAUUUCUUGAAUUUUUUUGGUUAUGUGUGAUUAAACACCAGAAAUUUUAAAAUCUUAAAGUUAAUUAAAGCUUAUUAAAAAUAUUAUUUUUGGUCUAUGAAAAAUAAAGUUGGGUUUAAGAGUACAGUUAAGCGUGGAGAAAAUUAGCAUCCAUGUAAUGCAUGUUUGAAAAAUGAUACCAAUUGAUUAUGUGUUAUUCCUUAACACUGAUAAAAGUUAUUUUACUUUUGAUAUUUAAAAAUAAUUCCCUCAAUUUUUCCUAUUGCAAUAAAAGCCCUUGUUUUUUUUUUUGUAAGAAACUUUUUUACUAGAAAAAUAAAUAAGAACCUUGUGUAUUAAAAAAUCUCUAAAAAAUUCCAAUAUUUGGCAAUAUUAGGAGGAACUCUCUCACCUAGUGAUCUCUUAAGAAUCACUACUUGGACUUUUUAAGAAUCCUACUUCAAUAGUUCAUAUUUAUCUUUAAAAUGAAUUUUUAUAAUACAUAUAAUAAAUUGAUACUCAAAUUUAACCUAACUAAUAUUUUCUUUAUAAAAAUUCAGUUCUUAUCUUAUUAUUAAAUAAAAAGUAAAUGAAAAUUUUUAUUGAAAAUCAUUCUAAAUGUCUUAGUACAUUGGUAGCGUUUUAAAAAAAUCUUCUCACCUAAUGAUUUCUAAAAAAUCUUAUCACCUAGAGAUUUCUAAAAAAUCAUUACUCAGACUUCUUUAGGAUUUAAUUGAUUAAUGCAAGUAAUAUUCAUGCAUUAUUAUUUCAAAAAUGGAUUCUCUUAUUUUAUUUUUCUUUCAUUUUUCAAACUUCACAAAAACAUAAGUAACUAAAAACCCCUUUAUAUUGAAUAUCUUUCUAAAUACUUCAAUAUUUUGGUAAUAUUUUAAAAAUAUAUUCUCACUUAGAGAUUUUUAAAGAAUCAUUAUUCUGAUUUCUUUAGAAUCUCAACCUUAGAAAGAUUUUCAUUUAUUUAUUAGAAUUUCAUAAUAAAAAUCUUACACUAACAUAAUUACCCAAAAAUAAAUUUAUUUCCUAAAAAUGCCUAUUUUUUAUUUAUUCAUAUAUAUAUAUAUCUAUAUAUAUAUAUAUCUAUAUAUAUAUAUAUUUAAGUCACUAACCUAUAUUACAAGCACAGAAACAAAUAAAUGUAAAGACAAAACUAAAUAAGAAAACAUACCCAAAUUAAACCUUUGAACUAAAGCCCAAAACAACUUAAGUAUUGGACUCUAUAUCUGUUGUCCAAAAUGGGGCCACCUGGGUUAGGCCUCCCUUGGGUUGUAGGUCAAGUCAACUGCCUUUUACAAAGAAAAAGAUUGCAGUCUUAUUCGUGAACACUCUUUAAGCACCUAUUAUGACAAAAUGAUUAGAAAUGCCAUAAAAACUUUUACAGACAUGGUGAUUUCUAGAGAAAUAAUAAAGAAUGUAAUCAAUAGUGAAAAGCUCGAUAGAAGAGAUGUGAAGAAAGAGAAAGUUUCCAAGAAGAUUAAAAGGGAUGUCCAAGCUGUGACUUUGGGGGCAACAAUUUAGAAGAUUUGUCCCGUAUUACCCUCACUCAAUCUACCAUGCCUACUACCCUACCAUAAACAAUGUCUUAGCAAAUCCCUACCUACAUCAACCAAUACCACAAUUAGGAUCUCAACAAAGCCUUACCAAGCACUUAUUCAUGCACCUUUACCUCAGUUUAACAAACCUAUUGGCAAUAAAAAAAGACCAUGGAACAACCAAGAUAGAACUCACAUUGAUCUAAUUCUAAUUUUUUACACUAAGUUAUUUCUGCAGCUCAUUGAGAAAUGCCUUAUUACAUCGAUCCAUUUAAACCUAUUGAAACCUUCAUACCCCAAUUGGUACAAAUGAAAUGCCAAAUGCUAGUAUCAUUAUGGGAAUGUGGUUCAUUCGAUAGAAAGUUGCCCUGCUUUCAAACAUAAAAUGCAAAGUUUAAUCAAGCUAGCUUGUUGAACUUCGAUAAAAAAGCAAGAUCGAGUGUUAGUGGGGAAUCUUUUUUCUUAUCACAUUAAGGCAUGGUGAUAGGAAAGGAUAGGGUUGCUUGCCCUUUUUUUUUUUUUUUUGAUCUUUUUGAAAGUAAUGUUAUUGCCUAAAUGUUUAAGCCUGUAAAGAUCAAAGGACUUUUUUGGACUUUCAUUUUAUCUUUAUCAUUUCAAUGAAAUGGCAAUGAUGCAUUUUCAUUUCCUCUUUCAUUCAAAUCAUUAUUUUGCACUUUUGUAUAUCUUUUCAUAUAUUUCCUUUUACCUAUUAUCAAAUCCUAAGUAAUGAAUGUUAAGACAAUGAUGAUAAUAAUUUAUGAUUCAAUUUUGAAAAUACAUUCAUAUCAAAUGAGAUCAAUGAAGCAAAAAAAGUUAAUGUUGGCAAAAAUAGAGUUGUUCUUGCAAAGAUAUGAUCAUUCAGCAACAUUUGUCAAUAAGCUCAUCAUUUAUUAAUUUAUAUUCUUCAAAAGGGUACUCAUGUUUGAAAUUAAAGAUGACUAUAUUUCUUUUUUCUUUUUAUACAAUAAUAAAAUAAUCCAUUGUUACCCUUUUUUAGCCUAUUCUGAUUUUUUUGAAAAAAAUCUACCAAGGAUCAUUCCUCAUACUAGGGAACAAAAUUUAAAAGAAAACUUAUUCACAAAAAGAAGGUAAAGGUCACGAAAGAUAUAAAAAAAAGCAUACAUAGAAAGAAGAAAUAACCUUUUUAUGUUUGAAACCUCAUCAAAAAGGAAAAAUAUUGAAAAUAAAAAAGUUGAAAAUGAUAAGAAUGGCAAAAGUGAAUAUAAAAAGGCAAAAAAAUAAAGAGAUGCUUAUGGAGUAAGGGACAAAAUGCCAUGGUACUUUAUUUUGAUAAGUAAUGAUCUUUUAGUUUGUAAGCCUUUAAACUUGCAUGUUUUGAGCCUAUCCAUUUUUUUACAGCCUUGCAUCAUAGCCUACAUUACAUGCCUUAAAUGUCUAUAUUGAUCAAAUGUGAUUACUUAAGUUGAAGAAACAUAUGUUGCACUAAGGAAUGCUUGUGGUAUCAUUCAAGAAUGAUGAGAUUAUAGCUAUUUCUAAUGUUUGGGAAUUGAUUUUGAAUUUGAUAGGGGAUUGUGAUGAAUGAAAACUAAAAAAAGGAAAAAAAAAGAGAAAUAAGAAAAGAAAAAAAGCAAAAAGCAAAAAGCAAAAAAAAAAAAAACUGAGGAAAAAAUAAGACUUAAAUUGAAAACCUAAAAAGGUAAUUUGGAUAGAAAAUACUUGUGUUGAAAAUAAAAAUCGAGGCAAGGUGGAUGAACUCAGAAUGAAAGUUCAAAAACAUUUAAAAAUCCUGCGAAACUAAGGCCAGAUUAGAUGAAACUCAAAAUGAUUUAGAAAAUAAAUGGAAAAGAAUUUUAAAUUAAAAUUCAAAAUUGUUUGAGUAUUUGAUUGCCCCUUUUCAUAUAACCUGCAAGUGCACAUAUCAAGUAAUAAAAGGAAGUAUUCUAGUAUCAUCUAUUUAGAGAUUAUAGCAUGUAAUGUUGGGUUGCUCUUCAAGUACCAAUGGUAAAACCCUAAGUUCUUAUAUCUAUACAAAUGAAAAUUUAGGGUUUGGUUACAAAGAAAAGUAAAGAUUAAAAGUGAUGUGUAGGUAGGAAUCUUGACUUCACCAACUAUCAUUUGGAAAGUAAAAGAAGAUUGCCAAAGACUAAAUCUAAGAAAAAAGAAUUUAAAGCUUGAAAAUUAAAGAAACUUGAGAAGGUUAAAUGCUUAUAGUGAACUUGGAAUAAAGAUUGCAUGAAAAGAACUUAAAGAACAUAAAAGAAAAUGUAGUCGAAUCUUGUAACAAAUAAAAGAAAGCUUAAAUCAACCUUGAAAGAAAAAGAAAGCUUUGCUGAAAUAAAGAUUGUAAAAAAAAUUAGAAACUUAAAGCAAUAAAAGAAAAUAUCCUUGGAGAAAUAUUUCUUGAGUUGAAUUAAAAGAAUUUAAAGAAACAGAAUCUUUGUUAUUAGCAAAUCUAUUACCUAAGCCAAAAACUCAACUAAUGAAAUAAAAGAAAUAAAAACUAAAAAUUAAAAGAAAGAAGAAAAGUGAGGAAUGGGAUGAUGGAAAAGGGGUGAAUGGCCUUUUUAUUUAUAAUGGAGGUUUGGCUAAAAGGGAUAGGAAUACGAAAUGUGUUUUCAAAUAAUGGAAACUCUCUUGAAGUCUUGGCUGAAUAGGAUGGAGCUUGGAGAGUCCAUGCUUUUACAAAUUAAUCUUCCCCUUUGCAAGGUCGAAUGUAUAGAGUCUUUAUACCACACAAUUGCUUCAUGGCUAAACAAAGUAGUAAUACUUAGAUUAAAACUUUUCUUUGGCCAAACAUGAUAGACUCCAAAUGAGCUUAUAAUUGCAGCCAAUCUUCCUUGGAAGUGAUCUAGCCGAAUCCAUCAUUAAGAGAAUCCUUGUGCAAUUGAAACUUUGUGAAUGUGAGACAACGUGGUUCAGCUAUGAGCUUUCGAUAUUAGGCCAAAAUUGCUUCUUGCUUGCAUGGCUUGCAUGAAAAUGAUAUCCAUGAGCCUGAAAACCUAAAAUCAUGAAAACAACAUGAAAAACACCUAAAUUCUUUCAAAUUUAAAAAAAUUAGCACCAUUUUUUACAAGUAAAAACUUUAUAUAUUUAGGUGCUAUCAUACCCCUACCCUUAAAUCUUUGCUUGUCCUUAAGCAAAACCUCAAAUCAACAAAAUUAAAUAUCAAUAGUCAUACGUACAAAGUCAAAAACUACAUAAAUUUCCUAGCAUGUAUUAUUGUAUAAUACAAAGUUAAGAAUAAACAUAGAGUUUCAAGAAAUUUCUUCAAAAACAAGCUCUGAAUAUCUCACGCUCAAUUCACAUAUACAUCUACUCAAUCUUCAAUUCAUGCAUAUAACUCAAGUAAAAAUAAUGUAAAACACGUCAUCACAUUCAAUUCAAAGACAUAAUAGAUUUUAUAUGUUCACAUUCCCCUUCCCUCUCCACUAUUGUUAGACUUACAUACUUGACUCAAGAUGAAAAGGUUUAAGCUUGUAAUGCAAGGCUUGGGUCAAGGUUGGAAAAUAAAAAUUUUAAGCUAAAAAUUCUAAGCUUACUUUCUAUCAACUUUUUGGACUUUUAACAAGUAUGAGCUCUUUUUGAAAUUGACUUGUGAAGCAUUACUUUAUUUUUUUCUUUUAUUCAUGGCAUUUUUUUAUUUUUUAAAACAACACUUAGCCUUUUUUAGCUUUCUUAGGCUUUACCUUUUAUGUUUUCCAUUUUCGUUUUGUAUUCCUUACACCUCCCUUCUCCAAAAAUCAUAAACAUGUCUAUACACAAGUAAGCAUAAUGGGUUGGGUAAAACAAAAGAAAUGAUAAUGAUAAUAAUAUUAAUAAUAAUAAUAAUAAUAAUAAUAAUAAUAAUAAGAAAUGGCUUAUUGGCUUAUUAUGUGGCUAAAUUAAAUAAAGAAAAUGAUUAAUAUAAAAGGCUCAAAAUAAGGGUACUAAGGACGCAUCGUAAUAGGGUGGGCUUAAAAAAGGCUCAAAUGAUUUGAAGAACUGCCUAGAUGAGUCAAUACAAUAUAAGAUUUCACCUUAAAGGUUGAGUAGGUAAAUUCUAAAGCACUUAUUUACCUCUUCAAAUUUUGAUGCAAUUCCACUUCUCACAAACUUUCACAAAUAUUUUAGCAUUUCAUAUAAUGAGAAUAGAAAUAUAUGUAUAAAAGUCAUAUCCACAGAAAGGCGUGCUUAAGAAUUCCUUUCAGGUCUUAUUCAUUCAUAAUCAAUUUCAUAUCAUACUUUAGUCAAUUUUGAAUAAUAUAUAUAACCCUAACUAAAUGAACAUCAUAAUGAUUUUUAAUAUGUCAAUUUAGUUUGAAAGUAAAAAUGGAUUAGGAUUUCAAAAUCAUUUCAAGUUUAAAAGUUUUCUUUUUCCCCCCACAUUUAAAUGGAAAAUUAUAUUAAACAACAAGGGAAAAUGAAAUACUCAUCAAAUUUCUUUCAAGGCCAAAUUCCAUUUGCAUGAAACAUCAUCCUUACUUCACUUCAUUUUUAAAAGCAACUUAAACAAACUAUUAAAAAUAUAUCUAUUCUAAUAAAAGAAAAAUUAAGAAAACAAAAGGUUUAACCAUUAAAAUAGAACUUGGUUGCCUUCCAAGCAAUGCUAGUUUUGAUCAAGCCUAACCAUCCUUAAAUCUAUAAAAAUCAUUUUAACCCUUUGAAAGGAACUUACCUUGUUGCCUCCUUUUUAUGGAAUAACAUAAACAGAUUUCAUUUUUGGAGGUGUACUAGCCCUCCUAACGGGGAUAACAUACAUAGAACUUGAAUUCCAUAUGGGGUUGGAGUUGGGGGUUACUAAAUGAUUUAAAGGGUCAAGAGGUUUAUCUAUUAGGUCAGACUUUUUAGAGGUUUCUUUUACCUUGAUUGCAUUAACAUAUUUUUCAUCUCUAAGAACUAAAAAAAUAAAAACUAAGAACUAAGAACUCAAAGAAAAAAAAAGAAGUGAAGAAUGGGACAAUGGAAAGAAAUGAAUGGCCUCAUUGUUUAUAGUGGAGUGUUUGGCCAAAGGGGAUAAAAAUACGAUAUGUGUUUUUAAAUUUAAUCUCUAGAUGAUAAGUCUCAUCUUUAUCUUUAGGAGGCAUAGCCAAAUAAUACUUUUUCAAGCUUGAGCAUACUUGGUCAACUGGGGUCUUUAUAGUGCAAUCUUGGCUUUUGAAUAAAGCUUGAAUAAAUCUUAAUAAUUUUCCUCCCUUGAAUUCGGCUAAGGCUUGAAAAUUUAAGAGUAAAUUGAUUUUUAUCCAAUUCUUAAAUUUCAAAAUGGAUAAAAUCUUACUCUAAGUCAAAAUCUUUAAGGCGAAGCAACAAGUUUCAUAGUGAGCUUCUAAUUCUUCUUGGCCGAAUGUGUGUAGCCUUAAUUAUGGCAAAAAUUUGUAUGAAGACUCUCUUGAAAUCUUGGCCAAAUAGGAUAAAGCUUGCAGAGUCCAUGCUUUUGUAAACUAAUAUUUCUUUUUGCAUGGCUGAAUGGAUAGAGUCCUUAUGCCAUGCAAUUGUUUCACGGUUAAGUAAAUAAGUCAUGCUUGGAUCAAAACUUCUAUUUGGCUAAACAGGAUGGAGUACAAGUGAGUUUAGAAUUGCAUAUAAUCUUUCUUCAAAAUAAUCUAGUUGAAUGAAUCAUUGGGAAAGUCAUUGUGUAAUUAAAACUCUAUGAAUAUGGGAUAAUGUGGUUUGGUAAUAAGUUUCCAAUAUUGGGCAAAAUUUGCUCCUUGUAUGCAUGGCUUGCAUGAAAAUGAUAUAUAUGAGAUUGAAAACCUAAAAUCAUGAAAACAACAUGGAAAACACCAAAAUUCAUCCAAAAUUUAAAAAUUAACAUCAUUUUCUACAUGUUAAAGCAUAUAUUUAGUUGCUAUUAGUAUUCAUUAUUUGGAUGAUGCUAUCCCAUCUAAACAAUUGUCACAAUAAAUUGCCUUUGUUCCUUUUCCUAUUUAUUCUUUACCAUAUUUAUUUAAUUCUUUUCCAUAAUGAAUACCUCAUUUCUCUAAUGUAUUUUGGUCUUUACUAUCUUUCAUCAUCAUAACAAAUAGAGGAAGCAUAUGAUUAUAUUACAUUUGUCAUGAAAUCGGAAUGAUGAUGAAGAAAUAAAUGGUAAUGUCCAUAAAAGAUCCCCACAUCAAUUUGAAAAACAAUAUAGAAUAAUGAGGGACAUGAAAUGAAAAUAAUGAAACAAGAUAGAGAUGAUAUUGGUAUCCAAUGCCUUUACAUUAAAGAAAAAACUUUAAGAGGAACACUAAUAUUAUAAUGGCGAAGAAUUGGUGAAUUUUGAAGCUAUAAGUGUUGGAAAGGUUAAAAUGAAAGAACAUAAGAUGGCACGAAGAAAAAAAGUCUUGAAGACAUUUUUACCACAUUUAGUGGUGCAUGACUUUUGUUUUCAUUGAUACUUGCAUUUAGGAUAUUCAUCACAUGUAUAAAGGAUAAAAAUGUCAAUCUUUAGUUGAAAAAAAAUUUAAAAGACUAAGAUUUUUACUUUUUGGAUGAAGAAAACUUUCAUAGAUGAGAUUUUUUAUACUCAAAUGAAGAUUUUUCAAGAUAAGAUUUUUAACCCCUAAUUAAAGAAAUUUUUGGUAGAAAAAUAAGAAUUUGACACUCAAAGUCAGAAGAAUUUGCAAGAUUUGUUAAGCCUUGGUUAAGGAAAAUGUUGAUUUUUAAAGGCAUUAAACGUUUUAUUAAAAAGCUCUUUUCAAGAUAAGGUUUUGCAAAAGUGACCUUUUACUUACAAAUCUUUAAAUUUUUUACAGUGAAUCUUUGAAACCCUUCUACAAAUCUUUGAAUCUUUUAUGAAUUUUUGAAAUUUUUUUUAUGGAUCUUUGAAUUUUUUUCAAAACUUUGAAAUCUUUUAUGAAUCAUUGAAAUCAUUUUUGAGCUUUUGCAAACUCUCAAUGUGAAUCUUGAACAUUCAAUGUAAAUCUUAAAGUCUUUGAUGUUAAUUUAGAAACUCUUGAUGUGAAUCUCAAACCUUUAAAUGCGAAUUUUUUACUUUUAAGAUGCGAAUCUCUUCAAAUAUGAAUCUUUGAUUUCUAGAUUUGAAUCUUUAAAAUUUUUAAAUGUAAAUCUAUGAAAUUUUUAUAUGUGCAUUUCUAAAAUUUUCAAAUAAGAAUCUUUGAUUUUUAUGAAUCUUUGAACCCUUCAUAUUUGGAUUUUUUAUUUUUAAAUAUGAAUCGUUGAAAAUUUUAAAUGUGAAUUUCUAAAUUUUUCAAAUGAAAAUCUUUAUUUUUUAAAUGUGAAUCUCUAAACCCAUUAUAUGUGAAUCUCUAAAAUUUUCUAAUGAGAAUCUCUAAGUUUCUAUUUUCUUCAUAUGUAAAUUUUUGAGAAAAGAAUUGUUUUCAAAAAAUAAAUUUAGCAUCCACGUGCAAAUGUAUUACAGUUUUGGCUUUACAUAUUUGUAAAAGGCAUCUGUGUAAUUUUUUGCAUUUUCAGAAGGCAUUUGUAUCAUGGGAAGGACACUUGCAUUUGCAUUAUUAGUAACCAUUUUUGCAGAAUAUCUAUAUUUGCAUAAGAACUUUUGCAUUUGCAUAUUGUAUCAUGAGAAGGACACUUGCAUUUGCAUUGUUCAUAACCAUUUUUUUAGAAUAUCUGCAUUUGCAUAAGAACUUUUGCAUUUGCACCAUCAUUUUAGAAAAGACAUUGUCGAUUUUUUAAAUAUUGAAAAGAAAAUUAGAAAAAUUUUGUCAAAAAAAUUAAAAAAAAAAAGAGAAAAGAAAAAGUUUGUAGAAAACAAAAGGUUUCCAAGGAGUGGGUAAGGUAUAUUGUAUCUAGAAAACAAAAAGAAUGAGCAAAGUUUUUUGUUUUAGAAUGGUAAAAAUGUUGAAAACUUUUCAAGAUUUUCAAGAUGAAAUUUAUCAAGAUUGAGAAUUCAAGCCCAUAGCAUCAGUUAGAUUGUUAAGGCCAAUCUAGUCGGCACAAAGUUUUAAGCCUAGUUAAGUUAGUUCAAGUUGAAAGUUUUAAGCUUAAUCUGGUUGGAACACAGUUUCAAGCCAAGUUAAGUCGAAACGAGAUGAGAGUUUUAAGCCUAAUCUAAUUGACACAAAUGAGAUUUAAGCCCGUUAAGUUGGCACAAUGUGAGAGUUUUAAAGUUCAAUGCCUCUUAUUAAAAGAGCCAAUUUUCAUAUGAGAUUUCUAAAGUUUCAAUGCCUCUAAUUAAAUGAGCCUUCCCAAAUGAGAUUUUUAAAAUUUCUUAGCUUCAGUUUAGGAAGAGCCUUUCAAAUAAAAUUUUAAAAUUGUGAAGCAUUUGUUUAAAGAAGCAUUCAUUAAUGUCAAGAUUUAUUGAACUUUAAAGCAUAGUCUCUAAGUUUUCCAAGCAGGAUUUGUAGGUCUUACAAGCUGAAUCUUUUUUAUUGUCAAUAUUUGUAAGACCUUCGGGUAUAGUCUCCAAAUCCUUUGAGUAAGAUUCGUAAGUCUUCUGAGUUGAAUAUGUUUUUGUGUUGAGAUUUGUAAGAACUCCAGGCAUAAUCUUUGAGUUAUCAUAAUCUAUUUUAAAGUUAUGAAGUUUUUGAUUAGUGGAGUUUUCAUUUCAAUUUAUUUUCAAAAAGUUGUAAAACUUUUAGUGAGUUAACCUCUAAGUUUAUUGGCAUUAGUUUUAAAAAAAUGAAAUUAAAAAAAAUGUAAAAAGCAAUAGUAAAAAACAAAAAAAAAGGAAAAAUGAAAAAAAGAGUUUUAAGCUAUCGAAAUAAAUAAAAUUAUUGCCUAUGUCUUUACCCUAUUCUUGGUUUUUUGUAACAUAUAAAAAGUGGCAGUUGUGGACUCAUAAUUUUAUCUAGCUUAAUUGAAACAAAUCAUAAUUUUUAUGUUUCAUUUAGGUCCAUUUAAUCACCUCUGUUUGGGUUUCAUCUUACUAGGUUUGGUUGCAUAAGUCUUGUUACAUGGGUCAUUUGGGCUUGGAAACCUAAAGUUUAGGCCAUUUGGGCUUAAUAGCUAGUGGUCCAAAUCUUAAAAGCCAAAAGCCCAUUAUAUCAAAAAAUUUUAUUUUCCAUUCUAAUUAAAGAACUAACCAAAAUUGAAUAAAAAAAGAGGGGGGAUGUGCCAUGUAUGACACCAUCAACACGAGCUGUUAGCCAUGCAUUUUGGCCAUCCUACUCAUCGAACCUCCAAGCGACCCUACCAACCACCAUUGCUAGCCGAAAUUAAGUACCAUCAACCCUCUAUCUUACCUAUAGCCCUUCACUUUAUCCCCUAAAUCUCUAUCAAAACCUAAAAGUUGAAAAUGCUUAUACAAAUCGAACAAAAAAAUCAACAAAGGGAAGCCAUUUUUCUUGGGGCACCAAAAGCUCUACUAAAGAAAACCCUGAGAACAACAUUCCUUACCGACACCCUUAAACUACAAUCACUAAUAGCACCAUUGGCCACCACAAAGAACAAUAUUAUCCCAAGCAAAAACUAACCAUCAGUAAGCAAAAACCACAGCUGCGGUGACCUCAAAAGACCAAAUCUCUACCACCAAACCAGAGAUUUAAAUUGCGGUAAUGGUCACGUUUUUGGUCACAUCGCGUUUGUCAUGAUUGUAGAUAUAACGGAGACCUUCGGGGACAUUGCGAUUAUUGCGAUCGUGAAUUUUUUUAAAUUUUGCUCAACUUGCUAUAAAAUAUAAUAAUUUUAAUUAUUAAUUAUAAAACCUCUUAUUUUAUAAUUUUUAAAGUAAUUUAUAUCAUAUCAUGUGUUUAUUUAUUGAAGAAAAAAUAUUUAUAGUAAAAUAUUCAUAUUUAAAAAUUUAUUUAUAUGAUAAUUAAAAAAAUAAAAAGAGAUAAAUAAAUAUGUGAAAAAUAAAUAAUCAUAAUGAAUAAUAUAUUUAAUUAUUUAAUUAUUGUAUUCAUCAAAUUAUUACUGAACUAUAUUAUGCAUAAAUCAAAUAAUAAGUGAUUAGGUAUUCAUAAAUUAAGUAAGAGCAUUAUUAUUUAUGAGUUAAAAGAAUUGCUUUUUAUGAAUUUACAGUAAAUCAAACUUGACAGCCUCCAUGUUAUGGGUGAUUUUCAACAAUAAUAACCUCAAGUCUACUUCCCUUGUCUCUUGACUAAAUUGCACAGACCCACACAACUUCUCAUCCCUUCACCUUGCAUUUAAUAAUUUUUUUCUCCAAACCUUUAUCCUUAUCCCCAUCUCUCAGUUCUCUUUUUAUUUAGUGUGUGCUAUCUGCUUGCUUCUGUAAAUCUCAAGUUUCACUCUCAUUUCUUGUCUCUUGUUUUAAGUCUCAGCAACUCUUGCCUCCUUCUAUCAAUGUAACAUAGCCCAAUCUAAUCCCAAACACACAAAAUCAUGGCAAAUUUGAAAAUUAAAAAAAAAAGAAGAUAAUUUGAGUGUUGAAUUAAUUGUUUACUUUAAAUUGCAUAUACUUGAUUUUGAUUGAAGUUGAACUUGAGAGAAUUGAUUUUUUUGAAAGUUUAAGUUUUGUGGGUUUUUUUUCUGAAUUUGUAAAUUGAUGUUUAUUUUCUUUCUUGUUGUUUUUAUUUUAAGUUUUUAAAGAAAAUAAAAUGAUUUUUUUUGAAUUUUUGAAUGAAAAUAAGAAUAGUAGCAAUAGUGGUAAUAGCGGGCAAUAGCGGACCGCUAUUGCCACUAUUUACCGUUAUAUCAUAAUUUAUGACCGCGAUUCAUCCGCUAUAGAUGAGAUUCAAAUUCUCCCCCAUUUUUUCUCCAAUAGCGAUGGUGGAUAGUGGCGCGACCGAGAAAUAGCGACCGCGAUACCGCUAUCCGACUGCUAUUUGAAUCCUUGCACCAAACAACAACCCACUUAUAGAGAUCGCUAUAAACCACCAAAAGCCAAUAAUAAGAAAAAAAAAACACAUCCCUUUUUAUAGAGAAUAGCAACUGAAUACACCAAUUUUUUUUUUUUUUACAAAUAUCAAAAUUGGGAUUUCAAAUUUAUGGUGUUGAAGGAGGUUUUAGGCUAGGGUUUUUUGGAAUAGAGGGAGCCUCGUACAAGGUGAGAGACAUAGUUGAAAAUGAUGGUUUUUAAAGUGGCAGAAGGUAGGGAUUUUCUUGGUUGAAGAGGAAAUUUUCAUCCUAGGUCUAGGAAAAUCUAUAAACUUUUGGGAAAAUCUAAUCUUGUAGGUUGAAGGAAGGGAUCAAGGGGAGUUUUUAGGUGUUUUUUUGGAGCCAACCAACAUCAAUGAGUGGCGAUCAACGAUGGCUAAAGGCGAAAGAGGUGACAGCUGGUGGUGGCAAAUCGUAGGAAUCUGGGAUUAGGUGGCCAAUGUUCUUGGAUUUUAAAAGUGUUGGAGGCUUUUUUGAGAGGAAAUGUUUGAAAUGAAAUAAAUAAAACUUGUCUUUUAUAGAAAAAAAUUCAAACAAUCGAUGAACUGAACCCAACUCAAGGUUUGGGCACUCAACCCGUGCUAGGCUACAAUUGACCAUUCCUAGAUCUGUCUAAUUAAACCACAAUUGAAUCAGUCAAAUCACAACUAAAUCAAUCAAAUCACAACUGAAUUGGUCGAAUAUUUCUAAACACUUAAACUAGUCUAAGGAACCGCUGAACUGAAUCAGACUAUCAUUGAAACAUUGACCAAUUUUGAUUAGUUUUAUUAGGUAAUUUUUUUUUUUUACUUUGUUAAGUUAUUUUGUUUAUCUAUGCAUUUUUAAAUUUUUAAAAAUAAAUAAAUAUUUUUAAAAAAUGUUAAAAGAUUUUUGUAAAAAAAAAAUUAAACCCUCCGAUGAUGAGAUAUUAAGAAAAUGUGAGUAAUGAUUCCUUAAAAAUCUUUAAGUGAGGAUAUUUUCUAAAAUGCUAUCAAAGUACUAUAGUAUUUAGAAAGUUAUUCAACAUAAGAGGUUUUUGUUUAUUUAUUUUUUAUAUUGUUAAAAUUGAAAAAGAAUUAAAGAAUGAGUUAUUUUAGGAAUAAAAUUACAUAUAAUAAUAUGAAUAUUAUUGGCAUUAAUUAAUUAAAAAAUAUGAGCCGAAGAUGAUACUCUAAGAAAAUCCAAGUGGUGAUUCUUAAAAAAUCUCUAGGUGAGAAAAUUUUUUCUAAUAUUACUGAUGUACUAGAAUUGGACUAUCAUUGAAACAUUGACCAGUUUUGAUUAGUCCUAUUGGGUAAUUUUUUUUUAUUUCUUUUACUUUGUUAAGUUAUUUAUUUGUUUAUCUAUGCACUUUUAAAUUUUUAAAAAUAAAUAUAUAUUUUCAAAAAAUGUUAAAAUUUUUUUGUAAAAAAAAAAAAUUAAAUCUUCUGAUGAUGAGAUAUUAAGAAAAUGUGAGUAAUGAUUCCUUAAAAAUCUUUAAGUGAGGAUAUUUUUCUAAAAUGCAAUCAAAGUACUAUAGUACUUAGGAAGAUAUUCAACACAAGAGGUUUUCGUUUAUUUAUUUUUUGUAUUAUUAAAAUAGAAAAAGAAUUAAAGAAUAAGUUGUUUUAGGAAUAAAAUUACAUAUAAUAAUUUAUGAAAUUAUUGGCAUUAAUUAAUUAAAAAAUACGAGCAGAAGAUGAUAGUCUAAGAAAAUCUAAGUGGUGAUUUUUAAAAAAUCCAUAGGUAAGAAAAUUUCUUUUAAUAUUAUCAAUGUAUUAGAAUUUUUCAAAAAAUUUUCAAUAACAAGUUUCUAAUUUAUUUUUUAAAUAAAAAAUAAUAUUUUUUUAAAAGAAAAAGAAUAAAGAAAGAAAAUUUUUUGGAGGAAAUUAAACAAAUAAAAUUAUGCUAAAAAAGGGUUAAAUUAUUUUUAAAUAUCAAAACUAAAUUUUUUUAUCAAUAUUAAAGGAUAACACAUAAUUACUCCAUAACAUUUUAAAACGGGUACUGUGGGAUGUUAAUUUUUUUCCACAUGUAAUUGUACUUCCAAAUUUAAUUAUUUUCAUAGACUCAAAAAUUAUUUUUUUAAUAAGUUUUAAUUAAUUUUAAAUUUUAUUAAAAAGAUAAGUUUUUUUAAGUGGUCAAUCAUACUUAACAAAAAAAAUUGAUGACAACACCUUAUAUUUUUCAAUCCGCACAAUGGUUUCAAAAAUCGUUAAAUUUCAUUGAUGACAAAAAUUGAUGACGAAAAUGGUUGGAAUUCAAACUAAACUUCAACUAAUGUGAUUUUUUUAGCACUUAAUCAUGUUUACGUACUUUAAAUUCAUUGGAUCUAAAAUAUCUAACCAAAUACAAGUUGAUUAAUGGUCCUUUCUCGGAUAGGUAAUUGUUGGUCACGUCAAUGGUCUAUAUGGUAGUAUAUAUUGGCAUGUUGUUUCACGAAUUGUACCUCAAGAGACAACAAAAAAUUAACCCAACUUCUAUAGUUCGAAAUUAUAGCUUUCUUGAUGGCUCUUCAAUCCUCCAAAAUUUUGGUUGCUACCGCCAAAGUUUUAGAUCAAAAAAUUGUUAGGCGAUCUGCUAAUUACCAUCCUACAAUUUGGAAGGACGAUUAUAUUCAGUCGCUCAACAGUGAUUAUAUGGUAUGCAGAGGGUAAUUACCAAUAUAUAUAUAUAUAUAUAUAUAUUUUAACAUGACAGGUGGCUAACAGAGUUGCUUAUCUUCGAUGUAUAGGGCGAAUCAUAUGGUGAACGAGCAGUGAAACUGGUGGGGGAAGUGAAAAUGAUGCUUGAGAAAGUGGUGGAUCCUGUGGAGCAACUCGAGCUAGUCGAUACGUUGCAUAGACUCGGAUUAUCUCAUCACUUUGAGAAUGAAACCAAGAGGAUUUUGGAGUGUGUAACGUCUGAUCAUACCAAUUUAUAUGCUACAUCACUUGAAUUUAGGCUCCUAAGGCAGCAUGGGUAUAAAGUAACUCCAGGUAAAAGUCCAAGUAGUAAUUAAAUUUGUGUAAAUAUAAAAUAAAAAAAUUAGAGAAAUAUUGAUAAUUACAAUUGAAAAUUUUAUUACAUGCAGAGGUUUUCUCCCAUUUCAUGGACGAGAUAGGGAACUUGAAGGCAGGUUAUUGUGAGGAAUGGAAAGGGCUGCUGAGCUUGUAUGAAGCUUCAUACCUUUUGUUUGAGGGUGAGAGCAUAUUGGAGAAGGCAAGAGAUUGUGCAACAAAACAACUCAAAGAAUAUCUGAAGCAGAACAAGGAUGAAUAUGAUAUGUCGAUGCUAGUGGAUCAUGCUUUGGAAGUUCCAUUGAAUUGGAGAAUACCAAGGUUGGAAACCAGAUGGUUCAUAGAUGUGUACCAAAAAAGAGAGGACAGACAUCAGAGUCUGCUGGAUCUUGCUAAAUUGGACUUCAAUAUGUUGCAAGCUGUUCACCAGGAUGAUCUAAGACAUGCUUCCAAGUAAGUUUUAAAGUGUUUAUAUAUAUAUAUAUAUAUAUAUAUAUAUAUUCGGCCAAUAGGAAAAAUCCUGUGCUACGCUAUAAAGAUAUUAUAAAUAUAUCAGCAGCUUUUGAUAUUUCAUGGCUUUUUUAAAGUACAUAUAAGGCUAAACCCAAAAAAAUGAAGAAAUAAUAAAUUUCAAUAAAGUGAACAUUUAUACAUUCUAUCAUGGGCUAUGUCUUAAUUCCUUUUUAAUGCUUACAAGUUUUACUUUUCAUAUGCUUAAAUAAUUUUUUUACAGAAAAAAUCAUGGAACAUCAAUAUUAUAAAAUUUUUGAAAAUUUAAUAUAAAACAACUAAAAUCAUAGUAUUAUUUUAGUUUUGUUUCUUUUGUCAUGUAAAAAAAAAAAAAAGAACAUUAAAUUUUAGACAUAAUUAAACAAUAAUGGAAUACUGUUAAAUGUCAUGUACAAAAGAAACAAAAAAGACAUAAAUAGGAAUUGAUAGAUAUCAAAAGCUAUAUAGAAACUCCCUUAAUUGAUUGAUUAAUUUAUUCUAUUUAUAGUUUUGAAUUAAUUUUACAGAAAACGUACGAUUUUCUUAAACUUCUGUGCAGGUGGUGGAAAGAUCUGUGUCUUGGGGAAAAGUUGACGUUUGCCAGAGACAGGUUGGUGGAGAGCUUUUUAUGGGGUAUGGGCUUGGCAACUGAUCUUCACUUUGGUAAUUGUAGAAGAAUUGUGGCUAAGGUUGCUGCACUAGUAACAGUUAUAGAUGAUAUUUAUGAUGUGUAUGGUACCAUGGAUGAAUUACUGCUCUUCACCGAAGCUGUUGAGAGGUUCGUACGGUUCUCUAACUCUCUACUUUGUAUAAAAGAUGACCAGAGAGAAUCACUGAUUUUUUUUUUUAAUUUAAUAGCUAGGUUUCAUAAUAUUUUUUAAUUACUUUAUAGCUCAAAUCACUGAAUUUAAGCUUAAUUUAGUUUGUCAAUUAAAUUUAUAUUUAGCAUUAAAAAUUAAGACAAUUAUACUAAUAUUGUCAAAAUAUUUUUAAUUAAAAUUAAAUUAAAAAUUUUUCCUGAAUCUAAAUAAUCCUAUAUAUAUUUAGGACCCGGAUUUGAAUAGAUCAAAUCCAUAGCUCAGCCAGUGAACACCUCUACCCUUAUUUCCAACAAAGCAAAGCCUUAUGUAAUAUGAUUUUUUUUCUGUGUGAUAUUUUAAUCUUAAUGAUUCCAGAUGGGACACAAAUACAAUGGAGUUGUUUCCUGAAUAUAUGAAGAUAUGUUUCCUUGCUCUUUUCAACUUCGUAAACGAAACAGCCUUUGCCAUUCUCAAGGAGCAAGGAUUCGAUGCCAUACCUCUCAUGAAGAAAAUGGUACUCAAACCCUCCUAUUAUAUAUCUACUUUUGAAUUACUUUUAUUUCAUGAUCUUUUCCUUCUAGAUUUCGAUUUUGUUAUUGAUCAUGAUUUCUAUCAUAAAUGUUCAGUGGGCAGACCUAUGCAAAGCUUAUUUAUUGGAGGCGAAGUGGUAUUAUAAUGGAUAUACACCAACCGUAGAAGAGUAUCUGAAAAAUGGACUGAUUUCCAUUGGCGCUCCUAUAACACUUUUUCAUGCUUAUUUGGCUACAAAUUCAAUAAGAAAGGAGUGCUUGGGAUGCUUCGAAGAGUGUUCCAACCUAAUCAAGUUUUCAUCCGUGAUUGGACGACUUGCGGAUGAUCUUGGAACAUCAUCGGUAUGAAAUACAAGCAUCAUUGCUUGUUGCGAAUUGAAAUAUAUUUAUGUACAUGUAAUACUUUGUAUUUUCUUGAUUAGGAUGAGUUAAAACGAGGCGAUGUUCCCAAAUCGAUCCAAUGUUACAUACACGAAACUGAAGCUUCGGAUGAAGAAGCCCGUCAGCACAUUCGGGCGUUGAUUGAUUCAUGGUGGAAAAGACUAAACGAAGAGCGAUUUGCUCAUUCUUCUUUUUCUCAGAUGUUUAUUCAAAUUGCAUUGAACGUGCCAAGGAUGUUUCAAUGCAUGUACCAGUAUGGUGAUGGCCACGGGGUUGGAGAUCGUGAGACCAAGGAUCGUGUAUUAGCAUUAAUCGUUUUUCCUAUUCCAUAAGAGUAUUUAGACCAAAAUAAUUGGAGGUGAGGUGGUAUAGCAAUCCUUUUGUAGUAACUUUUUUCAGUUAAAUUUCCAAAUCUUGAGUCUCUAUAAAUAUAAAUUCAAAUAAUUGAUAAGUUUCCUUUAUAGGUAACAAACUUUCUCUCUCUAUCCGUAUCAAUUAGCUUUGUAAUAAUUUUGCUACGCUUUACAUACAUGUGAUUUGAGUUUUUUUUUAUUAGUUUAUCUUUUCUAAAUCAUAUAUAAACUUGUCUAUGUAUCAGUCUUAAUAUCUGGUCCGCGAGUAUGACACUACUUGAGGUUGGGCUUUAAACAAAAACUUUUAAUUUAGUGUUUAGAACAACUUGAAAUAUUAUUUUAUUAAUAAAAAAUAUUUUAUUUUAUUACAUAAUAAUUAAUCUACAUAGAUUUUAAUAGACGACUUAUAUGAAACCUUGAAUAAAAUUUUAAAAGCAUCAAUCAAAUAUGUUUUAUCCGAUUUGAUCCAUAAACACUUUAAGUUAGAUAUUACGUGUUUUUUUCUUAUGCCCUACAAUAUACAUAAUUAAGUCACCGAAUCCUAAGAUCUCUGGAUUACCUCAAGAAGCACCAUACGUGUUUAACUUAACCACCUCACCAAGCUUGACUCUUUAGUAUCGUUCACUCCCUUACAUAAGGCAUCAUGAAUUUCUGACGUUGUUUGAAUAGGAAACAUAUCAAUUAUAAUUUUACAUAGCAAUAUUAAUCAAUCAAAAUUUAAUAUUGUAUGAGAUUUAUUAAAAAUUUUUAAAAAAUUCACACUUUAACAUAGUGAAUAUCUUGGUUAAUGGUAAUAUUGUAGUAGAAAUAAUUGUAAGUGAAUUUCUCCCAUUUGAAUAACGAUGAAGAUCGUCUCAAAUUCCAAUCUUAUCAAAUUGCUUAAAAUAGGUCAUAUUCAUUAUGAAUAUAACAGGUCCAAUCGUUUAAAUCAUAUUAAUCAUGCAUGUUGCUUCUUAUAACUUUGAUUCAUCUAACUUGUUUAAAUAUUCUUUUAAGUAUAAACAUAUGAGUAGUGAUUCAUUUAUAGUAGUGUAAGUCUUGUACUUAUUUUUAUUAUUGGAUCAAAAUUAAAUUUUUGACUAAUUUGGAUUAAAAUAAUAUUUUUAUUUUUAAUCAUUUUGAUCCAAUAAUAAAACAAUUUAACACUUGCACUUGUAUAUAUGCAUCUCACCUUUCUCUAUAUAUACACCGUUUCAAUCUUAUAUAAAAAUUAGUUUUGAAAAAUUAAUUGUAAGGAAAAUUAGUAAAAUUAUCAGGUUAAUAAAGCUAUAAGAGAUCAGGCUUCCCUCAAUCCAAGCCAGAGCUAUGUAGGGUUCAUUAGAGGCUCGAGCCCCUAUUAAGGUAAAAAAAAUAUAUUGAAAUCAUGUGUAUCUUAGAAAUUUAAAGAAUCAUUGUUGGUUAAGUUUAUUUAUUGUUAAGAUCACAAUUAUCAUAAUUGGACUAAAUUAUUAGUGGUAUUGGUUGAAUUAUAAUCUAACAUCCAAAUCAGUUCAUUUUUAUUAUUAGAUCAGAUUUUCAAUUAAUCCUCUUUAAAUCGUAUUGAAUCAAUAGUUUAAUUAAUAAAUUGGUGAAUAGAUUGGGUUUUGUUAAGCCAUAUGGGUUUUAAAUUUUCUAAAAAAUAAAAUUAAAAUUAUGAUUAAUUAAGCUUUUAUAAUUAAAAUUAUGGAUUUUUUGUAAUUUAACUAAAAUAACAUAUUUAAAAGUAAAAUAGAAAAUAAAAAAAUUAAAAUCUAAAUAAAAUGAUGUUACCUUUCCUUUACACUUUAUGCGCACUAAAGAAUCAACUUAAAAAACAUGGCCCCUUUAAAUAUUUUUAUUGGUUCACCAAUUGCCUUGAUUAACCCAUCGAUUAAAUCAUUGACCUAGUAACAUGGCACUUUGAACGAUUUAUUAUUUAAUUUGGUUUUGACUGUAAUCAUCUUAUUCAGUCCGGGCUCAAGCCCAUUGGGCUCGAUUCAAUAAGGUCCAAAGUAUUAGGCCCAACUAACCAUUUUAUUUAUUUAUUUUAUUAUUUUUUGAUUUUUUAUUUACCGUUGAUUAUUUAUUUAUUUAUGUAUUUUUUUUUGGAUUUAUCAUUAGUUUUUUAGGAAAUAACAAAUUUAGUUUUGUGCAAAUUCUAUCGUGAAUGGGGUUGGCAGAGUUGAAAUUGAACUCAGGGAUUGAAUCCUAGUGAAAGAAGGAAUCAACAUUGAUCAGAAACUCUUCUGAUCAAUGCUUAUAAAUAUAAGCCUGGAUUCAGAAGCACAUGACACAAAACAGAAAGCAAAGAAUAGAAGCCAGAAUCUUGAAAAAUACUAAAGGGUUUUAGAAGUAAUUUUAGAUUUUUAGAAAAUUUUUUGGAUUUUUGGCCUUUUUUUCUGGGAAAUUUUUAGAAAAAUUUCAGAAUCAAUCAAUUUUUUGAUGACUUUUUCGACCAACCUUUAAUUUUUUGACGAUUUUUUCAGUUUUCGACGUCUUUUUUCAGAUUUCGGUAAACAUUCAACCAGAAUCUGGGUUUUCAGAGAAAGGGGUAGAGAAAAGGAAUGGGAAGAGAGAGAAGGGAAGAAGGAUUCAAAAGAAAAAGCUGGGAUUUGAGCUUAUAUACCCAUUAAAAACGAUGUUGUUUUGACCUUACAAAUCCCAGAAGAUCUACGCGUUUUGCCAUCGAGCGACCCGACUUGAGCGCCAACUCGUUUCUGACUCGCGUGCCAGUUGUCCCCUGGGGCUGAGCCGAGACUUCAAGCCACGCUUCUGAGCCAUUUCUUUUAUCUUGAGCCGAGCCCUAUUCUAGCUCUAAGCCGAGCCGCUUUCGAUUUUAUUUGAUAUUUUGUUAUUUAUUUUAUUUAAGUAUUUUAUUUAUGUAUUUGUUUUUUUUUCUUUAGUAUUUUUUCUAUUAAAUAAAAUAAUAAUAAAAAUAAAAUUUUGAGAAUAAAUAUUAAUUAUCCAAUGAUGAAAUUAUAGAAAUUUUAAAUGAAAAAUUUCUAUAAAAUUCUUAGGUGAGAAAUUUGUCUAAAUUUGGCUCAAAUGUUGGAAUAAUUUAGAUAACGUUUCAAUAACAAUAAUUAAUAUUUAUUUUCACACAACAAAAUAUAAAAAUUAAAAAAUCAAAAAACAUAAAAAUAUAAAACAUUUGGAAAUUAAAUACAAUUAUCCAAGGACGAGAUUCUUAGAAAUUUCAAAUGGUAAAUUCUUAAGAAAUCUCUAGGUAACGAAUUUCUUCUAAAAUUUGGCCCAAAUGGUGGAAUAAUUUAGAUGGAAUUUUAAUACAAAUAAUUAUAUUAGUUUCCAAAUAAAAUUUGGGGUGAAAACAUUUGAUAAUUAUCCAAGGAUGAGAUUCUUAGAAAUUUCAAAUGGUAAAUUCCUAAGAAAUUUCUAGGUGAGAAAUUUUCUCUAAAUUUGGCCUAAAUUGUGGAAUAAUUUAAAAGAAAAUUUUCAAUAAAAGCAAUUGUCAUAUUAUUUUUUUUCCAAAAGAAAAAAUAAAAAGAAUUUCUAAAUAGGCCUAAAUAGUGAAAAUUUAGAAAUUCAAAGCAAAAAAAUAUUUCUAACUUGGCCCAAAUGGUGGAAUAAUUAGAUAUAUUUUCGACUAAAAAAAUUACAUAAAUUUUUUUCGAUGCCAGAGCUUCUUCAAGAAAUGAAAUAGGAUUUUUGAAUACUCUUGAGGUGAAAAAAUAUUUUUUAAAAGUUCUACCAGAUUGAUGGAGAAUUUUAAGAAUUAUUUUCAAUAUUUAACAUGAAAUUUGAAGCCAUUAGACUUAAGAUCCUAGGAUAAAUUCAAAAUAAUAUGGUAUCAUCUUUUGGAUGGGCAUGUGGGGGUGCUAUAACUUUUCUCACAUGUAACCAACUCCCGAACCCUAUUCUGCUUAGUAGACCCAAACCUAUUCUUUUAGGGACCCUUAGUCUAGCUUAGGAGUUCCUUAAAUGAUAUAUUCCUUAGGUGGCCAAUCGCACCUAGUAAAAACGAUUGGUGGUGACUCCAAUCAUUCAUUAACUCUAGCUAUAGAUUUACAGAUCUAUAUGUUAUAACAGUUUGGUGACUCCACUGGGGACGCUAGAGAGUCAAGCCAUAAUUUUUUGAAUCCUUUGAGCUAAUGGUUUUAAGUUAUUUGUUUACUAAUGCUUUUCCUUUUUUGUUUCUUAUUUGAUUUAUGGGGUUGAUAAUUAUAUGUUUCUUCACACACACUAUCAUAUGCAUUUGCAUGAGCUCUAUACCCGAGUUCUGUCCCUCUUAGGAGGGAGUAAAGUACUUAUGCUCUCGUGAGAUGAUAAUCUCCACAAUGGCUAACAAAAUACUCCCACUGAAAUUGAAUCAUUUCCAUUGGUAGCCUAUGAUGGGUGAGGAUUGGAAUGUCUUACUAGUCUGUGAUGGACGAUGAUGUAAGAAAUAAUUUGGAAACAUUUUAGUGGUCAAAAUCUCCUAAUCCUACAUAUAGUUCACCCCUAAGAGACCAACCUAAGGUAGAGCCCUUCCAUCUCAUCAAUAGAUAUAACCCAAAAUUCGGACACAAGAAUGAACAGUUUGUUAUCUAACCAUUUUGUUUGCUUGAUUUUGUGCAUCUGCACCAUUUCCAUAUCAUUUCAUUCUAUGCAUCAUUUCCUUCUUCAUGUCAGUCUAUACAUUAUUUUCAUGAUCAUGUUUAACACUAUCAUUUGCAUCAUUCUCAUAUAGGAAAUAUUUGUCACAUAUCAGUUAUUGAUAAAUCAGAUCUCACAUCUAUGGAAAGCCAAAUGCAACCAAAGUCUACAUUAGUCCAUUAUGAGUCUACUCAUCAAUUAAAAAUUAAGUCAGAGAAAUGUCAAAGAAAACACAGAGAUUGCUUGCCUAAAGAUUUUAUCUCAUCAUUGCCUGAGAAAAUUCAUAUCGAGUUACAACAAAAUGAUCUAGCCGAUUUAAGUAGUGUUUGGAGAUGCAUGACUAGAACAAGACAAGAGGCAUUUGAGAACAAAUAUGGAGACAUAGCUUUAUUGCUUCAGGUGGAUGUCGAUAAUAAUCUGAUUAGAGCCAUCAUCCAAUUUUGGGAUCUUUCUUAUAGGUGUUUCAUCUUCAAUGAAACAGAUAUGAUGCCCACAAUUGAAGAAUAUAUGGUCUUACUUCACUUUCACUUGCCAAACCCAGAUAAGAUUUACUAGUCAAAUAAGGUGCGUUAUCGUAAAAAGCUAGUGCAAAUGCUUGGACUUAGCUUGCCUCAAGUUGAUACAUGUGUCAAGACAAAAGGUGAAAGUAAGGCUAUCCCAUGGAGUUUUCUGCGAGAUUUCAUUCAGGGGCAUAUAAACGAUAACCAGGGAUUAGUGGUUAUGGCUAUAGCUUUAUAUGGACUGGUGGUCUUCCCAAAAAUCAUGGGAUAUGUUAAUGUCGCAAUGAUAGAUUUUGUAGAUCAGUUAGCACACCAAGUCAAUGCAGUACCAACCAUUCUAGCAAAAAUCAUUCAUUCUUUAAACUUUUGCCACAAAAAUGGUAAAGUACGAUUUAAUGGAUGCCUACAGUUGUUUUAUGUAUGGAUGAAGAGUUACAUUGAAUGUAAAGAAAGUCAAUUUCGCAAACUAUACCAUAAUUCCAACAUCCCCAUCAAGAAGUUUUGUUACAGCACAUGACCUUAAGCAAAGUCAAAAGAAGAAUGGGUUUUCUACUUUCGAGCCUUUAAUAGUCAAGGGAUUGUUUAGAGAACAUCUUGGAUGCGUCAUGAUAUCAUGUUAUACAGUUAUGGAGAUCAGCCAUAGGUGUUCUUAUUAGGCCUAUGGGGUGCUGUUACUUAUGCCUCAACUUUAGUGAGAAGACAAUCCGGAUGUGAGCAAUUCAUUCAAGAAACCUAUGGACUUAACCAGUGAGAGUUCUCAUUCACUGAUAAAAGGGCAUAUUGAGUGGUUGAAAAGAUUAAGAAAGCAUGAAAGCAAACCAUCAUGGUUAAUCAAAGGAGGUUUACUUAUGAUGUCACCCCAGAAUAUAGUGUGUGGCAUGUGAGGAGGGGAAAGGACAUUGUGUUUCCUAGUGAACAAUUAGGGCAUUCCUCAAAACCUAUUCUUCAAGAUCCUUUGCUUAAAAUGGAAAUAGCUAAGAGAAAACUCUAAUUUGAGAUAGAUGAAUUUGAAUAAGAAAAUAAGUGAUUGAAGUUAGAAAUGAAAGAGAGUUUGAAGCUUCAAGAACUAAAAAUCCAGAGAAAGAUUAAGCCAUUCAAAGUUUGUUGCCUCCCAGCACAUCAAAAUAAGUUCAAGGUUUUUUAGGUAGAUUGAACUACAUUUCUCGAUUCAUAUCUCAGUUGACCUACAAAUGUGAUCUUAUAUUUAAGCUUUUUCGUAAGAACAACCCUGAAGAAUAGAAUGAAGAGUGCUAAGUGGCUUUUGAUAAAAUUAAGUAAUACUUAUCCAAUCCUUUAGUGUUAGUGCCACUUAUUCCAGGGAGACCCUUAAUCUUAUACCUUAUGGUAUACGAGGAUUCAAUGGGAUGUGUGUUGGGGCAGCAAGAGGAGUCUAGUCGAAAGGAAAGAGCUAUUUACUAUCUGAGUAAGAAAUUUACAGAAUAUGAGUCUAAGUACUCUUCAUUGGAGAAAAUGUAUUGUGCAUUAGCUUGGACUACUAAAAGAUUCAGACAAUAUAUGCUCUAUCAAACCACAUGGCUCAUAGUAAAACUGGAUCUAAUUAAAUACAUCUUCGAGAAGUUCUCUUUAUCUGAAAGAAUUACUAGAUGGCAAGUAAUGCUCUCAGAGUAUGAUAUCGUGUAUGUGAGCUAGAAGGUAAUUAAAAGAAGUACCAUAACCGAGCUUCUCGUAGAUCGUACUACUGAAGAUUAUGAGCUGAAGAUAUUGGAAUUCACUAAUGAAGAUUUGAUGACCGUUUCUCAACUAAAAAGAGAAAGGCACAAAGAGAACCAUUGGAAAAUAUAUUUUGAUAGAGCUACGAAUACCUUAGGACAUGGAAUUGGGGCAAUCUUGAUUUUUCCAAAAGAGCAAUACUAUCCUAUAACAGUGAGGUUGAAUUUUAAUUGCACAAAUAACAUCACUAAAUAUGAGACAUGUGUUAUGGGUUUGUAAGCUGCUAUAAACGGAAAUGUUAAGGGAUUAAAAGUAUUUGGAGAUUCAGCCAUAGUUAUAUAUUAGUUGAAAGAAGAAUGGGAGAUGAGAGAUUUAAAACUCAUUCUGUAUCGCAAGUAUAUCCUAGAGUUGACCAAGCAAUUUGAAGAUAUUCAAUUUGAUCAUUUACCUCAGAAUGAGAAUUUAAUUGUUGAUGCUUUAGCUACUUUAGCAGCAAUGGUUUGAAUUAAUGAUAGUGCUGACAUUCAACUUAUCAAGUUAAAAGUCAAGGACAUGCCAGCUUAUUGCUCUAAUGUAAAAGAGGAAAAAGAUAAGAAGCCUUAGUAAUAUGAUAUCUUACAGUAUAUUAAGAAUAAGCAAUACCCUGCCAAAGCAACAGAGAAUGAUAAAAGGGUCAUCCGAAGACUAGUUAUGAAUUUUUUCCUGGAUGGAGAUGUUCUCUACAAAAGAAGCCAUGACCAAGUAUUGUUGAGGUGUGUAAAUAAGGCCGAGGCUAACGAAAUUAUUAAGGAGAUACAUGGUGGAAUAUGUGGGGCACAUACCAAUAGACAUAUGAUGGCAAGACAAAUCAUGAGGGCAAGAUACUAUUGGUUGAUAAUGAAAAGUGAUUGCAUUGACUAUGCUCAAAAAUGUCACAAAUACCAUAUCUAUGCUGAUAAGAUUCAUGCUCCGCUAUCUGCUUUACAUGUUUUGGCACCACCCUGGACAUUCUCUAUGUGAGGCAUGAACGUCAUUGGUCCUAUUAUCCCAAAAGCUUUUAAAGGUCAUAGGUUUAUUUUCGUGACGAUAGAUUAUUUCACAAAAUGGGUGGAAGCAGCAUCAUUUGGAAGUGUGACAUGAUCUAUAGUCUGCAAGUUUAUAAAAAGAAAAAUCAUUGAUAGAUACAAAUUUUCAGAGAGAAUCAUUUCAAACAAUGCUAAGAAUUUAAAUAACAAGAUGAUACAAAAAAUAUAUGCCCAGUAUAAGAUCCAACAUCAUAAUUCGAUGCCAUACCAUCCAAAAAUGAAUAGGGCAGUUGAGGUAGCUAAUAAAAAUAUAAAAAAAUUCUUGAGAAAAUGACUGAGAUUUAUAAGGACUGGCAUGAGAAGUUACCAUUUGCACUGCAUACGUAUCGAAUGUUGGUGUGCACCGCUACUAAGGCAACCUUAUUUUCUUUGGUUUAUGUGAUAAAAGUUGUAUUGCCAAUAGAAGUAGAGAUCUCGUCUUUGAGGGUUUUAAAGGAAGUUAACUUGAGGAGGCUAAAUGGAUCCGAAAGCGCUAUGAACAAUUGAACUUCAUCGAAGAAAAAGGUUGACAGCGUUGUGCCAUGGUCAACCAUAUCAAAGAAGAAUGAUGAGAGCUCAUAAUAAAAAGGUUUGACCUCAUUGUUUUUGGGAAGGGGAGUUAGUCUUGAAAAGAAUUCUCCCAAGUUAGCAUGAUAAUUGAAAAAAAUGGACUCCGAAUUGGAAAGGGCCAUAUGUCGUGAAACGAGCUUUCUCUGGUGAAGCGUUGAUAUUAGCUGAAAUGGAUGGAAAUGAUCUACCUCAUCCUAUAAAUUUUGAUGCUGUGAAGAAAUACUAUGCUUAAAAAAAAAAGAAAAAAAGGGGAAAAAUGAAAAAAAAAAAAGAAAAAAAAGAAAAUUAAAAAAAAAGACUCAAGGCAAAAACCCCAAAAGGGCGGUUUGAGUCAAAAUAAGGUUUAUCUAAGUUGAAAACCUGAAAAGGCAGCUUAGAUAGGGAGAAUACAACAUCGAAUUUGGAAGUUUAUUGACAAAGAGGCUAGCAUGUUUUGAGGAGCUCCAAGUUGUUGAGUGCAUUGGGUGAUUGAAUUUUUUGAAAAAAACUUCAAGAUAUGUUAUCAUGAUUGUAUGAUUGUUUAUUUUUGGGCUUUAACCCCAUACCCAUUCUUGUAAUUUUUUCUUUGCCAAUUGGCCAAAGUUUGUUAUCAUUCUUACUAAUAAAAGACAUUCUAUUUCAUUCUUUGUGUCUCUUCUAUUGAUUUUUUCCUAGCCAUUUUUAUUCCUUUUUUUUCAAUACCUUACAAUGAAGGAAAUGUGUGAAUGCAUUCUUGUUCUUUGAGGUUGGAAUAAUGAUUGAUAAAUGAAUAAUAGUAUGAAAGAUUUUUUUUUAUAUUGGAAAGGUUGAGAGUGAUAAAGGCAAAUUUGAAAUGUUUAGUUCCUAAUAAGGACUUCGAAUUCAGAAAGAGACUUCUUGAAAAGGAAAAGAUGAGAAUUUGGUAAGAGAAAUGAUCUAGACUUGCAUUGAUUUGGCCAUAAUACUUAAAGAUUGAAGGGGGUUUGAGGGCCCAAGAGAAAGAGGCUUGAGAAACCUGAGUACCACAAGAUUUUAUGACAUUAUUAACAUCCAUUUUCCAUGCAUCACAUUUGGCAUCGUUGUUUGAAUAAUACAUGCACAUAAUUUGAUUAGACAUGCAUGGCACUAUGAGAAUCAGGUUGUUGCAUUUGCAUCAUUAAGAAGGCAUUUGCAUCUUUGAUCAUGACAUUUGUUCAUGCAAAAUUUUGGGUCACCUAAAGAGAAAUUGUGAACUUUUUAAUGAAAAUCUUUGAAUUUUGAAUGAGAGUCUUUGAAUUUCAAAGAAAAAUCUUUGAGUUUUAAGUUUCAAAUGUGAAUCUUUGAAAUAUGAAACUUUGAGAUUUAUUGAAUGAGAACCUUUGAGUUUGAAUGAAAAGCUUUUAAUUUUUGGAUACGAAUCUCCAAGAUACAAAUAAAAGUCUUUAAAUGUUGAAUACAAGUCUGGCAACUCACAAAUGCAAAUUUUGAGCUCAAAUUGUGAAUCUUUGAGUUCCCAUUACAAACUUCUUCAGAUUUGAUUAAUGACUCCCUUGGUCGUGGUUGUCGAUGAGCCAUUUAUUUUUCAAAGUUUUGUUGCCUCUAUUCAGAGGUGCUAUUUAUUUUUUAAAAGUUCUGUUGCCUCUAUUUAGAUGAACCAUUUAUUUUUCAAAGUUUUGUUGCCUCUAUUUAGAGGAGCCAUUUCUAUUGCCUUUAUUUAGAAGAGCCAUUUAUUUUUUGAAGUUUUGUUGCCUCUAUUCAGAGGAGCCAUUUAUUUUUCAAAGUUUUGUUGCCUCUGUUUAAAGGAGCUUUGCUUACUCUUUUUUUAAAGAAACAAAACAACAAAAACAAAAACAAAAAAAUGUGUUUGGAUGAUCAUGUGUAGGGUGUCAACGUCUUUGCACAAUUCCUGUUGCAUAGGAAAUAUGCAAAGAAAGGUAGCUAUAGUCACUUUAUUCAGUCUGGGCCUAAGCCCAUUCGGCUCGAUUCAAUAGCGUCCAAAGUAUUAGGCCCAACUGACCAUUUUAUUUAUUUAUUUUAUUUAUUUUUAAUUUAUUUUUAUUAUUUUAUUAUCUGAUUUCUUAUUUUUAAUUUAAUGUUAUUAUUUUAUCAUAUAAAUCUAUUAAUUACUCAUAUAUUUGUGAAUCACCAUUACAAGUAAAUAAGAGAGAAGAUAUUUCUUAUAAUUAUAACAUAGAUAAAUGAAAAAUUUUUGAUACAAUGGGGAAUAUCCCUAUCUAAAAUUUUUUAAGAGAAGAUGAUAUUCUAGAUGUUAGAGGGAAAUUUUUAUAUAGAAAAUUUUUUAAUUGGAAAAUUCUUCAUUUUUAUCUUAGAAAUAAAUCGAUAUUGAGUUUUGGAUCAAUACCAGUAUCAAAAGUAACAAAAAUAUUAAGAGUGUGGUUAAUACUUUUAAUAAAAUUUAAUAUAUUUGGUUUAAGUCCCUAUUAAGUAAAAUUUUUGACACCAUCACUGCCUUUGAUUGCUUUGCCAUUCUCCAAUUAUCAGCAUCAUUCAUCACCAUUGGAAAGUACAUGACAUAUUUUUGAAUUGUGAAAUUUUUAUUAGUGAAUGAUGAUGAAAGGUGUAUUGGUAACCAAUAGUGUAUUAAAAAAUAAUAGAUGGAAGAUAAAUUCAUAUUUAAAUUAUUAAUGAAAAUAUUAUUAAUUUAAAUAACUUUAAACAAGGCUAAAUGAUAUAAAAAAUUCCUAAACUAUAAUUAGAAAAUCAUCGAAACUUUUACUUUUUGUUGUAAUAAAUCAAUAUCUCUAAUUUUAUUGACAACUAAGAUAAAAUUUUAUAUGAUAUAAAUAAAAUAGAUAAAUAUAUGCCACAUGAUGUAAUUAAUAUAUAUAUGUAUGAAAAUAAAAUAAAAUAAACUUUUUUUUUUAUUUCUUCUCUAUUUUCUCUUCAUUCUUUUUAAAAUUUCUUUAAGAGUUCAAUUUAUUAUAAUUUAGGAAUUGAUUAAUUAAAUUUUACCAUGUGAUUAGAUUUUGUCCACUUAAAUGUUCAAUUAAAUUGAAAUAAAAAAUUAAAAAUUUGAUUGAAUGUAAUAAAAUAUUAAAAACUUAAAUGAUUAUUGAAUUAUAAUUUAAGAGCAUUUUUGAGCCCUUAAAGAAAUUCUUUCAUAAAUAAGUGUAAAUUUGUCUUUAAACUAGUAGUUUGUUAUUUGCUCUAUUAAUACCUAUUUGGUUAGUUAAAUAUAUAUUUAUUUAUAUUUUAACAAUGAGUUUUGUGUUCAUAGUUUAACAAUCCUUAUACUUUACACAUACUAAGCAAUUUUUAUACUUUAAUUCCUAACAAUUCUUAUAUUUUCUUUUUCUAAAAAUAUUUUGUAAAAAAUUUCAUCUUCUAAUAAUUCUUCAGCAAAACAAAUUUGAAGAUUUUUUUAUCAAGGGUUUUGAUCAUAUUUCUAGCACCAUGCCUUUUGUUAGGGCAGUUAGUAGCUAUAUGUCCAUUGUAAAUAAAACGUUUGCAUUUUUGUAAUUUUGAAGGUUUUUUUUUAACUGCAAAUUUUUUUUUUUUAGGAAUUUGCUCUAUUUUUUCCAUUUUUUCAUAAAAUAUUGUUUCUUUUUAAAAUAAUAUUUUUAAGGGUUUUUGAUUGUUUUAUUACAACCAAAAGUGAACUUGUUUUCAAGUAUCUUAGUACAUUGUUUAUAACUAAGCUUACUUUUGACUUGCUUAGCUACCUAUUUUUCAGACAGUAUUCAGUAAUUUGAUUUUUAACAUAAAAAAUACGAUUUCCUAAUGUAUCGUAUAAUUCGAUAUUGGGAUUAGCUACAUUUGAAUUUUUUCAAAUGUAGUUCUAAGAAGGCAGUAUAAUUUUGAGAACAUAAUUUAUCCAAUGGUGAGAGAAGUUUUUUAAAAAAAAUUGAUUUAACCAAAACUUUGAAUGUUUUUCAUCCAAACGUUUUUAUUCACUCAUAUAUCUUUUAGAAAAUUCAUUCAAGUUUAGGAUGUUAUAGAGUUUGAGUUUUAAGAGAAUAUAUUGAGCUUUACUAUUAGUAUCUAUAUCUUUAAUAAUUCCACACAAUUCAUUUUUUAAAAUUUUUGUGAGCAUUUUUAAAAGAUCAAGGAUAUUUCUUACUACUAAAAGAGUACUUUUUUGGAUGUUUCCCAUAUCAGUAUUUUUCCAUUUUUUCAGAAAUUUAAAAGUAUCACAUUGCCAGGUGCCACAAAAAUAAUUAAAGAAUUUUUCUUUGUUCCAUGUAUCUUUGUAGUGGGUUACUAUUAUAGACAUGAAUUGUGCCUAUUCAUCUAUGGUUUUUCCUUUUAUAGACAUGGAUUAUUACUAUAAUCUAUGGUUUUUAAUAAUAUUUUGAAAUCACAGAUUUUUACAAUCCUAGUCUCAACCCAGAGACAUAUGGAUUAAUCAAUCAUAUUUGGAAAUCCCAUAUCUCUAAAAAUAAAUCUGCAUUUAGAAAAGGGAUGAUUCUUAGUUAAACAAACUAAAGAAAGACAACAAUUUGAUGAAUUGGUUUUCAAUAAUCCAUGUUCUUCUUACCUAUUAAAACAACAGAAUUAUGACUUCUUUGUUUUUGAAAACCAAUACUCUGUUUGAGAAAUAAACCAUUUCUUAUAACUUUUUGAAUAUUUCUCUUAUAAAACUUCUCCCCAAAUAAUAAAAUUAAAAAGAAUUUUAUUAUUUGAAAAAGCGUUAACCUUACUUCCUAAAGAAAUAUUUCAGAAAAUUAAUAGUCAUAUUUCUCAACAUAUAGAAAAAUUGUUGCAAGAAUAUUUUUCAGAAUACUAUUUCUUCUUGUAUCUAGAAACAUCAAUCUUAGGAGAAAAACUUCCAAAAUCAAAUUUAAACUAGACCAUGAUACUUUUGAUGUAAAAAGCAUCGAAUUAGGACUGGUUGGAGAAAUUAUUAUUCAAAAAUUUUCCUUCUAUCAUAUUUCUAACUUCCUUACAUUUUUUAAAUCUCAAUUUCAACAAUACAUAAAAAAACGAUCGUUUCUUUUUCUAUAUCCAUUUUAAAAUAACCAGUCUCUUAGGAUCUUUCAUUUGUGAAAGAUUCUAUCAAACUUGUCAAUUUUGGGAAGUUAAAAUAUUUGUUUCAGGCGUUCCUAUUGAACAACCAGUAGAUCUAUAAAAAAUCCCGAUCUUUUAAACCAAGCUAUUCAAAAGUAUUCCAAUCCCUCUUUAUACCAUUUCCAAACAAGAAUUAAUGUUAUGGAAUACUGCAAAAAUCUUUUGCAAAAAACCCUUUGCUCCUCUUUCCUAAAAAAUUCCCUUCAAAUAGAUGGAAGAGGAAUUUAGGCUUCAGUUUAAUCCAACAACUCUCUAAAAUGGAAAAAAUGGUCCAUCCAAAACAUUUACUAUACCAGUAUUAAGCAGGGUGAUAGAUGUGGAAUAAAUCUAGACCGAAUACUCCAUAAUCUUUUAAUUCAAAAAAUAAAAAAGCAUUUAAUCUGGAUAACAUCCAAGAAGGAUAAGCUAUUCUAAUCAAGAAUAAGCUCAUAGUACUUACCAUCAUAACAAAAAACAAAGCUAAUGGUAAGCCCAACAUCAAUCAGACAUCUGACUUAUCAACUGACAGCAGCCACUGUAGUAAUCACUAUACUUGACAAAAGCAGUUAUUAUAGCAGAUAAAAUCAGACAAUAGUAACAGAUAACUUUGAUUAAAUAAUACUAUAUAAUUAACCUAACUCAGGUUAAUCUCUUUGUAAAUAGAAGGACUUGGCAUUUGUAAUUGGCAGAGCUUAUCUCCUACUUUCUUUCUAAAAUUUUUUUUCAUUUUAGCUCUCCUUUAAAAUCUUCCCAUACCAAUAUAGAGUUUAUUUUUACUCUUAAUCUCUUAUUUUGUUUUAUUUUUGUAAAUGGUAUUAGAGCCUAUGUACUAAUCUAGUUUGUAUUUCUAAAUAUUUUAGAUAUUUAGAAAUAGAAUAAAAAACUCUCAAAAAUAUCAUUUUAAAAAGAAAUGAUAUUUUAUGAAAAAAUGGAAAAAAUAAAGCAAAAUUCCUAAAAAAAGGAAAAUUUGCAAUCAAAAGAAAACCUUUAAAAUUACAAAAAUGCAAAUGUUUUAUUUGCAAUAAAGAAAGACAUAUAGCUGCUAGCUAUCCUAACAAAAGAAGUAGUGCUAGAAAAAUGAUCAAAACCCUUGAUAAAAAAAAAAUUUCAAAUUUGUUUUGCUGAAGAAUUAUUAGAAGAUGAAAUUUUUUACGAAAUAUUUUCAGAAACAUAUUCUGAUAGUUUUAAUAGUGAAAUAGAACAUAUAUUUAUGAAUACUGAAUCUAAUCCAAAUAUAGUAUCAAAAACUGCUUUUACAAUUGAUAAACAAUCAACUAAUGAAGAAAUGGUUACUCUAAAAAAUGCUAUGAGAAAAACUCAUCACAUUUUUUAUGAGAAAUUAAAACAAUUACAAUCCGUCAAAAUAUACGAGAUUUAUAAAACCAACUUUUUAAAAACAUUUCAACCUUUUAUUAUAGUCAAACUAUAAGUAGCAAUCAAUCCUUUGCUACUCCCUAUAAAAAUUCUUUCUCAGAAUUUCACAAUAUAACCAAUACUCAACUACCAAAUCAAAUCCCUAAUUUUCCUAGAGAUAACCAAUCUCAACCUUCUUAUUAUCAUUCAGUAAAUUUUGUUUUACACUUUGCAACAUCUUCUUCUAGAAAAACUAGACUUGAAGAAACAAAAUCUUCUUUCAUUAUAAAUCAUUAUAAUUUGCAAGAAACAGAUUAUAUAAAGUUUUCUAAUAAAAACUCAAAAAGAGUUUAUACUUUUAUUGAAGGAAAAUUCCAUUUUCCAAAAUACAAUCCUUAUACUUUACACAUACUCUUAGACACUAGAGCAACAAUCUCUAGCUGCCGUAGUAAUGCAAUUCCAUUAAACAAAUGGGAACCAAUGAAAAAUCCUUGGGGAUGUGUUUUAAAAGUAAAAAAUCUUCAUAAAAAGAUGAAUUACUUUAUGGAAACAAUUCUGGAAAUUUUAAGCCAAAUGAAAUCAAAUACAUUAUUUUUGAAAAAGAAUUACUAGCCAUAAAAAAUAUAGUAACUAAAUUUCAUAUUUAUCUAGCUCCUGAAAAUUUUAUUAUAUGAACAAAUAACUAAUUUGUUAAAGAUUUCCUUAAAAAUAGAAAACUAUCUAAUAAUCCUCAUAGAAUACAUUGGUAUAAUUUUUUAUGCCAAUAUAAUUUUACUAUUGAAUUUAUUAAUGGUGAUAAAAAUUUUCUUGCAAAUUUCCUUAGCAGACCUAAAGGAUAGAGGUAAAAAACCUUUACAACAUCAGGAAGGGUGGAGAACAAUUUAGAAGAAAAAUACCAAAAUGGUUUUCUCUUCUAUUUCUCCAUCUUUUCAAAAUCCUAAUCUAGGAUUUAUACCAUUUCAAUAUCCUCCUUAUGGACAUCUACCCCAUUUACUCUCAUAAAGACCAAUCCAUGUCUUUCAAACCCAAGCUUCUUUACAACAACUAAAGUAAGCACCAUCUCAAUUUGCUUAAGAUCCAAACCAAUGGACAACUAUUUCUUAUUCUAAAAUCUUGAAACAAACAUCAAAACUUAAAUAAAGUUUUGAAAUCAAAUAUUUUUACAAUCCUGGUCUUAACCUAGAGACAUAUGGAUUAAUCAAUCAUAUUUGAAAAUCCCAUCUCUUUGAAAACAAAUCUACAUUUAGAAAAGGGAUGACCAAGCGAGCUAAAUUCUUAGUUAAACAAACUAAAGAAAAACAACAACUUGAUGAAUUGGUUUUCAAUAAUCUCUAUUCUUCUUACCAAUUAAAACAACAAGAUUAUGACUUUUUUGCUCUCAAAAACCAAUACUCUAUUCAAGAAAUAAACCAUUUCUUAGAACUUUUUGAAUAUUUCUCUUAUAAAACUUUUCCCCAAAUAAUAAAAUUAAAAACAAUUUUAUUAUUUGAAAAAGCUUUAAUCUUACAUCCUAAAGAAAUAUUUUAGAAAAUUAAUAGUCAUUGUAGAUACCGAUUUUGUCCGGGUCUACCAUUUUAUUAAUAAACAAAACAAAAAAACAAAAUAAACAAACAAAAGAAACAGAAUAAGAUAGAAGUCAGGGAGUUGGUACGGCGCCGCUGUCGCCAGCCCCCGACCAACUACCCUACCAGCCCCCCGACCAGCCUCCCGACCAGUCACCCUACAGCCACCAACCAACUACCUUACAGAAACCUAGAUUCCCCUAAUUGAAGCCUUUAAAAAUCUCCAGCCAUUUCCUUUUCGAAAAAAAAAAAAGGAAAAAAAAGAGCUAGCGGAAAUCCCCUUCAAUCUCCCUCUGGAAUCCCCAUUCAACCCCAGACAGACCCCAUUCCUACGCGUAAAAAACUCAGUUUCACGCAACCCCCCAAAGCACCCAAACCGAAAACAGAUCUACACAAAACAAAAAAAAAACAACACAGUCCUCCCCGCAGGGAGGAACCCAGCGCCGAAGCUACCUGCAAAAGCAAAGAAAAUUGCAUCAAUCUUGUUUCAACAAAACAAACGAAAAAAGUCUUGAAAACAGAAAUUUUUGAACCUCGAUCUACGCUGAUCGGGGCUGCUUCCGGUGAAAAGGAGACCGGAUCUGGAAAGAGGGCAUCUCGAGGAGUCUUCGUGACCUUCUAACCAUUUUCCGAUCACCGGCGACCACCGCCGACGGUGGACCAGGCGGCGGCCGACAAGGCGAUCCGAUGGCCGGACGGCGAUCGGCCGAACCCCUCCCCCAGAGCUCUUUCUCUCGUUUUUUUUCUGAAAACAGGACCAAAUGAACAAAAAAAAAUUUUUCAAGUUAUUUAUAGAAAAAAUUAAAAGCAAAACGACGUCGUUUUGGGCAUAGGGCCAAAACGACACCGUUUCAGCUAAGGAGGAUCCGCGCGUCCACCCGCGACCCGACCCUGGGUCCGCGCACCCGACCCGCGACCCGUUUCCUUCAUCAGCAUCUGACCGGUCUGACUGGACCAGAACCGAACCGCCCAGACCGAACCGAACCGGUACUGGACCGUCCAGACCGAACCGAACCGUCGAACCAAACCGGACGUUGACCGGACCGUUGACCGGUCCGGUUCAGGUAAAAAAAUUUUUUUUAUUUUUUUACUUUUUAUUUUAUUAAUAUUUAUGUAUGUUAAAAUGUUUAUAUUUGUUAAACUAAUUGAUGAAAUUGUAGUUAAAUUUUUUUAUUUUUAAGAUAAACUUAAAACAAUUAUAUAAAAUAAAUUUAAUAAUAAUAAAAGUGAUAAAAAAUGAAAGAAAAGAAAAUUUUUAUCCGACGAUGAGAUUUAAAGGUAUUCCGAGUAGUGAUGCCUACGAAAUCUCUAGGUGAGAAGAUUUUUUUAAAUACUACCAGCGUAUUGGAGUAUUUAUAAAAAAAUUUUUCAAUAUAGUAAAAGAUUUUCUUUUUUAAGAAUAAUAAUAAAAAUUGAUGAAUAUAUUAAAAAUAUAAGUAAUAAAAUAGAAGAAAAAAUUUAUCCAAUGAUGAGUUCUAAAGUAUUCCGAGUAGAGAUGCUUUAAGAAAUUUAGGUGAGAAGAUUUUUUUAAAAUAUUACCAGUGUAUUGGAAUAUUUAUAGAAAUUUUCAAUAUGAUUAAAUUCCUUUUUUUCUUCAAAAUUUUAAUUAAAAUUAAUAAAAUAAUUAAUAAAUUUUUGAAUGAGAAUAAAAUGUGUGCAUAAACAUGAAAAUAUUUUGCAUGGCAUGCAUGACAUAAUUUCUUACGAAAAGUAAAUUUAGACCUCCAAAGAUGAGAUUCUAAAAGUAUUCCGAGUAGAGAUGCUUUAAGAAAUCUCUAGGUGAGAAAGAAUUCUUUUAAUGUUACCAACGUACUGGAACAUUUUAAGAAUUAUUUCAAUAAAAAGGUUUUAAUUUAUUUUUCUCGAGAAUAAAUUUUUUUAACAUGACAUUUUCUUACGAAAAAUAAAUUCGAGCCUCCAAAGAUGAGAUUUUAAAAGUAUUCCGAGUAGAGAUGCUUUAAGAAAUCUCUAGGUGAGAAAGAGUUCUUUUAAUGUUACCAACGUACUGGAACAUUUUAAGAAUUAUUUCAAUAAAAAGGUUUUGAUUUAUUUUCUCGAGAAUAAUUUUUAAUAAAUAAAAAUCAAGAAAAUUAUUUUUUUAAUAUUGAAAAUAAGACUGUUUGUAUUAAAAUCAAAGGAUAACACGUUGUUAAUUGGUACCGUUUUUAACGGGCGUUGUGGGGGUGCUAAUCCUUCCUCACGCGUAACCGACUCCCGAACUCAGACUGUUUCGCAGACCGUAAAAUUAUCUUUUUAAUAAAUUUUAAUUAAUUUUAAGAUUUCAUUAAAAAGGUAUGUUUUAAUAGGUGGCCAAUCGCACCUAGCCAAAAAAGAUUGGUGGCGACUCCAUUUUUUUUAUUUCGUUUCCAAAUUCGUCGGGCGGACGCAAAACCGUUACGACAGCUUGGCGACUCCGCUGGGGACGCAUUUUGUUUUUGAGAGUCAAGCCAAAAUUAACUACUUGUUAUCCUUAAAUUUUGAUUUAAAUAGUCUUAAUCAAAUUCUUAAUUUUUUAUUCUUCAUUUUAGUAAAACAAAACAAAACCAAACAAAUCAAAAAUAAAAAGCAAAAAAAUUCACACACAUUUCUCUUAUUAUGCCUCUUAUGUUUUAUUUUUUGUAUAUAUAUUGCUUUCAAUAAAUUAGGAUAUAUUUGCACACAAUGGCACGAUGCAUCUCAUACAUGAGCUCUAUACCCGGGCUUCGUCCUUUAUAGAAGGAAGUAAAGUACCUAUUGCUCUCGUGAGGUGAUAACCUCCGCAAUGGCAAGCGAAAUACUUCCACUCGAAUUGAACCCUUUCCGUUAGUAGCCUGUAAUGGGUGAGGAUCGGGAUGCCUUACUAGUCAAUAUGGACGACAGUGAGGAACAAUUUGGGAACCUUUAGACCCUGUCAAUCCAAACCCAGCAUAUAAUAAGCCUAGGAAACCAGCCUUAUGUAGAGCUCCAUCCACUUUCUUGUAAAAAAUAUCCAAGAAUAAAAGUUGUGUAUAAUACAAAACAAACAAAACAAACAAAAAAUCUCUAAAAAAAAAAAAACAAAUUUUUUUUAAAUCACAUCCUCACACUAACUCAAUUUUGUUACAUUAAUCAUAUCAUACAGUUUUGCAUCGAGAUAUUUGCUCAAGGACAUUUCUCCCAAGAAGUUUUCAUGGAUCCCAAUAGAACUACAGAUUUGCUCACCCUCAGUCAGUGUGCCAUGUGAGUCGUAUAAUGAAGUACAUGUUUGGUCGAAAGAGGCUCAACAAAAGAACGGAGAUUGUUUGCAUACCAGUUAUAUGUCUGAGUUACCCGAAAAAGUGCAUUUAGAUCUCACACAGAAUGAUUUAAAAGAGUUAGCUGCUAUCUGGGGUCAGUUAAGUGAAGGAAGAAAAGAAAGCUUUUGCAAAAAGUAUGGGCAGAUUGCAUCUCUCAUUUCAGUAGUGGUUGAUGAACAGCUGGUCAAAGCAGCUAUACAGUUUUGGAUCCAUCCUAUAGAUGCUUCACUUUUAAUCAGAAGAUUUGGUGCCAACCAUCGAGGAGUAUUCGAUUUUGCUCGGGAUAGAAUUACAAUGUCCAGAUAAAAGUAUUUACCCGAAGCCAAAAUCAGGUUAUCGUAAAAAGUUAGCCAAGCUUAUGGAGGUUAAAAGUAAAACCAUUGAUUCCUUUGUGAAGUCUAAAGGUAAACAUCUCGGCAUUCGUUGGGACUUUCUUCGAAAUUUCAUUCAGGAGCAUUUGGAUAAUGAUCAAGGUAUGGAUGUGUUUGCUCUAGCAUUGUAUGGCAUGGUAAUCUUUCCAAAGACUUUGGGUUACAUUGAGAUAACUGUGGUAGACUUUUUCGAGCAAAUUAAAACCCAAACAAUUAAUCCCGCUCCAGCAGUCCUAGCCGAAACCAUCAGGUCAUUGAAUUUUUGUCGACGAAAUGGGAAAGGUCGAUUCAUAGGAUGUGCAUCUCUAUUAUACGUAUGGGUCAGAAGUCAUUUCAAAUGUGGGAAAAGUGCAUUUUCGAAACCAUAUCUUCGAAAUAAAGCACCACUCGAAGAGUUUUGCAAAAGCCAAUGGCCGACAUUAAAGACUAAGGAAGAAUGGGUCCUUUUCUUACGAAGGAUUACUGGGGAUGAAAUCGAAUGGAUGGUGCCUUGGAUGCCUCGUGUGCCCUUGUUGUAUCGUGGAGGAAAUGAGCCAUGGAUUCCGUUAUUAGGGCUAUGGGGUGUUGUAAGUUAUGCUCCAUUGAUGGCACUUAGGCAAUUUGGUGCAAAACAGUUUGUUCCUGCUACUCAUGGCCUGGUCCAAGUAGAAUUCAUUUAUGGGGAAUCAAAUCCAUCAAGAACUUCGGAGCAGUUGAUCCAAGCAUGGAAGAGAACACAAAGAAUGAGGUUAGGGCCUCUCAUCGAUAAAGUCACUUCUGAUUAUCAGAUUUGGAAAGCAAUGCGGCCUAGAGACAUAGUACUCCCUCCUGAUGAUAGCUCAUAUCAAUUGGUUAAUCUUUCAGAAGAGGUGCAAUUAUCAGAAGUUGAGCUUGUUAAGAAAGAAUUAGAAGCUGAAAAAGAAGAAAUAAGAAGAGAAAAUUUGAGACUUCGUGAAAAAGUAGGGCAAUUAAGAUAUGAAGCGGAGAUACAAGGGAGCAUAUUAGAAAAAGUCAUAAAAGAGCGAGAUUUGGCUAAUAGUGACUUGAAAGAUCUACAUCAAGAAAAUAAGAGGUUACUAGUUACCAAGUCUUACCUUGGCCGACAACGUGAAAUGGAUAAGCUCCGAGAGGGAAUAAACCAAUGGAAGGGCAAAGCUCAAGAAAAGCAAGAGGAGACCACCAGAAUUUCUCAAGAAUGUCAGAAUUGGAAGGGAUUAUACUCUACAACCUCAGCAAGAUUGGUGGAAUGCCAAAAUGAAAAGAAAAGAUUAAAAGUCAUGCUCGCAGAAGAAAGAAAAAAGCACUUCGAAGUAUUGAAUGAAAAAGAAUCGCUUCACCAGGUGAUCCAAGGGUUAGAGCUACAACUGCAAGACCACAAAAGUCAUAUUUCAGCAAUGAUAGAUGAGUGGCAUAGAAGGGAAAAAGAUUGGAUCUUCACAUGUGAUUCAGAAAGGGAUGCUCAUAUGAGAUGGAAGGCAGAAAGUUUAGGGAGGCAACAGUACAUAAAGCACUUGACUAAUCAAGUUUGCAAGGCAGUGAGGAAAGCAUGGGAGAUGGUUGAAAAGGUAGAAGCAUUAAGAAGAGAAGUCAAUCCCAUAGGAGAAUAUGGACAGUGCCUAGUGAACUUUCUAGAUGAGGUGAAGGACCAUUAUGAGCAAGUCAAAUGCUUUUAUGGAUAUAACUCUAGGAUGAUAAAUCCUAUGUAAUAAAAGUUGUAUGAGAUCAAUAAAAAUUUCUAAUGUUGAAAUUCGUUCAAGAACAAAUAUCUCUCACUUGCAUUCAUGCAUCAUAUACAUCAUUUUUCAUAAAGUAAAAUUUUUAACACAUAGCAUUCUAAUUUUAUUUUUUUCUUUUCUUUUUCAAAAUAAAAAAAUUUUGUGGUAAUAAAGGUUCAAGAAUAGCUCGCCCAUCAAAAAUUUCGGCCCAACCUACUCGUCAUUCAUACAAUACCAGGACACAGACAAGAAUCAUGGAGCAAGAACAGGCCAGUCGAUUUGAGAGAAUUGAAAAAGCUCAAGAAGAACUAAAAGGAGAUCUUAGUAUAAUAAUGGAUAUGCUCAAGAAACUUGACAAAGGAAAAACAGUGGAAGAAAAUCCUAGCUUUCAAGAACAAUCGCCAGAUAUGGUAGAUCCUGUCUAUCCUCCAGGGUUUGAGCCACGACUGAACCAACCUUCACAAGGAACUAGAGUACCAAUUUUUACUCCUGGUGGAUAUCCUAAUCCUUAUCCAGGAAUGACAUCCACACCUGCUCCAGGACAAUUUCAGAAUUUUGUUAAUCCCAUUAUGAUGGAAAAACCACCUGAGCCAAUCUUAGUUCCUGAUUUAGAUGAUCCCAAGGAAAGAGAAAAGCUAGGGAUGCAGACACCUGAAAAAGUAGAAGAUACCAGUGCCCGGGAGAAGAUGAAGAUAUUGGAGGAAAGGCUUAGGGCUGUAGAGGGAAUGAAUUUUUAUGGCUCCACAGAUGCAGCUGAUCUUUGUUUAGUUCCAGAUGUGGUAAUUCCACCUAAAUUCAAGGUCCCUGAAUUUGAAAAAUAUGAUGGUACAAAAUGCCCAAUGACCCAUAUCACCAUGUAUUGUCGAAAGAUGGCAGCAUAUGCUCGAGAUGAGAAGUUGUUAAUGCACAUAUUUCAAGAUAGUCUUACGGGUUCUGCAGCUAGGUGGUAUGUCCAGCUAGAUAGGACUCAUAUUCGUUCUUGGCAAGAGCUUACAAAGGCAUUCCUUACACAAUAUCGGCAUGUCACGGAUAUGGUUCCAGAUCGUCUGUCUCUUCAAAGCAUGGAAAAGAAAGUAACUGAAAACUUUAAGGAGUAUGCACAAAGAUGGAGAGACGUGGCUGCACAAGUUCAACCCCCUCUCACUGAGAAAGAAACAACUGUUUUAUUUGUGAAUACCUUGAAAGCACCGUAUUAUGAAAGAUUGAUAGGUAAUGCAACCAAGAAUUUUGUCGAUAUGGUGAUAUCCGGUGAGAUCAUUGAAAAUGCCAUAAAAAAUGGUAAGCUCGAUGCGGGAGAGACAAGUGGAGUAAAGAAAGGUGGAGCUCCUAGAAAGAAGGAGAAUGAAGCUCCAGCAGUGAACUAUAUGGGGCAACAAUUCAGAGGUUUCACACCUUAUCCUACACCAGUAUACCAGACCCAUUACCCUUCUGUAAACCAUGUUACAUCCAUCCCUCAUUCACAUCAACCAUACCAGUCAUUACCACAACCAGCUUAUUCACCUCAUUUUCAACCAUCCUUUCGAACACCCACUUAUUCCUAUAACCGUCCUGUUGUACCUACAAGACCAGACUGGAGACCUAAUAGUAGUCCACGAGCCCCAAGAAAUAUCCAAGAAAAAUUCACUUUCGAUCCCAUUCCCAUGACAUAUACAGAUCUGUAUCCUCAACUUGUUGAGAAACAUCUGCUUGCUCCUGUUAUCAUUGAACCUAUGAAACCUCCGUUUCCCAAAUGGUAUGACCCCAAUGCACAUUGUGAUUAUCAUUAUGGGAAUCCAGGUCAUUCCACUGAGAACUGUACUGCUUUGAAGCGUAAAGUGCAGGGGUUAAUCAAUGAAGGAGUAUUAAAUUUUGAUACCAGCCAACAAAGGACUCCAAAUGUCAAUGGAAACCCUCUACCAAAUCAUACCAAACCAUCAAUAAAUGCUUUGAUUGAUGGGCAAACAAGUUAUGUGAAAAGAAGAAUAGAGGAGGUCAAAACUCCUAUGGCUAAGGUGUUCGAAGUAUUGGUCAAAACUGACAUGUUGAAGCCAAUAGAACCUCAAAAUUACUCUGAAAUGAUAAACUCAACUGAAAGCUGCACUUAUCACAGAGAUGUUCUGGGGCAUUCUAUCGAGAAUUGUCACCAAUUUCGUCAAGAGGUGCAAAAAUUGAUGGAUGAAGGUCGAAUAGAGUUUUACCAAGAGAGAGAAGAGUUGGUGAAAGUGUCUACCAUUGAUUCAAAGAAUAAGUUUGGGCGUAGACCAGUAACUAUCUAUUAUGAUGAGAAGCCAACAUCGAAGCUAGAAAAACUCGUCUCUCGACCAGUGGUGACAAUUAAAGUUCCUGCCCCUUUUUCAUAUCAGAAUGAUAAAGCAGUACCUUGGAAGUACGAUUAUGGUGUCGUAGUCAACCCAGAUACUGCUAAUAUAACGGGUGUAGGAGGCAUAACCCGAAGUGGCAGGUGCUAUACCCCAGAGGCUCUAGAAAAAGCUAGAAAGGAGAAAGCCAAGGUAGGGGAAGAAAAUGAAAGUCAGAGUGAUCUUGAUGCAACACCAGAAAAAGAAUGUCAGAAGCCAGUAUCUGAGAGUGAAGCAGGUGAAUUUUUGAAGCUAAUAAAACAUAGUGAGUAUAGCGUGGUAGAACAGCUUAACAAGAUGCCAGCUAGAAUUUCGCUAUUGUCAUUAUUGCUCAAUUCAGAGUCACACCGUAAUGCUUUACUGAAGGUGCUAAAUCAAGCAUAUGUGUCUCACAAUGCUUCUGUUGAAUAUGUGGAACAGCUUGUUGGUAAUCUGACGAUUUCAAACUAUAUCUCUUUCAAUGAUGAAGAGAUUCCUCCUGAGGGUAGAGGAAGUAUCAGGGCUCUUCACAUUACUGUGAAAUGUAAAAGUCAUAUAAUGGCUAAGGUUUUGAUUGAUAAUGGCUCAUCCAUCAAUGUUAUGCCUGCGGCUACUCUGGCAAAACUCCCUGUUGAUGGAUCUUAUAUGAAAUCUAGUCAUAUGAUAGUGAGAGCUUUUGAUGGAACCAGAAGAGAAGUGUUGGGAGAUAUAGAAGUGCCACUGCAGAUUGGCCCAUGUACUUUCAACGUGAAAUUUCAAGUCAUGGACAUCUCUCCUUCAUAUAGUUGUUUAUUGGGUAGACCGUGGAUCCAUAUGGCAGGUGCUGUCCCAUCCUCAUUACAUCAAAAAGUCAAAUUCAUUGUUGAAGGGAAGCUAACAUGUGUGGCAGGAGAAGAAGAUUUAUUGGUAACUCAACCGAUAAAUACUCCUUAUGUGGAAUCGGCAGAUGAAGCUUUAGAAUGCUCUUAUAGAUCUUUCGAGAUUACCAAUGCAACAUAUAUAGCUGAAGGAUCUAAAUUGUAUUCGCCACACUUAUCUACGACUACUAAAAUGGUAGUCAGACAGCUUACCAAGAUGGGAUGGCAACCUGAAGCCGGACUUGGGAAGAACCUGCAAGGAAUCACGAAGCCAUCGGCCAUAUAUGAAAAGAGAGACAGGUUUGGCUUGGGAUAUAAGCCAACAAGAGGGGAUAAAGUAAGAAUGGGGAAUGAGAAAAGAUAUAAGAGGAUAGCUAAUCUUAAGGGAUAUGAACCAGAGUCAGAACCCAUAGUCAUUCCAUAUCUCUAUGAUUCUUUUCACUCGGGAGGAUACAUUUAUUCAGAUUUACCGGGAGCCUCAAGUGCAGGAUUCAUGGAAAAAUUUUCAGAGCUGGCCAUUCAAAUGGUGGAUGGAGAAAAGAAGAGUCGAAGUGAAGAGCUGUUCGUGUACCCUUGUCCUUCAGAUUUUGAGCUGGAUAAUUGGAAAGUUACGGAGCUGCCUAUUGUUUUUAAAGCUUUGGAAAAGUAAUGUGAAACUUUAAAUCCCUAAUUACUUUCUACGAGUAUUAGGAGAUCUUUUAUGGUGUGUUUAUGUUUGUCAUUUUAAUAAAAGACUUAGAAGAUGCAUCCACAUUUCUUCUAUUAUCUUCAUUUUACCUUUCAUUCUUUUCUUUCCUACAUUUUCUUGCCAUUCCAUUUUUGUGUGCCAAUAUUUUCUUCAUCUUACCCUUUUGCAGGGUCCCAAACAAUGAACAUGAAGAUAAUCAUGGCAAUAAUCUCGGAUUUGAUUUUGAAAAUUUAAUUCAUGUUGAUGAACUUGAUAAUGAGGAAGAUUCAGAUAACUACACACUGCCUCUUGAUUUGUUAAAAUUAAUAGAACAUGAAGAUAAGCCAAUUGAACCCCACCAAGAAAUUACUGAAUCAGUAAAUUUGGGAGAUGGUGAGAAUAAAAGGGAGGUCAAAAUUGGUACAUCUCUUUUACCAGUUGAAAGAAAGAAGCUAGAAGAGUUACUCCGAGAAUAUGUAGAUGUGUUCGCGUGGACUUACCAGGAUAUGCCAGGACUCAGCACUGAUAUUGUAGAGCACAAGUUACCUUUAAAACCAGGAUGUAAGCCGAUGCACCAAAAGCUAAGGCGCAUGGAAACCAGAGAUGCUACUGAAAUUAAGAGGAAGUGAAGAAACAAUUCGAUGCUGGAUUUUUAGAAGUGGCAAAAUAUCCUGAAUGGGUAGCCAACAUAGUGCCAGUUCCUAAGAAGGAUGGAAAAGUGAGAAUGUGUGUCGAUUAUCGAGAUCUAAAUAGAGCAAGUCCCAAGGAUAACUUUCCUUUACCUCACAUCGAUACUCUAGUGGAUAAUACUGCUAGGCACUUCACAUUUUCCUUUAUGGAUGGUUUCUCAGGCUAUAAUCAGAUCAAGAUGGCUCGAGAUGAUAUGGAGAAAACUACAUUUGUGACCAUGUGGGGAACAUUCUGUUACAAAGUCAUGCCUUUUGGGUUGAAAAAUGCUGGUGCUACUUAUCAAAGAGCAAUGGUGACUCUUUUUCAUGACAUGAUGCAUAAAGAGAUAGAAGUGUAUGUGGAUGAUAUGAUUGUAAAAUCUCGUGAAGGAGAGGAUCAUAUAGUCAAUCUCAAAAAGCUGUUCGACAGGUUGAGAAGAUUUCAGUUGAAGUUGAAUCCUGCCAAAUGUACAUUUGGAGCCAAAUCAGGAAAACUAUUGGGCUUUGUAGUCAGUGAAAAAGGAAUCGAAGUGGACCCGGAUAAGAUACAAGCCAUCCAAAACUUAUCUCCUCCUCAUACUUCAAAAGAAGUGCGAGGCUUCUUAGGGAGAUUAAAUUAUAUUGCUCGCUUCAUCUCUCAACUCACUUAUAAGUGUGAUCCUAUUUUCAAGCUUCUCAGAAAACAUGAUCCUGGAGAAUGGAAUGAUGAGUGCCAAGAAGCUUUUGAUAAGAUCAAAGAAUACUUGUCAAAUCCACCUGUGUUGGUGCCACCAAUGCCAAGAAAACCUUUGAUUUUGUACUUAACAGUGCAUAAAAAUUCAAUGGGAUGUGUGCUGGGGCAAAGAGAUGAAACUGAUAAGAAAGAACGAGCAAUUUACUACUUGAGUAAGAAGUUCACUGAUUAUGAGUCAAAGUAUUCACCAUUAGAGAAAAUGUGUUGUGCAUUAACCUGGACAGCUCGAAGGCUUAGACAAUACAUGCUUUAUCACACUACUUGGCUCAUAGCAAAACUGGAUCCUAUUAAGUAUAUCUUCGAAAAGCCCUCAUUGACAGGAAGAAUAGCACGGUGGCAAGUUAUGCUUUCAGAAUAUGAUAUCAUUUAUGUGGCUCAAAAAGCUAUUAAAGGGAGUGCAAUAGCUGAAUUCCUUGCUGAUCGUGCAGCCGAAGAUUAUGAGCCAAUGAAAUUAGAUUUUCCUGAUGAGGAUGUGAUGGCCAUUGAAGAAAAUAAACCUGUUGAAAAAUCAUGGAGGAUGUAUUUUGAUGGAGCUGCUAAUGCUUUGGGUCAUGGUAUUGGGGCAAUUUUGAUAUCUCCUGAUGGACAUUAUUACCCCAUCACAGCCAGAUUAAAUUUUAAUUGCACAAACAAUGUGGCUGAAUAUGAGGCCUGUGUUAUGGGUCUACAAGCAGCAAUUGAAAAAAAGAUCAAAGUGUUAGAUGUGUUUGGAGAUUCAGCUUUAGUCAUCUAUCAGUUACGAGGUGAAUGGGAGACAAGAGACUCUAAGCUGAUUCAGUACCAUAAAUAUAUCUCUGAGUUGGUUAAGCAAUUUAAAGAAGUUCAAUUUGAGCAUCUACCUAGAGAGGAAAACCAAAUUGCUGAUGCACUGGCUACUCUAGCUGCAAUGAUCAAAAUAGAUGCAAAUACUGAAAUCCAACCCAUCAAGCUGGAUGUGAAAGAUGUUCCAGCACAUUGCUCAGGUGUUGAAAAAGAAAUUGAUGGGAAGCCAUGGUAUCAUGAUAUCAUGCAAUACAUUAAAAACCAGCAAUACCCAGAACAUGCAACUGAAAAUGAUAAGAGGACUAUCAGAAGAUUGGCUAUGAGUUUCUUCAUUGAUGGAGAUAUCCUUUACAAAAGAGGUCGAGAUCAAGUGCUCUUAAGAUGUGUAAAUGCAGCUGAAGCAAAAAAGAUUAUUGAAGAAGUGCAUGAUGGAGUUUGUGGGGCACAUGCAAAUGGUCAUAUGAUGGCUAGACAAAUUAUGAGGGCUGGCUAUUAUUGGUUGACAAUAGAGAGAGACUGUAUUGAUUAUGCUAAGAGAUGUCAUAAAUGUCAGAUUUAUGCUGACAAGAUUCAUGCUCCGCCAUCAACAUUACAUGUUCUAGCUCCACCUUGGCCGUUCUCUAUGUGGGGCAUGGAUGUUAUUGGUCCCAUCACUCCAAAAGCUUCGAAUGGGCAUAGAUUCAUUUUUGUAAUUAUUGAUUACUUCACCAAAUGGGUAGAAGCUGCAUCAUAUGCUAGCGUGACCCGAUCUGUGGUAUGUAAGUUCAUGAAAAGAGAGAUAAUAUGCAGAUAUGGACUUCCGGAGACAAUUAUUUCUGAUAAUGCCAAAAACUUGAACAACAAAAUGAUGAAUGAAGUAUGCACUCAGUUCAAGAUCCGUCAUCGUAAUUCGGCACCAUAUCGUCCGAAGAUGAAUGGGGCAGUGGAGGCUGCGAACAAGAAUAUCAAAAGAAUCCUGGAGAAAACGACUGAAACUUACAAAGAUUGGCAUGAGAAAUUGCCUUUGCCUUGCAUGCUUAUAGAACAUCAGUCAGAACGUCUACUGGAGCCACACCGUUCUCUUUGGUAUAUGGUAUGGAAGCUGUACUAACCAGUCGAAGUGGAAAUUCCCUCACUUAGAGUCUUGAUGGAGGUAGAGUUAGAGGAAGCAGAAUGGGUUCGAAAUCGCUACGAGCAGUUAAACCUCAUCGAAGAGAAAAGAUUGUCAGCACUUUGUCAUGGUCAAUUAUAUCAAAAGAGGAUGAUGAGAGCACAUGAUAAGAAAACUCAUCCCCGUUGCUUUAAGGAAGGAGACUUAGUGCUAAAAAGAAUCCUUCCAAAUCAACAUGAUAAUCGGGGAAAAUGGACACCAAAUUGGAAGGCCCGUAUGUGGUGAAAAAGGCCUUUUCUGGUGGGGCAUUGAUUUUGGCAGAAAUGGACAGAGGUGAUUUGCCUACCCCAAUAAAUUCAGAUGUUGUGAAGAAAUAUUUUGCUUAAAAAAAAAAGAAAAAAAAUGAUGACUUAUCUAAGCUGAAAACCUGAAAAGGCGGCUUGGAUGUGAAAUAAAAGCAUCAUAAAAAAAAAAAGAGAGAGAGAUCCCACAAUGCAGGGGCAAGUGUAGUUUGACGAACUCUGAAUGAUCAAAGAAAUCAUCUGAUUUAGUUUUAGAGAAAGAAUCUGAGAAUAUUUUGUUCAUGAUUAUCUUAUGAUCAUUCUUUGACACCUUUGUUUUAACUCAAACACUUUGACAUGCACUUGUUAUCAGCCAUAUGAAAUACAUUAUCUUUCCAUUGAAAAUAAUGCCUAUCCUUUCCUUUAUCCUUAUCUAAUAUUUUUGUCCAUCAGAGAAAUGUGAUUGCAUUUUAUUUGUUUUGAACUUAAAAUGAUAAAAAGAAAAACAAACAUGAAAGAUCUCAGCAUUACUUUUAAAGCUGACAAAGGCAAAUGAAAAAGGAUGAGAAAAGCAUGACAAGACAUUGAUGUUGCAGACUUUUGAAAAAAUUAUGGUCAGAUGUUGAUAACAGAUUGAUCAUAUGAGAAUUCUGAUAAAAGAAGCCAAAAGUAAGAGAUUUCGAGAACCUUUUUACUACAAUGAAUGAUUUUGAUUGCAUUACAUGCAUUGCAUUAUGAGCGCUCAGUACAUGCAUCCAUGAGAAGUUGUAACAAAGAUAGAAAUUUUCCAUUUUGUAAUGAAAAAAACAAGAUUUUGGUAAAGACAAUGAUCAAACAAAGGAAUUCAAAAGAGAGAAAUUUACUUGUUCAAAGAUGAGAACUCAAAUUUGAAAAAGAUGAGAAUUUUAAAGUUGUGGAGCCUCUGUUGAGAGGAGCUUUUUCAAGAAGAAAUUUUAAAGUUGUUGAGCCUCUGCUGAGAGGAGCUUUUCCAAGAUGAGAUUUUUAAAGUUGUUGAGCCUCUGCUGAGAGGAGCUUUUCCAAGAUGAGAAUUUUUAAAGUUGUUGGAACCUCUGCUGAGAGGAGCUUUUCAAGAUGAGAAUUUUUAAAGUUGUGAACCUCUGCUGGAAAGAGGAGCUUUUCAAGAUGAGAGAAUUUUAAAGUUGUGACCUCUGCUGAGAGGAGCUUUUCAAGAUGAGAUUUUUUUAAAGUUGUGAACCUCUGCUGAGAGGAGCUUUUCCAAGAUGAAAUUUUAAAGUUGUUAGCCUCUACUGAAAAUAGAGGCUUUUUCAAGUGAGAAUUUUAAGUUGUUGAGCUUUUGCUGAGAGCAGAGGAGCUUUUCCAAAAACAAAAAUAAAAAAAAUAAAAAAAUUCACGAUCUAUUUUCGGACAAAAUCAUUGUCUUUGUCUUUGCCCUAUUACUGAUUCUCAGUAAUGUGCAAAGAGGGGCAACUGUAGAUACCGAUUUUGUCCAGGUCUACCAUUUUAUUAAUAAACAAAACAAAAAAACAAAAUAAACAAACAAAAGAAACAGAAUAAGAUAGAAGUCAGGGAGUUGGUACGGCGCCGCUGUCGCCAGCCCCCGACCAACUACCUACCAGCCCCCGACCAGCCUCCCGACCAGUCACCCUACAGCCACCAACCAACUACCUUACAGAAACCUAGAUUCCCCUAAUUGAAGCCUUUAAAAAUCUUCAGCCAUUUCCCUUUCGAAAAAAAAAAAAGGAAAAAAAAAGCUGGCUGAAAUCCCCUUCAAUCUCCCUCUGGAAUCCCCAUUCAACCCCAGACAGACCCCAUUCCUACGCGUAAAAAAACUCAGUUUCACGCAACCCCCCAAAGCACCCAAACCGAAAACAGAUCUACACAAAACAAAAAAAAACAACACAGUCCUCCCCGCAGGGAGGAACCCAGCGCCGAAGCUACCUGCAAAAGCAAAGAAAAUUGCAUCAAUCUUGUUUCAACAAAAAACGAAAAAAGUCUUGAAAACAGAAACUUUGAACCUCGAUCUACGCUGAUCGGGGCUGCUUCCGGUGAAAAGGAGACCGGAUCUGGAAAGAGGGCAUCUCGAGGAGUCUUCGUGACCUUCUAACCAUUUUCCNNNNNNNNNNNNNNNNNNNNNNNNNNNNNNNNNNNNNNNNNNNNNNNNNNNNNNNNNNNNNNNNNNNNNNNNNNNNNNNNNNNNNNNNNNNNNNNNNNNNNNNNNNNNNNNNNNNNNNNNNNNNNNNNNNNNNNNNNNNNNNNNNNNNNNNNNNNNNNNNNNNNNNNNNNNNNNNNNNNNNNNNNNNNNNNNNNNNNNNNNNNNNNNNNNNNNNNNNNNNNNNNNNNNNNNNNNNNNNNNNNNNNNNNNNNNNNNNNNNNNNNNNNNNNNNNNNNNNNNNNNNNNNNNNNNNNNNNNNNNNNNNNNNNNNNNNNNNNNNNNNNNNNNNNNNNNNNNNNNNNNNNNNNNNNNNNNNNNNNNNNNNNNNNNNNNNNNNNNNNNNNNNNNNNNNNNNNNNNNNNNNNNNNNNNNNNNNNNNNNNNNNNNNNNNNNNNNNNNNNNNNNNNNNNNNNNNNNNNNNNNNNNNNNNNNNNNNNNNNNNNNNNNNNNNNNNNNNNNNNNNNNNNNNNNNNNNNNNNNNNNNNNNNNNNNNNNNNNNNNNNNNNNNNNNNNNNNNNNNNNNNNNNNNNNNNNNNNNNNNNNNNNNNNNNNNNNNNNNNNNNNNNNNNNNNNNNNNNNNNNNNNNNNNNNNNNNNNNNNNNNNNNNNNNNNNNNNNNNNNNNNNNNNNNNNNNNNNNNNNNNNNNNNNNNNNNNNNNNNNNNNNNNNNNNNNNNNNNNNNNNNNNNNNNNNNNNNNNNNNNNNNNNNNNNNNNNNNNNNNNNNNNNNNNNNNNNNNNNNNNNNNNNNNNNNNNNNNNNNNNNNNNNNNNNNNNNNNNNNNNNNNNNNNNNNNNNNNNNNNNNNNNNNNNNNNNNNNNNNNNNNNNNNNNNNNNNNNNNNNNNNNNNNNNNNNNNNNNNNNNNNNNNNNNNNNNNNNNNNNNNNNNNNNNNNNNNNNNNNNNNNNNNNNNNNNNNNNNNNNNNNNNNNNNNNNNNNNNNNNNNNNNNNNNNNNNNNNNNNNCGGGGCUGCUUCCGGUGAAAAGGAGACCGGAUCUGGAAAGAGGGCAUCUCGAGGAGUCUUCGUGACCUUCUAACCAUUUUUCGAUCACCGGCGACCACCGCCGACGGUGGACCAGGCGGCGGCCGACAAGGCGAUCUGAUGGCCGGACGGCGAUCGGCCGAACCCCUCCCCCAGAGCUCUCUCUCUCGUUUUUUUUCUGAAAACAGGACCAAAUGAACACAAAAAAAUUUUUCAAGUUAUUUAUAGAAAAAAUUAAAAGCAAAACGACGUCGUUUUGGGCAUAGGGCCAAAACGACACCGUUUCAGCUAAGGAGGAUCCGCGCGUCCACCCGCGACCCGACCCUGGGUCCGCGCACCCGACCCGCGACCCGUUUCCUUCAUCAGCAUCUGACCGGUCUGACUGGACCAGAACCGAACCGCCCAGACCGAACCGAACCGGAACCGAACCGCCCAGACCGAACCGAACCAGUACUGGACCGUCCAGACCGAACCGAACCGUCGAACCAAACCGGGCGUUGACCGGUCCGGUUCAGGUAAAAAUUUUUUUUUAUUUUUUUACUUUUUAUUUUAUUAAUAUUUAUGUAUGUUAAAAUGUUUAUAUUUGUUAAACUAAUUGAUGAAAUUGUAGUUAAAUUUUUUUAUUUUUAAGAUAAACUUUAAAAACAAUUAUAUAAAAAUAAAUUUAAUAAUAAUACUAAAGUGAUAAAAAAUGAAAGAAAAGAAAAUUUUUAUCCGACGAUGAGAUUUAAAGGUAUUCCGAGUAGUGAUGCCUACGAAAUCUCUAGGUGAGAAGAUUUUUUUAAAUACUACCAGCGUAUUGGAGUAUUUAUAAAAAAUUUUUCAAUACAGUAAAGAUUUUCUUUUUAAGAAUAAUAAAUAAAAAUUGAUGAAUAUAUUAAAAAUAUAAGUAAUAAAAUAGGAAGAAAAAAAUUUAAUCCAAUGAUGAGAUUCUAAAAGUAUUCCGAGUAGAGAUGCUUUAAAAAUCUCUAGGUGAGAAGAUUUUUUUAAAAUAUUACCAACGUAUUGAAUAUUUAUAGAAAUUUUUCAAUAUGAUUAAAUUCCUUUUUUUCUUCAAAUUUUAAUUUAAAAUUCAAAAAAAUAAUUAAUAAAUUUUGAAUGAGAAUAAAAUGUGGUGCAUAACAUGAAAAUAUUUGCAUGGCAUGCAUGACAAAUUUCACGAAAAGUAAAUUUAGACCUCCAAAGAUGAGAUUCUAAAAGUAUUCGAGUAGAGAAGCUUUAAGGAAAUCUCUAGGUGAGAAAGAAUUCUUUUAAUGUUACCAACGUACUGGAACAUUUUAAGAAUUAUUUCAAUUAAAAGGUUUUAAUUUAUUUUCUCGAGAAUAAAUUUUUUAAUAUUGAUAUUUUCUUAUGAAAAAUAAAUUCGAGCCUCCAAAGAUGAGAUUUUAAAAGUAUUCGAGUAGAGAUGCUUUAAGAAAUCUCUAGGUGAGAAAGAGUUCUUUUAAUGUUACCAACGUACUGGAACAUUUUAAGAAUUAUUUCAAUAAAAAGGUUUUGAUUUAUUUUCUCGAGAAUAAUUUUUAAUAAAUAAAAAUCAAGAAAAUUAUUUUUUUUAAUAUUGAAAAUAAGACUGUUUGUAUUAAAAUCAAAGGAUAACACGUUGUUAAUUGGUACCGUUUUUAACGGGCGUUGUGGGGGUGCUAAUCCUUCCUCACGCGUAACCGACUCCCGAACUCAGACUGUUUCGCAGACCGUAAAAUUAUCUUUUUAAUAAAUUUUAAUUAAUUUUAAGAUUUCAUUAAAAAGGUAUGUUUUAAUAGGUGGCCAAUCGCACCUAGCCAAAAAAGAUUGGUGGCGACUCCGUUUUUUUUAUUUCGUUUCCAAAUUCGUCGGGCAGACGCAAAACCGUUACGAUAGUCAUAUUCCUCUGCAUGUAGAAAAAUUUAUUUCAGGCCCUUCUACUGAACAACCAGUAUAUGCUAUAAAAAAUCAUGAUCUUUUAAACCAAGCUAUUCAAAAAUAUUCCAAUCCCUUUUUAUACCAUUUCCAAACAAGAAUUAAUGUUAUGAAAUACUGCAAAAAUCUUUUACAAAAAACCCUUUGCUCUUCUUUCCCAAAAUAUUCCCUUCAAACAGAUGAAAGAAAAAUUUGACCUCUUAGUUUAAUCCAACAACUCUCCGAAAUGGAAACAAUGGACCAUACACAAUAUCUACUAUACCAGUAUCAAGAAGGAUGGCAGAUGUGGAAUAAAUCCAUAACAAAUACUACAUAUUUUUUUAAUCUAUAAAACGAAAAAGCAUUUAAUUUGGACAAUAUCAAAAAAGGAUAAACUAUUCUAAUAAGGAAUAAGCUUAUAGUACUUACCAACAAAACAAAAAACAAAGCUAAUGGUAAGCCCAACAUCCACCAAAUAUCGAACAUAUCAAUCGACAGCGGUCACUGUAGCUGAAAAAGUAGUUCUUGUAGUAGAUAAAAUCAUACAACAAUAAUAGAUGACUCUGGUUAAAUAAUACUGUAUAAUUAACCUAACCUAGGUUAAUCCCCCUAUAAAUAGAAUGACUCUGCAUUUGUAAAGGGUAGAGCUUAUCUCUUACUCUCACUCUAAAAUUUUUUCUCUUCAUAGCUCUCUUUUAAAGUCUUCCUUUACCAAUAUAAAGUUUAUUUUUACUCUUAAUCUCUGAUUUUGUUUUUAUUUUUGUAAAUAGUAUCAGAGCCUAUGUACUAAUCUAGUUUGUAUUUUUAAAUAUUUCAAAUAAAUAUAUCAAAAACAUAUAUUUUGUCAUUCUUGUAAGUUUUCUUGACUUUUAUCUUUAUUUCUUUAUUAUUGUUUCAUGUUUUAAAGCUCAUACACUUGGUUUCCUUGUUAGUAUUUGUGGCUUUGGUUGCCUUUGUUAACUGGCUUUUAUGAAACUGUCCUAAGAAACUAGCAUCGAUCUUAAGCACCAAAAACAUGGUAUAAAAUGAAGAAGAUUAUUGUAUCUAUAAAGAUAAAACUUAUAAUCAUAGUCUUCAUAUAGAUUCAUCUUGUGAAAAUAAUAAUAUUGCUAUAAAUAGAACUAUUAAUUGUUUAGUUUAUCUUUCUUCCUCUUUCUUUAAAAAACAUUUUGUAAAAAUCAAUACUAUUGAAGAAAAAAUUGACAAUAUUUCUAUAAAAUUAGAACCAAAACCAAAAACCAUUGAUUUUGGACAUUUAUAUUAUGGAAAUACUAUUUUUAGAAUUUCACAAUACAACCAGUACUCAACUUCCAAAUCAAAUCCCUAUUUUUCCUAGAGAUAACCAAUCUUAACCUUUCUAUUAUCAUUCAGUAAAUUCUGUUUUACACUCUGCAACAUCUUCUUAUAGAAAAACUAAACCUGAAAAAAAAUCUUUUUUCAUUAUAAAUCAUUAUAAUUUGCAAGAAGCAAAUUAUAUAAAGUUUUCUAAUAAAAGCUCAAAAAAAGUUUAUACUUUUAUUAAAGGAAAAUUUCAUUUUCCAAAAUACAAUCCUUAUACUUUACAUAUACUUUUGGACAUUAGAGCAACAAUCUCUAGCUAUUGUAGUAAUGCAAUUCCAUUAAACAAAUGGGAACUAAUGAAAAAUCCUAUUAUAAUUAUAGAAAUUGAUGGUAAAGAAACCAUCAUUGGUUUUAAAGCAAAACAUAUUCUAGUAUAUUUUAAUAAUACUAAAAUUAUUAUUUUUAAAAUUUUAUGUUUUCCUCAUAUGCAUGGAGACAUGCUAUUAAGAAACAAUUUUUUUCAUAAUUAGCUCUCAUUUUCUAUCUAUUAUGAUACUAUCGAGUUAACUAUAGACAAUCAAUCUAUAAAAAUACCACCUUUAAAAGAUCACAAAUAUACCUAUGAUAAAAAUUUUCAACUUGAAGCUCAUCAAGCUAAAAUCAAGAUAACCAAUGAAAAACAUUGGUUAUAUUCCAUUCUUCAAGAAAAUUUUAGUGAAGAACCAUUAAAAUUAUGGAACCGUAGCCCUAGGUUUUGUGAACUAAAAAUCUUAGAUCCUAUAAAAAUCAUUAGGGUUAAACCAAUGAUCUACACUAAACAAGAUGUAGAUGAAUUUGAAAUUCAAAUAUCUGAUCUUCUUUCAAAAAGAUUAAUAGAACACAUUACUAGUCCUUAUUCUAGUCCUGCUUUCAUGGUAAGAACCAUGCAGAAUUAAAACGUGGAAAACCUUGAAUGGUAAGCAAUUAUAAGAGGUUAAAUCAAAAUCUUGUUUUUGAUGGGUGUUUCAUUCCCAAAAAAGAUGUUUUAAUUAAUUUAGCAAAAAGUGCUAAAUAUUUUUCAAAAUUUGAUUGUAAAUUUCAAUUUUGGCAAAUCAUGCUUUCUCAAAAGUCAAAACCUUUGACUACUUUCAUUGCUCCUACAGGCCAUUACCAAUGGAUUGUUAUGCCUUUCGGACUUUGUAAUGCCUCUAAGAUAUUUUAGAGGUGGAAGGAUACUAUAUUUCAAAACAUAAACAAUAUUGUUGUGUUUAUAUUGAUGAUAUAUUAGUAUUUUCUAAAAAUUUAAACAAUCACAGGAAAUACCUAAAUCAUAUUUCUCAGGAAUUUAUCAAACAUGGUAUUAUACUUAGUCCAAAAAAGAUUGAGUUAGAAAAAACCAAAAUAGAAUUUUUGGGAUUAAACUUAUCUCAUAAUGGUCUUUAACUCUAAGAUCAUAUUAUUGUCAAAUUACAAAAUUUUCUAGAACAAUUGGAAAAUAAAAAACAAUUACAACAAUUUCUUGGUCUACUUAACCAUGGUAGACAAUUUUUCAAAAACCUCCCAAAAAGGGAAAAACUUUUACAAGAAAAACUGAAAAAAGAUGUUGAAUUUCUUGGUCUUCUAUCGAUUUAGAUAUUAUUAAACAAAUAAAAUCUAAUCUCACACAUAUCUCUAAAGUUUAUCUACCUAAACAAGGUGAUCUCCUAUUCUAAAAAUAGAUGCCUCAAAAGAAUACUGGAUAUGUGCUUUAAAAGCCUAAAAUCAUAUUAAAAAAGAUGAAUUACUUUGUGGAUACAAUUUUGGCAAAUUUAAGCCAAAUGAAAUCAAAUACAUUAUUUUUGAAAAAGAAUUACUGGCUAUAAAAAAUGCAGUAAUUAAAUUUCAUAUUUAUCUAGCUUUUGAAAAUUUUAAUAUACAAAUAGAUAACCAAUCUGUUAAAGAUUUUCUUAAAAAUAGAAAACUUUUUGAUAAUCCUCAUAGAAUAUGUUGGUAUAAUUCUUUAUGCCAAUAUAAUUUUAUUAUUGAAUUUAUUAAUGGUGAUAAAGAUUUUCUUACAAAUUUCCUCAGUAGACCUAAAGCAUAAAGGUAAAAAAGCUCCACAGCAUCAAGAAGGGUGGAGAAAAAUUUAGAAGAAAAAUACCGAAAAAGUUUCCUCUUCUACUACUCCAUCAUCUUUUCAAAAUCCUAACCUAGGAUUUAUACCAUUUCAAUAUCCUUCUCGUGGAUAUCUACCCCAUUUACUCCUAUAAAGACCAAUCCAUGUCUUUCAAACCCAAGCUUCUUUACAACCACUAAAGCAAGCACCAUCUUAAUUUGCUCAGCAUCCAAACCAAUGGACAACUGCUUUUUAUUCUAAAAUCUUGAAAUAGACAUUAGAACUUAAAUAAAGUUUUGAAAUCAAAGAUUUUUACAAUCCUAGUCUCAACCCAGAGACAUAUGGAUUAAUCAAUCAUAUUUGGAAAUCCUACCUCUUUGAAAACAAAUAUGGAUUUAGAAAAAGGAUGACCAAGCUAGCUAAGUUCUUAGUUAAACAAACUAAAGAAAGACAACAAUUUGAUAAAUUGGUUUUCAAUAAUCUUUGUUCUUUUUACCUAUUAAAACAACAAGAUUAUGACUUCUUUGCUCUCAACAACCAAUACUCUAUUCAAGAAAUAAACCAUUUCUUAUAACUUUUUGAAUAUUUCUCUCAUAAAACUUCUCCCCAAACAAUAAAAUUAAAAAGAAUUUUAUUAUUUGAAAAAGCUUCAAUCUUACUUCUUAAAGAAAUAUUUCAAAAAAUUAAUAGUCAUAUUUCUCUACAUACAAAAAAAUUGUUGCAAGAACAUUUUUCGGAAUACUAUUUCUCCUUGUAUCUAGAAACAUCAAUCUUGGGAGAAAAACUUCCAAAAAUCAAAUUUAAACUAGACCAUGAUACUUUUGAUGUAAAAAGCAUCGAAUUAGGAUUGGUUGGAGAAAUUAUUGUUCAAAAAAUUUCCUUCCAUCAUAUUUCUAACUUUCCUGCAUUUAUUAAAUCUCAAUUUCAACAAUAUGUUAAAAACAAUAAUUUUUUUUUCUAUAUCUAUUUUAAAAUAACUUGUCUCUUAGGAUUCUUCAUUCAUGAAAGAUUCUAUCAACCUUAUCAAAUUUGGAAAGUUGAAAAUUUUAUUUCAGGCUUUCCUACUGAACAGCCAGUAGAUGUUAUAGAAAAUCUUGAUCUUUUAAACCAAGCUAUUCAACAGUAUUCCAAUCCCUUUUUAUACCAUUUUCAAACAAGAAUUAAUGUUAUGGAAUACUGUAAAAAUUUUCUGUAAAAAACCUUUUGCUCUUCUUUCCCAAAAUAUUCCUUUCAAAUAUAUGGAAGAAAAAUUUAGGCAAGAUUAGUAUAUUCAGAGAUCGAGUUACAAAUAGUUCCAACAAAACCAGAAGCUCUCAGUUUAAUCCAACAGUUCUCUGAAAUGGAAACAAUGGACUAUCUACAACAUUUACUAUACCAGUAUCAAGAAGGAUAGCAUAUGUGGAAUAAAUGCAAAACAAAUACUUCACAAUCUUUUAAUCCAGAAGAUGAAGAACCAUUUAAUAUGGACAACAUCCAAGAAGGAUAAGCUAUUCUAAUUAGGAAUGAGCUUAUAGUAUUUACAACCAAACAAAAAACAAAGCUGAUGGUAAGCCUAUCAUCCACUAGACAUUUGACUUAUCAACCGGCAUUGGUCAUUGUAGUAAUCACUGUAGCUGACAAAAGUAGUUAUUAUAGUAGAUAAAAUUAGACAACAGUAAUAGAUGACUAUGGUUAAAUAAUACUAUAUAAUUAACCUAACCCAGGUUAAUCCCCCUAUAAAUAGAAUGAUUCUGCAUUUGUAAAAGGCAAAGCUUAUCUUCUACUCUUUCUCUAAAAUUUUUCUUCUUCUUAACUCUAUUCUAAAGUCUUCCCUUACCAAUAUAGAGUUUAUUUUUACUCUUAAUCUCUCAUUUUGUUUUAUUUUUGUAAAUGGUAUCAGAGUCUAUGUACUAAUCUAGUUUGUAUGUCUAAAUAUUUUAGAUAAAUAUAUCAGAGAUAUAUAUUUUGUCAUUCCUAUAAGUUCUCUUUACUUUUAUUUCUAUCUCUUUAUUAUUGUUUCAUGUUUUAAAGCUCAUAUGCUUGGUUUCUUAGUUUUUUUGCUGGUAUUUGUGGCUUUGGUUGCCUUUAUUAACUGGCUUUUGUGAAACUAUUAUAAAAAACUAGCACCAGUCUUAAGCACCAAAAACAUGACACAAAAUAAAGAAGAUAAUUGUAUUUGUAAAGAUAAAACUCAUAAUCAUAGUCUUUAUAUAGAUCCAUCUUGUGAAAAUAAUAAUAUUGCUAUAAGUAAAACCACUAAUUGUUUAGCUGAUCUUUUUUCCUCUUUCUUUAAAAAAACUUUUUGUAAAAAUCGAUACUAUUGAAGAAAAAAUUGACAAUAUUUCUAUAAAAUUAGAACCAAAACCAGAAACUACUGAUUUUAGACCUUUAUAUUAUGGAAAUUCUAUUUUAGUCUUAGAUGAUAAACUAUCAUCUUCUAAAAAAGAAAUAAGAACUUAUAGACUUUAAAUCCUAUAAGUAUUUAAUAAAAAAUUUUAAGCAAAAAAAUGCAUCAGACUACAAACUCCAAUCAAAGGGUUGAAUAUUUACAAGAGAUUGAAAAUCUUUAUGAAACCCAUAAAGAUCUUUCUAAAAAAUAUAAUUAUCACUAUACGCUUAACUACAAUACAACUAGUGAAAGUAGUGAUGAAGAAGCUGUAAAUGAUAAUUUUGAUAUUCUUGCAACUAAUCUAGUUGUAAAAAAUGAAGAAUCAUACUCAUCAGAAGAUGAAACCACAUAUGAAAAUGAAGAAAAUAUCCCUCUUAUGCAACCAACAGAUCAAGGAAAAAUAAAAGUUUUUGAAGUCUUUAACCCAGAGGCUAAUGAUUUACUUUGAUUUUCAUAUUAUCAAGGAAACCUUAAAAUAUAUCAACCAGUUGAACAUCCAGUUGAUCCUUCUUAUAAAAAUAAUUCAUCUAAAAAUAUGAAAUUAAAAAUGUUACUAAAGUUUGGCAGACAAGUCAAGCUUAAACUAAUACAACCCUAACUAUAGAUUCUUUAAACAAACUAUCUAUUGCAUCUGGUGGUAAGUACCUUGAUAUCUCUAAAGUUCCUAUUUCAAACUAUGGAAAAACUAUAGAUGAAUUGGCAUAAUCCAUGUCUAUAGUAGUAACCCACUACAAAGAUUCAUGGAACAAAGAAUAUUCCUUAAUUAUUUUUGUGGCACUUAGCAAGGUGAUGCUCUUAAAUUUCUCAAAAAAUAGGAAAAUAUUGAUAUGGGAAACACCCCGAAAAGUACUCUUUUAGCAGUAGAAAAUAUUCUUGAUCUCUUAAAAAUGCUCACACAAAUUUUAAAAAAUUAAUUGUGUGGAAUUAUUGAACAUAUAAGUGCUAACAGUGAAGCUCAGUAUAUUCUCUCAAAACUCAAACUCUAUAACAUCCUAAACCUAGAUGAAUUUUCUAAAAAAUAUAUGAAUGAAUACCAACGUCUUGGAUGAAAAAAUUCAAAGUUUUGUUUAAAUCAAUUUUUCUUAAAACUUCCCUCACCAUGGGAUGAAUUACGUUCUCAAAAUUAUACUACCUUCUUAGAAUUACGUUUGAAAAAAAUCAAAUGUAGCUAAUCUCAAUAUCGAAUUAUAUGAUACAUUAGGCAGUCGUAUUUUUUAUGUUAAAAAUCAAAUUACUGAUAGAAUUGUCCAUCAUUAUAACUGAAAAGAUAGGUUUAGGGACUUCUUCGACCCAAAACUAAUUGUCAUCUAAAGAUAAACCAUGUUUAGCUAAACAAUGUGCAAUUGUGUUACCAUCCUUACACGUGCUGAUAACUCUAUAAAAUAAAAUUAUUUUUGCUACUUAAUUUUAUGAAUUUUGUUUAGUUUUUGGUAAAAUAAUAUAAUUUUCCUCCCUAAUUUGUUUAAUUUGUGCAUGUAUAGGAAAAAUAUUGAAAAAAUAGAAAAAAGAUUAAUUUUGAGACAAUUUGACUAGAUUUUGGAGUUAAAAUGUAAGGAUGAUUACGUCUAGCAUUAGUGAGCUGAAUUGGAGAUUUUAUGAAGAUGCUUUGGAGCUAAAAUUGAAGUAAAAUCAAGGCCGAAUUUUCUGGGCAGAUUUGGAAUCAAUUCUAGCAAAUUUUCGAAUUCAAUUUUCAUGUAAUUCCAUGAAAUUUUAUGUAGGUGCACAUGCAUCGAAUUAUGUGGGAUGACUUGGCAAUUGAUUGGGAUUUAAUUGGAUGACAAAGCAUAACAUGAAGUUCCAAUUUUAGAAGGCUGAAAACAAGACUGAAAGUGGCGUCAAAACUGGGCAGAAAUUGAAGGUUGUUUUGCAAGCUUUCAAGGCUGUUAAAUGAGUUGAUUUUGAGGCAAAUUUGAGCUGCACUGGAUGACAUAUAAAUACACUUGAAGUACUGAUUUUAUAAGUUAAAGUAGGCAGCAAAACGAAGGAAAAAGGCUGGUUUAAGUUGCAGUUUUCAUGGGCUGUUUGCAAGCUGCUGGACAUUAAUUGGCAUGAGAAGGCUGCGGGCAUGGUCUCUUAAUUGAAAAGCCAAGAAUACAUGAAAUUAUUCCGUGCUACAUGAAGACUUGGCUGAUGUGGAGUCCUGAUCUCGGUAAGAAGAAAGAAGACCAAAACGGAACUGUAUUCUGUUUUCUCCCAAGAAACUGAAAAUUUAAAGAGUCUCAGAUUUGCAACUUCAGAAUUUUUUUUUUUUUUUUUUGAGAGAAACCAACCUGCCUUUACGAUAGAGAGUUUGAAAUCAACGAGGAAUCAAGGUCAGAAUUUAUCUCAAUUUCUAGCAGCCUUAAAGCUGUGUUGAUUCAAAGCUUGUGAAGAGUUUUAUUUUCCUUCAACAGAAAUUCAAGAAGCACUCCAACUUUUCUACAAUUCCAUCCAGCCGAAAUCUUCAAGAUUUACAACUAUAAAUACCUAGUUCUAAAUAUUAAGAAGAGCAUGGUUGGGAUGACAUACUAACUUAUUUUUAGUGUUCUUUAGCUUUUUUAUUCUUCUAUUUUUUUUUACAGUUUUCCAAUUGCUUUAAAUUUUCUUUAAACAGAUUUGAUUCUUGCACUUUUACUUUCUUACAAUUUAAUAUUCAACUUUGUUUUAAUUCUUAUUCAAGCUCUUUUAACUUGUGUUCAUACAAUUUAAGUUUUGUUUGAAUUUUGAUUUAAUCUGAAUUAUUUUAGGAUUGCAAUUUAAUGUUCUUUAACAGUUCCGGUUUAGAUUAAAUUUCUUGCAUUAAAGUUCAUUGUUAGUUAUAGUUUUUAGUUCAUUAUUUAGGUCUACUUUUAUUACAUUAAUUCUUGUUUUAGCUACUACAUAUCUUAGAAUUAAUUGAGGGUUGUUCAAUUUCAUUGUUUUACAUUGUGGUUAAUUCUUAUUCAUUAUUUUAGCUAUUACAUUAAUUUUUUUGCACUUAAAUUAUAGCUAUUGCAUUAGUUUACUUAAGCAAUUCUGCAUUAGAUUUAAGUUACUGCAUAAUUUUUUGUUUUCUAUUCUUAAUUCUGCAUAUAUAUUUAAAACAGCUUUAUGUUUUCUGCUUUAGGUUUAAAAGUUGUUUUUUGGUUAUUGCAUUAUAUUUAAGUUAUUUAAUUCUGAUUUAGUUUGUUUAUUUUGGUUUUGCAUAUUAAUGUAAUAACUAAUUUAAUUUUCGGUUUUCUGAAUAUAGUUAAAGGUGUUCAAUUUUUGUAUUUAACUCAAUGUUAAAAUUUUCAUGAGAAUGAAUUUUAUCUAUCACUUUAUUGCUUGAUACAGUUUGUGCACUUGUAGAUAUUCAAUCAUGUGCUGAAAAUGACAUUCUUUGAAUUAUUAUUCCCAUAUCUUACAAUCUCAAAUGAUAGGUUCUAAAAUUGAAAAAAAAGCCCUCCUCUUACUGUACAAUGUUGAUAAUGGUACGGCCAUCACCUUCUACAAUGAUUUUCUUGCAUCCCAACUAAUGCGUCCUUUUAAAGCUUUGCUUACAGCUAGAGCUUUUAUAGCAUUAGCAUCAACCACAAGCAUUACUUUUAAUGUUAUUGCACCAAUCACUCUUCUAAGUUAGUCCUUUACUAUAAUGCCUAUGGCUCCCUGUUUAAAAUUAACGUUCAGAGCUCCAUCAAAGUUUACUUUAUAAUGAGUGUUUAGAGGAGCCAUCCAAUUGACUUUUUCCAUAACCCUUUGUAAACCUUGAACUUCCCUAGCUUCGUGAUAUUCAUCCAAAAAAGUUUUCACCUUUUGGAUAAUAGCACCUUCAUGUUGUUUCUUGCCCUAUUAAACCUCCAAAUUUCAAGCAUUCCAAAAGGACCACAGUACCAUGAGAAAAAGUUCAAAGUUUGGUGGGCUAAGGCUAUUUGUAGCUAACUGCAACGAUUCGAAUGUGCUAGUGACUAGCAUGCAAGCUAACUAUUGCAACUGACUACAACUUUCCAAAACUUUCAAAGAGAAGUCACAAUAUUUAAGUGUAUUACCGUUUUGUUCUCUCUAUUACAUCUUGGACAAACUGGUUAACAGACGUAACCUUGACAGCAAGAUUUCCAGUGGUCGGUAAUAUUUGAUGAGCUAUCCUCUAAGUGAAUUGUCUGACCUUAGGUGGGACUUUUGCGGUCCAAACCUGUUUCGAAACCUUAUCUUGAGUUCCUGUAUUAGCAAAAGGUUUAGAUAGCACACAGUAACCACUCUUUACGGAAUAUUCACCUUUUUUUAUUAAAAUGCCACAUCAAUUUAUCUUGUAGACCACUAUUGCUUAGUGGGACCAUGCAAAUAGAUUAUGCCUUCAAGUAGCUGAACUCCGAAUGAAUAAGAUAUUCUUGCCACGUUUUCCUCUCUUCAUCAAUCAAGAUAGCAACCUUUGCAUCAGCAACUAUAUUACAAGGGAUUAAACUUGGUCUCAACUUGUCAGCUAAAAGUAGUCAUCUAUCCUCCCAUAUUUUGAUGCUUCUCCUAUCACCAUCCUUUCACCUGUUACCUUGUAUUAGAACAUCCUUUGCUUCCCAAAUACUGCUCCAUGUGAGGGAAGGAUAAUUCCCCAAAGCAGCAUCCAAAAUAUCCUUAUUGGGAAAAUAUUUUGCUUUGAGGAUUUUCUAGCUCAAAGAACUACUAUCAUAGAUCGACUUCCACCCUUGCUUCCUAAGAAAUGCCCUAUUAAAGAGCUCUAGGUCUAAAAAACCCAUCCCACCUAUAGUUUUAGGGACACACAAGGAGUCCCAUUUAUGAAUCGCCUUACCAUCUGGUUUGCUGCUCCACCAAAAAUUGCUCAUAAUACUCAUUAAUUCUUUACACAGUGACUUGGGCAAGAGGAGACAACUCAUAGUAUAUGUUGGGAUGGAUUGUAUAAUAGCUUUAAUGAAGAUUUCCUUGCCCACCAUGGAUAGGAACCUGCCGCUCCAACCUUGAAUUCAGGCAUGAAGCCUGCCCUUAUUUUUCCUAAAUGCUUUCUUUUUAUCCUUCCCUACUAUGGAAAGCAAUCCUAAAUAUUUGUGUAGGUUUGUCACCACAUGACUUCUCACAGUUGUUUCAGAACAUCUUUUUGUUCCACCAUAGUAUUAGGAUUGAAAUAUAAGGCUGAUUUGUCAAAAUUAAUUCUUUACCCAUAGCUUUUUUCGUAUAACUUUAGCACGCUCUUUAAUUUGUCGUCAUCAUCUUUAGAUGCUCUAGUAAAUAGGAGACUACCAUCAGCGAACAAAAGCUGAUUAACUCUGGGUCCAUAUCUGCUAGCCCUUACACCUUGAAUUUGUUUGUCCUUUUGAAAUCUGGUACGAAUAGAUGAAAGUCUUUCUAAACAAAAUAAAAACAGAUAAGGUGAUAAAGGAUCACCUUAUCGGAGUCCUCUACUGGGGAUGAAAGCAUUAGUAACUCUCCCAUUGACAAUAACAGAAUAAGACACAAAAGAAAUGCAAUGCAUAAUGAUUGAAAUCCACCUAUUAUCAAAGCUCAUCUUGUCCAUCAUAACCUCAAUAAAAAACCACUCAACACGGUUUUAAGCUUUGCUCAUAUCUAAUUUAAGAGCGACGCUACUAUUCUUCCUUUGUUUUUUGGAUUUCAGAGAAUGCAAUAGUUCAUAUGCAGAUAAAAUAUUGUCUGUAAUUAAUCUUCCAGGCAUAAAAGCACUCUAAAUUUCACUGAUACAUUUAGGAAGAAAACAUUUCAUUAUAUUAUAUAGAACUUUUUAAAUUAGCUUCUAGAUGACAUUGCAAAGACUAAUAAGUCAAACUUGGGUUUUUUUAGAGGAUUCUUGGCUUUUGGGAUUAGGACAAUGUAGGUUUCUUUAAUCUCAUGCCAUUAAGAACAUUUAGGCAAUAGGAAAUAAUAUUAUCACCUAUAAUAUGCCAAUAUUUUUGGAAAAAAAAGAUUGCUUCCAUACAUCUGGUCUUGGUGAUUUAGUGGGAUGCAUUUGUUUAAGAGCUUCGAUUUACUCAGGUUUAAAAUCCACUAACAAGAGCCCUUUCAUCUUAUCCGUUACUCAGUUUUCCACCAUCUCAAGAAUGAUCCUUUUGUUGUGUGAUCCUCAGGAAUCAAAUAUUUCUUUGAAUUAGUUUGUCACAACUUUUUCAAUUCCUUCUUCUUCAUCCUACCAAACUCCACUAUCAUCUUCAAGACCCAGAAUCAAACCCUCUCUCAACCAAUCCUCUUUAGCCCUUUGUUUCCAGUGUAGCUCUUCAUUAGCCAAUAGUUCAAUCCAAUUCUACUUCAGCAAGUCUUUCUUCCUCUAAAGAGGCUUCAAAAGCUGCUAUGUCAUGUAAUCGACUUAAUUGCUUGCUUAUAUUUUUAUCAUUCGUUCAAUACUGCCACAUUGCAGCACACCACCUUUGCAUUUUUCUACUUGCUGUCAACAUCUUGCACCAUACAGAAACGAUUGGAUUAGAACACCAUGAAUCGGCAACCACAUCCUUACUUCCAAAUUCCUUAGUCCAUACGGAUUCAAAAUGAUGUCUUCUUCUUGCUUUUCUAUUUACCUCUUCUUAUUCCCUCAAAGGUUGAGCAAUAUACGGUAGUGGCCCGACCUUGAACAAGAUAGAUAUUCAACUAAGGAAUAAGUAAAAGUUUCACACCACUUCUUUAUUGCAGUAACCCUAGUGUUUCCCUCAAAAAGUUUUUAGCCUAAGUUUCACACCACUUCUUUAUUGCAGUAACCCUAGUGUUUCCCUCAAAAAGUUUUUAGCCUUCCUUCCGUUUGUCCAGGUGUACCAGUUAUCUUUAAAACCCAGGUCCGUAAGAUUACACUCAGUUAAGGCAUAUGAAAAAGCAUACAUCUGUUUCUCAGGCCGUAAGUAGGCCCCAUUUUUCUUAUUGUUAUUAAGGAUCUAAUUAAAAUCUCUAAGGUACACCUAAAGAAGUUGGGACUGACUAGCCAGAUCUCUAAGAAACGUCCAAGAUAUAUUUCGCAUACUUGUGUCCAGUUUUCAAUAGAAUCUAAUAAGUCUUCAUGUAACCUAGUCAUUAUCUACUUCCUCUAUGUCAAUAUAAUAUUUGAAAAAAAGAUUUAAGCUGAAGAGAGAUAUCAUUUCUUUACAUCAUGGCCAGCCCUCGACCUCCCCCAACACAGUCGACUACCAAACAAUUUGGCAUGUUACAUUUCCUUCGAACUCCAUCAAAUUCAGUUUUUAUUAACCUUUUACCACUUACAAACAAGGAUUUAAAUAGUAGUUGUAAUUACGUUUUCGGUCGCAUUAUAUUUAUCACGUUUUCGAAUAUAACAAAGAUCAUUACGGUGAUUGCAAUCAUCGGGGUUGUGAAUAUUUUUUGGCAUAAUUUAUUAUAAAAUAUAAUAAUUAUAAUUAUAAUUAUAAAUAUAAAAACUCUUAUUUAAUGAUUUUAAAAAUAGUUUAUGACACUAUAUUUUUUAUUUUUUAAAAAAAUUAUUCAUAAUUUUAUUUAAAUUAUUAUAAAGCAUUCAUAUUUGGUUUAUCCACAAAAUGUUUUUUGACAAAGUUUAUAUUCAAUAUUAAUUCUAGACAAAUCACAAAUUGAUACACUAAUUGAUAUAAAUUUUUUUAAUACACUAAUUGAUAUUAAGUAAUUUAAUCUUUUUGAUACACUAAUUGAUAUAAUUUUUUUUAUCACAAAUGACUUUCAAUAAUUAUAUAAUAAAUAUAAUCUUUAAUAAUUAUAUAAAAAUAAUAAGAAUUAAUCUAAUAUAAAAAAAUGACAACAAUAUAAAUACCAAAACAAUAAAAAAAUUAUUAAAUUUCAAAUACAAAAUCAUAAAUUAAUAUAUAACAAAAUCAAAAUAUAAUUUUUAAUUUUAAUUAUUUUUCAUUUAACUUAUACAAAAAAAAUUAUCAAAAAUUUUCACUUACAAUCUUUAUAUAUGUUAUAUUAAAUUAUUAAUCCCUUAAUUUUUUUAAUUAUAAAUUCUCAAUACCUCUAAUUAAAUUUUAUCUAAAAAAAUUUCAAAAAUAAAAAAUUUUCAAACUUAUAUUUUAAUAAAAUAAUUACAAAAUUAAAUAAAAAACUCAUCCCACCCCACCCCACCCCACUCAUCUCAUUCCACUCACGUGCCCUAAAUAUCCCCCAAUUUUGGCUACCUAAUCCCAACUCACUCUCUCUUCUAUUCUUUUUCUUUCUGUUCUUUUUCUUCAUGCCUCUGGCUCGAGAAUUUUCUUCUUCUCCCUUUUUCUUUUAUUUCAUCUCUUACUCGCUUUCGCAUUCCCUCAUCAUUAUCACUUGCCUAGUGCUUAUAGAGUACCUCAUUCGUCUCUCUCAAAUUCUCAAAAAGAUAGAUAUUAUUUUAAAAAAAUUUUACAAAAAAAAAAAGGUAAUUUAACUUUCUCUUCUUACCUUUUUUGAAAUUGAUUGUUGAUUGAGAACUUGAAGCUGAUUUGAAUUUGGGUAAUUUGUGGAUUGAGCUAGGUUGUUGCCAAUUGAAUGGUUGAUAAAUGAUUUGAUACUAUUUUCUAACUUUUUUUUAGAUUUAUUUUGAAACUGAGGUUCUGAGUUUUUUUUGGCUUUUGCAGGUUUGUUGCUUUAUUAUGAUUCUUGGUAGUGUUAAUUUUUUUUUAUAUAUAACUUGAAUUGGUGAUCUGUGAAGAGAAAAAUAGGGAUAGCGGCAAUAACAACCCGUUAUUGCCAUUAUCCCUUGUUACGCCUUUUUUUACAGCCGCUGCUCAUUGUUUUAAGUUUGAAUGAAUUUUUUAACCAUAUUUUCUCUAAUAGCAGUGGCAGGUGGUGGCACUACUACAAUUUUAUGGUCACUAUUCUGCUAUAAAAUCGCUAUUUGAUUCCUCACUUAGAAAUACCACUUUAGGAUCUUAUUUUUGAAUGAACUUAUGCAAAACUCUAACCGUCCAUGGGUUCCUGAGUGCAUAGCAGUUCCAAGCUAAGGUUUUCAUGGUGAUUUAAAGGAUUGGACGUACCAAUUGGUAUUUAGAAUGCAACGUCUUAUGCCUCAUCUCUUCGUAUCUUUUAUUAUUUGCCAUCUCACUUCAAUUAUCAUCUGAUGCGGUAUAAUAUCUAUAUAUCCCUUUUAUUAGCUCCCUGACAAUGUCUUUGGUCAAAGCAAUCUAUGGCGUAAUCUUUUUACUAAUCCUUGCACUUUUUUAUGUAUGCGUGAAUUCAGUUAAUAGUUAAUCGAUAUUCUUAUAAUCUCACACUAUUAAAUAUAUAUCCAUUUGCCUGUGGGCCUUGAUUUAAUGACAAGGAAUAACCCUUAGAACUUUAAUUUCUUAAGUUCAAGUCUUAUUAUAUGUGGGUUUGGUUGUCUAAUUGAGUUAUAGUUUAUUAGUUGAUUAUUUAGUAAUGUAAUUGUCAUGCCCCAAACUUGAAGAUUUAAGACGUAACAAUGCCACAUACUUAUAAGACAAAUCUUAUAAGCAUGCAAGGCAACAGAUGUCGAACCAAAUCAAAAUGUAUAAUAAUCUUCAAAAUAAUAGUUUACAAAAUCUUAAGUCUACAAAAUUAUACCGUUCACAAGUUAGUUGAAUAUACUAAAAUUUUUACUAGUAAACUUUUUAGAAUCAAUAAUAAAAUACUCACUCAAAAGCUAUACCAAGCUAAAGAAAGAUGCUAAUCUUGUUAAUUCAAGUAGUUGUCAAGAUUAAGCCUCCCAAGAUACAAACAUCAAAAUCUGAAAGGGUAAAAAAAAUUAAAAGAAUAAGUACAUCAUCAUAUUUUUACAUAUAAGAGGUUUCAUGGGUAUAUAUGUUUGUUUGUUUGAUAGAUUACACUUUAUAUAAUUAAAAGGAAAUGAAGACUUAUAAGUCAAGUGUAUUUCAUAAGACAAUAAGAUUUAUAAGUCAAGAAUUUUAAGUGAAAAAGAAUUUUUGGUGGGAAAAACUUAUAAAUAAUGUGAUACUUAUAAAUAGGGUCCAUAUAGGUAGGUAUAUUUGAAUGUUUGAUGUGUGGAUAUUCUAUAGGACUAAAGAAUAAUGAGAUGUUUUAUGGAUAUGUAUGUAUGUUUGUUUGAUAGAUUACAUUUCAUAAGAUUAGAGGACAAUGAAAGGGUCUAUAGAUAUUAUAUAUGAGUGUUGAUGAUUUGAUGUGUUUUUAAUUCCCUAAAACUAGUUGAUCUUUUUUCUCAUUAGUGGAUAUAGGCAAGUAGAAUGCUGAACUAUAUUAACUUAUUAUCUAUUGUGUGAAUGAUUUAUGGUUUUGAGUAUGCUUCCACUUGCUCAUUUGUUUAAUUGAUUAGGUUUUUUUCACCUAACUAUUGGUAUCAGAAUGAAGAUGCGAAAAGAGGCAAACUCAAAGGAAUUCUAGGGAAGACUUCAAGUUCUUGUUUUGAAAGAUCGGUUUACAUGAAGCUUAAAGACACAAAAAAAAAUUAUUAUGAGAAUUUCAUUGCAUGUGAAGCCAAGCAUGUCUAGUACAAAGAACAAUGAUUUAAUGAAAUUUAAGUCAAGAUGGAGAUUGUUAAGAAGAUUAACUUAAAUCCCAAAAGAUUUAGUAAAAGAUUCAUUUAAUAUUUUUUCAAGAUUUGCAAAAUAUAACUUAAUGUACAAGAAGACUUUUAAGGCAAGAAUUAUAAAUUAUUGGAGUCUCAAUAGGGUUAGCCAUGAAAAAAAGUAAAGAGAGUUAUAGAAAUUUAUAGAGUAGAUAACUAUAGAAUUAGAAGACAAUGAGAGGGCCACAAUAGUGUGUUUGUUUGAAUAUUUGAUGUGAGAAUACUCCAUAAAACUAUAUGAGAAUGAGAGAAUUCAUGAGAAUGUGUGCUUGUUUGUUUGAUUGAUUACAUUUCAUAAGAUCAAAAGAUAAUAAAAAGGUUUGUAUGUUAUGUGAUUGUUGAUGAUUUGAUGUGUUUGUAAUUCUUUAACUAGUGGAUCUUUUCCUUCAUCUGUGAAUGUAUAUAAGUGUCGAAUCAUGCUAAAUUACUAUUUGUCAUGUGAAUAAUUAAUUAUGGCUUAUGUAUGAUUUUGCUUGCUUGAUUGUUUAAUUGAUUGUACUUGUCAUAAUGGUUUUAGGAACUAUUAGAUGAAAAUUUUAAAAAUCUAUUAAAACUUAAAGAGUCGCCACCAAUGUUUUUUUGUUAGGUGUGAUUAACCAUUUAAAAAUUUAUCUUUUUAAUAAAAUCUUAAUGUUAGUUAAAACUUAUUAAAAAUAUGAUUUUUUUGUUUAUGAAAAAUAAAGUUGGAUUCAAGAGUACUAUAAAAGUGUGAGGAAAAAUUAGCAUCCUCACAACACCAAUUUUAAAAACGAUACCAAUUAACUAUAUAUUAUCCCUUAACAUUGAUGAAAGUGAUUUUACUUUUAAUAUUUAAAAAUGAUUCCCUCAAUUUUUCCUAUUGCAAUAAAAAUCCUUGUUUUUUUUUUAAGAAACUCUUUUACUUGAAAAAUAAAUAAAAACCUUAUAUAUUGAAAAUUUUUUUAAAAAUUCCAAUACUUUGGUAAUAUUAGGAGGAACUUUCUCACCUAACGAUCUUUUAAGAAUCACUACUCGAACUUUUUAAGAAUCCUAUUCUCAACAAUUCAUAUUUAUCUUUAAAAUAAAUAUUUAUAAUGCAUAUAAUAAAAUGAUACUCAUAAUUUAACCCAAAUAAUAUUUUUUUUAUAAAAAUUCAGUUCUUAUAUUUUUAUUAAAUAAAAAGUAAACAAAAAUCAUUAUUGAAAAUCAUUCUAAAUAUCCCAAUACUUUAGUGACAUUUUAGAAAAUCUUAUCACCUAAAUAUUUCUAAAAAAUCACUACUCAAACUUCUUUAUGAUUUCAUUCUUGGAAGCUUAUAUUUUUAAUUGAUUAGUGCAAGUAAUAUUCAUGCAUUAUUAUUUCUAAAAAAAACUUUCUUAUUUUAUAUUUCUUUCACUUUUCAAACUUAAAAAAAAAAUAAGUAAAUGAAAACCCUUUUAUAUUGAAUAUCUUUCUAAAUACUCCAACAUUUUGGUAUUAUUUUAGAAACAUAUUCUCACCUAAAGAUUUUUAAAGAUCACUACUCCAAUGUCUUUAAAAUCUCAACCUCAAAAAGAUUUUCAUUUAUUUAUUAGAAUUUCACAAUAAAAAUCUUACACUAACAUAAUUACCGAAAAAUAAAUUUAUUUUCAUAAAAAUGUCUUUUUUUUAUUUAUUCAUAUAUAUAUUUAAGUCACUAACCCAUAUUAACAAUCACUGAAACAAAUAAAUGUAAAGACAAAACCAAAUAAGAAAACAUACCCAAAUUAAACCUUUGAAGUAAGGCCUAAAACAAGUUAAGUAUUGGACUCUAUAUUAGUAGCCCAAAAUGGGCUCACACGAGUUAGGCCUCCAUUGGGUUGUGGGUCCGAUCAACCAACUCUUACGAAGAAUAAGACCACCAUCUUAUUCAUUAACACUUUUCAGGCACCAUAUUAUGACAAGAUGAUUAGAAAUGUCACAAAGACUUUUACAAACAUGGUGACUUAUGAAGAAAUAAUAGAGAAUACAAUCAAGAGUGAAAAGCUCAAUGGAAGAGAUGCAAAGAAAGAGAAAGCUUCUAAGAAGAUUGAAAGAGAUGUUCAAGCUGUGACUUAUGGGGGUAACAUUUGCCUCGUAUUACCUUCACCUAGUCUACCAUCCCUACUGUCCUACCAUAAAAAAUGUCUUAGCUAAUCCCUACCUACAUCAAUCAAUACCAUAAUUAGGAUCUCAACAAAGCCUUUGCCAAGUACUUAUUUAUGCAUCCUUACCUCAGUUUAACAACCCCGUAAGCAAUCAGAGAAAACCACGAAACAACCAAGAUAGAACUCACAUUGAUCUAAUUCUUAUUUUUUACACUAAGGUAUUUUCUUAGCUUAUUAAGAAAUACGAUAUCACAUCAAUCCAUUUAAACCUAUAGAAACCUCCCUACUCGAAGUGGUACAACGUCAAUGCCAAAUGCUAGUAUCAUUGUAGGAAUGUAGUUCAUUCGAUGAAAAGUUGCCUUUCUUUCAAAUAUAAAGUGCAAAGUUUGAUCAAGGAUGGCUUGUUAAACUUUGAUAAAGAUACAAGGUCGAGUGUUAGUAAGGAAUCUUUUACCUGAUCACAUUGGGCAUGGUGAUAAAGAAAGAUGAGGUUACUUGUCUUUUUUUUUUGGAUCAUUUUGAAAGUAAUGUUAUUGCCUAAAUGUUUUCACCUGUAAGCAUCGAAUGACCUUUUUGAACUUUAAUUUUGUCUUUAUCAUUUCAAUGAAAUGGCAAUGAUGCAUUUUCAUUUGCUUUUUCACUCAAAUCAUUAUUUUGUUCUUUUGUAUAUCUUUUCGUAUCUUUCUUUUUACCCAUUAUCAAAUUCUAAGUAAUGAAUAUUCAGACAAUGAUGAUAAUAAUUUGGGAUUCAAUUUUGAAAACUUAUUCAAAUCAAAUGAGAUUGAUAAAGCACAAGGAGUUAACAUUGACAAAAAUAGAGUUGUUCUUGCUAGGAUGUGAUCAUUCGACAACAUUUGUCAAUAAACUCAUCAUUUAUCAAUUUAUGUUUUUCAAAAGGGUGCUCAUGUUUAAAAUAAAAAUUGCCAUCUUUUUUUUUACCUUUAAUACAACAAUAAAAUAAUCCAUUUGUUACCCCUUUUUUAGCCUGUUAUGAUUCUUUUAAAAACAAACCCACCAAGGAUCAUUCUUUAUACUAGGGAGAAAAUUUUGAAAGAAGAACUAUUCAUAAAAAAAAAAGGCAAAGGUCAUAAAAGAUCUAAAAGAAGCAUACAUAGAAAGAAGAAAUAAUUGUCUUGUGUUUAAAACCUCAUGGAAAAGGAAAAAUGUUGAAAAUAAAAAAGUUAAAAAUGACAAGAAAUGAAAAAAAUAAAUAUAAAAAGAAAUGAAAAGAUGCUUGUGAAGAAGGGGGUAGAAUGCCAUGGUACUUUAUUUUGAUAAGAAAUGAUCUUUUGGUUUGUAACCCUUUAAAUUUACUUGUUUUGAGCCUAUCUAUUUUUUUUAUAAAACUGCAUUGUAGCUACAUUACAUGUCUCAAAAGUUCAUUUUGAUUGAAUGUGAUCACUUAAGUUGAAGAAACAUAUGCUAAACUAAGGAAUGCUUAUGGUAUCAUUCAGGAAUGAUGAGAUUAUAAUCCUUUCUAAUGUUUAGGGAUUGAUUUUGAAUUUGACAGAUGAUUGUGAUGAAUGAAGACUAAAAAAAUAAAGGAAAUGAAAAAUAAGAAAAGCAAAAAAGCUAAAAAGCUAAAAAACAAAAAGCAAAAGAAAAAAAAGAAAAAACCAAGGAGUUACUCAAAUUGAAAACCUGAAAAGGUAAUUUGGAUAGAAAAUACUUGUGUUGAAAAUAAAAACUAGGGCAAGGUAGAUGAACUUAGAAUGAAAGUUCAAAAACAUUUGGAGAUUCUACAAAACUAGGGCCAGGAUGGAUGAAUUCAAAAUGUUCUAGAAAAAAAUUAUGAAUUAGAAUUUAAAAUUGUCUGAAUAUUUGAUUGUUACUUUUCGUAUAACCUGUAAGUACAUAGACUAAGUACUAAAAGAAAGUAUUCCAGUAGCAUCUUCUCAUGGACUAUGAAAUGUAAUGUUGGGUUACUCUUAAAGUACCAAUGGUGAAACCCUAAGAUCUUAUAUCUAAACAAAUAAAAAUUUAGAGUUUGGUUGCAAAAAAAAGUAUAGAUUAAAAGUGAUGUGUAGGUAAGGAUCUUAAUUUCACCAACUAUCACUUGAGAAGUAAAAAAAGAUUAACAAAGACUAGAUCUAAGAAAACAAGAAUUUAAAGUUUGGAAAUUAAAAAAACUUACAAAGGUCAAAUGCUUGUAGUGAACUUGGAACAAAGAUUGCAUGAAAAGAACUUAAAGAAUAUAAAAGAAAAUGUAGCUGAAUUUUGUAACAAAUAAAAAAAAGCUUAAAUCAAUCUUGAAAGACAAAGAAAGCUUUGCCGAAAUAAAGAUUGUAAAAACAAAUUUAGAAACUUAAAGCAAUAAAAGAAAAGAUCUUUGGAAAAAUACUUCUUGAAUUGAAUUGAAAGAAUUUAAAGAAACAAAAGCUUUGUUAUUGGCAAAUCUAUUACCUAAGCCAAUAAUUCAACUAUAGAAAUAAAAGAAAUAAAAACUAAGUACUAUAAGAAAAAAAAGAAGUGAGGAAUGGGAUGAUGGAAAAUGGGUGAAUGGCCUCCCUAUUUAUAAUAGAAGGUUUGGCUAAAGGGGAUAAGAAUCCAAAUGUGUAUUCAAAUUCAAACUAGAGGUGAUAAGGCAUAUCUUCAUCUUAGUCAAAUAGGACUUCCAAGCUUGAGCAUGGUUGGCCAAAUGUGAUGGUGUAAUAUUGGCUUUUGAUUGAAUCUUGAUAAAAUCUUAAUAAUUCUCUUGCCUUAGAUUUGGCUAAGGCUUGGAAAUUCAAGAAUAAGUUGAUUUUUAUCCAAUUCAUGAAAUUCAAAAGGAUAAAAUCCUACUCUAAAUCAAAAUCUUUGAGGCUAAGCAAUAAGUUUCAUGGUGAGUUUCUAGUUUUUCUUGGCUGAAUGUACUUAGCCUUGAUUGUAGAGAAAAUUUAUAUAAAGGCUCUCUUGAAGUCUUGGUCAAAUAGAAUAGAGCUUAAAAAGCCCAUGCUUUUGCAAAUUAAUCUUUCCUUUUGGAUGGCUGAAUGAAUAGAGUCCUUAUGCUACACAAUUGCUUCAUGGCUAAAUAAAGGAGUCAUGCUUGGAUCAAAACUUCUCUUUGGCCAAACAUGAUAGAGUUCAAAUAAACUUAGAAUUGCAUGCAAUCCUUCUUGGAAGUGGUUUAGUCGAAUGUAUCAUUAGGAGAAUCCUUGUGCAAUUAAAACUCUAUGAAUAUAGGAUAAGGUGGUUUGGCUAUAAGCUUUGAAUAUUGGGUCAAAAUUGCUCUUUGUAUGUAUGACUUGCUUGAAAAUGAUAUCCAUGAGCUUAAAAACCUGAAAUCCUGAAAACAACAUGAAAAGCAUCAAAAUUCAUCCAAAUUUUAAAAAUUAGCACCAUUUUUACAGGUAAAAACUUUAUGUAUUUAGAUGCUAUCACACUCCCACAUUUAGAUCUUUGCUUGUCCUUAAGUAAAACCUCAAAUCAUCAAAAUUAAAUGUUAAUAAUCAUACUUACAAAGUCAAAAACUACAUAAAUUUCUUAUCAUAUAUUAUUGCAUAAUACAAAGUCAAGAAUAAACAUAGAAUUUCAAGAAAUUCCUUCAAAAACAAGCUCUCAAUAUCUUAUGCUCAUUUCACAUAUACAUAUACUCAAUCUUUAAUUCAUGCAUAUAACUCAAGCAAAAAGAAUGUAAAACACUUCAUCACAUUUCAAUUCAAAGAUAGAAUAUAUUUCAUAUAUUCACUUUCCUUUUCCCUCUCCACUAAUGUUAGACUUAUAUAUGAAAAGGUUUUUGAGGCUUGUAAUGCAAGGCUUGGGUCAAGGUAAGAAAAAGAGAAUUUUAGGCUCAAAAUCAUAAGCUUACUUUCUUUCAACUUUUUGGACUUUAAACAAGUGAGAGCUCUUUUGAAACUUUGACUUGUAGGUAUGACUUUAUUUUUUUUAUUCAUGGCAUUUUUUUUUUGUUUUUUUUAAACAAUACUUAACCUUUUUAGGUUUCCUUAGGCUUUGCCAUUUAUGUUUGCCAUUUUUUUUAUUCAUUGUGCCUCCCUUCCUUAAAAAAUGAUAAACAUGUCCAUACACAAGUAAACACAAUGGUUUACAUUAAACAAAAGAAAGGAUAAUAAUAAUCAAAGAAAAGGCUUAUUGGCUUAUUUUGUCGCUAAAUUAAACAAAGAAAAUGAUUAAUAUAAAAUGCUCAAAAUAAAGGUACUAAGGAUGCAUCAUAAUGGGUGGGUUUGAAAAAAGCUUAAACGGUCCAAAAAAUUACCUAGAUCAUCUAUUAAGUUAAACACAGUUUAGGAUUUCACUUCAAGGGUUAAGUAGGUGAAUUCUAUAACACUUAUUCAUCUCAUCAAAUUUUCAUGUAAUUUCAUAUCUCAUAAACUUUCACAAAUAUCAUAGCAUUUCACAUAAUGAGAAUAUAAAUAUAUGCAUAAAAAUCAUAUCUAAAGAAAAUCGUGCUUAAGAAUUCCUUUCAAGUCUUAUUACAUUCAUAAUCAACUUCAUAUCAUACUUUAGUCAAUCUUGGAAAAUAUAUACAACCCCAACUAAGGGAGCAUCAUAAUGAUUUUUAAUAUGUCAAUUUGGUUUGAAAGUAAAAAUGGAUCAAUAUUUCAAAAUCAUUUCAAGUUAAAAAGUUUUCAUUGUCCCUCUACACUUAAAUGGAAAAAUAUAUCAAACAAUAAAGGAAAAACAAAUACUCUCCAAAUUCCUUUCAAUGCCAAAUUCCAUUUGCAUAAAGCAUCAUCCUUGCUUCAUUUCAAUUUUAAAAACAACUCAAACAAACCUUUAAAAACAUAUUUGUUCUAAUAAAAGAAAAUUUUAAAAAAUAAAAGGUAUAAUCAUUAAAAUAGAACUUGGGUUGCCUUCCAAGUAGCAUCAAUUUUGGUCAAGCUUGACUAUACCUAAAUCUAUAAAAAUCAUCUUACUCUUUUGGGGAAAGCUUACCUUAUUGCCUUAUUCUUUGUAAAAUAACAUAAACAGACUAGGUUUUGAGAGGUGUACUAGUUUUCCUAGUAGGGAUAACAUACAUAGAACUUGAAUUCCUUAAGGGGUUGGAGUUAAGAGUUGCUAAAUGAUUCAGAGGGUAAGGAGGUUUAUCUAUUAAGUCAAACUUUAUAAGGGUUUAUCUUACCCUGACUGCACUAACAUCUUCUUCAUCUCUAAGAACUAAAAAAAUAAGAACUAAAAACCAAAAUAAAGAAAAUAAAGAAAGAAUAGGAUGAUGGAAUGGCCUCCCCAUUUAUAAUUGAGGAUUUGGCCAAAGGGGAUAACAAUACAAUAUGUGCUUUCAAAUUUAAAUUCUAGGUGAUAAGGCUUAUCUUCAUCUUCUAUGAGACAUAGUCGAAUAUGAUUUUUUCAAGCUUGAGUAUGCUUGGCUAAAUAGGGUCUUGAUGGUGCAAUCUUGGCCUUUGAAUGAAUCUUGAUCAAAUCUUGAUAACUCUCAUCCCUUAAAUUUGGCUAAGGCUUGAAAAUUCAAAAGUAAGUUGAUUUUUAUCCAAUUCUUGAAAUUCAAAAUGGAUAAAAUCCUACUCCAAGUCAAAAUCUUCAAGGCUAAGCAACAAGUUUCAUGAAAAGCUUCCAAUUUUUCUUGGCUAAAUGUACCUAGCCUUGAUUGUGGUGAAAAUUUGUAUAAAGGCUCUCUUAAAUCCUUGGUCAAAUAGGAUGAAGCUUAGAGAGUCCAUGCUUUUGCAAAUUAAUCUUUCCCUUGCAUGGCCAAAUAGAUAAAGUCUUUAUGCCAUACAGUUGCUUCAUGGCUAAGCAAAUGAGUCAUGAUUAGAUCUAAACUUCUCUUUGACUUAACAUGAUGAAGUUCAAAUAAGUUUAGAAAUUGAAUGCAAUCCUUAUUCAAAGUAGUCUAGCCAAAUGCAUCAUUAUGAGUCCUUAUGCAAUUAAAACUCUAUAAAUAUGGGACAAGGUGGUUCGAUAAUGAGUUUCCAAUAUUAGGCCAAAAUUGCUUCUUGUAUACUUGCAUGAAAAUGAUAUCCAUGAGCUUGAAAACCUAAAAUUAUGAAAAUAACAUGAAAAACACCAAAAUUCAUCCAAAUUUUAAAAAUUAGCACCAUUUUUAAUAGGAAAAACUCUAUAUAUUUAGUUACUAUCAAUAUUCGUUAUUUGGAUGUUACUAUCCCAUCUAAACAAUUGUUAAAAUAAGUUACCUUUGUUCAUUUUUCCUAUUUGUUCUUCACUAGAUUUAUUUAAUUCCUUUCUAUAAUGAAUACCUCAUUUCUCUAAUGUAUCUUGGUUUUUUCCACCUUUCAUCAUCAUAACGAAUAGAGGAAAUGUAUGAUUGCAUUACAUUGUCAUGAAAUUGGAAUGAUGAUGAAAUAAAUGGUAAUGUCCAUAAAAAAUCCUCGUAUCAAUUUGAAAAACAAUCUAGAAUAGUGGGGGACACGAAAUGAAAAUAACAAAAUAAGAUAGAGAUGAUAUUGGUAUCCAAGGGCUUUACAUUAAAAAACAAACUUUCAGAAAAACACCAAUAUUAUAAUGUUGAAGAAUUGGUGAAUUUUAGAGCUGUAAGUACUAGAAAGGUGAAAAUGAAAGAACAUAAUAUGGUAGAAAAAAAUAAAGUCUUGAGAUCUUUUUUUUUUACCACAUUUAGGGGUGCAUGACACUAUUUUUCAUUGAUACUUGCAUUCAGGACAUUCAUCACAUGUAGAAAGGAUAAAAAUGUCAAUCUUCAAUUGAAAAAAAAAAUUUAAGGGCUAAGAUUUUUACUUUUUGGAUAAAGAAAACUUUCAUAGAUGAGAUUUUUUAUGCUUAAAUGAAGAUUUUUAGGAUAAGAUUUUUAACCCUUAAUUAAGGAAAUUUUUGUAAAAAAUAAAAAUUUAACAAUUAAAGUAAGAAGAAUUUUCAAGAUUUGUUAAGCCUUGGUCAAGGAAAAUAUUGAUUUUUAAUGGCGUUAAACAUUUAAUUCAAAAAGCUAUUUUCAAGAUAAGGUUUUGAGAAGAGGACCUUUUACUUGCAAAUCUUUAAAUUUCUUUUAGUGAAUCUUUGAAACCCUUGUGCAAAUCUUUGAAUCUUUUAUGAAUCUUUGAAAUCUUUUUAUGGUUUUUUGAACUUUUUCAAACCUUCGAAAUCAUUUACGAAUCUUUGAAAUAAUUUUUAAGCUUUUGCAAACCCUCAAUGUGAAUCUUGAACAUUCAAUGUAAAUCUCGAAAUCUUCGAUAUUAAUCUAAAAACUCUCGAUGUGAAUCUCAAACUUUCAAAUGUAAAUUUUUUACUUUUAAUAUGUGAAUCUCUUUAAAUGUGAAUCUUUGAAUUCCAAAUCUGAAUCUCUAAAAUUUUCAUAUGUGAAUCUCUGAAAUUUUAGAUGUGAAUCUCUAGAUUCUUCAAAUAAGAAUCUUUGAUUUUUAUGAAUCUCUAAACCCUUCAAAUGUGAAUAUUUGAUUUCUAGAUGUGAAUAUUUUAAAUUUUUAGAUAUGAUCUCUAAAAUUUUCAACUGAGAUUUUUUUAUUUUUAAAUGUGAAUCUCUGAACCUAUUAUAAGUGAAUCUCUAAAAUUUUUAGAUGUGAAUGUCUAAAUUUUUCAAAUGAGAAUCUUUAAUUUUGAAUAAGAAUCUCUAAGUUUUUGUUUUUUUCAUAUGCAAAUUUUUUAGAAAAGAAUUGUUUUCAAAAGAAAAUUUUAGUAUCCACAUGUAUUGUAUUACAUUUUUGCCUUUACAUAUUUGUAAAAGGCAUCUACAUAAUCUUUUGCAUUUUCAUAAGGCAUUUGUAUCAUGGGAAGGGCACUUGCAUUUGCAUUGUUAGUAAGCAUUUUUGCAAAAUAUCUACAUUUGCAUAAGAGCUGCUGCAUUUGUACCGUCAUUUUAGAAAAGAUAUUUCAUCAUAAUGAUGUUUGUCAAUUUUUCAAAUAUUAAAAAAAAUAAAAAAUUUGUUAAAUAAAAAAAAAUAAGAGAAAGGAAAGAGUUUGUGGAAAACAAAAGGUUUCCAAGGAGUUUGGGAAAGGUAUAUUGUAUCUAGAAAACAAAAAGAAUGUGAAGUUUUUUUUAGAAUGAGAAAAAAUGUUGAAACUUUUUGGGAUUUUCAAGAUGAAAUUUAUCAAGAUUGAGAAUUCAAGCCCAUAACAUCAGUUAGAUUGUCAAGGCUAAUCUAGCCAACACAAAGUUUUGAGCCCAAUUAAGUGUUGGCACAAAGUUUCAAGCCAAGUUAAGUCGACACAAGAUGAAAGUUUUAAGCUCAAUCUGAUUGACAUAAAUAUGAUUUAAGCCUAGUUAAGUUGUCACAGGUUGAAAUUUUUAAAGUUCAAUGCCUUUAAUUAAAGGAGACUUUUUUAGUAUAAAAUUUCUAAAAUUUCAAUGCCUUUGACUAGAAGAGCCUUUUUAAAUGAAAAUUUUAAAAUUUCUUAGCCUUUGUUUAGAAUGAGCCUUUUGGAUGAAAUUUUAAAGUUAGGGAGCCUCUGUUUAAGGGAGCAUUCAUUAGUGUCAAAAUUUAUAGGACUUGUACGCAUAGUCUUUAACUCCUUUAGGUAGGAUUUGUAAGUCUUACGAGUUGAAUCUACUUUAUUGUCAAUAUUUGUAAAACCUUUAAACUUAAACUCUAAGUCCUUCGAGUAAAAUUCAUAAGUUUUUUGAGUUGAAUAUGUUUUAGUGUCAAGACUUGUAAAACCUCCAAGCAUAAGCUCUAAGUUAUCGUGAUCUAUUUUAAAGUUAUGGAGUUUCUGAUAAGAGGAGUUUUCAUUUCAAUUUAUGUUAAAAAAGCUGUGAAACGAUUAGUGAGUCAACCUUUAAGUUUAUUGACAUUACUUCUAAAAAAAAAACAUAAAAAACAAAGGUAAAAUAAAAAAAAGAAAAAAUAAAAACAUGUUUUGAUUCAUCGAAGCAAAUAAAAUUGUUGUUUAUGUCUAUACCAUAUUCCUAAUUCUUUAUGAUAUACAAAGAAUGAUAGUUAUAGACUCCUAAUUUUAUCUAGCUUAAUUGAAACAAAUCACAAUUUUUAUACUUCAUUUAGGUCUAUUUAAUCAUCUCUGUUUGGGUUUUGUCUUGCCAGGUUUGGUUGUAUGAGUCUUAUUACACGGGUCACAUGGGCUUAGAAGCCUAAAGUUUAGGCCAUUUAAGCUUAACAACCACUCAUCCAAAUCUUAAAAGCCAAAAGCCCAUUAAAUCAAAAAUAUUUUAUUUUCUUUUCUAAUUAAAGAACUAACCAAAAUUGAAUAAAAAAUAGAAUAGAUGUGCCACGUACAACACUAGGAACAGGUAGAGGUGUAAUCGAUCGAGUUCAAGUUAAUACAGUAUUAAGCUCGAGCUUGAGCUUAAUUCAAAAUUCGAUGCUCGAAACUUGGCUCGAACUCAAUUGAGUUUUAUUUUUCUAGCUCAAGCUCAACUGAAGAUAGAAAUCGAACUACUCAAGCUUGCUCAAUUAGGCUCAAUUAAUAUGUAAAAUAAGUUCGAUUCUUAUAUUCGACAAAAGCUAGAUUAUUUAUGCUCGUGUUUGUGCUCGAGCUCAAGCUCAAGUUCGAGAUAUUUUUUUAAUUAAAAUAAUAAAAAUAUAUUUAAAUAUAAAAGCUCGAUUAGGCUCACGAACUAUUUGAGCUGGGUAUAAGAAUGCUCGAACUCAGCUAGAUCGAUAAGUCAAGCUAUUCAAGCUAGAGCUUGACUUGAUAAUAAUUAAGAUAAAUUCAAGUUUUAUUUAAAUCAAACCCCAGUCGCUUGCGAGAACUAAUGUGUCAUUUACACCUUUAGGAAUAGGAGCUGUUAGCCAAGCAUUUCAGUCGUCCUACUCACUGAACUGCCAAGCCACCCUACUAGCCACCAUUAUAGCCGAAACUAAACUACCAUUAACCCUUCAUCUUACCCAUAGCCCCUCACCUUAUCCACCAAAUUUGGGAUUUAGGAUUGUUUUGUUAAAGGAGAUUUUAGGCUAGGUUUUUUUGGAGGAGAGGAAGCCUAGUACAAGGUGAGAGACAUAGUUGAAAAUGGUGGUUUUUGAAGUGAUGGAAGAUGGCGAUUUUCUUGUAUGAAGAGGAAACUUUCAUCCUAGGUUUAGAAGAAUCUACAAACUUUUGGGAAAAUCUAAUCUUCUAGGUUGAAAAAGGGGAUCAAGGGGAGCUGCUAGGCAUUUUUUGGGAGCUAACCAACAUUGGCCAGUGGCGGUCGACGAUGUUUAAAGACAGAAGAGGCAACAGUUGAUGGUGGCAAAUCAUAGGAAUUUGAGAUUAGGUGGCUGAUGUUCUUGGAUUUUAAGAGUGUUGGAAGCUUUUUUUUUAGAGGAAAUGUUUGAAAUGAAAUAAAUAAAACUUAUCUUUUGUAGAAAAAAAAUCAAACAAUUGAUAAGCUGAACCUGACCCGAUAUCUACACAUUCAACUCGUGCUAGGCUACAGCUGACAAUUCUUGGAUUAGUUUAAUUUAACUGUAACUGAAUUGGUCAAACCAUGACUGAAUUGGUCGAAUAUGUCUAAACACCUAAACUAAUAUAAGGAUCCGUUGAACCAGAUCAGACUAUCAUUGAACCAUUAACCAAUUUCGAUUAGUCUUAUUGGGUAAUUUAUUUUAUUUUUUUUACUUUGUUAAGUUAUUUAUUUGUUUAUCUAUGUACUUUUAAAUUCUUAAAAAUAAAUAUAUAUAUUUUAAAAAAUGUUAUAAUAUGUUUGUAAAAUAAAUAAAUCCUCCAAUUAUAAUAUAUUAAGGAAUUGUGAGUAGUUAUUCCUUAAAAGUCUUUAGGUGAGGAUAUUUUUCUAAAAUGAUACCAAAGUAUUAGAGUAUUUAGGAAGAUAUUCAAUAUAAGAGAUUUUUGUUUAUUUACUUUUAUAUUGUUAAAAUUGAAAAAAAAUUUAAAAAAUGAGUUUUUUAGGAAUAAAAUUACAUAUAAUAAUGUAUGAAUAUUAUUGGCAUUAAUUAAUUAAAAAAUACGAGCCGAAGAUGAUAUUCUAAGAAAUUUUAAAUGCUAAUUCUUAAGAAAUCCUUAAGUGAGAAAAAAUUUUCUAAUAUUACCAAUAUAUCAGAAUAUUUCAAGAAAUUUUCAAUAAUAAGUUUCUAAUUUAUUUUUCAAAUAAAAAUAAAAUAAUAUUUUUUAUUUAAAGAAAAAGAAAAAAAUAAAAUUUUUUGAAGGAAAUUAAACAAAUCAAAAUUAUGAUAAAAAAAGUUAAAAAUUUAUUUUUAAAUAUCAAAAUUAAAAUUUUUUUGUCAAUAUUAAAAGAUAACACAUAAUUACUCUAUAACAUUUUAAAAUAGGUACUAUGAGGUGUUAAUUUUUUUUCAUAUAUAAUUGCACUUUCAAAUUCAAUUAUUUUCACAUACUCAAAAAUUAUCUUUUUAAUAAGUGUUAAUUAAUUUUAAAUUUUAUUAAAAAGAUAAGUUUUCUUAGUGGUUACAAAAAUAACUAAUUAAAUAUGUAAAGAUAAAUAUAAAUUAAAAUAUAAAAAAUAAAAACAAAAGAAACUUCUUAUAUUUUUCAAUUCGCGUAGUGGUUACAAAAAUAACUAAUUAAAUAUGAAAAGAAAAAUAGAAAUUAAAAUAUAAAAUAUAAAAAUAAAAAGAAAAGAAACUGCCGCAUGGCAGGUCUUAUAUAUAGUAAGUCAAAUUUACCAUGAUUAAUAUAUAGGAUAUAAAUACAUAGAUAUUCCGGAGGUUGAAGGUAUGGUAAUCGCAAUUAAAGGCUUUGAAGGCUUGAAAACGCUGCCCUAAAUUUCUUGGCCCAUCAGCCUCAUUUGUUCGAUACAUAAUCUGUCUUCGUGGUGGAUGGCCGACGGGAAUUGCGAUAAUCAAGUUGUAUUUGGUUAGAUUCCUUGGCAGAAUGGGCUUUUUGACGGCUGCAGAUUUUAAGAAGAAAAUCAUGGCUAAUUGUUAUGUCACAAGACGUAUGAGCUACCAACCACCUUCGUCGCCAUUUUUUACUUCACCAAGUCAUUCGUUUUACUCAACUAGAUUCUCGAAAUUGCACGAUUGUAGGAAGCUUAGCUACCUUACUACAUCAGCUCACCACAGACUUCUGUGAACUUGGUCGAUUGUUUUGAACAAUACAUUAUUCUUAGAAUUCAAACAAAAAUGGUUGGAAUUCGAACUAAACUUCAACUAAUGUGAUUUUUUACGCACUUAAUCAUGUUUACGUACUUUAAAUUCAUUGGAUCUAAAAUAUCUAACCAAAUACAAGUUGAUUAAUGGUCCUUUCUCGGAUAGGUAGUUGUUGGUCACGUUGAUGGUCUAUAUAGUAGUUUAUAUUGGCAUGUUGUGUCACGAAUUAUAUCUCAAGAGACAACAAAAAAUUAACCCAACUUCUAUAGUUCCAAAUUAAAGCUUUCUUCAUGGCUCUUCAAUCCUCCAAAUUUUUGUUGCUACCGCCAAAGUUUUGGAUCAAAAAAUUGUUAGGCGAUCUGCUAAUUACCAUCCCACAAUUUGGAAGGACGAUUAUAUUCAGUUGCUCAAGAGUGAUUAUAUAGUAUGCAGAAUGCUAAUUACCAAUAAUUUUUUUUUAAGCAUGACAGGUAGCUAACAGAAUUCCUUAUCGUCGAUGUGUAGGGCGAAUCAUAUGAUGAAUGAGCAGUGAAACUGGUGGGAGAAGUGAGAAUGAUGCUCGAAAAAGUGGUGGAUCCUUUGCAGCAGCUCGAGCUAGUCGAUGCGUUGCAGAGACUCGGAUUAUCUCAUUUCUUUGAAAAUGAAACCAAGGGGAUUUUGGAGUGCGUAAGGGCUGAUCAUACCAAUUUAUAUGCUACAUCACUUGAAUUUAGGCUCCUAAGGCAGCAUGGGUGUAAUGUAACUCCAGGUAAAAGUCCAAGCAGUAAUUAAUUUUGUGUAAAUAUAAAAUAAAAAAAAUUGGAGAAAUAUUGAUAAUUACAAUUGAAAUGUUUAUUACAAGCAGAGGUUUUCUCCCAUUUCAUGAACGAGAUAGGGAACUUAAACGCAGGUUAUUGUGAGGAAUGGAAAGGGCUGCUGAGCUUGUAUGAAGCUUCAUACCUUUUGUUUGAGGGUGAGAGCAUGUUGGAGAAGGCAAGAGAUUGUGCAGCAAAACAACUCAAAGAAUAUCUGAAGCAGAACAAGGAUGAAUAUGAUGUGUCGAUGCUAGUGGAUCAUGCUUUGGAACUUCCACUGCAUUGGAGAAUACCAAGGUUGGAAACCAGAUGGUUCAUAGAUGUGUACCAAAAAAGACAGGACAGACAUCAGAGUCUUCUGGACCUUGCUAAAUUGGACUUCAAUAUGUUGCAAGCUGUUCAUGAUCUAAGCCAUGCUUCCAAGUAAGUUCGUUCAAAUUUAAAGUUUUUUUUUUUUUAAAAUAUUCGGCCAAUAGGAAAAAUCCUGUGCUACGCCACAAAGAUAUUAUAAAUACUAGUGUGAACGCCCGCGCAAUACUGCAGGUUUGUUUUAAUAAUGAAAAAAAAAUUUCAUGAAAGAAAAGUAGAAAAUGUAGUAACUUGAAGUCAGAGUUUUUAAGUUAUUCCGAAAAAACAAAGAAUAGUAGAUAAUGUUUAAAACAGUUUAAAAAAAAAACAAAGGAUAAUAAAUAAUUUCUAAGUUACUGGUGUGGAUCAUCAUAUUUUGACCCAGUGAAAAGAAGACAUUUCAAUAAUAGGAAAGAUAAUCGAGAGUUGUUAAUUAGAGGUUUCAGGAGUUAUCCAAAAGCUUGAAUCUCCAACUUCCAUAAAAGCACUCUUGAGAAUGUUAAAGCUAUCCCUUCAACUAUUUCCAACUUAAGUGAUAGGGUAAAAUUCAAAUUUAUUGAAAUGAAAUAAGACACUGAAAACUCUCUCUGUCUCAAUCUGAGCACUGAUUUGGGGGGUAGAACUUUCAUUCUAUAAAUAACGUAAACUACAUUGGACUAUGAAUUUGCCACUCUAUAAAUUACAAUAGUUUUACCAUUUCUUACCUGAUUUGCCAGAGCAUACACCAUGGCUCUCUCACGUUUAGCUGCAGCCUCCUGCGCUUUUUAGUAACUUGGCUUGAAUUUCUUCAACACAUCCUAUACUAUUGCGUCAGUCUUCCUGCAUUUGGUCAGAAGUGAAAUGAAGCACUCAGCAAACCAACAACAUCUAUGCUUCAAUUAUAUGAGAAAAGGAUGGAUAAACAAAUUAAAAUUUCUAUGAUCAUUAUUCAUUAGUGUAACCAGAAAAUGAUGUAAUUUGGUUAACAAAAAGUUAUUAACAUACGAUUGACACUAUCUAGAAAGGAUUAUCAAUUUGUGUGCAUACUAUGUUUGUAAAUGUCUAUUGGAUGGCAUAGAAAAGAGAAGUAAUCUAGUGGUUGACAAGUGAAAAGUCAUGGUAGAAGCAAGCAAUAUCAGCCACUGCCAGAGUAUAAUAUGACAGUGAAACUCAACACAAGCAGAUGUCAAGGCAUCAAACGUAAAAACCAAAUUUGAAUAUAUGGCACAAAACCGAAUUUAUUUGAUAAAAGACAUAAUACCACUCUCAAAAAAGCAAACAAGAACUUAGUUCCACCUACAGAUAAAUGGUUCCACCCACAUCAUCUAUCUCAACCAGUUUACCUGAGCAUCAAAACAACCAAUUAGUCUGAGUAUAAUAAAAUCACUACUAAAAGGAUCCUCAUAUUUUGGAUACAAUGAGGAAACAAUGAUUUUUGCUACACCCAUAUCGGAGGUAUUACCCAAAAAAGAAAAUGUAAGGAGGAAUCUCCAGGCUACAGUUUAUCCAUCAUGUACAUCUUAUUCCACCAAGAAUUCUUCAAACAUCUACAUCCUGUGUAAUACUCUCAAUCAAGAAACCUUAGCACCCUCCAAACAAAUUUUUCUACUUAGGUGAUACAUUUUACAUUUCCUAAUUUGAAUUCUACAUAUAUUUGAACCCAUACACUACACUUAGGAUGGUACGAUAGAGAGUUGCAUCAUCACCAACCACAUUCUAAAGUCUCAACUAAGUAACCAAAUCUAGCACCCCAGUAAUAUCUCAAUAUGAGAAAAUAACAUAAAGCAUAUCUAUCAAUAGCCAUGCUAAAAGGAAGGAUAAAAGUCAAUAUUACAAUGACUAUAACAUUAUGGUUAAAUAAGCACCAAUAACAUGGAGUGUUUAAUAAACAAAAAUUUAAUAUUGAAUUUUCCUAUAUCACUUUUAAAAUUUAACUUUAUCUGAAGAGAACUAAUAUAUCUUAGCUUACAAAUAUGUUUUUGCAUAAACCAUGGUGUAUCCAAAAGGAAGAAUGAAGAGCUUUUAAGUCGAUUUACCUUUGUUUUUUGGACAGGUCACCUUCUAGAGUCCUUCAUGUCAACUAUUGAAUUUGUGAUCUUUGCAGAGCUACUGGUUUAUUCCAAUGAUUAUCAAGACUCAAUGGUUACAUUAACACAUUUUUUAAAUAAAUUAAAACAUAAUAAAGUGGAAGACGUCUUACUCUUUUCAAUAGCUAAACCAUUGUUUUUCAAAAUUUUUGCAAUUGUGAUGGCUAUUGCAAUAGCUACAUAUAUGACAUUAGAAAUAAAAAGAAUGAUUUACAGCAAUUCUCAAAAAGUAGCAUACAUAAUUGAUUUAGGUUCCAUCUAUGAAUAAUUAGGUCUAGAAACUCCUAACCUAGCAUCUUAGUUCAACCUUACUUGAUACCAAUGAGUUUUUAAAUCAGCUUAAUUCACUACAGGAAAAAGAACAUUUUGUGGUAGGUUUUUUUUUGGUGUUUACGAGUAAACACCACAAAAUCCUUUUUUUUUUUUAAAUCUAGCGGUGUUUUUUACAAAAUGCUGCUAAUUAUCUAUAUAGCGGCAUUUACGUUAAUGCCACUAAAAGCCUUCAUUUUGUGGCAUUUUGUUAUGUGCUGCCGUAUAAUUAUAAAAGUUUAUUAAAUAUAAAAAUAUAAUUUUCUUAAAAACAAAGUACGAUAUGCUAAAAUUUUUAAUGACAUUUUUUUAACAAACCCAGCUAAUUUUUAGUAUGUUUAUAGAUUUAGUAGCAUUUUUAUAGUAAACACAGCUAAAUUGUCUUCAAUAACAUAAAACUCUCAGUUUUAAGUGUAUUUUUGUGGCGUUUUUAAAAGAAAACGCCACUAAAUAAGGUAUUUAGUGGCAUUUGUAAAAAGAAAACGCCACUAAAAAUUUCUCCAACUUCCCAAACCUCUUUUUCUGCCUUUGUUUUUUUUUUUAAUUUCUCCUACCAUGUUUUAUAUUUUUCCAAUCGAUUCCUUUCGUUUUCAGCCUAAUUCCUCUUUUUUUUGGUGGAUUUCCUCUCCAUUUACGGCUUUGGUCUCCUGUUUUUUAUGGAUUUCCUCUCCACAAUUAGCAUGCGACUCAGCUUACACUGACUUUAUCUCCCUAAUCAAACAAACCUUCCCCGGAGUCCUCCCUUACCAGCUUUUAACAGCUGCCACCCACCACUACCAAACCCUCACUUCCCUCCACCCCCAUCCUUUCAUUCUCUGCUAGGUCCCUAACCCUCCCUCUCGCACCCUAGUCAACUCAGCUUUUUGAGUCGUAACUCGCUAUCAACAUAAUCCUCGGAACUAUGAAGAAUAACCAUUCCUCGACUCGCUCUAGUUGAGGGAAUGGGUAGUGGUGUUAUUCGCCGAUGCUAUGGUGGGAAACGCCGGUGAGGCGAUUUUGAAACGAGUGCUGGUCGUGAUUUGGGUAUUGUGGGGAUUGGAGCAGCGACGGAGUCUAGGUAGGAGGCUGUUGGGACCGCGAUUGGGGCGUACGCCCUUGGUGUCGUUACUUCCAUUUGGGCUACUCCCUAUUGAUACAUGAGGUAAGGUUUAAUCCCACUGUUCACAUGCAUUUGCUUAAUUAUCCUGUAUUCCAAAUUUUUGUCUGAUUCACAAACUGGUCCUACUUUAAAAUUUUCUAGUGGCUCUAUUAGAUUUAUUUAUUUACUUAUUUAUUGUUUAACAGAUUCUUUUCCAUCUAGUAACCCAUUUGUAGGACACCUAUCUUGCCCAAACAUAAUGAUGCUUUGAUGUUGGAAAUCCUCUGAAAAUAAUGUUUUCCUUUAUGAUCCUGAUGAAUUACUUGAUAUGAGACCUAAGGCACUCACAGCCAAACCCAUUUGAUUAUUAGGACUACUAGAUGUUUACAGUUAGAAUGAAUAAACAUUUCCACCUAUGUUAUGAAGACCUAAAAAUUUCUAAGGAGCAGAUGAGUUAGUAAGGAUCACUAGGAUCAUUUGUUGCGAGUGAUUUAUUGUAGGUAUAUAACAUAAUAUAUGAGCCAACUGAUUUUUUAUUUGAAAUACUUUUAACAUUAUAUGCUUAAAAAGAAUGGUUUAGUUAGCUUAAAAAGAAUAAUUUAAUUAUUAGCUCUAAUUAUUAGCUCUUUCAUCAAUCCAAAGAGUCAAACAAAAUUCAACUAUGGCUCAAAGAUACUGUUAAAGUAGUUCAUUUCACCUUAUUGUUAAGGAUGGUAACGAUAGAGGUGUUUUAAAUAGCUAUUUGUGAAAUGCUUUUUUGUCAAAUUUUUUUUUACUUUUGUUUGACUAUUUUUUUUUUAUUUUUUUUUCUCAUUUUGUAUAUUAAUUUGUAAAAAUACUAAUAUCUUUUUAUUUUGUUUAUUUUUAGUUUCAGAUUAAGAUUUGCUCAUCAUUAAUUGCUCCAUUUCUAUCAAUCAGGUAUUUGGCCACUAGUGUUUUGAAUUUGUGAAGGUAUUUUCUUUUUCAACAAAUAAUCACCUUUGAAUAAUUCAAGUAACUUGUUAGGAGAUCUAAGUUUGUUACUAAUUUAAGUGUAAUAUUUAGUUUGUUUUCAUAUAAUUAAUUAUAUAAUUUUGGUUUGAUAAUGUAACAAGUACUAAAUGGAUAAGGGUUGGAUAUAAAAGUCAAGAUUAAGUUGAAACUACCAAGAUGGAGUUAAAAAUUUUCUUAAUUUUGCAGUUUAUAAUACAAGUGAAGAUAAUAUGAUAUUAUGCCCAUGUUUGAGGUGUGCUAAUAUUGAUUGACAAAUCUAUGAAGUUAUUUUGAAACAUUUAGUUUGAAUUGGAUUUAUCUCGAAAUAUAUUAAUUGAAAUUUUCAUGAAGAGUUUAUACUAUCAAGGUUAAUAACUUAAGUUCCUUCAACUUUAAAGGCACCCCAACACCAACAUGAUCCUAUUAGACAAUAUGACAUAGAAAGUAUGUUAUGGGAUGCUUUCAACAUUCAUAACCAACAUUUUCAUAAUCUAUCUCCUCAAAAUGAUGGAUUUAAUGAGUCAAAUGUUGAAAUGAAUGGUUUUGGUGAACAUAGGAUAGGUGUAAGUGACCAACAACCUAGUGGAGAAGCAUCAAAGUUUUAUAAGUUACUUGAAGAUAUGAAUGAAGAACUUUAUGAAGGAUCUAAGCAUCAAGGUUGUCUUUCUGUAUGCAUCUUUUUCACUUGAAAUAUUUAUGUGGAUGGACAGAAAACUCUUUGACUUUAUUAUUGGAAUUUGUGAAAGAAAUGUUUCCUUUUACAAAAAUCUCCGAAUCUAGUAAGGAUUCAAAAAAGAUGAUCAAAGAGUUAGGUCUUGGAUAUGAGAAAAUUCAUAGUUGUCCCAAUGAUUGGAUAUUAUAUUGGCCUGAUAGAAGAAAUUAAUAAUCUUGUCAUAUGUAUAGUAAUUCUCGCUGGUUGGACACAAACACUGAAGAAAGGUUGAAUAAUGAUGAUAAAGUUCAUGCCAAAAAGAAGCCUAUAAAGGUUUUACAGUAUUUUUCAUUAAUACUGAGACUUCAACGACUCUUCAUAUCUUUCAAAACUACACAUUCUAUAAAGUGGUAUCAUAAUAAGCAGAUAGAUGAUGGAUCAUUGAGGCAUUCUGUUGAUUCUUUGGCAUGAAAAUCAUUUUACCUUAGGUUUUCAGACUUUAUUUUUUAUUCUCAAAAUGUUAUGCUAGGACUAAUAGCUAACAAAUUCAAUCUAUUUAAAGUGAUGAGUACUUCUUAUAGUACUUGGCUAGUUAUUUUGAUUCCUUACGAUUUGCCACCAUAGAUUACCAUGGAGCAACAAUCAUUUAUUUUGUCUAUGAUAAUUCCUAGGGAGAAAGGUUUAAGAUAUGAUGUGGACAUUUACUUACAAUCUUUGAUUGAAGAGUUAAAGUAGUUAUGGGAAGGAGUUGAGACUUAUGAUGCUUCAAAAAAAGAAAACUUCAAUAUGCAUAUUAUCUUAUUAUGGACUAUCAAUAAUUUUUUUACUUAUGUAAAUUUAUUUGGUUGGAGCACCAAAGAUCAUUAUGCUUGUCUAUCUUAUGCUGCACAGAUAUGUUCGAAGCGGUUACAUAAUGGUAAAAAGUUAAGUUAUAUGCCACAUCAUAGAUGGUUAGAUGAUAAUCAUUGAUUUAGAUUUCAAAAACAUCUAUUUGAUGGAAUUGAAAAGUCAAAGAGAGCACCAUUACCAAUUAUUAGGUCUAAUAUCUUGUCAAAGUUAAAAUAUAUCAAUUUCAUUUAUUAAAAAAUGACUCAAUCAAGAAAAACAGUGAGAGAGAUCUUUGAAGGUAUCCAGCCUCAUAUUCUUCAAAUUAGUGAUGCUGAUACUCAAGUUGGUAAUGUUGACAUUCAAAGUAAUAGAGAGAAAGAUUAAAAAGAUGACCCUAAUAAGUCUAAGUAAUGGAAAAAUAGAAGUAUCUUUUUUGACUUACCAUAUUGAAAAUAUAAUUUAUUAUGUCAUAACCUUGAUGUGAUGCAUAUAGAGAAGAAUAUUUAUGAAAAUUUUAUCGGGACAAUACCAAUGUGAAUAGAAAAUCAAAAGAUGACUUAAAGAGUCAGCUUGACCUAGUUAACAUGAGGAUUCAUCCUGACCUUCAUCCGAAGUAGCUUUCUAAUGGCAAAUCUUAAUUACCUCCUGCUUGUUUUAGGAUGUCUAAAUGUGAGAAAGAUGUGUUAUACAAUGUGUUGAAAAAUGUAAAAGUUUUAAAUGGCUAUACGUCAAAUAUAUCGAGAUGUGUGAAUUUGAAGCAAUGAAAACUUUCUUCAUUAAAGUCAUAUGAUUACCACAUCUUGAUGAAGGACUUACUUCCCUUUGCUUUAUGUCUAUCAAUAUUAAAGCAAGUCACUUCAAUUGUAAUUAAAUUAAGUAACAUAUUUAAAGCUUUCUAUUGAAAAGUUUUGAAUGUGAAAGAGCUUGACGAACUUUAAGAUUGAGCCGCGAUUAUUUUAUAACAUUUAGAAAAGAUUUUCCCUUUAAACUUCUUCACUAUUAUGAUGCAUUUGGUUAGCCACAUUCCAUAUGAAGCAAAAAUUGGUUGACCAAUUUAUUAUCGAUGGAUGUAUCAUAUUGAAAGGUAUUAUUUGUUAAUAAUUUGUUAGUAAUUAUGAUACCAUUCUAAUUAAAAAGGUAUAUGACUAAUGUUUUAUGUUUUGGGUUUUUAAGGAGGUUAAAAUCUUAUUGUUGUAACAAAUGUUAUCCGAAAGGUUCUAUUACUGAAGGAUAUUUAGUAGAGAAGUGUAUGACAUUUUGUUCUCUGUAUUUGGAAGAUGUUGAAACAAGUUUUAAUAGACCAUAAAAAAAUCUCGGUAUGCAGCAUAUUGACUUUGCCUACACUUAUCUUUUUGAAAGUUUUAGACAACCAACAAACAAAACCAAAGUGGUGGAGUUAGAUGAUAAAUCUUGGGCACAAGCUCAUUAAUAUGUUCUUUUUCAUCAUGACUUAACUAAAUCAUUUCGCAUAUAAGUUAUUCGUGAGAAGAAACCAUUUAUUCUAUUAAGCAUAAGUUAUAAACUUUGCUUCUUACUGUUAAUUCUUUAUUUUAAUGCAUAUAGUGAAUAUAGAACAAUUGGAGAGCUCAUGCACAUUAUUGACGAUCAAACAUUCGAGAGCUUGAUAAGUUGUUCAUUGAAAAUUUUCAUGAAUGGUUAAAAAAAACUGUAAGCAAUACCAUACUUCCCAUUUUGAGAAUUAUACAUAAAAUGCUUAGGUUAUAAAUAAAAUUAAUAACAUAUAUUUUAUUCCACCUUUAUAGGUUUGGAGUGGAAAGCUUGUUAGUGAAGAGGUGAAAUGUUUUUCACAAGGUCUGAAUAAGAUUGUGAAAUGAUACAAAGGGUUCAUCAUCAAUGGAUUUAGAUUUUACACAAAUUUUGUGAGUGAUUUAGAAAAACACAAAAUUCAAGAAUUGUUGUUAUUUCAUCAACUACUAGCUAUGGUAGUGCUAGGGACACAAACCUUUUAAAGGGAAAUGCUAACUACUAUGGCAUGAUCAAUUCAAAACUUUUAUGAAUUUUGUGUAACAACAAUUUCCAAGGAGCAAUCUAGGUGAUCCACCAACUCAAGUAUUAUAUUUAGUAACUAUUUAUCUUUUUUUAAUAUUAGAAAUAGCUUAAUAUUAAGUGUAAAAACUAGUUUUACUUUUUUUAGUAGGUUCUUGGCAAACUAGUGAAAAACACUACAUCAAAUGGUAGUUCUUUAAAUUUAAGUGGUCAUCAAUUUCAUACAUUUAAAAUUUUUAGUUAAUUUACUGAAACAAUUUGAAUGUUAAUGUAUUAAACUUUGAGUUAUAUGUAUACUGAAAUAAAUUAUGUAUUAAGAUAUUUAAAUAUUUAUAAUAUUCCAUUUAUGAAUUUAAAUUUGUUUUUAUAAUUUUAAAAAUAUUUAUCUAUUUUUUAUUUAAUUAUAAUAGUAAAUAUUAAAAAAAAAGGGUAAAUUCCCUCAUUUAGAAGCAUUUGAGUAAAAAAAGUCACUAAAUUAAUGACAUUUCCCAACACAAAUACUACUAAAGGAUGAAUUUAGUGGUAUUUGUGUCCAAAAGCACCACUAAAUUUAGAAGUGUUUUUUUGACUCAAAUGCCUCUAAAUUAGUGACUUUUCCAGACACAAACGCCACCAAAUUAGUAGAAUUUGUAUCCAUAAACGCCACCAAUUUUGAAAAUUUAGCGACAUUUUUCCUACAAAAACACCGCUAAGUUAGUGACAUUUUUCUUAAAACGCUAUUAUUUUUCCCGAUGCGGGUAUAGUUGGCACUUUUAAUGGCAUUUUUGACAAACACAGCAAAUCAUAUAGUGGCGAUUAUAAACACCGCUAAACAUGAAAAAAAAAAAGGCAACUAAAUACCUAUUCUCCUGUAAUGAUUUAUUUAUUUUACAUAUACAAUUUUAUUCUUCUAUCUUUCUUUUUCAAGUGGUUCUAAUUUCUCACAUGUAUCUAACAUCCAAAACUUGUAUUUCUUUUCUUAUCAAAUAUAUACAACUUGUACGUAAGAGUUAGCUUCAAAGAAAGAAAAUUACAUAAUAUAAUGUUAAUAAAAUGUCAAAGUUAUGAAUUUCACAUAUAACAAUAACUAAAAAAAUAAAAAAACGAAUUGACUUGAGGCUAUUUGAGUUUAUUUUCAAUGGAAUAGAAAGGAGUAGAGGAUUGAAAUUGUUACCAUAGCAGCUAAUUAAGUCCAAAAAAAAGUUUCUCAUUAAAUAUAAUACAAAUAAAACCAAUAAAAUAAAGUUAAAAACUUGAACUGAAGCAAGAAUCAUAAACUAAGCUCACUUGUUUAUUUUUUAAUUGAUGUGGGUAUCCUAGAGGAAUGAAAACAACUACAAUAACAUAUUGCCUCCAAAGGCAAAACCACUCAAGAAAACCUUAAUAUGUCUUGCAAACUUCCUCACACAGUUACUUUCAUUGUUUUAUUCUAUCAUUAUUCAAAUAUUUAUGGAAAUUCUCUUUUAACAAUUCAAUGGCAAAGUUAGCAACAUUGUGAUCAAAAUAAGUUAAGCUCAAAUUUAUUUCAUAAAUCACAAUAGGCAUAGAUUUAGUAUUUAAUAACAAAAAGAUCUUUUUCUACAAUGGUUUGUCUACCAAUAUCUUAUAUAUAAAGAGUUAAAAUACAUCAUAUAAGUACAAAAAUUAUAAUAAUUGUGCCUUCGCAAUCUCAAGGAUUUGUACAUAAAUUGAAUCCUUUGAAAAAUGAUGAAGUAACACACACACAUAUAUAUAUAUAUAUAUGUUAAUUAAGUUUUAAUAAAAGAUUUAUCUCACCAACAUACCUUUUGUCAGCAAAAACGACUAAAACCCAAGCAAAAUUUGUCAAUAAAAUAAGAGAAAUCAUUCAAGAACAACAUAUUUAAUAAAAAAAAAACCAUUAAGAGUAAAUUCAAAGCCAUCAAAGAAAGCAGUCAUAGCUACAACACUCUCAGCAUUUAAAUCACAUGCCUUCUUUGAAGGACCUAUGCAUGAAUACCACAAUUAAUGUCUGAAAAUUCUACCAUUAAAUGAUUCAAAAAUCAUAGAUACUCAAUAAGUUUUUGUUAAUAUAAUCAAAUCAGCCCAUAUAAAAUUCAUGCUCACAAAAACAAAUCAUACUCGUAUGAUUGUGACUGAUUUUAUAGAAUCAAGGAAUAUUUAAAACUAAUAAUACACUAUAAUGGCAUAAUUCUAUAAAGUAAAUUCUAUUAGCCAUGUGAACCUAACAAUAACUUUGAAACAAAAAAAAAAAAAAAAAAAAAAAAACUUUGACAAACCAAGGAAAAAACAAAUUCUAAGUAUAUGACUACUAAUCAUUUUUAUAAAUAGUUAUAAAAGUAAAUUUUUAAGAAAGAAAAAAUAUAUAUUUUUUGGCUAAAAAAUAAAAAAAUAUAUAUUUUGGCAAAAAAAAGAACCCAGAUUCUAAAAAUUCAAUAGUGUUUUUACCAUUUGAUUUUUAUUGAUUUACAUGUUUAUUAUAAUCUUUUUCAUUAGUUGUUGGGUUGCUUUUAAAAAUUGGUUUAUAUAUUGAUUCUAAAUCCUCACAUGUUAAAGCUAAAUGCAUAAUUGAAAAAAACAUCAAAAAACUAAGAGUAAAAAUUUAAAGCUAGUAAAUGAAUAUACAUUAUACUAAAUACAAUUGCAACAUUAUUUUGUCAUCAUUUCCAAUAAUUCAAUAAAUCUAUUUCAAAAUUCUAUAAAUAGUAUUGAAUUUUACUUACAUAAGAUGUAUAGAGCUCCAUUUUUCUAAUAAGUUCUUCAAUAACCGUAAUAUUCUUGCCGAGUAAUCACCAAAAUAAACCUUGACCACUUAGCAGAUCAACCUACCAAAGCCACCCAAUCAAGUCUCCAACAAAAAAAUUAACAAUGAAGGAAAUCGAAGUUUAAUAGAAAAAUUAGCAGAAACAGAAGCCACAGCAAUAGCAGCGACUGCAGCUAGAGGACGUUGAAUGAUUCCAGAUAAGGAACCCAUAUUGAACACCUAGAAUAGAAACUACCAUACCAAUAUGAAGCAGUCCUAAAAAAAAAAAAAGUUAAUAACCCAAUCCAAAAGCCAAAAAAACUCAAUCUGGUCAAUACCCUGAAAGCCAAAAGAAACUUUAAAUGCAAGAAUCACCUGCACAAAAUAAGAGGAUCAAAUUAUGACCUAACAAAUUGCAUUAAAUCAAGAAAUAGAACAUGCAUGCAAUAGAAUAAAUAAAUAAAAAAACAAACAAACAAACAAAAAUAAAAAGAAAUAUUCUCGAUGAUUCAAGCUUCGUAAUUCAGAUUAGAGAAAAUAAAUCCGGCAUCUUGAAAAUUAAAAAAAAAAAAAAAGAUCGAUGGGCAGAAUCAAAAUUUAGGGUUUUAGAUUAAAAGAGACAGGGAGAGGGAGAGAGAGAAACAACUUACAGUUAGGGAGAGACGUAGGGAUGGAGAAGACGACAAAUCUGUGAAGCUGAGUUGUGCGAUAAAAAGAGAACAAACAACACCACCAGAAAACAACACCAAAAGAACUUUGCAAACAAAAUAGACAUAGAGAAAAAAAAAAAAAAGAAUUACUACAUUUUAAUUUGGAAAUUAAAAGAAAAAAGAAAAAAGAGAAAAUAAUAAAAAAUUAUUAUUCCUAAGUAAAGAUCGAAGAGAUCGAUAAUGGCGAAUCCGGGGGGUGAAACUGAUAGAUUCGAAAAUUUGCAGUUGCUGUCAGUGAUCUGUUCAACAAAAAAGAUACCAUUGCUCUGCAUGCUCCAAUCGAAGUUUUUGGAGAAGCUAUUCAAGCUUUUGGAGAAGCUUCUAGAUCCAGAAACUUUUUUGCAAACUUAACCCUUAAUUCCAUUAGCUUUUUCCAAAAUUUACCCCUCAAGUGAUUUGAUUUACAUUGCUUAACUGUCUCCAUUCUCAUAUUAAGGGAACAGCUUUAAUAUAUAGUUAUAAAUAUCAGCAACUUUUUAUAUUUCAUGGCUUUUUUUAAGUACAUGUAAGGCUAAACCCCCCCAAAAAAAGAAAUAAUAAAUUUAAAUAAAGUGAAUAUUUAUACAUACUAUCAUUGCUAUGUCCUAAUUCCUUUUUAAUACUUACAAGUUUUACUUUUUAUAUGUUUAAAUAACUUUUUUACCCAAAAAACCAUGGAACAUCAAUAUUAUAAAAUUUUUGCAAUUUUAAUAUAAAACUACUAAAAUCAUAGCAUUUUUUAGUUUUGUUUCUUUUGUCAAGUAAAAAAAAAAAAAAAGAACAUUCAAUUUUGACAUAAUUAAAACUAUAAUGGAAUACUGUUAAAUGCCAUUUACAAAAUAAAAAAAAGACAUACAUAGGAAUUGAUAUAUACCAAAAGCUAUAUAGAAACUCCCUUAAUUAAUUAAUUGAUUGAUUGAUUAAUUAAUUCUAUUUAUAGUUUUGAAUUAAUUUUACGGAAAACGAUUUUGUUAAACUUCUGUGCAGGUGGUGGAAAGAUCUGUGUCUUGGGGAAAAGUUGAAGUUUGCCAGAGACAGGCUGGUGGAGAGAAUUUUAUCGGCAAUGGGCGUGGCAACUGAUCUUCACUUUGGUAAUUGUAGAAGAAUUCUGUCUAAGAUUGUUGCACUAAUAACAAUUAUAGAUGAUAUUUAUAAUGUGUAUGGUACCGUGGAUGAAUUACUGCUCUUCACCGAGGCUGUUAAGAGGUUCGUACGGUUCUCUAACUCUCUACUUUCUAUAAAAGAUGACCAGAGAGAAUCAGUGAUUUUUUAAAAAAAAUUUAAUAGCUAGGUUUCAUAAUAUUUUUUAAUUACUUUAUAGCUCAAAUCACUGAAAAUUUAAGCUUAAUUUAGUUUGUCCAUUAAAUUUAUAUUUAGCAUUAAAAUUUAAAACAAUUGUAUUAACAUUUUCAAAAUAUUUUUAAUUAAAAUUAAAUUAAAAAAUUUUUACUGAAUCUAAAAAAUUCUAUAUGUAUUUAGGACCCGGAUUUCAAUAGAUUAAAUCCAUAGCUCAACCAGUGAACACCUCUACCCUUAUUCCCAACAAAGCAAAGCCUUAUGUAAAAUGAUUAUUUUUUUCUGUGUCAAAUUUUAACUUUAUGAUUCCAGAUAUACAAUGGAGUUGUUUCCUGAAUAUAUGAAGAUAUGUUUCCUUGCUCUUUUUAACUUCGUAAACGAAACAGCCUUUGCCAUUCUCAAGGGGCAAGGAUUCGAUACCAUACCUCUCAUGAAGAAAAUGGUACUCAAACCCUUCUAUUAUAUAUCUACUUUUGAAUUACUUUUAUUUCAUGAUCUUUUCCUUCUAGAUUUCGAUUUUGUUAUUGAUCAUGAUUUCUAUCAUAAAUGUACAGUGGGUAGACCUAGCUUACUUAUUGGAGGCGAAGUGGUAUUAUAAUGGAUAUACACCAACCUUGGAAGAGUAUCUUGAAAAUGGACUGAUUUCCAUUGCCAUUCCUGUAAUACAUUUUCAUGCUUUUUUGGCUACAAAUUCAAUAAGAAAGGAGUGCAUGGAAUGCUUCGGAGAGUGUUCCAACCUAAUCAAGUUUUCAUCUGUGAUUGCACGACUUGCGGAUGAUCUUGGAACAUCAUCGGUAUGAAAUAUACAAGCAUGAUUGCUUGCUGUGAAUUGAAAUAUAUUUAUGUAAUGCUUUACCCUUUGGAUUUUCUUGAUUAGGAUGAGUUGUAAGGAGGCAAUGUUCCUAAAUCAAUCCAAUGUUGCAUGCACGAAACUGGAGCUUCGGAUGAAGAAGCCCGUCAGCACAUACGGGCGUUGAUUGAUGCAUGGUGGAAAAGGCUAAACGAAGAGCGAUUUGCUCAUUCUCCUUUUUCUCAGACGUUUAUUCAAUUUGCAUUGAACGUGCCAAGGAUGUGUCAAUGCAUGAACCAGCAUGGUGUUGGCCAUGGGAUUGGAGAUCGUGAGACUAAGGUUCGUGUAUUAGCAUUAAUAGUUUUUCCUAUUCCAUAGACCAAAAUAAUUGGAGGCGAGGUGACAUAGCAAUCUUUUUGUAGUAACUUUUUUCAAUUAAAUUCCAAAUGUUGAGCCUCUAUAAAUAUAAAUUCAAAUAAUUGAAAGUUUCCUGCUCUUAGCAGGUUUAUAGGUAAUAAAAUUUCUAUCUCUAUCCAUAUUAAUUAGCUUUGUGAUAAUUUUGUUACCCUUGUCACUUAAUUCCUUAAACUCAUUACAUAAAUGUGAUUUGAGUUUUUUUCAUUAGUUUAUCUUUAAACAAAAACUUUUAAGUUUGUGUCUAGAACAACUUGAAAUAUUAUUUUAUUUUAUUAAAUAACAAUUAGUCUACAUAGAUUUUAAUAAAUGACUUAUAUGAAACCUUGAAUAAAAUUUUAAAAGCAUCAAACAAAUAUGUUUUAUCUGAUUUUAUCCAUAAAUACUUUUAGUUAGAUACUAUGCAUUUUUUUUUUAUUCCUUACAACAUAUAUAAUUAAAUCACCCUCUCCUAAGACCUCUGGAUUACCUCAAGAAGCACCAUACGUGUUUAACUUAACCACCCCACCAAACUUGUCUCUUAAGCAUCGUUGACUCCCUUACAUAAGGCAUCAUGAAUUUCUGAGGCUGUUUGAAUAAGAAGCAUAUCAAUUAUAAUUUUUCAGUGCACUAUUAAUCAAUCAAAAUUUAAUAUUGUGUGAGAUUUAUUAAAAUUCUUUAUAAAACUCACACUUUAAAAUAGUGAAUCUCCUGGUUAAUUAUAUCAUUUUAGUAGAAAUAAUUGUAAGUGAAUUUCUUCCAUUUGAAUAAUGUUGAAGACCGUCGCAAAUUACAAUCUUAUCAAAUUGCUUAAAAUAGGUCAUAUUUAAUAUGAAUAUAACUGGUCCAAUCGUUUAAAUCAUAUUAAUCAUGCAUGUUGCUCCUUAUAACUUUGAUUCAUCUGACCUGUUUAAAUAUUCUUUUAAAUAUAAACAUAUGAGUAAUGCUUCAUUUAUAGUAGUGUAAGCCUUGCACUUGUUUUUAUUAUUGGAUCAAAAUUAAACCUUUGACUAAUUUAAAUUAAAAUAAUAUUUUUAAUUUCAAUAAUUUUGAUCCAAUAAGAAAAAAAGUGUAACACUUAAACUUGUAUAUAUGCAUCUCUCCUCUUUCUCUAUAUAUAAACCAUUUCAACCUUAUAUAAAAUUAUUUUUGACAACUUAAUUGAAAGGAAAAUUAGUAAAAUUGUCAGGUUAAUAAAGUCAUUAGAGAUCGGGCUCCCCCUUAAUCCAAGCAGAGCCAUGUAGGGUUCACUAGAGGCUUGAGCCCCAAUUAAGGUAAAAAAAAUAUUGAAAUCAUGUGUAUCUUAGACAAAAUUUAAAGAAUCCUGGUUAGUUUAGUUUAUUAGUUGUUAAGACCAUAAUUAUUAGAAUUGGACUAGAUUAUUAGUUGGAUUGAUCGAAUUUAUGAUCCUGACACUUAAAUCAGUUCAGUUUUAUUAUUAGAUCAAAUUUUUAAUUAAUCCACUUCAAACCAUAUUGAAUCACUAAUAUAAUUAAUAAAUUGGUGAACAUAUUGGGUUUUGUUAAAUCAUAUGGGUUUUAAAUUUUCUAAAAAAUAAACUUAAAAUUAUGAUUAAUUAAGUUUUUAUAAUUAAAAUAUGGAUUGUAGCGUAAUUUAAUUAAAAUAACAUAUUUUAAAGUAAAAUAGAAAAUCAAUAAAUUAAAAUCUAAAUAAAAUGAUGUUACCUUCCUUUACAUUGUAUGCGCACUAAAGAUCAACAUAAAAAACAUAGCCCCUUUAAACAUUUUUAUUGGUUCAUCAAUUGACUUGUUGACCUAACAAGUAUAUCAUUGACAUAGUAACCUGACACUUUGAAUGAUUUGUUAUUCGUAUUCGGUUUUGAUAAUUAUGGUUGAGAUUAGCAUUGUUCUACCAAUUGGUAUUGUCACCUUGGAGAAAGCAUUUUUAGUAAUGAACAUCUUAAAAACUUGUUUACAUAAUUGAAUGGGAGAUCAAUGAUUAAAUGAUAGUUUAGUUGUACACUGAAAAUAUGUAUUCAAAUGUAUUAAUAAAGAAGUUAUUGUGCAACAUUUUCGAAAUAUGAAUCCACAUCGAGGAUAAUUAUAAAAUUUUUAACAAUUAUGACUGAACAUGAAAGUUUUAAUUUUUCAUAACUCUUAUCAGUAUUAUUGUUAUUGUUCAUUUUUUAUAAUUUAUUAUAUUUUUAACAAAAUGAGAUUCAGAUGAAAAAGAAAGAUUAAUUCAUUAUAAAAAAAAAUAUUUUCAAGUGAAUUCAUUUCUACAUCAAAAAUAUAAAUUGACCUAAGAACAAAAAUGGAAUCAAGAACAAAAAUAUAAAAAUAUAUAUAAUUUAAAAAAACACUAUACAAUGAUUUUUUAUCAUAUAAAUUUAUUAAUUGUCAAGAUAAGAGAGACUCAUAUACUUAUGGAUCACUAUUACAAGUAAAUAAAAAGGAAGAGAUUUUUUAUAAUUACAACAUGGAUAAACAAAAUUUUUUUUGAUACAUUGGGGAAUAUCCCUAUCCAUAAUUAUCUAUAAAAAAGCGAUAUACUAGAUACUAUGAAGAAAUUUUUGCAUAGAAAAAUUUUCAAUUGAAGAAUUUUUCUUUUUUGUCUUAGAAAGAAGGUCGAUAAUGAGUCUGGAAUUGAUACAAACACAAAGAGUAUCAAAACUAUUAAGACUGUGGUUAAUAUUUUUAAUAAAAUUUAAUAUAUUAUAAUUAAUUCCUUAAUAAAUAAAAUUUAGGACAUUGCAAUUGCCUUUGAUUAUUGUGACAUACACCCAUCAUCAUCACUAUUCAUCACCAUUAGAAAGUAAAUGACAUAUUUAUGAAUUGUGAAAUUUUUAUUAGUGAAUGAUGACUAAGGGUCUAUUGCACCAAUAGUGUAUUAAAAAGCAAUAAAUGGAAGAUAAAUUUAUAUUUAUAUUAGUAAUGAAAAUAUUAUUAAUUUAAACAACUUUAAAAAAGGUUAAAGGGUAUAAAAAAUCCUUGAACUAAAAUUAGAAAAUCAUAGAAGACUUUCUUUUUUAUCACAAUUAGUUAACCUCUCUAAUUUUUUUUUUUUUUUUGCAUCUAAUUAAAUCCUUAUUUGGAUGAAAAAGUUAACACAAUUAAUUUUAUUACAAAUUAAGAUAAGAUUUCAUGUGAUAUAAGUAAAACAAAUGAAUACUUAUCACAUGAUGCAAAUAAUAUAUAUGAAAAUUAAAUAAAAUAAUUUUUUUUCUUUUUUGAUUUCUUCUUUAUUUUUUCUUCCUUCUUUCUAAGAUCUCUAUAAGGGUUCAAUUGAAUAUAGUUCAGGGAUUGAUUGAUUAAAUUUUGCCACGCAAUUAGAUUUUGUUCAUUUAAGUGUUCAAUUGAGUUGAAAUAGAAAAUUAAAGGCUUGAUUGUUCGUAAUAAAAUAUGAAAAAGCUUAAACGAUUAUUGAAUUGUAUUUUAAGAGCAUUUUUUACCCUUUAGCCUUUAAAAGAAGUCUUUCAUAAACAAGUGUAAAUAGGUCUUUGAACUAGUCAUUUGUUAAUUGCUCUACUAAAACCAAUUUGUUUAGUUAAAUAUUUUUUAACAAUGAGUUUUGUAUCAUUACCAGAAAAAUAGCUUUUAUUGACAAAAAAUUCCAUUAGUAAAAGCAAAUUUUCUGUUGAUAAUAACAUUACCGAUGGAAUUUACCAACGGAAUUAUUUUUCAGUGAUUAGACAAGUCAGUAAUGCUUUUAUAUCGAUAAUAACUAAAAUCCAUUAGUAAUUAUCGAUGAAAUUAUUACCGAUGGAAAAUUUAUUGAUAAAAUCCGUCGAUAAAUUCUGUUGGCAAUACUUAUUUUCAAUUAUAUUUAAUAUAUUUUAUUUAUACUUUUUGUCAUCUUAUUUUAUUUUUUAAUUUAUUUUUAAAUUAAUUACAUGAAUACUAAAUACACAUAAAUAGAAAAAUAAAAGAAAAAACAAAAUGCUCCAUUUUAUUUAUAAAAGAAUGUAAAAUAUUUUACAAAAUUAUUUAUGAAUUUUAUUAAAUAAAAAUAAAAAAAAUACAUAUAUGUUACAAAUUUCGUACAAACAUUUGGUAAUACACGCAACUCAAAUAAACAAGUAUUUUCAAUAUACAAUAAGAAAAAUACCUACAAAACAUGUGAAUGUAGAUAGCCCUUCUUUCUCUUACCCUAACCUCCACCUGGAAAUGACACCAAUACAAAUGUAAAAGUUAGAAGUUUACUUGAGUUAUUGCUUAAACAAUUUAGGGAAAAAACUUUGUCUAUAACAAGUUAUAUUAACACAACCUGGUGAAAGAUUUGUGCAAGCAUAUAUCUGUCCAUAUGUAUAUAUAUCUUAUCUCAUGUCUAAUAUGAGUUCUACAUAUAAAUGUAAAGAAAUAAAAGCUUAGCAUAUAAACAUGAAAAACAAUGUUUGACAAGAGAAAUAAUAAAUAUCACUUCAUAACUAAUAAGAAGCUCUUAAGCAUAUAUAUGCAAAAACAAGAAAAUGAUCAAUAAAAUAAAUAAAAAAAAAGCUCAAAAUUAAAAUUUCAGCCUCCUCAAUCUAUCAUAUUUACCUAACAUAAAGUAUUCUAAUUUUCAUGAUAAAUUCUAUCGAAAACCUACCAAGUUUAACGAGCACAUGUUUUAUGUAUAAAUGGAUGAAACAUUGGACCCCAUUCUUCAUGCAAGUAUAGAUUUAACAGGGCACUGUUAACACAAGUAAAAUUUUUACCUAGUAGGUAAAAGGACUUGUAAGUUCUCAUAGGAAUUAUGCAAAUUAAGUGAUUGUAGAGAAACUCGAGCAAAUAAAUAGGGAAAAUAAGUCAACUUUAAGUGUAAAAAUUUACUUUUGUAGGUUGGAUUUUAGGGUUUGGUAAUGAGCUAGGGCAUAGUUCUUUCUUAACACAAUAUGAAAAGGUAGGUGGGGUAGGUGUCAAUAGGAGGAAGCUUGUAAAUGGUGGCAUCAAAGAGCCAGGUGGGGUGAAUUUAAGUUUAUUAUGUAGAUCAUUGAUCUUUUGUAUAAGCUCAUUUAAGUAAACAAUGGUGUCCUUAAGUAUUGAAGCCCUAUCCAUUUGAAACAUAAUAAGCACAAUGAGUCGCUAGUUGCCAGACUUAGUAACUUCAAUUAUUUAGAUUUUAACGUAUUAAAACUAUAAUAUUGAUAAAGUGCUUUUUGAACAAAUUACUAGAGAAGACUAACAAAUCAGGUAAAACAAGCUAUUUUAGGAAAACUUUUAGCUUUUAUAAAGAGACAGUUACAAUAGUGUCAAGCAAAAUGUUUUUUUUUUCAUUGUUCUAGGAACUAUAAGAUUGUGUUCUGCUAGAUAUUCCAAAAUGUAUCUUUUUUUACUAGAAAAAUAAGCUUUGGAAUAUCCAGGAAAAUGCAAUUUUAUUCCUAGAUUGAAAGUGUACAAGUAAUGCAUUUUUAUCUCUUAAAAGAAUUAUAAAAUAUUUCCAUUAAAAGAAAACGAAUAAGUAUAUAGCUAAAUUGAUUUUAUGAUCCACUUUCUAAACCUUAAAAUUGCAUAAAACUAAUGAAAUUAUCCAUGUAUAAUUUCAUGACUCUAUUAAGUUAUAGUUAGAGAUAGUACUUGCUAUUUGAUGCUUCAUGUUCCUGAUAGAGUAAGAUUUUAUGUAUUUGAUAAAUGAUUUAACUAGAUAUGAGCAAGUGGAAACUUAAGUUUAUGUUUAUUCAUCAUAGCCAUUAAAAAAGGUGGAUUUUAAAGCCUUUAUUAUUAGUUUCUCUUUGUAGUAAAUUUUCCUUCAUUAUUUUCUAUAAUUAAAACUGAUGUUUAAAGAAAAAGUCUUUGCUUAAGUCAUUCCAUCCUAGACCCAGUUCUUAUAAAAAGAAAAAACUAUAUGUAGUUAAACUUGUUUAGUUUAUGCUUCAUUUGGUUAUUUUUUUUAUAAUUUACUUUUUUUAUUUUUGUAAUAGAAAAUUGAAAAUUUAAUUAAAAAAACUAAAAGUAAAGAAUGAAUAAUAAAAAAAUAAAAUAAAAACACCAAAAGAAUCUUAAUUAUGUUAUCGAUCUCGCUUCAAUAUAUUAGCUAACUAGAGGCUUAUAGCCCAUAUCCAAAUUUUAUUAGUGAUUAAUAGUAGGCCAGGUCUUAAGGCCCAGCAUAUAAAGGUAAACAUGAGAAUGAAAGAACAUAUUGGGCUUAUAAAGGUUUCUUAAACAAGUGCAAUACAAAAAUACAUGUAUUACACAGUCAAAUGUUGGUGGUAAUAUGAUCUAUUUCAUUAAUAAAGAAAAAAGCAUAGACCCUUAUUAUUUGGAUGUUAUUGAUCUUGAAUUUUGCAUCUUCUUUUUUUAUCUAUUAGUAUUCAUAGUUCAAUUUUACAAAAUAUCUAAAACAAUAUGAAAAAUCCAAACAAUUACCUAAUAAUCAAGAAGAAAAAAAGUUUCGAGCAUUUGACAGGUUCUUAAGAGCCCUUCUUCCUUGUUACAGACAAAUUUGUAUAUUGAUUUGGAAGCAUUUCAUCAUAAGAAUUAUUUACCCAAAUAUACAGAAACUAAACCCCAAAUACCUUAAAAUGAAAAAAUUUUCAAGUACAUCAACUCAUAAUUCUGUUGAAUGCUACAAAUUUUACCAACCUUUUAUCAAUACAAUAAUACAAUAAUAAAAAAAUUUUAAUAAUUAUUAUUAAAAUUUAAAAAAUAUAAAAAAAGUUUAAAAACAAAUAUAAAUUUAAUACACAUCAAACCCAAAUUUAACAUAAAAUCAAUGUAAACUUUUUAAUUUCUAUAACUAUUAUUAAAAUUAAAAAAUAUUCAAUAUAAAAAAAUUUUAAAACAAAUAUAAUUCUUAAUACACAUCAAAUCCUACAUGCGAUAAAAUCAAUAUAAAUUUUACACUUCUAAAAGUUAAUAAAUCUAUAAAAAAAAUCAACAAAUCUCAACAAUACUUAACAAAUAAAAAAAAUAACUCAAAAUACUAAAAAAAUUCAUCAAAAUUAACAAUACUCAAUAAAAAUUAACAAAAAGUUUAACCUAACAAAAACUUAACAAAUAUAUAACAAGAAACUCAACAAAUUUAUAACAAAAAGUUUAACAAUAAACUUAACAAAUAAACGACAAAAUACUUUAAAAAUGAAUAGGUAAUUUAACAAUGAUUGAUGAAGAUAACUAGCUGAUCGGCAAGUUGAGAAGGAUAAUUGAUAGUGAGGAAAGAGGGAUUUAGGGAUUUGGGGUUUAAAGUUUGGGGGAAAAUUGUUUUUCUUGAUUCUAGGAAAAAGGUUUAGAAUUUUAUGUGAUUUUUUGAUGGAUUACAAUGAAAAUUCCAUCGGUAAUCAAUAACCAUAAAUUUUUUUGUAAUUUUUUUAUCGACAAAAUGUUUCCAUCAGUAAUCCAUCAAUAAAUAAUUAUCAAUGAAAUGUUAACAAAAAUUGACAAAAAGUAUAACCCAAUAAAAACUCAACAAAUAUAUAACAAAAAACUAAACAAAUCUCAACAAACUUAUAACACAAAGUUUAACAAUAAACUCAACAAAUAAAAAAAAUAGUUGAAAAAUUAAUAAGCUAAUUAUCAACAAUGGAAGGAGAUUACCAACCGACUAGUAAGCUGGGAGGGAUGAUCAAUGAUGAGUGAGAAAGGAAAGGGGAAAAAGGGAUUUAAGGGUUUAAAAUUUGGGAAAAAUUGGUGUUUCUUGAUCUUGGGAAAGGAGUCCAAAUUUUAUGUGAUUUUCUAAUGGAUUGCCAAUGAAAAUUUUGUAAGUAAUUGAUAACCAUUAAUUUUUUUUCAUAAUUUUUUUAAUGACGAAAUUUUUUCGUUGGUAACAAAUGGAUUACCAACAAAAAAUAUUGUUGGUAAUUUUUGACAUAAAUCACUUCAUUUGUUUACCUAUGGAUUACCAGUGAAAUUAAACCCAAUGGUAAUCUGUAUUUAGGUCUUUGAUCUCCAGGGUUUUGCGUUAAACCUUUUGGGGUACUAUCAUAAAGUUUCAUCAAGUUUUUGUCUCACGACUAACAAGCUUAUAAAGGAGUGUAUUAUGGCCCUGCUACUAAGAAAAUAAGCCAAAAACUAUGGAUUUAAUGUGUAAGAGCUAUCAAAGAAAACUACGUGUGGGUUCUAUCCCAUAGCAUUGUAGGAACAACUCUCAUUUAAUUGUAUCUGAGACAUUAUAAAGGUCUAUAAAGGUCCUGAAAUGGUCCAGGUCAUCUUCGAGGUUAAUGGUUCCAUUAUAAGUCUCUUUAAGCAGUUUUAGGUAGGAAAGAAUGUCAACCUAUCUUAUAAAGGUGGAUAAGGGCUUAUGAUCAUGUUCUAACCAUUGUAAGUCUUUAUUUUUUUUCUUUUUUAAUGUCUGCCAACUUAUUAUAAAGAGCAGCAACUUGCACUAUGAGUUCAUUAUCAAGGUUAGGGUUGAUAAAGUUUUGUUUUAUGUUCUAAGUAAGGGUUAGCUUUCAGUGUACUAAGGAAAAGCUUGUGGUGGCUCUAGGAAAAAUAAGGCAGAACUUUUUUUAAGUGGAUUAUUUUUAUGAUGGUUGUUAUGUGGCUUGCUAAUAAUAUUGAAGUAAUUUUUGUUAGUGGCUACUUGGACAUUUGAGAGCUAGAUCUAGGUCAUUAAUGCAUGGUAAAAUUCUGUGAAAAACUAUUUCAUGUUUGUUUGGUGCAUUAGGAUCUAUAGGGCUGAAAAUGUAACUUGCACUAUAGAGGUGAUAGGGGAAGUUUUUGCUAGUAAGUUACAUUUAUUGGCUUUAAAGACUGUAUUUGUUAUAGGGGCUAUAUAGUUGGGUUUGAGGUUCCAAUAGCAUCAAUAUGGACGAAGGGAGAAGUCAGGGUCAUACUUAGAGAUAAAACUCCCAUUAAACUUUGAUAAUAGCUUGCUAGCUCUAAAGUCUAAGCAUUUAAUGGCAUAGGGUUACUAGGAAAUUGGAUAAUAGUAUCAUACCUUGGUGUCCAUGGAGUAAAACUCCUUCUAUUAUCAUACCUUGGUGGCCUACGAAAUCAGAGUUGAGUUUGGAAGUCAGUUACACGUGGGAAAGAUUAAAAUUGCAAUAGCAUCUGUUUAAGAUGGUACUAAUUGAUUGCAUGUUAUUAUUUAAUUUUGGUAAAAAUGAUUCUAUUUUUCUUAAUGUUUAAAUUAAUUCCUUUUUUUUCUUUCUUUUUUUUUUUCUCUUUUUUGUUUUUUGUUUUUAUUUUUUGAAACAAAAAUAAUUCAAAUUUAAAACAAAACUUUUUUUAUUUUUAUUUUUUUCUCUUUUUUUUUUUAAAACAAAAACAAAUUAAAUUUAAAACAAAACUUUUAUGCUUUUUUUUAAAAUUUUUGGAUUAAAGUGAAAACACUUUAAGUAUUCUCAUUUUGAUAUUUUCUUUUUGUUUUUAACCCUAGUUUUGCCUAAAACUCUUCCUAUAGUCCUAGAUCUAGCCUAAAACUGUCAACUUCAAACUAAAAAAUUUGCACCUUCCACCAUUAGAAAUGCUAUGUGCUUUCAGUAUAUUCAUCCCCUCACCAAAGACUUCUCUUUCUAAAAAAAUCAAGCCUCACAAAUCUUUCCAAACACUCCAAAAUUGAAACCCCUUUUUGUGACUUUUUGGUGCUACUUUUCCCCGCUAGAAGAUGUGUUGUUUGUUUUUAUAUGUGUGUGUGUGUGUUUCUUUUUGUAGUUUUUGGUGGUGUAUGGUGGCAAUGACAAUAGAUAAGGCCUCGAUGGUAUGGGUUGUUGGUUUUAGAUGAAAGACUAUAAUGGCAUGUUUUGGUGAGAAGGGUCUUAAAUAGGUUAGACUAAUGAGGUUGUUAAUUUUGGUUGUUCAAGGUUUAAGUGUUGAUGGCAUGGUGGCAGUGUUUGGAGAUCAUAGUUGAAUCCCUUUUAGCUUCUAGAAUUGACAUCCUUUUUGGUUGAUUUUUCCACCUAGUUUUAUAACUAUUUCCAGCAUUUUGGAUUAUAGCAACAAUUAAGAAAAUAAGUAGAAAUCUUAUAAGUAAAAAAAGCUUGUUCACAACUUAAUGUUAGUUGCAAUAGUGGCUAUAGAAGGGUUGGAUAAGGUGGUUGGCAAUGAGUAGGGUGGUUGUAAGAGGUGAUGGGUGUUGGUUCCAUGCACGACACCAUUCUCCAAUUUCUAUAUUUUUUUAAUUUUUAUAUUUUUUUAAAUAAAUAAAAUUUUAACAAAUUUGCACUUAAAAAGCUUUAGGCUUCACAAAUGGAUUUAGGGCUUUAAUUGUGGGUUUAAAAAAACAUGAUCACAAUAAAAACUAAGCCCAAUAAAACCCAAUUAAAAUGUUUAAAUGGGUCUCAAUUGUGCAAGUCAAAAUCUUGAACGAAAAUUGAGAUUUACACGGACAAAAAUUGGUGCCUACAGUUGCUUCUCUUUUCACAUUACUAAGAAUCAGGAAUAGGACAAAGAUAUAGACAACAAUUUUGUCUAGUCUAACUAUUCAGAGCUUUUUUUUUUUUUUUUGAAAAAACCCAUCUAAACAAAAGCUCAACAACUUCAAAAUUUAGAAGAAUCAUUUGUCAUAGCUGGGAAUUCAACCUGAAAGUCUUACACAUUGCCUUUUUUUUUUUGCUUUUUUUUUUUGUAAAUUUUGGAAACUAAUGCCAAUAAACUUAAAGGUUGACUCACUAGAGGCUUUAUAACUUUUUAAAAAUAAAUUGAAAUGAAAAUUGCUCCCACCAAAAGGUCCACAACUUUUUAAAACCAAAUUGAAAUGAAAAAUCCUCUCACCAUAAGCUCCACAACUUUAAAAUAGAUUGUGAUAACUUGAAAAUUAUGCCUGAGGUCUUACAAAUCUUGACACUAAAAUAUAUUAGCUUAAAAGACUUAUGAUGUGGAGGACUUAAAAACUAUGUUCGAAGGUCAUAUAAAAUUAACACUAAAAUAUAUUCAACUUAGAAACUUAUAAAUCUUGUCUAGAUGACUUAGAAAAUAUACUCAAAAGUCUUAUAAAUCUUGACACUAACACAGAUUCUAUUAAGGAUACUUAUGAAUCUUGCCGAAGGACUUAAAAAUUAAGCCUAGAGGUCUUAUAAAUCUCAACACCUAUAAAUGCUUAUCUAAAUAGGGGUUCCAUAACUUUAAAUUUUCAUUUGAAAAUGCUUUUCCUAAACAAAUGCUAAGAAAUUUUGAAAAUCUUAUCUGAAAAAAAACUCCUUUAAUCAAAAGUAUUGAAAUUUUAAAAAUCUCAUCUGAAAAGAGCUCAUCUAAUUUGAGGUAUUAGAACUUUAAAAAUCUUAUAUGAAAAAGGCUUCUCUAAUUAAAGGCAUUGAAACUUUAAAUAUCUUAUAUGGAAAAAGUUCUUCUAAUCAAAGCCAUUAAAACUUUAAAAAUCUCAUUUGACAGGAACUCCUCUAAUUAAAAGGAUUAUAAGUUUAAAAAUCUCUUUUUAUGCUAACUUAACUAGGCUUGAUAUCCAUAUGUGUAAACUAGAUUGCUCUUAAAACUCUCAUCUUGGACUAACUUAACUAGGCUUAAAACUUGUGCCAGCUAGAUUGGGUUUGGCAAUUCUAAUUGAUGCCACAGGUUUAAAAUCUCAAUCGGUGCCAUGGGCUUAAAUUCUCAACUUAAUAAAUCUCAUCUUGAAAAUCCCAAAAAAAGGUUUUAACACUUUUCCCUUUUUAAGAAAAAAAUUCCUCAUUCUUUUUGUUUUGCAAAUACCGUAAACAUUUUCCAAACUCUUGGGAAACCUUUUGCUUUCCAAACAAUCUUUCCUUUCUCCUAUUUAUUUUGAUUUUUGACAAACUUUUUUCAUUUUCUUUUCAAUAUUUGAAAAAAGACAAACACCAUUAUGAUGCAAAUGUCUAUUCUAAAAAUGAUGGUGCAAAUGCAAUGAUCCUUAUGCAAAUGCAAACAUUCUGCCAAAAAUGAUUACCAACAAUAGAAAUGCAAGUGUUCUUUCUUGUUACAAAAGCCUCAUACAAAUGCAACUAAUUAUGUAGAUGCCUUUUAAAAAGAUGUAAAGGCAAAAAUCCAAUGAAGAUGCAUGAGAAAAUAUAUUAAUGCUAAAUUUUUCUUUUGAAAACAAGUCUUUUCUCAAUACCAAAACUUAGAGAUUCUCAUUUGAAAAUACACGUGUAAAAAACAAAUUCACACUUGAAAACCAAAUAUUCACAUUUGAAAAAUUUUAGAGAUCUACAUCUAAAAGUUAAAGAUUCUUAUUUGACAUACAAAUAUCAAAGAUUCUCAUUUGAAAAUUUUCAAAUAUUCAUAUUUAAAAGUAAAACAUUCUCAUUUUAAAAGAUUCAUAUCUAAAAAUCAAAUAUUCACAUUUGAAAAUUUUCAGAGAUUAAUAUUUUAAAGUAAAAGAUUCUCACUUUCACAUGUAAAAAUAAAAAAUUCUCAUUUAAAAAUUUUAGAGAUUCACAUUUAAAAGUAAAGAUUCUUAUUUGAAAUAUUCAAAGAUUAUCAUUUAGGAAAGUUUAGAGACUAAUAUCUAAAAGUUAAAGAUUCUUAUUUUAAAAAUUCAAAGAUUCACAUCUAAAACUCAAAUGUUCUCAUUUGAAAAGUUCAAUGAUUCACAUUUGGCAAAGUUUAGAGAUUUCUUCUAAAACUCAAAGAUUUUUAUUUAGGAAAGUUUAGAAACUGAUAUCUAAAAGUCAAAGAAUCUCAUUUUAAAAAUUCAAAGAUUCACAUUUUAAACUCAAAUGUUCUUAUUUGAAAAGUUCAAUGAUUCACAUUUGGCAAAGUUUAGAUAUUCAUUUCUAAAAGCCAAAGAUUCUUAUUUGAAAAUUUCAGAAAUUUACAUAUAAAACUCAUAGGUUCUCAUUUGAAAAGUUUAAAGAUUCACAUUGGGAAAUGUUUAAAGAUUCACAUCUAGAAGUCAUGCAUUCUCAUUUGAAAAAUUUAGAGAUUCACAUCUUAAAACCAAAGGUUUACAUUUAAAACGAUCAAAUAUUCACAUUGAGAAGGUUCAGAGAUUCACAUUUAAAAGUAAAAGAUUCCCAUUUAAAAAAUUCAAAGAUUCACAUUUGGGAAAGUUUAGAGAUUUGCAUAUAAAAGUCAAAUAUUCUUAUUUGAAAAAUUAAAGGAUUCACUUCGAAGGUUCAAGCUUUUCAUUGAGCGUUUGAGAUUUUAUUCUCAAAAUCAAAUCAAAAUCUCAUCUUUGGCAAUUUUUCUUAAUCAAUGAUUGACUAGUUCAAAUUAUAUUUUCAUGAAAGCUUCUAAGGCUUUCUAGUAAUUCGAUUUCAAAAUUCAAAGUUGAAACUCUUAUUUUUCUUGUUUAUUAUAUGCAAUGCAAAUGCCGCUUCUAUGAUGCAAAUGCCUCUUUCAAAUGCAUGAAUCCUUAACAUUGAUGAACAUGCUUUCUUUUUUUCCAUGGUGCAAAUGCUUUAUGCAAAUGCAAAUGGACCAUGCUUCACCUUUUGUCUAUAUGAUGCAAAUGCCUUUAUGCAAAUAUGAAUAUCUUUUCGCACAGAUGCAAAUGCGAACGUCCUUUUCAUGCAAUAUGCAAAGAUGAAAAUGUUAAUGUAUUUCCCAAGAUGCUAAUGUAGCAUGUAGAAAUGCAAAAACAAGCAUUCUUUCAAGAUGCAAAUGUAGAUGAUUGACUACUAUAAUGUAAAUGCAAUGAUUUUUAUUAUUUUUCAUUUUUUUUUAAAAAAAAAUUCUAUUUAAAUUUUCUCCUUUCAAGAUAUUACUUUUUACCAAAAAGUGAUCUCAAUAUUGUAUAUAAAACUCUUGACUAUUCUCCAAACUUUUUCAAAGUAAUCACAAAAUUGCCCUACAUAAUGUAUUUUGUAAUCAAUGAAAGUAUUACAGACACAUAACAUUUAAAUAUUGUGAAAAUUAGUGAUAAUUAUUAGAAAUAUCCAUAGGGUCGAUCAACAAUUUAGUUUUUUUUUUUAAGGGAUUCACUAGGAUUGCAAUUCAACAAGAAAUGGGUUUUUCCUUUAUCUAGGCUCACAAAUGAAUUUUCUUCAAAACAUUUUCUUCCUUAAAAACCAAACACAAUUUGUCAUUCUCUCAAUUUCUCAGCAUGAUACUUUGAUAUGUGUUAAAACUAGCAUUUAUUUUGAAGCAAUUCGCAAAGUUUUAAUGACUUGCAGGGAAUAAAUAAAGGUUUGAAUUUUGGGUUUUCAACCUUUUGAAAAAUAUAAGAUCUACAAUCAUUAUUGAUCUCUCAAAAGUCUUCAAUAUUUAUUGAUACUUCCUUCAUGACUUUUUUUUUCUGGUUAGAACCUUGGAAACUCUUUGUUUAAGAAUCUCAUAUGGCACCAAAAUAGUUAUUUUUUCUCUAUACUGCCUUUUUAGGGUUUUCACUUUAAAAUUUCAUUAUUCAUCAUUUCUUUUUUCUUUUUUUUUAAUGGUUUGAUUAUACACCUUAAUAUUCAAAUUCCUCAUAAUAAGAAUUGAUUCACACAACACAAAAAUUCAUAACAUCAAAAGGGAAAAUGAAAUAUCACAUAUCGAUAACUAAUAGUAUGAUUCCCAAGAAAAAGCCUUCAAUUCAAAUGCCCAUAUUCGAUCAAAAUGGGCUUUUCAAGGCAUGUAAUAUAGGAUAGGGUUAUAAAAGAAAAGGAUAAAUUGGCCCAAAAUAUGUAUUUAAGGUUAAUGAAACCAAAGAUCAUGUCAUUUCUUACAAAGCAUUUUAAAAUAUUUAUCUCUUCAUUCUCAUAGCCUUUGUCUCACCAUUUCAUCCUCAUUUUUUUACCUUUUCAAAUUUUUUCAAUUUUUUUCUUGUUUUUUCUUUUCCUCUUUUCAAAUUUAACACUCAAUUCAUAGACAUUUGUCUCUUGAAAUAAAACAUUCUUUUUUUCUUUGAUAAGGCUUUAUUAUACCUGAAUCUUGAAUAUACAAUUCAUUUACCUUCUAUGUGGAAAGUGAUCCUUAGUUAAGGUUCAUUUGAAAAAAAAUACUUUGGCAAGUUCAAAAAAAGUAGCGAAAGGAUAAUUUUUCUGUGUAUGAAACAUUGAGAAAGAUAGCCAUUCAUAAUUUCAAACACAAUCACUUGAACUAAAAAGUAGACAUUUGUGAAAAGUGGGAAACAUAAAUUUUUUUUCAUUUUUAAAUUUUUUUGAACUUUUCAUUUUUGGGAAUUUUUUGAGUUUUUUUUUUUUUUUUUUUACUUUUUUUGAAUCAUUUGAAUAUUUUGAGUGCAUAAUUUAACCACCAACAAUCUUUUUUUUUCUUUUUGUUUUUUUUUGCCAUGAAUGGUGUCUUAAUUGUCUAUCACUUAAAUGAGGGUUCUCAAAGAAAAUCAUGUUACAUGAAAUGUCUUGACUUUCAUCUCAAAGUUCAAAAAAAGAUUCAUUUUGGUUCCAUGUUUUUUUUUUUUUUGCAUAUUUUCUCAAAAUGAGAGGAAAUGUAUUAUGGCACGAAACAAAUUGUUUUAGGUAAUAGGGAAUUUUGCUUUCUUUGUUAAUGUGCCUUAAGACAUGAAAUAAUUACUGCUUGAGGGAGAGAGUUCUUUCAUGUCUAUGGCAAUCAAAAAGGAUUUAGGUGGUUUAAUCAUUUUAGCAAAAUUUUGACAAGUAUUGACUUACUAAAAAUUUGAAAAAGCAUUAUGCCUGAUUUUUGAAAAAACUCAAAAUGACUUUUCAAAAUUAAUCUAUUUUGUUCAUUUUCUAGAUACAAGCUUUGCUUUUGGGUAUCGAGAAAAUUAGGUUCAUGAAGCUUAAACUCAUGCCCUUUAAAGUAUUAAGCCUAUUUGGGAUUUGAAACACGAAAGCAUUUGGUGAAAAGAAUGAUUUCUGAGGUAAAUUCAUAUCUAAUAAUGAUCAUCAAUUAUUUAGAAACUCAUAAAUUUUUUUUGUUAUCUUCCUUAUUUCCAUGAUCCGGAAGUCAAUUUUCAUGGAGCUUUUAUUCUAAAUAAGUUUUCGAUUCUUAAAAAUCAUUUUACAAAUAGAGUGAAUAAUCACUUAAAAGAAAUCAUUACAUUAUUUUCUAAAACAUUUGUUUAUAUAAUGUCAAAGUACAAUGUUAACCAUAUGCAAAUUGCAAACUAAUAAGAAAAAAUAUGUUUCCUUGGUGAUUAAGAAUUCAAAUCAAAAUAGAAAUGUCCUGUAAAGAUUAAAUUUGUGAUGUAUAAGAAAAGAAAAAGUUAGUCUUCUAAAACUUUCUUUUUGUUUUUUAUGAAAAACUCAAAAACAAUUUUUUCCUCUAAAGCAUACAUUGACAGAUAUACCCUUUUUCAUCGGAAUGGAAUGCAAAAUAUUUAUAAAGAUGAUAAGGGAUUUAUGUACAUAUAACCAAUGAAAUGCAACAAUAUUUUUAGUAAUAAUCAUGUAUUUGCAUAAUUGAUUGUGUACCUACAAUGUAGCAAUAUUUAUAAUGAUGAAAUAUAUGCUUGUUUGGUUGAUGAUGCACAUGAAAUGAAAUAAUAUUUACACAAUAGUAAAAACAUAUUAAAAAAGUGUAAUGUAUUUACUAUAUGGUGCAAUUGAAAAUUUUAUUAUUUUCUUUUUGCUUUUUGUUGCUGUUUGUUUUACUUUUUUUUUUUAAAUCACACAUUCUUAUUUUCUUCAAGAAAAUGAAAUGAAUUGUUUUUUUUUUCAAUUUUAUUGAAAUAAAAACUUUAUACAAUUACAGACAACAAAUUCAACAUCACACAAAAGAAAACUAACAUGAAAAUAAAAAAAAUACAAAAAAGCUCUUUCUUGUGCCCUAAUAAGGAGCAUUUUAUGAAAAUCCGGCAUGGCUGUAUUUAGGGUUGGCCUCUUAAGAUGCACUAUAUAUUGGGGUUGGAUUGACACUAUCUAAAUGUUCCCAAAUUGAUCCUCACUAUAAUUUAUGUUGGAAUAGUAAGGUACUUCGAUCUUCACCCAUCAUAGGUUAGAAAAGAAAGAGUUCGAUAUGAGUAAAAGUAUUUUGCUUGUCGUUAUAAAGGUUAGCAUUUCACGAGAGUAUAUGUACUUUACUUUCUCAUAUAAGGGAUGGAGCUCGAGUAUAAAACUCACUCAUGACAUGAAUAUGCUAUGUGUAGAUGAGGAAAAAUAACACUAUAAUCUCUAUCCUAAAUAAGCCACAUUUUAUAUACAAAACAUAAAAUAAUCAAUGAACAAAUGACAUAAUUAAAAUAAUUGCUAGUAAUUUUUCCUUUUUUCCUUUUUUAAUUAUUUUUCGAAGUGAAAUCGAAACCAAGGAAAUUAAAGUCAAAUACUAAUUAAAACUAUUAAAUCAAAAUUAAAGAUAACACAUAAUUAAUAUUUGGUCGACUCUCAAAAUAUAAUUUUCAAUUAAGUCACUAAACUAUCAUAAUGAUUUUUUGAAGACUAGUAGAUGAAUUUUUUUAAAAAAUAUGGAGUCAUUACCAAUAUUUUUUUACUAUAUAUGAUUGGCCACCUAAGAAAAUUUUUCUUUUUAAUAAAAUCUUGAAAUUAAUUAAACUUUAUUAAAUAGAUAAUUUUUUAUUUGAGAAAAUAAUUUGGAUUCGAGAGUACAGCUAUAUGUGGAGAAGAACUAAUACCCCUACAGUGCUUAUUUUAAAAAUAAUACAAAUUAAUCAUGUGUUAUUCUUUAAUCUUAACAAAAGUGAUCUUGAUUUUGAUAUUUAAAAUUAAUUUCUUUAAACUCCUUUUUAUUAUCACAAUUUUGGUUUUUUUUAAUUUUAUUCACAAAAUUUUCUCUUUUUAUUUUUCCCUUAAAUAAAAAAAAUAUUGUUUCAUUUUUAUUUGAAAAAUAAACUGAAUCUUUUUUAUUGAAAAAUUCUUAAAAUUUUUUAGUACGUUUGCAACAUCAAGAAAAAUUAUCUUAUCUAGAGAUUUCUUUAUGAAUCAUUACUUGAAUUUUCUUAUAAUUCAAAGCUUAGAGGCUCGUGUUUCUUUCGUUUUUUUAAUUAAUGCAAAUAAUAUCCAUGCAUUAUUACAUGUAACUUUAUUCCUAAAAAAACUCUUUUCUUUUAUUUUUUUUUCCUUUUUUAUUAGAAAAAGUAAAUGAAAAUCUUUUUUAUUUGUUGAAUAUCUUUCUAAAUACUUAAGUAUUUUGGUAGCAUUUUAAAAAAAAUCAUCACCUAAAAAUCUUUAAAAGAUCACUAUUUAAUUUUUCUUAAUAUCUUAUCCUCAAAAAAAUUUUCAUUUUUGUUAGGUUUUUUUAACACUUGUUUUAUAUAUGUUUAUUUUAAAAAUUUAGAAUUUAAAUGUUUAUAGAUAAACAAAUAAAUAACUUAACAAAAAAAUAUAAAAAAAAAACAAAAAAUAAAAUAAAAAAUUAUCUAAAAAGGUUAGUCAAAAUUAAUCAAAUCAGUCAAAUAAUUUGACGCUGGUUCAUGCAAAUAGUAGAGACUCGGGUUAGUUGAACCAGCUUAGGGCUAUUAGCAGAGCCAAGCCUUGAGUUGGGCGCACGAACCCUUGGUUUGGGUGGGGUCCACGCAUGAAUCCUUGAGUUAAGUUUUUUUUAGUCAUUCUCAAAACUUUCCUUAAAAAAAAAAAAAAAAAAUUCUUUAAUAAAUCCAACAAUAGCCAGCCAGUUCAAACCCCAAACCCAUAUUCUAGUCACUAGCCACCGGCUGGCCACCUCCUCCUCUACUUGUUGUCGCUCGUCGAUACCAGAUCUUCACCGAAUUACAGUCCUAGACUCCUUUUGAUCUUUUUUUUUUUUGUUUCCAACCAUAAUUUUGCCUAAAACUCCUUUUACAGUCUUAGAUUUAGGCUGAAAAUUUCAACUUUAAACUAAAAAAUCUCCACUUCUCAUCACUUGAAAAUGCCGAGUACUUCCAGUAUGCUCAUCCCCUCACCAAGGCCUUCUUCUCCUUUAAAAAUCAAGCCUCAAAGCCCUUCCAAACACCCUAAAAUCGAAACCUUUUUUUUAUGGUUUUUUGGCACUGCUUGUCCCCAGCAAGGGAUGUGUUGUUCUUGUUUUUUUUUGGUUUUCUUUGUGUGUGGUUUUUUUUGUGUUUUUUUUUUUUUUAGGUCGUUUUUGAUGGUGUGUGGUAGUAGUGAUAAUAGGAGGGGUCUUGGCACUGUGGGUAGUUGGUUUGAAAGGGAAAACUAUAACAGCGUUUUUUAACGAGAGGGGUCUUAACUGGUUUGGACUAGGGAGGUUGUGAUUUUUGGUAGUUCGAAGGUGUUGUGUUGAUGGUAUGGUGGCAGUGUUUGGAGGUCUUGGCAUAGUCUCAUUUAGCUUCUGGAAUCGAUAUCGUCUCUGGUCGAUUUUUCCACUUAGUUUUAUAAUCAUCUUCAGCAUUUUGGUUCAUAGCCAAAACUAAGAAAACAAGUAGAAAUCUUGUGGGUAAGAUAAGGUUUGUUGGCAACUUAAUUUCAACUACAAUGGUGGCUGUAAGAGGGCUGGAUAGGGAGGCUUGCAGUGUGUAAGAUGGCUGUAGGAGGUGAUAGGUGCUGGUGUCGUCUAAGGCACCAUGCUCUAGUUUCUAUUUUUCUUUUUUAAUUUUCAGAUUUAAAAAAAAAAAUAAUUAAAAUUUAAACAAAUUUGAGUUUAAAAAACUUUAGAUUUCACAAAUGAAUUUUAAGCUUUAACAUUGGACCUAAAAAACAUUAUCCCAGUAAGUAAAGCCCAAUAAAACCCAGUUAAAAUUCUUAAAUGGGUUUCAAUUGAGUAUGUCAAAAUCUUGAAUAAAAAUUAAGAUUUAUUUGAAUAAAAAUUAAUAUUUAUAUAUAAUAUUAUAUAUAAGAUUAUCGAGUAUUUAUCAAAUAUAAUGAUCUAAAUAUCAUAUAUAAAUCAUUUUGAUUUUUGGAGUGAUUUUUUCAUACCAAACAUUAACCUAAAGUAGGACAAUAAUUAGUCUUAACUGUUGAUUAUAUCUUGAAUGUUAAUGAAUCGUGGGCAAUCAUAAUUAACAAAGUUUAAAAGAUUGGAUUUUCUUGUCUAGUCCAAUAAUUGAUCAACCAAGUGAAAAGGCUUUGAACCUAGGAAAGAAGUAACCACACUGUGCAUAAGUUUUGACAAUGUAUAAGAGAAAUGGGUCCAACUUCUCCAAAUGAUAAUGAACACAUAAAAAUUAAGAAUUUAUUGGUGAUUAGUUUAACUAUUUGCUAUAACGCUAUUCAAGCUGUUUUACCUGCUACCACUUAAAAAGGCUAGCUCAAAUUUUAUUCCAAGUACAACCUUGAGUAAGUAGGUCAAGGUUAGGAAAGUCCAAUUAGCAAUAGAGGGAAGAAAAGGGAUUCUUACAGACUUAUGGGGCCAUUGGAUAGCUUUGAGCAAUUUUCUUGCUAGCAAGGAAAUUUAGAUUCCCAUAAAGCCGACAAUGCCCGCAACAUGACAGUAGAGUGUAGCAAUAUAUUGCUUGUGCGUGUCAGUACACAAUUGAAUAUUCUAAAAGCUCAUGAUUUAAAGUUUUAAUAUUUUUCAAUUGCAAUGUUGAAACUCACAUGUGAUUUGAAAGAAAGUGGUUAUGGUAAAUGAUUUAUUCAAUUAAUUAUUAAACAUUAAUCAUCUCUUUAUCAUUAGAUUAAAAAAAAAUCAAAGUUAAAAAUUGAGUGUAAACUAUUUAAUUUUAUAUGAUGCUUUCUCAAUUAAUAAAUUUGAUAUAUUUAAAAAAAUAAAAAUAUUUUUACUAUUGUAAAAUAUUACUUUAUUCUCCUCAAAGUUAAAUAUGGAUCGUUUAGAUCUUUGAAGAUUCAUGUGACACACGUGAAACACCUUAUAUAUAAAUUGUUUCUCAAGCAAUCUCAUAAAAAUAGAACAUAUACUACUAUCAAGCUAAAGCUUUCACCAUGGUUAUGGCUCUUCAUGGACUGCUUGUUUCAAUCCCUAGCACCAGUUUCAUCAGGCCGUAUAGGAAAGGCAUCUCGAACAUAUCAAACCUCAACAGCUUCAGUGUUCUUCAACCCACCAAAUUUGUUGCUACAGCCAAGGUUUCAGAUCCAAAAGUGCUAGGCGAUCUGCUAAUUAUCAUCCUCCCAUUCGGGAGUACGAUUAUAUUCAGUCGCUCAAAAGCGACUAUCUGGUAUGUAUACAAGUUUUUUGUUGUAACAGCUACCAAUAAAUUCAUAAUUAUUGAAUAUUAAAUUUAGUUCAUGACAGGAAGCUGAGAAAAUUACUUUCCAUGCAGGGGGAAUCAUGUAAUGAACCAGCAAUCGGACUAGUGGGAGAGGUGAGAAUGAUGCUUAACGAAGUGAUAGAUCAUUUGGUGAAACUUGAGCUACUCGAUUCCUUUCAGAGACUCAGAUUAUAUCAUCACUUUGAAAACGAAACCAAGAGCAGGGAUUCAAAUAGCGGUGUUACAGAAGAAUAACGGUCGUAAAAUCACAAUAGUAUCACCGUUAUUAAAAAAAAAAAAAUGGUUGAAAAAUUUAAUCACGAUCAAAACGGUGUGUAACGGUCUCUAAAAAAUGGAAUAACGGGAAUAGCGUCAAUAAUGGUCCGUUAUUGUCGCUAUUUCAUUUUUUCCGUCUACACUCAACUGCUCAGCACAAAUUAUAAUAAUAAUAAAAAAAACUUUCAGAUUUCAAUAGUAAACAGUCAAGAUUCUCCACAAUCAAAAUAAAACAAGAAGACUGUAAAAACAAAAAUAAAGACAAAAGUCAAAAAAAAAAAAAUCCCUGCUCAAUGCCUAUAAUUCAGACUCGUUCUCUCUUUUUUAGAUUCAAAAUUUAUCUAAAAAAUCUUAGAUAUUAUCAAUCAUUCAAUCAGUAGUUACCUAAAUUCAAAUUAACUUCAAAUAAAAAAAGAUAAAAAACAAAUUAAAUUACCUAUUUUUUUGUGAAAUUUUUAUAGAAUAAUACUGAUAUUUGUAUUUGUGAUAAUCUGAUCUGCUAAGAAAGAUGAAGGUAUGUGAGAAAGAGAGAUGAAAAAAAUAAUAAGAAGUUUGGUUGAGUUAAUUUGAGAGAUCCAUCGUUGAUGCCAUGAAAAAAUGAAGAGGCGCAAAGAAGAAUUUGGGCUGAAAGAGAUCGGGGGAGGGGGGUGCGGUGAGGCGGUGGGGUGGGACGUGAGAUUGGGUGGGGUGGGCUGUUUGGGGUUUAGGGUGGGGGGGUGGGGUGGGAUUGCGCUGGUGUGGGGUGCAUUGGAGGGUAAGGUGGAAGGGGUGGUGUGAGAUUGGGGUGAGGUAGGGUGCAUUGGAAUGUAGGAUGGGAUGUGUGUUUUUUAUUUAAUUUUAUAAUUAAUUUUAUUAAAAUCUAAAUUUAAAAUUUUGUAAUUUUUAAAUUUUUUUGAUAAAAUUUAGUUAGAGGAUUGAGAUUUUAUAAUUGAAAAAAAAUAAGAAUUUAAGAAUUUAAUAUGAAAUACAUAGGGAUUUUAGAUAAAAAAAUUUAAUAAAUUUUUUUAUAUAAGUUAGAUGAAAAAUAAUUAAAAUUAAAUAUUAUAUUUUGAUUUUGUUAUUUACUAAUUUAUAAUUUUAUAUUUGAAAUUUAAUAAUUUUUUUAUUGUUUUGGUAUUUAUAUUAUUGUCAAUUCUUUUGCUAUUAAAUUAAUUCUUAUUAAUUUAUUUUUAUUUUUAUGUAAUUAUUGAAUAUUCUAUUUAUUAUAUAAUAUAUUGAAAGUAAAUUGUGAUAAAAAAUUUUUUUACAUCAAUUAGUAUAUCAAAAAGAUUAAAUUACUUAAUAAAUUUAGCAUUUUACGAUUUAUUACUUUUAAGAUUAAAAUUAAAAAUUAAAAAAUUUAAUGUAGAUUCAAUUUUUAAUGAUGAAAUAAGUAACAUUAAUAUUUUUAAAUAUAAGUUUAUUUUGUUUUUAUACAAAAUAGUAAAAAUACCACCACGUAAAGAGUUCCUAAGCAAAGGAGUAGAGGGCAUACCAAAUGAUGAUAUAGGUUGGCAUUUUGGAACACUCGUGCCAAAUAUCAAAGGAAAUGUUUUAUGCAAACUUUGUAGUAAAGUUGUAAAAAGAGGAAUAAUACGUUUCAAGAAACACAUUGCUCAUAAAAUUGACAAUGUUGCACCAUGCCCCAACGUUACUGGUAUGUUAUGUUUUUAUAAUUUCUUUAAAAAUAUUUUGUUAAUUUCUCAAUAAAAAUUAUAAAAUUACAUAAACAUGUACAACUAAUUUUUUCUUUUUUCUUAACUAUAUUAUUAAUAGGUUUAGUAAGAGAAAGUAUGAUGAAACUUAUUCAAGAAAGCAAAUUAAAGAAAGUUGAGAACAAAAGGAUAAAUAAUGAAUUCUUAUCACAAUUAAGAGGGGAAGACUAUGACUAUGAAAGUUUUAUUGAUGAAGACAUCGCUACUAGACAAGCCAUGCGAGAUAGUAUCCAAUCACAAUAUGAGUGGCACCAAAGACAAGAAUUCAGAUAAAAAACUGGUAGUUGGAGUAAUAUACAUGAAGAGGGACGAAGCUCUCAUGGUUCAGUUACUGAAUAUUUUAAGAAAAAAACAAAGAAAUCAACUCCAAGUAAGUCUGAAUUUUCAUUAAGAGAGGCUAUACCUGAAUUAGUUAGAAGUAAGAGUUCAAAGCAACAAAAAAUAAGCGAUUCAUUUUUAAAGACAUUAAGAAGAAAGAUGGGUGAAUCGGUAUCAAAAUUUUUGAUAUAUGAUCGACUUCUUUUUCAGUUAGCAAACUUUUCAUAGUUGCAUAAUUUGAUUUCUGUGGCAGUAGAAAUUGGCCAACAUGUGAAACUUUCAACGCCUUAUGAAGUCUCAGAUAUGUAUUUAGAGUCUGAGUAUCAACAAAUUCAUGAAUGUGUUAAUGGAUUAAAAGCUCAUUGGAAUGAAUUGGGUGCCACUUUGAUGUGUGAUGGUUGGACCAACAGUUUAAAUCAAAUGCAUAUCAUUAAUUUCCUUGUUUAUUGUAAUAAAGGGACCAUUUUUUGAAAAUCUAUAGAUGUCUCAAAUGUUCGUAGUAGAAAUGCAAACUUCUACUAUAGAUUAUUGGAUGAAGCUGUGAAAGAAAUUGAGGAAAAAUACAUUGUUCAAAUAGUCACUGAUAAUGAGGCAGCACUUAAGGCUGCAGAAAAAAGACUAAUGAAGAAGAGACAGCAUUUGUAUUGGACAACAUGUUCGGCUCAUUGUUUGGACUUGUGCCUUAAGGAUAUUGGCAAGAAAAAAAAUGUGGUAAAAGUUUUGAAGGAUGCGAAAAAAGUGACUUGUUUUAUAAACAAUCACAUUUGGACUAUUAAUUUGAUGAAGAAUUAUACACAAGGGAAGAAAAUACUCCGUCCUGCUCUUACCCAAUUUGCCACUCGUUUCAUACAGUUAGAAGAAAUAACAAGGCAAAAGCAAGGUUUGAGAGAGAUAUUCAAUUCAAAGGUUAGUACUUAGUAAUUAAUAUAACUAUUUAAAUCUAGCAUCUUUUUUAUGAUAUCAUUGUUUAAAAUAUUAAUUUAAAAUAUAUUGCUCUAAAAAUUUAUUAUUGAAUAUAUAGGAUUUAAAGAAUUAAAAUGGGGACAACAAAAAUCAAGGCCUGCUUAUGAAGCCAGAAAAAUCAUUUUGGGAAAAGAUUUUUGGAAAAAAGCAAGUGAUAUAUUAAAAAAAUUAUAAGCCUUUGGUAAAAGUGUUACACCUUGUUGAUGGUGAUGAAAAACCAACAAUGGGAUUUAUUCACGAGGCAAUGGAUAAAGUUAAGCAAGCAAUUCAGCAAAUUUAUCGUUAUUCUACUGAAUAUGAAAAGAUUAUUGAUAAUAGAUCGAGUUUCAGGCAUUUUGACUUACAUUCAGCUGGUAAGUAAACGAAGAAUAUAGAUUGUAUUUAAAAAAUAUGUUUAUUUUUUAUGCUUAAAUUGCUCAUAUAUUUAUUUUUUAUUACUUUAAUAUAAUAUUGUUAUGAAUUAUUGGCAGGUUACUAUUUAAAUCCACAAUUUCAAUUUGGAGUGGAGCAUUCUGAAAAUGUACUUAAAGAAACAUUAGAUAGUACAAGAGCAAUUAUUGAAAGAUUAGAAUCUUAUAUAGAUACUGAAAUCAAAAUGAUUAAUCAAGUUAGUAUUUAAUACUAUUUUAUAAAUUUGACAUUUAUUUUAUGUAUUAAAAAUAAAAUUAUUGUUUAUUUAUUCAUUUAUUAUUGUAUUUUCAAUUGAUGUAGUUGCUAUUAUUCCGAGACAAGUAUGAAACAUUUGGUACUCCACAAGCACAAAGAACUUGGAAGCAAAUGAAUCCAGGUAAUUAGUAAAUUAAAUAAUUAUAAUUUAUUUAUAUAUUUAAUUGAAGAGUAUAUUCAAAUUUAAUUUAAAUAAUUUUAUACAGCUGAGUGGUAGAUGAUAUAUAGUACUUAUGUUCUUGAAUUACAAAAAUUAGCAAUCAAAGUGCUUAGUCAGACAACAUCUGCAACAAAUUGUAAACGUAAUUAUAGCACAUUUAGUUAUAUUCACACCAAAGAAAGAAACAGAUUGAAGUUUGAAAAACUUCAUAAACUUGUAUAUACUCAUUACAACAUGAGGCUGAGGAUGAGACAUAAAAAAAGAAUGAGCAUUGACGAGAUAAAUAAUAGUUUUAAUCCUAUUAGCCUUGACCAUAUUUUUGAAGAGGAUGACCUACUAACAAAAUGGCUGCAGGAGAAAGAAAAUCAUCUGUUAGAUGAUCAAAACUCUAAUUGGUUACCUGCAGAUAAUUCUGAUAAUGAAAUGAAUGUUGAACAGUCACACCAAUCUCAAGAAAGGAAUGUGUCUCAUUCAAGUUCAAGUCCGACACCAAGUCAGAGUGAUGAUGGUGGGGGUUUAAGUUCAGAUGAUGCUGAUGGUGAUGGUGACGGUGCAAAUUUUUUUGAUAAUAUUGAUGCAAAUCGACCUUAUAGCCCACUUGGAGGAGAAUUUAACCUUGCUGCUACUGAUGGACUUUUUAUUAACAUGCAGAAUAUGGAGUAAAUCCAUCUACUGAAUCUAGUGGGGGUCAAAGUGCACAUAUAGCUCGAUCAAAAGGAAAAGCCAAGAAGCACCACUAUGAUAUUUCUAGAGGUUCUUCAUCUUCAGGUAGGAGAUCAAAUUCUGGUAACUUUGAGUAUAGUGAAUCAUCUGCUAGUACUCAAAGACAUUACUAUCUACCGGAACAACCUAAUUUUUAACCUUCCCAUGGUUAUCCACCUUUUAUAUAGUUAUUAUCCACCACAAAUGUAUCCUCCACCUCAAACGUAUCCUCUACCUCAAAUUAUUCUCCCCAUCAUAUGUAUCCCCACCACAAAUAUAUCAUCCUCAAAUAUAUCCUCCACCUCAAAUACAUUAAGAACAAAGGCCAUAGGGAUAAAGAUGGAGUCAACUUGACUCUCAAAAUGAAAAUAGAGAAUUUGAUCGUCCUCGUCAUUCUACCAUGUGGUAAAUUUUGAAAUAUAUAUACCAAUAGUUAUAGUUGAUAGAAUUUGAAAUUAUUAUAUUUUUAAGUUUGUAAUUUUAUUAAAUAUAGAUGCUUGGUAUUUAAUAUAUUAUGUUUUGUUAAUAUCUUGAUUUGUCUAGAAUUAACAUUGAAUAUGAACUUGGCUCAAGCAAAAAUUUUGUUGCUUAAUCAAAUAUGAAUGUUUUAUUAUAAUCUAACUAAAAUUGUGAAUACUUUUUUUUAGAAAAUAAAAAAUAUAGUAUGAUAUAUUUUAAAAAUCAUUAAAUAAGAGUUUUUAUGAUUAUAAUUAUAAUUAUUAUAUUUUAUAAAAAAUUGUUCAAAAUUAAAAAAAAUUCACAACCGCGAUGACCUUGAUGACCGUAAUGAUCUCUGUUCUAUCCGAAAAUACGAUAAACGCGAUGCGACUGAAAACGUAACCGUGAUUGCUAUUUAAAUCCCUGACCAAGAGGACUUUGGAAAGAAGAAAGGCUGAUCAAAGAAAUGUAUCCUGGAAGAAGAAAGACAAUUUAUAUGCUACAGCACUUGAUUUAGGCUCCUAAGGCAGCACGGCUACAAAGUAACUCAAGGUAAGGAUAGUAGAAAAUUUUGUAUAAACGAGAACUUGAGCUUAGUUCAGUUUUUAGAAGUUGUCAUCCUGCAGAUCUAGAGUUUGAAUUUGUAACUCUUUUCUCUUAUCUUUAGACUCUGGCCUCCUUCCUACGAAAAAAUUUUGCAUAAAAUAAAAAUUUUCUGAAAAUUUUUAUACGUGCAGAGGUUUUCUCUAGUUUUAUUGAGAGAGGGAAUUUCAAGGCGGAUCUUUGCGAGGAUUGCAAAGGGUUGCUUAACUUGUAUGAAGCUUCAUACCUUUCGGUAGAGGGUGAAAGCAUAUUGGAUACUGCAAGAGAUUUCGUAGCUAAACAUCUCAAGGAAUACCUGAAGCAAAACAAAGAUCAAUAUCUUUCCUUGCUAGUGGACCACGCUUUGGAACUUCCGCUGCAUUAGAGGGUGCUAAGGUUGGAAGCUAGGUGGUUCAUAGAUGUAUGUGAGAGAAGAGAGGACAGAAAUCCGAUCCUUUUGGAGCUUGCCAAAUUGGACUUUAAUAUUGUGCAAGCUGUGCACGAGGAUGAUCUAAGAUAUGCUUCAAAGUGCAUGAAUUUUUAAAUUUAAGAAUAAUUAUCCAUUUAGAGACUUAAAUUUUCAAGAUAUUUUCCUUUGAUUUUUUUUCUGUUAAUUUCAAAGUGUAAUAAUUAGGGAUAAAGUGUCCAGUAUUUAAUAUUUAACUUAAAUUAUAAUCCAAAAUCAGUUUUCAUUUUGAUAUAAUUUUAUUGGUUGAGAAUUCCUCCUAUAUAAAUUCAGAGUUUAACUCAAUUAAUUUAUGAUUUCAUACAAUUACCUUUAAAAAAUGAUAUCCAACAAAUUUGAAAUUCAAAUCUCAAUAUUUGUAACAUUUUCUCUAUCCCCAGUUUAAGGUUUUUUUGUAAAAAAAAAUAUAUAUUUAUAUAUAUAUGAUACUUAAAUUUAUUUAAGGGUUAAAUAUAUGGCAGAGUUAGUAUAUAAUUAGUUUUGUAGAAAACUAAAAAUGAUUUAAUUCCUUUAUUAUGAUUAACUUGUGCAGUUGGUGGAGAGAUUUAGGUGUUGCGAAAAAGCUAACCUUUGCCAAAGACAGGUUAAUGAAGAACUUUUUAUGGACAGUAGGCGUGACAUAUGAUCCUCAGUUUGGGAAUGUUAGAAGAUUGCUUACAAAGAUUAAUGCCUUAGUAACAACUAUAGAUGAUGUUUAUGAUGUGUAUGCUACCUUUGAUGAGUUACAACUUUUUACUUAAGCUGUUGAGAGGUAAAUGUGGCAUAUAUAUAUAUAUAAUGCUUCAUGGACUUUAACUCUUAGGCUUUGCUUGGACUGGUGGUGUGAGUUUGCAGCGAUGGAAGUGCUAGCUCCCACGGCACCAUAUCGUCCAUCCAAACAUAAAUUUAGUGACAAUGGCACGAUAAUAUUGUAAAAAAUUAAAUAACUGCGGACAUGAGAAGAUCUAAUUCCUUGUCAUGUAUGUCACGUGACAACAUUUAAUUCCACGUCAUCUAUGCUUUUUAUUGACCAUGUUUUGCUAAGUUUUUUUUUAUGAGAAUUUAAGUAUUAGUGUACAUAGAUAAAUAGAAAAUGAUUAUAUAUACAUAACAACUUCAUAAAUUUCAAAAACAUACAAACAUAGUUGAUAAAAUAAAAUCUAAGUUGAAAAAAAAAAUAGUGCAUAUAUAUAUGUAUUGUAGACACCAAUUUUGAUUAAUUAAUUUUUUUAUAUAGUUUAAUAUUAAUUAAUAUUUAAAAAAAAAAGUUUGGGAUUUCAACUUUGGCAGCUGAAAUCAAGUUGCCAGAGUGAUAUUUUUUUCUUUCUGACACUACCUAAUUCGGUUGCUAGUCACCGGAUAUACAUCAAUUUUUCACAAAAAGAUAUCAAGAGAUCUGAUAUUUGAAUUCCAGAGGAAAUAGAAAAACAUAGAGAACAAGGAAAAAAGGGGAAUACACAAUAAAAAAAAACAAAACAAAUCACAAUCCUCUUUGAGGAACCAAUAGAAAACAAAAAAGUUUUUUCCCCAAGAAUAAAAUUUGAGAUUUAGGAAGUUCGAGAUUUUUUUUUUUGAAAAAUAUGGGUUUGAGGGAGUGUUUAGAAAGCAAAAAGGAUUAUUGGGGAAAUUUUUGUGAAUUUUUAAAAUUUUUUUUGGGUCAUCGAAAACUGAAAAAGUUUGAAUUUUUCGGUGACCAUUGAAUUUUUCGAUCACCGGUGCAGGCGACGAUUGGUCGAAAACUGGGUUAUCAUGACGACCGACGGAGGUGUUAGGAUUUUAGACAGAGGGGCUUUGGGGUAGAGAGAGAGGGGAAAGAAAAAAUAAAAAAUAAAACUGAAACAAGUCUUUUAUAGGCCCUCCGAAAAUGAUGUCAUUUUGGGCAUUUGAACUGGACUUGACCCGCGCGUCGACCCACAGGCCAACCUGACCCGAUUCGUAGGUUUUUUCUUUUCUUUUUUUUUUAUUUUCUAUUUUGAUUUUGAUUUUGAUUUUUUUUUGUUUUUAUGCUUUUUUUAAUAUAAUAUUAUUGUUAUUAUUGUUGUUAUUUUAUAUUAUUACUAGUAAUAAUUUUUAUUUUUUAAAAGAAAAAUAAAUAGAAUAAAAAUAAAACUGAAAUAAAAUAAAGACUUAAAAAUAUAAUAUAAAAAAAUUAAUAAUAACUUUUUUAAUGAAAAUAAAAUUUUAUUACAAGCAAAAAUAUUAUUUAAAUUUCAUUAAAGUGUUGGGAUAAUUUAAAAAAUAAUUUUUGCUAAAAAAUGAUAAAUAAAAUAAAAAUAAAUUGUUUAAAUGAAUCUUUUAAAUGUAAUUUUUAAAGAAAGCUAAAAGAGUUUAGUUUCUUUAAUUAUUGCAAGUAAAAAUAAUUUUUUCGGAUGUCACCAUAAAGUUGGGAUAAUUCAAAAUUAUUUUUACUAAAAUAAAGAUUGAUUUAGACAACGUAAAACAAUAAUAAAAAUGAAAAUAAAAAAUAAUAGUAAUUGAUAUUUUGAAUUUUUUAAAAAAAGAAAUAGAAAAUUGAAAGAGUUCAAUUUUAUUUAAUACGAGUAAGAUAUAAAUAUUUAGAUUUCUAUGGUGAGUCGGGAUAAUCUAAUUUUUUUAUAAUAAAAAUAAUUAAUAAAUAAUAAAAAUUUUUUUUAAAUAAUCAUAAUAAAAAUUAAUUAAUAAAUUCCUUUAAUUAUAAAAAAUAAUUUUAUUUAGAAUCUUGUCAAUAGGUUGAGAUGAUCCUAAAACUUAUUCAAAACUUUUAAGAUUUCACCGAAGAGUCGGGAUAAUCUUAAAACUUGUUUAAUAAAUUUUAGGAACUCACCAAAUAGUCGGGAUGUUCCUAAAAUCCUUUUCGAAACAAAUAAAUAAAGUAUCUUACGACGAGAUUUCAAGAAUUUUGUGAAUGGUUAAUUUUCUCAAAAUAUUUUUUAAAUAGUGAUUUUUUAUAAAUUUCACCAAAGCGUUGGAGAAUUUAUAGGAUACGAAAUAACAAUAAUAAUGUUGAUUUCAUAAUAGAAAUAUUUUUUAAAAAAUAAAUUUCAAAAAAUUAAAUUUAAAUAAAAAAGAUUGUAUUAUCAAAAUUAAAGGAUUACACAAGUUUAAUUGAUAUCGUUCUUCGAACUAACGGCAUAAGGGUGCUAAUACCUUUCUUACUUGUAACCGUACUUCCGGACUUAACCCUGAUUUUGCAAACCUAAACUUGUUUUAGUAGUUCUUAAUUAAUUUUAAGAUUUUUACUAAAAGAUGAUAUUUUGGGUGGCCAAUCACACCCUAUAAAAAAGAUUGGUGGUGACUCCAAAAAUUUUUAUCAAGUCUAGCGAUCGAGUCCCCCUGGAUGAAAAAUCGUUACGACAGCUUGGCGACUCCACUGGGGACACUUGAGAGUCAAGCAAAAAAUUAAACAUGUGUCAUCCAAAUUUUAAUUUGAUGGUCUUUUUCAUAUUUAAUUUUAAUUUCUUAUCUCAACUUUGAAUAUUAAUUUUUUUUAUUUGGUUGUGAUAUGUUAUUAUUUUAUUAUUAUUGCUAAUUAUUUAUUAAUUUUAUUUGUUAUAUUCCUUCACACACGUGCACAUUUGCAUUCAUGCACGAGCUCUUUACCCAAGCUCCCGAAUAUAUCCAUUUUUAGGAAGGAGUAGAGUACCUACGCUUUUGUGAGAUUAUAAUGCCUCUGAUUGGGCUAGCGAAAUACUUUCACUUAAGUUGAACCCUUUCUGUCAGUAACCCAUUAUAGGUAAAGAUCGGAGGCCUUACUAGUCUAGAGUGGAUGACAAUUAGGAUCAAUUUGGGAAUCUUUUUAGCCUAUGUUAAUUACCAAACCAUGCAUAUAGUGAAACUUAAGAAACCAACCUUAGAUAAGGCCAUACCUUUUUUGUAGAUUAUACCCCGAAUUGAAACACAUGAGGGAAUAUUUAUCUUAAUAUGAUCACUAACCCUAUUUUGUUUUAUUUUCCUUUUUGUUUCAUGAUCAUACAUCAUCAUAAACACUUGCAUAUGGGAUGUGCUUAUCAAUAUACCAAUAUCAGUAAGAAGAUUUUCAAUCUUGUUUCGAAAACACCAUCAUGAUGUUCUCAGCUUCGAAGCUCGCCAUGUGUGAAGAGGCCAAUGUGGUGAUAACUUUAUCAUUAGAAGCCCAAAGUAAAAUGGGAAAUUGUUUGAAAGAAUCUGAACAAGAAAUUUUGUCUGAAGAAAUCAAGUUGGGACUUCAGUAAAAUGACAUCUCUGAGUUGGUCGAGAUUUGGCGCUGUGUAACAACUCCUAGGAAGAUGGCUUUUGAGGAAAAAUAUAGUUAUAUUGCUUCACUGCUUGAGGUGCCUAUGAAAAAUCAGUUGAUAAGAGCUUUAGUUCAAUUUUGGAUCUUGCAUACAGAUGUUUCAUAUUCAACGAAAUAGAUAUGACCUCGACGAUCGAAGAGUAUACUAUAUUGUUAUGGUUGCAUCUUUUUAAUCCAGAUAAAAUCUAUUGACAAGGUCAAAAACUUGGAUCUUAAAAGAAGCUUAUCUGUAUGACAGGGGUCUCCACUUAGAAUGUGAACUUAUAUAUCCAAACAAAAGGCAAAAAUGAUUGCAUCUUAUGGGAAAUCUUACUUGAUUACAUCAUCAAACACUUAGAGGAUGAACGAGGCAUGAAAAUGAUAGCUUUGGCAAUUUAUGGCUUGAUCAUUUUUUCCAAAGUCCUGGGGCAUAUUGAAGUAUCAGUGAUUAACUUUCUCGAGCAGGUGGACAAUAAAAUCAAUUUUGUUUCUUUUAUACUGACAGAGACCUUUAGAUAAUUGAAUUAUUACCGAAAAAGAAGAGGAUGCUUCAUAAGGUGUGUAUAGUUACUCUACAUUUGGGCAAAAAUUCAUCUUCAAUAUCCUGUGGGUAAAGUUUGUCCUACUUAUAGUAAUAAAAGUAGGCCAAUUGAAGAAUGUUACAAUGUUGAGUGGCCAGAAUCAAAGACCAAUGAAGUAUGGGUAUUGAUUUUGCAAGAUCUCACUAGUGCUCAAGUUAUAUGGAGAGCUUCAUGGAUGCCACAAGAAGCCAUGUUAUACAGGUGUGGUGACAAACCAUGGGUUCUACUCUUAGGACUGUGGGGAGGUAUAAGCUAUGCUCCAGCACUGAUUCAUUGACAAUUAAGGUCAAAGCAAUUUGUCCCAAUGACCCAUGGGCUUCAAGAAUUGAAAUUCUCUUUUGAGGAAUUAAGAUUUCUGGGAAAGAUAAAAGUGAUUAUCAAAGAGUAAAAGCAGACACAGAGAGUAGAUCGUGAGGGAUAUACAGACAAAGUUUCACCUAAAUAUCUUAUAUGAAGAAGUCAACAGGUCACAAGCAAAGUUGGUCCUAAAGAAAACAGACUAUGCCACCAAAAAGACACCAAUUGUGAAAAGAUUCCUAAGGAUAUGAAGAUUAUGAAGCGUAAAUUUGAAGAAGAAAAAGAAAUAUGAGAGCUUAAAAAAAGAGGCUCCAGCAUGAGAUUAAUGAAUAGAAAGACAAGACAGAUAAGAAUGAUGCAAAAUCUCGAAGGCUUGAAAAAGAACAAAAAAAGAUCUCUAAAAGCUGGCAUAGGUCUAUCGCCACAAUGAUUACAGAGCUUGAAAAAUCCAAAAAAAAUAGUUUCAGUCCAAUUUAUUAUCUAAAAAAGAAGAGCUUAGUCAAUCUAUGGAAGAAAAAAAAAAGGUUGACUGCAAUGACUAAGUUCGUGGAGGAAAAAAGAGAAAAAAAGGUUGGCUCGUUUUCUAGGACAAGAAGUAGAAAUUGAAAGCCUAUAUUUUCCUCCCUUUUAUGAGACUUACAUCUCAACCGGUUAUAUCAAUCCAAAUGUAGUAGGCAACAUAGAAAAAGAGUUCACACUAUCGUUGAAAGAUAUCUUCACUGAAUUUUUAAAACAAAUAAUGGGUGAAGAAAAGAAGAACGAAGAUCUAGGGCUAUCCAUGGGUUUAUCUUACUCCUCAUGGUACAGAACUAAAAAAAUUGGCAUAUUGAAGAGCUACUUGUUGUUUUUAAAUUUUUUCCAAAGUAAUGUGUUGAACCUAAUCUAAAUGCUUUUGUUAAAAGCAUUAAAAGUCUUAUAUGUGUUUGUUUCCUCAUUUUCAAUUGAAUAAAUGACAAAUGUAGUACAUUUGUCCAUUUAUUUUGCCUCUUUCAUUUCAAUUCCUUGCAUUACUAUACAUCCUUCUACAUUUCGUCCAUUUCACUUAUUUUCAGGUAUUUGAAUAAUGAAUAUGAAGAUCAUCAUGACAAUAUUCCAGGAUUUGAUUUUGAAAAUUCUAUUUAUAUUGAUGAACUCGAUGAUGAAAAGAAUGUGGAAGACCUUGCCAUAUCCACAAAAAUAUUAAGAUUAGUGGGACAAAAAGAGAAGCAAAUCAUGCCUCAUCAAGAAGCCACUAAAGUUGUUAAUUUGAGAGAUAAAGAAACUAAAAAAAAAGGUUAAGAUUGAUACUUCGAUUUCAUCACCAAUAAAGCAUGAGUUGAUAAAGUUACUACAUGAAUAUGUAAAUGUAUUUGCUUAGUCGUAUCAAGAUAUAUUGGGGCUGGAUACUAAAAUUCUAGUGCAUAAGUUACCUCUGAAGCCUAAGUGCAAACCAAUUAAAUAGAAGCUGAGAAGAAUGAAACCUGAAAUGUUGUUGAAAAUAAAGGAAGAAGUGAAAAACCAAUUUGAUGCAGGAUUUUUAGAAGUGGCCAAAUAUCCCGAAUGGGUGGUGAAUAUAGUCCUAGUACCCAAGAAAGAUGGCAAAGUGAGAAUGUGUGUUGAUUAUCGAGAUCUGAAUAAAGCAAGUCCAAAAGAUAAUUUUCCAUUACCUCACAUUGACACUCUAGUGGAUAAUACUGCUAGGCAUUUUUUAUUUUUUAUUCAUGGAUGGAUUUUUAGGUUACAAUCAAAUUAAAAUGGCACAUGAAGAUAUGGAAAAAGCUAUUUUUAUGACAUUAUAGGGAACAUUUUGCUACAAAAUAAUGCUUUUUGGUUUGAAAAAUGCUAGGGUAACUUAUCAAAGAGCCAUGGUAACUCUAUUCCAUGAUAUGAUACACAAAAAAAUAGAGGUGUAUGUGAAUGACAUGAUUGCCAAAUCCCGUGAAAAAGAAAAUCAUGUGACUAAUCUCAAAAAGUUAUUUAAGAGAUUAAGAAAGUUUUAGCUCAAGCUCAAUCUAGCUAAAUGCAUUUUUGGUGCAACCUCAAGAAAAUUAUUAGGAUUUAUUAUCAGUAAGAGAGGAAUAGAGAUGGAUCUAGAUAAAAUACGUGCCAUCCAAGAGCUACCACCUCCACGCACGAAAAAAAAAAGUAAGGGAAUAUUUAGGAAGAUUGAAUUUUAUUGCUCGUUUCAUUUCUCAACUUACAGCCAAAUGUGACCCCAUAUUUAAGAUUCUUCAAAAACAUAGGUCAGGAGAAUGGGAUAAAGAUUGUCAAAUGGUGUUUGAAAAAGUUAAAGAAUACUUAUUAAAUCCACCAGUAUUAAUGCCGCAUGUUUUUGGAAAACCUCUUGUCUUGUAUUUGACAAUGUAUGAAAAGUCAAUGGGAUGUGUUUUAGGGUAACAUGAUGAAACAAGAAGGAAAGAACAAGCCAUUUAUUACCUGAGCAAAAAGUUUACUGAUUAUGAGUCAAAGUAUUCACCAUUGGAAAAGAUGUAUUGUGCAUUAGCUUGGACAGCUCGUCGACUCAGACAAUACAUGUUGUAUCAUACCACUUGGCUUAUUGCAAAAUUAGACUCAAUCAAGUACAUCUUUGAAAAACCUUCAUUAUCGGGAAGAAUAGCAAGAUGGCAAGUGUUACUUUCUGAAUAUGACAUUAUAUAUGUGUCCCAAAAGGCAAUCAAAAGAAGUACUAUUACUAAAUUUCUUACAAAACGUGCUCAUGAAGAUUAUAUGCUUGUGACAUUUGAUUUUCCAAAUAAAGACUUAAUGUCUAUACUGCACAUAGAUAAAGAAGAGAAUAAUGAAGAUAUAUGGAAGAUAUAUUUUGAUGGUACAUCAAAUGCUUAGGGGCAUAGUAUUAAAAUAGUUUUGAUAUCUUCAAAAGGGGGAUUACUACCCGAUCACUACGAAACUAAAUUUUGAUUGCACCAAUAAUGUGGCAGAAUAUGAAGCAUGUGUUAUGGGUCCUCAAGCUGCUCUUAAAAGAAAGACUUAUGCUUUAAAAGUUUAUGGAGACUCUACCUUAGUCAUAUACCAAUUACGAGAAAAAUGGGAGAUCAGAGACUCAAAAUUGAUUUUAUACCAAAAGUACAUAUCAAAAUUGAUCAAAAAAUUUGAGAAUAUUUGGUUUCAUCAUUUACCUCGAGAAGAGAAUCAGAUGGCUGAUGCAUUGGCUACAUUGGCAGUAAUGUUCAAAUUAAAUGCAAAUGCUAAAAUCUAAUUCAUCAAAUUGAGCUUGUGAGAGAAACCAACUCACUGUUCAAAUGUUAAAGAAGGGGAGUUGAUGGAAAACCAUGGUAUUUUGACAUAUUAUAAUAUGUUAAAUAUCAACAGUACCUAGAGCAUAUAUCAGAGAAUGAUAAGAGAACGUUGAAAAGGUUGACAAUGUGUUUCUUUCUAGAUGAAAAAAUUUUAUAUAAGAGAAGUCGAAACUAAGUACUAUUGAGAUGUAUGAAUGCUGCUGAAGCCAAAAAGUUACUAGAAGAAAUUCAUGGAGGUGUUUAUGAAACUUAUGCAAAUGGUCACAUGAUGACUAAGCAAAUAAUGAGAGGAUGAUACUAUUGGUUGACAAUGGAAAAAGAUUGCAUUGACUAUGCUAGAAAAUGCCAUAAAUGGCAAAUUUAUGCAGACAAGAUUCAAGUUCCUCCAACAUCCUUAUAUGUUAUGUCAACACCUUGGGCCUUUCUCUUUAUGGUGAAUAAAUGUGAUAGGGCCCAUUACACUGAAAGCUUCAAAUGGACAUCAAUUCAUUUUAGUGGUAAUUGACUACUUCAUAAAGUGGGUAAAGACAGCUUCAUAUGCCAAUGUGAUAAGAAUGAUGGUUUGCAAGUUCAUCAAGAAAGAGAUCAUAUGUCGAUAUGACCUUUCAGAAAGGAUCAUUUUGGAUAAUACUCUUAAUUUGAAUAAUAAAAUGAUGACUGAGGUUUAUGCUCAGUUUAAAAUCAAACACCAUAAAUCAACGUCUUGUCGUCCAAAGAUGAAUGGGGCAGUUAAAGCGGCCAAUAAGAACAUAAAGAGAAUUAUUGAAAAGAUGACAGUUGUGUACAAAGAUUGACAUGAAAAGCUACCAUUUGCAUUAUAUGCUUAUCGAACUUCGAUUCGUACAUCUACAGGAGCUACACCAUUUUCAUUGGUAUAUGGGAUGGAGGCAGUGUUGCCAUUGAAGUUGAAAUUCCUUUCUUGUGCGUUAUCAUGGAAGUUGAGUUAGAAGAGGCUGAGUGGGUUCGCGUUCGAUAUGAAUAAUUGAAUCUCAUUGAAGAAAAAAUAUUAGUUACACUUUGCUAUGGCCAACUGUAUCAAAGAAGAAUGAUGCAAGCUCAUGACAAGAAAGUUUACCCAUGAUAAUUUCAAGAAGGAAAAUUAGCAUUGAAGAAGAUUCUUUCUAACCAACAUGAUCCUCAAAGAAAAUGGACUCCUAAUUAGGAAGGCCUAUAUAUGGUGAAAAGAGCUUUUUCUGGUAAGGCACUGAUCUUGGCAAGAAUGGAUGAAGAUGAUCUGCCAAAUCUAGUCAAUACCGAUGUAGUAAAAAAGUAUUAUGCUUAAAAAAAUAAAAUUAAAAAAAAACAAAAUAAGUUGAAAAGAUAUCUGAGUUGAAAACCUAAAAAGGUAGCUUAGAUAAAAAUAAAAGGGAUAGUGAAUGGAGUGGCUCAAUUCUCAAUAUGUGCCAAAAGAUCUCAUUAGUUUUAGGCUUGCUUGGUUUAUUGCAUUUUCGAAAAAGUCAAGGGCACCAAUCACAAGUUUUCAAAAAAGAAUCCAUGAUGAAUUAGUUCAUGAUGAUCUAACUAUUUGUUAUAUGAUUACUUGUUGUCCUUGUUUUAUCUUUUUUUAUAAUGCAUGAAACAUUUCUCUCUUUUACCAAAAUAAAAUACCAUUUUGUUUAUCCUUCCUUUUGCCCCUCUCAUUAAAAAAAGAGAAAUGUGCAAUGUGUUAUAAUUGUUUGAAAUUCAAAAAAUGAUGAAGGAAUAACAAUGACCAUAAAAGACACAUAUUAUUUUGAAAGAGAUUUAAAAUGAUGAGUAAAAUAGCAGGGAACAAAGGUUAAUGAGAAAAAUGGCCUAUAGGUCAUAAAGUGGUUGACAUGGAAUAUGAGAUAUAAAGAGAAAUCUUUUUCAUUGAAACUUAAUCAACAGCAGGAAUGCAUGGGAUUUAAGAGAAGAAGAAAGGAAACCAACUUUGAGAAAUUUUGAGGAUUAAAGGAAAAUGACAAUGAAAAAAAAAAGAAAGAAAUUAAAGGAAAAUGACAAUGAAAAAAAAAGAAAGAAAGAAGAUGGUUUUUUCAUUUGCAUAACAAAUGCAUUUGCAUCAUGAUCAUCAUUUAUUGAAUGGCAUUGCAAAAAACAUGAAAAUGUCAUUCACACAUUCAUGUGACAUGACAGAUGUAUGGGUCUAGGAUAAUCCAAGACCAAUAAAAGAAAAAGUCAAAAGCAGGAAAGAUAUGAAUCCUCUGUUCAGAGAAAUCUUUCAAAUGCCAUUGCCUCUAAGAUUUUUGGAUUUAAAGUCCAUUACUUCUGGUCAGAAGAGCUUUUAAUAUUUAAAGUUUGUUGCCUUUGGUUAAAGGAGCUUCUGAAAUUUAAAGUUUGUUGCAUUUGGUCAGAGGAGCCUUUGAAAUUUAAAGUUUGUUAUCUUUGGUUAAAGAAGUUUUUUGGAUUUAAAGUUCGUUACCUCUGGUCAGUGGAGCUUUUAAUAUUUAAAGUUUGUUACCUUUGGCUAAAAAAGCUUUUGAAAUGUAAAGUUUGUUGCCUUUGGUCAGAGGAGCCUUUAAAAUUUAAAGUUUGUUGCCUUUGGUUAAAUGAGCUUUUAGGAUUUAAAGUUUGUUGCCUCUGGUGAGAGGAGCCUUUUGAAUUUAAAAUUUGUUGCCUUUAAUGAGAGGAGCCUUUUGAAUUUAAAAUUUGUUGCCUCUGAUGAGAGGAGCCUUUUAAAUUAAAAAUUUGCAUAACCUCAGUUUAAAAGAACCUUUCAAAUUUUCUUUCAAAAAAAAAAAAACUUUAUGUUCAAUGUUUCAUCUUUUGUCCAAAUCAAAUUGGUUUCUUUUUUAUCUUUGCUUUAUUCCUGAUUCUCAGAAAUAAGUAAAGAUGGACAGUUGUAGACACCAAUUUUAAUUAAUUAAUUUUUUAUAUAGUUUAAUAUUAAUUAAUAUUUUAAAAAAAGAAAUAAAGUUAAAAAAAGUAUGAGAUUUCAACUCUGACACCUGAAAUCAAGUUGCCAGAGUGACAUCUUUUUUUCUCUGACACUAUCUAAUUUGGCUGGCUGACAUCCAGUAACCAAAAGUCACCGGAUAGACACUAAUUUUCCAUAAAAAGAUAUCAAGAGAUCUGGGAUUUGAAUCCUAGAGGCUCUAUAAAUAGAGCCAAGUUCUGCAAAAAUAGAAAAACACAGAGAACAAGGAAAAAAAGGGAAUACACAAUUAAAAAAAAAAAACAAAUCAUAGUCCUCUUUGAUGAACCAGCAAAAAACAAAAAGGUUUUUCCCCGAGAAUAAAAUUUAAGAUUUAGAAAGUUUGAGAUUUUUUUUUUUUUAAUAUGGGUUUGAAUGAGUGUUUAGAAAGCAAAAAGGAUUAUUGGGGAAAUUUUUUGGAAUUUUUAAAAAAAUUUUUGGGCAGUCGAAAACUGAAAAUUUUUAAAUUUUUUCGACGACCGUUGAAUUUUUUGACACCAAAAUCUAGAAAAGUUUAAAUUUUUCGGUGAUCGUUGAAUUUUUCGGCCACUGCAAUUUGGGGAUCGUUGAAUUUUUUGGUACCGUUAAAGUUUUCGACCACCGGUGCACAGCGACGACUGGCCAGAAACUGGGUUAUCAUGGUAACCGACGAGGGUGUUGGGAUUUUAGAGAGAGGGGCUCUAAGAUAGAGAGAGAGGGGGAAAAGAAAAAAAAAUUAAAACAAGUCUUUUAUAGGCCCUCCGAAACGACACCGUUUUGGGUGUUUGAACUGGACCUGACCUGCGCAAGAUCUGCGCGUCGACCCACGAGUCAACCCGACCCAUUUUGCAGGUUUUUCAUUUUAUUUUUUUUUUCAUUUUGAUUUUGAUUUUGAUUUUGAUUUUUUUAUGUUAUUUUUUAUGCUUUUUUUAAAUAUAAUUUAUUGUUAUUAUUAUUGUUAUUUUAUAUUAUUACUAGUAAUAAUUUUUAUUUAAAAAUAAAUAAAUAAAUAGAAUAAAAAUAAAAUUAAAAUAAAAUAAAGACUUAAAAAUAUAAUAUAAAAAAAUUAAUAAUAACUUUUAUAAUGAAAAUAAAAUUUUAUUACAAGCAAAAAUAUUAUUUAAAUUUCACGAAAGUGUUGGGAUAAUUUAAAAAAUAAUUUUUGUUAAAAAAUAAUAAAUUAUAAAAAAUGAUAAAUAAAAUAAAAAUAAAUUGUUUAAAUGAAUAUUUUAAAUAUAAUUUUUAAAGAAAGCUAAACGAGUCUAGUUUCUUUAAUUGUUACAAGUAAAAAUAAUUUUUUCGAAUGUCACCAUAGACUUGGGAUAAUCCAAAAUUAUUUUUACUAAAAUAAAGAUUGAUUUAGACAACGUAAAACAAUAAUAAAAAUGAAAAUAAAAAAAUAAUUGAUAUUUUGAAUUUUAAAAAAAAUAAAAAAUUGAAAGAAUUCGAUUUUCUUAAAUACGAGCAAGAUAUAAAUAUUUAGAUUUCUCUGGUGAGUCGAGAUAAUCUAAUUUUUUUAUAAUAAAAAUAAUUAAUAAAAAAUAAAAAGUUUUUUUUAAAUAAUCAUAAUAAAAAUUAAUUAAUAAAUUCUUUUAAUUAUAAAAAAAUAAUUUUAUUUAGGAUUUUGUCAAUAGGUUGAGAUGAUCCUAAAACUUGUUCAAAACUUUUAAGAUUUCACCGAAGAUUUGGGAUAAUCUUAAAACUUGUUUAAUAAAUUUUAGUAACUUACCAAAGAGUCGGGAUGUUCCUAAAAUCUUUUUUCAAACAAAUAAAUAAAAUAUCUUAUGACGAGAUUUCGAGAAUUCUGUGAAUGAUCAAUUUUCUCGAAAUAUUUUAAAUAGUGAUUUUUUAUAAAUUCCGCUAAAGCGUUGGAGAAUUUAUAGGAUACGAAAUAACAAUAAUAAUGUUGAUUUCAUAAUAGAAAUAUUUUUUUUAAAAUAAAUUUCAGGAAAUUAAAUUUAAAUAAAAAAAUAAUAUUAUCAAAAUUAAAGGAUUACACAUGUUUAAUUGGUACUGUUCUUCAAACAGGCGACGUGAGGGUGUUAAUACCUUUCUUACUCGUAACCGUACUUUCAGACCUAACCCUGAUUUCGUAGACCUAAACUUCUUUUAAUAAUUUUUAAUUAUUUUUAAAAUUUUUACUAAAAGAUGAUAUUUUAGGUGAUCAAUCACACUCCAUAAAAAGAUUGGUAGUGACUCUAAAAAUUUUCACCAAAUCUAACAAUCGAGUCCCUCUGGACGAAAAAUCGUUAUGACAUGUAUAAUUUAUGCAAAUGAAAUAUAUGUAUAUAGCUUUGUCCUAUAUAACAUUAUGUCCAUAUAUAAUUUCAGGUGGGAUAUCAAUGCGACGGAGCUGCUUCCAGAAUAUAUGAAGUUAUGUUUCUUUGCACUUUUCAACUCCAUAAACGUAAUUGCUUAUGACACUCUUAAGGAACAAGGAUUUGAUCCCCUUCCUUCCUUGAACAAAUGGUACUAAAACCUCUUUUCUUAGUCUAACAACUAAUUUUCUUCAUGAUUUUUCCUUUUCAUUUUCUUUCCAGAUUUUAUUAAUUUGACGUUUUUACUUCAGUAUGCUUAAGCUUUUUGGAUAUAUAUGUAGCGUUUUAUCUUUACUCCCGCGUUUCUAUAUUUAUUUUCUGGGUGAUCUUUAGUCUUUUUUUUUUUUAAGCGAGAUCUUUUAUCUAUCAUUCGAAUUUUCAAUUUUUAUUUGCUUUUUUUUUUUUAGCAAUUCCUUUGUUCUGAUCUGCUUUUGCUAACACAGAGGCUACUUUAAGUAAAUUUUUUUCUGCGCUUUUGGUUUCUAUUUUGGAAAUAAAUUCUUUUGGGUUGAGCAAAAGAGAUAUAUUUAUGUUAUUCAUGGUUUAAUCAUGGAGUGUAUAAAUUUUCAGUCGGCCGAUUUGUGUAAAUGUUAUUUAUUGGAAGCACAAUGGUACUAUAGCGGAUACAAACCAACCCUACAAGAGUAAAUUGAUAAUGCAUGGAUUUCAUUUUCCGCUCCUUUAAUUCUAGCUCAUGCCUAUUUGGUUACAAAACAAGAAAGGAGUGCUUGGACUACUACAGUGAAUUAAUAAUCUACUGUUCCUCCAUUAUUUUUCAACUUGCAAAUGAUCUUGGAACAUCAUCGGUACGUGAUUUGCAUUAUCCACUCAUCAUGUAUAUGCUUACAGAAAAUAUUUUUUUCUCCUAAUUAAGAUAUAUUCCUUUGGAAUUUUUUGCUUAGGAUGAGUUAAAAAGAGGUGAUGUUCCUAAAUCGAUCCAAUGUUACAUGCCUGAAAUUGGAGCUUCUGAAGAAGCAGCCCGUGAACAUAUAGGGAAGUUGAUUGAUUUGGCCUGGAAAAAGAUGAAUCACGCUCGAAUUGCUCACUCUCCCUUACCUCAAAUGUUUAUUCAAGUUGCAGUCAACCUUGCAAGGAUGUCUCAAUGCAUGUACCAACAUGGUGAUGGCCAUGGGAUUGGACAUCUUGUGACCAAGGAUCGAGUACCAUCAUUACUAAUUUCACCUAUUUCUUUAAUUUAGGCAUCGUACUUUAUAAUUAUUAAAAAAAAAAAAAAUAGAGCAAAUAUGUAAUCAAGACAUGCUUCCUCAUCCUAUCCACUUCCUCACCUGUACCCUCACAUGGCAGGAAAUGGCCCAUGGACAGCGACUUUCCCGCCUCAUCCUUGCAAGUUCAUGAAUGCAGCAAGCGUAACAUCCAAGUGGGAAAAACGCUUUCCAAUUCUUCACUUUUUUCUUAAUUAAUUUCAGUUUUAAAAAGAAUUUCAUCUUAUCGAAUUUCAUGGUCGAAAAGAAUGGUAAUUGUUGUUAUUUUGAUGAGUGGUGCCAAUUACUGUAACAUAUUCGCAAUAAUGUGAAUUUUGAUCUUAUGAAAUUGAUCAUUUGAAAGUUACUACAAAAUUUUGACCUUAAUUAAUCAUAAUUAUAAAAUCUUAAUUAAAAUAAAUGUACUUUUAUUCAAAAAAUAAAAAUCUAAUAUUUUUAUUCUUUAAUAAAAAAAUUAUUUAUCCACAAAGAUAUAGGUUCCGUUUGAAAAAAAUGAUGGGAGCAUUCUUAUCAAAUGAAAAAGUGCAUUUUAUGACACUAUUUCAGUUACCGAAAAAAGAUUAUAUGAAGGUAAUUACCUUUUAGUGCAUAACAGAUGGCUCCAAUUUUCGGCUUUCCUUGUUAAUGCUAAAUUUUGGGCAAGCUAAGAAAAUCUUGUGCCCUGUGCGUACAGGGUAAAUCAUAAAAGGAACGAGCAAGGAAAUUGAUUGCAGAAGCGAGGAUGAUGCUUGACGAUGUGGUGGAUCUUUUGGAGAAACUUGAGCUGAUUAAUGCCUUGAAAAGAUUUGGAGUAUCCUAUCACUUCGAGGAUGAAAUAAAAAUAUAUAUCAAAACAAUAAAAAAAAAAUAAAAAAAAACCUUUAAAGAAAACAAGUACCAUUAUUUGUGUUGUACGGAAAAAGACAAUUUAUAUGCUACGCAGUUACAGCACUUAAAUUUAGAGUAGGGCGCCGAUUAAUUUGCGAGUUCUUAAAUUUUAAAAAGAUAAAUGAUUUCAAAAAAAUCAAUAAUUAAAAAAAUAGAUGAUUUUUGUAUUUUAUUAAUUUUAAGAAAUAUAAUUGAGUUUGUGAAAUUUAAUAUUAUUUAAUGAAUUUUUUUAUUAUAUUAUUUUUAAUGACACAUAAAUAACAUAUGAUAUUCAUAAAAAUUAUUUAUAUAUUUCUAUCACUUUAAAAAAAUAUAUAUCGAUUUUAUAAUUCAUUAAUACAGUAAUACGUUUUAUUCUUUGUGUAUUGAAUAUAUAUACAUAAUAUUACAAACAAUUUGAUACAUCCGGUUAAUUCAAUAAAUUAAGUAUAAAAAACACUAAAUUUUCUUAUACAGAAUCUGAGCACUUUUUUACUUAUAUUUUUAAUUAAUAAUAAUUAUAAAUAUCAAAUUUUAUUUGAAUUAAUUUGAAAAUCAAGUCAAAGCAAAUUGCUAAAUGAUUUUCAUUUCAUUUGAAUAUACUGGGUUUGGGCCAAUUCAAACAUUACAAUCGAUCAUUGUACUCAUAAAUUUUUUGGAUUUAGUUGGCUACUGAAUGGGCUAAAUUGUAACCAAAUCUAAUUCCAAAUUUUAUUUAAACCAGGUGAAUGCCCGCACGUUGUCAUGGGUGAAUUUUUUUUUUAAUUCUGUCAUCUCUAUUUUUUUUUGCAAAAUUUACUUAAUUAAAAAUAGUGAAAGAUAAAAAAAAUAACAAACCCAAUUUGGAUGACACGUGUAUACCUAAAUUGACCUCAUAUUUUUAAAAAAGCAUAUCUUAAAAAAUAAAAAUCUAAAAAAAUAAAAAAAAAAACUCAUAAAGGAUGCCAUACAAACACCCCACUGAGUUUAAAAUAUAAUUUUUUUUAACUUAAAAGUAUAAAAAAUAAUUUAUUAUUAUACUAUAUUAUAUAAAUAAAAAAUUCAAUUAACAAUAAAAUAUAAUUUUUUAUACACACUCUGAAAUAAGUAGAAAUAAAGCAUCCUAAAUAUGUUUUUGUCUCAAUCUUAUUUCUCAUAAAAAAUUUAAUCCAUCCCAACUCAAUCCCGAUUUUAAAAUAAUAGUCCCUUAUUAAGUAUGAAUAGAUCAGAAUCUAUCAUAUAUAAAUUAUUUUGAUAUCUUUAUCAAUUAACAUUUUUGUUGCAAAAUUUAUUUAAUUAAGAAAAUACAAAAAAAUGCAAAACAAAUUAAAACAAAUAGGGUACCAUGUGAAUAUCUCUAUUAGCCUUAUUUUUCGCAAAAUUAAUUUAAUAAAAAGAUAUAAAAACAAAAGAAGAUAAAAAAAAGGAAAAACAAAAAAUAAAAAACAAAAAACAAAAAAAAAAAAAGGAAAGAAAGGAAAAAAAGAGCUCAUUGGGAUAUUAUGUGGGCAUCCUAAUUGAGCUUAAAAUAUUAAUAUUUUAAAUUAAGACAUCAAAUAAUAACUUUAUUAAUAAAAAAUAAAAAAAGAAUUAAAAGGAAAAAGAAAAGUAAACCAAAAAAAGGAAAAUGUAAAUCAUUGAAUUGUCAUGUGAAUGUUAAAAUUGAGUUUAAAAUGUUAAUAUCUAAAAUAUAAAGUAAAAACUUUAUUAUUAUAAUGCAUAUAUAAGUGUAAAAUUAACUAGACAAUACAAUAUAUACUUUUAUAUAUUCUAGAAGGUGACUUGAGGUAGAAUAUUGUAAAUUUGUUUUUGACCCAUCCCUGAUUUCUAUAAAAAAAAAUGACUCAACUUGAUUUCAUACAUAUUUUUUAUAAAAACACCCAUAUCGGAUUGUGAUGGAUAGAAACCUAUAGGAUACUAAAACUAAUUUUUUUUUGUAAAAUUGAUCUAAUUAAAAAAAAUAAACAAAAACUAAAAAGUACAAAAGUAAAUUAACAAAUGGAGUUGAUAUAUUGACACCUUCGUUAAUGUUAUUUUCUUACAAAAUCUAUCUAAUUAAAAAGUUAUAAAUGAAAAAAACGAGAAAAGCAACAAAACAAAAAAUGCCACUAUCAGAUCGAGUCAUAUUAAAAUUUAUCGGAUAUUAAUUAUUUUGCUUAUCCAUUUACUCAUUUUGUUGCAAAAUUUAUGUAGUUAAAAAAUUUUUAAAAAUCAAAUUAAGAUGCUGCAUGAAUGCCUUGGUCAAUUUUUUUUAAUAACCUUAACUAAAUGAAAAAUUAAAAAAAGUUGACAAAAAAGAAGAAAAAAAAGAGUAAAACAAAGAAAAGAAAUAUAAGGUGUCACACCAAUAUCUUGAAUGAGGAUAAAACAAAAGUUAAAAUGAAUAAAAUUUACAUAAUGGAGGAUGAAUGAGAUAGAUAAAUUACAUUUUAAUUAUGUAUAAAUAAAGUAUUUUUAUUAAAUUAAGAUAUUAAAUAAUAACUUUAUUAAUAUUAUACAUAUAUAAAUAUAAAAUAAAAUAAAUAAUUAAAAAAUAUUUUUAUAUAUAUACUUGAGGCAAGAAGAAUAAUCUUAAAACUACUUCCGACUCGACCCUAACUUUAAAAGAGAAAAAGUUUGACCUGAUCUCGACUUUUUAAAAAAUCAUAUAUAUUAGAUCGACCAAAAUUGAAACCCAUGAGAUAUUAGUUGUUUUGUUAUCCAUGUAUUGAUUGACUAUUUUCUUACAAAAUUUAUCUAAUUAAAAGUUAAUUUUUUUUAAAACAAAAGGAAUAGCGAAAAAAAUAAAAGGAAGGCAAAUAGAGAUGGUUCAUGGAUUUAUUAAAUUCAUAUAUUAACUAAUAAUUUAAUAAUAUAAAUAUAAAAUUAAAUACAAAACAUAUAUUUAUAUAUACUUGGACGGGGUGAAACACCUUAAACUCAUGUAGGUUCUAAAGCAAUAUUUGAAAAAAAAAAACUCAAUUUGAUUCCACAUAGAAAAAACAAACCUAUUGGAUUUGGAUAAAUCGAAAUCUAUUGNNNNNNNNNNNNNNNNNNNNNNNNNNNNNNNNNNNNNNNNNNNNNNNNNNNNNNNNNNNNNNNNNNNNNNNNNNNNNNNNNNNNNNNNNNNNNNNNNNNNNNNNNNNNNNNNNNNNNNNNNNNNNNNNNNNNNNNNNNNNNNNNNNNNNNNNNNNNNNNNNNNNNNNNNNNNNNNNNNNNNNNNNNNNNNNNNNNNNNNNNNNNNNNNNNNNNNNNNNNNNNNNNNNNNNNNNNNNNNNNNNNNNNNNNNNNNNNNNNNNNNNNNNNNNNNNNNNNNNNNNNNNNNNNNNNNNNNNNNNNNNNNNNNNNNNNNNNNNNNNNNNNNNNNNNNNNNNNNNNNNNNNNNNNNNNNNNNNNNNNNNNNNNNNNNNNNNNNNNNNNNNNNNNNNNNNNNNNNNNNNNNNNNNNNNNNNNNNNNNNNNNNNNNNNNNNNNNNNNNNNNNNNNNNNNNNNNNNNNNNNNNNNNNNNNNNNNNNNNNNNNNNNNNNNNNNNNNNNNNNNNNNNNNNNNNNNNNNNNNNNNNNNNNNNNNNNNNNNNNNNNNNNNNNNNNNNNNNNNNNNNNNNNNNNNNNNNNNNNNNNNNNNNNNNNNNNNNNNNNNNNNNNNNNNNNNNNNNNNNNNNNNNNNNNNNNNNNNNNNNNNNNNNNNNNNNNNNNNNNNNNNNNNNNNNNNNNNNNNNNNNNNNNNNNNNNNNNNNNNNNNNNNNNNNNNNNNNNNNNNNNNNNNNNNNNNNNNNNNNNNNNNNNNNNNNNNNNNNNNNNNNNNNNNNNNNNNNNNNNNNNNNNNNNNNNNNNNNNNNNNNNNNNNNNNNNNNNNNNNNNNNNNNNNNNNNNNNNNNNNNNNNNNNNNNNNNNNNNNNNNNNNNNNNNNNNNNNNNNNNNNNNNNNNNNNNNNNNNNNNNNNNNNNNNNNNNNNNNNNNNNNNNNNNNNNNNNNNNNNNNNNNNNNNNNNNNNNNNNNNNNNNNNNNNNNNNNNNNNNNNNNNNNNNNNNNNNNNNNNNGCGGUGAAGAAAUUGGACAACGUAUCAUCUCAAGGGGAGCGAGAGUUUCAAACAGAGAUGAAAAUUAUUGGUAGAACUCAUCAUCGAAAUUUACUUCGACUAAUCGGCUAUUGCCACGAAGGGGCUAAUAGGUUGUUGGUAUACGAGUACAUGGUCAAUGGAUCACUUGCAGAUGUACUCUUCACACCUGAAAAAAGACCUUGUUGGAAUGAAAGGGUGGAAAUUGCUCGCAACAUAGCAAGAGGUCUCCUCUAUCUUCACGAAGAGUGUGAGACUCAAAUAAUCCAUUGCGACAUCAAAUCUCAAAAUAUACUAAUGAAUGAACAGGGUCAAGCAAAAAUAUCUGAUUUCGGAUUGGCCAAGCUUCUAAAGCCAGACCAAACCAAAACCUUUACCGGGAUCAGAGGAACAAGGGGGUAUGUUGCACCAGAGUGGCACAGGAAACUACCAGUGACAGUCAAAGCAGAUGUUUACAGCUUUGGAAUUGUAGUGUUGGAGAUCAUAUGUUGUCGACGGUGUGUAAAUUGGAACCUUCCUGAGGAAGAAGCUGUCCUUGAAGAAUGGGUCUACCAUUGUUACCAAGCUGGCGAACUACGGAAACUAGUAGAGGAUGAUGAAGAGGUUGACGAUAGACAAUUGGAAAGGAUGGUGAGAGUGGGACUAUGGUGUAUCCUGGAUGAGCCAACACUCCGCCCUUCCCUGAAAAAGGUUCUGUUGAUGUUGGAAGGGACAGUUGAGAUCCCAGUACCUCCAAGCCCAACUUCAUUUUUCAGUGCUAUUUGAUUGUUCAAUGCUGUUUAAGAUUUGGAGAAGGGAAUUUUGCAAUUACUUCCCUUCCGAUUCCGUUGUUGUCGUUGUUGUUAUUUAUUUAUUUUUUCUUUUUCUUUUACCAAGUAAUUAUUAGGUCAAGUGAUAAAAAGUGUGUGAAUCUAUUGAGAGUUUGUGAGAUGAUGAUUUUCUAUGAAUUGGCUCAAACGAUGAAAAUAAAUUUAUUUAAAUCAGCUCUAAGAAAAAAUAUUUAAAAUAAAAUUAAAAAAAUCUCUUGUCACUAAAAAAACAAAAUCUGUAGCCAUUUUUCUUUUUAGUAUAGUGUGUACGAAAUAAUAAGCGCAUAUAUAUAUAUAUAUAUAUUUAUCAAAAGAGUUAGUUUAAGAUAGUCAGUCCAUUGAAAAAAAUUUAGUAGCUAGUGUCACUACAAGAGAUUAAGUCUUUAGUGGUAUAUUUUUUUUUUUACAUUUAGCGAUAUUUUUAAAUGUCACUAAAAGAUUCGCGGCAUUUGAGAAAAAUGUUAUUAAGAGUGUCGCAUGUACCUGCAUCGAGAAGAAUAGUGACAUUUUUUAAUUAGUGGCAUUUUUUAAAAAACGUCACUAACUUAGCAAUGUUUUUAAGCAGAAAUGCUGCUAAAUUUAGCAGCAUUUUUUUAUACAAACAUCAUUAAAUUUAGUAACAUUUGUGCUUAAAAAUGUCACUAAAUUAUGAAUUUAGUGACUUUUGUAUCAAAAAAUGCUGUUAAAUUUAAUGGCAUUUGUGUUUUUAAAUGCCGCUAAAUGUUGAAAAUAGCUAUUUUUUUUAUACAAACACCACUAAAUUUAAUGACAUUUUCUUAUACAAACGUUACUAAAUUCAUUAUUUAGUGGCAUUUUUAAAUACAAAUGCCUCUAAAUUGAAAAUUUUAGUUUUUUUUAAUUCUCUUUUAAUAUUUAUUAUUAUAAUUAAAUAAAAUUAUUAAAAUAAAUAAAAAAUAAAUUUAAAUUCAUAAACUAAAUAUUAUAAAUAUUUAAAUAUAUAAAUACAUAAUUUGUUUCAAUAUACAUGUAACACAAAGUUUAAUACAUUCAAUAACAUUCCACUUUGCAUUUGUUUUCCUUUUGCCCAUCAACAAACUCUAUGGAAGGAGUCACACUUGCUUUGAGUGGAGUCUACAACACCCAUUCCUCUUAUUGGCUUUCAUUGCUAAAGAGAACAUUUCUGCAGGAACUUCAAAAUGUGCUAUUAGAAAUGCCUCACAAUAUAUUUCAUUUAUCUUCUCCACAACUUCAUGUCCAAAAAGAUGAUGAACAAUACAUGUUCCAUCCUGAUUGAAAAAUAUCCCUGGGUAAGCUAUAAAAAGUACAAUAAAAUUUGUAAUGCAAGCUAAAAUUAGGGAAGAUAUAUAAGAUCUCAUUAUUAAAUACAUGCAGAAAUAACAGAGAAACAAAUUUAACCAAAACAAUAAACUAAGAUAUAUUUUUUGGUCAAUGACCAAGAUAAAAGCACAAGGCAAAAGCAUGUAUACUCUCUCUCUAACUGCAUUUCAUGAAAAUGCCUUUCAUAAUCAUAGUUCUUCCAUUUUACAUAUUUCAUUAUGAAAUUGCUAGACUUGAAAUGCAAUGCCAUAUAAUUUAAGCGAAGAAGAAUAUACGAAAGGCUGAGAGAUAAAUAUUCAAUCAAGUUCAUGUUUGAUUGCAUUGGAAAGAGAUAAAGAUUAUUUGAUUCCAUGAAGUUUAUAAGAUAAACCAUUUCAAAUCAUAUUUUUAGCUCAUAAUAAAUUCAUAGAAAUAAAUGGAUUCAAAUGCUUCAAGAGGGAAAUAAAUCAAUCCUUCAAAAUAAAAUGACCACGCAACAGAGUUUCAAGAGGGAAAUGCAAAUUGUGUAAUGGAUAAAUCAACUAUGCUAGACCUUGAACUUCUGGUAUAGUUAUGUCUAUAGAGAUCAAUGUUUUUUUAGACUUAGCAACAACAAAAACUGUAUUAUGGAAUCAUAAAAAAAUAAUUGAAAAAAGUAUAAAAGACCAAUCCAAGUUGAUAGGUCUACAGUAUGCAUUUUUCAACUGCAAAGGCUUCAUAAUAAAACCCAGAAUAGCAAAUGGAAGCAUCACAAUAGUUUCCACCCAAAAUACAAAAUGCCAAUUUAAAUGACUGCCAACCUGUUAGCUAGUUAUCUCAUAUUAACAUAUGGGUAGAGCAUAAAGCAUCAUAAAAUAUAGACAAUAACAAAACUUGGCAUAUUUGAAAUAAGGAUGGUUCUUUUAUUCUUAAACUAGGAAGGAAUUAAGGAGAUUAGUUUAACAAAUACUUAUGAAAAAGCUAUAAAACAAAACUUACUAUUCUAUCGUAAACGCAUCUGAGUGCAUAUCCAAUUGGCAUACACAUGUAAAAUAUUGCUAGUCAUGCUAUUUUAUGAUACAAAAGUAGAAGAAGAAUAAGAUUCAAGGGGAUGACAUCAAUAAAAAAGUUUAUAAUUGAAAGAGAUAUAAACACAAAGGGCAUGUUGCAUAUAACUUCCAAACUCAAUAGUUAAUAGCAAGAUGACUGUGAUCUAUAGGUGUGACAAAAUAAUUAGAUUGAACCCUGAAACUAAAAUUUUUAUAAUGGGUUAUACUAAAACAAUUAACUUAAUUUCUUGUUUCAACAUUAAAAGCUUGAAGCCAAAACAUCUUUUUUUUUUUUACCUUUUUAAAUCAUACCUAUUUAUGGAAAAAGCCCAAAUUCCUUGACUUUUGGGAUAAAAUAACCUUUUGGCCACAUUUAGAUCUUCAUUCAAAUAAACAAGUAAGAGUAUCUUAACAUAUAUCAACUUUAGGAUACAUUAAAUAAAGGAAAUUCUUUUACAGAUAAGUUAUCAACAUUGCAAGUGCAGUAGCCCAAACUUUAAAACAAUUGGUUCAAAACAAAUCCAACUCCAACCCUAAACACACAUAUAAUUGAAAUAGAACACAUCUCAAAACCAAUAUAUUAAAUCUGAAUUUUCAUUUUUGUUCCUUUAAAUUUUUUUCAAAACAAGCUAGAAUUUCAAAGAUCUAUAAAAACCAUCAUGAGAAAUCAAUUUGAAAAGCAAAAGUUGAAGAAAAAUUGCACAAUGUAAUGAAAGAACACAAAACUGCAACUAACAACUAACUUGUAACCAAACGUGAAUUAAUUGAUCUACAUCUAAUUGAUGCUAAAAUAAGUGAUCAUAAUUGGAAUUGAAAAGAUCAAUUAAGGAACCAAAAGGAAAACUAAUUUGAAGAACAAAAAGUGCAAGAAAAUACAAGAAUUAACUAGAAAUAACUAAAAUAUAAAGUGAAAUUCAACUGAAACUCACUGAGUUGAUGAAAGAAAAAAUUAGGUCUAGAAGUUUAUAAUGAAAAUAAACUUGAAAUGAGCUAAAAACAAUUCAUCAAUCAAGUUUGCUAUAAAAUUCAAUAAGAAAAUGGUAGCAAAAUGGAGAAAAACCAGUCUAAUGAACUAGCAACUCAAUUGAUACUCAAAACAGAGAAAAAUAGAGCAUUGACAACUAAAUCUAUACAAACACCAAAUGAAUUCUUGGAAAUAAAUGCAAUCAAUUAAAAAUUAACAAGUAAGCAUGUAAAAAUAAGAAUGUAAAGUAUGAAAGAAUCAAAUUGAACAUCUAGAAAGAGAGAGGAUCAUCAUUCAUCAAGUUCUCAUGUAUGAAUCAUUUUUGCCUUUUGGAUUCAGCCUUAAAUUUGAAGAAUUAAUUGUACUUGUAUAGUUAAAAUUUAAGGCUGAAUUUUUACUGGAUUAUAGCCUUAUGAACUAGGAAUCUAGGAAAAAAAUUUGAAGUAAAUCAAGCUAGAAUUCACUGAGUUUUGAUUAAAAGACUGAAGGUAGGUCAGGUGCAUGAUUUUGAAACCAUAUUUGAGUUCAACAUGAAUUUUAUAGAAUUUGAAAAGGAAAUCAUGAGAAUUUGUAAAUUUCAUUAUGAAAACCUUAAAGAAAAUUGAAAAAGAGUGUAAGAAGCCUAAAAUUGUAACAAGAUUCAAUUAAAAAAACUAAAAUUAAAAGCUAUUUUUUUGGAGAGAAAAUGAAAAUGACAGCAAACCAAGUUUUGACAAGAAAAAUGACAGGUAAAAUAUCAGUAUUGUCUUCUAAGUUACACCAAUAAAGAUAAAUAGAAAGCAUAGACUUCUUAUAAGAUAGCUGAGUAGUCAUAAAAUAUGGCUUAAACAAGGUUCAAGAAAGUACGAACAAGCAUCAACAAAUAUCAUACAAAUAUUCAUGUGAAACCAUGGCCUUCCACCCCAAAACCCUUAGCUUUUGACAAAUUAUUAAAACAAGUUCUUUUUGUAAUAGAAUAUAAGAUUCAAGUACAUUCAGUUAUCAUGAAUUUAUACUUUUAUAUUUUUUUUGAUUCAAAAGAUCUUCUUUCAAAGCAAUUACGUUUCUCACUUCCUUUAGAGUUCUUUCAACUUCAAGGGCUCUCUAACACCAACAUGAUCAUUUUAUAACAGAUGAUAUUGAAGGCAUGUUGCGAGAUGCUUUUAACAUUCAUAACCAAUAUUUUCAUAAUUUGUCUCCCCAAAAUGAUGGAUUUAAUAAGUUAAAUGUUAAAAUGAAUGAAUUUGGUGAACAUGGGAUAGGUGUAGCUGAACAACAAUCUAGAAGAGAAGCAUCAAAGUUUUAUAGGUUACUUGAGGAUAUGAAUAAAGAACUUUAUGAGAGAUCGAAGCAUUAAAGGUCAUCUUUUUGUGUUUAUCUUUUUCACUUGAAAUGCUUAUGUGGAUCGACGAAGAACUUUUUGACUUUAGUAUUAAAAUUUAUGAAAAAAUGUUUUCUUUUGCAAAUAUCCUUGAAUCUUGUAAAGAAUCAAAGAAGAUGAUCAAAGAUUUAGGUCUUGGAUAUGAGAAAAUUCAUAGUUGUCCCAAUAAUUGCAUGUUGUAUUAAGGUGAUAGAAAAAAUCAAGAAUCUUGUCAUUUGUAUGGUAUUUCUCAUUGGGUGGACAAAAAUAUCAAUGAAAGGUUGAAUGAGAAUAGUGAUGAGGCCUAUGUAAAAAAGAAGCAUGUAAAGAUUUUACUAUAUUUUCCAUUAAUACCAAGACUUCAACGAUUCUUCAUGUAUUUCAAAAUUGUAGAUUUUAUAAGGUAACAUCAUGAGAAAUAAACGAAUGAUGGAUCAUUGAGGCAUCCAACAAAUUCUUUGGCAUGGAAAUCAUUUUAUUUUAGGUUUUUGGACUUUGUAUCUAAUCCUCCAAAUGUUAUGCUUGGAUUAGCAUCCAAUGGAUUUAACCCAUUCAAAAUGAUAAGUACUUUUUAUAGUACUUGACCAGUUGUAUUGAUUCCGUACAAUUUGCUACCAUGGAUUGCCAUGAAGUAACAAUCAUUUAUCUUGUCUAUGAUAAUUCUUGGGAAAAAAGGUUCGGGUAAUGAUAUAGACAUCUACUUACAAUAUCUUAUUAAAGAGUUAAAGCAAUUAUAGGAAGGAGUUGAAACCUAUAAUGCAUCAAAAAAAAUUUAAUAUACAUGCUGCUUUAUUAUGGACUAUAAAUGAUUUUCUUACUUAUGCAAAUUUAUCUGGUUAGAGCAUAAAAAGUCGUUACGCUUGUUCAUAUUGUGCCGCGUAGGCAUGUUCGAAAUGGUUACCUAAUGGUAGAAAGUUUUGUUAUAUGGCAUAUCAUUGUACAAUUCGACGAGUCUAGAGUCCUGAUGAAUAAUUCAACACUUUGGAGAUGACCUUAGGGAUAAUUAGCUGGAUUUCUUGAUGUUCAUUUUUUUUUUUUUAUUUUCUUACUUGCAACCAAAUGCAAAACAAAGGUUAAUAGGAGAGUGGAGACCUAAAAAUAAUCAAUUUUUGUUAGAAAAACCUUAUCUUGAAAAUUAACUGCUUAGUCCCAAUUUGGAUCAUGGCUUCUUUAGUGCUCCAUGUGCGCUUAAAAAAUGCACAAUUUCGCUAAGUUGGGUUGAACAAAGCCUAUUUUUCAUUUGAAUUGUUAGUACAUAAAAAAUAUUAUAUACAUCAUUUUGAUUUUUCAUACAUUAAAUCAUUACAAGAAGUUCAUUUUUUUUUUUUUGAAAGAAAGUCUGCUUUUUCAUUUAAUCAUAGCCCAAGUUUGCUUCGAAUUUUAGAAUAUCUUGCAAAAACACAGGAAUAUCCUCCACCCAGUACUCCCCCUCAUGUAGUGAAGUGCUAUGCACUGCCAGUCGAUGUGCUGCUACAUUCCCUGACUGUCUUGUAUGUUGUGUGUUGCAACCCUUCAUCUCUACCAUCUUUUGUCUAGCCUCAUCAACUAUUACGCCAACUGGGGACAUAUCUUGGUUCCUUGUUUGGAGUUUAUUGGUAACUGUUAACGCAUCUCCUAUUACAAAUUCAUUAAUCCCCACAUCUUUUGCAAAAUCCAAGGCUCGGACAGCAGCAAGAGCUUCAACCGUGUAGGGGUUGGUUACCCAUGGUAUACUGUCACUGUAAGCUCCCAUCACUCUAUCCUUCUCAUCCCUAAUGAUCACUCCAAAGCCAUCUUUCUCCAUUUCCUUAUCCAUUGCGCCAUCGAAAUUCACCUUUAUCGUACCUCUAGCAGUAUGUUUCCAGCCCCUAUUCCUUCUUCACUGUAUCUUUGUUGUUUCAGCUAUGCCCUGUUAAAGUCCAUCGUGUAUUCUUUCACAGAAACAGCUGCAGCAUCUGGUGCUUUCCUCUGUUCCUCAUGAUGUUCAUUGUUUCUGUCAUUCCAUAUUGUCCACUAGCCAAUCAUAAAUAUCUACAUUUGUUCCAUUGUGAAAUUUCCAACUAUCUUGGAGAGCUAGUGAAAUGGUUUCAGUAGUUGCUCAUCAACCUCAUCCCAUUUGAAAUUCAGCUUUUCCCAAAUCCUUUGCCCAAUUAACUUCUUUGACCACUGUUAUGACUAUUUCUUCAUUGUGGCCACAUCGUUGACACGUUGUCACCAUUGGUAUUCGUCUCUUUGCUAGGUUCACCCUCACUGGUAGAAAGCCUUUGCCCACUUUCCAUGCUAGUAUCUUGAUCUUCGUUGGAAAUGGCACUGCCCAAAUCCUUUUUCAGGUUCCUUGCUCUCUCCUUCUUUCUUCAUUGCUUCUUGCUUCUAAACCAUUCUCUUGUGACAUUUGACAUAGAAUUCUAUAGCCACUUCUCACCGUGUAUAUCCCUUUAUUAUCAAAAUGCCAUACCAUGUUAUCAGGCUUGUCUAGCUUGCUUAAAGGUAAUGCACAUAUAGCUUCAGUUUCAUCCUGUAACAAGAUAUCAUGAAUAUCAAACCAUUUCCAAGUUCUUGUUUGUUCGUUAAUCAAGUCUGCUACAAGUUUGUUCUCAUCAUUAUCAUUUGUUGGUGAUUGAGGCCUGAAUGAGGUAGAAGAAAGGAGCCAUUUGUCAACUCAGAUUCAGAUAGACCUGCCAUUUCCUGCACGCUAUCGCAAACCAUGGAGCAAAACUGCUUUUGUAGCCGAAAUACUUUUCCACGUUAAAGAGGGGUGUACUCCAAGUUCAACGUUGAGGAAUUAGACAUGUGGGAAAUAUUUGGCUUUUAUUAGUUUAUGUGCUAACAUGCCUGGGUUAGCUAAAAUUCUCCACCCUUGUUUGGCUAGCAUUGCCUUGUUGAACUCUCCCAUUUCUCGGAAGCCUAUGCCCCCAUCUUUUUUUGCCCUCCACAUUUCCUUCCAGCUUUGCCAGUGUAUGCCCCUUGUCUCCUUGUUACUUCUCCACCAAUAAUUGCUUAUCAGCCUAUUCAAUUCUUUGCAUAAUGUUUUUGGAAGUAGAAAGCAACUCAUGGCGAAGGUGGGAAUGGAUUGCAAUAUGGAUUUGAUGAAUGCCUCUUUAACUCCUAUUGAUAACAUUCUUUGACAUCUUCCAUUCAUUCUGGCACUUAUUCACUCCUUCAAAUCCCUGAAAGCCCUACUCUUGACCUUUCUCACCAUUUUAGGCAAUCCCAAAUACUUCUCCAGAUUUUUUGUCUCUUGAAUUCCAAACAAGUUCUUUAUUUCCUCCUUUUUCCCUUCUCUUGUAUUGUCGUUAAAAAAUAAAGCCGAUUUAUCUAGGUUUAUCUUUCGGCCUGAGCUUUCUUCAUAUCACUUUAGCGUGUGUAUCGCCUUUUCGCUUUCACCUCUAUUGGCCAUGGUGAAAAGAAAACUGUCAUCAGCAAAGGAAAAGUGACUAACUCGAGGUCCAUUUUGGCUUGCCUGAACUCCAUGCAGUAACCAUUGUUCGUGGCAUUUCUUUAGCCUCACUGAGAGACCUUCAGUACAAAUAAGAAGCAAAUAGGGUGAUUACGGGUCUCCUUGACGAAGUCCCCUUGUUAGAAAGAAUUCAUCAGUGAUGCUUCCAUUUACAACAAGAGAAUAUAGGACACUGUUGUAACACAAUUCAUUACCUUAAAUAUCCACCUAGAAUGGAAACCCUGUCUAAGCUUAAUCUCCUCAAGAAACUUCCACUCCACUCAGUCAUAGGCCUUACUCAUAUCAAGCUUUUAAGGCAAAGAAUCCCUUUCUCCCUUGUUUCUUGGUUUUCAAAUGGUGCACAAUUUGGUAGGCAACUAUAAUAUUGUCUGAAAUUAAUCUGCCCAAAAUGAAAGCACUUUGUGUUUCACUAAUACAAGAAGGAAGAAUUGUCUUAACCCUAUUAACUAAAACUUUUGAUAUGAUCUUGUAAUCACAUUGCAUAAACUAAUAGGCCUAAAUUGGGUAAUAUUUUUAGGCUCUUUAAUUUUUGGGAUUAGGACAAUAUUAAUAUGGUUUAUCUCGACUAAGUCCCUCUCCCCCUAAGACAUGACAAACAAAAGAUUAUAACUUUAUUACCAAUAAUAUGCUAAAAUUUCUGGAAAAAUAGAACAGGCAUACCAUUAGGGCAGGUGAUUUGUUAGGACUCUUUUGUUUGACCACUUUGUGGACUUCCCUUUUGCUGAAUUCUGUAAGGAGUUUGUUCAUCUCAUCAGUAAUACAAGGUUCAACAACGUCCGGUACAUAUUUACGAUUUUAUGGAUUAUCCGAAUGGAACAACCUUUCGAAAUAUCCAGUGGCUAUUUGCUCGAUUUUUUCCUCUUCUUCACACCAUACCCUAUUUUCAUCCUCCAGCCCUUUAACAAUAUUUCUCCUCUUCCUGGUCGAAGCUUGGGCAUGGAAAAAACUUGUAUUUCUGUCUCCUUCUUGAAGCCAUUGAAUUCUUGAUCUCUGUUUCCAAUCAACUUCUUCCUUCUCCAAGUAAUAAUUCAGCUGCCCCCUAAUUUGGUUAACCCAAUCCAAAGUUUCUAUAGUGGGGGGUUUCAUGCUCAGUUGGUUCAUUUCUUUCUUGAGUAUUGCUAUCCUCUCCCAGUAUCACCAAAAUUGGAUUCAUGCCACUUUCUGAAUCUUUCACUAAUCUUAUUCAUCUGGUCAAGUACGGAUAUUAUGCUAUUGUUACCCCAAGCUGCUUUCACUACUCCUUCGCUAUUUGCCUGUUUCGGCCACAUGGGUUCAAACCUAACCCUCCUUUUAUUACCUCUGUUCCUUCCGUACCUUUUUGGCUUUUCAGAUCUCACAAUGAUAGAACAGUGAUCGGAGAUUGGUGCUGCCAAGCGUUGGACUUCAAAAUCUGGAAACUGGUCACACCAUUUCUUGUUCCCCAAACCAUGGUCUAAUCUUUCUCUUAACGUUUGUAGCCUGUGAUCUGCCUCUUUCCCAUGUGUACCAUUGACCCUCAUAUCCCAAGUCAUCCAAAUUGCAUACUUCCAGUGCUUCCCUAAAAGCUGUCAUUUGGCUUUCUUUUCUCAUGUUUCCUCUGUCUUUUCAUGGUUCCAUAACAAUUCGUUGAAAUCACCUAAACCAAACCAUGGCCUAUCAUCUUGCUCUACUAAGUUCCUCAUCAGUGUUCACGACUCGGUGUCUCCUCACAUCAGGUUCCUCGUAGAAGCCCGUCAACUUCAUGGACUGAUUUUUUGGGCCUUUUCUCACCUCCAUGUUGAUGUGGUUUCUCGAGAAACUCAGCAAGUUUAGUUCAAUAUCAUCCCUCCUCCAAAGCAUUGCCAAUCCCCCACUAUUUCCCUCCGAGUCCACCCCGAAACAUCCAUGCAUGCUAGACAUCUUUUUUAUUCUAUCUAAUUUAUUUACAUGUAGUUUAGUUUCCAUAAAAAACACUACAUGGGGAUCUUUGCUCUUCACCAGUUCGCAAAGAGCUCGAACUGCACAUAUGUUCCCAGGACCCGACCGUUCUAAGCUAUGCACCAAAUUUCUCUUGGCGGGACUGUGUACCAGUCUCUGCUGUUGGGUAUGGUUUUCUUGCUUCCACCAUCCCCUCUUCUCUACAUUUUCUUUGUUUGUUGGUCAACUGCCAUUAGAUCACUACAUAUUUGCAUCUUCCUCUUUCCCAUGGUAACGGUAGCUCCUUAUUAUUGCCAUGCACUACACUUGCUUUUUUGUUCCAGGUGUUCUUUCCAAUUGUCAUAUUUUUCUGCUUUCCACUAGUUAUAUUUUCAUGGACCUCUUCCACGUCACACAGGAUUGCCACCUCAUAUGUUUUUUUACUUUCCUCGGCAUUCUUUCCAUAUAAACUUUCUGUCCCUUUAUCCACGUCCAUUCCCAUGCAAGUCAUUAAUGCAUUCUUGAAGGAUCUACAGCAGAGAUAGAACAAAGGAAAAAAUGAAGAAACUAAUCUGGUAGUUGCAGAAAAUUGGCUCUCAGAUUAUGAGCUUCAUUUCAUUAAUUUAUAAGCUUCAAAAAUACAAAAAUUUAUUUAACUACUACAAAAGUUGUUUGCCUAACAGUAUGGAUCACCAUACACAGAUCAAUAAUGCUACCUAAACUGAUCAGAUCGUAGAACAUGUUACAAAAAUUGCAAUAGAAAUGUCAUACUUAGUUGCUUCAACCACUAACACUCUUCCUUAGCAUUUCUACUAGAAACACCAGGACUUUUCCUUAAUGUUUCAAACCUUGCCUUUGGUAAGGCCUUGGUCAGAAUAUUUGCAAUUUGAUCUUCUGACUUACAAUGCCCUAGCUUCACUUCAUUCUCAGCUUCAACUUCUCUAAUAAAGUGAUACUUGAUAUUAAUGUGCUUAGUUCUUCCAUGAAACAUAGAGUUCGUGAACAUUGCAAUUGUUGACUGAUUAUCACAAAAAAUUUUUGUUGGAUCAUCUUACUUUUGACUCAAAUUCAUCAUAAUUUUUCUUAGCCAAAUUGCUUGAUUAAUAGUAGCCACAACAACUAUAUACUCUGUUUCUAUUGUCAAUUGAGCCACAGUUUCUCUUUUUUUUUUUAAAUUUCAGCUGAACACAUUUAAUCUAAUGAAGAACACAUAAUCUAAAGUGCUUUUCAUGUCUUCAUAAGAGCCAGCCCAGUCAUUGUUUGUGAAUCUAACCAGUCUUGAACUUUUGUUCUUUUUUAACCAAAUUCCAAGUUUAUUAGUUCUUUUGACAUAUCUCAAUACUCUCUUAGUAGCCUUAAAAUGUAACUCACUAGGAUUUUGCAUGAACCUAGAGAGUAAAUUUGCAGCAUACAUGAUGUCUGGCCUUGUUGUUGUCAAAUACAAUAAGCAACCAACCAAGCUUUUAUAAAUAGAACCAUCAACUUUGUUAGCUCCAUCUUCUUUAAUGACUUUCUCAUUUUGAGCCAAAGGGCUGUUGAUUGGUUUGCAAUUUUCCAUCCCAAACUUAUUUAAGAUUUCAUUUGCAUAUUUUUUUUUACAAGUAAAGAUUCUUUAUCGGUCUUGAUGAAUUUCCAUUCCAAGAAAAUAAGACAUUUCUCUUAUAUCUGUCAUCUAAAAAAUUUCUUAUAUUUGGUGUUUAAAAUCCUCUACAAGAGCUGAUCUGCUACCUAUCACCAAAAGAUCAUAAACAUACAAAGAAACAAUCAACAGAUCAUUACUGUUAAAAACCUUAGUGUACAAUGUUACUUCACUAAGGCUUUUCUUGAAUCCUAACUUCAGCAAAUGAUUAUCAAUUCUAUAAUUCCAAGCUAUUGGAGCUUGUUUUAAUCAAUACAAAACUUUUUUAAGCAGACAGACUUUGCCCUCAUCUCCCUUGGCAACAAAACCAUCAGGUUGUUCACUGUAAAUCUCCUCCUUAAGAUAACCAUUCAGGAAGGUAGAUUUGACAUCAAGUUAAUAUAUUUUCCAAUUUUUCUGAGUUGCUAAGGCUAAUAACAGCCUUAUGGUUUCCAACCUUGCAACUGGAGCAAAUGUCUAUGAAAAAUCAACACGAAGCUAUUGGGAGUAGCCUUUAACUACCAAUCUAGCUUUAAGUUUGUUAAUGGAACCAUCAACAUUCAACUUUGUUCUAAAAAUCCAUUUAACGAUGUUUUUAUUGCUUGGUCUGUCAACAAGCAUCCAUGUUUGAUUAUUCUCAAUCAUAAAAAUCUCCUCAUUCAUGGCAUUCCUCUUCUCUAAAAAUUUGAUAGCUUCUUCAAAGUUUGCAGGUUCAAGAAUGGCAAUAUUUGAUCUUUGAUAAAUAUCUGUGAAUGGUCUGAUUCCUCUCACUAGUUCAUGAUCAAUGAUUUCAUUUUCAAACAUAUAACCUUCUUGAUCUUGAAAGAUUAUCAUGUUUGUAGCAGUUUGCUUGACUGACUUUUCCUUUGACUUUUUUCAAUUCUAGGCAGCUUGCUCAUUAAAUCUCACAUUCCUAUUUACAAUUACCUUGCCUGUAAGUGGAUUGUAAGUCCUAUAGCCUUUGAAGAUGUUACUAUAGCCCAAAAAAAUACAGAUAUUUGCUUUUUGAUCAAGUUUGUGCCUUUUGACAUUAGGAACAAACACAUCACAAAUGCUGCCAAAAACUCUGAGAUGCUACACUAAUGGUUUGCUUAUGUACCAGGUUUCGAAUAGAGUUUUUCUUUUCAAAGCUUUUGUAGGUAACCUAUUAAGCAAGUAGAUAGAGGUAUUAACUGCCUCUACCUAAAAUUUCUUGAGAAAAUUCUUUUCAAAUAGCAUGCAUCUUGCAAUCUCCAUGACUGUUCUAUUCUUCCUUUUACUGACUCUAUUUUGUUGUGGAGUGUAAGUUGCUAUGAGUUGGUGUUAAAUUCCUACAACAUCACAAAACUCAUUAAAUCUGUCAGAUGUCUAUUUAUUACCAUUGUCUGACCUUAUGAACUUGAUUUUGUAGUCACUUUGAUUCUCAAUCCAAGCCUUAAACUUCCAAAAUACAUCUGCAACUUUAAACUUUUGUUUCAUGAAGUAAAUCCAACAUAUUAUGGUAAAAUCAUCUAUAAAAGUAAUGAAAUAUCUACUAUCAUUCAAGGACAAGGUUCUUAUAAGACCACAAACAUCAGUAUGAACAAGUUGUAAUUUUUCAGUUGCCCUUCAUGCUUUGUUAAUUGCAAAUGGCAACUUACUUUAUUUUCCUAGUUGACAGACUUUUUUAUGCAUGAAAUUCAAUGCAUUGUAGUUGAAAUGUGAACUAGCACAUAUGCAGAGGAGUUUGCUUCACACCAGUUCAUGAAAAAACAUUUUUUUUCAUUCUAAGAAAAAAUAUUUUUUUUUCAUAUUAACAGUAAAGAAUUCAUGGCUAGUGACAUCAUGAAUUAUGCAUGCCUUGUCUUUGAAAACUAAGAAGUAGUUCUUUUCUAGCAACUUUCCUGCACUUAACAGGUUUUGAUAUAUUUUAUGCACAAAUAGCACAUUUGAAAUGAGUUUGGUACCUGUUAGUGUCUCAACAAGCACUACUCAUUUUUUUUGACUUCUAUGAACUCAACAUUACCUAUUCUAACUUUAGAGGUAUAAGUCUUGUCAACUUCUUUGAACAUGUUGAUAUCAGAUGUCAUAUGGUGUGUGCAACCACUGUCAAUGAGCCAUGCACUUGAGGAGGUUCUGGUUCAUAGCAAGUUACAACAAAAACUUGCUAUUCUAGCUGUUAUUGGUUGUCAGCAACUCUGAUUUAUUGAUUUGGCUGCUGUUGUUUUUUGUUUUUGCAUACCUUUUUUAUGUGACCAAGCUAAUUACAGUACCUAUAUUAUAUGUCAGGUCUAUACCAAUAAUAUUUCUCUAAGUGAGUGAUCUUUUUGUAGUGAGAGUAAAGUAAAAAUUCUCUUUUCUUUCCAUUGUUUCUAAAACCUUUUCUUAUUCAAUCUCGUUAUUUUUUGCCUUUGCUUUUUGUUUGCAUCUUGCCUUUCUCUUUGGCUGUAAAAGCACUUUUUGUUAAAUCUUUU